rnacentral:lncRNA from 1 species
AAAAUUUAGGUAUUUUUACAUUUGAACCGUCUAUUGAAGAUGCUCUUAUACUUGUGCGUCCCCUUCUGCUUUUCCCUUUGGAGCCAUUAUACUGGCACUUUUGCGACCUUAUUUUUUGUGAAGGAUAAAGUUUGUGCCUGCCUUUUGCGACAAUCAAAAACUGUCUUGUGCGAAACAAGAAACGACUUAAGAUCGCAGCCACAGUAAAACCAUAUACGGAGUACUCAUGUCAACCUACGACCAACCAGCAUGAAACAGCCGCAAAAACAACAUUAGAAAAGGGUGCAAGACGAACGGAUUAAGAUUAAGAUCCAAAUGCCAGCACGGCACAUAAUCCAGAUAACACAAUCUAUAACUCCAGCAGGACAAACAGAACUCAAUGGAACAGGUCAUUGUGCAGAGUGCCGGACUUCAACAAAAACGCACGUUGCAAGACUACACUGGGGUGGACAAAGAGCUCUUCACUCGUCGUCAUCCUCAUCGUCAUCGGCGGCACCCGCAGAGUUGUUGAGGGCGUUGAGCCUUUCGACGAGGCUGGCCUUCCUCUGCUCAUAGGUCAGCUUCUUGGGGUUGUAUCUGCAUCCAAAAGGCAAAGUUCACAAUGCAGCUCACAACAAGUUGGAAAAGAAGCAGCAGUCAGGAGUAAAUGGCCCUUGUCCACAAUGCAUCCAAAAGACAGUAUGAUGAAGAGCUUGCCGACUAUACCUCUUGUGAGUCUUGGGAGGCGCCUUGGUUGAUUUGGCCAUGGUGGGAUCAGCACGGAUGGCAGCAUGAACCUUCUUGUAAACUGCUUCCAUGUCAUCAGCUGAGAUUCCCCUCUUGAUGUACUCACUGAAGUGAGUUUGGAACUUCUCUGGUUCCUCAUCUGCUAGUGACUGGAAUAAGAGAAAGGCAAAAGUUCAGUAAGAAAUGAAAGAGGAACUAGGGUCAUUUUAUUGCCCUAGGUACAAGAGCAUGAACAAGAGUAAUACAAAAUCAAGAGAGCAAUGGCUUCCAACUCACCCUCAUGUAGUCAGCAACAUGCCCUCCAAAGAUGUACUUGCGGUGAAUCUCAGCAUCCAGCGACUUCUCAUCCUUUUUGAAACCAGCAAAUCUCUUGUCACUGUGGGGAAUGUCAAGACCACCGUCCAAAGCUCCCUGCAGGAGCAAAAAUAAUUACACCAGCAGCAGAAAAAGCACUAGAGGGAUACAACCCAUGCAUUCAAAAACAAAAUAAGUUCUGAAGUGCAGCAGAAUAGGGAGCACCAUAUCACUUAAUGCAAAUAAAAAAAUGAGAACAAACAGCAAUAACAAUGAUUUUUCACAAGGUCAAAUAGCACAAUAAAGCAGAACAGUUUCAUGUCAAAGGCCUGUGACAAGUUACAGGUAGCUAAAGAAGAACGACCAAUCAUGAUUUGCCAAUAGUUUCAUGUCAAACCUUUCAAGAAAAAAUAGUUUCAUGUCAAAGGCCUGUGACAUUGAGUGCCUAUCUGCAAUCAUAAAAUGUACAGUAAUAACAUGGCUUACCUUAAGGGCACCAAACACACGGUUUCCAGUGGUGGUCCUAAUAAGACCAACAUCCAAAAGCGCACGGAAAGGCCUCCUCUCAUCAGAAGGCUCAACAGAGAAGUCCUCGCCAGUGGCCUGAGCACAGACAUAUAUUAUUUGUGUUCAUCAGAAGCAACAAAUCAGGAUAUUAAACUAAAAAAAAUGAUGAAACCAAAUUAUACCUCAACAUUGCCUUCAUACUCCUCAUCAAGAUCACGGUUCUUGAGCACACGACGGGCCAAAAGCAGACCAGUGCAGUAGGCUACAUCAUGCAUUCAGAAAAUUAGAUUAGAAAAGAGGCAUGCAUACACAGCAUGCAUUAGCACAUUCAUUCAGUAGAUAAAAUCAACCUGCAGCAUAGUUGGUGAGGCCAACUUCAAGACCAUAGCGAGGCAACUCAUGGGAGUAAGCAGCGGCCAUCACGAUAUCACCAGCAAUGGUAGCAUACACAAUUUGUGCAGUGACAUCCUUGUUGGUCUGAAGUACUAUUGUUAAGAGAUACAACAUGCCUCCAAGGUAAUAAUAAGCAGAACAUUGAUGAUUGACAAGUGCACAAAUUAUAACGAAGAAACUUUGAAGGAUACAAAUCGCACAACAAAACGGUACUUGGGGGUAUUGUAUUUGUUCUUGUCCUGGUUUGUGAGCCUCAGCCUGGCCCUGUAGUCGGUCUUCCCCUCUGAGAAAACAUGGGGAAAAGGAAAAUCAGCCAGUCAGAAUCGCUGUCAAAUGACAGAAGUGGCAGAUUCAUGGAGAGGCAUGUGUUAGACAUACGGCGCCUUCUCUUGAACUUGACUUGGAAACGCUUGGAGUACGCCCUUGUCUUCUGGUUCUUGAUGUACACCUACAAGACGUAUCAAAGAGAAGCACAUGAGUAUACACCUAGGUUUGGAACAUCAGUGCUACCCUGGAAAUCCUAGUAAUCAAUCAGGCGGCACAAACAAAACAUUUAAGACAAGAUUUUAAGUAGCUCAUAGUUCUAUUCAAUGACGAGAAACCUCAUGGAACCUCCCAAGCUUAGGAUAAUCAAGGAAGUAAUUCCUAUAUAAACCCCAGUCUACUAUCGCGACAAGAAACAAAACCGCAGCAUAAACCAAUCCCUCGUCAAUCCACUACAAUAGUGAAUCUGGUCUAAGAAAUGGGAACUUCUUCUCAGUUCUAAAAUUAGAGCAGGCAAAGAGCUAGUAGAGCAUGAUUUGCGAGCAAUAAAAUCUUAUCAAGCGGCACAAAUCCAGAUCUAACAGAUUCUACGAGCGGCGAGGACUAUUCCUCCACGACAGAGCAAAAACCCCGCAGAUCUGACCAGUCCAGUGCUGAACCCUUAAGCCCUGAGUUGGGUAGUGCAAGCUAUGAAACAAGAAUCGAAAACCUAGGCGCCGAUUCCUGCAGCGAAGGCGCACGAAAGCCAGACGCUGCGGGCAGCAACGCAAGCGCGGACUGAAGCAGCAGCCAUGGAGGAAGAGGAGGCGGUGAGAUCGGACGUACCAUCGCGCCUGCGAGGAGGGAGCUCCUGCGGAUGGAGGAGGCGGCGGCGGCGCGGGCGGGCGGGCGAGCGGAAGGGCUAGGGAUGGGAGGCAGCGUGGUGGCGCUUAUAUAUACGAGGGGGCGGGCCUGGCUGCUUGCUGGGCCGCGGUGCGAGUCACCCCCGAAUAGGUGGGCUUCUUUCGGUCUGCUUCUAAGGCCCAUGAACUGCGUUUCGGUUUUUUUUUUCCUUAUUCUCGGCUCACUGGAGAGCUUAGAGCAUAACGGCCGCUGUUGCAUGUUGCGGUUGCAGAGUGGAGAGAGCAGUUGGUCGUUCCAUCGCUCGUCUUAUGCUGAUACUAAUACCUCUGUAAAAAAAUAUAAGAGCGUUAAGUUAUUACUUAUCUUUAUUUCUAAAAGAGGAGUCUGCGGUUGUGAUGGUGCGUUCAUACAUCGUUCGCUCGUUCGCCCCUCCCCUCGUCCCACCCUUCCCAGUGCCAAAGUCAUACAUGAAAACAAACCCAAAUAAUCCUAAAGAAACAAACCCAAAUAAUCGGCACCGUUGUAAUCUUCCUCCGUACGUACUAAAAAUAAUUAGCCUUCCUCCCACCAUGGUAAGUGCAAAAGUAGUAUACGUGGGAAACAAACCAUAGAAUCCUAACAAUACUUAGCCCAAUUAUUACAUACUAAACAUAAAGCACAUUCUCAAAAAGAAAACAUAAGGCACAAGAUAAGAAAAACCCGACAAGAUUGAUAACGCCUCAAGUACUCACCAUCAAGCACAGACGAUACAUUGCUGGGAGAUCAUGAUGGCGAUCACACCAGGUCACCAUGGAGGUCACAUGAGUUUAUCAUCAACCUGUCAGCCUCGCUUUCAUCAUCCGGAGGUGAGUUCACCUUUUGACAAAGCCAUAUGUUUCUCCGACGUGGUGCUCUUUCUUGUGGAUCUUCAUAGUCCUGAUAUAUGCAUUACUAAUUUAUUUAGUUCACAAAAGGCGAUGCAUGGCGAACUACUAUUAAAAAUGAUUGUCAUAGUUUUGGGGUUUCAUAGGCUAGAUAGAUUGUAAGGGCAUCUCCAGCCGUUGCCCCCCCCCCCAGGACGCAUACAAAAUCGCCCCCUGGGGGCGAGCCGGCGAUACACUCGGCGCUGGGGGCGGUUUUGCGCCCAGUCGUCGCCCCCAGCUCGCCCCCAGGCGCCGAAAUUGGCCCACUUUGCAGCCCAAUUUCGGCGAAUAAACGGCCCAUAUGGGCGAGAAUAGACCCAUAUUCGGCGUGGUUUCGCCGUGUCUCGGCGUUCAAUUAUCAACACAAUUAUUCCUUAUCACAUAUUUCAUCACAGAAAAAUCAAAUACUUCAACAAAAUACUACAACAACAAAUAGUUCAAUACAAAUUAUAUAGUUCAACAGAUAAAAACUCAUAUUUCAUCACGCGGCGUCCCCCUUGAGCCUCCAUAGGUGCUCAAUCAGAUCUUUCUGCAGUUGAUGAUGCACCUGUGGGUCUCGGAUCUCCUGACGCAUACUGAGAUAGGCAGUCCAAGUUGCCGGUAGCUGGUGAUCAACUUCGGCUAGAGGACCCUGCCUGUAGUAUGGUUCAGUGUCAAACACUGGGUCUUCUUGCUCGCUCUCGAUGAUCAUGUUGUGCAAGAUGACACAGCAAGUCAUGAUCUCCCACAUUUGAUCUUUCGACCAGGUCUGAGCGGGGUACCGAACAACAGCGAAUCGAGAUUGGAGCACACCAAAUGCCCGCUCGACAUCCUUCCUGCAAGCCUCCUGAAGCUUCGCAAACCAGGCGUUCUUGCCUCCUGCCACAGGGUUUGAGAUCGUCUUCACAAAUGUCGACCAUCUUGGAUAGAUGCCGUCAGCUAGAUAGUACCCCUUGUUGUAUUGGUGACCAUUGAUCUCGAAGUUCACCGGAGAAGAAUGGCCCUCAACGAGCUUGGCAAAAACAGGAGAGCACUGCAGCACGUUGAUGUCAUUGUGAGUUCCUGGCAUACCAAAGAAGGCGUGCCAAAUCCAGAGGUCCUGUGUGGCUACCGCCUCAAGCACCACACUGCAACCGCCUUCGGCGCCUUUGUACAUCCCCUGCCAACCAAAUGGGCAGUUCUUCCAUUUCCAAUGCAUGUAGUCGAUGCUUCCAAGCAUCCCAGGAAAUCCUCUUGCUGCAUUUUGGGCUAGGAUCCGAGCAGUGUCUUCCGCAUUGGGUGUUCUCAAGUAUUGUGGCCCAAACACUGCCACCACUGCCCGACAGAACUUGUAGAAACACUCUAUGCUGGUGGACUCGGCCAUGCGCCCAUAGUCGUCGAGUGAAUCACUGGGAGCUCCAUAUGCAAGCAUCCUCAUCGCUGUGGUGCACUUCUGGAUGGAGGUGAAUCCAAGAGCGCCAGUGCAAUCCAUCUUGCACUUGAAGUAGUUGUCGAACUCCCGGAUGGAAUUCACAAUCCCGAGGAAGAGCUUUCGGCUCAUCCGAUAACGGCGCCGAAAUGUUCUCUCGCCAUGAAGUGGAGCAUCGGCGAAGUAGUCAGAGUAGAGCAUGCAGUAGCCUUGCAGACGAUGCCGGUUCUUUGCUUUCACCCGCCCCAGCGCCGAGCCACCUCGACGCGGCUUUUCGUUGCUCGCCAGCAGCUGGGCGAGGGCGACGAGCACCAUCAGAUGCUCUUCUUCCUGGACGUCGGUCGCGGCUUCCUCCUCCAGCAGCGUGGCGAGCUCUUCCUCCUCAUCCGAGUCCAUGGCUGAGACAGUCAAAACGCCGAACACCUUGCGCUCGGUGGGUGUGUACCCGCCAUUAAACCGCGCCUCCGCGGCCGGAAACGGCGGCCGGAAAUGCCCAGCUGCUGCGGGAGGGGCUGCCGCGGCGAAGCGCUGCUAUUUUCCGGCGGGGAAUGGCUAUCUAGCGGAGUAGGCCGGCGGCCGUCGCCGGGAUAUAGCUAGUGGUGGCCGAGGGCGCGGGGGGUGCGAGGCGAGUCGGGGGAAGAAAACCUUGAGUUUUCCCCUGUCGGUGUGGGCCAGGCGUGCUUUUCCCUAGCGCCGGAGCCCCCAAUGGCUCCCCAGCGCGCCGGGUUCGGCCUGUGACCGCCGGGCGGAAAAAAGGUCCGAACCGGCGAUUUUCGGCGUCCUGGGGGCGUGACUGGGCCGUUUUUUCGGCGCCGGCGCCAAAAAGUGGCCUGGGGGGGCUGUUGGGGGCGCGGCUGGAGAUGCCCUAAUUACACAAGUCACGUGCAUACCGCUGGUGGUUUCCAGGAACUUUCAACUUGAGCAAUACGAAAUGUAACCUCACCAAGCAAACUUGUAGAAAUUCAUUAAAAUUUAGAUGUCUGGAGAAGACAAUAAUGUGCGCAUGGAGGAGAAACUGUGUAUGUAGGUAAAUAUUAUUUAUUUUUCUUUGUUUAUGAACCAUGUUGUUGAAGGUUCGAAGGGCCUUAAUCACCAUCCCUGCACCAUUUACUACUGCAGUAUUUUUUUGCCCUCUUUUCUGAAUUCUCCCUCAUAGCAUCUUUACUACCAACUAAUCGUAGCACCAACUAUUUUACUUUCUUUAUGAACCACAGUGCUGAAGGUCCAAAUGUCAUUAAUCAUUAUCCAUGCAACAUUUGCUUAUAAGAUGUCGAAGGAUAAGUGAAAAAUAAAUGUGUAUUCUCUAACAAUUUGUUUAGGCAUAAUGUCUUAAUUGAUGAUUUGAAGGUGACCAUCUUGUAAUCUUUACUGUUGUUGUUGGAACAGUCAUAUCGAUGUUCAUAUGUGAACCAUCCACCCAAUUAGCUACAACGCUUCCCAUAGCCAGUACCAUGAUAGCAUUGGAGCCACGGGAGCAUGUGGGAACAUCAAAUGGUAUUUACCCUUUCACACGACGUUUUUACCAUUGAAGUAUGGUCGUCUAUAGAUCUAGAUUUAUUGAGUCUAAACGUGUGAUGGGUAUAUUCGUUCAAAUGUGGGUCUUGGAUUUAGCAAAACACACACUGGCCAUGCAGAAAACCCUACAACACCUCAAGGAACACUGAGUGGUGCUGAAGAUAUUGCUUCCAAUGCAAGCAUUAAAGAAGACAAACAUCAACAAAGACGGAGCCGUGAUAAAGAAAGGCGAGAUAGCCUAACACCCGGGCAAAGAGAAGAAAUGAAUGCACAUCGAAGAGCAUCUAGAAAAAAUUAGACUAUCGAAGAUAGGAAUGCAAGCCAAAGGGCUGCCAGACAAAAUCUGACAACAAAGGAGAGGCAAGAGAUGAACGCUCGUAGAAGAGCAGUAAGUACAAAUAUACCAACUGAGUAGAGGCAAGAGAUGAACGCUGGUCGAAGAGCACGCCUGCAGAGCAUACACUACUGCAGGAUGCUGCUAACGCGACACUACAAUCAGAGACCCUUCGAGAAACUGUGUGCGAUGCAAUAAUCGCAAACGGUGGUGUAAGAGAACCGUAAAAAAUGUGCAAAAUGUUUGCGAUGACGGAUGCAUCAAACACGGUUCAGAUUUUAGUUGCGUGUGCGAUGCACGGCAUACGGUUCAGUUCAAUGAACUGUUUGCGAUGAGGAAGAAGAACGGAAACGGGCAGCCAGAUGAAGGCGUGUGCGAUAUACGGCAUAUAGUUCAAUCGAAUUAACAGUAUGUGAUGAGGCGGAACAAUAGAAACGGACAGCUAGAUAAAGGUGUGUGCGAUUGAGGGCAUACGCUUCAUAAGGAUUAAUUGUUUGUGAUUAGGCAACAUAACAGAAGCGGUCAGCCAGAUCAAAGGUGUGUGCGAUUGAUGGCAUACACUUCACACGGAUGAACUGUUUACGAUUAGCCACAACAAACAAAAAUAGUUAGACAGAUCAACGUGUGUGCCCUAGACGGGCACACAUUCUAACUAAAAGAAGCGUGCGCUAUGGUAAUAACGAGCGCCCACGUGAAAGGAUCUAGAUUGACCUAGAGGGGGGGUGAAUAGGUACAAUUACAAAUUUUAAUUGUUACUUAGCAAUUUUAGGCAAUAAUGCAAAAUAUGAAGUUGAGCCUAACAAUUGCAAGUGUGAAGCUAUGAACUAAGCAAGGUAAACAAGUAGCUCAAGUAGGAGAGUAAGCAAGCACAAUAUGAUAUAAGUAAAGACUAAGAGACAAGUAACCACAAAUAGGGAGUUAAGGUUAGGGAUAACCGCAACUCUGAGAGACGAGGAUGUAUGCCGAUGUUCACUUCCUUGGAGGGGAGCUACGUUACCAUUAGAGAGGUGGGUGUUACCACGAAGGCACACCAACACCACGAAGGCUCACCCUAUUCUCCCUUUGAGACAACACCACGAAGGCGUUUCUCAACCACUAGUGGUAGACCUUGGGUGGUCUCCAAAUCCUCACAAACUUUCCGGGGGUAAUCACAAAGAACGAUUCCUCUCCGAAUGACUCCUACCGCCUAGGAGUCUCCAACCUCCAAGAGUAACAAGAACUAUGGGGAAAAAGCUCAAGACUUGCUCAAAUCAUGAAUUCCUUUGGUGAACAUCGAUAUGAAAGAAGUGGAUCUAUCACUUGGGUGGACAACUUCUCUCAAAUGCUCUCAAAUCCCUUAGGGAUCUAAGAUCUGGUGUUGGAGUGUGUGUGAGAGAGUGAAGAUGUGUUCUUGAGGGUGCUUGAAGUGAAUGGUCAAUCCUCUCACGGGAUAGGAGAGAGAUAUUGAUAGUAUGCCUCAAUAACUGGCUGUUGGAGCCCAAAACAGCACAGCAUCGUCGGACGUCCGAUGCACAACGGACGACCGAAGGCUUGACAGACAUCGGACAUCCGACAGGGACCGGACGUCCGAUGUUUUGGCACGGUAUAGUAGGUAGCGGACGACCGAUGUUUAGGCUCUGUGGAAAAGGUACGGAGUGACCGAAGGAUAUCGGACGACCGAGGGCUCUGCAGACAACGGACGUCCGACAAGGACCGGAGGACCGAUGUUUUGGCUCUGGAUAGGAUUUGCCGGACGUCCGGUGCACACUGGACGACCGAUGUUUUGGUUCUAUAUAGAGGCGAUCGGACGUCCGGUGAGUACCGGUCGUCCGCCAGAGAUGAAGAUCAGACACUGACUUUGAAGUAGUUGUUUGAGCAAGACUUUAGCAAUAACCCAUGUUCCCCUCUUAAUAGUGCGGGGUCCUAUACUCAAGAAUAAACAUAAAAAUAGUCUUGUUUCUUCGUUCUUAAUGAGGUUAAACAUUUCUGAAGUCAUAAUCCACACACACAAUUGAUUCCGAGGGGACUAAAACUUGAGAUAUACUUGACAAACUUUGUUAGUCCCCUAUGAGUAUAUUGUCAUCAACAUCAAAAUAAUAUUUAGGGCAUAAUUGCACUUUCAAUCUCCCCCUUUUUGGUAGUUGAUGACAAUAUACUCAUAGCACAAAAGAAAUCAAGUUGCUCUAUGCUUUAAGACACGUGUAUUUAAGAGCUCCCCCUCUCAACCAUAAUCAUUGCAACAUUAUAUGGAGAGCUCUCCCUCACAGAGACAACCAAUCUAGAAUAUAUGAGAAAAAUAUCACAAGAACCAAAUAAAACCAUCAUCAUAUAAGCACAACCGCAUAAUAUCAUAAUAUCUCAACAUUCAUAGAACACAGAGGUUCAAUAUGUUCAACAUCACAGCAUAAGGCAUAGAUAUAAAGUCAUACACCCACUCAAGGUAAAUGGUUCAACAUAAGAGCAACAUGAAUAGAAAGCUAGAACUAGUUCUCCCCCUUGGCAACAACUACCCAAAAAGGGACAGAGAGAACCCUUAGACAAUCACAAGUCAUCAUCAUCAUCAUUUGGAGCUCCACUCCCACUAGCUUCAUUGAGGAAAUCAGCCCACUCAGGCCCCGAAGGAAAACCAAAGUCAGAAGGAGGAGCAGUUGGGAGGCGCUCAUCGUCACUCACAUCAGUAGCCCUAGAGUCACGGUGACGAGACUUCAAGGCAUUCUUGGAAGUGAUCAAGCGAGUGACAACAUCAUGGUUGUGUGUGCAGUUGAAGGAGAAUGCCAUCAUCAUGGCAGAGUGAGCCUUUCGAUAAAACGAGCAAAACGCCCAAAGGACGCCGAGCUGGCAUUAGCAGGAUGGGAACUAGCGUCAGACCUACGAGCAAGAGCAGACUUGGAGGAACCUUUUGGAGAAAAAUCAUUGGCCAUGUGAGGAGUGUCGGUGUACUAAAAUAGGGGCGCUCUUUGUUGGGAUCUAUGGUAGGGUGCGUCGACUGCAAAUUAAAAUUUCCUACGCGCAGAACAACCAAGAACAUGCUACGGGAGAUGGAUUACGGAUCGUUACCACUAGACACGCAGUGCCGUGCAGCGGAAGAAGAGUUGGGGCAGCGCAUCCGCGUGGAUCGUCUCCUCCUUGUCCGAUCUCCCUCGAACAACCGGUCGCCCGAUCCAACGUACAAGUUCACCGGAGCGGCACAAGUGCACCGCCUCUAAUGGUAUCUGCGCGUGCAGGAGGAACACCGUGCGGUGGACUGCUAGGUCCGAUCACACAGUCGGCGGCAAGUGGAGGUGGCUAUUCGCAACACAUGCAAACCCUAGUCGCAGCACCGAAGCGAUCAACCGCAUGAGUGUGCCGCACCUCCACUUUAUAUAGGCGUCCGUCACGAGCUCAACACUUGGGCCUCGCACGGACCCUAAAGCCCACAAGUCUACUCGACCAUAAUCCGAAUACAGCUAGGACCACAUCCGACCAAUGUCCUCGGAUCCGACCUCGUAGGUUCCUUCCCUUAAGCGCGCGACCCUUUAGGUUCAAGUCGGCUUGGUCGCUGUUCGGAUCACCUCCGAACUGCACGGUUGGUAGCGGCCUCUAGCAAGGCAUGCCGAACACCAAGCAGACCAUGAAGCUGGUUAGGUGAACCUGUACAUCAUACUUUUGUUCCCUUUGCCACACGAUAUAUGUUGUCGGGCUCAAGGCGAGAUUGUCAUCCUUGUGCUAGCCCGACCUCUUUCUCCUUCCAGUGAUACCGACCACUAUCCGGAUUAUCUCAUAAUCCUUGUCGCAUGGCCAUGCUUAUCCUGAUCGGAUCACACGAGGGGCCCAGAGUAUAUCUCUCCUGAUCGGAGGGGCAAAUCCCAUCUUGCUCAACCAUGUCUCGCAGCAUGGGACUGGACAAACCUGAAACCUACCUUUGUAACUAUCUAGUCACGGAGUAGCGUUUGGUCGGCCCAAAGCAAGUCUGUCACCAUCCCGAGCACAUGCGUCAGCUCAGGUCUUAGGACAUAGAACAUAUGUUGUACUAGAGACUCACAUAUGACAUAUCGUUGCGUCUCAUAGUUGGGUCUGUCCGACUCAAACCUUAUCUCGACUCGGAUCUGACUACGUCGAAUCCGAUCAGACCUUCCCAAGUCCAUAUUAUCUGGUUAGCAUGGCUAGUGAGACCAAGCCAUCGACCGUGUCAUAUGCUAGUCUAGUCGGCUACGCGUCCACACAACCCUUUCGACUAGGGACCUUUUAGGACAGUCAUCAUACAAUGCAUAGUCCCACAAACAAGUCACGUACUUGCUGAUACACAUCAUUGAUAAUGUCCAAGGACUAUCUUUAUUUGUAAACACGUAGGAAAUAUCAUCAUACAUGAUUGCCUCUAGGGCAUAUCUCCAACAGUCUCCCACUUGCACUAGAGUCAAUCAAAUAGACAUCGAAUGCCCAUAGCUCUAACGUGCCCCUCAUGCUUGGGUUGUGGAAGCGGCUUAGUCAACGGAUCUGCAACAUUUGCAUCCGUGUGAAUCUUGCAUAACUCUACAUCACCAUUCUUUAUGAUCUUUUGUAUCAGGUGAUAUUUCCGAUCUAUGUGUCUGACCUUGUGGUGAUUCCUUGGCUCCUUGGCUUGUGCGAUGGCACCAGAAUUAUCACAAUAAAGGUCCAACAGUUUCACCGAGGCUGGGAAAAUACCAAGAUCAUCCAGAAAAUGCCGGAUCCAAACACCUUCCUUUGCAGCUUCACAAGCCGCAAUGUAUUCGACUUCUGUGGUAGAAUCAGCCACCGUAUCCUGCUUGAAACUCAUCCAGUGCACUGCUCCUCCGUUUAGGAUGUACACGAAUCUAGACAGUGAUCGACAAUCAUCUCUGUCGGUUUGGAAACUAGCAUCGACGUAACCCCUUACGACGAGCUCUUCCUCACCUCCAUAAACUAGGAACAUCUCUUUAGUCAUUUUCAGGUACUUCAAAAUAGUCUUUACCGCUGCCGAGUGACUCUCACCUGGGUUGGCCUGGUAUCUGCUUGUUAGGCUUAUUGCAAAAGCAACAUCAGGCCUUGUAGAUAUCAUGGCAUACAUGAUGGAUCCGAUUGCCGAGGCAUACAAAAUCCUACUCAUCCUGCUUCGCUCAUCAGGUGUCGAAGGACUCUGAGUCUCGCUUAGCCUUAUACCAUGUGAGAGUGGCAAGAACCCUUUCUUCGCCUCACUCAUGUUGAACCGCUUCAACACUUUAUCUAUGUACGUGCUCUGGCUUAAGCCGAGCAGCCUCCUUGAUCUAUCUCUAUAGAUCUUAAUGUCUAAAAUAUAUACUGCCUCACCAAGGUCUUUCAUUGAAAACUUGCCAUUCAAUGACUCGUUGACCGAGUUUAGCAUCGAAACAUCAUUUCCGAUCAGUAGUAUGUCAUCCACAUACAAGAUCAAAAACACUAUCGAGCUCCCACUUAACUUCUUGUACAAACAAGAGUCCUCUUCACUUUUGAUGAAACCGAGACCAGUGACGACCUCAUCAAAACGAAUAUUCCAGCUCCGAGAUGCUUGCCUCAACCCAUAAAUGGAUCUUUUGAGCUUGCAUACUUUACUAGUGCUAGUAGGAUCAACAAAACCCUUGGGCCGUAUCAUAUACACGUCCUCGGUUAAAUUUCCAUGAAGGAAAGCCGUUUUGACAUCCAUCUGCCAUAUCUCGUAAUCGAAAUAUGCAGCUAUAGCUAGUAUGAUCCUCACCAACUUCAGCAUCGCUACCGGUGAGUAAGUCUCAUCGUAGUCAAUUCCUUGAACUUGUCCAUAACCUUUAGCGACAAGCCGAGCUUUAUGGAUCUGAACAUUUCCAUCCACAUCGGUUUUCUUCUUAAAGACCCAUUUGCAACCAAUGGAUGUUAUGCCAGGUGGCGGAUCAACCAAGUCCCAAACUUGAUUCUCAUCCAUGGACUUUAACUCGGAUCUCAUGGCCUCCAGCCAUGCCUCAGAAUCUGGGCUCACCAUCGCUUCUGCAUAUGUGGCCGGCUCGUCGCUUUCCAGCAACAAUACAUCACACACUCUGCGCAAUCUUUUCGACCUUCGUGGUUCUGGUGCCGCUUCCACUACGGGUUCCCUGACUGACUCCGGUAUGAUCUCAUCACUAGCCGAGCCGUCCCCGAGUGGUCCUUGAAUUUCUUUGAGUCGGACCAUCCUCCCACUAGCCUCCCGACUGAGAAACUCUUUCUCAAGGAAAACCCCGUUCCGAGCAACAAACACUUUGUUCUCUUCUCGGUUGUAGAAGCUAUAUCCCAAGGUUUCCCUCGGAUAUCCCACGGAUAUGCAUUUAUCUGACUUGGGUGUAAGCUUGUCUGACAUAAGUCGCUUGACAAAUGCUUCACAGCCCCAAAUCUGUAGAAAAGACAAACUGGGACUCUUCCCGGUCCACAUCUCAUGUGGUGUCUUGUCUACGAACUUUGAUGGUACCGUGUUAAGUGUGAAAGCUGUGGUUUCUAGAGCGUAUCCCCAGAAUGACAAGGGUAAAUCCGAUUUGCUCAUCAUAGACCGGACCAUGUCCAACAAGGUCCUAUUCCUCCGUUCUGACACGCCGUUUCUCUGUGGCGUACCCGGAGGUGUGAGCUGAGGUACUAUACCUCGACUUUUCAGAUGAUCAUCACACUCCUGGCUCAUGUACUCACCUCCACGAUCAGAUCGCAUAAGCUUUAUAGUGUUGCCGAGUUGAUUUUGAACCUCGUUCUGAAACUCCUUGAACUUUUCAAAAGUCUCCGACUUGUGCCUCAUCAAAUAGAUAUACCCAUAUCUAUUCAAGUCAUCGGUAAAAGUCACGAAGUACUGAUAGCCACCUCUAGCAGUUGUGCUCAUUGGACCACACACAUCACUAGGUAUAAGUUCCAACGGCUCGGAUGCCCUUUCGCAACUCUUUGUAAAAGGAGACUUAGUCAUCUUGCCGAGCAAGCAUGAUUCACAUGUCUCGAACGACCUGAAAUCGAACGAAGUUAGGAGCCCAUCAUCAUGGAGCUUCUUCAUGUGUUUCAGACUAAUGUGUCCAAGCCGGCAAUGCCAGAAAUAUGUCGGAUUUAUCUCAUUUGGCUUAUGCCUCUUGACAUUCACGUUAUAGACCGGUUCCUGUUCUAGAUUCAAUAUAAUUAGCCCAUCAAUAAUGGGUGCAUAGUCGUGGAACAUACCAUUCAAAAAUAUCGAACAACCAUUGUCCUUUAAAUUGAAUUCAUAACCUUGACUCAUCAAACAUGAGGCAGAAAUAAUGUUCCGAGUAAGUGCAGGAAUGUAAUAACAAUUAUUCAAUUCCAUAAUGAAUCCGGAAGGAAGCUGGAGUUGCAUCGUGCCGACCUCCAACGCAGCAACUCUUGCUUUGUUGCCGACCCUGAUGUCAAUCUCCCCUUGUGCCACAUGCCUAGUUCUUACCAGCCCCUGCAUCGAGUUGCAAAUAUGAACAACCGAUCCGGUAUCAAAUACCCAAGAGCUACUAGGUAUGUCAGCAAGGUAAAUGUUUAUAACAUAUGCAACAAGUGUACCUUUGCCUGAAGAAGCAUUCCUGACCUUCUUGCCAUGCCCUGCAAGCCACUUGCUAUAGUUCCUCUUCCAGUGACCGGUCUCCUUGCAGUGAUAACAAAUGGUCUUUGAGUCCGGUCCAGACUUUGGUGCAGCGGCGGAGGUUACCGUCUCCGUGCCCUUUGCCUUAGCCUUUUCCUUGGACCAACUCUUCUUGAACUUAGCCGAUUUCUGCACCAUCAAGACUUGAUGUGUGCCUUUCUUAAUGUCCUGCUCUACCACUUUGAGCAUCCCAUGCAAUUCAGUGAGCUUCUUAUCCAUGCUAUGCAUAUGAUAGUUCCAGAUGAACGUCCCAUAGCUGGGUGGAAGAGAACUCAGAACAGCAUCUAUAGCAAGCUCAUCCAAGAGCGGGAAACCCAACCGAUCCAAAGCUUGCACAUAUCCGAUCAUCUUGAUCACAUGUGGGCUCAGUGUAUCACCUUCCUUCAGCUUGCAAUCCAUCAAGGAUCGCCAUACGUUGAACCUUUUGGUCCUAGCCUGUGUCUGAAACAUGCUCUUGAGACUCUCAAUCAUAUCGUAAGCCUCAACAUUUUCAAAAUCCUGUUGCAAAUCGGGCUCCAUACAAGCCAGCAUCAAACAGCUGAUCUCCGUUGAUUCAUCAACGAGUUUCUGGUAGGCAUUCUUAGUUGUGGCAUUAGCAUUAUCGGCAGGUUCCUCUGGAAGUGGAUCCUCUAGAACAUGUUCCUUUUUAUCAUGCUUGAGAACAAUUCUCAGAUUUCUAUACCAGGUGGUAAAGUUUGUUCCAUUCAGUUUAUCCUUUUCCAGAAUUGAUUUCAAUGCAAAGUUGGGUUGAGCAGGUGGUGCCAUUGAUCUACAACAGAAAAUAUGCAAUCACUAAGCAAUGUGUUUAUGUAGAGUAAUUCAAGCCUAAACAGAAAUACUCCCACUGAAGUCAGCAUCCCUCCGCAAACUCUUAGUGAUUCAGGAUCCGACUAGCGCAUGCGACUAGUGAGCUUUAGCAUCACUACUAGCCAACAUACCUAUCUGUCGGAUUUCGGGUUCCGGCAGACCCUCUAGGUUCGAACUCUGGGGUGCACGCGGAGAUUUCACCCUCUGCCUACCUGCACCUCACCGCCUCGCUAUGAACUAAGCAAUCAAGGAACAACACAAGAGACACAGAGUUUAUACUGGUUCAGGCCACCAUUGUGGUGUAAUACCCUACUCCAGUGUGUGGUGUGGUGGAUUGCCUCUUGGGCUGACGAUGAACAAUACAAGGGAGAACAGCCUCGCGAGGGUCUGUCCUUGGCUGGUGCGAUGAACUGCUAGGGGGAGUUCAGUCGCUCUCUCUACUGGUUUCCUGGUGAGGAUCCCAUCUCUAUCUGUUGAUAUUGUUGUCCGUUGUCCGUUGUUCGUUCUCCGUUUCUGUUGUUACUAGUCCUAUAUAUAGGCAAAGGCCCUGGGCCUCCUCCCAAAUAUUGAGCGGGAAGGGUGCCAACAAUUGGCCAUUUUGAAGGGGAACAUCUAGUACACUUAUCCUGACUAAAGUUGGUCCUCGCCUGCUAAAGGCUCUGGUGGUGACACCGGCUUGGGCUCCACGAUGACCUUCAUCCGGCCGUUCUGCUGGUCUUGGUCUCGUUGCACCAAAAUGGAUGCCUUUGCUUGAUGCUCUCGCUUGCGCUUGCUCCCUUUGCACCAAAGAGGAAAGAAGGACACUGUGCGGGCUGGCGCCCUUGGUCGUCAUGGCUUGCGUCAUGGGCACCUCGUGAGGUACCCCGCCUUGAUCUCCUCGCCUCCUCGCGAGCCAGCCUGACACGGCCGUGCCUGAGGAAGCCUCCUAUCGUCCGCCCCGCGAGGCUUGGCCUCUUGCGAGGGUCUUGAGCUCAUGCUGAUGAAGAUGGGCCAUGCUGGGCCGCGCCUUGAGCCACGCCGCAGGCCGCAGGCAGGCAAGUCCGGGGACCCCCGUUCCCAGAAUGCUGACAGUAGCCCCCGGGCCCAAGGCGCGCCCGGACUUGGCUGAGCAGAGAGGCGAAGGGGCAAGUGCGAAGCGCCGCGGGCCCUAACAGCCUGCGGCCUCGAGCAUCGCGUUGCGGUUGAUUGGACGUGGGCGGCUCCGCUCCCCCACGACGCCUCGGCGAUUGCACGAACUGACAAGUCCCUGCGUGCAAAAACUGGUCAUGGUUACCUGUGAUCAUGGAAGCCAACGGCUGGCCUCCCCUGGCUAUAAGUACGGAACGACGUGAGCCAUUCCAGUUCAUCUUCCUCUGCUACUUCUCCUCUUCUUCAUCUUCGCCACUGCUCCGCCUUGGCGCAAUGGCUCCGAUACGCCGGUUCUCCGCAGAAGAGAAGGGAAAGGCCCCCCGAGAGGGCCCCGACCCGCUUCCACCAAAGAAGCAGUUGAUCCUCUGCCGCCGAGACGAGGGCGUGCGGCAGGAGGUGUCGAGGCCUUAGUGCGAGCAGCCGCCACCAGGGUUUCCGCUGACCUUGUACGCCCACCUUGAGGGCCCUGCAGGAGCCGAUGCCGAGUGUCAUGGACGACGACGCCAUUGGCGCCGGCGGGUCACGGCGGUGCGCGUUGUCCCUCCUGGAGUUCACACUAGGGGCUCCUCCCGAGAGUUUGUGCUCCACGCCGCCAUGCCUCCUCGGUUUUGGAUUCGCCUUCCUCCUUCCUUCGCCUUCGAGAUUCCGUCGAGGGGGCCUUUCAGGCUCUGGCUGCAGCACGCCAAUUGCCCGACUCCUGCGACAAAUGCGGAUGUCGAGGUCGUCGCCCCAGGUAAGGUCUUCAUGACCCGGGGCUAGGGCAAGAUCGCCCGGGCUUGCAGGACGAGGGGCGCCCUCGUGAUCCACCUGGAGUUCGACGGUGCUUCCAUGAUGCUCUUCAAGGUCUUCGAUGAAGAUGGGCGUCGGCUGGAGUGCUGUCCCAGAGGCAGCGGCAGAAGCCCCGGAGCGGCAAGGACCAGGCCUGCCGUCGCACGCUCUUCCAGCAGCUCCUCAAGCGGCGAGGGCGCCGGAGGAUCCAGCGACUCCGCCGAGCUCUUCGCGACUCUGGAGACGAGCGACGACAGCUACGAGCCCUCGAGCCUGCGCCGCUAUCGGAGCAGGACAGGCCCGUUAGGCUGCCGCCGUCUCUGAUCUGGAUGAGGUUGGCGCCGGUGCCUGGCGGCCCACUGUUGAUGAUGGCGUCUGCCACGACGGUUCCUGCAGUUAGGACUCCUUAGGAUAUGCGUCUCUUGUCCCUACGAGGAGCCAAGAAUACACCCCGUGGGGGCUUGUAAGGUGUCUGUAGCUCCGUUUGUCAAUAUGAUCCUUAUCGUGAAGUAGUGCGAGAUUCUUAUUCCGUCUUAGCUUAGUUUCUUCCUUUCGGACCUCACGAGGGCUUGGCGCUCUACGCCGACAGGUCCCGGUCCCAAGGCGGCUUCACCAUCGCUGGUAUGCCAGGUCGCGAUGCCAUGGUCAAGGCCAGGAGGUGAGCGGCCCGGGGUCCAGUAAGAGCCCCUGAGUCGCGAUGCUCAGGAGGUCCCCUUUGGCGCUCAAGCAGCUAUCGUUCGGUGAGAAAGGAAUGUGAUGUUGCUAACACGGGAUUGCAUUGGAUGCGGUGACGGUGCUGCGAUAGCUAGUGUUUCCGGAGAGUGACUUAUCUCGAGGGUCGGGUAACGCUUCCUGGUGCGGCGCUAGGUCCGUGCCUUGGCCGGCAAGGGGUUGCCUGGCGAGGUCUCCGCGUGCCUCUUUCCUCUCUUCUCUGCUCCCCUUUCUGCUCUACGUCCUCGGAUCCCGGCCCUCGAGUUGGUCUCAGCCGUCGCUGGUUUGCCAGGGCGCGAUGCCGUGGGCAAAGCCAAAGGGUGAGGGCUGGAGAGCUGGUAGGAGCCCUGAGUCGCGAUGCUCAGGCACCCCCCCUUUAAUGCGCAAGCGGUUCGCAUGGACGAGAGUGAAGAGGACGCCUUGAGGGCCUCGCCUGGCGCUUCUCCUUGGGGGGAUCCUGCAGACCCACCACAAAAAGGAGCAAAAGCCCGCUAUGACAAGCGGUGGUCAGCCGUUAGUUGCUUUGGAGAGGCGACGAGGCACUAAAGGCCUGACGAGGUGUAUUGGGGCACCCGUGAGCCAGCGCGGGACUCACGGGGCCCUACCCCAAGGCGGGCUGCACCUGGCACCGGGCCUUAUCCUGUGAUGUGUUCCUGCAAAUUUGGCCAGAUGCCGAUGCUCUACGUCCUCGGGUCCCGACCCUCGAGCUGGUCUCAGCCGUCGCUGGUUUGCCGGGGCGCGAUGCCGUGGGCAAAGCCAAAGGGUGAGGGCUAGAGAGCCGGUAAGAGCCCUGAGUCGCGAUGCUCGGGUACCCCCCCUUUAACGUGCAAGCUUGGUUAGAUGUAGACACUCUACAUCCUCGGGUCCCGGCCCUCGAGCUAGUCUCAAUCGUCGCUGGUUUGCCGGGGCGCGAUGCCGUGGGCAAAGCCAGAGGGUGAGGGCUGGAGAGCCGGUAGGAGCCCUGAGUCGUGAUGCUCAGGUACCCCCCCUUUAACGCGCAAGAUUGGUUAGAUGUCGACGCUCUACGUCCUCGGGUCCCGGCCCUCGAGCUGGUCUCAGCCGUCGCUGGUUUGCCGGGGCGUGAUGCCAUGGGCAAAGCCAGAGGGUGAGGGCUGGAGAGCCGGUAAGAGCCCUGAGUCGCGAUGCUCAGGCACCCCCCCUUUAACACGCAAGCUUCCGACAUCAAGGAAGAAGAGGUGCCACGGAUAGGCACCAAAUAACAAGCAUGAUGGGUCGAAUGCAUGGCCCGAAAAUAAACGCAAGAGGGGUACACGUCGCCGGGUCUGACCCGAGCGACUUGGGGAUGAUGCAGCCCGAGGGGCGCCCCCAACAAAGUAAGAUAAGAACACAAGCAAAAGGGAUACACGCCGCAGGGACGGACCCAUGCGGCCUGGGAUUGAUGCAGCCCUGAGGGCGCUCCCAGCUGGAAACGAAACUUGAAAGAUGUCACCUGAUAGUGUUGACGACGAAGGGGUGUUGAAGUAGCAGACGUAGCGGGCUGCGAGAGCCGAUCUUCAUGAGCCCCCAGGCCCAGGAGCCUCGGGAGGCUCCAGAGGCGCUGGUGGCUCUUCGCGAACCGUCUCCAUCUCCACCAGGACUGCAGAACGCCUGGCCUCCUGAGCCUCCAGGAUGCUCCUCAUGAGGUGCUGGUGCACCGCGGCCGUGUUCGGCAAGCCGUAGGGCAUGCAAACGUAGCCGUGGGGUGGGCCUCUGCAGCGCCCCACACGUGAGGGCCAGAAGUGCUCCUGAGAGGCGACUCGGUUGAGCCCUGGGAUGUCGAUGCAGACUCACAGCCCGCCAUCCUCACCUGGAUGGGGAGCUGUGGCGGGUAGGCGGCGGCUGCCACUCAUGACUCUUGACUCCUUCAACUCCUGUGUGAUCUGACUGACGAACUCCUGCGGGGUUGGCCCUCCUUGCUUUGCUCCUUCCUGAGGGAAACGUGUUCUGAAACACGCCUCCAAGCGGUGCCCAAGCGCCUCCCUCGUGACCUUAGCAAGGUCGAUGGCCCUCCAGGUGGGAGCCCCCGAGCCCUGCUUGAGGAGAGCGCUGGGCACGCCUCCCUAUGCGACAGAAGGAGGCACCCCCUGAGCAGGCGCAGACCCUGAGGGGCCUGCCUCCUGAGGGGUCGGGCCUGGCGAUGUCUUCUUCUUCUUGGGGGCGGUCUCAGGGAGCCUCCCACUCCCGCGAUCUGGGUCUUCAAGUGAUGCGGCCUGAAAAGCUCGUUCCAGGGAACACACCGCGUCUCUUUCUUCACAAGGCACCGUGAUGACUCCACCGCUUCCUGGCAUUUUGAGGACGUUGUAGCCGUGAUGAGUCACGGCCAUGAACUUGGCGAGAGCUGGGUAGCCAAGGAUGGCAUUGUACGGCAGGCGAAUGUGGGCAACGUCAAAGUCGAUGAGCUCGGUGCGGUAGUUGUUGCGUGCCCCGAAGGUGACAGGGAGGAGAACCUGCCCAAUUGGAACUGUGGAGCCGUCGGUGACUCCAGAGAAAGGCUUGGUUGGCUAAAGCUGAUCGUAAGGCACUUGGAGAUUGUUGAACGUCUCUACGGACAGGACGUUGAGCCCUGCCCCACCAUCGAUGAGGGUCCUGGUGGCUUGCACGUUGCUGAUGACUGGGGAGCAAAGCAUCGGGAGGACUCCGGCUGUGGCCGCGCACUUGAGCUGAUCCGCUGAGCAGAACGUGAUGGUGCAUGCUGACCACCUGAGGGGCGCGUGGCUUCAAGCUUAGGAAGGACUGCAUUCACUUCAUGGGCGAACUGCUUGAAGAUGCGUUGAGAGGCUGGGGCUUGAGCUCUGCCCAGGAUGCAGGCAAUCGCGCGCGGCUCCUGGAAGCCCCCAGCCCCCUCGUCCUGAUGAUGGUCCUCAUUUCUCCUUGGCUGUGGCGGCAGUGGAGGGAGGCCUGCGUUUCCUGGGCGAUCCUCGCGAGGCCGAUCCCUCCAGUCUCCCUCGCAAGGCUGAUCCUGCCAGCGAUCCUCGCGAGGUUGGUCGCGCCACCCUUGGCGAGGGCCGCGGUCUUCCCAGCGUCCUGUGUUCCUUCCUCCUCCUCGGCCAUAGCCGCGAUCAUUGCGGUCGGGGCGUCGGCCGACCCUUCCUUCUCGCACGGCUCGGAGCUCUUGGCAUUCGUUGGUGUUGUGGGUGUGGAGGUCGUGGUACACACAUUACCGGCUGCCCUUGAAAGACUCGUGUUGAUCUCUGCCCCGCUUGGUGUCUGGUUCCGCCGCGAGCACGGCAGCCCCCUUGCACUUCACGUCCUUGGCCUUGGAUUUCUUCUCUUCUGGGUCGGCGGCUGGCAGCUCGAGGAGGGAAAGGCACCCUUCCUCAGCCCUCGCGCACUUGGUUGCCAAGUUGAACAGCUCCAAGGAAGUGCACAGAUCUUCAUGCAUCGCCAGCUCCUCCUUCAUCUUGACGUCGCGCACGCCGUCGGAGAAGGCUGAGAUGAUGGCCUCCUCGGUCACCUUGGGAAUCUUGAGACAUGCGUUGUUGAAGCGCUGGAUGUACUUCUGCAGGGUCUCCCAUGGUUGCUGCUUGAUGCGGCGCAUGUCGCUCACGGUAGGUGGCCGGUCGCGAGUACCUUGGAUGUUGGUGAUGAAAUGGGUGCGCAUCUCGUCCCAGGAGGAGAUCGUGCCUGGCGCCAGGUUCAGGAGCCACGUGCGGGCCCCGUCCUUGAGUGCCAUGGGAAACCAGUUCGCCAUGACCUUCUCGUCCCCGUUGGCGGCUUCGAUGCCCAGCUCGUAGAGCUGGAGGAACUCCGCAGGGUCGAUCAUGCCGUCGUAGCGAGGAGGCAGGUCUGGCUUGAACUUGCAGGGCCACAAGACGCUGUGCAGCCCGACGGUGUAGGCGCGACAUCCUACCGUGGCCACGGGAGGCCUCUGGUGACGGGGAGCAUGGUCUUGCGGGUCCCCAUGCGCUGGAGCUGGGAGCAGCGCGCGCUGGGACAGGAGCGUGGUCGUGACGGACCGGUGCAGGGAGCACUCGGGCAGCUUCUUAGGGGCGAGGAACCUCUUGGCAGCUCCGCUCUUGCUGCACUGGCGCUGGACGGGGUGGGUUCCAUCCAGGGGCCACACGCCUUGGGGCCAGGGCGCCUUCUUGAGGAGGAGGCGGCUGAGGCGCCCCCAGAGCUUCAUUGCCCGCGCAGGGCGGGGUGCGGUGCAGCGAGAAGGACGGCGUGGGGGAGCCCCUGCGGCGCGGACGAGCUUAGUGACGCGGUCGAGCCACUCUUCAUAGACGUCGACUGGGCGGUAGCGCAGGAGCUCGUUUGCCGUGAUGAGCGCAGCUCGAGCCUCCAUGGCCGCGCGUGGCGCGCGGGACGAAGAACCAGCCGGGGCGAGCGAGGGAGUAGCAGUGAGGCCGUCUCGCCUCAUGGAUGGAUGCUGGGACGAUGCUUGCUGCUCGUUCCCCGCUGGGCCGGUGGCGGCGUUGACGGAAGGCGACGGGGAACGACGGGGGUGGCCGCCGACGGGGGCCGUCUGGGCGACGCAGGAAGCGAGAGCGGCUCGGCGCUCGGCGCGGGACUGACGAGCGUCUGACAUGGACGUGAUGGUCGGUGAAGAACAGGGCGGAAGAAGGCGAAUUCUGGCGCACCCCUAGCUGGCGCACCAAAUGUCGGAUUUCGGGUUCCGGCAGACCCUCUAGGUUCAAACUCUGGGGUGCAUGCGGAGAUUUCACCCUCUGCCUACCUGCACCUCACUGCCUCGCUAUGAACUAAGCAAUCAAGGAACAACACAAGAGACACAUAGUUUAUACUGGUUCAGGCCACCAUUGUGGUGUAAUACCCUACUCUAGUGUGUGGUGUGGUGGAUUGCCUCUUGGGAUGACGAUGAACAAUACAAGGGAGAACAGCCUCGCGAGGGUCUGUCCUUGGCUGGUGCGAUGAACUGCUAGGGGGAGUUCAGUCGCUCUCUCUACUGGUUUCCUAGUGAGGAUCCCAUCUCUAUCUGUUGAUGUUGUUGUCCGUUGUCUGUUGUUCGUUCUCCGUUUCUGUUGUUACUAGUCCUAUAUAUAGGCAAAGGCCCUGGGCCUCCUCCCAAAUAUUGAGCGGGAAGGGCGCCAACAAUUGGCCAUUUUGAAGGGGAACAUCUAGUACACUUAUCCUGACUAAAGUUGGUCCUCGCCUGCUAAAGGCUCUGGUGGUGACACCGGCUUGGGCUCCACGAUGACCUCCAUCCGGCCGUUCUGUUGGUCUUGGUCUUGUUGCACCGAAAUGGAUGCCUUUGCUUGAUGCUCUCACCUGCGCUUGCUCCCUUUGCACCAAAGAGGAAAGAAGGACACUGCGCGGGCUGGCGCCUGCCUGGCGCCCUUGGUCGUCAUGGCUUGCAUCAUGGACACCUCGUGAGGUACCCCGCCUUGAUCUCUCCGCCUCCUCGCGAGCCCGCCUGACGCGGCCGUGCCUGAGGAAGCCUCCUGUCAUCCGCCCCGCGAGGCUUGGCCCCUCGCGAGGGUCUUGAGCUCGUGUUGAUGAAGACGGGCCAUGCUGGGCUGCCCCUUGAGCCACGCCGCAGGCCGCAGGCAGGCAAGUCUGGGGACCCCCGUUCCUAGAACGCCGACAGUAUCCGGUAAGCAACUCCUUGCUAAUCAUAUCUCUGUAUGACUCCUAUCGGUCGGGAAGGUAUCUCAUACCCCGGCUCCCAACCUUCUUUGCCACAAGGCCCAAAACCGUUUUGAUAGCCUUGUGAAGUUAACCUGAUGUAGUGCAUGUCCAUGUCCGACAUGAACCCUUCAGUUGAAGGACACCUAGCAGCACCCCAAUUUUAUGAGCCUACUACUAGACGUACUUCACGUGCGAAGGUGCAACAUCGGGGAUGGCAUUUUGCUUGAUAUUCAUGAGGGAUCAUUCUACCAUUCUAACAUGCAUAGAAACAAAGAAGCAUAACAAUCACAAAUAAACACAUAUUGUGAAAUAGUAUGGCUCCUUCAUGGACGUUCUUCCAGGUCGGCUCCGACUCCGAUGACCAUCUAGAAACUCCAUCUUGUUUGUCCCGCCGGGACGCCAAGCCACCAACCUGAUCUCUAUUAUCCAACUACUACAACUAGUAAUGAAUUUUACAUAGAGUCACAAGUCGACACGCAGGUCGUUAUACAAUAUAAUGACAACACUUUGGCUCCUGCCGGCUGACAAACAUGACACGCAGGCCACGUAUAAAUUACACACAUGCAUCACAUACACAUGGGCCAUACUAUUCACAUCAAACCUACAAAACAAAGUUAUGCAUAGAAUUGCAUUCUACUGGUUUGUGUGUCAGGUACGAAAUACACGGCGCUACGCACACGGCGGUACAAGUGCACCGCCUCUAAUGGUAUCCGCGCGUGCAGGAGGAACACCAUGCGGUGGACUGCUAGGUCCAAUCACAUAGUCGGCGGCGAGUGGAGGUGGCUAUUCGCAACACAUGCAAACCCUAGUCGCAGUGCCGAAGUGAUCAAUCACAUGAGUGUGCUGCACCUCCACUUUAUAUAGGCGUCCGUCGCGGGCUCAACACUUGGGCCUCGCACGGACCCUAAAGCCCACAAGUCUACUCGGCCAUAAUCCGAAUACAGCUCGGACCACAUUCGACCAAUGUCCUCGGAUCCGACCUCGUAGGUUCCUUCCCUUAAGCGCGCAACCCUUUAGGUUCAAGUCGGCUUGGUCGCAGUUCGGGUCACCUCCGAACUGCACGGUUGGUAGCGGCCUCUAGCAAGGCAUGCCGAACACCAAGCAGACUGUGAAGCUGGUUAGGCGAACCUGUACAUCAUACUUUUGUUCCCUUUGCCACACGAUAUAUGUUGUCGGGCUCAAGGAGGGACUGUCAUCCUUGUGCUAGCCCGACCUCUUUCUCGUUCCAGUGAUACCGACCACUAUUUGGAUUAUCUCAUAAUCCUUAUCGCAUGGCCAUGCUUAUCCUGGUCGGAUCACACGAGGGGCCCAGGGUAUAUCUCUCCUGAUCGGAGGGGCAAAUCCCAUCUUGCUCGACCAUGUCUCACAGCAUGGGACUGGACAAACCCGAAACCUACCUUUGUAACUACCUAGUCACGGAGUAGCGUUUGGUCGGCCCAAAGCAAGUCUGUCACCAUCCCGAGCACAUGCGUCAGCUCAGGUCUUAGGACAUAGAACGUAUGUUGUACUAGAUACUCACAGAUGACAUAUCGCUGCGUCUCAUAGUUGGGUCUGUCCGACUCGGACCUUAUCUCAACUCGGAUCCGACUACGUCAAAUCCGACCAGACCUUUCCAAGUCCAUAUUAUCUGGUUAGAAUCCAAUGCUCCAUGGCUAGUGAGACAAAGCCAUCGACCGUGUCAUAUGCUAGUCUAGUCGGCUGCGCGUCCACACAACCCUUUCGACUAGGGACCUUUUAGGAUAGUCAUCAUACAAUGCAUAGUCUCACAAACAAGUCACGUACUUGCUGAUACACAUCAUUGAUAAUGUCCAAGGACUAUCUUUAUUCAUAAACACAUAGGAAAUAUCAUCAUACAUGAUUGCCUCUAGGGCAUAUCUCCAACACUCUUUUGUGCCCCUUAUUUGUGCACGGGCAAUCAGAGCCGCGCCCACGGCCGCACUUAAGUAGGGCAGAGACAGGAAAUCAGAGCCACAACACAGAAUCAAAGCAACGCCAUGAUAGAAGCACAAAGAGCCAGAAGGCGAAGUGGUUUCCCCCGCGGUAAGGUUCUUGCCAGGGCAGCCCCCACGGCCCCGGCAAGGCCCUUGCCGGGGCAGCCUACCUGACGCCAGCAGGGCAUGCCACCCUUGAGACCUGAUCCAUCCAGAGCCACCAUGCUGGCAUGCGGAUCUUUGUGAAGACAAGGAUAAUACUCCAAAUCAGAAGAGUAGAAGACGACGAACCUCGACGAGAUCUUCGCCGAGAAAACCCACAAGACCCCCGGCAAGAUCCUUGCUGGGGACGGCCGCAACACCAUGACGAGACCCUUGCCGGGGGCACCGGCAAGGCCCUUCCCGAGGACGUCCAUGAGACCACAGCCAGGCCCGCACCUGCCAAGCUUCUGCUACCACUCCCAUGUAGCUGCAAGCCCACUAGCUGGGCAGGCACCUGCGUGUCAGCACAAGGAUUCUUGGCCAAAUCAGUGCAUGCCUACGUGGUGGCAUGCAAAUCUUCGUGAAGGCCCUACCACCACGCCACCUCAGCAGCCUGCCAGCCUACAUGGCACCACCGCCUCGCUGGCCCAGGCGCGUGUCAAAGCAGGGUGAGGUGGCGGUAAAGUGGAGGGGACACAUCAGGGGCGCAUUAAAUGCACUUUGUCCCGUAAUGGCGAGGGAUAGGCUUAAUCACAGUGCCCCGAUGCCACCUCCUGUGUGCCACUGUGGCGAUCCCGUUGCCUAUAAAAGGAGGCCUGUGGCAUCCAGGAGAGGGAUUCAGACUUUUGAACAAGUUACGCCCAUUGUAGCUAGUUCAAGAACCUCAAGAACACAAAUACACACAUCCAAGCAGGACUAGGGUGUUACGCAUCUCUACGGCUCGAACCUGGGUAAACGAUCCGCGUACUUUACUGACUGCUGAUCCUGCUCUCCUCACCACCCAGCGCCCCGCAACCGAAGUCGGAAUCCUUCUGAUCCCAUAGGUGUCGUUUCCCACCGACAUCUUUGGCGCGCCUGGUCGGGGGCGCAGUAGUGAGCAUUCGGUUUAGCGGCUAGUAGCACAACUCUUCAUCGCCAUGGCUCCCGAGAACAAGACGACCAUAGCGAUCGGUUCAUCCGGGACCGGACUGCCUGUACCGGCAUUGACCAAUAGCGGGCCAGUCAUGGAGAGAACCCGUGGCGCAGCCCGCGAACAUCCCCAUCACCCUGGCAGUCCGGGCCUGGUGAGCGGUGUCGUUCGUGCGCUAGUCGAUGAGCCACACGUCGUGAACUCCAUAGAUGGAGUUGGGCCCCCCGCGGGCGGCGCGGGGCCCUCCAGGGGCGUCGUCGUGCCGCCAGACGGCGACGCGGCGACCUCCAAGACACCAACACCGGCGCCCACGGUGCGCUCUUCUCGGGUCGUGCUCGAUGAGCAGCCGCCCCGCUGGUGAUCCUGGGCGCCGCCCUGGGAAGAGUCCCGUGCGCUCUUCACGUGACGAGGAGGGCCAGCAUGCGCGCUGAGGUGUUGGCAGAGGUGGCGGACGGCCGCAGGGCCGUGAUGGAGCUCCUUCUAACGUAGUUAGAAGUCGAAGCGCAUCACGGUCCAUGCAGCUUUCGCCGCCGCCCACACCAGCAGAAGCCCUAGCGCGCGUAGCUGCUCCUCGACUUUCCUCCCGCUGCGGAGAAGCUCGACAAAUGGAGGGCCACUGUUCGGAGCCUCGUCGGCAUCACCAACAAAGAUGAGUUGUGACCGGCGGGGCCCGUAGGCCGUCGCUCCAUCGAGCCACCGCAUGCCAGCGGUGGACGGGCCGGAGGUGAUGCGGCCACGGUGCACUCCCCUCCUCCACACCAGCCACCGCAGGUGUCGGUCCAUCGCGAAGACGCUCAAGAUGAUAUUUCCAUAGCGUCGUCCAACCCACGAACCCACCGCGACCAGCGUCAAGUUCUUCAGGAGCGAGCUCAUGAAGACGCCCGAACCACCAUUGAGCGCCAACGUGAUGCACGCCACUAGUCGGACAGGCAGGCAGGGCCCACUAUGGACCACCCAACACCGGGAGGCUACGGCGGCCUACCUUAGGAGGUGGGUUGUUCGGCCUUCACCUGUGAGCUGCGGCAGUUCCAGUGGCCCUCCCACCGCACGUUCAAGCCCGACGUUGGCGAGAAGUACAACGACAAGACUCACCCGUCGGAGUUCCUCAGCAUCUACACCAUCGCGAUGCAAGUUGCCGGGGCUCGCGAUGAUAAGGUGCUUGCCAAUUACUUCCCGUUGGCACUCAAGUCCAAUGUUAUGUCAUGGUUGAUGCACUUGCCGAUGGACUCCAUUUCUUCUUGGUCGGAUCUGUGUCAUGAGUUUGUUGGCGCCUUUACUGGAGGCCACCAAGCUCAUGGCCAUGCGAGCGAUUUGCAUAUCAUCCCCCAGAAGGAAGGAGAAAACUUGUGUAAGUACAUCCAAAGGUUCAGCCGAGUGCAGUACAACAUCCCAGACAUUCAUCCUGCCGCCAUGAUCAGUGCAUUCCAUCAGAAUGUGCAUAACCGCAAGAUGCAUCAGGAGCUGGCAAUGAACAAGGUCAGGGUUGUGGCCGAACUUUAUGUUCUGGCUGAUCGGUACGCUCGAGCUGAAGAGGGGAGGAAGUACCCCGGUGAGGACGCCGGCGCGGAAACCGACUCCAUGGAUGACACCGCCACCCCGGCAAAGAAGGGCCGGCGCCGUAACAAGAAGCGCAGGGGCAAGACCGUGCUUGCCGUUGAGGGGUACGACGACACCGGCACCACCAAGAAGGCCAAUGCAAGCGACCUCGGCAAGGAGGUUGCCGGGUGCACCGCUUGCCGGGCCUUGGCGGCUGCCGACAAGCUAGGGGGCUCCGACAAGCAGUAUUGCAAGAUCCACAGCACCAAGGGACACGACCUCCAGAACUGCCGGCAAGUUGAGCUGCUCGCUGAGAAGCAAAAAGCUGAGUAUGAGCAGCGGGACAAGGAGAAGGGCCAAGAGGGUGCCGAAGGAUCCGGCAAGAAGCACGGCAGCCAAGGAGGCCGCUGCGGCAAAGAUAAUUAGCAGGAGAGGCCCGCCCGAGGCCGCGACAAGAAGCAGGAAGACGAUGAUCAUGACGAUGACGAUGAGUCCGGCGACCACGAGUUCUAGAAAGCUACAGAGGCCAUGUGCAUCGACGGUGGCGCCUCGCUGCAUGUAUCCCACCGCCAGCUCAAGCAGUGGGCGUGUGAGAUCAUGGCGGUGGAGCCGUCACUCGAUUCACGGAAGCCAUUGAAGUGGUCCAGCACGCCUAUCAUCUUCGACACCGAGGACCACCCUGACCGCGCCACUGCGUUCGGGUGCUUGCCGUUGUUGGUCUCACCAACAAUCUGCAACCUCAAGGUGAUGAAGAUGCUAGUUGACGGCGGGGCCGGUCUGAACUUGAUCUCACUUGUUGUGAUCAAGAGGCUGAAGAUCGCUGAUGGGGACCUCGAGGAGACGGGCACGUUCCAAGGGGUCAUUCCAGGGAGGAGCCAGCCGAAGGGAAAGGUCAUGCUGCCCGUGACAUUUGGAGUUGAGUUGAACUACAUGAUUGGAGAGGAUUGUCUUUGAUGUAGCCAAGAUCCCCUUGCCUUACAACGGGGUCCUCGGCCGCCCGGCACUAGCCAAAUUCAUGGCGGCUUCUCACUACGCCUACAACACGCUGAAGAUGCCCGGGCUGAUGAACAUCAUCACCGUCCCCUCCGACAAGAAAGACACAUUGAUUUGCGCCGACCAACUCUACCGGGAAGCGGUUGCAGCAGCUGCCGCAGCUGCCGCCAAGGCACCUGCUCCCGCCGACGGAGUCCCGGGAGGAAAGAAGACCGACGAGACUCCUCGCACCCACUCCAGCAAGCACACCUCCUCGGGGUGUAGCGCUCCCGUCAGAACGUGCUAGAGAGCUCCACCGGCAAGAGCAAGAAGUCCAGAGCUGCACCACCAGAGACCAAGAAGGUGUCCGUCAAGGAGGACAGCACGGGAGGGGCUUUUACCAUAAGCUCCACCCUCGAUGGCAAAUAGGAAAGCGAGCUCGUCACUUUCUUGCGGGCGAAUGUUGAUGUGUUUGCAUGGCAAGCAUCCGACAUCCUCGGCGUUCCCAGGGAAGUGAUUGAGCACCAUCUUGCUGUCUGUCCUCAUGCAUGGCUUGUCAAGUAGAAGGCCAGGAAGCAAGCUCUGGAGAGGCAGGAGUUCAUCACGGAGGACAUCAGAAAACUAGAGGCAGCAGGCUUGGUAAGGGGGGCGCUCCACCCGACAUGGUUGGCCAACCCGGUAGUGGUGCGCAAGGCAAACGGGAAGUGGAGACUGUGUAUUGAUUACACAGACAUCAAUAAAGCUUGUCCAAAGGAUCCCUUCCCGUUACCAUGCAUCGACCAGAUUGUUGACUCCACGGCCGGGUGUGACCUGCUAUCAUUCCUCGACGCCUACUCAGGGUAGCAUCAGAUCUUCAUGACAAGAGAAGACGAGGAGAAGACGACAUUCAUCACCCCAUGUGGUACGUAUUGCUUUUUACGAAUGCCUUUCGGGUUGAAGAGUGCUGGCUCGACCUUUGCAAGAGCAGUCCAAAUUGGUUUUGAGCCCCAGCUACAUAGAAUUAUGGAAGCUUAUAUGGAUGACAUAGUGGUCAAAACCAAGGACAAAGCAACACUUGUGCAAGAUCUGGAGGAAACAUUUGCAAACCUGCACAAGAUCAACCUCAAGUUGAACCCUGAGAAGUGUGUCUUCGAUGUCCCGUCCGGCAAGCUUCUCGGGUUCUUUGUGUCACAGCACGGGAUUGAGGCAAACCCAGACAAGAUCAAAGCCAUCGAGCAAAUUGAGGCACCUAGGCGGAUCAAAGACGUGCGUCGGCUCACUGGUUGCGUUGCCGCCAUGAGCAGAUUCAUCUCCAAGUCCACAGAGCGUGCCCUUCCCUUUUUCAAGAUCUUGAAGAAGGCGGGCCUGAUGUAGUGGACCCCAGAGGCUGAGGCAACGCUGCAGAGUUUGAAGAAAUACCUCUCCUCUCCCCCAGUGCUGGUAGCACCUAAACCACAAGAACCGUUGCUGCUGUACCUAGCGGCAACGAAUCAGGUGGUUAGCGCCGCACUGGUGGCACAGAGAGAGGUCGACGAAGAGGCAAUAGCAACGACAGAAUCAACGGAUGGCGAGCCAGAACCCUCCCCGGCAGGGCUCGGUCCCGGCAAGACUGAGUCCCCGGCAAAGGCUGACACCAGUGCAACCGGGCCCGCGCGACUAGGUGAAGUGGUGCAAAAGAAGAAAAUGGUGCAACACCCACUUUACUUCGUCAGCUCCCUCUUGCAGGGGGCUAGGUCGAGGUACUCGGGGGUGAAAAAAUUGCUCUUCGGCCUCCUUAUGGCCUCGAGGAAGCUGCGUCAUUACUUACAACCGCAUGAGAUCACCGUUGUCACCCGCCUCCCAUUGCAACGGAUACUUCAUAACCCAGAUGCAGCGGGGAGGAUUGUGGAAUGGGCCCUGGAGCUGUCAAGUUUUGGUUUAAAGUUCGAGAGCACCUCGACGAUUCAGAGCAGAGUCUUGGCGGAGUUCGUUGUAGAAUGGACCUUGACGCCCGACGAAGAGGUACACGAGACCACUCUCCCGGGCAAGGAAACGAGCUGCAACUGGAUCAUGUACUUUGAUGGGGCUUUUUCACUGCAAAGCACCAGUGCUGGCGUGCUCCUUGUCGCACCCACCGGGGAGCACCUCAAGUAUGUCAUCCAAAUGCACUUUCCCGGGAGAUGUCAACUAACAACACCGCCGAGUACGAGGGCUUGCUUGCCGGUCUCAGGAUCGCAGCAGAUCUCGGAGUUAAAAAGCUCAUCGUUAGGGGUGAUUCACAGCUCGUCGUCAUGCAAAUCAACAAGGAUUAUUAGAGCUCGCUGAUGGAAGCUUACGUCGAUGAAGUGAGGAAACUGGAGGAGCGUUUUUACGGGAUACAUGCGGAGCAUGUCCCCCGAGUGGAGAAUGACGUCGCCGACUAUCUGUCAAAGCGUGCUGCCCUCAAGCUACCUGUGGAACCAGGUACUUUUGUGCUUCGAUUAACUCAACCAUCCGUCGAACCAUCGACCGGGUAGAACAAGCAGAGGAAGCUAGGCCCCGGCAAGUACUUCCCUGUCGAGCUCCGUGGAGCCGCCGGCGAAGGAGUUUCCAUGGACGCCGAGCCUGCCAUGGGACAACCGACUCCAGCGGGGUGCCAGGCCCUUGCCGCGGAGGCAACCAUUCCCAUGACAGAGGAAAUGCCUUUGGUCCUCGCUGUCGAGCCACAGGCUCCGGCAUGGGCGCAGCACACCAUCCGAUUCCUCCAAAUAAGAGAGCUUCGUGAGGAGCAGGAAGAGGCAGAGAGGUUAGCCCGCCCGUCUGGUUUGUACCAAUUCGUUGACAAUGUCUUAUACAGAAAAAGACUGAAUGGGGUGAAAUUGAAGUGCAUCUCCCGGGAGGAAGGACUGGAGCUGUUGGCAGAGAUACAUGGAGGCAUAUGUGGCUCCCACAUAGGGUCGAGGGCCCUUGCUGGCAAGGUUUUUCGGCAAGGUUUCUUCUGGCCCACAGCCCUCCAGGAUGCGACGACACUAGUAACCAAGUGUGAAGCGUGCCAGUUCCAUUCGAAGAAACUUCAUCAGCCAGCUCAAGCCUUGUAGACAAUCCCUCUCUCCUGGCCAUUCUCGGUCUGGGGGCUGGACAUACUAGGCCCUUUAACCCGCGUCGUCGGGGGAUUUGAGUACUUGUACGUUGCAAUCGACAAGUUCACAAAGUGGCCUGAGGUGGAAGCAGUGAGAAAGGUGACAACGCAAUCAUCCAUCAAGUUCUUGAAGGGGCUAGUUUGCCGCUUUGGUAUACCCAACAGGAUCAUCACUGACAACGGCACACAGUUCACAAGCCACGCUGAUGUCUACUACACAACCUUCUUCUUGUAGACGUUGUUGGGCCUCCAAGUGCAGAGGUUUGUAGGACAGUAGCAAAUUUCCCUCAAGUGGAUGACCUAAGGCUUAUCAAUCCGUAGGAGGCAUAGGAUGAAGAUGGUCUCUCUCAAGCAACCCUGCAACCAAAUAACAAAGAGUCUCUUGUGUCCCCAACACACCCAAUACAAUGGCAAAUUGUAUAGGUGCACUAGUUCGGCGAAGAGAUGGUGAUACAAGUGCAAUAUGGAUGGUAGAUAUAGGUUUUUGUAAUCUGAAAAUAUAAAAACAGCAAGGUAACUAAUGAUAAAAGUGAGCGUAAACGGUAUUGCAAUGGUAGGAAACAAGGCCUAGGGUUCAUACUUUCACUAGUGCAAGUUCUCUCAACAAUAAUAACAUACUUGGAUCAUAUAACUAUCCCUCAACAUGCAACAAAGAGUCACUCCAAAGCCACUAAUAGCGGAGAACAAACGAAGAGAUUAUGGUAGGGUACGAAACCACCUCAAAGUUAUCCUUUCUGUUCUAUCUAUUCAAGAGUCCGUAGUAAAAUAACAUGAAGCUAUUCUUUUCGUUCAAUCUAUCAUAGAGUUCAUACUAGAAUAACACCUUAAGACACAAAUCAACAAAAACCCUAAUGUCACCUAGAUACUCCAUUGUCACCUCAAGUAUCCGUGGGCAUGAUUAUACGAUAUGCAUCACACAAUCUCAGAUUCAUCUAUUCAACCAACACAAAGUACUUCAAAGAGUGCCCCAAAGUUUCUACCGGAGAGUCAAGACGAAAACAUGUGCCAACCCCUAUGCAUAGGUUCAUGGGCGGAACCCGCAAGUUGAUCACCAAAACAUACAUCAAGUGGAUCACGUGAUAUCCCAUUAUCACCAUAGAUAAGCAUGGCAAGACAUACAUCAAGUGUUCUCAAAUCCUUAAAGACUCAAUCCGAUAAGACAACUUCAAAGGGAAAAAUCAAUUCAUCACAAGAGAGUAGAGGGGGAGAAACACCAUAAGAUCCAACUAUAAUAGCAAAGCUCGCGAUACAUCAACAUCGUGCCAUAGAGAGAACACGUCAGAGAGAAAGAGAGAGAGAUCAAACACAUAGCUACUGGUACAUACCCUCAGCCCCGAGGGUGAACUACUCCCUCCUCGUCAUGGAGAGCGCUGGGAUGAUGAAGAUGGCCACCGAUGAGGGAUCCCCCCUCUGGCAGGGUGCCGGAACGGGCUCCCGAGAGGUUUUUGGUGGCUACAGAGGCUUGCGGCGGCGAAACUCCUGAUCUAUCUUGUUAUUCAUUGUUUUUAAGGUAUAUGGGAUUAUAUAGGAGAAAGAAGUCGGUCGGGGGAGCCACGAGGGGCCCACGAGACAGGGGGAGUGCCCAGGGGGGUGGGCGCGCCCUCUUAUCUCCUGGCCUCCUCGAAGCUUCCCUGGCUUGUACUCCAAGUCUCCCGGAUCAUGUUCAUUCCAAAAAACACGCUCCCAAAGGUUUCAUUCUGUUUGUACUCCGUUUGAUAUUCUUUUUUCUUCGAAAUACUGAAACAUGCAAUAAAACAACAAUAUGGGCUGGGCCUCCGGUUAAUAGGUUAGUCCCAAAAGUAAUAUAAAAAUGUAUAAUAAAGCCCAUAAACAUUCAAAGCAGAUAAUAAUAUAGCAUGAAUGCUUCAUAAAUUAUAGAUACGUCGGAGACGUAUCAACAUCCCCAAGCUUAAUUCCUACUCGUCCUCGAGUAGGUAAAUGAUAAAAGAAAGAAUUUAUGAAGUGUGAAUGCUAGCAGGUGCACAAGUUUGUUCAAUGAUAAUUUCAAUCACCUUUUCUAGCAUGAUUAUAUGUCAUAACAGUGGUUCAUCUCAUAAAACUUCUCACGAACAAGCAACAAGCAAUUCACAUGUUAAAGCAUAGACCAUAAACUUUCUUGAAAACUAGCAAACUUCAUUCUCAGUCAUCAAACAAUUACGAUUCAUCUUAUUUUCAGGAAGGGUCUAUGUCAGAGCUUUGAUUUAGCAAACUCCACAUACUCAACUAUCAUAUAGUCUUCUACAAUUGCUAACACUCACGCAAUACUAAUGGUUAUGGAGUUUUAAUCGGACACUGAGAAAGAUAGGGGCUUAUAGUGUUGCCUCCCAACGUAUUCACCUUUGGGUGAUGUCAACAAUAAUAGUUCAUGCUAACUUACAUCCAAUUGGAUAUAUAUAUCAGGAUCUUCCCAACACGAGGUGCUUGCCAAAGGAUAAAAUGAAAAAGGGAAAGGUGAAGAUCACCUUGACUCUUGCAUAAAGUAAAAGACAUAAAGUAAAAUAUAUGCCCUUCACAGAGGGAAGCAGAGGUUGUCAUGCGCUUAUGGUUGGAUGCACAAAAUCUUAAUGCAAAAGAACGUCACUUUAUAUUGCCACUUGUAUAUGGACCUUUAUUAUGCAGUCCGUCGCUUUUAUUGCUUCCAUAACAAGAUUGUAUAUAGCUUAUUUUCUUCACACUAAUAGAUCAUACAUAUUUAGAGAGCAAUUUUUAUUGCUUGCACCGAUGAAAACUUACUUGAAGGAUCUUACUCAAUCCAUAGGUAGGUAUGGUGGACUCCCAUGGCAAAACUGGGUUUAAGGAUGUCACAGCCCUAGAAUAAUGUUUGUAAUUAGUGGCAUUGCAUCCAUGCAUCAUGUCUAAAUUCUGAAAGUUGAACUGAGGAAAUUUGAAAGCCUCAAAAAUUCAAUUAAAAGAAGGGCAAAUAACCCUGGAAAAUGCAUCCAAUGUUUCCAGAAUGCACUUCAAUGAUGUUUGAUAUUUUUUUACAAGGGUUCUGACCCAAACCAAAAAUAUGGAACAUUUUUUAGGAAUUAUUUUGGCCAUUUGGAUUUAAAUCAAUAAGUAUUUGAGUUGGAUUUAAUUCUCCAAUAAAAGAAUUAUAAGUCCAACAAUUCUGAAAAAUUGUGAGUGACUUUGAAUACUUUGUAUCAAGCCACAUAAAUCUUUUCAGAAGCUACUAAAAUGAUUUGAUUUUUAAAUUGAAUAAAAACAAACUUCAGGAAAUAGAAAACAAAAAGAAAUAUGAAAAAUCAGAAAGGAGAAGGGAGAAGCUACCUGGGCCUUACCUGGCAGCCCAGCAAUCGGCCCAGCCGACUGGCUCUGCCAGUCAUCCCCUUCCUCCCGCCAGUGUGCACUGUGCGUGGCGCACGCAGAGGAGGCGAGGGCCACCUCCUGCUUCGCGCUGGAGGCUUGUCCUCCUUCCUGACCCCACUUCUGGAGAUGCCUAGAGCCCCCUGGACCCCCUCGCUCUCUUCCUCUCCCUCGUUCCCCUCCUCUGUCUCGUUCUCUCACACACACCCGAACACGUCGUCGCCACGGCUCGCUGUUGCUGCGUCCACCGGCCACCCCUUGCGCUAAAAGCCAUCCCAGAAGCUCCGCCUCACCGCGCUUCUUUGCCUCAUCGACUGAAGGGACCCCGGGAGGUCGACAGCAUCGCCAGGAUUGCCAUCUUUGCCGCCUACUGCCGCACCUCGCCGUCGUCGAUUCACGGGCUCCAGUGCAUCCCCGAGCCAACUGACCUACCCAACCGACCCGCGGUGAGCCCCUGAGCGUCUCCCCUCUCCCCUUUUGCUCGCUUCCAUGCCGUAGCGCCGUUCCUCGCCGUGACCGAAGCCGCCCUCCGCCGUGGCCGUUGUUCCUGUAGCGACCGUGCUUCUCCGCUCGGAUCCGUGCACCCCGCAGGCUCCUGGAGCAACCAGGAGGCCAAUGCCACCCCUAGCCGGCUUCCUUGCGAGCUGCGGCCCCGCAGCCGCACACCUCCAAGCUCCGGCCGCCGCCCGGCUCGUUGCCUCCGCCAUUAUAGGCUGCCCCAGUGCACCACGCGGCCACCACCGCUUGCGCCACACCGCCAGCUCUCCGUAGCUGCAAACCGCGCACGAAAUGGCGCUCUACAGCGCCGUCCCGAGCAAUGCCGGCGAGCCACCGCCGCGGGAUUUGGUCGUCGAUGGCUAACCGCCGUUUUGGAUGACGUGGCACUUAGUUAGGAGCUAAUCACCCGGUUAACUAAUCCAGUGACACUGACAGUGGGCCCAGCCCGGCUAAAUAUCUUGUUAGAUUUUUAACUAAUUGUAAUUAGUCACUGUGACACUGACAUGCGGGUCCCACGGCCAGGUUUGACCGCUGUUGACUUGAUGACAUCACCCUGACGCAAUGCUGACGCAAUAAAUCAUUUACUGGAUUUAUUCUUAUUCAGGAAAUUCCAGAAAAUGCUUCAAACUUCAACAAUUCAUAGAAAAUUACCUACAACUCCAAAUGAAAUAAGUUAUAUAUGAACAAUGAUCAGAAAAAUCCAAUCUAUCCAUAUGUACUAGUUUCAUGCAUGUUUAACAAGCUAACUUGCUGUUUAGUGCAAAACAUGAUAAAGCACUAUUUAAGAUCACAAGUGAGUUUGAACUUUGAAUCUUUGGUUCAAAAUAGCUCAAACCCAUUUGGUUGUAGUUGCCUUAGCCGAACACACUCAUUUUACCAUGUCAUGAUCAUGCAUCAUAUUGUUGCAUUGCAUUGAUUGUGUUUUCUCUCUGUUGCCAGUAAAUGUCCCCCUAGUAGACGUGGUUCCGACGAUGAGAUCGAUGACACCGAUGAAGAGCUAUAUUAUCUUCAGAAGUGCCAGACAAGCAAAACCCCCUUGUUCAUUUCGAUACAAUCCCACUCUCUUGCUCCUGCCCUAUUUUACUGCAUUAGGACAACAACGAUACAACUGUUACUUGCUGCGGUAGUUGAACCCCUUUAUCCUCUGCAUGACCUGUCAUUGCCACAGUAAAUAGAUGAAACCCACUAGCAUGAGUAGGAGUUGUUUGAGCCCUGAUGUGCCUACUCAUUCAUGCUUGUUGUCAUGCCUGCUACUGCUUAGAGUUGAGUCAGGUCUGAUUCAUCGGGGAUGAAUUGGAAUGUGGUGUACAUGUCCUACUGUGUGUGGUCUAAGAGUGUGAACAUGAUUUGGUAAAGGUAGCGGUGAGAGGCCAUGUAGGAGUACAUGGUGGGUUGUCUCAUUGCAGCCGUCCUCAGGAACUGAGUUCUGUGUUUGUGAUCCAUGAACAGCUACUACCACACAUUGGGAUCCUUAAUUGACUCUCUCGACUUAUUAACCAACUUGAUCUCUGUCCAGGAGUUGCAACUAGUUUCUGGUGUUUGUAGGUAGUGUUAGUAGUCUACCAAGUGGCACCCGGUACAGGUGGGCUUGGGACAGACUAGGCACAGUGGCCCGGUGUACCAAGUGGCACCCGGAUGGUGGGCUUGGGAACCCUGCACACAUCAUUUGGGGCCGUGAGCGACACCCCUGCCGGAUCUCCUUGCGGAUGGAACCCGAAUAGGCGAUAAACCUGGAUGAGAGACUUGUGUGGUUAGUCAGGUCGUGGCCGACUCCCUCGCCAGGCUUCCGCUUGAAGGUUGCCGAGAUACACGAGGUGUACAUGGCGGUAAGUGGCGAGAGCGUGUGUGAAGAAGUACACCCCUACAGGGUUAAUAUGAUCUAUUCGAAUAGCCGUGUCCGCGGAAAAGGACUUCUGGGUUACCUGUACAGUUCAUAGACAAGUGAAAGUGGAUACUCUAAAAUACGCAAGAUAAGCGUGAGUGCUAUGGAUGGCAUUCUUGUAGGGAGACGGGAGCGGAUCCAUAGUGGUGUAUUGAUAUGGUGAAUAUGUGGACUCGUGUGCGCCACCUCAAAGAGUUACAUUGCAGUCGUAGUUCAGGAUAGCCACCGAGUCAAAGCUGGCUUGCUGUAGUUAAACCCCACCAUCCCCUUUGUUGAUAAUGAUGCAUAUGUAGUUAGUUCUGAUGUAAGUCUUGCUGGGUACAUUUGUACUCAUGUUUGCCUAUUUUAUGUUUUGCAGAGACUUCCGUCUCACUAGUAGUUCCGCAUGGACUUCGACGUUUAGCUUGUUACCUUAGCUACGAUCUUGUGCCCUCGGCAGGAUCUGGUAGUUAGUCAGGUUUCUUAGCCUUUUUCAUUUGUAGUUGUCUGUACUCAGACAUGUUAAGCUUCCGCAUGUGCUUUGACUUGUAUGCUCUGAAUGUUGGGUCGUGAGACCCAUGUUUGUAAUAUCUCGCUCCUCGGAGCCUAUUGAAUAAAAUACUUGAGUUGUAGAGUCAUGUUGUGAUGCCAUGUUGUAUUUGCACAUAUCGAGCAUAUUGUGUGUAUGUUAUUGAAAUGCUUGGUAUGUGUGGGAUCUGACUAUCUUGUUGUUUAUCCUUAGUAGCCUCUCUUAUUGGGAAAUGUCUCCUAGUGCUUCCACUGAGCCAUGGUAGUUUGCUACUGCUCCGGAACACUUAGGCUGGCCGGCAUGUGUCCUUCUUCGUUCAUGUGUCUGUCCCUUCCGGGAAAUGUCACGCGAUGAAUACCGGAGUCCUGUUAGCCCGCUACAGCCCGGUUCACCGGAGUCCUGCUAGCCCAGUGCUACAACCUAGAUUCACUCGCUGAUGACCGACACGUUCGAUGCUGGGUCAUGGAUGCCUGUCCCUGUAAGUUUGUGCCACUUUGGGUUUACGACUAGCCAUGUCAGCCCAGGCUCCUUAUCAUAUGGAUGCUAGCGACACUAUCAUAUACGUGUGCCAAAGGGUGCAAACGGUCCCGGGCAAAGGUAAGGCGACACCCGUGGGGAUACCGUGCGUGAGGCCGCAAAGUGAUAUGAGGUGUUACAUGCUAGAUCGAUGUGGCAUUGAGUCGGGGUCCUGACAAAGGAUAUUUGGAAGCACAAGUAGUAUCUCUACUUGGUGCAAGGAUUUUGGCUAGCAUGAGGGGGAAAGGCAAGCUCAACAUGUUUGAAUGAUCCAUGACAAUAUACUUUAACUGAGAUGUGAGAAAACAUAACCCAUUACAUUGUCUUCCUUGUCCAACAUCAACUCUUUAACUUAUCAUACUUAAUGAGUGCUCAUAUUAUAAAAGAUGUCUAAGAUAGUAUAUUUAUAUGUGAAAUCUCUCUUCCUUCAAUAUUCUUUCAUGAAUUGUUCACAUGACCAAUACAAUGCUUGCUAACCUUCAAUAAAUUUACAACCUCUACUUUUUAGAUGUGAAGUCAUUACUCCCCAUGGGAUAAGCAAAUGAGACAUAUAUAAUUUUAGAUUUAUGACAUUCAACUCAAUCAACCAUUUACUCAAAGGAUAUAAGUGAAGCACACGAGUAAAUGACAAACUACUCCAAAAAGAUAUAAGUGAAGAUCAAUGAGUAGCUAAAUAAUUAUGUAACUAUGCAAAAACUCUCUCUCCUUUAAGAAUUUCAGAUCUUGGUAUUUUAUUCAAACAGAAAGCAAAACAAAAUAAAAUGACAUUGCAAGGAUAGCACAACUCAUGUGAAGAAGCAAAAACUUAGGUUCGGCCAAUACUAACCGAUAAUGGUUGAAGAAGAAAGGUGGGAUGCCUACCGGGGCAUCCCCAAGCUUAGAUGCUUGAGACUUCUUGAAAUAUUAUCUUGGGGUGUCUUGGGCAUCCCCAAUCUUGAACUUUUGUGUCUCCUUAAUUCCUCUCAUAUCAUGGUUUCUCUUUUUAUCAAAAGCUUCAUCCACACCAAACUCAACAAGAACUCGUGAGAUAGGUUAGUAUAAACCAAUGCAAAACCUUAUCAUUUUCUACUGUAACAAAUCACUAAAAUUAUUAUUCAACAUUGCAUAGUAAAUUCCUCUGCAUAUUUAAUACUCCUAUCCUCAAAUAGAAUCAUUAAACAGGCAAACAUAUGCAAACAAUACAAACAUAACAGCAAUCUGCCAAAACAGCAUAGUCUGUAAAGAAUGCAUGAUUCAUCAUACUUCCCUAACUCCAAAAAUUAUGAGAAAAAUACUACACUGUAGAAGAUUUAUCAGAUCUCAAUACGCAAAAAGUUUCAACAUUAUAUCAUUCUCUGACUUUUCUAGGGAAUUUUUGCAACAGCGGUAAACUUUCUGUUUUCAAACAACAACAUGUAUACUAGCAAAAUAAGCAUGGUAAAGGCUAUCCUUAACAUUUUUAUUGAAAAUAAAGAUGCAAAACAUUAUUCUAAAUAACAGCAAGCAAAUACUAACAAAAGAUAAUGACGCUCCAAGCAAAACACAUAUCAUGUGGUGAAUAAAAAUAUAGCUCCAAGUAAAUUUACCGAUAGACGAAGACGAAAGAGGGGAUGCCAUCCGGGGCCUCCCCAAGCUUAGGCUCUUGGUUGUCCUUGGAUAUUACUUUGGGGUGCCUUGGGCAUCCCCAAGCUUAGGUUCUUGCCACUCCUUAUUCCAUAGUCCAUCGAAUCUUCACCCAAAACUUGAAAACUCUACAACACAAAACUCAACAGAAAACUUGUAAGCUCCGUUACUAUAAGAAAAUAAAACCACCACUUAGGUACUGUUGUGAACUCAUUAUAAAUUCAUAUUGGUGUAAUAUCUACUGUAUUCCAACUUCUCUAUGGUUCAUACCCUCCGAUUCUACUCAUAGAUUCAUCAAAAUAAGCAAACAACACAUAGAAAACAGAAUCUGUCAAAAACAGAACAGUCUGUAGUAAUAUGUAUCAAACGUAUACUUCUGGAGCUCCAAAAUCCCUACCAAAUUAUGAAGACCUGGUCAAUUUAUGUACCAAUCCAUAGCCAAAAGAAUAAGAUCAAAAGCACGUUUCUGUGAAUUAUCAGAACUAAUUUACUGUGUGCAAAAGUUUCUGAUUUUCAGCAGGAUCAACACAACUAUCACCGUAAGCUAUCUUAAAGGUCUUACUUGGCACUUUAUUGAAACAAAAGAUAUAAAACAUGAUUACUACAGUAGCAUAAUCAUGUGGACACACAAAAAUAGUAGGGGUAAAUAUUGAGUUGUCUCCCAACAAGCGCUUUUCUUUAAUGCCUUUCUAGCUAGGCAUGAUGAUGACAAUGAUGCUCACAUAAAAGAUAAAAAUUGAAGCGUAACGGGAGCACCAUGAAGCAUAUGACUAGCACAUUUAAGUCUAACCCACUUCCUAUGCAUAGGUAUUUUGUGAGCAAACAAUUAUGGGAACAAUAAUCAACUAGCAUAGGAAGGCAAAACAAGCAUAACUUCAAGAUUUUAAGCAUAUAGAGAGGAAACUUGAUACUAAUGCAAUUCCUACAAGCAUAUGUUCCUCCCUCAUAAUAAUUUUCAGUAGCAUCAUGAAUGAAUUCAACAAUAUAACCAACACAUAAAGCAUUCUUUUCAUGACCUACUUGCAUAGAAAUUUUAUUACUCUCCACAUAAGCAAAUUUCUUCUCAUGAACUGUAGUGGGAGCAAACUCAACAAAAUAAUUAUCAUGUGAGGCAUAAUCCAAUUGAAAACUAAAAUCAUGAUGACAAGUUUCAUGGUUAUCAUUAUUCUUAAUAUCAUACAAGUCAUCAUAAUAAUCAUCAUAGGUAGCAACUUUGUUAUCAUAAUCAAUUGGAACCUCUUCUGAAAUAGUGGAUUCAUCACUAAAUAAAGUCAUGACCUCUCCAAAUCCACUUUCAUAUUCAUCACAAUAAGAUUCAACAUCCUCAAAAAUAGUGGGAUCAUUACUUCCUAAAGUUGACACUCUUCCAAACCCACUUUCAUCAAUAUAAUCAUCAUAAAUAGGAGGCAUGCUUUUAUCAUAAUAAAUUUGCUCAUCAAAACUUGGGGGACUAAACAUAUCAUCUUCAUCAAACAUAGCAUUCCCAAGCUUGUGGCUUUGCAUAUCAUUAGCAUCAUGGAUAUUCAAGGAAUUAAAACUAACAACAUUGCAAUCAUGCUCAUCAUUCAAAGAUUUAGUAUCAAACAUUCUAUAGAUUUCUUCUUCUAGUACUUGAGCACAAUUUUCCUUUUCAUCAUACUCACGAAAGAUAUUAAAAAGAUGAAGCGUAAUAGGCAACCUCAAUUCCAUUUUUUGUAGUUUUCUUUUAUAGACUAAACUAGUGAUAAAACAAGAAACAAAAAGAUUCGAUUGCAAGAUCUAAAGAUAUACCUUCAAGCACUCACCUCCCCGGCAACGGCACCAGAAAAGAGCUUGAUGUCUACUACACAACCUUCUUCUUGUAGACAUUGUUGGGCCUCCAAGUGCAGAGGUUUGUAGGACAGUAGCAAAUUUCCCUCAAGUGGAUGACCUAAGGUUUAUCAAUUCGUAGGAGGCGUAGGAUGAAGAUGGUCUCUCUUAAGCAACCCUGCAACCAAAUAACAAAGAGUCUCUUGUGUCCCCAACACACCCAAUACAAUGGCAAAUUGUAUAGGUGCACUAGUUCGGCGAAGAGAUGGUGAUACAAGUGCAAUAUGGAUGGUAGAUAUAGGUUUUUGUAAUCUGAAAAUAUAAAAACAGCAAGGUAACUAAUGAUAAAAGUGAGCAUAAACGGUAUUGCAAUGGUAGGAAACAAGGCAUAGGGUUCAUACUUUCACUACCUCAACAUGCAACAAAGAGUCACUCCAAAGCCACUAAUAGCGGAGAACAAACGAAGAGAUUAUGGUAGGGUACGAAACCACCUCAAAGUUAUCCUUUCUGUUCUAUCUAUUCAAGAGUUCGUAGUAAAAUAACAUGAAGCUAUUCUUUCCGUUCAAUCUAUCAUAGAGUUCAUACUAGAAUAACACCUUAAGACACGAAUCAACCAAAACCCUAAUGUCACCUAGAUACUCCAUUGUCACCUCAAGUAUUCGUGGGCAUGAUUAUACGAUAUGCAUCACACAAUCUCAGAUUCAUCUAUUCAACCAACACAAAGUACUUCAAAGAGUGCCCCAAAGUUUCUACCGGAGAGUCAAGAUGAAAACAUGUGCCAACCCCUAUGCAUAGGUUCAUGGGCGAAACCCGCAAGUUGAUCACCAAAACAUACAUGGAUCACGUGAUAUCCCAUUGUCACCACAGAUAAGCAUGGCAAGACAUACAUCAAGUGUUCUCAAAUCCUUAAAGACUCAAUCCGAUAAGACAACUUCAAAGGGAAAACUCAAUUCAUCACAAGAGAGUAGAGGGGGAGAAACAUCAUAAGAUCCAACUAUUAUAGCAAAGCUCGCGAUACAUCAAGAUCGUGCCAUAGAGAGAACACGAGAGAGAGCGAGAGAGAGAGAGAUCAAACACAUAGCUACUGGUACAUACCCUCAGCCCCAAGGGUGAACUACUCCCUCCUCAUCAUGGAGAGCGCCGGGAUGAUGAAGAUGGCCACCGGUGAGGGAUCCCCCCUUCGGUAGGGUGCCGAAACGGGCUCCCGAGAGGUUUUUGGUGGCUACAGAGGCUUGCGGUGGCGGAACUCCCGACCUAUCUUGUUCUUCGAUGUUUUUAGGGUAUAUGGGAUUAUAUAGGCAAAAGAAGUUGGUCAGGGGAGCUACGAGGGGCCCACGAGAUAGGGGGCGCGCCCAGGGGGGUGGGCGCGCCCUUCUAUCUCCUGGCCUCCUCGAAGCUUCCCUGGCUUGUACUCCAAGUCUCCCGGAUCAUGUUCGUUCCAAAAAUCAUGCUCCCAAAGGUUUCAUUCUGUUUGGACUCUGUUUGAUAUUCCUUUUCUUCGAAAUACUAAAACACGCAAUAAAACAACAAUAUGGGCUGGGCCUCCGGUUAAUUGGUUAGUCCCAAAAGUAAUAUAAAAUGUAUAAUAAAGCCCAUAAACAUUCAAAAUAGAUAAUAAUAUAGCAUGAAUGCCUCAUAAAUUAUAGAUACGUUGGAGAAGUAUCAACGCCUUCAUGCAGUACAUCGAGGAUCUCGGCAGCAAGGUCUGUUUUGCUUCCGUGGCACACCCACGAAGCAACAGCCAAGCAGAGAGAGCAAAUGUUGAAGUUCUACGAGGCUUAAGAACGGAGGCUUUUGACAGGCUGCACAAGAGUGGAAGGCGCUGGAUUGACGAGUUGCCGGCGGUUCUUUGGUCGAUCAGAACGACACCAAAUCGAGCCACCGGUCAGACACCCUUUGCCCUUGUCUACGGGGCAGAAGCAGUUCUCCCCAUGGAACUCAUAUAUGGGUCACCUCGAGUGGUCGCUUAUGAUGAGCUUGAUCAAGAGCGAUUGCGGCAAGAUGAUGCAAUGUUCCUUGAGGAAGAUCGUCUCCGAGCGGCUGUGAGGGCAGCAUGCUACCAGCAAGCCUUGCAUCGCUACCAUAGCCGCAAGGUUCAUGCCCGGAGCUUUGAGGAAGGCGACCUUGUUCUUCGGCACGUUCAGUCGGCCAAGAAUUCCAAAAAGUUGACGCCAAAGUGGGAAGGCCCUUAUCGGGUAACACGAGUCAUCAGGCCGGGCGCAGUCCGCCUGGAGACCGAAGAUGCCAUUCCGGUGAGCAACUCCUGGAACAUCGAGCAUCUUCGCAAGUUUUACCUGUAAGGCACGGCUGUCGGGCCCCCCGGCAAGCCACCUUUUGUACAAGCCUUGUCAGCAAGGCAUGUAACCCUUUGUACAAAGCCAGGCGCAGACCCUGAGCAUAAAUAAGCGAAGCGCUGGCGCCCUAAGUUAUAGCAGGCAUGCUAGAUUGAGUCUCUCCCUCGGUUAGGGUUGAUAGUGCUUAGCGGCGACUAACCCCUAGCAUAGAGGUCGAGUUUGCAUCAUUUUGUUCCUAUCCAUCCUCUUUGGUAUGCAGGGUACAUGAAUGUUUCCGCCAAGCCAAGUGGAAGGAAGAGAACAAGCCGGCGCUCCGGACCCGGCAAGCCAAGCUUGCCGAGGGCUGAAGACACGAGGGUCCACACACGGCAAGUCAGGGCUGCCGGGGGCUGCAGAUCGGGAUAGGUUUUCCCAUUCCCUGUCAUGCAUUUCCGUAUGAAACUUGGGACGUACAGAACCUCGUUUUGUUCGAAAGCUGACGUGCUCCCCUCGUUCCUAUCACCCAAGAGCUUCUUGGUUCAAAAUAUGGUUACAGUCAUGGCGGCAAGGAAGCAAGCAUAGGGCCCACCCCCACUUCGUCCUUGCCUUCGCCAAAGGCGUGAGUAUGGACGGACGGAGCAGGGGAACGGCAAGGCCUACUGCCGGGCAGCAGUGUUUAUAUUGAAAAUAACAAGGAUUUGUUCCUUGGUAUGGGCUUUGCUCACACGCACACACAAGACCCAACAAGCACCCAUUUUCCAUUAAUACGUUCCAUACAUGUACAAUUCGUACGGAAUGUAAACAUGAACAGGAAGAUUACAUGUUUUAGAUCUAAAUGAGGCCCGUGGGCUUACAAAUUGAAAAAAAGAUAAGAUGCCCGUAAUCCCUUUCUUGUCCCUCUCCUCAGGAAAUGAAACAAGAAGACAAAAGGGUAGAAUGAGCGCCUAGGCGAGGUACGAGCAACAGUAGGUGCCAAGAGAACAUGUCGGCGGUCGCCUAGGAGAGGGUCGGCGGUGGUGGCACCGGAGGAAGAGCUGGAAGAUGAGGCAGCGGUCCGUCAAUACGCUACAAAGGUGUCAUGGAAUUAACACGUCAGAUGUCCUCAUGAAAGGACUUAGUCGUGGAGCCAUCACAACGGGUUAGCUUGAAGGGGUUAAACCGGACAAGGGAUACGGGAGUUUUAUACUAGUUCGGCCCCUUCGAUGAAGGUAAAAGCCUACGUCUAGUUGUGAUGGGAUUGAUUGAGUUUCGAUGACCAGGGAGCGAAAACGCUUGCCUGAGUCCCGAGUUGUUGUUUCUUGUCCCUGAACCGCCGCUGAGUCUUCCCUUUAUAUACAUAGGUUGACGCCCGGCCGGUCUACAGAUCCCCGAGGCCAACUCAUACAAGGUGUCCGGCUCGGUCUAUCCUUUCCUAACUUACAUUACAAGUUACAUAGUCAUGGCGGUUUACCAUUAUGGGCCCUAAUCCGCCUUUGGGCUUCGGGCCUCUAAGCUUCAUUAAUAAAGCACCAUCUUCUAGAUCUUCAUGGGCUUCAACAUAGUCGAGGGUGAACCGGGCCCUCCUGGCUGGUUUACACUCAGUAGUUAUAUCCCCAAGAUUAGGCCCCAGAUUGAUUUGAACCUAUUCAUGUCAAUCUUCAACACUUCAAAGAAAUCUUGUAAACAUCUCCUUAUAUUCUUGUAAACCGCCAUGUUUACUUCCUGUAACUUUUGUUAAACUGCCAUGACGUCAUCCUCUGGACAUAGUAACGGCCAUCAUGACGUCAUCUCUGCAUAAAAAAGAUUAAAAAGAUUCCCCUCAUUUAAUGAUAUCCUGAAAAUCAAGGCGACAGGCGCACCCUCUCUGCCGCUUCAGGCUCCUCGAUUCUUGGGCCUGCCCUUUAUCUCUUUCUCCUUAUAAAUAAAGCCCGAGGGUCCUUUUCUUUCUUCCCCUUCCGUGCCUUUCUUCUUCCUCGCGAAGCCCGAGCUCUGAAGCUCCACCGCCGCCCUCGACCCUUGAGAACUUCAUCGACAAAGGACGCUGCAUCAACCUGAAAUGGACCAGAGUUCGCCGCAUCUCUCCGCAGUAGAUCUGCACUGGUAAGUUUCCUCCUUCCCGCAUCGUUAGAUCUGUGCUAGGGUUCAUGAGUUCGUCUGUACAGUUCUUCAUUUUUCCUUCUUAGUUCUUUGUUUUUCCUUCUGCCGUGAUUGCUUCAUUCCAAUAGUAGCGCAAAUCUCGUGCGGUAGUUACUCUGCAUCCAUUUUUAGUACUAGUAGAUCUUUCCUUUCUUUUGUAGAGUGCACGACCUUCUCUGUUCUUGCUUAACGCCAUUAUAAGUCGCAGUAAUUUUUCUUUACUGAAGCAUGGUAGAUCCAAAUAAAUUUCAUCCUUGUGUGGAACCUGUUUCUGCCAACACUUAGCAAAUUUUCAUUUCUGUCUCCUCCUCCUAAGGGCGGUUUAACAUUUUAGCAAAUGGUAAUCCGCCACCUAUCAUUAGCCCUCGCUUUAAACCGCCAGUUUGAUCUGAAUAGCAGCUUCCAGUUUAUUUCACACAUAUGCCUUGAUCAAAUUUUCCGGUUUAAUAGCAACUAAUACUUCUUGAACCAUCAAUUGUAAACCGGCCUUCAUUUUACCUUUACACUUUGCUGUUCAAGAUGACCAAACAAUUCGCCGCUUGCAAUUGGGUUCCGUCCCGGAUCACAAAAACGCAGAUCAAUGGAUAUGUAGUGACGGGCGCUUUAGCAUCAAAAAAUGUCCUGCACUGGCGAGUUCCUGGCCCUGAGUGCCCUCCUGAGCCUCAGGAUGGCAAAGUUAUUGUUUUUAUGCAGCACUUAGACCGGGGCUUCAGCCCUCCCGGAUCAAAAAAUUUCCGGGAUGUCCUUGCGAGCUUUCAACUCCAUCCGCAAGACAUUGUCCCAAAUUCUGUAUCAAAUAUAUGCAACUUUCAAGUAUUUUGUGAAGUUUACCUUCAAGAGGAACCUUCUAUCGAGCUAUUCCGGGAUUUCUUCCACUUAAACCGCUGAACCGAGUUUUCUGAUGGCCCUAAUACAGAACUUGGCGGGGUAUCAAUCCAGAAGAGGAAGGAGGUUGAUUUCCCACAUGCAUCACACCACAGUCAUCCCAAAGACUGGAACCAAACUUGGUUCUACUAUCAAAACACUGCCCCUGCUAAAGAGAAUCCCUUGCCAGGUUACUACCCUCAUCGGCUUAGAAAUGGCCACCCGUUACCUAAACGUUUAACUGCCAGAGAGAGGCAAACUUAUGCCCCUCAACUCACCAAGCUCCAGGCUCUCAUGGCCAAUGGAUUAACUGGCGUUGAUCUUGUCCGCUGGUGGGUUAAAUGGCACAUCCUGCCCUUAAGUCGCCGUUCUGGAUUAAUGCAUGAGUACACUGGCAACUCCAACGAUCCUCAACGGUUUACUGAGAUAGAGGUGACCGAUGACGAAGUCACCGAAUCAGUAAAGAAGAUGUUAGACGAACCCAUCACCAUAUGUAGUCAAACUGGGCUAGCUCCUUUUUACACUGCCAACAAACCGCCAGCAGUAAGUCUUUUAACCUUGUAUUUUCUUGAUCCGCCUCCACUAACAUUGUUCUAAUAAUCCUUUGUUUAUCUUUCCAGGCCAACAACUCCUUUUGGAAAAAGAAGGCCUCAGAAAAAACGACCAGAGCUCCUCGUGCCAAGAGUAAAGUUGUCAAGAAAUCAACCAAGAAGAAGACCGGCGAAGCUGCUGAUCCGCCCGAAGAUGCUGAAGAUUCGGAUCAAGAGGUAGAACUUGAUUCCCUUGGCUCCUUUUUCAUACAUCUUAUUAACAACGAUUAUCAUCAGGAUGAUGCGGAGGUCAGCCGUGCGGACCAUGUUGAGGUAAUCUCUCUUUCCUCCGGUUCAGAUCUUGUGUCGGUUUAAAGAUUUCGCCGUGCAGUUCGGAAAGUGAAACGCUCUCACCCUCUUGCUUAUUUGGAUCCAAAAUUUUCUUUAAAGAAACAGCAACCUGAAGAGAGCCGCACAACCCGACACAGUGGCCAGCAAGUCACUUCUUCCGGUUUACCGGAUACUCCAAUUUGGAAGCGUCGUCCAGAGGUUAUUUGUUCUCUCGAAAAAUGUUAUCCUUUGAAGGGUUUCUUCCGAUACCCACUUAAUCCGUCUAAUCCAAAUUACCAGGCAUCUUCUAACUCGUCUGGCGGUUCAUCAACCACACAACUGCCUCCCCUCAAGACCGUCAUUGGGUAAGUGCAUCAUUUGUUGGUUUGUCUCUUCAUGCAUCAGUUUACCAUACUAAUCUUUAUUUUGAUGUUGCAGUGCCAAAGCUCGAUUGAGUAAGAAAGCCAAGACCAGUGGUCCCUCUGACAAUGUUGAACCGGAGAAGACCCCAGAUAAUGCUGGCGAAGAUACUGAUGAUGUCAUGGAUGAAUCCGCUCCACAAGAUCCAGCUGCUGAUGCCAAUCUGCCGGAGGCUGAUUAGGAAACACAUCUUGACACAUCAAGUCCACAUGCCAUGCCUCCAAGUCCAAUUGCUGAUCCGCUGGGCUCAACUGCUAAUCCGCCAAGCCCUGCUGCCAAUCUGCCAAGCCCUGCUAUCAAACCGCCAAGCCCAGCCAAAGACAAGGUCAAUCCAUCGAGCCCAGCCACGGAUGACGAUGACAUUGUUGUCACUGGUACUGCUUAUACCACCCCCGACAAUCCAAUUGCAUUAUCAAAGCACACUGCCAAGGACGAAUUUGCUGCUAUGAGCAAGGGGAAGGGGAAGACUGAUUUGUCAGCCUAUGUUGACCUUUCUACUCAAGACCUUCAUUCCGGAUUCUUGAACCGGCUUUACACCAGCCGAGAUUAUGAAGCCGGUUUGGUGAAUCUGAUGAAGGAACGCUAUGAGGUAAUUUUCAAAAUACCAUCUUUAUUCUGCCCAUUCCUUAUAUUGUAGCCCCCAAGGGCUGGUUUGUCUUGUAAAGACAAACCGGGACUUUUAUAUUCCAUACUGUACCUUGUUGGCUUUCCUUGUGUAUUUUUUGGAUCAAACACACAUUAGCCCCUAAGUGCCAAGAUUAAAACUUGUAUUGAUCCUUGGGACUUUAAACAUUUAGUAGUAAAGAAGCAAUCCGCAUUAGCCCCCAAGUGCCGAGUGCAUAACUUGUUAUAUGCUUGGGACUUUGACAAUAUUUACAUGCUCCUGCUCUGUUUGUGACAGGCUGACAUAAAUCACCAAGGCAAUCAAAUUGCUGAUCUCCAAGAGAACAUCAAGACCCAACAAGCAGAAACGUCCAAGGCAAAAGAUGAGCUUAAAGCCGCUUUGGCCGCCAUGGAGCAGGUCAAAGAAGGGUUCCAGUCGGAGCGUGCCAACUGGGAGACGGAGAAAAAUGCAUUGCUGAAGCGGGCAGAAGACGCCGAAUCAGCUCUUAAACCGGUGGCGGAAGAGCUAACUGGGUUGAAGCACCAAGUGAAUGCAAUGACUUCUGCAGUAUUUGGUAAGUAGUUUUGCCAAGACUUCUUGAAUGACCAUGUUUGUAAUUUGCCGGUUUAACAUGAAAACCAUUGUAGGUGGCCGCAUUGCUCAUCCGGGCUCUGAUAUGCGGAUGAAGCUGAAGGCAACAUACACUCUGAUUGAACAACUAUAUACCGGUACCCAACGGGUUAUCUGUGCAGCUUCAUACAAUAAUCCGGCCCCCACUUUGAUCAAGGAUACUCUAGCAAAGUUAUCCGUAACGCCGGCACAGAUAGAAGAGAUGAAUCGAUCUGCUGCCAGGGCUGGCGAUUUGUUGGCACUCACUCAAGCCAAAGCAUGGAUAGCUGACCUUGAUCCGGUGGAUAUUGCCAAGGGCUUCCCCAGUGAACAAGAGAACGGGGGAGAGUUUGACAAUGAUGCCCUCAAAGCUGUGACAAGGGAGAUGCGUCCUUUGGUGAGUCAACUGCCAAAAGAAGCGAACUUGACGGUUCACCGGUCCUUCUAUGAUGCCAACAACAAACGGGUUGACACUGUCAUACCGGAAGUGCAAAAUCUUAUCCCGCCAAUCCGUAAGCACACUUACGCCCCUGACGUUGAUCCGGCCGAACUUAUAAGUGAAGAGGUUGUCUUUCAGGCUUUAACCCGGAUUGACUGGACCACCACUGUCUUCCAGCUACUGGAUGAGGAGGAGGCUGAACCGACACCAGAUGAUCCAUCCACUUCACGUCAACAUGGUGAUGAGGCCUGAUUCGGCAAUCUGAUUGAUGCUUCAUAGACUGUUCUGUGGAAAGAACAAUUCCGUAUUUUGGGCCUUAAAGCGCCUUGUAAUAGGUUAGUUAAAAUACUUUUAUCUGCUACCAUCGUGCACUGGGAUAUACUUUGCUAGAUCCGCCAUGCCAAUUUCAAUGCUAGCUUAUAUAUUGUGCAAUCCCUGUGUAUGCAUUGAAAAAAGAUGUCCUGCGGUUUACCGCUGGACGGGUCAAAGUGCCCAAGAUAAAGCCUAGUUAAUAACCAAAGCGGAAUAAAUAUGAAAUAACUCAUACCUGUGAUAUGGAGUCACUUAAUAAGGGUGGAAACCCACAUUUUUGAGCUUUCAAAACCCUUACCCUAUAAUGAUAAGAUGAAUAAGUCAUGCCGGGUUAUAAUGAACACCAGAUGAUCAUACUGGCGACAUAUAGUCAAAGCCAGGCCGGGUUAACAAACACCGGUUUGAUGAGAUGGCCUGACAACUUAUAGCUGAAAGCCAAGCCAGGUUUAACAAGCACCGGUUUAAAAAUAUGACUGAAAAGCCACAUCGGGUCAAAGAACACUAGUUUAAGAUAAAUUCAAAAAAGGUGAAAACUUAGCAAAAAAAGCCAAUAAGAAAUCAUGUAGUCAAGGCUUUUCAAGGGCUGCCAGGCCCAAAUUCGAGGCUUUUCAUGGGCUGCCAGGCCACCGAGUUAAACCAUUUUGCAAAGCCUUUUAAGAUGGGCCUCCAACUAACCAAUCGUCGUUUUAACUUUGACAAGUUCAGGGUCUGUAUAAGAUUGACUUGUCAAACAUUCGGCGGGUUGUGCCAGGAUUACCUGGAUAAGAGUGGCUUACUUGAUGAAGGCAGGUUAACCCGGGGUUUUAGGUGAAUACACCAGGCUUCCAAGCCAUGGGUCGAUACCCAAUUACAAGGGUCCGUUCAAGCUCUUUGUGGCUUUUGCACAAAAAGCCCCCAAGUAACUUUGUGAGCUGUGCUCAAUGGGUGCCCAUGUUUGAGCUGUGCAUAACAUCCAGACUCUCUUUGGCCCCUUGGGUGUGAAGCUCCCAAGCUAUGUUGUGGCAUGAUAGCCGGUUUAAUAGGUAAGGUGAGUCAUCGCUUUGAGAGCAGAAGCCCCCUUGUAACCAAGAAAUUUUGGAAAAAACGGCAGAGGCCCUGCUUUUAGCAAGGAUGCCGGUUUAUUAUAUUGAUCAUAAUAUAUACAUUGUCAUAAUAUGUACAUAAGGAAAGCCUAUGGCUCAGGUGUAGUAAGGCCGAAGGAGAGCUAUGUUCCAUGGCCGCCGAGUCUCCUCCUCAGAACUGCGUGAGUCUUCUCGAAUGUCAAUGAGGUAGUAAGAUCCGUUGUGCAGAUUUUUGCUGACCACAAAGGGUCCUUCCCAAGGUGGGGAUAACUUGUGCAUAUCGGUCUAAUCCUGGAUGAGCCGAAGCACUAAGUCGCCUUCUUGAAAGGUUCGUGUUUUAACCUGGCGGCUGUUAUAACGCCGCAGGUCUUGUUGAUAAACCGCCGACCGAGCCAAAGCCAUGUCCCAUUUCUCAUCUAACAGGUCCAAUGCCUCUUGACGCGCUUGCUCACUGUCCGCUUCAACAUAAUUGGCAACCCGGGGCGAGUCAUGACGAAUAUCACUUGGGAGGACAGCCUCAGCCCCGUAAACCAUGAAGAAAGGUGUAUAACCCAUGGAUCGGUUUGGGGUGGUGUUUAUACUCCAUAACACAGAUGGUAACUCUUCCACCCAACAACCCGGCGUCCGCUUCAAGGGAACCAUAAGCCUAGGCUUAAUACCCUUCAGGGUCUCUUGAUUCGCCCUUUCAGCUUGACCAUUGGACUGUGGAUGAGCCACAGAUGCUACAUCAAGCCGGAUGUGCUCUCGUUGGCAGAACUCCUCCAUCUCACCUUUAGAAAGGUUCGUGCCAUUAUAUGUGAUGAUGCUGUGUGGAAACCCAAAACGGAAAAUGAUCUUUUUGAGAAAUUGAACCGCCGUGGCUGCAUCACACUUGCUGACAGGCUUCGCUUCAACCCAUUUAGUAAACUUGUCAACCGCCACCAACAGGUGGGUCUUCUUAUCCUGGGAAUGCUUAAAAGGUCCUACCAUAUCAAGCCCCCAAGUGGCAAACGGCCAAGUGAUAGGAAUCAUCCGUAGCUCCUGAGCCGGAACAUGAGCUCGACGUGAAAAUUUCUGACAAGCGUCACAUCGCUUUACCAGAUCCUCUGCAUCAGCAUGAGCUGUCAACCAAUAGAACCCAUGACGAAAAGCUUUCGCCACCAGGGAUUUUGAACCGGCGUGGUGACCACAACCCCCUUCAUGGAUUUCAUGUAGAAUCUCUUGUCCUUCUUCAGGGGAAAUACAACAUUGAAAAACUCCUGAAACACUGCAACGGUGUAACUCGCCAUUGUGAAUAACCAUGGACUUGGACCGCCGUAUUAUUUGUCAAGCGAAAGCCUCAUCAUCUGGUAACUCGCCCCGGUUUAAAUACGCCAAAUAUGGAACCGUCCAAUCCGGAGUAGUGUGUAAAACGGCCACCAAUUGGGCCUCUGGAUCAGGAACAGCUAAAUCCUCCUCUGUAGGCAACUUAACAGACGGGUUAUGCAAGAUAUCUAAAAAGGUAUUGGGUGGUACCAGUUUACGCUGAGAUCCCAGCCGGCUUAAAGCAUCUGCUACCUCGUUUUUGUGCCGGUCAAUGUGCUCCACCUGAUAUCCCUUAAAAUGAUCUGCCACAAUAUCCACCUCGCGUCUGUAAGCCACCAUUAGUGGGUCCUUAGAAUCCCAAGUACCAGAAACUUGCUGAGCCACCAGAUCAGAGUUGCCAAAACAGCGGACCCGGCUUAAGUUCAUCUCCUUAGCCACGCGGAGACCGUGGAGUAAGGCCUCGUACUCAGCUGCAUUGUUAGUAUAGGGAAACAUUAAGCGGAGAACAUAACAAAUUUUAUCACCUCGAGGGGAAGUAAGAACAACUCCAGCCCCCGAGCCCUCCAAUUGCCUGGAACCAUCAAAGUGAAUGAUCGAAUAUGUAUUAUCCGGUUUGUCCUCUGGUGCUUGUAACUCGGUCCAAUCAUUGAUGAAGUCAACAAGUGUCUGUGACUUGAUUGAUGUCCGAGGCAUAUAUUUCAAUCCGUGCGGGCCAAGCUCAAUUGCCCACUUUGCAACCCGGCCAGUUGCCUCCCUGUUCUGAAUUAUAUCGCCCAAAGGAGCUGAACUGACCACUGUAAUGGGAUGGCCUUGAAAGUACUGUUUGAGCUUCCGACUUGCCAUAAAAACCCCAUAAACUAGCUUCUGCCAAUGCAGAUAUCGUUGCUUUGACUCGAUAAGCACUUCACUGAUGUAGUAAACCGGCCGUUGAACCGGGUAUUCCUUACCAGCCUCCUUGCGCUCCACCACAAUCGCCACGCUGACAGCACGAGCAUUAGUAGCCACGCACAAUAACAAGGGCUCGUUGUCAACCGGAGCAGCAAGAACCGGCGGUUCAACCAACUACCGCUUUAAGUCAUCAAACGCCGCAUCAGCUGCAUCGGUCCAUAUGAAAUCGUCCGUCUUUUUUAACAUCUGAUAUAAAGGAAUCGCUUUCUCUCCCAAACGGCUGAUAAACCGGCUAAGGGCGGCAAUUCGACCCGCCAGACGCUGAACAUCAUUGAUACACUUCAGUUUAGUCAAAGAUGUAAUCGCUUUGAUUUUUUCCGGAUUAGCCUCAAUGCCUCUGUUGGACACCAGAAAGCCUAAGAGCUUGCCUGCCGGAACACCAAAAACACACUUAUCCGGAUUAAGCAUCAUUUUGUAAAUCCGAAGAUUGUCAAAUGUUUCCUUGAGGUCAUCUAUCAAGGUUUCCUUCUUCCUGGAUUUUACCACAAUGUCAUCCACAUAGGCAUGAACAUUACGCCCAACCUGCGUGUGAAGACAAUUUUGCACACAACGCUGAUAAGUUGCCUGGGCACUCUUGAGCCCGAAAGGCAUAGAAACAUAGCAGAAGGCUCCAAAGGGAGUGAUGAAGGCUGUCUUCUCCUGGUCCUUAACUGCCAUUUUAAUCUGAUGAUAACCUGAAUAAGCAUCCAAAAAACUCAGGCGCUCACAACCCGCCGUCGCAUCAAUAAUCUGAUCAAUAUGCGGGAGAGCAAAGGGAUCUGCCGGACAAGCCUUGUUCAAAUCUGUGUAGUCCACACACAUACGCCAAGUGCCAUUUUUCUUAAGUACGAGCACCGGAUUAGCCAACCACUCAGGGUGAAACACUUCAAUGAUAAACCCAGCAGCCAACAGCCGGGCUACCUCUUCACCAAUGGCCUUGCGUCUUUCCUCGUUAAACCGCCGAAGAAAUUACUUGGCCUGUUUAAACUUGGGAUCAAUAUUGAGAGUGUGCUCAGCGAGUUCCCUCGGUACACCUGGCAUGUCAGAAGGCUUCCAUGCAAAAAUGUCCCGGUUCUCAUGGAUGAACUCGAUGAGCGUGCUUUCCUAUUUUGGAUCCAGAUUGGUGCUGAUGCUAAAUUGUUUGGAUGAAUCGCCAGGAACAAAGUCAACAAGUUUAGUCUCAUCAGCUGGUUUGAAUUUCAGGGUCGGGUCAUGCUCAGUGGUGGGCUUCUUCAAAGGAGUCAUGUCUACCGGAUCAACAUUGUCCUUAUAAAACUUCAGCUCCUCCGUAGCACAAACUGACUCAGCGUAAGCCGCAUCACCUUCCUCACAAUCCAAAGCGAUCUUUCGACUUCCAUGUACUGUUAUAGUUCCCUUGUGACCCGGCAUUUUGAGCUGUAAAUAGAUAUAGCAGGGCCUCGCCAUGAAUUUUGCGUAAGCCAGCCGUCCAAACAGUGCGUGAUACGGGCUCUGGAUUUUUACCAAUUCGAAGGUCAACUUUUCAGACCUGGAAUCAUGCUCGUCUCCAAACACAACCUCCAAAGAGAUCUUGCCAACAGGAUAUGCCGAUUUACCUGGUACUACACCAUGAAAAACAGUGUUGGACGGUUUAAGGUUCUUGUCUGUCAACCCCAUGCGACGAAAAGUCUCAUAGUACAGGAUGUUGAUGCUGCUCCCUCCAUUCAUCAGGACUUUGGUAAACUUGUAACCUCCCACCUGAGGUGCUACCACCAAAGCUAGUUGACCCGGAUUGUCAACCCAGGGCGGAUGAUCCUCUCUGCUCCACACAAUGGGCUGCUUGGACCACCGUAAAUAAUGUGGCACUGCCGAUUCAACAACAUUAACUGCCCUUUUGUGAAGCUUCUGAUCUCGCUUACACAGGCUAGUAGUAAACACAUGAUACUGCCCCCAUUCAACUGCUUGGGGUGACUUUGAUAACCUGAUUGCUGCCGAUUCCCUUGAUUAUUCUGUUGGCCAUUACCCCCUUGGUUAUGCUGGUUGCCCUGAUUAUUCUGAAAUCCAGAGCUUGAACUGCCGCCACCAUGAAAACCUAGACCUGAACCGCCCGACGGACCCUGAUCAUACCGGAAAACAUCGGAAUUCUUGAACUCCUUCAUGAUAUAACAAUCUUUCCACAGAUGCGUGGAAGGGGCCUCUUUGGUCCCAUGCUUUGGGCAGGGCUGGUUCAUCAAAAGUUCCAAAUUCAUCCCUCCACCGCGCUGGGGCAGUUUACCCUUACGACGCUGCAUAUUGGUGUUAGCCACAAGAUCUGAAUUAUCUGCCUUGCGCUUACCAUUAUUCCCAUGGCCUCCUUGGUUGUGAUGAUGUCCCUUUGCACCGCCGUUCUUCUUUCCCUUCUCCGGUUUCUCAUCAUCAGAAUCAGGAUCCUGUUGGAAAUAUGCCCUAGAGGCAAUAAUAAAUUAGUUAUUAUUAUUAUAUUUCCUUGUUCAUGAUAAUCGUUUAUUAUCCAUGCUAUAAUUGUAUUGAUAGGAAAGUCAGAUACAUGUGUGGGUACAUAGACAACACCAUGUCCCUAGUAAGCCUCUACUUGACUAGCUCGUUAAUCAAUAGAUGGUUACAGUUUCCUGACCAUGGACAUUGGAUGUUGUUGAUAACGGGAUCACAUCAUUAGGAGAAUGAUGUGAUGGACAAGACCCAAUCCUAAGCCUAGCACAAAGAUCGUGUAGUUCAUAUGCUAAAGCUUUUCUAAUGUCAAGUAUCUUUUCCUUAGACCAUGAGAUUGUGCAACUCCCGGAUGCCGUAGGAAUUCUUUGGGUAUACCAAAUGUCACAACGUAACUGGGUGGCUAUAAAGGUACACUACGGGUAUCUCCGAAAGUGUCAGUUGGGUUGGCACGAAUCGAGACUGGGAUUUGUCAACGGAGAGGUAUCUCUGGGCCCACUCGGUAGGACAUCAUCAUAAUGUGCACAAUGUGACCAAGGGGUUGAUCAUGGGAUGAUGUGUUACAGAGACUUGCUGGUAACGAGAUUGAACAAGGUAUCGACAUACCGACGAUCGAAUCUCGGGCAAGUAUAAUACCACUGGACAAAGGGAAUUGUAUAUGGGUUUGAUUGAGUCCUUGACAUCAUGGUUCAUCCUAUGAGAUCAUCGUGGAACAUGUGGGAGCCAACAUGGGUAUCUAGAUCCCGCUGUUGGUUAUUGACAGGAGAACGUCUCGGUCAUGUCUGCAUGGUUCCCGAACCCGUAGGGUCUACACACUUAAGGUUCGAUGAUGCUAGGGUUAUAAAGGAAGUUUGUAUGUGGUUACCGAAUGUUGUUCGGAGUACCGGAUGAGAUCCCGGAUGUCACGAGGAGUUCCGGAAUGGUCCGGAGGUAAAGAUUUAUAUAUGGGAAGUCAUCAUACGGUCACCGGAAUAAUUCGGGGGUUACCGGUAUUGUAUCGGGACCACCGAAGGGGUACCGGGGGUCCACCGGGAGGGUCCACCUGCCCCGGAGGGCCCUGUGGGCUGUUUGUGGAGAGGGACCAGCCCCUUAGUGGGAUGGGCGUAUCCCCCGUAGGGCCCAUGCGCCUAGAGUUUGGGGGAACCCUAAAGGGGGGCGCCCCCUUGCCUUGGGGGGCAAGGCAACCCCCUCUGGCCGCCGCCCCCUCCUCAGAUUGGAUCUGAGGGGGGCGGCCCCCCUCUCCCUUGCCCCUAUAUAUAUGUGGGGGUGGAAGGGCAGCCGCACCCAAGUUCUAGCGCAGCCCUUCCCCUCUCCCAAGUCCUCCUCCUCUCUCGCGGUGCUUGGCAAAGCCCUACAGGAUUGCCACGCUCCUCCAUCACCACCACGCCGUUGUGCUGCUGCUGGAUGGAGUCUUCCUCAACCUCUCCCUCUCUCCUUGCUAGAUCAAGGCAUGGGAGACGUCACCGGGCUGUACGUGUGUUCGGCACUAGGAUCCCCGAUGAUUUGGAUCACGACGAGUACGACUCCUUCAACCCCGUUCUCUUGAACGCUUCCGCUUAGCGAUCUACAAGGGUAUGUAUAUGCACUCUCCUUCCCCUCAUUGCUAGUCUCUCCAUAGAUAGAUCUUGGUGACUCGUAGGAAAAUUUUGAAUUUCUGCUACGUUCCCCAACAGUGGCAUCAUGAGCUAGGUCUAUGCGUAGUUUCUAUGCAUGAGUAGAACACAAAGUAGUUGUGGGUGUUGAUUUUGUUCAAUAUGCUUACCGUUACUAGUCUUAUCUUGAUUCGGCGGCAUCGUGGGAUGAAGCGGCCCGAACCGACCUUACACGUACUCUUACGUGAGACAUGUUCCAUCGACUGACAUGCACUUGUUGCAUAAGGUGGCUAGCGGGUGCCAGUCUCUCCCACUUUAGUCGGAUCGGAUUCGAUGAAAAGGGUCCUUAUGAAGGGUAAAUAGCAAUUGACAUAUCACGUUGUGGUUUUUGCGUAGGUAAGAAACGUUCUUGCAAGAAACCCAUAGCAGCCACGUAAAACAUGCAAACAACAAUUAGAGGACGUCUAACUUGUUUUUGCAGGGUAUGCUAUGUGACGUGAUAUGGCCAUGAAGAAUGUGAUGAAUGAUAUGUGAUGUAUGAGAUUGAUCAUGUUCUUGUAAUAGGAAUCACGACUUGCAUGUCGAUGAGUAUGACAACCGACAGGAGCCAUAGGAGUUGUCUUUAUUUAUUGUAUGACCUGCGUGUCAUUGAACAACACCAUGUAAUUACUUUACUUUAUUGCUAACCGGUAGCCAUAGUAGUAGAAGUAAUAAGUUGGCGAGACAACUUCAUGGAGACACGGUGAUGGAGAUCAUGAUGAUGGAGAUCAUGGUGUCAUGCCGGUGACGAUGAUGAUCAUGGAGCCCCGAAGAUGGAGAUCAAAAAGGAGCAAAAUGAUAUUGGCCAUAUCAUGUCACUAUUUUGAUUGCAUGUGAUGUUUAUCAUGUUUAUGCAUCUUAUUUGCUUAGAACAACAGUAGUCAAUAAGAUGAUCCCUCAUUAAAAUUUCAAGAAAGUGUUCCCCCUAACUGUGCACCGUUGUGAAAGUUCGUUGUUUCGAAGCACCACGUGAUGAUCGGGUGUGAUAGAUUCUAACGUUCACAUACAACGGGUGUAAGCCAGAUUUACACACGCGAAACACUUAGGUUGACUUGACGAGCCUAGCAUGUACAGACAUGGCCUCGGAACACGGAAGACCGAAAGGUCGAGCAUGAGUCCUAUAGAAGAUACGAUCAACAUGAAGAUGUUCACCGACAUUGACUAGUCUGUCUCACGUGAUGAUCAGACACGGCCUAGUUGACUCGGAUCAUGUAAUCACUUAGAUGACUAGAGGGAUGCCUAUCUGAGUGGGAGUUCAUAAGAUGAACUUAAUUAUCCUGAACAUAGUCAAAAGAUCUUCGCAAAUUAUGUCGUAAGCUCACGCUUUUUCUACUGUUUAGAUAUGUUCCUAGAGAAAAUUUAGUUGAAAGUUGAUAGUAGCAAUUAUGCGGACUGGGUCCGUAAACUGAGGAUUGUCCUCGUUGCUUCGUAGAAGGCUUAUGUCCUUAAUGCACCGCUCAGUGUGCUGAACCUCGAACAUCAUCUGUGGAUGUUGCGAACAUCUCUCACACAUGUUUUGAUAACUACGUGAUAGUUCAGUAAUGAUAAACGGUUUAGAGUUGAGGCACCGAAGACAAUUUUGGAACGUCGCGAAACAUAUGAGAUGUUUCAAGGGCUGAAAUUGGGAUUUCAGGCUCGUGCCCACGUCAAGAGGUAUGAGACCUCCGACGGUUUUCUUAGCCUGCAAACUAAGGGAGAAAAACUCAAUCGUUGAGCUUGUGCUUAGAUUGUCUGAGUACAACAAUCACUUUAAUCGAGUGGGAGUUGAUCUUCCAGAUGAGAUAGUGAUGUUUCUCCAAAGUCAUUGCCACCAAGCUGCUAGAGCUUCGUGAUGAACUAUAUCAGGGAUAGAUAUGAUGAUCCUUGAAGUAUUCGCGAUGUUUGACACUGUGAAAGUAGAAGUCAAGUAGGAGCAUCAAUUGUUGAUGGUUAGUAGAACCACUAGUUUCAAAAAGGGCAAGGGCAAGGAGGGAUACUUCAUGAAACGGCAAAUCAGCUGCUGCUCUAGUGAAGAAACCCGAGGUUGAACCCAAACCCGAGACUAAGUGCUUCUGUAAUGAGAGGAACGGACACUAAAGCAGAACCACCCUAGAUACUUGGUAGAUAAGAAGGCAUGCAAGGUCGAAGGAAGUAUAUUGGAUAUACAUUAUGUUAAUGUGUACUUUACCAGUAUUCCUAGUAGCACCAGGGUAUUAGAUACCGGUUCAGUUGCUAAGUGUUAGUAACUCGAAGUAAAAGCUACGGAAUAAACAGAGACUAGCUAAAGGUGAGCUGACGAUAUGUGUUGGGAGUGUUUCCAAGGUUGAUAUGAUCAAGCAUCACACACUCCCUCUACCAUCGAGAUUGGUAUUAAACCUAAAUAAUUGUUAUUUGGUGUUUGCGUUGAGCAUAGACAUGAUUGGAUUAUGUCUAUCGCAAUACGGUUAUUCAUUUAAGGAGAAUAAUAGUUACUCUAUUUAUUUGAAUAAUACCUUCAAUGGUCUUGCACCUAAAAUGAAUGGUUUAUUGAAUCUCGAUCGUAGUGAUACACAUGUUCAUGCCAAAAGAUACAAGAUAGUAAUGAUAGUACCACCUACUUGUGGCACUGCCAUGUAAGUCAUAAAACGCAUGAAGAAGCUCCAUGUUGAUGGAUCUUUGGACUCACUCGUUUUUGAAAAGUUUGAGACAUGCAAACCAUGUCUAUUGGUAUGUACGCAUGAAGAAACUCCAUGCAGAUGGAUCGUUUUGGACUCACUUGAUUUUGAAUCACUUGAGACAUGCAAAUCAUACCACAUGGGCAAGAUGACUGAAAGCCUCGUUUUCAAUAAAAUGGAACAAGAAAGCAACUUGUUGGAAGUAAUACAUUUUGAUGUGUGCAGUCCAAUAAGUGCUAAGGCACGCAGUAGAUAUCAUUAUGUUCUUACUUCACGGAUGAUUUGAGUAGAUACUGAGUAUAUUUACUUGAUGAAACGCAAGUCUGAAUUAUUGAAUGGUUCAAGUAAUUUCAGAGUGAAGUUGAAGAUCAUCAUGACAAGAGGAUAAAAUGUCUAUGAUAUGAUCAUAGAGAUGAGUAUCUGAGUUACAAGCUUUGGCACGCAAUUAAGACAUUGUGGAAAUUGUUUCACAACUAAUACCGCCUGGAACACCAUAGUGUGAUGGUGUGCCCGAACAUCAUAGUUGCACCCUAUUGGAUAUGGUGCGUACCAUGAUGUCUCUUAUCAAAUUACCACUAUCGUUCAUGGGUUAGGCAUUAGAGACAACCGCAUUCACUUUAAAAUAGGGCACCAUGUAAUUCCGUUGAGACGACACCGUUUGAACUAUGGUUUGGAGAAACCUAAGUUGUCGUUUCUUAAAAGUUUGGGGCUGCGACGCUUAUGUGAAAAAGUUUCAGGUUGAUAAGCUCGAACCCAAAGUGGAUAAAAUGCAUCUUCAUAGGACACCCAAAACAGUUGGGUAUACCUCCUAAUUCAGAUCUGAAAGCAAUAGGGAUUGUUUCUUGAAUCGGGUCCUUUCUCGAGGAAAAGUUUGUCUCAAAAAUUGAGUGGGAGGAUGGUGGAGACUUGAUGAGGUUAUUGAACCGUCACUUCAACUAGUGUGUAGCAGGGCACAGGAAGUUAUUCCUGUGGCGUCUACACCAAUUGAAGUAGAAGCUUAUGAUAGUGAUCAUGAAGUUUCGGAUCAAGUCACUACCGUACCUCGUAGGGUGACAAGGAUGCGUACUACUUCAGAGUGGUACAGUAAUCCUGUCUUGAAGGUCAUGUUGCUAGACAACAAUGAACGUACGAGCUAUGGAGAAGCGAUGGUGGGCCCAUAUUCCGACAAAUGGUUAGAAGCCAUGAAAUCCGAGAUAGGAUCCAUGUAUCAGAACAAAGCAUGGACUUUGGUGGACUUGCCUGAUGAUCGGCAAGCCAUUGAGAUAAAUGGAUCUUGAAGAAGAAGACAGACGUGGACGGUAAUGUCACCGUCUAUGAAGCUCGACUUGUGGCGAAGAGUUUUUCACAAGUUCAAGGAAGUUGACUACGAUGAGAUUUUCUCAUUCGUAGCGAUGCUUAAGUCCGUCGGAAUCAUGUUAGCAUUAGCUGCAUUUAUGAAAUCUGCCAAAUGGAUGUCAAAACGAGUUUCCUUACCAGUUUUCGUAAGGAAAGGUUGUAUGCAAUACAAUCAGAAAGGUUUGUCGAUCCUAAGGAUGCUAAAAGGUAUGCUAGCUCCAGCGAUCCUUCUAAGGACUGGAGUAAGCAUCUCGGAGUUGGAAUGUACGCUUUGAUGAGAUGAUCAAAGAUUUUGGGUUUAUACAAAGUUUAUGAGAAAUUUGUAUUUCCAAAGAAGCGAGUGGGAGCACUAUAGAAUUUCUGAUAGGUAUAUGUUGUUGACAUAUUGUUGAUCAGAAAUGAUGUAGAAUUUCUGGAAAGCAUAUAGGGUUGUUUGAAAGGUGUUUUUCAAUAGAAAACCUGGAUUAAGCUGCUUGAACAUUGAGUAUCAAGAUCUAUGAGGAUAGAUCAAAAAAACGCUAAAUGGUAUUUUCAAAUGAGCACAUACCUUGACAUGAUCUUGAAGGUGUUCAAGAUGGAUCAGUCAAAGAAGGAGUUCUUGCUAGAAUUGUAAGGUAUGAAGUUAAGACUUAAAGCUCGACCACAGCAGAAUAGAGAGAAAGGACGAAGGUCGCCCCCUAUGCUUCAGACGUUGGCUCUAUAGUAUGCUAUGUUGUGUACCGCACCGGAAGUGUGCCUUGCCAUGAGUCAGUCAAGGGGUACAAGAAUGAUCCAGGAAUGGAUCAUUGGACAACGGUCAAAAUUGUCCUUGGAGUAAAUAAGGACAUGUUUCUCGAUUAUGGAGGUGAUAAAGAGUUCGGUGUAAAGGGUUACGGCGAUGCAAGCUUUAACACCUAUCCGAGUGACUCUGAGUAGCAAACCGGAUACAUAUAGUGGAGCAACCAUUUGGAAUAGCUCCAAGUGGAGCGUGGAAGCAGCAUUUACAAUAUGACCUAGAGAUUUGCGAAGUACAUACGGAUCUGAAUGUUACAGAUCCAUUGACUAAAACCUCUCUCACAAGCAAAACAUGAUCAAACCCCAGAACUCAUUGAGUCUUAAUCACAUGAUGAUGUGAACUAGUUUAGCGACACUAGUAAACUCUUUGGAUGUUGGUCACAUGGCGAUAUGACCUGUCAGUGUUAAUCACAUGGCGGUGUGAACUAGAUUAUUGACUCUAGUGCAAGUGGGAGACUGUUGGAAAUAUGCCCUAGAGGCAAUAAUAAAUUAGUUAUUAUUAUUAUAUUUCCUUGUUCAUGAUAAUCAUUUAUUAUCCAUGCUAUAAUUGUAUUGAUAGGAAACUCAGAUACAUGUGUGGGUACAUAGACAACACCAUGUCCCUAGUAAGCCUCUAGUUGACUAGCUCGUUAAUCAAUAGAUGGUUACAGUUUCCUGACCAUGGACAUUGGAUGUUGUUGAUAACGGGAUCACAUCAUUAGGAGAAUGAUGUGAUGGACAAGACCCAAUCCUAAGCCUAGCACAAAGAUCGUGUAGUUCAUAUGCUAAAGCUUUUCUAAUGUCAAGUAUCUUUUCCUGAGACCAUGAGAUUGUGCAACUCCCGGAUGCCAUAGGAAUGCUUUGGGCAUACCAAACAUCACAACGUAACUGGGUGGCUAUAAAGGUACACUACGGGUAUCUCCGAAAGUGUCAGUUGGGUUGGCACGAAUCGAGACUGGGAUUUGUCACUCCGUGUGACGGAGAGGUAUCUCUGGGCCCACUCGGUAGGACAUCAUCAUAAUGUGCACAAUGUGACCAAGGGGUUGAUCAUGGGAUGAUGUGUUAUGGAACGAGUAAAGAGACUUGCCGGUAACGAGAUUGAACAAGGUAUCGGCAUACCGACUAUCGAAUCUCAGGCAAGUAUAAUACCACUGGACAAAGGGAAUUGUAUACGGGUUUGAUUGAGUCCUUGACAUCGUGGUUCAUCCGAUGAGAUCAUCGUGGAACAUGUGGGAGCCAACAUGGGUAUCCAGAUCCUGCUGUUGGUUAUUGACAGGAGAACGUCUCAGUCAUGUCUGCAUGGUUCCCGAACCCGUAGGGUCUACACACUUAAGGUUCGAUGAUGCUAGGGUUAUAAAGGAAGUUUGUAUGUGGUUACCGAAUGUUGUUCGGAGUCUCGGAUGAGAUCCCGGACGUCACGAGGAGUUCCAGAAUGGUCUGGAGGUAAAGAUUUAUAUAUGGGAACUCAUCAUACGUUCACCGGAAUAAUUCGGGGGUUACCGGUAUUGUAUCGGGACCACCGAAGGGGUUCCGGGGGUCCACCUGCCCCGAAGGGCCCUGUGGGAUGUUUGUGGAGAGGGACCAGCCCCUUAGUGGGCUGGGCGCCUCCCCCCUAGGGCCCAUGCGCCUAGGGUUUGGGGGAACCCUAAAGGGGGGGCGCCCCCUUGCCUUGGGGGGCAAGGCAACCCCCUCUGGCCGCUGCCCCCUCCUCAGAUUGGAUCUGAGGGGGCCGGCCCCCGUCUCCCUUGCCCCUAUAUAUAUGUGGGGGGUGGAAGGGCAGCCGCACCCAAGUUCUGGUGCAGCCCUUCCCCUCUCCCAAGUCCUCCUCCUCUCUCGCGGUGCUUGGCGAAGCCCUGCAGGAUUGCCACGCUCCUCCAUCACCACCACGCCAUUAUGCUACUGCUAGAUGGAGUCUUCCUCAACCUAUCCCUCUCUCCUUGCUGAAUCAAGGCAUGGGAGACGUCACCGGGUUGUACGUGUGUUGAACGCGGAGGUGCCGUCCGUUCGGCACUAGGAUCUCCGGUGAUUUGGAUCACGACGAGUACGACUCCUUCAACCCCGUUCUCUUGAACGCUUCCGCUUAGAGAUCUACAAGGGUAUGUAGAUGCACUCUCCUUCCCCUUGUUUCUAGUCUCUCCAUAGAUAGAUCUUGGUGACUCGUAGGAAAAUUUUGAAUUUCUGCUACGUUCCCCAACAGAUCCUUGGUAUUAUCAGAAUCUCCAUACUUGACCAAGGCUGCCAUGAGGGUUCCCAUGUCAUUGCAGUGGCGCUUGAGACAUCCCAACUUCAUCUUCAGUGACUUAAACCGGCAAUUGCACUCUAGCGUUAUGAUCACUUGACCAGCGUUAAUCCGGUCAGACGAAUGCAAAACUUCUGAAACCCGGCGUACCCAAUGAGUUGUUGACUCGUUCUCCCCUUGAACACAAGCAUCCAGAUCCACAAUGGACAUGGGCUGUUUGCACGUGUCUUUGAAAUUGGCUAUAAACCAGGCCUUCAUUUGAUCCCACGACUCGAUGGAGUUAGCUGGCAAAUUUUUCAACCAAGUACGGGCCGUCUCUUCCAACAUCAUCGUGAAGUACUUUGCGUAGGCCACUUCAUCCACAUCUAGCAUCUCCAUUGCCAUCUCAUAACUCUCGACCCAUGCCUCAGGUGGCUGAUCCGCAGUAUAAUUAGGCACCUUACGUGGACCCUUGAAAUCUUUGGGCAGAUGCACAUUACGGAGAGCCAGAAUAAGACACGGCACUCCCCAGGAACCGAAGGCAAGCCCGGUGCCUCGGUCUACUGACGUCGCUGGCUGAACCGGGGCGGGUUGAUGACGACCCAAAGCGGCCUCCCUUCAUGCUCUGCCAUUAUCCACCAUGUCUUGAGCAUUACGAUGCCGAGCACUGCUAGACACUUCCGGUUCAUCCAUGUGCCUGCUAUAGCUUGGGCUCGGACGAGGGGUUGAAUGAAUUGUAUCCCGGCUAUAAGAAUAAGCCUGCUGCAGCACCACAGCGGUUUGAAGAAGGUCCCUAGCCCGCCGCGUUUCAAUUGCUGCCAGUGAAUCGCCCUCCAUCGAAAUGGCUGCCAGGCGCGAUGCUGCAGCAAUCAUGUUAUCCAGAGGGCUCGAGAAGUGACCCGGCGGUGUAGACACGUAUUGCAACGGGUUAUCUGUUCGCCGGGGUAGUUCUGUUAUCAGUAGUUGAUCCAGAGCUGUCCUAGGUGCAUCAGUCUGGUUUGCAGCUACCAGAUUGCUCGACCCAGCGCCUGGUGUUUGAAAGAGGUUCAAUCCUUCGUAGACCGACGGCAGACGAGACCGGUACUUCCUUCGCAUUACAUCCUCUGAUGCGGUCCGAUCCAGCAUGAGUUUAUAAUUCUGCGCCUGUAUCUGCUGUGACUGGGCAUCCAAAGCGGCCCGUUCUUCAGCCAUCCUAGCAUCCUCAGUUGCCAGGUCCUCAGCCUGUGUUAUCUAGUCCUUCAGCUUCGCAUGUCCGCAUUGUGCUGAUCCCGCGUCUCCGGGGUGACUGCCGUGGUUAACAAAGUCGCCCAGGCAUCCAUCAAACCGGAGAGGACUUGAGCCGGUCGGCGCGCCGGGGCUCCUGCCGCGGCUGCUGAUCCGGUAUUCAUUGCCGCUAUAGAUGAAGACUGCAAAGUGGGCUGUGUUCCGGCCAUGUAAACAGCAUCCCGACUUGGCGGUUCAAGGAGGUCCAGAAUACUGUUGCCGUCGGAAUAUCCUUCAAACACACCGUUAUGAAUCUGAUACAGGGACUCAGUUUCACCAAUGGAUGACUCGCCAUCAGAAUAAACAACCGUCUCGCCUUCAGACACCGGUUCAGAUCCGAUCCCAUGGACACAUCCUACGAAUGCACGCUUCAUGGCGGGAUUAACCCGGGCUGGACUUGCACGCUGAGCCGUCUCGACGAGGUCGGUGUAGAUGUCCGGCUCAGGGCCUGGUUCGCCGAUCUUGCCGAUGAAGACAUGAAUUCCGCCAAAGGGGACCCGGUACCCGUGCUCGAUUGAGCCGGCCUCGGGGCCCCAGCCUUCGUCGUCGAUGUGGAGCUUGCCGCGAUGACUUUUGGUCAUCCGGCUGACCAUGUACCCCUUAAGUCCUUCAAAGCUGCUCUUCAAGAACUCAAAACCAUCAUGCGAUAGCCCCACAGUGGGCGCCAACUGUCGUGGAAUUAACACGUCAGAUGUCCUCAUGAAAGGACUUAGUCGUGGAGCCAUCACAAUGGGUUAGCUUGAAGGGGUUAAACCGGACAAGGGACACGGGAGUUUUAUACUAGUUCGGCCCCUUCAAUGAAGGUAAAAGCCUACGUCUAGUUGUGAUGGGAUUGAUUGGGUUUCAAUGACCAGGGAGCGAAAACGCUUGCCUGAGUCCCGAGUUGUUGUUUCUUGUCCCUGAACCGCCGCCGGGUCGUCCCUUUAUAUACAUAGGUUGACGCCCGGCCGGUCUACAGAGCCCCGAGGCCAACUCAUACAAGGUGUCCGGCUCGGUCUCUCCUUUCCUAACUUACAUUACAAGUUACAUAGUCAUGGCGGUUUACCAUUAUGGGCCCUAAUCCACCUUUGGGCUUUGGGCCUCCAAGCUUCAUUAAUAAAGCGCCGUCUUCUGGAUCUUCAUGGGCUUCAACAUAGUCGAGGGUGAACCGGGCCCUCCUGGCCGGUUUAAACUCAGUAGUUAUAUCCCCAACAAAAGGCAUCGGUGCCAUCAUACUCCGACUUGACGGCCCGCCACCCGCCUUCUUCGCCUUCUCCGGCCUCCCCAUGCCAGCUGCCCAAGGAGGCGACCCCGAGAAGUUCAAGGAGCCGGCAACACAGAUGAUGGGGUCGCCGGUGUCUCCCCGGAGCGGCGCGCCCGACGCUUAGUCGGACAUGUCAUCCUGCCGCUCGCCACCCUCGCCGUCGCUGCCGCUGUCCUCCUCGACACUCUUGCUCGAGGAGGAGUCUUCGUCAUCAGAGGAGCUCUCCAUGCAGCACCUUACGCGAGUCCCGAAGUGUCCAAAGACCUUGACGGAGAGGAGGCCACUCUUCAUUAAUUUGAAAUGGAGAGUGAGCCCCUCCGUCAGGCUGUGGAUGCAAGCAAAGGUCUUCCACCCUCGGCGAAGAUACAUGACGUGAGGGGCGGGGAACUCGACGUUGGUCCAUGUGCCGCUAUUCCCACAACCCCUCAUAUGCAGCCGUAGCGCCUGCGGCGGGUCCAACUCCAUCUCCCGUGCAAAUGGGGUCGGGAGGCGAAGACGACGGUGCGGCGGCUGGCGCAGCCUGAUGAAGAACUCGUAGGGGUUGUCCCUGACGUGGCCCUCCACUGGGGGAGGGGCCGCUGGCGAAGGCGAGGCCGAUGUGCCGCCCCAUCCUCCUCUUCCCCGAGCGUCGCGACGUCCUCGACCUCGCCCCUCCCCCUGCCUCUAACAGCUAGCUCCGCCACCACAAGCUCUUGGGGAGGGGCGAUGCGCUGUCGAGCAGAGACCCUCGCCGCCACCGAUGAAGCAUCACCGCCCUCUCGCCCUGGUAUAAGAGAGGAAGGAGUAGGGAUGGGGAGAGGCGAAUAGUAAAGGACUAAGAGGCGCCAUUCCUCCCGCUCCCCUCCUUAUAAAGAGACGGGGGCGGGGCUCGGCCACCCCUCUCGGCCAAUCCGGCUCAUUAAAGGUGACAGCGGGCGAGGCCGUCGACCGUCCUCCCCUCCCAAUUGAAGGCGCGUGGGAAUCGACCCACGCGCGCACGUCUUCCUGUAUCCCGCACGCCUGUCAUUCCCUUUGCUUUGUGCAUGCAGUGUACGUGGCGCGAGAGACGGGGUAAUGGGACGCAUGGAAUGACAGUUUCUAGGUAAGGACAAUAAAUGAUCUGCGGCCCUACGGUCUCAAAGGGACACGCAAGCCGCCUCUUUACUGUUCACCGCAAGAUGAUGCAAGCAUGCUUCAAUCACCCGCGCGCGCGACCCCCACGUCACGCAUUCAACGCAGGUCGUGGGGAAGCGUAGCGGACGGAAAGAUACCAUGGUAAAAACCGCCCCGCCUGCCCGCGCACCGUUCUGGGCCUGGCCCAACAACGUGUCACGCUUAUGUGUGGCCCAGGCCCGGGGGCUCCUGUCGGUGUACUAAAAUAGGGGCGCUCUUUUGUACCCCUUAUUUGUGCACGGGCAGUCAGAGCCGCGCCCAUGGCCACACUUAAGCAGGGCAGAGACAGGAAAUCAGAGCCACAACACAGAAUCAAAGCAACACCAAGACAGAAGCACAAAGAGCCAGAAGGCGAAGUGGUUUCCCCUGGCAAGGUUUUUGCUGGGCAGCCCCCACGGCCCCAGCAAGGCCCUUGCCGGGGCAGCCUACCUGACGUCAGCAGGGCACGCCACCCUUGAGCCCUGAUUCCUCCAGCGCCACCAACCGCGUUGGACCAAGGCUCGGGAGGCGUCACCAUGGUGGCAUGCAGAUCUUUGUGAAGACAAGGAUAAUACUCCAAAUCAGAAGAGUAGAAGACGAUGAACCUCGGUGAGAUCUUCGCUCAGAAAACCCACAAGACCCCUGCUACGUCUUGAGCUUGCGUUGGUUUUCCUUGAAGUGGAAGGGGUGAUGCAGCAAUAGUAGCGUAAGUAUUUCCCUCAGUUUUUGAGAAUCAAGGUAUCAAUCCAGUAGGAGGCUCCUUAAAAGUCCCACGCACCUACACAAACAAACAAAGAACUCGCAACCAAUGCAAUAAAGGGGUUGUCAAUCCCUUCACGGCCACUUGCAAAAGUGAGAUCUGAUAGAGAUAGUAUGAUAAGAUAAAUAUACUUUUGGUAUUUUAUAAUAUAGAUUGGAAAAGUAAAGAUGCAAAUAAAAGUAGAUUGAAAGCUUAUAUGAUAAAGAAUAGACCCGGGGCCAUAGAUUUAACUAGUGGCUUCUCUCAAGAUAGCAUAAGUAUUAUGGUGGGUGAACAAAUUAUUGUCGAGCAAUCGAUAGAAAAGCGAAUAAUUAUGAGAUUAUCUAGGCAUGAUCAUGUAUAUAGGCAUCACGUCCGUGACAAGUAGACCGACUCCUGCCUGCAUCUACUAAUAUUACUCCACAUAUCGACCGCUAUCCAGCAUGCAUCUAGAGUAUUAAGUUCAUAAGAACAUAGUAAUGCAUUAAGAAAGAUGACAUGAUGUAGAGGGAUAAACUCAUGCAAUAUGAUAUAAACCCCAUCUUUUUAUCCUCGAUGGCAACAAUACAAUACGUGCCUUGCUGCCCCUGCUGUCACUGGAUAAGGACACCACAAGAUUGAACCCAAAGCUAAGCACUUCUCCCAUUGCAAGAAAGAUCAAUCUAGUAGGCCAAACCAAACUGAUAAUUCGAAGAGACUUGCAAAGAUAACUCAAUCAUACAUAAAAGAAUCCAGAGGAGAUUCAAAUAUUUCUCAUAGAUAAACUUGAUCAUAAACCCACAAUUCAUCGGAUCUCGACAAACACAUCGCAAAAAGAGUUACAUCGAAUAGAUCUCCACAAGAGGGGGGGGGGAGAAUAUGGUAUUGAGAUCCAAAAAGAGAGAAGAAGCCAUCUAGCUAAUAACUAUGGACCCUAAGGUCUAUGGUAAACUACUCACAAAUCAUCAGAGGGGCUAUGGUGUUGAUGUAAAAGCCCUCCAUGGUCGAUUCCCCCUCCGGUGGAGCACCGGCGAAGGCUCCAAGAUGGGUUCUCACGGAUACAGAAGGUUACGGAGGUGGAAAUUGUUUUUCGUUGGCUCCCUGGAUGUUUUCGGGGUACAUGGGUAUAUAUAGGAGGAAGAAGUACGUUGGUGGCCGCCCGAGGGGCCCACGAGAUAGGGGGUGCGCCUUGUAGGGGUGGGCGCGCCCUCCAGCCUCGUGUCCACCUCGGCUUCUUCUUGACUUGCACUCCAAGUCCUCUGAAUCACGUUCGUUCCAAAAAUCAUGCUCCCGAAGGUUUCAUUCCGUUUGGACUCCGUUUGAUAUUCCUUUUCUUCGAAAUACUGAAACAAGCAAAAAAACAAUAUGGGCUAGGCCUCCAGUUAGUAGGUUAGUCCCAAAAAUGAUAUAAAUGUGUAAAAUAAAGCCCAUAAACAUCCAAAAGGGGUAAUAUAAUAGCAUGGAACAAUAAAAAGUUAUAGAUAUGUUGGAGACGUAUCAAGCAUCCCCAAGCUUAAUUCCUGCUCGUCUUCGAGUAGGUAAAUGAUAAAAACAGAAUUUUUGAUGUGGAAUGCUACCUAGCAUAAUUCUCAAUGUAAUUUUCUUUAUUGUGGCAUGAAUGUUCAGAUCCAAAUGAUUCAAAAUAAAAGUUCAUAUUGACAUGAGAAAUAGCAAUACUUCAAGCAUACUAAUACAAGCAAUCAUGUCUUCUCAAAAUAACAUGGCUAAAGAAAGUUCAUCCCUACAAAAUCAUAUAGUUAGGCUAUGUUUCAUUUUCAUCACACAAAAUACUCCCAUCAAGAACAACCCCAAUUUCAGCCAAGCAAUUGGUUCAUACUUUUUAACGUGCUUCAACCUUUUUCAACUCUCAUGCAAUACAUGAGCAUGAGCCAUGGAUAUAGCACUAUGGGUGGAAUAGAAUAUGAUGAUGGAGGUUGUGUGGAGAAGACAAAAAAAGAGAAAGUCUCACAUUGACGAGGAUAAUCAAUGGGCUAUGGAGAUGCCCAUCAAUUGAUGUCAACAUGAUGAGUAGGGAUUGCCAUGCAACGGAUGCACUAGAGCUAUAAAUGCAUGAAAGCUCAACAAAAGAAAACUAGUGGGUGUGCAUCCAACUUGCUUGCUCACGAAGACCUAGGGCAUUUGAGGAAGCCCAUCGUAGGAAUAUACAAGCCAAGUUCUAUAAUGAAAAAUUCCCACUAGUAUAUGAAAGUGACAACAUAUGAGACUCGCUAUAUGAAAAACAUGGUGCUACUUUGAAGCACAAUAUAUGAGACUCGCUAUAUGAAGGACAUGGUGCUACUUUGAAGCACAAGUGUGGAAAAAGAGAUAGUAACAUCGCCCCUUUUUAUUUUUUUAUUUUUUUAUUUUUUAUUUUUUAUUUUUUUAUUUUUUUCUUUUUCUUUUUUUGGGCUUUCUUUUUUUCCUUUUUCUUUUUUGGGACAAUGCUCUAAUAAUGAUGGUCAUCACACUUUUAUUGAUUUACAACAUAUGAAUUACAACUCAAAACUAGAACAAGAUAUGACUCUAUAUGAAUGCCUCUGGCGGUGUACCCGGAUGAGCAAUGAAUCAAGAGUGACAUGUAUGAAAAAUUAUGCAUGGUGGCCUUGCCACAAAUAUGAUGUCAACUACAUGAUCAUGCAAUGGCAAUAUGACAAUAGUAAUGCGUGUCAUGAUGAUAAACGAAACGGUGGAAAGUUGCAUGGCAAUAUAUCUCGGAAUGGCUAUGGAAAUGCCAUAAUAGGUAGGUAUGGUGGUUGUUUUGUGGAAGAUAUAAGGUGAUUUAUGUGUGAUAGAGCGUAUCGUAUCACGGGGUUUGGAUGCACCGGUGAAGUUUGCACCAACUCUCAAGGUGAGAAAGGGCAAUGCACGGUACCGACGAGGCUAGCAAUGAUGAAAAGGUAAAAUUGCGUAUAAUCCAUGGACUCAACAUUAGUCAAACGAACUCAUAUACUUAUUGCAAAAAAAAUAUUAGCCCUCGAAGCAAAGUACUACUACACAUGCUCCUAGGGGGAGGUUGGUAAGAGUUAACCAUCGCACGCCCCCGACCUCCACUCAAGGGAAGGCAAUCAAAAGAGCACUCUAUGUAAUAAAUUUGUUACACAACUUUUACCAUAUGUGCAUGCCACGAGACUUGCUAACUUCAACACAAGCAUUCUCUAAAUUCAUAAUCACCCAACUAGCAUGACUUUAAUACCACUACCUCCAUAUCUCAAAACAAUUAUCAAGUAUCAAGUUUAUCAUAGCAUCCAAUUCACUUCCUAUGAUAGUUUUUAUUAUACCCAACUUGGAUGCCUACCAUUCUAGGACCAAUUUUAUAACCAUAGCAAAUACCAUGCUGUUCUAAAAGACUCUCAAAAUAAUAUAAGUGAAGCAUGAGAGACUAGCAAUUUCUACAAAAUUAAGCCACCGCCAUGCUCUAAAAGAUAUAAGUGAAGCACUGGAGCAAAAACUAUCUAGCUCAAAAGAUAUAAGUGAAGCACAUAGAGUAUUCUAAUAAAUUCCAAUCAAGUGGGCUUCUCCCAAAAGGUGUGUACAGCAAGGAUGAUUAUGGAAAAAUAAAAAACAAAUACUAAUAUCAUACACGAUGCUCCAAGCAAAACACAUAUCAUGAGACGAAUAAAAAUAUAGCUCCAAGUAAAGUUACCAAUGAACGAAGACGAAAGAGGGGAUGCCUUCUGGGGGCAUCCCCAAGCUUAGGCUUUUGGCUAUUCUUGAAUAUCUUGGGGUGCCAUGGGUGUUCGCACCCGAACACGUCACUGUGUACCCUCAACACCGGGGGUGAUGCACCGCAACUGACGUCGAAGGAGACCCGUCCGGAAGCGCGGUACGCAAGCAAUCCGGUGGGUGCUUUUGUAGACCCAAAACCCCACACGCCCGGGAGGGACCCCGUCAGGGCGCGUGGCAGCUAUGGGCUGCCCUAGGUCGACCUGAUCGCCCCUAGGGCCUCGAGGUUCGCCGCCCUGCAACAAGAAGAACGAACGAAGAACGAGGAAGAAGAAGAACUAGGGUUAAGGAGAAAAGAUAAAAGAUAAAAAGUGGUAGAUGAUUUGAUCGAUUGUGUGUUGUUCAAUCGGCCGUCACCCCUUAGAUAUAUAAGAGGCGGCUGGACUUCCCGUGCAAGGAAAAGGCUUGGAUUCACGUCCAAAACCCUAGUCAAAUUUGGAUUGGUUUUGUCCGAACUUUCCAAAACUGUUCGGUUUAAACUGGCUGCACCUUGUGAGUCUUUUUUCUGGUGGUAAACGACCUCAGAUGGAAACGAGCCCAAAAGCAAUCUUAACCGUUUCGACGAGACGAACAACUUUAUUGUUGAAUGUUUUUUGAUCAGAGGCCAUCUUGAGGGAGUUUUAGGCUGUUUUCCGAAGUUUGUCGCAGAAAAAUCCAAAACCCGGACAAACAACCCCGGAGUGUCCGGCCGUCCUCGGAGAAACCCAAAACCCGGAUGAUCAUUCCCGGAGUGUCUGGCCAUCCUGAUGCAGCCGCGCAUUUUUGGCUCUAACUUUUGCAUACGAACUUGGAUUGGGACGAUUUUUAUAUCAAAAUCGACCUUUUCGAUGAGACGAAGACAAUUCAUGUAGAUAAUGUUUUCAUUUGAAGUCUUCUUGGGGGCCUAAUAGGCCAAACUGUACUCUGAAUAUAAGAUCUUUGUACUUUGAGCAUAGUUUCGGCCUUCGAGAUGAAACCGGACGGUGAUGGCCCAAACUUCAAAGAUGUUCAUAUCAACAAUACGGAACUCUUUCAUGUAGAACACUUCUCCAUUUGAAGCCAUCUUAAAUAAGUUCUUGACCGUGCCAAAAUCUGGUGUCAACACAUGCCCCCCUGUUUUUCGGCAAAGCUUGUGUGCCGAAAAAUAAUUUGCACAUAUCUUACUCCGAGGACGAUGUCAACACUCCAUCGGCCAUUUGUAUGUGCUUAGGACGAUAAGUAUAUAUCAGCCAUUGCUUGUUUGAACCUCUUGAUGCAACUUGGGUGAAAACUUCUCAACUUAUAUAACAAUCCGAUGAUAAGGUUCCAUACAUAUGCAUCGCAAAGCCAUCCUCUGAACCAUAUUAUUCACCCUUUCGCUAGGAUUUUGCAGAUAAUCAAGAAUGAACUUCCUCCAAUCCUUGCUUUGCCUACAUAAAAGUUUCAUUAGUGGCCGAGGUGGUGAGCUCCAAUUCGGCCUUACCUAUGUUGGCAAGAAUAAGCAUCGGCUGUUGAUAGAUGUGCAAUAUACCAUGAUGGACAUGGUAGCCGGAUGCUUGCUAUGCCAACUCUCUCCAAUUGUCAUGUCUAGAUAUAUGAAGUAUAUUAAAGUAACCAAGGUAAAUUUUGCAUCUAGACAUAUCCCAAGAUAAACUAUAAAUGAUUCGUCAAAACAUUGAUAACCCUUGGAUAUUUGUUGCACUAUUUUAUAACGAAUCACUGAAAGCCUCAAUUUGUAUAGCACCUAUAGCAACCAAAAUCUUCAAACCGAAUACAAUUUCAUAUUCGGCUUUGAUUUUUGUGCAAAAAUAUUUUAAGUGGCAUGAGGCUUCACAAAAUAACGCCAUAUGGAGAUAUAUGAACAACACUGACACAUUGGCCAUUGCUACGAAUUGAACCAUCAAAAUAUAAUCUCCAUAGUACUAGAGAGACAAGGCUAAUAUCACUUAACAUGUACCUUGUCUCGGUCUCCAAUUGAAUUAAGGACGAUGUUAGAAUUCCACACUGGCCAUGAUCAGAUAGUUUCUUAGGACGAUAGUUAAGUAUCGGCCAUUACCAUGAGGUCCAUGUAGAAUUCAUCCACUAAAGCAUGUAUAGCCAAAAUAAACAAAUAAAAUAGCAAUAAAAUAUUUCGGCCCCUUUGUAUUAGCAACAAAAAUGAAACUAACCAAAUGUAUAGUGAUUUGGUAAUACCCUCUCAUGAUAUAGAAAAUUAUGUUGCAUCCAUGGACCAAAAUGAAUCCAUGGAGGGUAAUUGAUCAUACCUAGGGAUGAAUUCCAUGGCAAAGGCAUCAACGACAUGGUUGAAGAAAAUGGAUGAUGUGCUAACCGAAGAUUUUGAUGUUGUGAUGCGCACCUUCGACUUAAUUGUUUGUUGCUUUCCUUCUUUUCCUUCUUCACUUUUAUUGUACUUGUUGCAAUAGAAACAUGCACAUCAUUUUUGUUUUGAUUGAUCUUCUUGGGAACCCAUGCCACGUUCUUCUUUCUCAGCUCUUGUGCACUAAGAUUUUGUAAUUCCUUCUUUUGCCAAUAUGAUAAGCUGAGUGAGCAGCUCGACUGUGAUUUUCUUUCAAUAAAUGGCAACUCUUUUUGGGCCUUGUGCACCCUCAACUUCUUUUCUUCAGAUUUGGCACUCUGAUUUUUAUCAAUUGAUUGUUUCACUUCUUUGCCUUUUGUAGCCAAUGUCAACACUUUAAUUGGCUCUUUGUUAUUUGAGAUCAAAUCUGAAGUAGCACACUUACGACCAUCUCUUUUCAUGCGGUAAACUUGCUUUACCACCUCUUUCUUCUUCCUUGAGCUCUGGACCGAUUCCUUAUGAUUGAAACAGUCUUUAAUAUGCGACUGUUCAAAUGUUGAUCUUCUCGGAGCUGCAUAAUAUUGGUGAGAUGGUCUAAAAUAAGAUGGAGAAUGUGCCCUUGUAUCAUACCUAUCCCAUGAUGGAUAUGAAUCAACAUGAGCAUAGGGAGGCAUCCACGACAUUGGCAUUGGCGGCCCAAAAUAAGGAUAUGAAUAUCUUGCAUUAAAAUUAUCACUUUGCCAAUACCGUUCCUCAUAUUUGCGCCUUGGGGGUGAUCUUGGUUUCUUUGCAUGAUUUGGCCAAUAAGCAUUCUUCUCUUCACUCUUCUUUUGAUAUUUAUCCAAUAGUUCAGCGAAGGUGAUUUUUGAUCUCUUACACUUGCGCUUACUUCGCCUUUGUUUUCUUUUGGUUUGCUUUCAUCGAUCAUUGGAUUUGCUUGCUACCCCCCAGUCCUUGGCGUCUCCAUUGUAGCUUUGAUGGAAUUUUCACCCUCAAGAUUAUGUUCAUUAUGCUCUUCAACAACUUCUUUACUUGAAAGCUUGAUCCCAUCACCCGCAGUUUUUACCUUCUCUUUAAAUGGGUCGGCUUGAAGCAGCCAAUGCAAAAACUUUCUGCCAUCGGGACCAAUCCGAAUAGACUGGUCAUCUCUUGGUGUCUCAACAAAUUUCAAUCGUCCUUUAGCAAUGGCCGAUUUAACUAUUUUAUGAAACAUAUUGCAAUCCUCAAAAUUAUGUUCGAACGAAUGAUGCAACCUACAAUACAUUCGUCCUUGAAUUGAUGGCUUGACAUGGUGAUAAAAAAUUCUUAUGUAAUUAUUUUUCAGCAACAAAUCAAAUAUUUAAUCACACAUGCUUGAAUUGAGGGCGAACUUUUUAUUUUCUAGCCGAUCUUGCUGUGAGAACGGCUUUGGAGUUAAGCAAACGAAUGAUUCAGAUUUUGUAUCUCUCCAUUUGGCUAUGAAUUUUAUUUUGCAUUCUCUUACCGAUGUCAUUGGAUAAGAAACUAUACUUGCAUCAGUUUGCUCAAAAGAUUUUAACCUUGGCUUUAAAUUUCUGAAACAAAAAUAGUUAGAACAUACAUGUCUCAAUUGAGACCAAGUGUAAGCCAAGUAAGAAAUAAGCAAAGCUACCUAAUUAGAUAUGAAUUUUAGACAAAGCAAUGGCGAAAGCCUUGGCUGCAAUAAUUUUUUGCUAUCGGUCUUUCUGAAUGGUGUAAUGUGUUGACCGAUAUGCUUCAUAACAAGUUUAUUGCUAACAAGUAAAUUACCCUUCUUCAUUGGUCUUUCAAAAUUACUUAUGAGAAUAUUUCUUAUAGAUGCAUCAAUAAUGAAGUCGCGACCAAAUCUGAAAAUAGGUAAAUUACUCUCUAUGCAUACCUCUUCAAAUAUGUUGGGAGAAUAUGAUGGCGGUGCUACUUGAAGAACAUCUUGCUCCAUCUUUGGAUGGCUCCCCAACACCUUUUCAUCAUAUUUUUCUUGAUUCCAUGCAUCAUUGCUUUGAAGAUCCAUGUCAACCGAACUUUGUUUGGCUACUUGUUCUUGUCCUUGAGGCUUGUCAAUUUCUAUGGCACGAAACUCAUAGGGCAGGAAGUAGGUUCCAUUGACUUCGGAAAAAUCAAAUAUGGCUGUUUUGCCAUGCUUUCCAUGCCCUUUCUCAAUAAUGCUUGCCUCUUUGGAUUUGAUGAACUCAUAAUAUAUACUACUUGAUUCGGCUUUUCUAACAAUCAAAUUUUCUUUGUUACCUGAAUCAACAACUUUAUCUUUUUGAAUUUGCGAGGCUUCUCGCUUUCGUAUAAUUUUGGCCCACAUCUCAGCUUGGCGAGCUUUAAACUUUUUCAUCUCAAUUUCCAUCCACUCAUCAUGAGAUUGCCCCCCAAUACUUUGAGACUCUUUCGGCAAUGAGGUGCCGAAACUUUGAGAUUGUUUAGGUGGUAUACUGGAUGGUACAACACUGCACAACUCUAGCUUUUACAGCAGCAAAAUCAUGAGGCUUCCCGCCUUCUAUUAGUUCCUUGCGAAUAGAGUUGCACAAAUCCCAAGAGAAUGUAAGCUUGUUCUUAAUUACCCAGUCUGGAUAUGGUUGCCCCCGAAUGCUUUUAGACUCUUUCGGCAAUGAGAUGUUGCCGAACUUCUGUAAUUGUGAAGGGGGUACAUGAUAUGCCACGGUAGUAGGUGAAGGCAUUUGUGCUCCUGCAGAAGUUUCACUUAUUCGGCCAUGACCAUGAAGGUGCGGAGCCGAAUUAUGGACAUCAAUAGUAGCAUAUGGUGCCAAAAAAUUAGUAGCAUUAGGUAUAGCAUAUGAUGUUUGAGGGUAAUUGGCCAAAUAACUAGUAGUAACAUGGCCAAUUCCCCUAUCCACCGGCACAUUUGGAUUAACGUACUGCAAGUUAUUUGCCGAUCAAUAAGAACUUGAAACACUUUGUUGCAUACCAUUGGAAGUUCCUACAUAGGGUGUCUCAACUUGAUUAACCGAACUCAUCAUGUUAUUCAUUGGCAUAUAAAUUUGUGGGGUUGCCGAUGCAUGGGAGUUGGGAUACAUAUGUUGCAUGUUGCUAAAAUUAUAUGAAGUAGAAUCAUGGAUAUUUUGUUGCACCGGCCCUUGCACAUAAUUAGAUGCAUAAUUGAUAAAGCUAGGGCUAGCCGAUACAUUAUGCUCAUUAGAUGAUCUAGCAACAACAUAUGCAUUAUUUGCAUCUGCAUAUGUGAUUUGGGUAUUCAUAUUACCUUUGUAGAUUGCAAACCCUAGAUGACGAUCUCUUCGUAGCAAGAACGGGUCGGAGACCGUUCAAAGCUUCAUCCCCAGCGGAGUCGCCAAAAAGUGUGUUCGCAUACGAAAACAUCACCGUGUACCCUCGACACCGGGGGUGAUGCACCGCAACUCACGUCGAAGGAGACCCGUCCAGAAGCACGGUACGCAAGCAAUCCGGUGGGCGCUUUUGUAGACCUGAAACUCCACACGCUCGGGAGGGACCCCGUCAGGGCACCCGGCGGCUAUGGGCUGCCCUAGGUCGACCUGAUCGCCCUAGGGCCUCGAGGUUCGCCGCCCUGCAACAAGAAGAACGAGCGAAGAACGAGGAAGAAUAAGAACUAGGGUUAAGGAGAAAAGAUAAAAGAUAAAAAGUGGUAGAUGAUUUGAUCGAUUGUGUGUUGUUCAAUCGGCUAUCAAGCCUUAGAUAUAUAAGAGGCGACUGGACUUCUCGUGCAAGGAAAAGGCUUGGAUUCACGUCCAAAACCCUAGUCAAAUUCGGAUUGGUUUUGUCCGAACUUUCCAAAAUUGUUCGGUUUAAACUGGCUGCACCUUGUGGGUCUUUUUUCUGGUGGUAAACGACCUCAGAUGGAAACAAGUCCAAAAGCAAUCUUAACGGUUUCGACGAGACGAACAACUUUCAUGUUGAACGUUUUUUGAUCAGAGGCCAUCUUGAGGGGGGUUUAGGCUAUUUUCUGAAGUCUGCGGUAGAAAAAUCCAAAACCCGGACAAACAACCCCGGAGUGUCCGGCCGUCCUCGGAGAAACCCAAAACCCGGAUGAUCAUUCCCGGAGUGUUUGGCAAUCCUGAUGCAGCCGCGCAUUUUCGGCUCUAACUUUUGCAUACGAACUCGAAUUCGGAUGAUUUUUAUAUCAAAAUCGACCGUUUCGACGAGACGAAGACAAUUCUUGUAGAUAAUGUUUUCAUUUGAGGUCUUCUUGUGGGCCUAAUCGGCCAAACUGUACUCUGAAUAUAAGAUCUUAGUACUUUGAGCAUAGUUUCGGCCUUCGAGAUGAAACCGGACGGCGAUGGCCCAAACUUCAAAGAUGUUCAUAUCAACAAUACGGAACUCUUUCAUGUAGAACACUUCUCCAUUUGAAGCCAUCUUAAAUAAGUUCUUGACCGUGCCAAAAUCUGGUGUCAACAAUGGGCAUGCCCAAGCUUAGGCUCUUGCCACUCCUUGUUCCAUAGUCCAUAAAAUCUUUACCCAAAACUUGAAAACUUCACAACACAAAACUCAACAGGAAAUCUCAUAAGCUCCGUUAGUGAAAGAAAACAAAACCACCACAUAAGGUACUGUAAUGAACUCAUUCUUAUUUAUUUUGGUGUUAAACAUACUGUAUUCCAAGUUCUCUAUGGUUCAUACUACUUAAUACUAGCCAUAGAUGCAUUAAAAUAAGCAAACAACACACGAGAAACAGAAUCUGUCAAAAACAGAACAGUCUGUAGCAAUCUGUAACUAAUGCAAACGUCUAGAACUUUAAAAAUCCUACCAAAAUAGGAAGUCCUGGGUAAUUUGUCUAUUGAUCAUCAGCAAAAAGAAUCAAUGCAAAAGCAUGUUUCUGUGAUUUAACAAAACUAAUUUCAUGCGCGCAAAGUUUCUGUUUUUCAGCAGAAUCAAAUUAACUAUCACCAUAGGUUAUCCUAUAGGUUUUACUUGACACGAACACUAAUUAAAACAUAAAAACACAUCUAAAAAGAAGGUAGAUGCAAAAUUUAUUACUAAACAGGAAUGAAAACAAAAAACACAAAUAAAAUUGGGUUGCCUCCCAACUAGCGCUAUCGUUUAACGCCCCUAGCUAGGCAUACUCAAUUCCUCAAUAGAGCACUUUUAAUCUUUAGGGGUUUCUCCCUUUUUAGCAAUGAUUAAACCUUUAGGCAAAAAUUCAAGAAAUUCGUUUGUAGCAAAAGGUUCCUUAAUGAUAGAGAGACAAUUGGGAUGAACGCUUAUUGAUUUUAGAUCCGCGUCUCCCUUACUAGAAGAUUCACCCUUAUUUUUAGGAACAUAAAUAAACUUGGCAGUUUUGGUAGGAGGUUUUGGAGUGUUUUUCAUGGAAGAAAACACCAACCCUAAGUUGGUAAUAAUAUUCUCAAGUUUACCGAUUCUUGCAGAAUCGAAAUCUAUCUUUUCAUUAACUAUAGGUUCUUUCUCUAUAAAAGUUUUCAAAGUAACUCCGACCCUAGAUCCAUAUUGGGUAAUGUGAUUAUGAAUCUUUUUAUCCAAAUUUUCAAUCAACUCAACAGUGACAACUUUGUUUUCAAUAAUUUCAAGCUGUUGCAUCACAUGUUCCAAAGUUAAAAUAGUUCCAUUAACCAAAAGAGGUGGUGGGCCAAACAAAUCUAACAUAGCAUUAUAAGCAUUAAACGUAUGGCUACUCAAGAAAUCCCCUCCGGUAAUGGUAUUAAGAACGCAUCUAUUCCAAGGAGUAAUGCCUACAUAAAAAUUGCGAAGAAGAACGGAAGUAGAAAGCUUCCUAGUGGAUUUAUUUCAAGCAUUGCAAAUUCUAUGUCAAGCAUCUUUUAAAUUUUCUCCCUCCCUUUGCUUAAAAUUAAGAAUUUCAUGUUCGGGAGUAAUAACAAAGAUAGGAGGACUAGCCAUUAUGACAAGGUAAACGAUCUAACACACGAGCAAACAAAAAAGGCAAGCUAAAAAGAGAGGAGAAGAUUGGGAAAGAGAGGGCAAAUAAAACGGCAAGGGUGAAGUGGGGGAGAGGAAAACGAGAGGCUAAUGGGAAAUAAUGUAAAUGCGAGGGAGAUGAGUUUGUGAUGGGUACUUGGUAUGUCUUGACUUGAGCGAAGACCUCCCCGGCAACUGCGCCAGAAAUCCUUCUUGCUACGUCUUGAGCUUGUGUUCGUUUUCCUUGAAGAGGAAAGGGUGAUGCAGCAAUAGUAGCGUAAGUAUUUCCCUCAGUUUUUGAGAACCAAGGUAUCAAUCCAGUAGGAGGCUCCUCAAAAGUCCCACGCACCUACACAAACAAACAAAGAACUCGCAACCAACGCAAUAAAGGGGUUGUCAAUCCCUUCAUGGCCACUUGCAAAAGUCCUCAGUUUUUGAGAACCAAGGUAUCAAUCCAGUAGGAGGCUCCUCAAAAGUCCCACGCACCUACACAAACAAAUAAAGAACUCGCAACCAACGCAAUAAAGGGGUUGUCAAUCCCUUCACGACCACUUGCAAAAGUGAGAUCUGAUAUAGUAUGAUAAGAUAAAUAUAUUUUGGUAUUUUAUAAUAUAGAUUGGAAAAGUAAAGAUGCAAAUAAAAGUAGAUUGAAAGCUUAUAUGAUAAAGGAUAGACCCGGGGGCCAUAGGUUUCACUAGUGGCUUCUCUCAAGAUAGCAUAAGUAUUACGGUGGGUGAACAAAUUUCUGUCGAGCAAUUGGUAGAAAAGCAAAUAAUUAUGAGAUUAUCUAGGCAUGAUCAUGUAUAUAGGCAUCACGUCUGUGACAAGUAGACCGACUCCUGCCUGCAUCUACUACUAUUACUCCACACAUCGACCGCUAUCCAGCAUGUAUCUAGAGUAUUAAGUUCAUAAGAAUAGAGUAACGCAUUAAGAAAGAUGACAUGAUGUAGAGGGAGAAACACAUGCAAUAUGAUAUAAACCCCAUCUUUUUAUCCUCGAUGGCAACAAUACAAUACGUGCCUUGCUGCCCCUGUUGUCACUGGGUAAGGACACCGCAAGAUUGAACCCAAAGCUAAGCACUUCUCCCAUUACAAGAAAGAUCAAUCUAGUAGGCCAAACCAAACUGAUAAUUCGAAGAGACUUGCAAAGAUAACUCAAUCAUACAUAAAAGAAUUCAGAGGAGAUUCAAAUAUUUCUUAUAGAUAAACUUGAUCAUAAACCCACAAUUCAUCGGAUCUCGACAAACACACCGCAAAAAGAGUUACAUCGAAUAGAUCUCCACAAGAGAGGGGGAGAACAUGGUAUUGAGAUCCAAAAAGAGAGAAGAAGCCAUCUAGCUAAUAACUAUGGACCCAAAGGUCUGUGGUAAACUACUCACAAAACAUCAAAGGGGCUAUGGUGUUGAUGUAGAAGCCCUCCGUGGUCAAUUCACCCUCCAGCGGAGCGCCAACGAAGGCUCCAAGAUGGGAUCUCGCGGAUACAGAGCGUUAUGGCGGUGGAAAUUGUUUUUCGUUGGCUCCCUGGAUGUUUUCGGGGUACAUGGGUAUAUAUAGGACGUAGAAGUACGUCGGUGGCCGCCCGAGGGGCCCACGAGACAGGGGGCGCGCUCUGUAGGGGUGGGCGCGCCCUCCACCCUCGUGGCCACCUCGGCUGCUUCUUGACUUGCACUCCAAGUCCUCUGGAUCACGUUUGUUCCAGAAAUCGCGCUCCCGAAGAUUUCAUUCCCUUUGGACUCCAUUUAAUAUUCCUUUUCUUCGAAAUACUGUAAUAGGCAAAAAAAACAGCAAUACGGGCUGGGCCUCCGGUUAGUAGGUUAGUCCUAUAAAUGAUAUAAAUGUGUAAAAUAAAGCCCAUAAACUUCAAAAAGGGGUAAUAUAAUAGCAUGGAACAAUAAAAAAUUAUAGAUACGUUGGAGACGUAUCAACCCCCGGCAAGAUCCUUGCCGGGGACGACCGCAACGCCGCGACGAGACCCUUGCCGGGGGCCCCGGCAAGGCCCUUGUCGAGGACGUCAGCGAGGCCACAGCCAGGCCCGCACCCGCCAAGCUUCUGCCACCACUCCCAUGCAGCCGCGAGCCCACCAGCUGGGCAGGCACCUGCGUGUCAGCACAAGGCUUCUUGGCCAAAUCAGCGCAUGCCUACGUGGCGGCAUGCAAAUCUUCGUGAAGGCCCUACCACUGCGCCACCUCAGCAGCCUGCCAGCCUACAUGGCACCACCGCCUCGCUGGUCCAAGCGCGUGUCGAAGCAGGGCGAGGUGGCGAUAAAGUGGAGGGGACGCAUCAGGGGCGCAUUAAAUGCACUUUGUCCCGUAAUGGCGAGGGAUAGGCUUAAUCACAGUGCCCCUAUGCCACCUCCUGUGUGCCACUGUGGUGAUCCCCUUGCCUAUAAAAGGAGGCCCGAGGCAUCCAGGAGAGGGAUUCACACUUUUAGACAAGUUACGCCCAUUGUAGCUAGUUCAAGAACCUCAAGAACACAAACACACACAUCCAAGCAGGACUAGGGUGUUACGCAUCUCUGCGGCCCGAACCUGGGUAAACGAUCCGCGUGCUUUACUGACUGCUGAUCCUGCUCUCCUCACCACCCAGCGCCCCGCAACCGCAGUAGGGAUCCUUGUGAUCCCAUAGGUGUCGUUUCCCACUGACAAGGAGGAAUAAUCCACUUCUCAUGCACAUGGGUGCGGACAAAAAGGAGAAUGGAGCCACACUCUCAAUAAGAGCCUGAAUGAAUGGAGCAUGAGGAAAGGCACACUUGUACUGAAAGCUAGCAAGUCGGAUUUCAUGCCAAAGGAAAUGAGGAACAUUAAUCUUGCCUUUGGGAGACUCAUAGAGACGAGACAUGAGAUCAAUGCAAUAACUGUUGCAAGAACCUUGGUCACCCAUCUUAGGAUAGAUGGUGCGAAUGAUGCAUUGGUAGAUGAUGUAGUACGUAGAUCUACAAAUAGAAACUUGAUUAAGAUCCUUCAGCUUUUCCUCCUCAGUUAGUUCAUCAAUUUCCUUUAGGAGAUAUCCACACGCCUCAACCCCUUUGGGUUUGUGAUUUGGAUCAUCUUUAUGGAUCUUGAAUCCAGUGUUCGGAAACCCAAGAGCAGCGACAAAUUGAGCAUAAGUGGCAGUGAGCUCAGUGUCAGAGGUCAUCCAGGUGACGGUCUUGUUAGGAGCAAAGAAGCAAGUGGCAUAAGACUGAUGGAUAGCAGCCUGAUUAAAAUCAUGUUGAAAGGCAAACAGAGCAGCAAGACCAGAUGACUCAAUGAGCUCAAUGGCACCCGGAUACUUCACGGGAUGUUUUCGAAUAUAAUCUAAGUCAAUGAAGUGUUGCAGAGAUAGACCCUUUGGGAGGACAACAGAGGUGUAGAUGUCAGCCUGAACAUUUGUGUGAAACCGUUGAUCCAGGGAAUCUUGAACCACUUCAAAUUGAUCAACAUCAUGCCGGAACUUAAGAUAUGCUGGCUUGGGCACUUUAGUGAAGUCCUUGAGGAUACACCCAUGAAGUUGAGGAGCCUCAAGAGGUAUGUGGCGACCAUCGGCAUGCGGCUGAUCGGGAGGAGGAGCAGGCAUGUGAGAGGCCCGACGAGAACCACGGGGGCGGGACGAAAACGUCACACGCGCACCACGCUCCUACUCCUCCCCCAUCUCUUCUUCAUAGUCAGAACCAUCGCAAGAGGAGGACUCCAUGAUCACGGGACAUUUUCCAGCAUGCUUGCGGGGACGCAACUCCUCCUGAGAGUCAUUAGAACCACCACGACGGGAGGCUAAAAUCAAGAGGAGAGGAACAUGUACAACCAUAGUGAGCCCCUGACCCGAAUGGAGACAAAGAUGAUGAAAAUUUGAAACUAAAAAAGGACAUAAUUACCAUGGGCAGAGGUACCCCCCGCAUCCUUGUGAGCGGUAUGCUUGAUUUUCACCAUCGUGGGACAAACCUCACCUGAGAUAUUAUCCAAGAGAGAAAGGGGAUCACAACCGUGUGCACGAAAGAGUGACGGAACCAAGAGAAAGAGAGCCGAGAAACACAACAAGGGAGGAGUACCAGAUUGGGAGGAGGGGCGACGGCGAGGCCCUCCAGGCGGCGCGGCAGUGGACUCAGUCAUGCGAAUGGGGAAAAAGGGGAUAGGGCAACCAUUCAGCCCAACCCCAGAAUAUAUAUGUGACCCGCACUAUCAUCGGACGACCGACCGUGGUCGGACGUCCAUGCACUGGUGGACGUGCCAGGCGACGGACGACCGGUGAACCACGGAUGUCCGAGACCUGGGGGGGGUGGUGAUUUUUGGGCUUGUGCAAGAUUGCUGCACAGCAACCGGGCAGCCGAGAGAAGUCGGUCGACCGGAAACUGUGAGUCAUCGUAUGUUCGAGAACCGUCAGACGACCGAUGGCAAAGGGUUUGGCAGAUCACACAUGCCAUAUCUAGAGGAACCAAAAACCAGGAAUAGGUAUAUGACAAAAUAUUAUGGACAAUCAGACAUGUAAAAUACCACAUGGUGAGCAACUCGACACGCAAGUUAAGAACCCAAAACAUGAUUGGACAACCUCUCCUUUUGAGGAGAGUUGGUGGCCAAUAGGCCACCAUGUGUGAGUAUAAGUGUCAUGAUGCCACAAAAAUAGUGUCCUUGGGCUCAAUAACACGACUCCAUCAUUUUAAAGUACCAUAGUUCGAAGAACAUGGUAACUUUGAGAGUGUUUGUUUUAUUUAUGCAUUAUAUAGGGUGAGAGUACUCAUGAGUUGAAAGUCUCCCCCUAAAUAUAUGCCUACAUCUAAACAAGACAUGAUGAAAAUGAAUGAAUGGGUACUAUAUUUCACAUAAUGUUGUCAAGCUCCAAGAUACCAAGUUCACGCCUAAGUUGACAAAAUCUUGCUUCAUCCAAUGGCUUUGUGAAUAUGUGUACAAGUUGAAUAUCUGUACCGACAUGAUCAAUACAAAUGCCCCCCCUUUCCACAUGAUCUCUCAAGAAAUGAUACCUAAUAUCAAUGUGCUUGGUGCGGGUAUAAUCUUUGGGAUUCGCAGCAAUAUUGAUGGCACUUUCAUUAUCACAUAGAAGAGGCACAUGUCUAUAGGUGAUACCGUAAUCCUUCAAAGUUUGCCUCAUCCAUAGUAGCCGAGUUGCACAACUGGCGGUUGCAAUGUAUUCAGCUUCGACGGUGGAGAGAGCAACACAAUUUUGCUUCUUCGAGGACAAACUUACCAAGGAGCGUCCAAGAAACUGACAUGCAUCGGAGGUGGACUUUCGUCUGACUUUGUCUCCAUCCCAAUCCGCAUCCGUGUACCCAAUGAGAUCAAACUUAGCAUCCUUGGGGUACCAUAGACCCAACUUUGGGGUGUGAACAAGGUAUCUAAGAAUAUGCUUAACUGCCUUAUGAUGACUUUAGGGGAAGCUUGAAAUAGCACACAUGCAUACACUGAACAUGAUGUAUGGUCUAAAUGCACAAAGAUAAAGCAAUGAACCAAUCAUAGAGCGGUAAGUACAUGGGUCGAAAGGAAUACCAUUUGUGUCUUUAGUGAGUACAAUUUUGGUUGGCAUGGGAGUCUUACAUGGACUGGCAUCAGACAUGCUAAACUUCUCUAGAAUAUCCUUAAGAUACUUUGCUUGAGAUAAUAAUGUUCCUUCUUGAAAUUGUUGAAUUUGGAAUCCGAGGAAGAACUUCAAAUCCGUAGUGAGUGACAUCUCAAAGUUCUUGGUCAUGGAAGCCGCGAACUUCUUGCACAAAUGAAUGUUAGGAGAACCAAAAAUGAUAUCAUCUACAUAGAUUUGGCAUAAGAUCAAAUCACCCUUGUCCCUCUUAGUAAAAAGAGUGGGAUCGAUCACCCCUCUCACAAAAUCAUCAUCGAGUAAAAACUUCUUAAGAUGAUCAUGCCAAGCACGAGGUGCUUGUUUGAGGCCAUACAGAUCCUUAUGAAGUUUAUACACAUAGGCUUUGUGAUCGGGAUCAACAAACCCAGGUGGUUGUGAUACAUAUAAUUCUUCUUGUAGAGGACCGUUAAGGAAAGCACUCUUCACAUCCAUUUGAUGUAAUGUAAAACCAUUGAAAGUAGCAUAAGCAAGUAAGAUGCGAAUAGAUUCAAGAUGGGCAACGAGAGCAAAGGUCUCACCAAAGUCCAAACCUUCAACUUGUGAGUACCCUUGUGCCACUAACCUUGCCUUGUUCACUACAAAAAAAGACACAUCCAUGACAUUUUGGGCCGAACGAAACUUUUUUCUGUCAUAGAUAUGACACUUCUAUGAUGAUAGUUGUGACAAAACCCGGUAUCAUCAUAGCUGUGGUGGGCUCCUACUUCUAUGACAAAAAACCAUGACAGAAAAUGGGCUUUUUGUCCUGGGCGUGCCGGAGACGUAGCUGCAUGACAUUCUUUGGGUCAUCCAUGACGGAAAAAACCGUGGUAGAAGCAAGGGCGAAGAAGAUUUCGGGGAGUUCCCGGUUACGGUGGGCGGUCGGGGGCCGAGCGAUGCGCGUUUCUCUUGUACACAUACGCAUGUGUGUGCGAGGCGUUGGCUCUAACUGAACUAGAGCGAGGCGUUGGUCUCUAACUGAACCCGAGCGAUUGCACUGCAGGCUACGCAUUACUGAACCCGAGUGAUCGAUCGAUGGCUGUUAACUGAACCCGAUCGAGCGAUUCCUUUGCUACUGCUGCUAACUGAAGCCGAUCGAUUGGAUGAACAAUGAGCAUUGCGCGCGGUGGNNNNNNNNNNNNNNNNNNNNNNNNNNNNNNNNNNNNNNNNNNNNNNNNNNNNNNNNNNNNNNNNNNNNNNNNNNNNNNNNNNNNNNNNNNNNNNNNNNNNNNNNNNNNNNNNNNNNNNNNNNNNNNNNNNNNNNNNNNNNNNNNNNNNNNNNNNNNNNNNNNNNNNNNNNNNNNNNNNNNNNNNNNNNNNNNNNNNNNNNNNNNNNNNNNNNNNNNNNNNNNNNNNNNNNNNNNNNNNNNNNNNNNNNNNNNNNNNNNNNNNNNNNNNNNNNNNNNNNNNNNNNNNNNNNNNNNNNNNNNNNNNNNNNNNNNNNNNNNNNNNNNNNNNNNNNNNGGAGGCUGGAUGAACAGGAGCCCGUGGAGGCUGGAGGAGGUCGACGGUAGCCCGUGGAGGCUGGAGGAGGUCGACGGUGGAGAUGAACAGUAUCCCGUGGAGUCCCGUUUUGCGAUACGCCACACCCCUCCCAAUGAACAGGACCCUCAUUUCGACCGUAGCGCUCCAACACAAGUCCGUUUUGUCCGUUUUGCGGUACGCCACACCCCUCCUGAUCAACAUGACCCCCGUUUUGACUGUAGCGCUCCAACACAAGUCCGUUUCGUCUGUUUUGCGGUACGCCACACCCCUCCCAAUCAUUAGGACCCCCGUUUAGACCGUAGGAGGUCCGUUUCCUCCGUUUUGCGGUACACUAGACCCCUCCCGAUGAACAAGAUCCCGUUUCGAACAUGGCCGGUCGAACACAAGGCCGUUUCCUCCGUUCUGCGGUACGCCAGGCCUCGUUUCCAUGGCCUGUUCCGUCCAAGCCCUCCCGAUGAACACGAUGACGCAUUCCGUUCCGACCCAGCCGGUUGGCUCCCCAUGAACACAACGACGACGCUGUUUCUCCGUUCCGACCCAGCCAUGUACACGAGCCCUGGCCAUACGUAUGCGCGAGUAGGCGUUCGAGACCCCGCCCGUAUGUACACAUACGUGGCUGUAUUUUCUUUCUUGCACACUGGCCGCUGUACGUAUGUGUACAUGCUAUGUGCGCGCCUCUAUUACGACACGUGCGCGCCUCUACAUCGACACGUGCGCGCCUCUACAUCCACCAGUAUAUAUGUACGUACACGUUCGUGACCAGAAUGACAAGCUACGUACGCUUCGACCAGGUGGGUCCCGACUGUCAGGCACUUCCUUGCGUGCGAAGAUGUAACUAGUGAGUCCCAGCAGUCAGGGGGGCGAGUCUUUUUUUGCUCGGACGCACUUCCUUGCGUGCGAAGGUGUAGCUGGUGGCUCCUAGCAGUCAGGGGGCGAAUCGUUUUUUCCCGGACGCACUUCCUUGCAUGCGAAGAUGUAGCUGGUGGGUCCCAACAGUCAGGGGGCGAAUCGUUUUUUUUGCCCGGACGCACUUCCUUGCAUGCGAAGGUGUAGCUGGUGGGUCCCAGCAGUCAAGGGGGAAACAUUUUUUCGCGAAAUACGGUGGCCCGUCCGGUGGGUCCCUGCUGUCAGGUGGAGGAAUAAUUAUUUUGCGUGUAAUAAGGAGGCACUUCCUUGUGGCCGCCGUGGACCCAGCUGUCAGCCUCUCCACGCACAGUACUCUUCCGAUGGAAGUCGGUCGUUGACCACAUUGACCACGCCGCGCCGAGAGCACCACGGUGGUGGACGACGGCGAGGCCUAGGAAGGGAUGGAGCGGAGCAGGGGAAAACACAGCAGUGGAUGCCCAUGUGAAGAGGAGUACAAGGGUUCACUGGUUCGGCUGCGGUGUGAGGCUGCCAUCGCCGCAGAAUAACAGGGGGUGUGGGUGAGUAGAGGGAUGACCUGGCCAGCGGUGGGAGUAGUAGGGGGCGGUGAGGCCUCCGCGGCAUCACAGCCGUCCAUGGGAGGCAGGAGCAUGCGGCACGACCGGCGCUGCUUUGGGCGGCUGGAGCACGAAGACCAGAGGUUGAAGAGGCACUACUGCCGUUGGAUGGACAUCGUACGGUCACCGGAGCUAGAAUUGUUCAUAUUGACUAAGUUGACAAAGCCCUCCGUCCCCGUAAACUUAGUAGGCCCACAAGUCAGCCUCCCACCAAGGUGAGUCCCAGCUAGCAGGGGGUUAUUCAUUUUUUUCGUAAUAAGGAGGCAUUUCCGGUGGGUCCGAGCUGACAGUGGGGGGAACGUUUUUUUCGCGAAAUACAAAGGCCCUUCCGGUGGGUCCCAGCUAUGAGGUGGAGGAAUCAUUAUUUUGCACGUAAUAAGGAGGCAUUUCCCUGUGUGGGCCCCUACUGUCAGCCUCUUCCGAUGGCUGUUGUUUGUUGACCAUGUUGACCUCGCCAUGUCGAGAGCACAAACACGAUGGACGAGGGCAAGGCCCAGGAAGAGAACCACCCGGAGCCGGCAAAGCCACCGUAGCGGAUGCCCACGCUGAGGGGAGAACGAGCGCUGACUGGUCAGCUGCGGGAUGAGGCUGACAUCGCCGGAAAAUAACAGGAUGUGUGGGUGGUUAGAGGGAUGGCCUGGCGGCAGCACAGCCAGCCACAGGAGGAGGGAGCAGGCAGUCCCGUCGGCGCUGGUUUGGGUGGCUAGAGCAAGAAGAUCAGAGAUAGAAGAAGCAUGUCGGCCAUUGGAUGGACAUCCAACAGUCACUGCUGUGUGUUGACUAAGUUGACAAAGCCUUGCGUACGCGUCAAAAAAAUUUAGGACAGCAUCAUCGUCAACCUAGUAGGCCCAGAAGUCAGCCUCCAAAUCUGUGGAAAACAACAUACAUCCCAUUAGCCAUUAUUUUCAAUAAUUUACAGCCCAUUUUCUAAUUCUUAAGGAUAUUUGAAGCCCAUAUUCUUUUUAUUAGCAUUACACACCAUAUAUUCUGGGCACUGCUAAAAAAUUCAACGAAAUUUUGCAUAUUUCGGUGGGGUCCGAACUCUUUUAAUCAUGAAAUUUCGAGUCACGUUAAAAAUAAUUUUCAAAAAAUUAUAUCAAAAUAAAAUUCAAAAAACAAUUCUCCGCAAAAAAAGAAUGAAAUUUAGAAUCUUAACUAGCAAGAUGCCCGUUCGUUGCACGGAACAUGAAGAUGCAUUUGUAUGAGUAGUUUAUCUUGUGGGAGAAAAGAUGAUAUUUUAAUGUAAUUGCCAGUUGGCUUUGUUUUUUAUAAGAGUAGAGAGUAGAGAAAUCUUGAAAAAAAUGAUAUUUUAAUGCAAUUGUCGGUUGGCUUUGGUUAAAAAAUUUACAACCCAUUUCUUACAACUUAUAGCCCGUUUUCUGGGGAAGCGCAUUUCUUACUACUUACAUCCCUCCUUGUCUUGAAAGAUUUGCAGCCCAGCAGGGCUGAGAAAAGCAAGUAGGCCUCAAUUUUGGUAUUCUCCAAAAAAAGAACUGGGCUAGCCAAUUUCAGAAAGAAAAAAUAUAUCAACUGGGCUCAUCAUGUGCUUAAUAAAAGCGUAAGCGUGGGCUAGACGGGCCACAGCCCCCGCACAGCGCGCAGUUGAGCUCCGUCUUUGAAACUGAAAAACAACUGGGCGAGCUGCUGGGUCCCUGGUGUUAUCCGCUCGUUGUGUAAUUUUCUCGUUUAUUGACUACAUUAACAAUGGCGUGGACCCUAGUUGUCAAACAAUUAGGAGGAAGUAUUUUUUUGGCUUGUAAUAACGAGGCACCUGCUUGCGAAAUGCAAUGACCCUGGUGGGUCCCUACUGUCAGCCUCUCCAUGUACAGUCAUCUCCUGAUUCCUCUUGGUUGUUGACCAUGUUGACAAUGCCAGACGGCGGCGGGCACAACGAGCGAACCAAGACGGAGAACGACGGAAAGGCCUCGGACGGGAACGAAUAGCAGCCAUGGAAGAUGCGGCCGUGUAGUGGCAGGUGGAGGGGAGUACGAGGGCAACAACAUGCAAGUCAAGCAUACAAAUGGCACAAAAAGCCCAAGGAUUAAUUGUUCAUCAAGUUUUUAGACAAAACCCAGAUUGAACAUGACAGUAACAUCUAACCCAACCACUCUUUUUUGCAGUCACAGACAAAUGGAUCGGUCUUAUCCAUAAAAUCAACAUCCUGUGCAAAAAUUUUUAUUUCAGGAUGUCUACAACUUAUUGUAAAUAGAAGCCGAGCACGUUUAGAAGCCCAUUUGUCCACCUGAAACUUCUUUUUUUGCUGUUCAACAUGUUCGUCCGUGAGAAAUAUCUUGCUGUAAAAAUUAAGCCUCAUGGACAAAGUAACCUCACAUUCAACAGGAAGAAUGUGACAAAGCUUCUGUUUGCCUGGUUGGAUGCAUAUCGUCCCAUCGUUAUUGUCCUCAAAUGAAUGUCAUGAGAACUGAGAAAAUCCUUGUGCUUAUUACGCCAACGAUUGGUUAUAUGUUUUUCUCCAUGUGGUUCUACCUAAGUAGACAUGAAGAUUGAAAACAAUUAAGGUCUGAAAAAAGAGUAUGUCGAAAGAACGACAGCUGAACAGUUAAUUCUAGUACAAUAUAUACGGGCUUUCAAUGUGCAUGAAAUCAUCACCUCCAUGUAUAAAUUCUCCAUAGAUCGAAAGCAUCGCAGCAAGCCAAUAAUUAUGUCCAGAUCAAAACUAUACAUUCUGAUAUAUAUGAUCUUGACAGAAUCCAGCAGCAUUGAUAGGCUAUCAAUGGACGAACUCUUCAUUGAGCAUAUAACAUAAUAUUAGUACCCAAAGUGUACUCCAAGAUGAUAUAAAACUUAUGCGCACAAAUGAAAAAUGCAGCAUAUGAUUACAAAUGUGUAGAUGAUAAUAUACGGUACCUGAAAAAGUGAGGAGCCAAACACCAACUCCUUGUGAUUAUUAAACGGGUCACAAAUUACACCCAAGGUCUCUAGUUUGGGCGCAAAGACGACAAUUAUUUCUGAAGGUGUAUAACAGUUAUGAAGGAGCAACCUUUCAAGUGAAGGGGCAUCUUCGAUGAUGAGCUGCUGUCCUUUAAAACAAAUUCCAAUGCUUUUAAGGUGAGGCGACUUUAUUUGGAGACAAAUGAUACUGAUUUCUAUUCCCAAAACAAUCAGCAAGUGCUCCAGGGCAGGGCAACUGGAGUGGAUGAUGCUGUGCAGUGAGGCCUCCGACAGAUAAACCACCACAAGCGGAAUUUUUUUUAGCAGUGGGAGUCGAAGCAUUUGUACCAGAUCGUCUAGUAGAUGGCACCGGGCGAAGGUGGCGGUGUGGAUAGAGGAGUAAAACCGCGAGAUGGACAAUGGUGGUGUGGGCAUGAAUUCUUGGUAUGUUCGUGGUAUGAAACUUUUGUGGUAAUGGUAGAACUCAAACUGCUGGAGUUUUCCGAAUUCAGGGGAUGUCAGCCAAGCGUCCACCUUGUCGGGUAUGGACAGCAGGUAGCUUGUCGGGAUGCAGAGGCAUUGAAUGGGGCCCUACUGGUGAGAAGAGACGAUGGCUCUGAGGAUAUCAAAUUCAGGAAGGACAGAUAUCUGAUGACAGUCGAGAUUGAGGGGUGCGGUGCGCCAUAGAGGGCGCCACCGAGUUGAGAGGACUUGUGUGCGGCAGCAAUCCUUGGUGGGGAGAAGCGAGAUGAUCUCCUCAAGGAUGACGCCCGGGAGAUCGCUGAUGCGGUCCACCGGAGAUUCUACCGGUUCCUCAGAUCCGGGUGGGGGGUGGAGGGGCUCGCCGCUUCUCCCCGCGCUACCGGGUGCGGGAUCUACAACCGGCGUCGCCGCUGGCAGGGGCCUCAUCUUCUUGGCGCUGGGGCCAGCCGACUCCAUUUUCCUUGUGGGCGUCGCGCCGAGCUCACGGGUUUGAGCAGAGUAGCCAGAGACGAGCCUAGUGCCAGUGCGAGUGGGGAAGAAGGAGGGUUGGGGAUUUCUGUAGGAGUGGAAGAAGAGGAGCAGGCGUUUUCUGUAUGAGUGAGGAAGAAGGUGAGCAGGGUUUUCUGUAUGAGUGAGGAAGAUUGGGGAGCGGGGGGAAUUGGGAGGGAGACAGAAGCAGGAGAGCGAGCUGUUCGUGUUUAUAAGGCCUGCUGCACUAACUACUCGCUUUUUCCCAAGAACCACUCUCUUCUUUUGCAUUUCUGCAUUGGAGCUGGCGCAUGGACUUGGCUGACUGGCCAUGCAUGCAGGAUGCAUGUGCCCGCCGGCCACUGCAUGCGCCUGGUUUGUUACUAGGCCUAUUUAAUAGGGUGGUUAUGGAGUAAAUUAAGGAGAUUUAUUUUCUCUGUGUGCAUCCACCAAAUUAGAGGAUGCGGUACUGGAUGCAGACACUCACAUUAAACUAACAUCCGGAAGAACAAAAGUUCAGCAUGUCUAUGCAUCUCAAUGAUUCACCAUACUAUAACCAAUACAAAGCUGUGAGAAGGUGUGGAAAUACAGAAAAUCGGUCGAUGCUUCUCUGAGCAAAGGGCCUCCCUGCGCACGCAUUAAUUUCCUGGGCAUGCUUGUUUCUUCUCAAUGUUGCGAGCACUUUGAGCAUGUUGGCAACUCCACAACUAGCUAGCUGCCUCAUCUUGCAAUUGAUGCUGACACAUUUGCAGCAAACACAUGAGGCAAUAGAGGUGACUCAACAUGGGUCCAUAUUGUGCAGUUUCCUGCUACCUCUUGAGCACUGCGUUGAAUUUCCCCGAAGAGGAGAGGACGAUGCAGCAAAGUAGCGUAAGUAUUUCCCUCAGUUUUUGAGAACCAAGGUAUCAAUCCAGUAGGAGACCACACACAAGUCCCUCAUACCUACACAAAAUGAUAGCAACUCGCAACCAAUGCUUAUGGGUUGUCAAUCCCUUCAUGGUCACUUACGAGAGUGAGAUCUGAUAGAUAAUAUUUUUGGUAUUUUUGAUAGAUAGAUGCAAAGUAAAAAAGUAAAAGGCAAAGUAAAAACAAAGCAAGUAAAUAAAGUGAUAGAGAUUGAUAUGAUGAGAAUAGACCCGGGGGCCAUAGGUUUCACUAGUGUCUUCUCUCAAGAGCAUAAGUAUUCUACGGUGGGUGAACAAAUUACUGUUGAGCAAUUGACAGAAUUGAGCAUAGUUAUGAGUAUAUCUAGGUGAUGAUCAUGUAUAUAGGCAUCACAUCCAAGACAAGUAGAUCGAAACGAUUCUGCAUCUACUACUAUUACUCCACUCAUCGACCGCUAUCCAGCAUGCAUCUAGAGUAUUAAGUAAAAACAGAGUAACGCCUUAAGCAAGAUGACAUGAUGUAGAGGGAUAAAUUCAUGCAAUAUGAUAAAAAACCCAUCUUGUUAUCCUCGAUGGCAACAAUACAAUACGUGCCUUGCAACCCUUUCUGUCACUUGGUAAGGACACCGCAAGAUUGAACCCAAAGCUAAGCACUUCUCCCAUUGCAAGAACUACCAAUCUAGUUGGCCAAACCAAAAAGGAUAAUUCGAAGAGAUUUGCAAAGAUAACUCAAUCAUACAUAAAAGAAUUCAGAGAAGAAUCAAAUAUUUUCCAUAGAUAAUACUGGAUCAUAAACCCACAAUUCAUCGGUCUCAACAAACACACCGCAAAAAGAAGAUUACAUUGAAUAGAUCUCCAACGAGAGAGGGGGAGAACAUUGUAUUGAGAUCCAAAAAGAGAGAAGAAGCCAUCUAGCUACUAGCUAUGGACCCGAAGGUCUGAAGUAAACUACUCACACUUUAUCGGAGGGGCUAUGGUGAUGAUGUAGAAGCCCUCCAUGGUGGAUGCCCCCUUCGGCGGAGCUCCGGAACAGGCCCCAAGAUGGGAUCUCGUGGAUACAGAAGGUUAUGGCGGUGGAAUUAGGUUUUUGGCUCCUGUUCUGAUCGUUCGGGGAUACGUAGGUAUAUAUAGGAGGAAGGAGUACGUCGGUGGAGCAUCGAGGGGCCCACGAGGUAGGGGGUGCACCCAGGGGGCGCCCUCCACCCUCGUGACCGCCUCUGGCACUGCUUGGAGUAGGGUCCAAGUCUCCUAGAUCAUGUUCGGUUGGAAAAUCACGACCCCGAAGGUUUCAUUCUGUUUGGACUCCGUUUUGAAGGAAAUAUGCCCUAGAGGCAAUAAUAAAGAUAUUAUUUAUUUCCUUAUUUCAUGAUAAAUGUUUAUUAUCCAUGCUAGAAUUGUAUUAACCGGAAACAUAAUACAUGUGUGAAUACAUAGACAAACAUAGUGUCACUAGUAUGCCUGUACUUGACUAGCUCACUAAUCAAAGAUGGUUAUGUUUCCUAACCAUAGACAUGUGUUGUCAUUUGAUUAAUGGGAUCACGUCAUUAGAAGAAUGAUGUGAUUGACUUGACCCAUUCCGUUAGCAUAGCACUUGAUCGUUUAGUAUGUUGCUAUUGCUUUCUUCAUGACUUAUACAUGUUCUUGUAACUAUGAGAUUAUGCAACUCCCAUUUACCGGAGGAACACUUUGGGUGCUACCAAACGUCACAACAUAACUGGGUGAUUAUAAAGGAGUACUACAGGUGUCUCCGAAGGUACAUGUUGGGUUGGCGUAUUUCGAGAUUAGGUUCUGUCACUCCGAUUGUCGAGAGGUAUCUCUGGGCCCUCUUAGUAAUGCACAUCACUAUAAGCCUUGCAAGCAAUGUAGCUAAUGAGUUAGUUACAGAAUGAUGCAUUACGUAACGAGUAAAGAGACUUGCCGGUAACGAGAUUGAACUAGGUAUUGGAUACCGACGAUCGAAUCUCGGGCAAGUAACAUACCGAUGACAAAGGGAACAAAGUAUGUUGUUCUGCGGUUUGACCGAUAAAGAUCUUCGUAGAAUAUGUAGGGGCCAAUAUGGGCAUCCAGGUUCCGCUAUUGGUUAUUGACUAAGAAUAGUUCUAGGUCAUGUCUACAUAGUUCUCGAACCCGUAGGGUCCGCACGCUUAAGGUUUCGAUGACAUUUAUAUUAUGAGUUUAUGAGUUUUGAUGUACCGAAGGAGUUCGGAGUCCCGGAUGAGAUCGGGGACAUGACGAGGAGUCUCAAAAUGGUCGAGACGUAAAGAUCGAUAUAUUGGACGACUAUAUUCGGAGUUCGGAAAGGUUCCGAGUGAUUCGGGUAUUUUUCGGAGUACCGGAGAGUUACGGGAAUUCGCCGGGGAGUAUAUGGGCCUUAUUGGGCCAUACGGGAAUAGAGGAGAGAGGCCAAAAGGAAGGAGGCCUGCGCCCCCCCUCUGGUCCGAAUUGGACAAGGGGCGCAGCCCCCCUUUCCUUCUUCCUCUCCCCCUCUUUCCCCUUCUCCUACUCCAACAAGGGAGGUGGAAUCCUACUAGGACUAGGGAGUCCUAGUAGGACUCCACACUUGGUGCGCCCCCUCCUAGGGCCGGCCUCCUCCCCCCUUGCUCCUUUAUACACGGGGGCAGGGGGGCACCCCAUGACACACAAGUUGAUCUACGGAUUGUUCCUUAGCCGUGUGCGGUGCCCCCCUCCACCAUAUUCCACCUCGAUCAUAUCGUCGCGGAGUUUAGGCAAAGCCCUGCGCCGGUAGAGCGUCAUCAUCGUCACCACGCCAUCGUGAUGACGGAACUCAUCCCCGACACUUUGCUGGAUCGGAGUCCGGGGAUCGUCAUCGAGCUGAACGUGUGCUGAACUCGGAGGUGCCGUACAUUCGGUACUUGGAUCGGUCGGAUCGUGAAGACAUACGACUACAUCAACCGCGUUGUCAUAACGCUUCCGCUUACGGUCUACGAGGGUACGUGGAAAACACUCUCCCCUCUCGUUGCUAUGCCAUCACCAUGAUCUUGCGUGUGCGUAGAUUUUUUGUUGAAAUUACUACGUUCCCCAACAAGUUUGAUAUUCCGUUUCUUCGAAAUACUGAAAAAGGCAAAAAACAGCAAUUCUGGGCUGGGCCUCCGGUUAAUAGGUUAGUCCCAAAAGUAAUAUAAAAGUGGAAAAUAAAGCCCAAUAUAGUCCAAAACAGUAGAUAAAGUAGCAUGGAGCAAUAAAAAAUUAUAGAUACGUUGGAGACGUAUCAGGCAUCCCCAAGCUUAAUUCCUGCUCGUCCUCAAGUAGGUAAAUGAUAAAAAAGAAUUUUUGAUGCGGAGUGAUACUUUGGCAUAAUUUCAAUGUAAAACUUCUUAAUUGUGACAUGAAUAUUCAGAUCCGAAAGAUUCAAGACAAAAGUUCAUAUUGACACAAAAAUAAUAAUACUUCAAGCAUACUAAUCAAAGCAAUCAUGUCUUCUCAAAAUAACAUGGCAAAAGAAAGUUCAUCCCUACAAAAUCAUAUAGUUAGGCUAUGCUUCAUUUUUGUGACACAAAGAUGUUCCCAACUUCUAUACCCCUGAUGACAAGCCAAGCAAUUGUUUCAUACUUAAAUAAUCUCAAACUUUUUCAACCUUCAGACAAUACAUGAGCGUGAGCCAUGGAUAUAGCACUAUGGGUGGAAUAGAAUAUGAUGAUGGGAAUUGUAUGGAGAAGACAAAAAAGGAGAAGUCUCACGUUGACGAGGCUAAUCAACGGGCUAUGGAGAUGCCCAUGAAUUGAUGUCAACAUGAGGAGUAGGGAUUGCCAUGCAACGGAUGCACUAGAGCUAUGAAUGCUCAACAAAAGAAAACUAGUGGGUGUGCAUCCAACUUGCUUGCUCACGAAGACCUAGGGCAUUUGAGGAAGCCCAUCGUAGGAAUAUACAAGCCAAGUUCUAUAAUGAAAAAUUCUCACUAGUAUAAAAAAGACAACUUAUGAGACUUACUACAUGAAGAACAGGGUGCUACUUUGAAGCACAAUAUAUGAGACUCACUACAUGAAGAACAAGGUGCUACUUUGAAGCACAAGUGUGGAAAAAGAGAUAGUAGCAUUGCCCUUUUCUUUUCUUUUUUGGGCCUUCCUUUUUUUAUAUUUUGGCCUUUCUUUUUUUUUUAUUUGGGUAAUGCUCUAAUAAUGAUGAUCAUCACACUUCUAUUGAUUACAACAUAAGGAUUACAACUCGAAACUUAAAACAAGAUAUGACUCUAUAUGAAUGCCUCCAGCGGUGUACCGGGAUGGUGCAAUGAAUCAAGAGUGACAUGUAUGAAAAAUAAUGCAUGGUGGCUUUGCCACAAAUACGAUGUCAACUACAUGAUCAUGCAAUGGCAAUAUGACAAAAGUAAUGUAUGUCAUGAUAAUGAUGAUGGAAGUACGGAAUGGCUAUGGAAAUGCCAUAAUAGGUAGGUAUGGUGGCUGUUUUGAGGAAGAUAUAAGGAGGUUUAUGGGUGAUAGAGCGUAUCGUAUCACGGGGUUUGGAUGCACCGGCGAAGUUUGCACCAACUCUCAAGGUGAGAAAGGGCAAUGCACGGUACCGAAGAGGCUAGCAAAGGCGGAAAGGUGAGAGUGCGUAUAAUCCAUGGACUCGACAUUAGUCAAAAGAACUCAUAUACUUAUUGCAAAAAUUUAGAAGUCAUCAAAAAUCAAGUACUACGCGCAUGCUCCUAGGGGGAUAGAUUGGUAGGAAAAGACCAUCGCUCGUCCUCGACCGCCACUCAUAAGGAUGCACAAGCCAGGUACACUUCAUGUUUCAAAUUUGUUACAUUACUUUAACCAUACGUGCAUGCUACGGGACUUGCAAACUUCAACACAAGUAUUUCUCAAAUUCAUAAUCACCCAACUAGCAUGACUUUGAUUAUCACCUCCAUAUCUCAAAACAAUUAUCAAGCAUCAAACUUAUCUUAGUAUUCAAUUCACUCAAAAGAAAGGUUCACAUAUCUUGAACACCAAGUAUAUUAACAUUAAGCAAAUUACCAUGCUAUUAACAACUCUCAAAAUAAUCUAAGUGAAGCAUGAGAGAUCAAUAAUUUCUUUAAAACAAAUCCACCACCGUGCUCUAAAAGAUAUAAGUGAAGCACUAGAGCAAAAAUUAUCAUGCUCAAAAGAUAUAAGUGAAGCACAUAGAGUAUUCUAACAAAUUUCAAUUCAUGUAUGGCUCUCUCAAAAGGUGUGUACAGCAAGGAUGAUUGUGGUAAACUAACAAGCAAAGACGCAAAUAAUACAAGACGCUCCAAGCAAAACGCAUAUCAUGUGCUGAAUAAAAAUAUAGCUCCAAGUAAAUUACCGAUGGAAGUGGACGAAAGAGGGGAUGCCUUCCGGGGCAUCCCCAAGCUUUGACUUUUUGGUGUCCUUGGAUUAUCUUGGGGGUGCCAUGGGCAUCCCCAAGCUUAGGCUCUUGCCACUCCUUGUUCCAUAACCCAUCAAAAGAAUUCACCCAAAACUUGAAAACUUCACAACACAAAACUCAACAGAAACCCCGUGAGCUCCGUUAGAGAAAGAAAACAAAAGACUACUUCAAGGUACUGUAAUAAACUCAUUAUUUAUUUACUUUGGUGCUAAACCUACUGUAUUCCAACUUCUCUAUGGUUUAUAAACUUUUUUACUAGCCAUAGAUUCAUCAAAAUAAGCAAACAACACACGAAAAACAGAAUCUGUCAAAAACAGAACAGUCUGUAGAAAUCUGUAACUAACGCAAACUUCUGGAACUCUAAAAAUUCUACAAAAAUAGGAAGUUCUAGAAAAUUUGUUUAUUGAACAGCAGCAAAAAGAAUCAACGCAAAAGAGCGUUCCUGUGAUUUAACAUAACUAUAUUCAUGCGCGUAAAGUUUCUGCUUUUCAGUAGAAUCAAAUCAACUAUCAUCGUAGGUUAUCCUAUAGGUUCUACCAAACACUAAUUAAAAGAUAAAACCACAUCCAAACAGAAGCUAGAUGGAUUAUUUAUUCCUAAACAGAAGCAAAAACAAAAAACACAAAAUAAAAUUGGGUUGCCUCCCAACAAGCGCUAUCGUUUAACGCCCCUAGCUAGACAUUGAGAUUUCAAUGAUGCUCACAAGAAAGACAAGAAUUGAUGCACAAAGAGAGCAUCAUAAAACAUGUGACAAACACACUUAAGUCUAACAUACUUCCUAUGCAUAAGCAUAUUAUAGGAAAACAAAUUAUCGUAGCAAACAAAAACUAGCAUAUGCAAGGAAGCAGAAAGGAACAAUAGCAAUCUUAACAUAACGAGAGGUAAUUUAGUAACAUGAAAAUUUCUAUAACCAUAUUUUCCUCUCUCAUAAUAAUUACAUGUAGGAUCAUAAGAAAAUUCAACAAUAUAACUAUCACAUAACAUAUUCUCAACACGAUCCACAUGCAUGCGAAGUUGGCACUCUUUCGAAAUAGUGGGAUUAAUAUUAACUAAAGUCAUGACCUCUCCAAACCCACUUUUAUCAAAAACUUCAUAAGAUUGAUCAUUAUCCAGAUAUGUGGGAUCUAAAGUUGAUACUCUUCCAAACCCACUUUCAAUAUUAUUGCAAACAAUAUUAUCAAUGUCAUAUUCAUCAUGGGGAUCAAAUAAAUUUUCAAGAUCAUAAGAAGAAUCACCCCAAUCAUGAUCAUUGCAACAAGUAGAGGACAUAGCAAAACUAGCAUCCCCAAGCUUAGGGUUUUGCAUAUUUUUAGCACAAUUGACAUCAAUAGAAUUUAUAGUAAAAUCAUUGCAAUCAUGCUUUUUAUUCAAAGAUCUAUCGUGAAUCACUUCAUAAAGUAUUUCAUCACAAUUUUUAGAUUCACUAAUUUUAGGCAAAACCUCAUAAAGAUAAUCUAGUGCACUAAGUUCACUAGCAAUAGGUUCAUCAUAAUUAGAUCUCUUAAAGAGAUUAGCAAGUGGAUGAGGAUCCAUAAACUUUUAGCAAGUGAAGAUGUAAGCAAAAAGAAGGCACAUGGUAACACAAGAUUGAACAGAGGAAGGGCGAAUAAAACGGCAAGGGUGAAGUGGGGGAGAGGAAAACGAGAGGCAAAUGGCAAAUAAUGUAAUGCGAGGGAUAGGGAUUGCGAUGGGUACUUGGUAUUGUUGACUUGCUUGCGUGAGCCUCCCCGGCAAUGGCGCCAGAAAUUCUUCUUGCUACCUCUUGAGCACUGCGUUGGAUUUCCCCGAAGAGGAGAGGAUGAUGCAGCCAAAGUAGCGUAAGUAUUUCCCCCAGUUUUUGAGAACCAAGGUAUCAAUCCAGUAGGAGACCACACACAAGUCCCUCAUACCUACACAAAAUGAUAGCAACUCGCAACCAACGCUUACGAGUUGUCAAUCCCCUCAUGGUCACUUACGAGAGUGAGAUCUGAUAGAUAAUUUUUUGGUAUUUUUGAUAGAUAGAUACAAAGUAAAAAAGUAAAAGGCAAAGUAAAAACAAAGCAAGUAAAUAAAGUGAUAGAGAUUGAUAUGAUGAGAAUAGACCCCGGGACCAUAGGUUUCACUAGUGGCUUCUCUCAAGAGCAUAAGUAUUCUACGGUGGGUGAACAAAUUACUGUUGAGCAAUUGACAGAAUUGAGCAUAGUUAUGAGUAUAUCUAGGCGAUGAUCUUGUAUAUAGGCAUCACGUCCAAGACAAGUAGAUCGAAACGAUUCUGCAUCUACUACUAUUACUCCACUCAUCGACCGCUAUCCAGCAUGCAUCUAGAGUAUUAAGUAAAAACAGAGUAACACCUUAAGCAAGAUGACAUGAUGUAGAGGGAUAAAUUCAUGCAAUAUGAUAAAAAACCCAUCUUGUUAUCCUCGAUGGCAACAAUACAAUACGUGCCUUGCAACCCUUUCUGUCACUGGGUAAGGACACCGCAAGAUUGAACCCAAAGCUAAGCACUUCUCCCAUUGCAAGAACUACCAAUCUAGUUGGCUAAACCAAAAAGGAUAAUUCGAAGAGACUUGCAAAGAUAACUCAAUCAUACAUAAAAGAAUUCAGAGAAGAAUCAAAUAUUUUCCAUAGAUAAUACUGGAUCAUAAACCCACAAUUCAUCAGUCUCAACAAACACACCGCAAAAAUAAGAUUACAUCGAAUAGAUCUCCACGAGAGAGGGGGGGAACAUUGUAUUGAGAUCCAAAAAGAGAGAAGAAGCCAUCUAGCUACUAGCUAUGGACCCGAAGGUCUGAAGUAAACUACUCACACUUCAUCGGAGGGGCUAUGAUGAUGAUGUAGAAGCCCUCCGUGGUGGAUGCCCCCUCCGACGGAGCUCCGGAACAGGCCCCAAGAUGGGAUCUUGUGGAUACAGAAGUUUGCGGUGGUGGAAUUAGGUUUUUGGCUCCUGUUCUGAUCGUUCGGGGAGACAUAGGUAUAUAUAGGAGGAAGGAGUAUGUCGGUGGAGCGUCGAGGGCCCACGAGGUAGGGGGGCGUGCCCAGGGGGCAGGGGGGCACCCUCCACCCUCGUGACCGCCUCUGGCACUGCUUGGAGUAGGGUCCAAGUCUCCUAGAUCACGUUCGGUUGGAAAAUCACGAUCCUGAAGGUUUCAUUCCGUUUGGACUCUGUUUGAUAUUCUGUUUCUUCGAAAUACUGAAAAAGGCAAAAAACAACAAUUCUGGGCUGGGCCUACGGUUUAUAGGUUAGUCCCAAAAGUAAUAUAAAAGUGGAAAAUAAAGCCCAAUAUAGUCCAAAACAGUAGAUAAAGUAGCAUGGAGCAAUCAAAAAUUAUAGAUACGUUGGAGACGUAUCAUUCCCCUGAAAUCAUAUUCAUUGUCCUGAAUCUGAAAAGAUAGGAAAACAGUAGCUAUACUUAAACGGUGUUGCAAAACAGUAGCACAUAUCAAUAGCUCGGCAUGACAAAACACGAUCAUCUGGACGAAGGGGAUACUGACCUGCCUGAGGAAGAUUAUAUAUAAUUUCAUAAGUCCUUGGUUGAUUUCCACCUUCGGCUGCACUGCUUGUUUGCUCCUCCACACAUGACAGGAUCGUUCUGCACUGCAUUCAGCAAGUCAACGUACGAAUAAGCUAAUUUCAUCUUGCGGUGGUCAUUGUACCAAGUUACGAAUGUAGGAAUACCUGGAGCACCAUGAGGUUAGCUGACAGCCGGUAGAUGUAGCCAUAUAAAUUUUGUGUAGUGCUACCAAAAUUGAGGUUUGUAUCCCUUCCCGUUAUGAGAAUUGUUCUUGAAGUUGGUAGAAUGUGACGGCUUGUUCUUUGCAUCAAACUUGCCUUUCCCCUGAGAUUUGUUCUUGUUGUUUUGGGGCUGGUUGGGCUGGAAGUUCUUCUCAUGUACCAUUUGGGCACUAGAAGCUCCCUCAGCGACCCGAGCACUGUCGGAGUAAUGGGCCACGGGUAGGCUAACCUGAGCCCCAGAGCCUUUCAAGGCAUCAGGGCAGGCUGCGCCCCUUAAGCCAAGUCCCAGGCAGCGACUCCAAGAUGAGCCGAGUCCCAAGCAGCGACUCCAAGAUAAGCCGAGUCCCAGGCAGCGACUCCAAGAUAAACCGAGUCCCAGGCGGCGACUCCAAGAUAAGCCGACUCAUGGCCGACGACUUCCAGAGAAGCCGGCUUUAGAGAGUCGGCCUGCGAUUCCACCCGUCACCUACCUUCGCCACGAUAGGCGAGGCGUGGUACGGUCACGGCGUGGCCGUCACCCCCUGCUUACGAGGAGCUGGCAUGGCUACAGUAUGCCGUAUCGCUGGAGAUCUCCAGCAUGGCGCGGCACUGUUGCCAUGCCUGCCCUGACUUCAGCCAAAGUGGCGGCGCACUAUGGCCACGACGGCCUACCUGUACGACCCAGAGAUGGCAGGACCCGCCCGUCAGCAAGAGAACAGAAGACGACUGGGUGCACCCCGAAGACGGACCCGUGGGAGUCGGCUCCCCUGGAGUCGGCCGGCCCUUCCCACGAGCCCCACACACCAUUAACCAGACAAGACGGAGAAUGGCGACAGUGACCGUCCGAUAGACGGCAGCACUAUUGCCACGACCCCAUGACCAAGCCUGCGUCAUUAGAAGCACGACUACAGUAUCGGACCCGUCGGCGGGGCCCACCAGUCGGCGGGCCCCAGUAGUCGGCGGAGAAGACGGCGGCUUGUGAGACAAACGGCUGGGACCCGCGCCUAGCCGGAUUACCAUUGUACCCCCACGGGGUAGGCCUAUAUAAACCCCCCGGGGCACCCAUGCAAAGGGUUUGGAUCCAUUAGCACUAGACCAGAUCAUACAGGGAGGAGAGAGUUAGCCUUGCCUUCUCCUACCUCCAGAAUACAGCUCUAGGAGCAACCUUGUACUCACUUUGCCUUAGUGAUCAUGCGGAGACCCCGCAGAGCAGCAGUAGGGGUGUUAUCUCCCCGGAGAGCCCCGAAGCUGGGUAAGAUCCGCCGGCGUGCAUGUCUUCGCCUCAUCCCGUUUCCUGGCACCGGCGACGUUCUACUCGCUCCCACCAUGAUAAGCCAUCCUUUGGCAUAUGUCGCACCCAACCCCCGACAUUUGGCGCCCACCAUGGGGCGAGGUGCACCGUCAUCCGGAGACCCGCUCUUGACGGGAACCCUCUUCCUCCCCAGCGAGCGUAGCCAGCCCGGCACGCCCGAUGGCACUUGCCCCGACGCGCUGCAAGGCAUCCACGACGCCUGCGCAGCGAGCUGCCUCGCCGAUCUUCUUGGCGAGGUUUGCAUCUCCGACGAGCCUGCAUCCGACGCAGGCACGGGCGGGCCUCCUCGACCAACUCCAUGUCGCCGGCGAGCCCGCCGUCCAUAGGCUCCACCGACCCGAUGCUGGUCGACUCCGACAGUGUGUCGCUCGACACGUUCCCCACCAAUUUGGUGAUCUAUGACGAUCCGUUCCCUCGCGAGGAGAGCGGCGGAAGCACCGUCACGGAGGUGCUCGUUAUCAGUCAUGGCGAGCACUCCGGUGAGGGAGCUCACGAUCCACUCGACGCGGCUCUGCGAGACCUGACUGCACCCAUUCUGGAGGACGCUGACGGCGAGACGCUGGAGGCACGCCGCCUUCAGCUCAUCAAAGGCGCGAAGAAGCUGGCAAGCAUGAGACGCUUUUCAGAAGCCUACCAGCGUGAAAUGGAUCGCGCUGUGGGCGGCUCGCCAGCCCCGACUGGGCCUAGCCGCCUAGGUGCGGUCCGGCAACGCGGCAUGGCCAUCGCCAACCUGUUCGGGGCCGAUCACCCCAUGUAUGCCACGCCUGCGGAGAACAUUCGCGCCGCCCAGGCGGCGGCGAACGAGCUAGACAACUUCGAAGGCGAAGAGCGCCGCCUAAUGACCGAGCGGGUCCAGCGGCUCCUCAAAGCGGCUGCCGCGCAGAACGAAGCCGGCUGCCGCACGGAGGCGCCGCAACGACAAAACAACAACUUGCCUCCCCGCCGAGAUCAAGGCGCGACGUCUCGGACGCCGACUGGCGGUGUCCGUGGAAGAAAAGAGAAGGAUCCGGCUGUCAGCCACAGUCGGACUCGCAUCACCAUCGAGCGCGACCAAGACGGCCGCCCCAGAGCGGUGGAACGGCAGGGCGACUAUCUGCCUCCCCCACCACGAAGAGAAAGAUGAGUCUCCCCGCCACCUGUUGAGCAUCCGACUCUCGCGACCGCCUUGGCCGCCGAGAGGGAGUCGGAGAGAACGAUGCCCGCCACCGGAUCGACCGACUCCACCGAUCCCUGGCGCUGGAAGAAGAAGAUGAGCUGGGCCCGCCCUGUUUCGGACCCCACAUCCGAGACGAGCCUUUUCCCAAAGGGUUCACGCUCCCCCGAGACACGCCCAAGUACACCGGCUUCGUGAAGCCGGAAGAUUGGCUAGUUGACUAGUCCACAGCAGUCAACAUAGCCAACGACAACAAGCGUGUUGCCGUGAAGUAUGUUCUGCUCAUGCUCCAGGGCACGGCCCGGACAUGGUUAAAUAGUCUGAAGCCCCGCAGCAUCAACAGCUGGGUCGACUUCACCGAGGCCUUCGUCUGCAACUUCACAAGCAUGUACAAGCGACCCCCCAAGAUGCGUCAGCUUUCCUUGUGCGUAAAAGGCCAAGACGAGUCGACUCGCGACUACCUCAGACGAUGGGGCGAGCUUCGGCUCCUGCGAGGGCGUGCACGAGGUGCAGGCUAUUGAGUACUUCACCGCCGGGUGCAGAGAAGGCACCCUCCUCAAGCACAGGCUCCUCUGCGACGAGCCGGAGACCCUCGACGAGUUGCUGGUCAUAGCAGACAAGUAUGCGACGGCCGACUCCUCCAUGAAGACAGAGAUUCAAGUUAGUGCGACUGGCAAAGUGGCCCCUCAAGCUCCCAGAACUCCGGCUGGAGAUACCAGUCGGCGACAACAGCAAAAUGAUCACAAGCACAAAGCCCCACAGCCGACUUCCAGUAGUCGGCAGGUUGCGACAGUCGAAGACCAACAGCCGGAAGGGCAGCCUCCGGCGAAGCGACAGAAAGGCGGCAAGUCCAACUGGUUGCCGACCUUCUCUUACGAGCAGACACUGGAUGGUCCCUACAAGUUCCACAGCGGCGCGAAGCCGUCGAACCAUACCACCCGGAAAUGCCACUGGCUCACCAGAAUCGCCAAGGGAGACGGCCUUCUUCCUCCUCCGCCUGCUGGGCCGCCGCCUCCACAGCCGCCCCAGCAGCCGGCUGCCAGGCCAGUCGGCGCCGUACAAGAUGAGUACCCGGAAGAGCAUGGAGCCUAUGUAGUGUUCACCAGUAUGGCUGAUGACCGACGCAGCAGACGGCUGUAGCAGCAAGAAGUAAAUGCAGUAGCAUCAGAUACUCCGGAGUUUAUGCAUUGGUCCGAGAAGCCCAUCAGUUGGAGGAGAGCUGAUCACCCAGAGGUAAUGCCGAAUCCGGGCUCCUAUGCCUUGGUUUUAAGCGCCACCUUGGCCACAGAUAGGCGGGCCGCUCGCUUCUCGCGAGUGUUGAUAGACGGAGGCAGUAGCAUCAACAUCCUGUACAAGGAUACCAUGGAGAAAUUAGGAAUCAAGCAAAGACAGCUUCAGAGCAGCCGAACUGUGUUCCACGGCAUUGUACCUGGCCUUUCUUGCUCACCAAUCGGCAAGAUCCUGAUAGACGUUCUCUUCGGAGACAAAGAUCAUUUUUGCCGAGAGCCAGUUUGGUUUGAAGUGGUGGACCUUGAAAGCCCAUACCAAGCAUUGCUUGGCCGACCUGCUCUGGCCAAGUUCAUGGCGGUCCCCCACUACGCCUACCUCAAGAUGAAGAUGCCGAGUUCAAAGGGGAUACUGACCGUACCGGCGACUACAGGAAGUCGUCCGCCCGCGCGACUAAUAGUAGUCGGCUAGCCGAGUCCCUGGUGAUCGCAGCUGAGAGGCGGCUCCUUGAUCGGGUUGUGGCAAUGGCCGACAAGCAGCCAGAGAUGUCGCCCGACCCCAAGGAGUCGGAAGCUGAGGGUCCGUUCAAGCCGGCUAAAGAAACAAAGAGGAUACCUUUGGACCCAGAGCACCCAGAGAGGCAUGCUGUCAGAGGUGCAAACCUAGACAGCAAAUAGGAAGGUGAGCUCGUCGAUUUCCUCCGUGAGAAUCGAGACAUCUUCGCAUGGUCCCCUAAGGACAUGCCAGGUGUACCGACGGAAUUCGCCGAGCACAAGUUACAUGUCCGAUCUGAUGUGAAGCCCAUCAGGCAGCCCUUGCGCCGCCUGUCAGAAGAAAAGAGAAGAGUUGUUGGGGAAGAGAUAGCCCGACUCCUAGCGGCCGACUUCAUUAUGGAGGUGUUCUUCCCAGAAUGGUUGGCAAACCCGGUCCUAGUGUUGAAAAAGAACAAGCAGUGGCGGAUGUGUAUCGACUACACAAGCCUCAACAAAGCUUGCCCCAAAGACCCAUUUGCUUUGCCGAGAAUUGAUCAGGUGAUAGACUCCACAGCCGGAUGCGAGCUGUUGAGCUUCUUAGAUGCAUACUCAGGAUAUCACCUUAUCAAGAUGAACCCGGCAGACAGACUGAAGACUGCCUUCAUCACGCUGUUUGGAGCCUUCUGCUACCUGACUAUGACGUUUGGCUUAAGGAAUGCCGGCGCCACCUUUCAGCGUUGCAUGCAGAAAUGUCUCCUCAAGCAACUCGGCAGAAACGCCCACGUCUAUGUAGAUGAUGUGGUGGUGAAGACGGAAAAACGUGGGACACUAUUGGAAGAUCUCCAAGAAACCUUUGAGAAUCUGCGCCGAUUCCAGAUCAAGCUCAACCCUGAGAAGUGCGUCUUCGGAGUACCAGCCGGCCAGCUCCUUGGCUUCCUGGUCUCUGAACGCGGCAUAGAGUGCAACCCUAUAAAGAUCAAAGCCAUCGAGAGGAUGGAAGUCCCCCACCGACUGUUAGAUGUGCAGAAGUUCACCGGCUGCUUGGCGUCCAUUAGCCGAUUCAUCAGUCGGCUGGGUGAGAAGGCUCUCCCUUUGUACUAACUGAUGAAGAAGACCACCUUUUUGAGUGGAACCACAAAGCGGACGAAGCAUUUCUCCAGUUGAAAAAGAUGUUGACAACUCCCCCUGUGCUGGCGGCUCCGACUCCUAAAGAGCCUAUGCUCCUAUACAUUGCCGCUACCAGCCGAGUGGUCAGCACAGUCGUCAUAGUUGAAUGCAAGGAGCAAGGCAAGGCGCUCCCUGUCCAGAGACCGGUAUAUUACCUGAGUGAGGUACUGUCGACCUCCAAGUAGAACUACCCCCACUACCAGAAGAUGUGCUACGGCGUGCAUUUCGCCGCCAAGAAGUUGAAGCCUUACUUUCAAGAGCAUCCAAUCACUAUGGUCUGCACAGCUCCACUAGCCGAGAUCAUUGGAAGCCGAGAUGCUUCGGGCCGAGUGGCCAAAUGGGCCGUAGAUUUGGCUCCCUACACCAUCUACUACCAGCCCUUCAUCGCCAUCAAGUCACAAGCACUGGCCGACUUCCUUGUCGACUGGGCCGAGACCCAGUACCUGCCGCCAGCGCCCGACUCCACUCAUUGGCGGAUGCAUUUCGAUGGCUCCAAGAUGCGCACCGACUUGGGAGCCGACAUCGUCCUCACCUCCCCCAAAGGUGACAAGCUCAAGUAUGCGCUGCAAAUCCACUUCGCCGCCUCCAACAACGUUGCCGAAUACGAGGCGCUCAUUCACAGGCUCCGGCUUGCCAAAGAACUCGGCAUCCGCCGGAUCCUGUGCUAUGGCUACUCCGAUUUGGUGGUCCAGCAGUCGUCUGGCGACUAGGACGCCAAAGAUGCAAACAUGGCGAGCUACUGCUUCCUGGUGCAGCAACUCAGCGGAUAUUUUGAGGGGUGCGAAUUCCUUCACGUGCCAAGAAAUGACAACGACCAAGCUGACGCCCUGGCACGGGUCGGCUCCACACGCCAAGCAAUACCAUCCGGCGUCGCCCUUCAGCGCCUCCUCAAGCCGUCUAUCAAGCCUUCACCAGAAUCAGACUCCAUCUUUGUGCCGGCUCCCCCCGAAGAAGUCGGAUCCGACUCCAAAGCACCAGUAGACGGCACGAGAAUUCUCACAGACGGCUCCAAGAAUACCGCAGUCGAAGCCGGCCCGGGGACUUCAGAACCCGGCUCGGGGACUGCGACGAUCAGCCCGAAGACUCCAGAGCUCGGCCCAGGGACUUCGCCGAUCCAGCAAGCGGCCGCAGACUCCAGCCCGCCGCCUCCCAGCCCAGCCGCCCUUGUCCAAGUCGCAAUAGUGGCAAUUGAAGAAACAGCAGCACCCUCAUGGGCCCAGCCCAUCCUCAAGUUCCUAGUAAACACAGAGCUGCCAACCGAUGAAAUCUUGGCUCGGCAGGUGCAACGCCGAGCGACAGCCUACACCAUAGUCAACAGAGAGCUGGUCAGGCGCAGUGUCACUGGUGUCUACCAACACUGCAUCGAAGCAGAGCAAGGCCAAGCAAUUCUCAGAGACAUCCAUGAAGGCGAGUGCGGCCACCAUGCGGCCUCAAGAGCACUCGUCGCCAAAGCCUUCCGGCACGGUUUCUUCUGGCCGACUGCCCUAGAAGAGGCCAAAGAGUUAGUCCGAAAAUGCAAAGGGUGCCAGAUGUUCCGUUCCAAGCCACUUCAGCCGGCUUCCACACUCAAGACCAUCCCCAUCGUCUGGCCCUUUGCAGUUUGGGGCCUGGACAUGGUGGGACCAUUCAAGACGGCACGAGGCAGCCUAACUCAUCUGCUUGUCGCGGUGGACAAAUUCACCAAGUGGAUAGAAGUAAAACCCAUCAAGAAGUUGAAUGGUCCGACUGCAGUGACUUUCAUCGCCGACAUCAAGACUCGGUACGGCAUACCACACAGCAUCAUCACCAACAAUGGCACAAAUUUUGCCAAAGGCGCCUUGGCCCGUUUCUGCGCGACGUAGGGCAUCCGACUGGACUUAGUGUCCGUUGCCCAUCCGCAGUCAAACGGCCAGGUGGAGCGAGCAAACGACCUCAUCCUAUUCGGCAUCAAGCCUCGACUGAUUGAACCACUGGAGCAUUCGGCUGGCUGUUGGCUUGAGGAGCUGCCAGCCGUCCUCUGGAGUCUGCGCACGACUCCAAACAAGUCAACCGGCUUCACGCCUUUCUUCCUUGUCUACGGUGCUGAAGCCGUCAUCCCAACGGACAUAGAGUUCGACUCCCCGCGAGUCACCAUGUACACCGAGGAGGAAGCAGAAGAAGCACGUCAAGACGGUGUCGAUCUGCUGGAAGAGGGCCGGCUGUUGGCACUCAGUCGGUCCGGCAUCUACCAGCAGAGCCUGCGCCGAUACUACAACAGGAAGGUCAGGCCAAGAUCUUUCCAAGAAGGCGACCUUGUGCUCCGACUGAUCCAGCGGACAGCCGGCCAGCACAAGCUGUCGGCACCUUGGGAAGGCCCCUUCAUUAUCAGCAAAGUGCUGGGCAACGACUCCUACUACCUGAUCGACGCUCAGAAGCCCCAAGCACGCAAGAGAGACGAGUCCAGCAAAGAGUCGGAACAACCAUGGAAUGCAAAUCUCCUCCAAAGAUUUUACAGUUGAUGCAGUAUGUACCAUGCUACCCCUUUGUAUUAAAGUACCGAGACUUCGGGCCCCCCGAGACGAGCUCGGGGACUGCCCCUUUUGAUUAUCUGUAUGAUAAGAAUUAUGCCUUCGAGUAUGCUACUUCUUGCUACGCCGCUUGGCGCCGGGUUCGACUAGUCGGCCCGGGGACUCGCCGUCUGGCGCUAUGAAAUGUUUCCUAAAGUCGGACAAGUAGUGUGCGGCGCCUAAGCCGUCUCCUGCCAGAGGCCGCAGCUUGCAGAGCGACUGUUUGGUGGGCAGGAGUAAGAAUGAAUGGGCAUUCACACGAAAAAUGGCUAAGGACCUAAAGCAUUAACAUAGCUUAAGCCGGCUUCCAGCCCCUUUUCGCAAAACCGACUCGCGAGUAGUCGACUUGCCGCUUUCUAUCCAACUUGUUAAAAAAACUCCAAUGAAUGGCAAGUACUUGCUUUCCCCAAAGUAGCCAGGCACUUGGUCCAGCGGCAGUGCGCGGAGCGGUUGUCCGGCUGACAAGGCGGCAACAAGGGGAAGGCGGCAAAGGAAAAAGCCAAAGGAGCAAUGAGCAAGGAAAGAUAGAACUCGGAUUAAUAUUUACAUAGCAUAGGCCCUUGGCCGAAUCUUCAAACAGAAGUUCAAAAUACACCCCGCGGGUGGAAUUGUGCAAAUUAACAAGUUCUUCAAAGACUUUUUUAGAGCAGAUAAAAUAAAAGCCAGAAAGCAGCCUAGGGAGCAGCAGACGGGUUCGGAGGAUCGGAGGAGACGGCGGUGUCAGGCGCCGGGGCAGCCGGCUGGGCAGUCUCGGCUUGAUCGCCGCCAGCGGCAGCCGGCCCGGUCGGACGCGGGUCGUUGCUGGAGGCACGGUCGAGCUAAGGCUAGUCGCCCGCUCCGUCUUCUGGUGCCUCCGUCUCGCCUUCAUCCUCCGCCUCGCCUUCCUCCUCGGUGCUAGAGUCAAUCACCUCCGCCGAGUCCUCGCCAUAGUCCGGGUUCAUCCCGAACCACUCUGGCGGCACCUCCUCACCGCCUGCAGCCCGCUCAGGGACGAAGACACUGGUAUCUGUGUAGUCGGCAAUCGCCACCGCACGCUCGACAAGGGCGCCCUCCACAGCCACCAGCUCUGCUUGGGCCUCUAACCAGAACACGGCCAGCCGGCCCAGGUCCAGCCCCGGAUACCACCCCUUGACGAAUUCCAAGGCCCGGCGCGCUCCGUCCCGGGCCGAGGAACCCUUCCAAGGUUCAAGACGGCCAGCUGUGACCUCCAGCCAGUCGGCAGUCCGACUGGCGGUGCGCAGAGCCGGCAUGUCUGGCCACAGAGCGGCAACCUCCUGGGCGCCGGCACGCUGAAGCCGGCGCAUCAACCGAUGGGCCGGACAAAGACGGGCCUCGAUGCUCAGAAGCUGCUCGUCGACAGUCAGGGGGGCGUUAGCGGCGAUCUCCGCGCCGCUUGCCCUCCGUGCCUCGCGAUCAGCCUCGAUGGCCUGAGUGACUGCCUGCGAGUGGCCAGGGAAGAAGUCUGCCAAGACAAAAAAGAAGCAAGUCAAAAAAUCAGAAGUCAGCCCGACCUAUAGUCGGAAGCUCAAAGAAAGAAAGGAAGAAAAGAAACUCACCGUCGACGAUGUCCUUGAUCUCAUGGAAGCCGGAGGUCAGCAUCGCCUCCUUGUCAGUCCAGGAGGAGCGCUCGCUCUCGAACUCGGCCAGGAGAGCAGCCUCCUUCUUCUCGGCCUCGUCCUGUGCCUUCUUAAGCAGCUCCUUCUGCUCGGCCAGCUGCGCAGCCAGCAGGUCGCGCUCUGUGGCAAGCUUGCUGCACUCCUCCCCCUUGACGCGCAAGGCGGUGUUGACUUCGCCCAGCUGCUCCUGAAGAGUGGCGUUGGCCCCUGAAGAACGAAAGAAAGAGACGUUAAGUCGUCAGCAAAGAAGGUCGCCGGAAAGAUCCGGCCCGACUGCUCAACAGUCGGCCCGAAUCUCGGGGACUACAGCCCGCGGGUGCGCCAGCGCGCCCCCGCGAAGAAGAAGAAGAACAAAGAAAGAGACAUUAAAGUCGUCAAGAAAAGAAGGCCGCUGGGAAGAUCCGGCCCGACUGCUCAGUAGUCGGCCCGAAUCUCAGGGACUACAGCCCGCGGGUGCGCCAGCGCGCCCCCGCGAAGAAGAAGAGGAACUCACUCCGGCUCUCCAUCAAGUCGGCAAUCCGCUUGCUCAACUCCUCAACGUUGCGGUUGAAGGCAGUGGCGCGGAGGUUGUGAUACUCCUGUAAUAAACAUUUCAGACAAAGAUAAAUACUUGGAACUCGCCAGAGGGAGUUCUGAACCGCCUGCUCAGCAGCUGGCCCGAAACUCGGGGACUACACCCAGUGGGUGCGCUAGCGCGCCCCCAUAGAGAAGAGCAAGAAAGACAAGAAUCAAAGAAAAAGCAUACCCGGACGGCCGCUUGCGACGCCAGAUGCGCCUUGGUGCAGUUCUGGAGAGCGUCGCCCUCGGCUCGCAGCUUCGCCUGGACGUCCAGAAGCGCCUGGUACAGCGGACCUGUGCCGCCUCCACGCACCCACCCAACGGGCGCGGCGCUCGUCGCCAUGGCGUGUGGGAUGGCCGAGCUGGCGGCACCGACCUCCAAGGGCCGCGGCGCCGAAGUCACCUUCUCAAGACGGCGGCGCGCUGGCGAGGCGACUUGAAGGAGCAGCGUCACCACGGCCUCGUCUUCAGUCGGCGGCACCGGCGGGCCCGCCGGCUGUUUUCCACGCGCGCUCCUAGACGGCGGCGGAGGCGGCGGUGGCGGCACGAGCGUGUACGACAUGGAGGCCUUGCCGCUUUCCUUCUUCGCGAUGGGGUUCUCGGCGCCGGCUUCUCCAGUCUGCCCCAUGAACUCCGGAGGCGGCGGUGUGGACGACAGGGGGAGGACGUGCAACACCGAUUGGCGGCGCGUGGCCUCCUCAGCUCGCCAUCUGGCCGCGAUGGCGGCUUCGGCCUCUUCCAGCUUCUUCUGGGAAGAGGCCGCCGCCAUCUUAGCCUCCGCCUUCUCCAGGCGGUCGGCCUCCUCCUCAUCGCGCCUCUCCCGCGCGUUUCGCUCCGUCGCCUCCCAGAGGUCGGCGGCGGGGUCGACCCGCCGGGUGUUGGCGGACAUCUCUGCCGAGCCCAUGACGGAGGGGACGGCGACCCUCUCAAGGAGACUAGCGGUGGCCUCUUCACUUCCUUACAAAAGCGGUUGGCCUUCGCGGCCGCCUCCUCCCGCUUGGUCGCGGCGGCCGCCCCCUUGAACUUCUUUGGCUUGCCGCCGAGCGAACUCGGCCCGGCGUGGCGCCUCUUCACGCCGCCUUGGCCGGCCAAGCCGGCGGAGGAACCCGCGCCCGAUGGGACGACCCUUGGCUGGUGGCGCGGGACGACUUCCCCUUCGGCGUCGUCUUCAGACCAGUCGGUGAAGGUGGCCGAGGGCCUGAGGCCGCUUCCCGCUCCUCCUCCGCCGCCUUCGAUGUCGGCCUCCAUCGCCGCCGCCCCCAAGUCAGGGUCGUCAACGUCGCUCUCCGCUCGGUCGGGGACGAACUCGUGGGGCGGUCUUGCGACACCGGCUACGGGCUGAAUGAGGGGGUUCUAACUCAGAGAAACCAAUGAAAAUCAGAAGUCAGAUUCGGCUAUAAAGAAGACAAAGCAAUAAAGAGAUGUGACUUACCACUGGAGGGGGGUUGGCACGCGAGUACGGCUCCUUGCCGAACUGCCAAUCCUCCCCGAGCUCGCAGUUCGCGAUGUGGUUCACCAUGUUUGCCACCUCUGCACGGGGCAUUUCCCUGGUGCACAUCCGACUCGGGUCCCGGUGGUCGCUCAUCUGACUGAUUAGAUGAGUCCGGCCUUGGAGCGGGAGGACUCGGCGUGCCACGAAGGCGGCUAGCAAGUCGGCCCCAACGAGGCCCUCCGACUGCGUCAGAACUCGGAGUCGCGCUACGGCGGCGGCUCCGGCGGGAGUCAGCGUCUUGACUCGAUGAGACCAGCUGGGGAGCCUACUAGCCGGUGUGCCGGCUUCAUAAGGCGGCAGAUUGACCCAGUCGCCGUCGGGGGCGACGUUCUUCAUGUGGAAGUACGACCGCUACCACAUCUUCACCGACUUGAUCAGCGGGAUGGAGGGAAACAGAUUGUCGGCCGUCGAUCGCCGCAUCGCGAUGAAGGCGCCGCAUUGAGCCGGCACGCCGGCGACGUGCGUGCCGAGCUUGGAUGAGAAGAAUUCUCCCCACAGCUUGAUGGUGGGGAGAACGCCGAGAAAGCCUUCGCACAGGGUGGCGAAGGCAGCCAACAACACCACCGUGUUCGGGGUGAGGUGGUGCGGCUGGAGCCCGUGGAACUCCAAGAAGGAGCGAAAGAAGCCGCUCGCCGGCAGCCCCAGGCCGCGCAUGAGGUGCGAGCGGAAGAUGACCCGCUCUCCUUCCUCCGGCGCCGGCGAUAUCUCCCUCGCCGGCGCGACGCGGGCUCGCACGAGGUGCGCGCCGGGGAGGCGGUGCGUCUUGCGGAGAAACUCGAUGAGGUCGACAUCUACCUCCGAGCCGUCCCACACGCCGGAGCGCAUGACAGAAGCCGCGGCGGCGGAGGAGGAGCUCCUCGCCGUUGGCACGGUGUGGUUCUGCACGACGGCGGCAAAGAAGAAGAGCAGAGGAGGCAAGAGGAGGCGGGGGAGCAAGGAAGAUGGGCGCGCGUGCUUUGCCGCUCCACUUCUCCCGCCUACUUAUAGCCUUGUAGGCUGAGAAGCCGAUGGGGCGGGCGUGGGAUUAACUGCGCACGGGACCCCACGCCUCCCACCGAUUUACCCCAUGAAGUUACUGCGCGCAGUAACAACGUGGGAAACCCAACCGUCCGCACGGCCGCAACGGAUCCGUUUGCAUGGGUAGGCAGACUGUCCUUGCCGCGUGGCGCCGCGUGACACGACCGCGGCGGGCGGCUACGGGGAAGCGUAUCAGGCACGCCGCCUAAUCUCCCGCCACGACUGUCGAACUCUUUACGGAGCAAGACAGCUCCCUGCGAAUCCGACUCUGGAUAGUCGGCCUGAAGGAAGACGGGAAGCGAAGCCUAGAUUCCACUGCCAGAAGAAUGAAACUAUUGAGGCCCCAAAACGUAUCACUCUCGGAGCCUCACCAGCUUCGGGGACUACUGUCGGAGUAAUGGGCCACGGGUAGGCUAACCCGAGCCCCAGAGCCUUUCAAGGCAUCGGGGCAGACUGCGCCCCUUAAGCCGAGUCCCAGGCAGCGACUCCAAGAUGAGCCGAGUCCCAAGCAGCGACUCCAAGAUGAGCCGAGUCCCAGGCAGCGACUCCAAGAUAAACCGAGUCCGAGGCGGCGACUCCAAGAUAAGCCGACUCAUGGCCGGUGACUUCCAGAGAAGCCGACUUUAGAGAGUCGGCCUGCGAUUCCACCCGUCACCUACCUUCGCCAUGAUAGGCGAGGCGGGGUACGGUCACGGCGUGGCCGUCACCCCCUGCUUACGAGGAGCUGGCAUGGCUACAUUAUGUCGUAUCGCUGGAGAUCUCCAGCAUGGCGCGACACUGUUGCGAUGCCUGCCCUGACUUCAGCCACAGUGGCGGCGCACUGUGGCCACGACGGCCUACCUGUACGACCCAGAGACGGCGGGACCCGCCCAUCAGCGAGAGAAUAGAAGACGGCUGGGUGCACCCCGAAGACGGACCCGUGGGAGUCGGCUCCCCUGGAGUCGGCCGGCCCUUCCCACGGGCCCCACACGCCAUCAACCAGACAAGACGGAGAAUGGCGACAGUGACCGUCCGAUAGACGGCGGCACUGUUGCCACGACCCCAUGACCAAGCCUGCGUCAUUAGAAGCACGACUACAGUAUCGGACCCGUCGGCGGGGCCCACCAGUCGGCGGGCCCCAGCAGUCGGCGGAGAAGACGGCGGCCUGUGAGACAGACGGCUGGGACCCGCGCCCAGCCGGAUUACCAUUGUACCCCCGGGGGGUAGGCGUAUAUAAACCCCCCGGGGCACCCAUGCAAAGGGUUCGGAUCCAUUAGCACUAGACUAGAUCAUACAGGGAGGAGAGAGUUAGCCUUGCCUUCUCCUACCUCCAGAAUACAGCUCUAGGAGCAACCUUGUACUCACUUUGCCUUAGUGAUCAUGCGGAGACCCCGCAGAGCAGCAGUAGGGGUGUUAUCUCCCCGGAGAGCCCCGAAGCUGUGUAAGAUCGGCCGGCGUGCAUGUCUUCGCGUCAUCCUGUUUCCUGGCACCGGCGACGUUCUACUCGCUCGCACCAUGAUAAGCCAUCCUUUGGCAUAUGUCGCACCCAACCCCCGACAAGCAUGUGUGUCUUUUGCUCUCGCCUUCUCCUCAAAAUCAAGAGUGCUAAUGAGAUCCAAAAUAGAAAACUCAUGUCUCUUGUUUUUCAGAGAAGUAGCAAAAUCGUUCCACGAAGGUGGAAGCUUGGCAAUGAUGGUCCCAGCAACAAAUUUGUCCAGCAACACACACUUAAAGUACUCAAGUUCCUUAGAGAGUGACUGUAUCUCAUGAGUCUGCUGAACAACAGAGCGCUCAUCAGUCAUCUUGUAGUCACAGAAUUGCUCCAUGAUGUACAACUCAUUGCUAGCACCCGAGGGCCCAAACGUGGCCUCGAGCGCAACCCACAUGUCUUUGCCGCUGUCAAACAACAUAUAUGAAUCCACAAUGGAAUCGUCAAGAACACUCAACAUGGCGGCUUUGAAGAGGGUAUCCAUGUUCUGAAAAUCUUCCUGCUGUGUAGGAUUAAGAUCGCCCUCAGACUUACCCUUAGUGGCAUCAUAGCAGUACAUGAUCUGAAACCAAUAUACUGCUCUUGUGCGCCACCUUUUAUAUUGCACCCCCUUAAAAGUAGGCGGCUUCAAAAGCGCAGCAAAACCACUCGGAGUAAAUUGCCUGUAAUCAGGUUUUUGGAUUGGAUAGUUGAAUAUAUGAGCAAUUUAGUAUGGGAUUUAAUCCGAAUCAGCAGUAAAUAGAUCAUGACGACAAUUGCAAACAUCAAAGUAAUGAUGCGGACUAAACUAGGAGGACAUAAUCACAUACUGUAUAGUGGGAGCAGAACCGAUGUGGUUGAUGUUGUCACUCAUGUCGUUGAUGAAGGGGUUACCGAGGUCGGGGAAGAAGGCUGUCGUUGAGGAAGUCGUCACUGGCAGCAGUCACAGGAGUGUGCUCCCCAAAAACCUGAUCGCCCCUCUCCCGUACAGGAUCACGAAAGGCGACUUUCGGUGGACUGCUGUCCCUUCUCGCGGUGCACGCCGGAAGGAGGGCUGGAGAAGAAUUGCGUGGCGGCACUAAGAUCUGGAAAGGUGCAAAACCAUAUGAUACAACGGCGGCUAGGGUAGAGCAUGUCAGGUCGGUCGUGCGAGUAUAAUAGUAGGCCUUUGGCCCCCAAACCCCACGUCCAAGUCAAUAAUAGCUCAAAAAAAGUCAAUAAUAGCCCCACCAAGGUUUGUCUCAAAAAAACAAAGUAAUUAAGGCGUCCGUUAGUCCCUUUAUUAUAAAUACUAUAUCAUUAAUAAUGGCCCCACCUUUUGUCUCACAAAGUAUGUUGGAGUACAACUAGCUACACGUUUACAAUCCGCUUCUCUUCUCUCUCCUCUUCUCUCUCCUUCAACUAAGCACAAAUACUAUAUUUAAAUCCUUAUAGUCUGCUUAUGCAAUCUAAUUGUAGUACUUGCUCUAAAGUUACUCUCCACUGUGUAGUCUGAAAUGCCGAGCGUGCAGCGGGCGAUUCCCUCGGCCGGCGCGCCGCUUCAACAGCGGAAGUAGAGAGAGGUCACGUUGCCCUGACUUGCCAUCAAUGUGGAGUAGCGGGCUCAGCUGGCGCCGGGUGGGAAGCACGCGUGGGAGGGGGGAGGUUUUUUUGUUGGGCCAAGAAGGUGAGAAGCCAACUUGGGACCGGUCCGGACGGGGAAAUAUCAUGUGCUCCCAUACUCUGCAUAUGACACUGGUCUAUGUUACUACUCCCUCCUUUCCGGUUUAUAGAGAUGUUUAGAGUAACAUAGUAAUAUGUUACAAUAUAAGUUACUCCCCACUAUGACCAGCCUUGGCAUCUCCCAGUGCUCCACCAUGUAUAGCUGCUAAGCCUGCCACGUAGGCAUAAAAUACGAUGUGGCACCAAUAAACUAAGCACCUAUGCAUUGAAGACUUGAGUUACUAAGCCAUUUAAUGCACUUAGCACCUCAUCUAAAGAGCAUGGUUAAUAGUAUAUCCAGCUGCUGGCUAUAAGCCAGUGCCAUGUCAUCUACAACCCAUCUUAUAGUCAACAUGUACAAUAGUAGAUCAAAAGAGUGUACUACUUUUUUUAUUAUGUGGCCCACCUUUCAUUCUCACAAAGUGCCUAGGAGCAUGUGCUAGAGCUGGCUCUUCACGAAGAGCCCGCUUACCUUCUCUCUCCUCUUCUCUUUCCUCCAACUAAGUAGAAAUAUACUAGUUUAUUCCUUAUAACCCGCUGACUCAACUCUAUUGUACUUGCUCUAAGCACAUCUAAGCACUCACUAGCACCACCUUGAUCGUGGACCUUGACGGUGUACGUCACCUUGUGUCUCAUAAUUUUCCUCGUCAUCAUCUGAGUACUAGAAGAUCUCACCCACAUCAUCAUUAGCAUACAGCCGCCUUGAUAGACAACAUGCACAGAAGGAGUAGAGGCGACUGGGGACGCACCACCACCACAUCGUGGGCACUCUGUAUGUGCUCGUGUGCGUGCAACAUGCAUGUUUUUCCAUCGGUGCUAGCUAUAAGGCCGAGGCUGCGGUCGUCUUCGUCUCCGACUAGUAGUUGAGCAACGACGGCAAAGAGGUGCUGCAAGAGAUGCGUAUGCGCCGUUGCGUGCGAGCUUCGCCGUAGCACGAUGAACCGGAUGUCGCCGCGGAUGGCGCAUGCCUCCAUGCAGCCGAGUGUGUGCGCAUGCAUGUGUUAUUCACAUGCAUUCUGCGGCCGAGCGUGUGUGCAUGCACGUGUUGUGUACGUGCGUUGUGUGCUCCAUGCUGUGCGCGUAUGUGCAUGAGUUGGAUCGGAUGGAGUUAGUGUGUUGGCUUGUGUACAUGCGUGGCUGCAUGCGUCCUAUACAUGCGUUGCUUGUUGCGUGGUUAUCAAUAAUUCAAUAUAAACUACUCCCUCCGUUCCUAAAUAUAAGUCUUUCUAGUCAUUUCAAAUAGAUUACAACAUAUGGAUGUAUGUAGACAUAUUUUUGAGUGUAGAUUCACUUAUUUUGUUUCGUAUGUAGUCCCUUAUUGAAAUCUCUAAAAAGACUUAUAUUUGGGAACGGAGGGAGUAUAAAACAUCUUCAACUUAGCAUCCUGAUGUACCGUUUCUAGUGGUUAGCGAAAAAUUCAUGUUCUUUUAUUUGUUUAUAGGUGGGCAGGCAGCAAAAAACAGGGGAAAACGCGCAAGGUUCCUUGCAGACGCUCCACCGCGAGGUUCCUUGCUCCUUCUCGGUCGUCGGGAAUCUAUGCUCUUCAACUCUUUUCUUUUACGUGAGCUUUGUUCAUCCUUUUCCCAACACAUGAGACAUCUAGCAUCAAGGUGCACGUGUCAUGCAAGAAAAUGGAGAUAAUCAGAUAAGCAAUGCGUAAGUGAGUCAUGCGGGGGGAAAAGCGGGGGGGGGGACCCUUUUUCGUAAGUGGGUCGUGCACUUCGAUGGCACCUACGCAAUAUUUUUUCUCCUCGAUGGCACGUGAAUAGUGCACGUACUCAACGACGGAGCACAGGAUGGUAGCAAUGACAUGGUCAGCCCUCUUUUGGAGAGACUACGUACUACUAGUAAAUAAAUUCGAUGUGUCCUGUCAACUCGCAGAACGACGAGAAGCUUGAUUAUGCCUUCUCCCUCGCCAACGCGUGCGCGGUGGCUCGCAGCACGAGGAGAAACUUUUGCUUACAAGCGGUGGACGUGCAACAGUUCAUUUGGUGUCAGAUUGCCAGAAGCACUACUGUAGAACCAUCGACUUCCGGAAGAGGUGAAGAGCCAAGUGCAAGGUCACCUACUAACCUUAGGCUAGGUGUAGUGGGAAUAACAUAAGUAGGGGUACCUUCUUUUUUUAUUCUAGAAACAACCACAUGCGAAUAUCAAGGUGCUGGUUACGUAGAACAAAUUUCCUGGAAUCCGUGCUCAGCCCUCCUCUAUCUCUCUUCUCAGCCAGCCAGCGGACGUGUGGAGCCCAUUGUUUGUUUGCUCACAUGCGGUCCCACAUGUCAGUGAAAACGAAAGAGGACCCACAGAACCUGCACAUCUUUCACCUCGGUGUGCUGGUGAUAAAAAACAAAUCGAAAUAAAGAUCUUCGGUGGCUGCUUUUGGAGUUACUCAAGAGUAGUAAGAUUCUAUUUAUAGUUUAACCCAAGAUGCACAUCACGUGGCUUCAUCUACCACUCUAUUUUCUUGCAUGACACGACCUAGAUGCUGGAUGUCCCACGUGUCGGCAAAAGGAGGAAGAGCCCGACCAAAUCUUCGGUUGUGCUCUCGGAUUAGACUAGUUGUGCUAACUUAAAAAAUUUAUUGUGUACUCCCUCCGUUCCAAAAUACUUGACUUCCAUUUGUCCAAAAAUGGAUGUACCUAUAUACUAAAACAUGUCUAGAUACAUCUAUAUUUUGACAAAUAGAAGGCAUGUAUUGUGGAACGGAGGGAGUAGAAUGGAUGCAAGUUUUGGUAUUAGGAAGAAGAGUACAUCCAUAUAUUGAUAGAGCGUUGGAGUUGGCCUUACAAGUGGGACCACAGUUGAGGAAACCGACUAUUGGCAAACCCCCACCUCGCCCGCCGCGCGAUGGCUGAGUUAGAGAAACGAUGAGGUUGAAGAGAUUGCUCUAGUACGGACUCCAAGAAAUAUGGUGUCAGAUGGAAGUCGUGCUGGUGGCGUGUGCCGUACUCCUGGACGUGAAUGCUUGUUCUGGCGCAUGCCACCCUACUACUCCUACUACUUACUAUAUAGUACUAGUAUCGAGGAUUCGAGCUGCUGGUUACGUAUAGUAUGGCUACAGUAAAAACACCCACCCAAUGCGCGAAGCAUGUGAAGCUAGUACAAAUAGUGUACUACUAUUGUUGAUUGGCCUCAUCUGAUAACCUGUUGCAAUGCACGUACAAUUAUGUAUUCAGAAAAUAUUUUUUUGCCUCAUCGCACCACUCACUCAGAGAAGCGACUCGAAAGCCAUUCAUAAAUUUAGUUAGUUUAUCACAAGCAUAUCAUUUUAUUACAUACAAUAGGUCAUCAACCCACAUCGACAACGAGGAUACGUUAUAAAUACUAAAGUUUUCAUCACACAACAAAUAACAAGCAAUGAAAUGAACUUCAAAUCAACCAAUCCUCAGCGUUGGAAACACUUGCUUUGAACCACAAGUGAUUCUCUGGGACGGGCCAUCUAUUGUCGAUCUCGAGACCAACGCAGGACUGAUCAUCCAUGCUGAAGUGGCCUACUAUAUCAGUACCAGGGUAGGGAACCACCCAAAUGUCCGAGGUAUAGACACAGUUGCUUCUCAUAAAUGGUACUAGAAACAUUGUGUCAACAACAGUUGGAUCGCCUUUCACCAUCAUCGGAUAGUUUUGUCCAAGGAAGAGCGAGUUUUCUGCAAGACUAUCAAUUCUGUACCAGGGAGAAGGUGUUGGCGCUAGCACACUAGUAUCCAUCCUGAAUACCAUGCAAUGGGUGUUGGAAUAGGUCCGGAGAGUGCGACCAUGGGAUACUACACGUGCUCCCUUAGUAGUAACAAACUCAGUGCGCUGUAUACACACAAGAAGAGGUGAUCCAUCGGAAUUAGUUGCCAGGCGCCACUGAGUAUAUACAUUUUGCUCGUCCUCAUGCUCAUGAUCAUCACCAUCGUUAUCUCCCCCUUGGUUAUAAAAAUUUUCAAGUAUAGGUGGUGGAAUGUUCACAGGACCUUGGAAACACAAGAAGAAGGUUAAUUAGUAAAGGGAAACUUGCUAACCCGAUGAAACAAUUAUAAUUAUGGUGGAAGACAAACAUACUGAAAGUAUAAGGAUUCCAUGCAAAAACAGUGCCACGAGUAGUGGCAGCAAACACAAGGCCCAUCGUAUUGAAUUGCAUCACAGUACACAUUCAUGUAUAGAAACUAAUUUUUGAGCAAUAUCCAUCCAGUCGAACCACGAAGGACGGCAACAAGCUUGUCGAAGAUAGCAACAACUUCAUAGUUGUUUUAAUUCCAAGAGCGGUUGGGAACUCAACAAAUUGCUAUCUUCCGUAGAAGACAGUCACCAUGAUCGUAUUUGAACGUGCGUACAAUAUCGGUGUGCUCAACCUCUGGGCAGUCUGUUGAGAUUUUUGGAAGUGGAACCCGGUCACGAGUGUACACAUUCACAAGUUCCCACUCACAAUUAGACCCAACGUAAACAACCCAAUCUCCAUUUGCGCCUACCCAAUCCUUGCCCUCAAGCGAUGGCAUCUUAACAUCAUAUGUAUCAUUAUCAAGCGGCAUCAGCUUGCACAAGGCGAGGCCUCCGUCGUCCCCGCACCAGUAGUCAUCAGGGUCACGACGAAGAAGAUAGGGGAGAUCAAACCGCUCCUUGACUCUUGGGUUCCUUGUAAUGAUGUUAUUAGUUGAGUCGAGAAUGGGCUUGAACGAACCUAUCAUGCUAGCCUAGGUGAUGACAUCGCACUGAUCAAUGAGUUCCUCCACCAUGUCAUCUUUCAGAUCGGGGAAAGAAUAAUGGGGUCGUUUUCGGCCUGUUCCCUCCAUGGAGAAGACAAUCAAACAAUGGCAGAAGGAAGGGUGAAGGGCUAAAGGAAAAUGGAGGAGGGAGAGGAAGAGCGUGCGACAGCAGUUCCAAAUCGAGAGGGAAAGGCAAAGAGUCGGUGGACGGUUGCCUAGUUUGCCAUGGUUCACGAAGAGGCGGCCUACACGUCUGUUCGGGAAUACUAGUAGAAAAGGACUCGCCGUCGUCUCACUGAUAUGUUGGAACGGUGAAAGCACAAGUGCUCCCUAGGUGGUUUUGGUAAUUAAUAUCAACAUAUCUCUUGUUGGACUAACACUUUUAUCUAGUAUGUUUCAGAUAAGUUCAACAAUGGAGUGGCAUGGACUAAAGGAUGUGGGAACUCCUUCAAGAUGCUAAGGACAAAGGAUUGGCUCAAGCUUCAAGCUCUAGACUCUUCAUUUUACAUUUUAGUGAUCCCAAAUCACAUUGAGUCUAUAGGAAAAGCCAAUACUAUCAAGGAGGGAUGAGGUGUUGCUUAAUGAGCCUCUUGCUUCAAGUGCUUAGUGAUAUGCUCCAAAUACCCUCAACUACUUUCCCACUUCCACACAUAUGACCUAAACCUAAAGUCAAACUCGGUCACACCGAUUCUUCCUAUCCGGCGCCACCGAGUUCAGUUGUCAUAGCCACUGCCAGAAACCCUAGGCAAAUCGGUCUCACCGAUAGGGAUCUCGGUCUCACCGAGAUGGGAUUGUAAUCUCUCUGUGUAUGUCCAUUAUCAAAAUCGGUCUCAUCGAGUUUGAGCAAUCAGUACUACCGAGAUUACAAUGCAAACUCUCUGGUUAACUUAUUAUCAAAAUCGAUCCCACCGAGUUUGAGUAAUCGGUCCCAUCGAGUUUGCCUGACCAACUCUCUGGUUAGCUAAUUACCAAAAUCGGCCUCACCGAGUUUGUGUAAUCGGUCUCACUGAGAUUAUGUUAUGCCCUAACCCUAACCAUAUCGGUUUUACCGAGUUGCAUUUUGGUCCCAUCGAAAAUCCUAACGGUCACUAGGUUUACUACAUCGGUCCAACCGAGUUUGAUGAUUCGGUCCCACCGAGUUUGGUAAAUUGUGUGUAAUGGUUAGAUUUUGUGUGGAGGCUAUGUAUACCCCUCCACCUCCUCUUCAUUCGUGGAGAGAGCCAUCAGACUGAACCUACACUUCCAGCAUCCUAUCUCUGAGUGAGAACUACCUACUCAUGUGUUGAGGCCCAGAUAUUCCAUUCCUACCAUAUGAAUCUUGAUCUCUAGCCCUCCCAAGUUGCUUUCCACCCAAAUCUUCUUUCCACCAGAUCCAAAACCUAUGAGAGAGAGUUGAGUGUUGGGGAGACUGUCAUUUGAAGCACAAGAGCAAGGAGUUCAUCAUCAAUGCACCAUUUGUUACUUCUUGGAGAAUGGUGUCUCCUAGAUUGGCUAGGUGUCACUUGGGAGCCUCCGACAAGAUUGUGGAGUUGAACCAAGGAGUUUGUAAGGGCAAGGAGAUCGCCUACUUCGUGAAGAUCUACCGCUAGUGAGGCAAGUCCUUCGUGGGCGACGGCCAUGGUGGGAUAGACAAGGUUGCUUAUUCGUGGACCCUUCGUGGGUGGAGCCCUCCGUGGACUCGCGCAACCGUUACCCUUCGUGGGUUGAAGUCUCCAUCAACGUGGAUGUACGAUAGCACCACCUAUCGGAACCACGCCAAAAACAUCCGUGUCUCCAAUUGCGUUUGAAUCCUCCAAAACCCUUCCCUUUACAUUCUUUCAAGUUGCAUGCUUUACUUUCCGCUGCUCAUAUACUCUUUGCAUGCUUGCUUGCUAUAUGUUGUGAAUGCUAAACUUGUGGCUAAACUCCACUUAAACUUUAAGAACUUAAAAACUGCAACUUUGGUACUUAGUGUCUAAUCACCCCCCUCUAGAUACCUCUUCUCAAGGUCCUACAAGUGGUAUUAGAGCUUUAGUCUCCAUUGCCUUGGUUUAAUCACCAUUGGAGGAAGAUGGAUGAGUCUACUUUGGGGAGUCUUAGACAUAGAGUGCCUAUUCUUGAUGGAGAGUAUUUUCAUGAGUGGAAAAAUGAGAUGCUUGUAAUUUUCAAUCAAUAUCAUUUGAACAAGUACAUUGCUAGCCCUUGCGCACCUCAUGUUGAUCCUAUGCAUCCUACCCUUGAUGAGUCAAUUGACAUGGUUAGGAAUCUUAGAUCUGCCGAACUUAUUAUUAGAGGAUUGCCUAGAAACUUGAUUGGAUGUUUGCCUACUCUUGAGUGUGCCUACACUAUAUGGAAAUUUCUUGAGGAACGAUUUCCAGAUUAUUCCUUGAAAAAUCUUGAUGAAAUUCUCCAUAAGUCUAUUGCUUUGAGUAAGAUGAAUACUAGUGAUCCUAUGUUUGGUGAUCGUCUAUUUGAACUUACAAACCUUAUGCGUGCCAAAGGAGGUGUUGGAAUUAUUAGUGAUAUUGUUUCCGAAGCUAUAAAAAUUCAUAAGCAAGAUCAUUGUCAAACUCACUCUAACGAAUCACCCUCUCUAGGAUUUGAUCCACCACAUGACGAUGUUGAACAUGGAUACUAUGAUGAGGAUGAUGAUAGUGACUUCGAUCUUGAUGAUGCAAUGAGACAUUUUGGUCUUAUGGCAAAUCUUCGGGGAUAUAUGUCAGGAGGAAAGGAAUGGGUUCUUGAUAGUGGAUGUACCGAUCACAUGACCGGAGAUAAAGACAUGUUUCGUGAGCUUGCUGAAAAUGAUAGUCCUCGAAAGUCUGUCACUUUCGAUGACAACUCAAAGGGUAAGGUGGUUGGCCUUGGUAAGGUGGCCAUAUCACAUGAUAGCUCCAUACAAAAUGUUAUGCUCGUUGAAUCUCUUGGAUACAACCUACUUUCAGUAUCUAGACUUGCUGAUUUCGGUUUCAAUGUCCUAUUUACUGAAGUAGAUUGCCAAGUGUUUCGUCGAGACAAUUAUAAAAUGGUCUUUACCGGUGUACGUAGAGGUGAUCUAUACAUUGUUGAUUUCACUAAAAAGGCUCAACCUAAAACUUGCUUCAUUGCUAAAUCCUCAAAAGGUUGGUUAUGGCAUAGACGAUUAGGUCAUGUUGGUAUGCGAAACCUUGACAAGCUUAUUAAGGGAAAUCAUAUCCUUGGAGUUAAUGAUGUCAUAUUUGAUAAGUAUAGACUUUGCAGUGCUUGUCAAGCAGGUAAACAGGUUGGCGGAAGGCAUCCCGUGAAGAACAUUAUGACCACAAGGAGGCCACUCGAGCUACUUCAUAUGGAUCUCUUUGGUCCUAACUCCUACAAGAGUCUCGGUGGAAAUUCUUUUGGUCUAGUUAUAGUUGAUGAUUUUUCAAGAUUUCGUGGGUGUUCUUUCUCGAUGAUAAAUCGCAGGUUCAAAAGAUCUUCAAAAAUUUCGCUAGGAAGGCCCAAAAUAAAUUUGAAGUGAAGAUCAAGAAGGUUCGCAGCGACAACAGAACGAAAUUCAAGAACGCAAAUGUGGACACCUUUCUUGACGAAGAAGGGAUUUCACACGAGUUCUCGGCUACAUACACACCUCAACAAAAUGGAGUUGUUGAGAGGAAGAACCGGACGCUCAUCGAAAUGGUGAGAAAGAUGCUUGAUGAGUACAAGACGCCGAAGCACAUUUGGGCAGAAGCGGUUGAGACAGCUUGUCAUGCAACAAAUCGCUUGUAUAUUCACAAGCUACUCGGCAAGACGGCAUAUGAGCUCCUCACCGGUAACAAACCCCAAGUUGGAUACUUUCGAGUAUUUGGCUCAAAGUGCUACAUUCUUGAUAAGCAUCGUUGUUCUAAAUUUGCUCCUAAGUCUCAUGUAGGUUUCCUACUAGGUUAUGGCUCAAACUCUAACACAUACCGUGUCUACAACAAUUUCACCCAAAAGGUUGAAGAGACGGUAGAUGUGAAGUUUGAUGAAUCUAACGGCUUGCAAGUAGAGCAAUUGCCAAUUGAUGUAGGAGACAAAGAUCCUUCGGAAGCAAUCCAAGACUUGUCUAUUGGCAAGGUCCGUCCAACGGAGGUGAAGGAGAGUACCUCGUCCAUCCAAGUGGAAGCUUGUACUUCACGACAAGGUGAACCAAGAGUUGAUACGGAAGCAUCCACAAGUGGGACACACCAAGAUGAAGAAAACGAGGAAGUGCAUCAAGAUGAACGUCAACAACCUCCUUCUCCACCAUGACAAGAGAACGACAAUGCCAAAAAUGAAGAAGGCCAAGAAGAAGGAGAAGAUGAAGAAGAAGUUCAACCAAGAUCCAAGCAAAAACUUUCACGAGUUCGAGCAAGAAUUGCUAAAGACUAUCCCGUCGAGCAAAUCUACAAUGAUAUUCAAACCGGGAGAAUCACUCGCUCUUAAACUCGUUUAGCUAACUUUUGUGAAAACUAUUCUUUCAUCUCUAGCAUUGAACCUAUGAAGGUCGAAGAAGCAUUGGAAGAUCCGGAUUGGAUAAAUGCUAUGCAUGAAGAGCUACACAACUUUGAGAGGAACCAAGUUUGGACAUUGGUUGAGAAGCCCGACAACAACCACAACAUCAUCGGUACCAAAUGGGUGUUUCGCAACAAGCAAGAUGAAGAUGGACAAGUAGUUCGCAACAAAGCACGUCUCGUUGCCCAAGGUUACACACAAGUCGAAGGUAUGGACUAUGGUGAGACUUAUGCUCCUGUUGCUAGACUUGAGUCCAUUCGCAUCUUACUUGCCUAUGCUAAUCACCAUGAUAUCACCUUGUACCAAAUGGACAUUAAAAGUGCUUUUCUAAAUGGUGAAAUAGAGGAGGAAGUUUAUGUUAAACAACCCCCCGGCUUUAUCAAUUCUAAGAAACCCAAUCAUGUUUACAAACUUCACAAAGCUCUUUAUGGUCUUAAACAAGCUCCUAGAACAUGGUAUAAAUUCUUGACCAAGUUCCUUAUUGAAAAAGGCUUUGAAAUUGGGAAAAUUGAUUCCACACUUUUUACUAAAAGGGUUAAUGGAGAACUCUUUGUGUGCCAAAUCUAUGUUGAUGAUAUUAUAUUUGGUUCAGCUAAUCCUCAUUUUAGUGAAAAGUUUGGGAAGCUAAUGUCGGAGAAGUUUGAGAUGUCUAUGAUGAGUGAACUUAAAUUCUUUCUUGGGUUGCAAAUCAAGCAAACUAAGGAAGGUACUUUUGUCUCUCAAACCAAGUACACCAAGGACUUAUUCAAGAAGUUCAAUAUGCAAGAAUGCAAAGGUAUGACUACACCCAUGCCUACUAGUGGACAUCUUGACUUAACCAAAGAUGAUGAACCGGUUGAUGAAAAGGUUUAUCGCUCUAUGAUUGGUUCAUUGUUAUAUCUAUGUGCUUCACAUCCCGAUAUUAUGCUAAGUGUGUGCAUGUGUGCACGAUAUCAAGUUGCUCCUAAAGAAUGUCAUCUUAAGGCCGUGAAAAGGAUAGUGAGAUACUUAAUCCAUACACCAAAUUUUGGCAUUUGGUAUCCUAAGAGGGCCUCUUUCGAUCUUGUUGGAUACUCCGACUCGGACUAUGCCGGAGACAAGGUUGAUAGAAAGUCCACUUCGGGUACUUGUCAAUUUCUUGGUAGAUCUCUUGUGUCUUGGUCCUCCAAGAAACAAAACUCGGUAUCCUUAUCCACCGCCGAAGCGGAAUACACUGCCGCUGGUUCAUGUUGUGCUCAAUUACGUUGGAUGACUCAAACUCUUAAAGAUUAUGGGAUAUAUGUGAAACAUGUUCCAUUGCUUUGUGACAAUUAAAGUGCUAUCAAAAUUGGUCAUAAUCCUGUGCAACAUUCUUGAACUAAGCAUAUUGAAGUUCGUCAUCAUUUCAUUCGAGAUCAUGUUGCUAAGGGUGACAUUGAUCUUAAGCAUGUUCGCACCGAAAGCAAUUAGCGGAUAUAUUCACUAAACCUCUUGAUGAGAAAGUGUUUUGCAGGUUAAGAGGAGAAUUGAACAUCAUUGAUGCUUCAAACUUGGAGUAGAAACUCCAUUGGAUACAUGCAAGACAUGAGCUUAUGACUAAUCCUUGAUAUUUCUCUUAUGAUCAAAAUCUUCUGUCUUGGAUAUAUUUGUAUCUUGCAUGUUAUCUAACCCAUGUAGGUACUUGGUUGAAUCAAAUUCCAUGAGAUUGUAACCUACUCAUAUCUUGAGCAAUCUCUACAUCACCAAGUCUCUACACUAUGGUGGUUGAAGACAAGGAAGCAUGGAACCAUUCAAACAUAUCCUUUGACAAAUUCUAUGUUGAGCUUCAUGAUUGUCAUUUUUGGAUACACAAGUGCUAUUCCUUGCAAGAACUAACCCAUGUAGGUAGAUGGACACAAAUUCCAAGUGGUGCUCCAAAUUCUUGAUAAGCUACAUCACCCUUGAGCAACCCACAUGAGUUCAACUACAUGGACAACACCAUCAACCAAGGUAUGUUAUUCCAUCUUAGAGAAGCUUUACUCCAAGUCAUGAGUUAAAGCACCUCGACAAGAUGUGAAUACAUCAAGAUGCUUAAACAAAAAAUGGCAACCCCAUUUUGAGCUUAAACGAUGAGUAUGACCUAUGAUCAAGUGAUCUCACUUGACUCCUAAGUCAAUAUACUCUAACAUAGGUGACCUUGUCGCCGACCAUCUCUAGAUGAAGUUCUCUUAUGUUCUCUUCUGUGUUUUUGCAUUCGUCUCAUGCAUAUUUGUUUCCCCUUUUUUUAAAAAAAACUUCAUCUAGAUUUCUUUCUAUUUGUUCUGCAUUUUUUGCAUCCAAUUCAUUGCAUAUCAUUCAGUUAAUUCCUUGCAAAUCCUCGUGAGAUAUUAUUAGUCUAGUGAGCUGAGGUGACAACUGUUUUCCCUGCAAUGAACUCGGUUCCACCGAUUUGUUAUUUUCGGUCCAACCGAAUACUUUCGGUACCACCGAAGCAUACCACUCUAUGCCACCGAUUUCACAACAGAAAAAACCAGUUUGCCACUUAUUCUGUGUUUCUUAUGAUCCAACUCCACUCAAUGAAUCUUGUCCUCUACAAGCAUCACAUUUUUUUUAUAUAAAUUCUUUGUGCUGUGACUCAAGGAUCAAACCCUUCUUGGAAAUUGAUGUCAAAGGGGGAGAGAGAGAUCACAUCAAAGCUUAUCACUUAAAGAGAUCACAUCAGAGAGAGAGAGAGUAUCACCUCCUCAGAGGGAGAGAGAGAUCCUUCAGGGGGAGAAAGAGAUCUCUAGGGGGAGAGAAUACUAGUAGAAAGUAUUUCUCAAGGAUCCCAGAUGCUUGGUGUUCAAGAGGAGAGAUGCCACAUGUAUUCUUGAGGGGAAAGACAUGUUCAUUCGUGCUCAUUUGCAUUAGCUCUGUUCAUUUAUAACUUUCAGCUCUGAUUUUCUAUUCCCUAUCUUCUCCCAGUAUCCCAUGCUAGAUUCAGGGGGAGCAAGACAUCUAAGUGAAAGAAAUCAUUUAAAUUCAUUGCAUAUCUUUACUCUUGGGGACAUGUCUAAUCCAAUGUAGUACUUAGUACUCACUCUCUACAUGUCAUCCCAAUCUUGGUAUUCUUGUGGUUUCUUCUGUUUGCUCUGGCUAGUAGAUGUAUCUGUGUUAUCUAACCUUGUUUACGCAGGUUCAUUCCAUCCUAAGCCAACUCAAGACUACAAGGUAAGUAUAUGCAUCACAAUCAUGUGUAUGAGGAAUUCUUGCUGAUGUACAUACUGUUUGCAAGAAGGACUCAUGUGCAUGAAGGUAUUCUCUUUAAUAUUCUUUGCUCUGAUGCAUAUGGCCAAGAUACAUGUAACACAUUGCCUGCUCUAUCAUGGUUAUGCUAUCACAUGCUUCUAUAUUUCAUAUUCACAUGAUUGCAUACAUGUAGGGGGAGCCUAUGCUUGUUACAUGUCUUUCCAAAGCUUUACUUGCUACUCUUUAUAUCUUUAUCGAAAGCUUUGAUGUAUGUUGUCAUGAAUUACCAAAAAGUGGGAGAUUGAAAGCACAAGUGCUCCCUAGGUGGUUUUGGUAAUUAAUGUCAACAUAUCUCUUGUUGGACUACCACUUUUAUCUAGUAUGUUUCAGAUAAGUUCAACAAUGGAGUGGCAUGGACUAAAGGAUGUGGGAACUCCUUCAAGAUGCUAAGGACAAAGGAUUGGCUCAAGCUUCAAGCUCAAGACUCUUCAUUUUACAUUUUAGUGAUCCAAGAUCACAUUGAGUCUAUAGGAAAAGCCAAUACUAUCAAGGAGGGAUGAGGUGUUUCUUAAUGAACCUCUUGCUUCAAGUGCUUAGUGAUAUGCUCCAAAUACCCUCAACUACUUUCCCACUUCCACACAUAUGACCUAAACCUAAAGUCAAACUCGGUCACACCGAUUCUUCCUAUCCGGCGCCACUGAGUUCAGUUGUCAUAGCCACUGCCACAAACCCUAGGCAAAUCGGUCUGACCGAUAGGGAUCUCGGUCUCACCGAGAUGGGAUUGUAAUCUCUUUGUGUAUGUCCAUUAUCAAAAUCGGUCUCACCGAGUUUGAGCAAUUGGUACUACCGAGAUUACAAUGCAAACUCUCUGGUUAACUUAUUAUCAAAAUCGGUCCCACCGAGUUUGAGUAAUCGGUCCCACCGAGUUUGCCUGACCAACUCUCUGGUUAGCUAAUUACCAAAAUCGGUCUCACCAAGUUUGUGUAAUCGGUCUCACCGAGAUUACGUUAUGCCCUAACCCUAACCAUAUCGGUCUUACCGAGUUGCAUUUCGCUCCCACCGAAAAUCCUAAUGGUCACUAGGUUUACUAAAUCGGUCCAACCGAGUUGGAUGACUCGGUCCCACCGAGUUUGGUAAAUUGUGUGUAACGGUUAGAUUUUCUGUGGAGGCUAUAUAUACCCCUCCACCUCCUAUUCAUUCGUGGAGAGAGCCAUCAGACUGAACCUACACUUCCAGCAUCCUAUCUCUGAGUGAGAACUACCUAGUCAUGUGUUGAGGCCAAGAUAUUCCAUUCCUACCAUAUGAAUCUUGAUCUCUAGCCCUCCCAAGUUGCUUUCCACUCAAAUCUUCUUUCCACCAGAUCCAAAACCUAGGAGAGAGAGUUGAGUGUUGGGGAGACUAUCAUUUGAAGCACAAGAGCAAGGAGUUCAUCAUCAACGCACCAUUUCUUACUUCUUGGAGAGUGGUGUCUCCUAGAUUGGCUAGGUGUCACUUGGGAGCCUCCGACAAGAUUGUGGAGUUGAACCAAGGAGUUUGUAAGGGCAAGGAGAUUGCCUACUUCGUGAAGAUCUACCGCUAGUGAGGCAAGUCCUUCAUGGGCGACGGCCAUGGUGGGAUAGACAAGGUUGCUUCUUCGUGGACCCUUCAUGGGUGGAGCUCUCCGUGGACUCGCGCAACCGUUACCCUUCGUGGGUUGAACUCUCCAUCAACGUGGAUGUAUGAUAGCACCACCUAUCGGAACCACACCAAAAACAUCCGUGUCUCCAAUUGCGUUUGAAUCCUCCAAAACCCUUCCCUUUACAUUCUUGCAAGUUGCAUGCUUUACUUUCCGCUGCUCAUAUACUCUUUGCAUGCUUGCUUGCUAUAUGUUGUGAAUGCUAAACUUGUGCCUAAACUCCACUUAAACUUUAAGAACUUAAAAACUGCAACUUUGGUACUUAGUGUCUAAUCACCCCCCUUGACGGUGUCCUAGACUAGGGGGUACUCAAUGCGUCGUCUCCCGAUCAGUUGGAUUGGGCUGAGGACCCCCAUGGCCGUAUAUUCAUGGGCCAGUCCGGACAACUGCCGCAUACAAGGAAGAAUCCACAAGACUUGGCGAUCAAGACAAGGACUCCUCCCCCACCGGCGUAUUCGGCUGGGACUCUUGUUAUCCUAGGCCUCUGGUGCAUUAUAUAAACCAGGGCCAGGCUAGUCGAUAGACAUAUACAAAAAACAAUCAUACCAUAGGAUAGCUUCUAGGGUUUAUCUUCUCUGAUCUCGUGGUAGAUCAACUCUUGUACUAUCCCUAUCAUCAAUAUUAAUCAAGCAGGAGUAGGGUUUUACCUCCAUCGAGAGGGCCCGAACCUGGGUAAACAUUGUGUCCCUUGCCUCCUAUUACCAUUGAUCCUAAGACGCACUUCUUGGGACCCCCUACCUGAGAUCCGCCGGUUUUGACACCGACAUUGGUGCUUUUAUUGAGAGUUCCGCUGUGUGGUCGGCGAAAGAAUCAAUGGCUCGACUGCAGGUCAACUGCGACGUUGGCUUCUUCGUCACUAGCUCGACUGGUCACGUUGGCUUGACCGAGGACUGCGCCCUACCUCUGAUCAUCAUGUUCGGAUGAAGGCCUUCAUCAACACCAACUCCGAUCUCUAUCAAGAUCAUGGAGGAGUCAUCCAUGGAGCUCGGGGGCUCAACGUCAACAUUGCCUUCAGGCGACCGUGCUAUUUUUCCGGACAACAAACUUGUAUCCGCCGCCACCGCCUCCUCGAGUGUCGCUUAAACGAUUACUUCGGUGGGAUUAUGCGGAAUUAAGUCUACAACAACCCUGCAAAAAUUUCGUCGAGUUCCGAUGGAGGAAUAUCCGGCAAUCUCCGAUAUACCGGAGCCCUGUUGAAUCUGGAUGAGAAUCCGGACGAGUUUAGGGCGUGGUAUCCAGCAUCUAUCUCGGAUGUCCUUUGGAUGAUCCAACCAUUGAUUUUCUGCGGAAUUCCCAUAUCUACCACCUGCCAAAAAUUCAGCUCGAUCCAACCGUCCAAACUCCGGGAAACUUCCGAUUAGUGCAUCACUUUUUGGAUCUGUUUUCUGUGCGAGAACUAAUCCGACCCGAAUUCAUCUUCUUUAUGAACGGGAUCUCAGACAUCCUUUUUGAAGGAAGUUUUCGUAUGGGGUGUUGUGUUUUAUUCUCAAACACAUCCCAGUAGUACUAAAAGUAUUCUUGCAAUACGAACUUCACCGUCGCGCUGGUGUCCAACUAGCCCAACAACAUCACUCCACGGCGGCUGACUGCGUUAGACACGUCGUCACUUUGUUGAGUCGAGCUCAAUUUCUUCGGAUCAUCAUAUCGGCCAGCCGAACAAUAGUUCGGCAUCGUGAAGGAUAAAUCGUCACCAACAUCGCCGCCCCACGGAUUACACGGAGCGGGCACACCGGCAUCGCCACACAGUCACUUCAUCAAGCCGGCAUCGACCACGUCACGACCUGCAUCGCUGGACCGGGGGCUUCAUCAUCUCUUCAUCAACCUACUCCGGAGACUUCGGCGUUGCUGGCUGGCCAGCUCCAUCACGUUAGCUGGACCGAGGGCUUUGCCUCGGCGUGCCAACCUUUGCCAGCAUCACCAUGCCGUUGCUUUAUCGCCCAUCAGGCGAUAGGUGUGCGGAUCGAGUCCCAAUUUUGGGAAUCACCUUUCUUCGGAUUGCUACAACAAAUAAGCCAGGUGCUAUUAAUCCUAGUAUUUUUCACUUGUUAGGGUUCAUUUUUCCCAAUGAAUUAUUACUCUGGUUUGUCCGUCAUAUGUACGCAGGUCUAUCAAAUGGUGGCCGCAUUAACGAGGUUGCAUGGUGGUUAGGUCAGUUUCCGUACAUAGUCCGGCGAACGCCGCAUCCGGAACUCGAACCGACCUGUGAAUUCAGGCCUUGCCAUGCCUUUACCGCAUCACGCCGCCGCCCGGCAUCGACAUUGACUUCGGCGCCAGGCCAUAUUUCUUUUAUUACUCACUUUGCAUAAAUUAUUUGUUAUGCAACGAAUUUUUAUUAUUAUUAUUAUUACUAUUAUCUCCGAUUUGCACUAUUUUUUGUGCACAGGAAAAUGAUCCAGCCGGACUAUAUCCUUUGGCGUCACCUCGGCUGGACGGGGGGCUUCGUCAACACUUCAUUACCCCAUGCCGGGGACUUCGGCAUCACCCUGCCGCCCUGCAUUGACCGUGCUAUGUCACCACUUCGGAGUGCCGAGCUCCUUGCUCCGUGACCUCGGGACCGGCUCGGGAUGGAACCUUGUCCCGCAUCAAGCUCGGACCGCGUCAUCAAUACCGAACACAUUAACCAGCUAAGUUGUCUUCAUGCUCAAAGUUUUAAAUUUUUAACUUGUGUUCGGCUCGGACAAGCAUUAUACUUUUUUGGAAAAAAGUUGCUUGUAAAAAUUUUCUUGUCCAAACUUUGUUUGUGAUGCGCAAAUUCAAAUACCCCGUUUACUUGGGGGCUUCCUUAAUGAAGCUUUUUCCUGUUGCAUAUGGUUAUACUUGUACGGCUUCGUUCCUUGUUCGUGUAUUACGCCACAAUAUGCACCAUAUUGACUUAAGCGAUUUGCAAGCUGGGUUGCCUGGCUUCUGUGCUUAUCCCUACGUUCUCGAUUGUUCGGCUAGGGAGUAAAGGGAGCACCUCUGCGAUUGUCACGAUCGGGUCACCCGAGCCGGACCUCAGACUAGGUGAAGCCGAAAGCUAGCGCUCUUAUUGUUUUCAAUCAUGGUCGGCACACAACGGAACUCAUGAGUACAAAAAAUCUAUUGCACAAGUCUCAUAAUAACAAUGAGCACCGAAGAAAGGUAUCGGUGGGGGUACUAUUUUCUUCGAAGAUGCUUCUUACUCUUCGCAAUAAUAUAGCAUAAGUUCCCUGAGCGCGCUUUGUCUGUUACAUCCUUAUGGCCUGAUUGCCUGGUUAUUGGAAACACCGUCGAUAUUCUCGACAGAUGGAGUACAUAACACUUUUCGGUCCUUGACCGAAGAGGGAGAAGCCGACGGUCGGUUAAGACGCGUUUAAAGUUUGGUUGAACAUAGAUAUGAUAUAAGUACUUCGGUACAUGCAAUCAUUCUUUUACCCAAGUCACUUGGGGGCUCUUAAAUUUAUAUGAGCCGUUUUAUGAUAAGUGUUUUUCUUCUUAGUCGUUGCAGAGUUUUUAUUAUUAUUUGUCACUCCUUUUCUCGACACGAGUGUGCGGUCACUAGCCGGGGAGCCUAAUUUCUCUCUCAAAGCCGCUAGAGUUUAGUUUGCUAAACUGGCCUAGUAGGAAGUACUCCGCCUUCGGGAUAGGAGGUUGAAGCCGUAGGCUGACCCGCUUGAAGUUUUGAGAUAGGAUGUGUCAUGUUAAAGCACGACAGAAGCACCUUUUUUUUUCUAAAGUCCAAUUUUCGGAUUGGCACCGAACACUUGAUCUAGUUCGGACAUUAAUCUUUUGAAUAAGUUUUUUUGGCUUUUCGAGCCCAUGGCACUUUUAAACUAUUUGUGUGUUUUCAGCACAAGUCUCGCAGGGCAACGCCGGACACCUUUAGAGAUUCGGCAAAAACAUUCUCGGAUAUUGCUAUAUAUGCAUCAGUUUCGAAUUGUGUCUUCGGUCAAUAGUUGGGUUUCCCGGCUCCUGCACUUGCCUCCUAUGUUCCGCUUUGUUCGGCUAGGUGUGCAAAGGGAGAACCACUGCAAUUGUGCUUCCAGCUCACAUGGUUAAGCACCUCAGUGGAGAAAGCCGAAAACUGACUGUCAUAAUAAGCGUAAACUGGUCGGUGAUCCGAUGACGUCGUUAAACGACGGGCCAUUCAUAACAAUGCCGAAGUGUUUACGGCUUGACCUUGACUAUCGCCGAACACUACCGGAGGCUAUUAACUGGCCUCCCAAACGAAAUCCUCGAUAUUUUGCUCUUACAUUGGAGCUGAGGUUUCAUGAUCAUGCUUAGCAUGACAACCCAAAGAAAGGAACCGAUAGCGGAGCUAUUUUCUUUGGAAGACAUUUCUUCUAUUAAACAGUAAUAUAACAUGUCUCUCUGUGUACCUAUGUUUAUAAAACCGUAUGGCCAUAUUGCCUUGUUUGUUGUGAAUCUUUGCCCUCAUAAAGGCUUUAUAAAGUAGGACAAACACUCCUCGGCUAUUGGCCGAGGAGGUGGAAGCCGAUGGUCGGUCAACAAAGUUUUGUACAAUGCGGAUCCGAGCAUUAAUGACGUAAAGUACUUGGAUACAUAGAGUCAUUACACAUAAUUUGUGAUUUUACUAUGGAUAUCGAUCCUUAAUUUGGCCUCCCGUGCCCGCAUUAAGGCUCGGGGGCUACUGGGCUUUAGGCUUAUUAUUUACAAAUAUUAAAGGGGCACAUCGAUCCCCUGAUCUGGUGUUGCCACACGACCAGUGUCUCGGGGGCUACUGCAUUGCCUGUUCUAUGCAGAAAAUUUUAAGUGCAAUACAAUUUCCGAGGAGAUUUUGAUCCUCAGGUUGGUCGGCCGCAUCCAACCUGAGUCUCGAGGACUGAGCACACCACUUUUUGUGUCCCGAAGUAUUCUGCCGAGCUAGGACUUGAUCCUCAGGCCGAUUUUGCAAAUCAACCUGAGUCUCAGCGGUUACUGGGAUCAGCGGUCUUAUGUCAUCCUUCAGGUGCAUCUCGGGUUUUAGACCGAUACACACCUUGAGGGCUACUAGCUAUAUAUCUCGUCAGAGAACAAAUUGCAUCAAUAAAAACAUUGACCAAAAAUCAGCCCAUGACCGAGGUGCUUAACCACCUCAGAAGCAGUUCGGCGUAUAGCUCGGAUGAAAGUGGCUGGCUCCUUAGAGGGCAUUUCCGGCAUUAAGCUCGCUAAACUCCUUCAACUUUUUUGGACCAAGAUGAUCUAUGACAUCUUGGAUAUAGUCCGGCAUUGGAGCUUGGACACAGUCCGGCGUUGGAGUUCGGAUACAUUUCGGCGUUGGAGCUCGAAAGCAGUCCGGCAUUUGUGCUCGUCUGCAAGAGAUACCUUGAAUGCAGUCCGGCGUUAGAGCUCGGACGCAAGAGGACACUGCCUCCCGGGAACAACUUCAAACCCGAGGUGUGGCUUAAAAAUAACAAGGCAUUGCUAAAGGCCAGAAACUUAAAGGGGCUCCUCGGAUACCCGACGUGUAAACUCGUCGAAUGCAUUUCGGCGAUCCUCAAGAUAGAAGAUGAGAAGAUUUGUUGAACCAGUUUUCAAGACCGGCAACCGAAGAUGAAGAACAGUUCGGAAGAAUCGAGGAGCGUCCCUAACUUGAAGACCAGUUCAGGGGGCUACUAACGGUGUCCUGGACUAGGGGGUACUCAACGCGUCGUCUCCCGAUUAGUUGGAUUGGGCCGAGGACCCCCAUGGCCGUAUAUUCAUGGGCCAGUCCGGACAGCUGCCACAUACAAGGAAGAAUCCACAAGACUUGGCGAUCAAGACAAGGACUCCUCCCCCACCGGUGUAUUCGGCUGGGACUCUUGUUAUCCUAGGCCUCUGGUGCAUUAUAUAAACCAGGGCCAGGCUAGUCGAUAGACAUAUACAAAAAACAAUCAUACCAUAGGCUAGCUUCUAGGGUUUAGCCUCUCUGAUCUUGUGGUAGAUCAACUCUUGUACUACCCCUAUCAUCAAUAUUAAUCAAGCAGGAGUAGGGUUUUACCUCCAUCGAGAGGGCCCGAACCUGGGUAAACAUUGUGUCCCUUGCCUCCUGUUACCAUUGAUCCUAAGACGCACUGCUUGGGACCCCCUACCCGAGAUCUGCCGGUUUUGACACCGACACCCCUCUAGACACCUCUUCUCAAGGUCCUACAAACGGGACCACAUGUCAACGAAACAUGGUGUGUAAUUUCUCGUGCAAAAUGCGAUCUGGCCGCGUUGGCCCAAGGUGCCGCAUUAGUUUUUUUUGAAAGUUUGCCGCAUUAUUUAUCGACAUUUAUUUUUUUAACAUGCAAUCUGAAUGGAUAGCUCCUGUGGCCAUCAAACGUGAGCAGAUAUAGUGAUGGUUGAUUCGCCCGAGCAACUCAUUACUGUGGGAAUAUGGGAGUACCAGCGGAUUCAAGGAACAGAGAAAUGAUGGUUGCUUCGUCCGAGCAACUUACUGUGGCGAAGGUGGGGCUCUGUGAUUUGACUGCUCACUAGUCAUUACUACUGUGGCGCAACGACCAGGGUGAAUCUUUCCCUGAAGUUGUGUUGUGCACUCAAUAUUGCUGCAUAGCAGGUGGAGCCGGAUGAAGGAUGUCCAACAGGACACAACUUUGGUGCCUUAAAGGCACCUACCUUUGGGUCACUAACAUGUGGGUCAGCCAUUUGUUGGACCCACAUGUCAUAGACACAAAGGUAGGUGCCUUAAGGCACCAAAGUAUUGUCCAUGUCCAACAUGUGGGCGAAACGAAGUUGAAUUGUUUCUGGCAUUGCUAUCAAUCCUUCAGGAUUUGUUUAUAUGUACGCAUAAUUUUGAUGAAAUUGUACUGUGAUGCUAUGAAGGUUUCAACUUUGGUUCCCGCAGGAAAAAAAGGUUUCAACUUAGGAUUCAUGUGUCUUGCCUCGAGAUUAUCUCGUUACAACAUUCCAUCAAAUACAAAUGAAACUACCAUGGCUAAUGCAUCUCAAUGGUUCGCAGAUCAGCGCCAAUAUUCACAUUACAACUGAAGACAAAGUUGUGAGAAGGUGUACAAAUAAAGAAAAAAAUAUAAUUGAUCGAUGCCAUUCGUAGGCAUGGCUCCAUUUCCUUGGCAUAGUGUUCAUUGCUUGGCAGCUAGUUUCACCCAGCUCUGUAGCCAAAAAAGAGGUGUAUGAAGGACACCAUAAUCCGAUCAUUUUGUGCAGCUCCACUAAAAUCGAGCGGAUCAUCCCUAUUUGCAAAGAUAUCCAUUCAGUGUGAUUACAAUAAUAGUUGAACUAGAUGAUGAAACAUAACACACAUAAAUAGAAGCCGAUCACCUCUACGAUUUCUCUUUAGGACUAACUUCUUGUUGGAGAAGAUUAGGCACGGAGUUGGAUGAGGAGGAUAGCAAAACCAAUCUCCCUUUCCGCUGUCCCACAAAAAUGUAAAAAUGUUGCCCGUGUGACAUUUUGGCGGAAAUGCACAAAACACUCUUUAGAAAAGUGAUUUGUGCAGUUCACCAAAAGGUCGCAAUAGCAACAAGGUGAAAAUGGAUAGCCCUGCUUGCAAAAGGAGGUCGAAAUGAAACAAUUACUGCCCAAUAACACGAGUUGAAGACACAUACGCCAACAAAAAAGAAGCAUGUUCCAUGUAAUAAGGGAAAGAUAGCACAUGGUGUUUUAUCAAAAAUGGUUUGAGGACGAGAUUGUAAGAUGGGAAAUACGCCAGCCAAGAUACGAUUUAAGAAAACAACUAAAGAAGAUCCACAUGCAGCAACGUGGAAGAUGGGCAGUGGAGCAAGGUCGGAGGAAGUUGUAGGUGAGGGUCGUCGGGAUGUUCCUAGGAGGGCGCCGGCGGUCGGGAUCUGCCCGUACUGCGGCAGCGAGCAACUGGCGAAGGCCCUACCGCGCCGGAGCUUGGUCAGAGCAAACGGUGGGUACCACAGAUUGGGACGUGCUGCCUCAACACUAUCGAACGGAGAGACGAUGCACAUCCUCCCUUUCCGCCGGCGGACGGGAUGCGGCCAGAUCACUGACCAACACUGAGAGAGAGAGGCCACGGUGGCCUUGUGUGAGAUGGUGUGACGAGAGACAAACCGAUUUUUCCAUUUUCCCCACGGCAAUCGUUUUAUAUUCUGUACGUGCCAUUGAGGAAUAUAUAACUAUUUAAUGCUAACGCAUCAAGUCGAACUUUGUUCCGUCUAGGCGUGGUACCCAACCCUCCUUCGAGUAAACAACCGCUACACGUGUCAUGGGCUGCCUUUUCGUACAGAAACGAACUCCACCGUGUACCCGCGCGGGUGUGGCCGGGAACGAGACGUGAGUACGUGCGUCCUGCGUGCACUUCUUCUUUAGGUGCAGGUACGUACGUGGGUGGGUGUGAGAGAGAUGGUUUGUGCGAAACAGAGGCAAUGUGUUGAUGGUAUCUCAAUCAGAAAAAUGUAACAUAUGCAAUGUGUGUGAAAUGGAGUCAUGGACGUGAGAUAUCAAUAGAAUUGAAAACAGGGAUGAAGUGUGUGGCUGCGCGAUCGAUAAAGAGUGCCAUCGAAUUUGUGUUUGCCCACGUCAAAGAUACAGGGCGGCUGGCCUACUAGAAUUUGAGAGGCCAGAGGUGCAGUUUUUCUCCAUGGCAUGGAUACCUACCUACAGCGUUCGACUAUCGGUGUGUGUGUGUGGGGGGGGGGAGGGGGUAGAGACCGAUCGACUAGUAUAUGUGUGGGGAAGGAGAGAGACCUAGCUAUGUAUUGAGGGAGAUUGAUCGACAUCCAUGGAUAUGUGUAGCAGAGGAAUAAGGUUGGGAAAAAGACAAAGGUAGAGCGUCAGAGGGUUGGUGGUGGAGUGGCAUCUCACAAAUGGUGGGAGAGGCCUGCUAGACAAACGGAGGGUAUGAGUGCAAUAUCAAUAAGAGUGGGCGGGGGAUGUCUGUCUGUCUAUGCACGUGCGUGUGAGAGACGGAUUGGGAGGUAUUAAAGGAUGAUGAGGGGAGAAGAUAUGGUUGUGGUAAGCAUACGUAACUACAUAGGAAUAUCAACCGUCGUGUGUCCGAGAAAGGGAGAGACAUAACUAGCGAGGUAAGUGUAUCGAUGCUUGGUGAAAACGAAUUAUAGUUGACCUGGCUAUAUGUAGGGAGAUCAGUUCAUAUACAUGCCUGCAUGUGUUAGAAGCAAAUAAGGUCCAGAGAGGCAGACAGGGGGAGAGAGUGUGGCUAGGAGGUGGUGCGAGAGGCCUACCAUGUCGAGGGGGAGGAGUGUGCGAGUAUGUGAUCAAUGAAAAGAGGGGCGGGAGUGUGCACCUGCGUGGAAUCGUAUUGGACAUAGGGGGGCAUGGACGAUGAGAAGAGAAGAGGGGAAGUAUAUAUGUGUUUGUUAUAGGCACACGUAUCUAGAGAGGUAUAUCGACCGGUGUGUGCCAGAAAGAAGGAGCCGGGGGCCUACACACACCGCUAGUGGACGACCUAAAGAGAAAUAAUGAACGUGCGCGAUGGAGGGGACGCUAAGGGUGGGUGAGAGGGGGGCGGGCGUGUGCAUGCACGAUAGAAAGUUAGCGCUAGCUAGCUACAAAUAGAAGAGGAUCGUGAAGGUGUAAAAGAUGAACAAAGAUCAUAAUUCAUUAUAAAAAAGUGGAUAUGGAUACUUGAAGAAGAUAUCAUAAUGUAGAACAUUGAUUAUAAUUUGGGCUAAUGUGUGGCUUUUGCAACUCAGGUCUAAAUACUUGUCAUAAUGUAGGGGGCGGGGCACUAUACUUUGUGUGAUAAACACGGUGUACGUAUGGAACAUGGUUUAGAUUAUGAAUAUAUAGUUAGUACACCAAAUGUACUAUUAUUUGGAAUCAACAUCAAGUGUAUUCAAAAAAUAGAAUUCAAGUUCAUAUAGUACACAUAGUUCAUAUCUAUCUCUAUAGUAAUCAUGUGGUGUGUUAUUAAGGUAAUACACGAAUGAUGGUUGAAGUUGGCAACAAUCAUGAUUGUAGAUUCUUAUUGAAAUAGAGAAAUGAAUUCAAAUUUAGUUCGAAUUGCAGCGGUAGUAUAGACAUUUGGAGUGCACUAAAAUGUUGGUAUGAGUAGGUUACAUGCAUUAUACAGCAAGUGAAAAAAUUUAAUCGGACAUAACAUGGAUUCAUACUCCCUCCUUCCAUCUAUAUAGGGCAUAAUGAGAUUUUUAAGACCGCCUUUGACUAUUGACAAGAUUAAUAGUACAUGACAUGCACAAUGUGAAAAUUAUAUCAUUGAAAGAACCUUUCACAGACGUAUUUAACGGUGUGCUUUGUGUAAGUUGCAUGUCAUAUAUUAUUGCUCUAAUAUUUGGUCAAAGUUAGCAUCAAAAAAUGCAUUAGGCCCUAUAUAGAUGGAAGGAGGGAGUAGCUUUGAAUAGCAUUUGUAUAGUAAAAUGGGGCAAGGCUCUCUCUUUGUGUGGUGUGAAUAGUUUUAUUUUUUUCGUUUUCUUUUUGGUUGAGGGAAGUGCGAAUUGAUUUGGUACGUACAAGUACAAUAUUACUACACGUUAGGCUUGUCCCUAAAAUUCAACCUGCGUCUUGUUAUAUCCCGAAAAUUCAGAUAUCAUGCUCCCAAAACUGGUGCCUUCACAACCCGCGCCUUGCUAUCCCAAAAUUACAACGCGCACGAAAACUCCCUCCAGCUGCCAAAUCCCGACACACGAAAUCCCCCUUCUAACCCUGAGCCGAAAGGGUCGCUAGUUCAAAUCGGUGGGGGGUACUUUUGUAACACACCCUACAUUUUGUACAAGCGCGUCCCUAAGUCAUGCUUCACCCCUCCCAUCGCCCCCUUUUCACCAUUCGAAAUCCCAGGCCGCCAUAACCUCUUCGCUCCAGUCGCAAAACCCCACCCUCCUCCGUCCGCCACCUCACCGCUGCCCAGCCGGAGCCUCUUCCCCGACGACGUCGUCCACCGCAACAGCUCGACGUCCCUCGUCCACCUCCCCGGAUGAGGAUCCGUCGUCCAUCUAGUCAUCCCGCCGGUUCAGCCGCCCCUCCUCCACCUCCAAGGAGCUGCUUCGACGAUCGCCUCGUCUAUCGCGGCUGCUCCAUCCCCACAGCGCUGCCUUACCCUGCUCCACCAGAACCGUAGCAUCCUCACCGACUCCUCGGACGAAGCCGAGCCCUACUCGGUGCCACCAAAGAGGUUGUACACUCAUCACAUCGCACCUUCUCCUUAACUCGACCUCCCGAAGACGACGGUGUUCCAUUCCGCACCCCCAUGGAGCGGCUACCUUGAAGCCGGUGCCGCAUGCGACAUCUCCACGGCGGCUCUCCCCUAGUGCGAGGCCCCCUCGGCGGCGGUGUCCAUACCAGCCAGAUCUGCUGCUGCUGCUCCGGCUCUCGCUCGCUCGCUCGUGCUGCUACUACUGCUCUGGCUCUCGCUCGAUCGCUCGCUCGCCCAGCUGCUGCUGCUGCUCUCCCCCUCGCUCGUGCUGCUGCUCUGCUCCGAUUUAGCCACACUUCAGUCGACUGAAUUGACUUUUGGGUUAGUCGNNNNNNNNNNNNNNNNNNNNNNNNNNNNNNNNNNNNNNNNNNNNNNNNNNNNNNNNNNNNNNNNNNNNNNNNNNNNNNNNNNNNNNNNNNNNNNNNNNNNNNNNNNNNNNNNNNNNNNNNNNNNNNNNNNNNNNNNNNNNNNNNNNNNNNNNNNNNNNNNNNNNNNNNNNNNNNNNNNNNNNNNNNNNNNNNNNNNNNNNNNNNNNNNNNNNNNNNNNNNNNNNNNNNNNNNNNNNNNNNNNNNNNNNNNNNNNNNNNNNNNNNNNNNNNNNNNNNNNNNNNNNNNNNNNNNNNGGCGGCGAGGCGGCGCUAGGGCCGACUGUUCGGCCGGUGGUGGCUGGCGGCUCAGGGGGGUGCAGGUUGAAGAUGAACUGCAGGCCCUCCCUAAACUACAUGUCAAGUGCCUCUCUGCUACCAUUGCGUUGAGUUUCGACAAUAGCAUUCAGAUUCCACAGUAAAUUUCAGUUUUGAGAGUUAAGUUCAGAGUCAACAGUUUUUACCUCAUAUGUUGUAGUCAGGUGGUUUUUGGUGAUGUAAAUUUUACAUCCAUUUUACAUCAUCUAUUGGAGAUGCUAUUAGAAUCCCACUUAAGAUCGACGAUGUCUAUCUUGUGCUGCUUCAGCCUUGAUGUCUUACGGCUCACCGGAGUUGCUCCAACGACAGAACGAUCCAUCACAACAGAGCAGUGCCCUGGACACCGUCUACAGAUUCCUCAGAUCUUCCUCCACACCUCCGACAGCCACCUCUGCCUCAACUGCUUCAGUGACCAACCCAAUUAUUCAUGCAUUUUGUUGAAAGGAAUGAAGCAAAACAUCCACCUGGACCUACUUUUCAAAAUCCUAUGCAUGAAAACAAGACCAAGUGCAUUAGUGCCAGAAUAACAUUCUAACUGUACACGCUUUCAUAUGGUUUCACUUUAUUUUGGCCAUGUUUCUUUGCAUUCCUCUGCUCUUCCAAUUCCUGUAAACCAAACACCCAAGUUGACAGAAAUCCUAUGUUUACAAAUGCUUUGUUUACCAUGUGCAUUUUCCUAUCCUAUUCCGGUGUUUUUCCUAUCCCUGCGUUUUAAGAAUCAUGCAAGCCAAUUGAGCCCUUACAGAAUUACUUCAGUUACAGGUACGUGUCGAAGGGGACUUUGUGUGGUUUGUCCUGCUCCUCCCGCGAUGUCGUCCACCUCACUUGAGCCGCCCCAUCGACAGAAGCAUCCACCAAACCAGACAUCACGACUCCUGACCAUCUUUCGCCGCCUCAGAUCUCCUUCCCUACCGCCGGCACCCACCGCAACGGCAUCACCAUCAUCGACUCAGCAUAUGAACUUGAGGAGUACACGGGUCCACAAGAGAGGUCGCACUCUUUUGUUUCUACUUAUGUUAUGCAUUGCUUAAACUUACCUGCUACUUUAUCGUCCUGUUCAGCACUUGGACUCCCAAGUCAGGUCCAAAUUAAUGUUCAAACUUGAGUUCCAAAUUAGUUGUGGGGCACAUAUUGAGGCAGCAAUGAAUAGUAUGUCUGUCUAAUAUCCGGUUCACCUAGGGUAUGCCUAUGUUGUUCAUCUUGGGUGGGAAACAAAUAGUAAAGCAAUCAUCAUCUGUCUUUUUAUUAAUUUAAAGCAAUCAUCAGCCUGCUAUCAUUAUUUUUGGAUCCAUCCAUUGGUUGUUACCAUCACUCUAAAUUUUUGCAUGCACUCCUUAUAUAAUCUCACCAUAUUUUUUCAUAUGCAUGUCAGAUAUUGUACACAGUCAUGCUGAACAUGUAGAGAAAAAGAGAAGAGUUUUGCACGGCAAUACAAUGUCAUGCAGACAUCGCUCCAUGGUGGGUCCAAUAGCAAACCCUCCCCACCCUCUCCAGAUUGUAAUCCAGAGGAAGAUAUCUAUUCUGAGGCGGAUUUAGACGCCGCUAACCACUCCUAUCUACCCCCCAAGGUGUUUGCUCUACCUUGGCAUGAUGAUGUUAGUCAUAUCAUGCAUAUGUUGCCUUGCAGUGCCUACUGUCGGGGGUUGGAUACGACAUAUGCCAAAGGAUGGCUUAUCAUGGUGGGAGCGAGUAGAAUGUCGCCGAUGCCUGGAAGCAGGAUGAGGCAUAGACAAGCACGCCGGCGGAACUUACCCAGCUUCAGGGCUCUCCUAGGAGAUAACACCCCUACUGCUGCUUUGCGGGGUCUCCGCAUGAUCACUAAGGCAAAGUGACUACAAUGGUGCUCCUGGAGCUGUUUUGGGAGGCAGGAGAGGGCAAGGCUAGCUCUCUCCUCCCUGUGCUAUCUGGUCUAUCUCUAUCUAGGUUCGAACCCUUUGCAUGGGUGCCCCGGGGGGUUUAUAUAGGCCUACCCCCUGGGGGUACAAUAGUAAUCCGGCUGGGCGCCGGUCCCAGCCGUCUGUCUCUCAGGCCGCCGUCCUCCCCGCCGGCUUCUGGGGCCCGCCGACUGGUGGGUCCCACAGACAGGCUUGAUACUGUAGCGGCACUCCUGAUGACGCAGGCUUGGUCAUUGGGUCGUGACAAUAGUGCCGCUAUCUAUCGGGCGAUCACUGUCGCCAUUCCCCAUCCUAUCUGGUUAAUGGCUCGUGGGGCCCUGGGGAGGAGUCGGCCGACUCCAAGGAGGCCGAUUCCCAUAGGUCCGUCUUCGAGGCGCUCAGGCCGCCUUUGGCCCACCCACUGACAGGCGGCCCCGCCGCCUUCGGGUCGUACAGGCCGGCGUCAUGGGCACAGUGCGUUGCGCACUGUGGCUGAGGUCAGGGCAGGCAUGGCAACAGUGCCGCGCCUCGCCGGAGAUCUUCCAGCGAUACGGCUCACUGUAGCCAUGCCGGCCCUUCGUAAGCAGGGGGAACGACCACGCCGUGACCGUACCCCACAUCGUACUUCGAGAUGAGGGAGGAGUCAUGGGCCGACUCUCCAUAGUCGGCCUCUCUGGAGGUUGCCAGCUCGGAGUCAGCUUAUCUCGGAGUUGCCGUCUGGGACUCGGCUUGUCUUGGAGUCGCUCCUGGGACUCGGCUUGAGGGGUGCGGCCUGCCCCGAUGUCUUGAAAGGUCCUGGGACUCGGGUUAGGCUACCCGUGGCCCAAUACUCCGACAGUAGUCCCCGAAGCUGGUGAAGCCCUGCGGACACUGCAUUGUGGGGCUUCAACAGUUUCAACCUUCCAGGAGCGGACUCUGGAACUCAGCUGCCGUCUUCCCUUGGGCCGACUGUCGAGAGUCGGAUGUUUAGCGAAGAGCCGCAGCUCAAAAGUCGCGGCGGGAAACCAGGCGGCAUGCCUGAUACGCUUCCCCGCAGCCAUCAGGGCGGUCCUAUCGCGUGGUGCCACGUGGAGAGGGUUGUCUGCCUGCCCACGCGUGCGACGGGACGGCCGUCAGGUGGGGCCCGCCACUACUGUGCCUCGGCAUACGAACGGAUCCGUUGCGGCCAUGGACGGUUGGUUUUCCCAUGUCGUUACUGCGCGUAGUAACUNNNNNNNNNNNNNNNNNNNNNNNNNNNNNNNNNNNNNNNNNNNNNNNNNNNNNNNNNNNNNNNNNNNNNNNNNNNNNNNNNNNNNNNNNNNNNNNNNNNNNNNNNNNNNNNNNNNNNNNNNNNNNNNNNNNNNNNNNNNNNNNNNNNNNNNNNNNNNNNNNNNNNNNNNNNNNNNNNNNNNNNNNNNNNNNNNNNNNNNNNNNNNNNNNNNNNNNNNNNNNNNNNNNNNNNNNNNNNNNNNNNNNNNNNNNNNNNNNNNNNNNNNNNNNNNNNNNNNNNNNNNNNNNNNNNNNNNNNNNNNNNNNNNNNNNNNNNGGAGCGGCACAGCACGCGCGCCCUUCUUCCCCGCUCCCCCGCCUCAUCUUGCCUUCUCUCUCUCCUGCCUCCGCCGUCAAGCAAGAGCACUCCACACCACGGUGAUGAGUUCUUCCUCCACCGCGGCCCCCACCGUGCGCUCCGGCGUAUGGGACGGCUUGGAGGUAGAAGAGGAACACAUCGAGUUCCUCCACCGGACACGCCGUCUUCCCAGCUGGUCCCACCGAGUCAAGACGCUGACUCCCGCCGGAGCCGCCGCCGUAGCGCGACUCCGAGUCUUGACGCAGUCGGAGGGUCUCGUCGGGGCCGACUUGCUGGCCGCCUUCGUGGAGCUCCGAGUUCUCCCUCUCCAAGGUCGGCCUCACUUGAUAUGUCAGAUGAGCGGCCUCCGAGACCCGAGUCGGAUGAGCACCAAGGAGAUGCCCCGCGCGGAGGUGGCAAACAUGGUGAAUCAUAUCGCGAACUGCGAAUUCGGGGAGGACUGGCAGUUUGGCAAGGAGCCUUACUCGCGCGACAACCCCCCACCAGUGGUAAGUCACGUCCCCCUAUUGUUUUGUCUUCUUUGCGGCCGACUCCGGCUUCUGACUCUUGUCAGUUUCUUCUGAGCUAGAAUCCCCUUAUGCAGCCUGCAGCCGGCGCCAUGAGACAGCCCCACGAGUAUGUUCCCGAUCGUGCGGACAGUGACGUCGACGACCCCGACUUGGGGGCGGCGGCGAUGAAAGCCAACGCCGAAGGCGGGGGAGAAGGAGCAGAAGGCGACUUCAGGCCCUCGACCACCUUCGCCGACUGGCCUGACGACGACGCCGAAGGGGAAGUCGCCCCGCGCCAUCAGCUGAGGGUCGGCUCGUCGGGUGCCGGCUCCUCCGCCGGCCUGGCUGGCCAAGGCGGCGCGAAGAGGCGUCACGCUGGGCCGAGUGCGCCCGGCGGCAAAUUGAAGAAGUUCAAGGGGCGGCCACCGCGACCAAACGGGAGGAGGCGGCCGCGAAGGCCAACCGCUUCCGAAGGGAAGUGAGAAGGCCGCCGCUUGUCUCUGCGUAAGUCUUUACGCUUUUUUAUUUUCCUUCGUUGAAUCUUGUCUGAGUCUUCUUUUAUACUACCUCCAUUCUUCUUCAGGGCCCCUCUUUCCCUUGAGAGAGUCGCCGUCCCCUCCGUCAUGGGGUCGGCAGAGACAUCCGCCAAUACUCGGCGGGCCGACCCCGCCGCCGACCUCCGGGAGGCGACGGAGCGAAAUGCGCGGGAGAAGCGCGAGGAGGAGGAGGCCGAAUGUCUGGAGAAGGCGGAGGCCAACAGGGCGGCCGCCUCCGCCCAGAAGAAGCUGGAGGAUGCCGAAGCCGCCCUUGCGGCGAGACGGCGUGCCGAGGAGGCCGCGCGUCGCCGAUCAGCGAUGCUCAUCCCUCCACUGUCGUCUGCACCGCCGCCUCCGGAGUUCACGGGGCAGACCGGAGAGGCCGGCACCGAAAACCCCAUCGUGGAGAAGGAGAGCGGCGAGGCUUCCAUGUCGGACACUCUCGUGCCGCCACCGCCGCCUCCACCACCGUCUGGGAGACCGCACGACAAACAGCCGGUGGGUCCAUCAGAGCCGCCGGUCACGGACGAGGCCGAGGCGCGACUGCUUCUCCAAGUUGCCUCACCGGUGCGUCGCCGUCUUGAGAGGGCGACCUCGGUGCCGCGACCUCGGGAGACCUGCGCCGCUAGCUCGGCAACCUUAGACGCCGAGGCCACAAGCGCCGCGACCUCGGGAGACCGGCGCCGCUAGCUCGGCAACCUUAGACGCCGAGGCCACAAGCGCCACGCCCACCGGGUGGUUGCGCGGAGGCGACACCGGGCCGCUGAAUCAAGCGCUUCUGGACGUUCAGGCGAAGCUGCGCGCUGAAGGCGAGGCCCUUCAAACUUGCACCAGGGCGCAUCUGGCAGCGCGGACGGCCGUCCGAGUACGUUUCCUUCUUCUUUUUGAUUCUUGUUUUUCUCUGUGGGGGCGCGCCAGCGCACCCACUGGGUGUAGUCCCCAAGUUCCGGGCCAGCUGCUGAGCAGGCGGUUCGGAACUCCCUCUGGCGAGUUCCAAAUACUAACUUUGUCUUCAAUGACUUAUUGCAGGAGUAUCACAACCUCCGCGCCACUGCCUUCAACCGCAAUGUUGAGGAGUUGAGCAAGCGGGCUGCCGACUUGUUGGAAAGCCGGAGUAAGUUCUUCUUCUUCGCGGGGGCACGGUGGCGCACCCGCGGGCUGUAGUCCCCGAGAUUCGGGCCGACUGCUGAGCAGUCGGGCCGGAUCUUUCCGGCGAUCUUCUUUGUUGACGACUUAUUUGUCUCUUCUUUCGUUCUUCAGGAGCCAACGCCGUUCUUCAGGAGCAGCUGGGCGAGGCCAAUACCGCCCAGCGUGCCAAGUAGGAGGAGUGUGGAAAGCUUGCCGCGGAGUGCGACCUGCUGGCAGCGCAGCUGGCCGAGCAGAAGGAGCUGCUCAAGAAGGCGCAGGACGAGGCCGAGAAGAAGGAGGCCGCUCUCUUGGCCGAGUUUGAGAGCGAGCGCUCCUCCUGGACUGACAGGGAGGCGAUGCUGACCUCUGGCUUCCACGAGAUCGAGGAUAUCGUUGAUGGUAAGUUUCUUUUAUUUCUUCGGGCUUCCAACUAUGUGUCAGGCCGACUUCUGAUUUUUCGACUUGCUUCUUUUUUGUCUUGGCAGACUUCUUCCCUGGUCACUCGCAGGCAGUCCCUCUGGCCAUCGAGGCUGCUCGUGAGGCGCGAAGGGCAAACGGUGAGGAGAUCGCCGCUAAUGCCCCCCGAACCAUCGAUGAGCAGCUUCUGAGCAUUGAAGCCCGUCUUCGUCCGGCUCACCGGCUGAUGCGCCGGCUUCAGCGUGCCGACGCCCAGGCGGUUGCCGCCCUGUGGACAGGCACGCCGGUUCUGCGCACCGCCAGCCGAACUGCCGACUGGCUGGAGGUCGCUGCCGGCUAUCUUGAGGCCUGGAAGGGCUCCUCGGCCCGGGCCGGAGCGCGCCGGGCCUUGGAGUUCAUCAAGGCGUGGUAUCCAGGGCUGGACCUGGACCGUCUGGCCGCGUUUCGGUCAGAAGCCCAGGCCGAGAUGGAGGCCGUGGAGGGCGCCCUUAUCGAGCGUGCGGCGGCCAUCACCGAGUACACGAACACCAGUGUCUUCGUCCCCGAGUGGGCUGAAGGCGGCGAGGAAGUGCCGCCAGAGUGGUUCGGGAUGAACCCGGAGUAUGGCGAGGACUCGGCGGAGGUGAUCGACUCCAGCACCAAGGAGGAGGAUGAGGCGAAGGACGAAGGCGAGGCAGAGGUGCCAGAAGACGGAGCAGGCGGCCAGCCUCAGCUCGACCGCGCCUCCAGCAACGAGCCGCGUCGAGAGAAGGCGACUGCCGCCGGAGGCGAUCAAACCGAGACCGCACAGCCGACUGCCCCGGCGCCUGACACCGCCGCCUCUUCCGAUCCUCCGAUCCCAGAUGCCGCCUCCUAGGCUGCCUUUUUCACCUCUGUUUGUCUGUCUUAGUAAUCUUUUGAAAACUUUGUUAGAUUCGAACAAUUCCACCCGCGGGGUGUAUCUUGAACUUCUAUUCGAAGAUUCGACCAAGGGCCUAUGUAAAUAUUUAUCCAAUUUCCGUCUUUCCUUGCUUACUGCUCUUUAGGCUUUUCCCUUUGCCGCCUUACUUUAGUCGCUGCCUUGUGAGUCGGACAGCCGCUCUGCGGUCUGUCGCUGGGUCAAGUGCUUGGCUACUUCGGGAAGGCAAGUACUUGGCCGUUUAGAGUUUCUUUAGCAAGUCGGAUAGAAAAAGACAGGCCGACUACCCAAGAGUCGGCCGUCCUUGAUAGAGGCUAAUAAAGACGGCAAGCCGGUUACUCAUGAGUCGGCUUUCCGCUUCAGAAAUGCUGGAGGCCGUCUUAUGCUAUGUUCGUGCUUUAGGUCCUUAGCCAUUUUUCGUGUGGGCGCUCGUUCUUCCUCACUCCUGCCCGCCUCACAGUCGCUCUGCAAGCUAUGGCUUUGCCAGGAGGUGGAUUGGGCACCGUGCACUACUUGUCUGACUCCAGGAAGCUCCUUAUAGCGCAAGGCGGCGAGUCCCCGGGCCGACUAGUCUGGCCCGGUGCCAAGCGGCUUGUAAUGAAAGUAAUGUACUCGAAGGCAUAAUUCUUACCAUACAGAUAACAAAAAAAGGGCAGUCCCGAGCUCGUCUUGGGGGGCCCAAAGUCUUAGUACUUUAAUACAAAGGGGUAGUGUGAUACAUACUGCAUCAACUGUAAAAUCUUCGAAGAAGAUUUGCAUUCCACGGGUGCUCUGUCUCUUUGCCGGAGUCGUCCCUCUUGCACGCUCGGGGCUUCUGAGCGUCGAUCUGAUAGUAGGCGUCGUUCCCUAGCACCUUGCUGAUGAUAAAGGGGCCUUCCCAAGGUGCCGACAGCUUGUGCUGGCCGGCUGUUCGCUGGAUCAGCCGGAGCACAAGGUCGCCUUCUUGGAAAGAUCUUGGCCUGACAUUCCUGUUGUGGUAUCGGCACAGACUCUGCUGGUAGAUGCUGGACCGGCUGAGUGCCAACAGCCGGCCCUCUUCCAGCAGAUCGACGCCGUCUUGACGUGCUUCUUCUGCUUCUUCCUCGGUGUACAUAGUGACUCGCAGGGAGUCGAACUCUAUGUCCGUUGGGAUGACGGCUUCAGCACCAUAGACGAGGAAGAAGGGUGUGAAGCCGGUUGACUUGUUUGGAGUCGUGCGCAGACUCCAGAGGACGGCUGGCAGCUCCUCAAGCCAACAGCCGGUAGAUCGCUCCAGCGGUACAACGAGUCGAGGCUUGAUGCCGGAUAAGAUGAGGCCGUUCGCUCGCUUCACCUGGCCGUUUGACUGCGGAUGGGCAACGGACGCUAAGUCCAGUCGGAUACCGUGUGUCGCGCAGAAACGGGCCAAGGCGCCUUUGGCAAAAUUCGUGCCAUUGUCGGUGAUGAUGCUGUGUGAGAUGCCGUACCGAGUUGUGAUGUCAGCGAUGAAGGUCACUGCAGUUGGACCAUUCAACUUCUUGAUGGGUUUCACCUCCACCCACUUGGUGAACUUGUCCACUGCGACAAGUAGGUGAGUCAAGCCACCUCGUGCCGUCUUGAAUGGUCCCACCAUGUCCAGGCCCCAAACUGCAAAGGGCCAGGCAAUGGGGAUAGUCUUGAGUGCGAAAGCUGGCUGAAGUGGCUUGGAACGGAAAAUCUGGCACCCCUUGCACUUUUGGACUAACUCUUUGGCCUCUUCCAGGGCGGUUGGCCAGAAGAAACCGUGCCGGAAGGCUUUGGCAAUGAGUGCCCUGGAGGCCGCGUGGUGACCGCACUCGCCUUCAUGGAUGUCUCUGAGGAUUGCUUGGCCUUGUUCUGCCUCGACGCAGCGUUGGAAGACGCCGGUAACGCUGCGCCUGACCAGCUCUCUGUUGACUAUGGUGUAGGCUGCUGCUCGGCGUUGCACUUGUCGAGCCAAGAUUUCAUCGGUUGGCAGCUCUCUGUUUACUAAGAACCUGAGGAUGGGCUGGGCCCAUGAAGGUGCUGCUAUUUCUUCAACUGCCACUAGUGCGACUUGGACAAGGGCGGCCGGGCUCGGAGGCGGCGGGUUGGAGUCCGCAGCCGCUUGCUGAUUUGACAAAGUCCCGGGGCCGACUGGAGCAGUCCCCGGGCCGAGCUCUGGAGUCUUCGAUCUUGCCACUGCAGUCCCCGGGCUGGGUUCUGAAGUCCCCGGGCCGGCUUCGACUGUGUGUUUCUUGGAGUCGGAUCCGUCUUCCUCAGGCGGAGCCGGCACAGAGAUUGAAUCUGAUUCUGGUGACGGCUUGAUAGAAGGCUUGAGGAGGCGCCGGAGGGCGACACCAGAUGGUAUUGCCUGGCGGGUGGAGCUGAUUCGUGCCAAGGCGUCUGCUUGGUCGUUGUUGUUCCUUGGCACGUGGAGGAACUCGCACCCCUCGAAGUAUCCGCUGAGUUGCUGGACGAGGAAACGGUAGCUCGCCAUAUUUGCGUCCUUGGCGUCCUAAUCGCCAGAUGAUUGCUAGACCACCAAGUCAGAGUCGCCAUAACACAGGAUCCGGCGAAUGCCGAGUUGUUUGGCAAGCCGGAGCCCGUGGAUGAGCGCCUCGUACUCGGCCACGUUGUUGGAGGCGGCGAAGUGGAUCUACAGCGCAUAUCUGAGCUUGUCGCCCUUGGGGGAAGUGAGGACGACGCCGGCUCCCAAGCCGGUGCGCAUCUUGGAGCCGUCGAAGUGCAUCCGCCAAUGGGUGGAGUCGGGCGCUGGCGGCAGAUACUGGGUCUCGGCCCAGUCGACGAGGAAGUCGGCCAGUGCUUGCGACUUGAUGGCAGUGCGGGGCUCGUAGUAGAUGGUGUAGGGGGCCAGGUCGAUGGCCCAUUUGGCCACUCGGCCAGAAGCAUCUCGGCUUCCGAUGAUCUCGGCCAGUGGAGCUGUGCAGACCACAGUGAUUGGAUGCUCCUGGAAGUAAGGCUUCAAUUUCUUGGUGGCAAAAUGCACGCCAUAGCACAUCUUCUGGUAAUGGGGGUAGUUCUGCUUGGAGGCCGACAGUACCUCGCUCAAGUAAUAUACCGGUCUCUGGACAGGCAGCGCCUUGCCUUCCUCCUUGCGCUCGACUACAAUGACUGUGCUGACUACUCGGCUGGUGGCGGCAAUGUAUAGCAGCAUGGGCUCUUUGGGAGUCGGAGCCGCCAGCACAGGGGGAGUAGUCAACAUCUUCUUUAGUUGGAGAAAAGCCUCGUCCGCCUUGGGAGUCCACUCAAAGAAGGUCGUCUUCUUCAUGAGCUGAUACAAGGGGAGAGCCUUCUCGCCCAGCCGACUGAUGAAUCGGCUGAUGGAUGCCAAACAGCCGGUGAACUUUUGCACAUCUAAUAGUUGUCUGGGUGCUUCCAUCCUCUCGAUGGCCUUGAUCUUCACAGGAUUGCACUCUAUGCCGCGUUCGGAGACCAGGAAACUGAGGAGUUGGCCGGCUGGUACUCCAAAAACGCACUUCUCUGGGUUGAGCUUGAUCUGGAAUCGGCGCAGAUUCUCAAAUGUUUCCUUGAGGUCCUCCAGCAAGGUUCCAUGCUUCUCUGUCUUCACCACUACAUCAUCCACAUAGACGUGGGCAUUUCUGCCGAGUUGCUUCAGGAGGCACUUUUGCAUGCAACGCUGAAAGGUGGCGCCGACGUUUCUUAAGCCGAACGUCAUGGUCAGGUAGCAGAAGGCUCCAAACAGCGUGAUGAAGGCGGUCUUCUGUCUGUCAGCCGGGUUCAGCUUGAUCUGGUGAUAUCCUGAAUAUGCGUCUAGGAAACUCAACAGCUCGCAUCCGGCUAUGGAGUCUAUCACCUGAUCGAUUCUCGGCAGAGCAAAUGGGUCCUUGGGGCAAGCUUUGUUGAGGCUCGUGUAAUCAAUGCACAUCCGCCACUGCUUGUUCUUCUUCAGCACCAGUACUGGGUUUGCCAUCCACUCUGGAAAAAACACUUCCAUGAUGAAGCCGGCUGCCAGGAGCCGGGCUAUUUCUUCUCCAACAACUCUUCUUUUUUCUUCUAACAGGCGGCGCAAGGGCUGCUUGACGGGCUUCAUAUCAUACCGGACGUGUAAUUUGUGCUCGGCGAAUUCCGUCAGGACACCAGGCAUGUCCUUGGGGGACCAUGCGAAGAUGUCGCAAUUUUCACGGAGGAAAUCGACGAGCUCACCUUCCUAUUUGCUAUCAAGGCCUGUGCCCAUGACAGCGUAUCUCUCCGGGUCCAAUGGUAUCUUCUUUGUUUCUUUGGCCGGCUUGAAUGAUCCUUCUGCUUCCGACUCCUUGGGGUCGGGCGAUAACUCGGGCUGCUUGCCGGCCAUCGCCACGACCCGAUCAAGAAGCCGUUUCUCAGCCGCGAUCACCAAGGACUCGACCAGCUGACUGCUUUCGGCCGCGCAAGUGGACGACUUCCUGUAGUCGCCGAACACGGUUAGGAUUCCCUUGGAACUCGGCAUCUUCAUCUUAAGGUAGGCGUAGUGGGGGACCGCCAUGAACUUGGCCAAGGCGGGUCGGCCAAGCAAUGCAUGAUAUGGGCUUUCAAGGUCCACCACCUCAAACCAAAUUGGCUCUCGGCGGAAAUGAUCCUUGUCUCUGAAGAGGACAUCUAUCAGGAUGUUGCCGAUUGGUGAGCAGGAAAGGCUAGGGACGAUUCCGAGGAACACAGUCUGGCUGCUCUGAAGUUGUCUUCGCUUGAUUCCUAAUUUCUCCAUUGUAUCCUUGUACAGGAUGUUGAUACUGCUGCCUCCGUCUAUCAGUACUCGCGAGAAGCGAGCGGCCCGCCUAUCUGUGGCGAGUGUAGCGCCUAAGACCAAGGCGUAGGAGCCUGGACUCGGCAUCACCUCUGGGUGAUCAGCUCUGCUCCAACUGAUAGGCUUUUCGGACCAAUGAAUGAACUCUGGUGUACUUGACGCAACCGCAUUCACUUCUUGCUGCUGUUGGCGCCUGCUGCGUCGGUCAUCCGCUACACUUGUGAACACCACAUAGGCUCCAUGCUCAUCCAGGAACUCGUCUUGUAUCGCGCCGACUGGCCUGACGGCCGGCUGCUGGGGAGGCAGUGGAGGAGGCGGCCCAGCAGGAGGGGGAGGGAGCAGGCCGUCCCCCUUGGCGAUUCUGGUGAGCCAGUGGCAUUUCCUUGUGGUGUGGUUUGAGGGCUUCGCGCCGCUGUGGAUCUUGCAGGGACCGUCUAGAGUCUGCUCGUAGGAGAAAGCCGGCAGCCAGUUGGACUUGCCACCCUUCUGUCGCUUCGCCGGAGGCGGUCCCUCCAACUGCUGGUCCUCUGCUGUUGCCACUUGCCGACUGUUGGAAGUCGGCUGCGGGGCUUUGCGCUUCUGGUCAUUCUGCUGUUGCCGCCGACUGGUGUCUCCAGCCGGAGUUCUUGGAGCCUGAGGGGCGACUUUGCCAGUUGUGCUGACCCGAAUCUCCGUCUUCAUGGAGGAGUCGGCCCUGGCGUACUUGUCCGCUGUGAUCAGCAGGUCAUCAAGGGUCUCCGGCUUGUCGCAGAGGAGCUUGUGCUUGAGGAGGGUGCCUUCUCUGCACCCGGCAGUAAAGUACUCGAUGGCCUGCACCUCAUGCACGCCCUCGCAGGAGUUCCGGAGUUCGCCCCAGCGUGUGAGGUAGUCGCGAGUAGACUCGUCAGGGCCUUGCAUGCACAAGGAGAGUUGGCGUGGCUUGGGAGGUCGCUUGUACGUGCUGGUGAAGUUGCGGACGAAACCCUCGGUGAAGUCGACCCAGCCGUUGAUGCUGCGAGGCUUCAGACUGUUCAACCACGUCCGGGCCGAGCCCUGGAGCAUGAGCGGGACGUAUCUUACGGCAACACGCUUGUUGCCAUUCGCUAUGUUGACGACUAUAGAAUAGUCGAUCAGCCAAUCUUCCGGCUUCACGGUGCCGGUUUAUUUGGGCGUGUCUCGGGGGAGCGUGAACCCUUUGGGGAAGGGCUCAUCUCGGAUGCGGGGUCCAAAGCAGGGGGGACCCAACUCGUCUUCUUCUUCCAGCGCCAGGGAUCGGUGGAGUCGGUCGAUCCGGUGGCGGGUGUCGUUCUCUCCGACUCCCUCUCGGCGGCCAAGGCGGUCGCCGAGAGUCGGAUGUUCCACGAGCGGUGAGGAGACUCGCCUUUCUCUGCGAGGAGGGGGAGGCAGGUAGUCGUCCCACCGUUCCACCGCUUUGGGGCGGCCGUCCUGGUCGCGCUCGAUGGUAAUGUGAGUCUGACUGUGGCUGACAGCCGGCUCCUUGUCCUUCUUCCCACGGGCCCCGCCAGUCAGCAUCCGAGACGUCGCACCUUGGUCUCGGCGAGGCGGUGGGUCGUCGUUUUGGCGCUGCGGCGCCUCGGUGCGGCAGCCGGCAUCAUUCUGCAUGGCAGCCGCGUCGAGGAGCUGCUGAACUCGCUUCGUCAUUAUGCGGUGCUCUUCGCCUUCGAAGUUAUCGAGCUCGUCUGCUGCCGCCUGGGCGGCACGGAUAUUCUUUGCGGGCGUGGCAUACACAGGGCGAUCGGCCCCGAAGAGGUUGGCGAUUGCCGUGCCGCGCUAUCGGACCGCGCCUAGGCGGCUAGGACCGGUCGGAGCCGGCAAGCCGCCUACGGCGCGAUCCAUCUCGCGUUGGUAAGCUUCUGACAAGCGCCUCAUGCUUGCCAGCUUCUUCGCGCCCUCGACGAGCUGAAGGCGGAGCGCCUCCAGCGUCUCGGCGUCGGCGUCUUCCGGAAUCGGCGCUGCAAGGCCUCGCAGGGCCGCGUCAAGCGGGUCGUGCGCUCCUUCGCCGGAGCGCUCGCCGUGGUUGAGGAUGAGGACCUCAGUGAUGGUGCUUCCGCCGCUCCCCGCGUAAGGGAGCGGCUCGUCGUAGACCACCACGUUGGUGGGGAACGCGUUGAGCGACGCGGUGUCGGAGUCGACCAGCAUCGGGUCGGUGGAUCCUAUGGACUCCAGGUCCGCGGCAGGCUCGCCGGCGACGUGGAGUUGGUCGAGGAGGCCCGCGAGGAGGCUCACGGGGACACUCGUGCCUGCAUCGGACGCAGGCUCAUCAGAGAGGCGAACCUCGCCGAGAAGAUCGGCGAGGCAGCUGGCCGCACAGGCGAUCUCAGCGCCGUGCAGCGCGUCGGCACAGACGCCAUCCGGCGUGCCGGGCUGGCUGUGCUCGCCGGGGAGGAACAGGGUUCCCGUCCAGAGCAGAUCUCCGGACGACGGUGCACCUCGCCCCAUGGUGGGCGCCAAAUGUCAGUGGUUGGAUACGACAUAUGCCAAAGGAUGGCUUAUCAUGGUGGGAGCGAGUAGAACGUCGCCGGUGCCUGGAAGCGGGAUGAGGCGAAGACAUGCACGCCGGCGGAACUUACCCAGCUUCAGGGCUCUCCUAGGAGAUAACACCCCUACUACUGCUCUGCGGGGUCUCCGCAUAAUCAUUAAGGCAAAGUGACUACAAUGGUGCUCCUGGAGCUGUUUUGGGAGGCAUGAGAGGGCAAGGCUAGCUCUCUCCUCCCUGUGCUAUCUGGUCUAUCUCUAUCUAGGUCCGAACCCUUUGCAUGGGUGCCCUGGGGGGUUUAUAUAGGCCUACCCCCCGGGGGUACAAUAGUAAUCCGGCUAGGCGUGGGUCCCAGCCGUCUGUCUCUCAGGCCGCCGUCCUCCCCGCCGGCUUCUAGGGCCCGCCGACUAGCGGGUCCCGCUGACAGGCUUGAUACUGUAGCAGCACUCCUGAUGACGCAGGCUCGGUCAUUGGGUCAUGACAACAGUGCCGCCAUCUAUCGGGCGAUCACUGUCGCCAUUCCCCAUCCUAUCUGGUUAAUGGCUCGUGGGGCCCUGGGGAGGAGGCCGACUCCCACAGGUCCGUCUUCGGGGCGCUUAGGCCGCCUUAGGCCCACCCACUGACAGGCGCCCCGCCGCCUUCGGGUCGUAUAGGCCGGCGUCGUGGGCACAGUGCGUUGCGCACUGUGGCUGAGGUCAGGGCAGGCAUGGCAACAGUGCCGCGCCUUGCUGGAGAUCUUCCAGCGAUACGGCUCACUGUAGCCAUGCCGGCCCUUCGUAAGCAGGGGAGGAACGGCCACGCUGUGACCGUACCCCACAUCGUACUUCGACAUGAGGGAGGAGUCAUGGGCCGACUCUCCAUACUCGGCCUCUCUGGAGGUCGCCAGCUCGGAGUCGGCUUAUCUCGGAGUCGCCGUCUGGGACUCGGCUUGUCUUGGAGUCGCUCCUGGGACUCGGCUUGAGGGGCGCGGCCUGCCCCGAGUCUUGAAAGGUCCUGGGACUCGGGUUAGCCUACCCGUGGCCCAAUACCCCGACACCUACUUUUGACAUCAUAUAUGUCAUCUGCUUAGUUUAGACAUGUUCUGUAAUGCCACCUGUUUAGUUUCUAUAUCAUAUAUGGGAAUUAUGCAGUCUCAUGUCUUUUAGCCAGCCAUAAUAUAUGUGAAAUGUGCAAUGCCAUCCUAUUUAACCAGGCAUCAUAUAUUUGAAUGAUAUCAUGCCCAUCCUUUUCUUCAUUACAUUUCCAUUUGUCAACAAUGUUUGUACAUUAAACUACUCUUCCUGUGAAUCAGCCAUUUGGGUGGGAGAUGGAAAAAUCUGGAGUGAAAACAAGGCCUUCAGAGCAGACAGUGCUACCAGUCGAAGCAUAUCUCUUGUUGGGUCCCGAUAGCUCCUCAGAGAUGGAUUCAGAGACAGAUGACCAGUCCUAUUCCCCCACUGAGGUGUAUGCUCCAACUUGGCACGGUUAUACUGCUCAUAUCAUGCAUAUGGUGUCUUGCAUUGCAUAGUUUAGACAUCAUAUACACAAUAUUCAACACCAUGUUCUUAGUUCAGACAUCAUAUCAAAUGCCCUCUGUUUAGCAUAUAAAUCACAUAUGUGAAUUAAAUGAUGCGAUCUUGAUUACUUAGAUAACAUGUAGGUGAAUUAUGUCAUGCGAUCCUGUUUAGUUAUUCAUCAUAUCUUUGAAUUAUGUUAUGCUAUGCUAUCCAGUUUAGAUAGACAUCAUAUAUGUGAAAUUAUGUCAUGCUAUCCGUUUUAGUUAAACAACAUACAUGUCAACUAUUUCAUGCCCUCUUUUUUCCAUGCUAUCUAUUGCAUCUGUCUCUCAUACAAUGUCUGUACAUUCAACUAUGUUUCCUGUUUAUCAGCCAUUUGAAUUGGAGCGGGUGAUGCCAGUAUCUAGCGGACUAAAAACAUGGUCUUCAAAUAAAACAGUGCUACCUCUUGGUGGAGAUAGCACCCUGGUUGUACAUGCACAAGAACUAGCCCUACCACACAUAACCCAAACUCUUGCAGAUUGUACCCCUACUGCGAUGGACAGAGAACCAGCUUCACCCAAUCUAACCCCAACCCCAGCCCAUAGUAACCCAGUUCCUGUUGACACAUCACCAUCUCCACCACAGAGCUCCCAAACAAGAGCAGUUAGUAAGGCAGCUCCAGUGCCCAAAGGGUCAGUACUAUCACGGCGAACCCCAACUCCACCAGUUAGUAUUCCUAUUCCUGUGGAGGAAGCACAACUAGCUAGUCUUAGUUUAGCAUCUAUCGCAUUUGAUGUUGUUAAAUCGUAUGUGCGUAUCUUCCCAUCUUGGAAAUAUUAUACUAAUGAUGAAGGAAAAUGCCAGUUGCAGGUGUUUGUCCAGGAGUUAUGUGUAAGUAAUGUUAUUCAUGGCAAUUACUUUGCUUUGUCCCAUAUAUCCUACCUCCAUGAUGGUUAUAAUACAGCAAAUUUUCCCAUUUUUCUCUAUAGAGAAGGACCGAUUUGGAAACUCAGGAUGAGGUAACCUAUGCUAAUACCUCUGCUAUCUUCAAGAAUGCUUGGUGGCAGUAUUGGAAUUACCUGAAGAAAACGUACUUCAUCGGCAAAGAAACUCAUCAAAUUCCCCUACGUUCUCCUGAGACACAUUUACUGGACAAUGACUGGGAACACCUUGUUCUGUACUGGUCCCGAACAAAGAAUGUGGUAAGGUCUAUGAGCUCAUUUUCUAUUUUAAGUAUUAUAUUCUUACGUCUUACUGUACUCUGUUCAUGUAGAACAAGUGCCUAAACCUGAAGAACAACUGUUCUAAUUUAAGAUUCCAUUGCUAUCAUAGUUCAAAAAAGCGCUAUGCAUUAAUUGUGCGCUUUGCCACCGCCUUGCGCUUUACUGACCAAAGCGCAUGCUUAUGUGCAGUUAUGCACAGAUUAAGCGUAGUUAUGCGCAAUGCGUUUUGCCAACGCCUAGAGCCUAGGCGCGCUUAAGCGCUCGCUUAGGCGCGCCUUUUUUUAACUAUGAUUGCUUUGCUCUUGUAUCACAGUAUUUACUCAUACAAACUUACUUUUAAAUUGAAGGAUCCAAUCAAAACUCCAAUGGCACAUCAGGUAUGUUCACGCAUGUUUCUUUAACAGGUUUGCUCUUACCAAUAGCUCUGUUGAUUUCAAUUUCAGUUGUGUAUACAUUUAACUUUCAUAUCAUGCACAUUACUAGCAUCACAACAGAGCCAAUAGUGUUGUUGUACAUGUAGACCCGUGGUACCCAUCUAAAAUCUUGUUGUGCCAUGUAGUUUCCCACUUUCACUGCUGCUUUGUCUUGAACUGAUAUGAUUUGAACCGUGUCUCUAUUUUGAUUUGGCAAGACAAUGCAGUGACCAUAGGACAUAGAUAUAUGUUUGUUUGAUGCUUUUAUUAUGUACUAGUACUUGGCAAUAGAAGACUUGGUAGUUUAAUCCUGUCCACCUUACUAAUGAACUGGUUCACCGAAAUGAGUUUCAUAUACUAGUACAUGCUAAACUUGUCAUGUGUUGCACAAGCUAUUCAAACUAACUGUCUGAAUCAGUUCGGUUUCUUAAGUCUCAACUACAAGCUGAAAGACAUCGAUCAGCUGUGCUGCGACAAGAAGUGGAAGGACGCGGAAGUCCCUGGAGCAUUCAGAUGCAUACUUUCUGGUGCAACAGCAAGCGUUGGAGGAUUUUAGCGCCAAACAGGACAAAGCUAAUAAGCUUGCUAAGAUUAUUGCCAGCAUGGUGGAUACCCAGGAUAACGUUUCUUGAGCUCUUCUGAAGUUGUUUCAGUUAUGCUCUUGUUUUGCUGCCACAUUUAUUUGCACUGAUGGCCAAUUUUGACGGCCAGUGUAUGUAAAUAUGCUGCUUUGUUCCCUAUAUUUGCAUUGGUGGCGAACUUUGAUGCCCAGUGGAUGUAAUAUGUGUAAUAGCGGUAAUAGGCUAGCAUUAAUUGCUUGCUUAUUUAUUUCCUUAUUGUCUUGUUUAGUUGUUUGCUUGUAGUCACUGCAGUUCUUUUUCUUUGUUUUUCUAGUGGCCACAAUAGUCUAUUUUUGGUAACUAGGCCAAAAUAAUCAUGGAAACACACGGACUGUUGUAACCAUGGGCCUCCUGCGGGCCAUAUGAUCCAUGGGCCUUCUUCCGGCCGUAGGAUCCAUUGGCCUUCUAUAUGGGCCGUAGGAUCCAUUGGCCUUCUAUAUGAGCCUUAGGAUUCAUGGGCCUUCUACAGGCCGUAGGGUCCAUGGGCCUUCUACGGGCCGUACGAUCCAUGGGCCUUCUACGGGCCGUACUAUCCAUGGGCCUCAUACGGGACGUAGGACCCAUGGGCCUUCUACGGGGCGUAUCAUCAUUUCGCCAAUCAUGGGCCGUACUAUUCGUGGACCAUAACGGGCCGUUAAUAGGCCGUAUUUGAUAACUCUAUGAAAACAGCCCAAUGAUUUUUUUGACAUGAAAACGCCCAACGUAUUCGGUCCACAAACGGGCCGACUGUAACGACGGGCUGAAUUUGGCCCACAAGCAGAAAAUGAUAGUAACGGGCCAUAUGUAACCGAAUGCUGCAAAUGAGCCCAAGAAUCAAUGGGCCCUGAGAAGGCCGAAAGAUAACUUGGGGCUGGAAACGGCCCAAUGGAAUAACAGGCUGUUAAUGGGUAUAAAGUGAUACACUGUUCAUUACGGGCCAGCUUCACCACGGGCCGUUAAUGGGCCAAGAGUUACAAAGGGCCUCAUAUGGGCCGAAAGAAGUCAUGGGCCACACAUGGGCUGGAAGUUAAAACGGGCUGGAAUCAUAUUGGACGGCCCAGAUGACGCUAUUGGGCCUAAUUCGGAGAGGUCGUAAUGGGCCCUGGGUUAGCGAACUAUAAAUGGGCUAUAUGCAAACAUGCCGUUAACAGGCUUUCCGUGGGGCGGCCCGCCACCUUUUGACCAAGUCAAACAGGCCGGCCUUUUCACAGGAAUGGGCCUCUGUUGGGCCGUGCCACGUGUCUCCAUAUCAUAGGCGCCUUCGGUCCAAUGAGUGGAUGACAUCUGUCCCAACAGUGAGCCGACACGUGUUUCCUCCAGCCAAUGAUGAUUUUACAUGUGGAAAUUCCCCAUUGGUCGGGGCUGUUAACGGGUUAUCGGAUCCAAAACCAGACCCGAUAGCUUAACACCGUUCCGUUACGGUGGAUGCCAUGUGUCGGUAACCCUUGACGAAAGCACUUCUACGACGCGCGAUUUAUCGUCAUGGAAGUGGACACUUCUGUGAUGAUAAUUUUGGUAAUGUCAUGGAACACUUCUACGACAGCACAUGUAUGACUAUCUUGAUUCUGUCAUAAAAUCGUCAUGGAUGUACAUGCAUGACAAAAAACGCGACCUACUGUGACAAACAUGUAUCAUCACGGAAGUGUAUUUUUUUGUAGUGGUUGCGGAUGAUUAUACCAUUCUCAUCUUGCUUGUUAUUGAAAAUCCAUUUGGUUCCAAUGACAUUGUGUUUCGUAGUUGGCCUCCUGACUAACGACCACACUUGGUUACAUUCAAAACUGUUCAACUCUUCUUGCAUAGCAAUGAGCCAAUCGUUGUCCAUGAAUGCUUCGUGUACCUUGAGAGGCUCAACACUAGACACAAACGAGAAGUGAGCACAAAAGUUUGUCAAUUGUUUACAAGUGACUCUACCUUCCGAUAUGCCAGUGAGAAUUUUAUCAACAUGAACACAACCGGCCACUCGAGGCAUGAUGGAGGUUAAGGUUUCACGAGGUUCAACUUCAUGUCCAUCAUCCACGUCCUCAACAUAUGGAUCAUUAAUUUGUGGUGGAAGAUCUUCUUCUUCAUAUCGCAUUUGUUGAGCUUCAUUAUCAAUGAUUUCACCUUCUUGUUCUUGCCCUUGAUGAUGAACUUGUUCUUGAAUAUUAUCAUGAAGAGGGACUUGAACAUCUUCUUGUACUUUGACUACGGGCAUUGGUUGAGUAGUAGGAGCUUGAGGAGGUAUGGGUGUUGGAGUGGUUUGAUGAUGUGUGAAGCUUACAUCUUCUUCCUCAUCAUCAUGAGGUUAUUGUUCCAUUGGAAGAAGUGCACCAACACCCAUGGUCAAAAUAUCUUGAGAAGAAUCUUCUUCACCUACAUAACUUAGAUCAACUUGCACCUAAUGGGAGCCAUUAAAUUCAUCAAACACCAUGUCACAAGUUUCUACAACACAUCCAGUGGAUUUGUUGUAGACUCUAUAGGCGUGAGAGUUUGAUCCAUAACCAACAAAUAUGCCCUCAAUUGUUUUGGAUUGGAAUUUUCCUAAACAUUCUCUUUUGUUGAGGAUGAAACAUUUGCACCCAAAUACAUUAAAGUACUUGACAUUCGGCUUGUUCCCAGUUAGGAGAUCAUAUGGAGUCUUUUCCAAUAUAGUGCGGAGGAAGAGCCAGUUUGAUGCAUGGCAUGCAGUGUUGACAGCCUCGGCCCAAAAACUAUAUGGCGACUUGUAUUCAUCCAACAUGGCCCUUUCCAUCUCCACAAGUGUAUGGUUCUUCCUUUCGGCUACACCAUUUUGUUGAGGAGUGUAUGGAGCAGAAUAUUGAUGCUCAAUCCCUUCAUCACUAAGAAAUUCUUCCAAGGUGUAGUUCUUGAACUCAGAGCCAUUAUCACUCCUUAUUGCCAAGAUGUCUUUAUCAAACUUGCGUUGUGCUUGCUUGGCAAAAUCAAUGAAGGUGAUCUUAUUCUCGUCCUUGGAUAUUAGAAAAAACAGCCAUGUAUACCUUGAGUAAUCAUCAACAAUGAUAAACCCAUACUUUUUCCCACCAAGACUAUCCCAUGAAGGAGGCCCAACAAGAUCCACAUGAAGGAGCUCCAAAGGCCUUGAAGUAGACACGAUAUUCUUGGGUGGGUGCUACCUCUUGAGCAUGCAUUGGUUUUCCCUUGAAGAGGAAAGGGUGAUGCAGCAAAUUAGCAUAAGUAUUUCCCUCAGUUUUGAGAACCAAGGUAUCAAUCCAGUAGGAGACGACACACAAGUCACCUAGCACCUACACAAACAAUCAAGAACCUUGCAACCAACGCAAUAAACGGGUUGUCAAUCUCUUGCUACCUCUUGAGCACAGCGUUGGUUUUCCCUUGAAGAGGAAAGGGUGAUGCAGCAAAGUAGCAAAAGUAUUCCCUCAAUUGUUGAGAACCAAGGUAUCAAUCCAGUAGAAGGCUCCUCAAAAGUCCCACGCACCUACACAAACAAACAAGAACCUCGCAACCAACGCGAUAAAGGGGUUGUCAAUCCCAUCACGGAAACUUGCAAAAGUGAGAUACAAUAGAGAUAAUAAGAUAAGAUAACUAUUUUUGGUAUUUUUAUGAUAUAGAUUGGAAUGUAAAGAUUGCAAAUAAAAGUAGACUGGAAACUUAUAUGAUAAAAGAUAGACCCGGGGGCCAUAGGUUUCACUAGUGGCUUCUCUCAAGAUAGCAUAAGUAUUAUGGUGGGCGAACAAAUUACUAUCGAGAAAUUGAUAGAGAAGUGCAUAGUUAUGAGAAUAUCUAGGCAUGAUCAUGUAUAUACGCAUCACAUCCGCAACAAGUAGAUCGAAACGAUUAUGCAUCUACUACUAUUACUCCACACAUCGACCGAAUCUUGCCUGCAUCUAGAGUAUUAAGUUCAUAAGAACAGAGUAACACAUUAAGAAAGAUGACAUGAUGUAGAGGGAUAAACUCAAGCAAUAUGAUAUAAAACCCAUCUUUUUAUCCUCGAUGGCAACAAUACAAUACAUGCCUUGCUUCCCCUGCUGUCACUGGGAAAGGACACCGCAAGAUUGAACCCAAAGCUAAGCACUUCUCCCAUUGCAAGAAAGAUCAAUCUAGUAGGCCAAACCAAACUGAUAAUUCUAAGGGACUUGCAAAGAUAACCAAUCAUACAUAAAAGAAUUCAGAGAAGAUUCAAUUAUUUCGCAUAGAUAAACUUGAUCAUAAACCCAUAAUUCAUCGGAUCUCGAAAAACACACCGCAAAAAGAGUUACAUCGAAUAGAUCUCCAACAAGAUCAAGGAGAACUUUGUAUUGCGAUUCAAAGAGAGAGAAGAAGCCAUCUAGAUAAUAACUAUGGACCCCAAGGUCUAUGGUAAACUACUCACAACUCAUCGGAGAGGCCUUGGAGAUGAUGUAGAGCCCCUCCGUGGUCGAUUCCCCCUCUGGCGGAGCGCUGGCGAAUGCUUCAAGAUGGGAUCUCACGGAUACAGGAGGUUGCGGCGGUGGAAUUAGGUUUUCGUGGUGCUCUUGGAUGUUCUCGGGGUAUGUGGAUAUAUAUAGGCGAAGGAGGUAGGUCAGGGGAGCCACGAGGGGCCUGCGAGGGUGGGGGGCGCGCCCACCCUCCUAGGGCGUGCCCUCCUGCCUCGUGGCUGCCUGGGUUGCUUCUUGACGUCCACUCCAAGUCUCCUGGAUUGCGUUUGUUCCAAAAAGAUCACUCCCAAAGGUUUCAUUCUGUUUGGACUCCGUUUGAUAUUCCUUUUCUUCGAAACACUUAAAUAGGCAAAAAAACAACAAUUCGGGCUAGGCCUCCGGUUAGUAGGUUAGUCCCAAAAAUGAUAUAAAAGUGUAAAUUAGAGCCCAUAAACAUCCAAAACGGGUAAUAUAAUAGCAUGGAACAAUAAAAAAAGUUAUAGAUACAUUGGAGACGUAUCAAGCAUCCCCAAGCUUAAUUCCUGCUCGUCCUCGAGUAGGUAAACGAUAAAAACAAAUUUUUUGAUGUGGAAUGCUACCUAGCAUAAUUCUCAAUGUAAUUUUAUUUAUUGUGGCAUGACUGUUCAGAUCCAAAUGAUUCUAAAUAAAAGUUCAUAUUGACAUAACAACAAUAAUACUUCAAUCAUAAUAAUAAAGGAAUCAUGUCUUCUCAAAAUAACAUGGCUAAAUAAAGCUAUCCCUACAAAAUCAUAUAGUCUGGCUAUGCUCUAUCUUCAUCACACAAAGUAUUUAAUCAUGCACAACCCCGAUGACGAGCCAAGCAAUUGUUUCAUACAUUAGUAUUCUCAAAAAAUUUCAACCUUCACGCAAUACAUGAGCGUGAGCCAUGGACAUAGCACUAUAUGUGGAAUAGAAUGGUGAUUGUGGAGAAGACAAAAAGGGAGAAGAUAGUCUCACAUCAACUAGGCGUAUCAACAGGCUAUGGAGAUGCCCAUUAAUAGAUAUCAAUGUGACUGAGCAGGGAUUGCCAUGCAAUGGAUGCACUAGAGCUAUAAAUGUAUAAAAGCUCAACAAAAGAAACUAAGUGGGUGCGCAUCCAACUCACUUGCUCACGAAGACCUAGGGCAUUUUGAGGAAGCCCGUCAUUGGAAUAUACAAGCCAAGUUCUAUAAUGAAAAAUUCCCACUAGUAUAUGAAAGUGACAACAUAGGAGACUCUUGAUACGUCUCAAACGUAUCUAUAAUUUUUGAUUGCUCCAUGCUACUUUAUUUACUGUUUUGGACUAUAAUGGGCUUUAUUUUCCACUUUUAUAUUAUUUUUGGGACUAACCUAUUAACCGGAGGCCCAGCCUAGAAUUGCUGUUUUUUUGCCUUUUUCAGUAUUUCAAAGAAACAGAAUAUCAAACAGAGUCCAAACGGAAUGAAACCUUCGGGAACGUGAUUUUCUCAUCAGAUAAGAUCCAGGAGACUUGGACCCUCCGUCAAGAAAGCCACGAGGCGGUCACGUGGGUGGAGGGCGCGCCCCUCCCCCCUGGGCGCGCCCCCUACCUUGUGGGCCCCUCGAAGCUCCACCGACGUACUCCUUCCUCCUAUAUAUACCUACGUACCCCCAAACGAGCAGGGGGAGCAAAAAAACCUAAUUCCACCGCCGCAACCUUCUUUAUCCACGAGAUCCCAUCUUGGGGCCUGUUCCGGAGCUCCGCCAGACGGGGCAUCCACCACGGAGGGCUUCUACAUCAUCACCAUGGCCCCUCCGAUGAAGUGUGAGUAGUUUACUUCAGACCUUCGGGUCCAUAGCUAGUAGCUAGAUGGCUUCUUCUCUCUUUUUGGAUCUCAAUACAAUGUUCUCCCCCUCUCUCGUGGAGAUCUAUUCAUUGUAAUCUUCUUUUUGCGGUGUGUUUGUUGAGACCGAUGAAUUGUGGGUUUAUGAUCCAGUAUUAUCUAUGGAAAAUAUUUGAUUCUUCUCUGAAUUCUUUUAUGUAUGAUUGAGUUAUCUUUGCAAGUCUCUUCGAAUUAUCCGUUCGGUUUGGCCAACUAGAUUGGUAGUUCUUGCAAUGGGAGAAGUGCAUGGCUUUGGGUUCAAUCUUGCAGUGUCCUUACUCAGUGACAAAAAGAGUUGCAAGGCACGUAUUGUAUUGUUGCCAUCGAGGAUAACAAGAUGGGUUUUUUAUCAUAUUGCAUGAUUUUAUCCCUCUACAUCAUGUCAUCUUGCUUAAGGCGUUACUCUGUUUUUACUUAAUACUCUAGAUGCAUGCUGGAUAGCGGUCGAUGAGUGGAGUAAUAGUAGUAGAUGCAGAAUCGUUUCGAUCUACUUGUCUCAGAUGUGAUGCCUAUAUACAUGAUCAUUGCCUAGAUAUACUCAUAACUAUGCUCAUUUCUGUCAAUUGCUCAACAGUAAUUUGUUCACCCACCGUAGAAUACUUAUGCUCUCGAGAGAAGCCACUAGUGGAACCUAUGGCCCCCGGGUCUAUUCUCAUCAUAUCAAUCUAUAUCCCUUUAUUUACUUGCUUUGUUUUUUACUUUACUUUUACUUUUUACUUUGCAUCUAUCUAUCAAAAAUACCAAAAACAUUAUCUCUAUCAGAUCUCACUCUCGUAAGUGACCGUGAAGGGAUUGACAACCCCUAAGCGUUGGUUGCGAGUUGCUAUCGUGUUGUGCAGGUAUGAGGGACUUGCGCGUGACCUCCUACUUGAUUGAUAUCUUGGUUCUAAAAAAAUGAGGGAAAUACUUAUGCUACUAUGCUGCAUCAUCCUCUCCUCUUCGGGGAAAACCAACGCAAGCUCGAGAUGUAGCAAGAAGAAUUUCUAGCGCCGUUGCCGGGGAGGCUUACGCAAAAGUCAACAUACCAAGUACCCAUCACAAUCCCUAUCUCUCGCAUUACAUUAUUUGCCAUUUGCCUCUCAUUUUCCUCUCCCCCACUUCACCCUUGCCACUUUAUUCACCCUGUCUUUCCCUAUCUCCUCCUCUCUUUCCCGUUUGCCUUGUCAUUAUGUCAAGUUCUUUUUCCGCUCCUAUGUCCCCCGAGUUUGAAGUUCUUCACUUCAAGCAAAGGCAAGGAGAAAAUUUAAAAGAUGCUUGGUAUAGGAUGAUGGAAUCUUAUCGCAAGUGCACCCUAGAGGUGAACUUUAGAAUUCUUCUUCAUAAUUUUUAUGUUGGGUUAAAUAUGACGCAUAGACAACUCUUGGAUUGCAUUGCCAAGGGAAAUUUCAUUGAGAUUGAUCCCAGUAUUGCGCAUGAAAUUAUAGAGGGAAUAGUGGAACACUACCUCAAAAUGGAGGAUCACAUCCUACCCAAGGAGAAACCCAAGUGUUUGAGAAGACUUGCGAAGUAACAAUUUUUUUACAAAAGUCUCUUGAGCCUCUUAAAAGUGUUAGCGGAAAUCUUCACCGCAUGAAUAUGUUGAUUACUCUUUGCAAUAAGCAGUUGGAUUCUUUAGAUCUAAAAAUUUCCGAGUAUGAAGGGAAGAGGAAAGAACCUCCCGGAUUCGAGCAUGACUCCACCAAAAAACUGAAAAUUAAAGAUGACACUACCUAGAUCUAUCCUUGCUUUUAUGCCUAGCUAGGGGCGUUAAACGAUAGCGCUUGUUGGGAGGCAACCCAAUUUUAUUUUGUGUUUUUUGUUUUUGCUUAUGUUUAGGAAUAAAUAAUCCACUACCUUCUGUUUGGAUGUGGUUUUAUGUUUUAAUUAGUGUUUGUGCCAUGUAAGACCUAUAGGAUAACCUACGAUGAUAGUUGAUUUGAUUCUGCUGAAAAACAGAAACCUUAGUGCUCACGAGAUUAGCUGCCAUUUUUUACUGGAGAGUCAUUUUGCGUUGAUUCUUUUUUAUGAUGAUAAAUAAACAAAUUGUCCAGGACUUCCUAUUUUGGUAGAAUUUUUAGAUUUCCAGAAGAUUGCGUUAGUUACAUAUUACUACAGAUUGUUCUGUUUUUGACAGAUUCUGUUUUUCGUUUGUUGUUUGCUUAUUUUGAUGAAUCUAUGGCUAGUAAAUUAGUUUAUAAACUAUAGAGAAGUUGGCAUACAGUAGGUUUAACACCAAUAUAAAUAAAGAAUGAGUUCAUUACAGUACCUUGAAGUAGUCUUUUGUUUUCUUUCUCUAACGGAGCUCACGAGAUUUCUGUUGAGUUUUGUGUUGUGAAGUUUUCAAGUUUUGGGUGAAUUCUUUUGAUGGAUUACGGAACAAGGAGUGGCAAGAGCCUAAGCUUGGGGAUGCCCGUGGCACCCCUAAUAUAAUCCAAGGACACCAAAAAGUCAAAUCUUGGGGAUGCCCCGGAAGGCAUCCCCUCUUUCGUCCACUUCCAUCGGUAAUUUACUUGGAGCUAUAUUUUUAUUCACCAACAUGAUAUGUGUUUUACUUGGAGCGUCUUGUAUUAUUUGUGUCUUUGCUUGUUAGUCUACCACAAUCAUCCUUCCUGUACACACCUUUUGAGAGAGCCAUACAUGUUUUGGAAUUUGUUAGAAUACUCUAUGUGCUUCACUUGUAUCUUUUGAGCUUGAUAUUUUUGCUCAUAGUGCUUCACUUAUAUUCUUUUGAGCGUGAUAAUUUUUGCUCUAGUGCUUCACUUAGAUCUUUUUGAGCACGGUGGUGGAUUUGUUUUAAAGAAACUUGAUCUCUCAUGCUUCACUUAGAUUAUUUUCAAAGUCUUUAAUAGCAUGGUAAUUUGCUUAAUGUUAAUAUACUUGGUAUUCAAGAUGUGUGAAACUUUCUUUUGAGUGCGUUGAAUACUAAGAUAAGUUUGAUGCUUGAUAAUUGUUUUGAGAUAUGGAGGUGAUAAUAUCAAAGAUGUGCUAGUUGGGUGAUUAUGAAUUCAAAGAAUUCUUGUGUUGAAGUUAGAAAAUCCCGUAGCAUGCACGUAUGGUUAAAGUUAUGUAACAAAUUUGAAACAUGAAGUGUACCUGGCUUGUUCAUCCUUAUGAGUGGCGGUCGGGGACGAGCGAUGGUCUUUUCCUAUGAAUCUAUCCCCCUAGGAGCAUGCGCGUAGUAUUUGAAUUUUUGAUGACUUCUAAAUUUUUGCAAUAAGUAUAUGAGUUCUUUUGACUAAUGUUGAGCCCAUGGAUUAUACGCACUCUCACCCUUCUGCCUUUGCUAGCCUCUUCGGUACCGUGCAUUGCCCUUUCUCACCUUGAGAGUUGGUGCAAACUUCGCCGGUGCAUCCAAACCCCGUGAUACGAUACGCUCUAUCACACAUAAACCUCCUUAUAUCUUCCUCAAAACAGCCACCAUACCUACCUAUCAUGGCAUUUCCAUAGCCAUUCCGAGAUAUAUUGCCAUGCAACUUCCACCAUCAUCAUCGUGACAUGCAUUACUUUUGUCAUAUUGCCAUUGCAUGAUCUUGUAGUUGACAUUGUAUUUGUGGCAAAGCCACCAUGCAUUAUUUUUCAUACAUGUCACUCUUGAUUCAUUGCACCAUCCCGGUACACCACCGGAGGCAUUCAUAUAGAGUCAUAUCUUGUUCUAGUUUCGAGUUGUAAUUAAUAUGUUGUAAUGAAAGUGUGAUGAUCAUCAUUAUUAGAGCAUUGCCCAAAAAAAGGAGAAAGGCCAAAAGAAAAAAAGAAAGUCCCCAAAAAAGGGGCAAUGCUACUAUCUCAUUUUCCACACUUGUGCUUCAAAGUAGCACCUUGUUCUUCAUGUAGUCAGUCUCAUAUAUUGUGCUUCAAAGUAGCACCUAGUUUUUCAUGUAGUGAGUCUCAUAAGUUGUCUUUUUAUACUAGUGGGAAUUUUUCAUUAUAGAACUUGGCUUGUAUAUUCCUACGAUGGGCUUCCUCAAAUGCCCUAGGUCUUCGUGAGCAAGCAAGUUGGAUGCACACCCACUAGUUUUCUUUUGUUGAGAAUUCAUAGCUCUAGUGCAUCCGUUGCAUGGCAAUCCCUACUCGCUGUUUUUUGCAUUUUUCAGUAUUUCGAAGAAACAGAAUAUCAAACGGAGUCCAAACGGAAUGAAACCUUCGGGAACGUGAUUUUCUCAUCAGAUAAGAUCCAGGAGACUUGGACCCUCCGUCAAGAAAGCCACGAGGUGGUCACGAGGGUGGAGGGCGCGCCCCUCCCCCCUGGGCGCGCUCCCUACCUCGUGGGCCCCUCGAAGCUCCACCGACGUACUCCUUCCUCCUAUAUAUACCUAUGUACCCCCAAACGAUCAGGGGGGAGCAAAAAAACCUAAUUCCAACGCCGCAACCUUCUGUAUCCACGAGAUUCCAUCUUGGGGCCUGUUCCGGAGCUCCGCCGGAGGGGGCAUCCACCAUGGAGGGCUUCUACAUCAUCACCAUGGCCCCUCCGAUGAAGUAUGAGUAGUUUAGUUCAGACCUUCGGGUCCAUAGCUAGUAGCUAGAUGGCUUCUUCUCUCUUUUUGGAUCUCAAUACAAUGUUCUCCCCCUCUCUCGUGGAGAUCUAUUCGAUGUAAUCAUCUUUUUGCAGUGUGUUUGUUGAGACCGAUGAAUUGUGGGUUUAUGAUCCAGUAUUAUCUAUGGAAAAUAUUUGAUUCUUCUUUGAAUUCUUUUAUGUAUGAUUGAGUUAUGUUUGCAAGUCUCUUCGAAUUAUCCCUUUGGUUUGGCCAACUAGAUUGGUAGUUCUUGCAAUGGGAGAAGUGCAUGGCUUUGGGUUCAAUCUUGCGGUGUCCUUACUCAGUGACAAAAAGAGUUGCAAGGCACGUAUUGUAUUGUUGCCAUCGAGGAUAACAAGAUGGGGUUUUUAUCAUAUUGCAUGAAUUUAUCCCUCUACAUCAUGUCAUCUUGCUUAAGGCAUUACUCUGUUUUUACUUAAUACUCUAGAUGCAUGCUGGAUAGCGGUCGAUGAGUGGAGUAAUAGUAGUAGAUGCAGAAUUGUUUCGAUCUACUUGUCUCGGACGUGAUGCCUAUAUACAUGAUCAUUUCCUAGAUAUACUCAUAACUAUGCUCAGUUCUGUCAAUUGCUCAACAGUAAUUUGUUCACCUACCGUAGAAUACUUAUGCUCUCGAGAGAAGCCACUAGUGAAACUUAUGGCCCCCAGGUCUAUUCUCAUCAUAUCAAUCUAUAUCACUUUAUUUACUUGCUUUGUUUUUACUUUACCUUUACUUUUUACUUUGCAUCUAUCUAUCAAAAAUACCAAAAACAUUAUCUCUAUCAGAUCUCACUCUCGUAAGUGACCGUGAAGGGAUUGACAACCCCUAAGCGUUGGUUGCGAGUUGCUAUCGUGUUGUGCAGGUACGAGGGACUUGCGCGUGACCUCCUACUGGAUUGAUACCUUGGUUUUCAAAAACUGAGGGAAAUACUUACGCUACUGUGCUGCAUCAUCCUCUCCUCUUCGGGGAAAACCAACGCAAGCUCGAGACGUAGCAACUCUCUAUCAUGAAGAUCAUGGUGCUACUUUGAAGCACAAGUGUGGUAAAAUGAUAGUAGCAUUGUCCCUUCUCUAUUUUUCUCUCAUUUUUUUCUCUUUUUUCUCCUUUUCCUUUCUAUUUUUUUCUUUCUAUUUUUUUCUUUCUUUUUUUCUCUCUUUUUUCUUUGGCCUUUCUCUUUUUAUUUGGCCUUUCUCCUUUUUUUUAUAAAGUCCGAAGUCUCAUCCCGACCUGUGGGGGAAUCAUAGUCUCCAUCAUCCUUUCCUCACUUGGGACAAUGCUCUAAUAAUGAGGAUCAUCACACUUUUAUUUACUUACAACUCAAGAUUACAACUCGAUACUUAGAACAAAAUAUGACUCUAUAUGAAUGCCUCCGGCCGUGUACCGGGAUAUGCAAUGAAUCAAGAGUGACAUGUAUGGAAGAAUUAUGAAGGUGGCUUUGCCACAAAUACGAUGUCAACUACAUGAUCAUGCAAAGAGCAAUAUGACAAUGAUGAUGCGUGUCAUAAUAAACGGAACGGUGGAAAGUUGCAUGGCAAUAUAUCUUGGAAUGGCUAUGGAAAUUCCAUAAUAGGUAAGUAUGGUGCCUAUUUUGAGGAAGGUAUAUGGUGGGUGUAUGGUACCGGCGAAAGUAGUGAGGCACAAGAGAGGGUAGCAAUGGUGGAAGGGUGAGAGUGCGUAUAACCCAUGGACUCAACAUUAGUCAUAAAGAACUCAUAUACUUAUUGCAAAAAUCUACAAGUCAUUGAAAACAAAGUACUACCCGCAUGCUCCUAGGGGGAUAGAUUGGUAGGAAAAGACCAUCGCUCGUCCCCGACCGCCACUCAUAAGGAAGACAAUCAAUAAAUAAAUUAUGCUCCAACUUCAUCACAAAGCGGGUCACCAUACGUGCAUGCUACGGGAAUCACUAACUUCAACACAAGUAUUCCUCAAAUUCAUAAUUACUCCACUAGCAUGACUCUAAUAUCACCAUCCUCAUAUCUCAAAACAAUUACCAAGCAUCAAAUUGAUCAUAGCAUCCAAUUCACUUUCUAUGAUAGUUUUUAUUAUACCCAACUUGGAUGCUCUUCAUUCUAGGACCAAUUUUAUAACCAUAGAAAAUACCAUGCUGUUCUAAAAGACUCUCAAAAUGAUAUAAGUGAAUCACUAGACAUCAACAAUUUCUACAAAAUUAAACCACCUCCGUGCUCUAAAAGAUAUAAGUGAAGCACUAGAGCAACAUUAUCUAGCUCAAAAGAUAUAAGUGAAGCACAUAGAGUAUUCUAAUAAAUUCCAAAUCAAGUGUGUCUCUCCCAAAAUGUGUGUACAGCAAGGAUGAUUAUGGAAAACUAAAAAGCAAAGACUCAUAUCAUACAAGACGCUCCAAGCAAAACACAUAUCAUGUGGUGAAUAAAAAUAUAGCUCCAAGUAAAGUUACCGAUAAACGAAGACGAAAGAGGGGAUGCCUUCCGGGGCAUCCCCAAGCUUAGGAAUUGGGUUGUCCUUGAAUUUCUUGGGGUGCCUUGUUCAUCCCCAAGCUUAGGGUCUUGCCACUCCAUAUUCCAUAGUCCAUCAAAUCUUUACCAAAAACUUGAAAACUUGACAACACAAAACUCAACAGGAAAUCUCAUAUGCUCCGUUAGUGCAAGAAAGAAAAACCACCACAUAAGGUUCUGUAAUGAACUAAUUUUUUAUAUAUAUUGGUGUGAAACCUACUGUAUUCCAACUUCUCUAUGGUUCAUACUCCCCGAUACUAGCCAUAGAUGCAUCUAAAUAAGCAAACAACACACGAAAAACAGAAUCUGUCAAAAACAGAAGAGUCUGUAGCAAUCUGUAACUUUCGAAUACUUCUGGAACUCUAAAACUCCUAAAAAAAUAUGUAGUGCUGGGCAAUUUGUCUAUUGAUAUACUUCAAAAGGAAUCAACGCAAAAACACAUUUUUGUGAUUUAUUAAAAUUAUUCUCGCGCGCGCAAGAGUUUCUGUUUUUCAGCAGAAUCAAAUUAACUAUCAUCGUAGGUUAUCCUAUAGGUUCUACUUGGCACAAACACUAAUUAAAACAUAAAACCACAUCUAAACAGAGGCUAGAUGAAAUAUUUAUUACUAAACAGAAGCAAAAAGCAAGGAACUAAAAUAAAAUUGGGUUGCCUCCCAACAAGCGCUAUCGUUUAGCGCCCCUAGCUAGGCAUAAAAGCAAGAGUAGAUCUAAGUAUUGCCAUCUUUGGCAUUCAAUUCAUAAGUAGCUCGCAUGAUAGAUUCAUAAGGUAAUUUGACUUUAUUUCUAGGGAAGUGUUCCAUGCCUUUCCUUAGUGGAAAUUGGAAUCUAAUAUUCCCUUCCUUCAUAUAAAUAAUUGCACCAAUCGUUCUAAGGAAAGCUCUACCAAGAAUAAUAGGACAUGAAAGAUUGCAAUCUAUAUCAAGAAUGAUAAAAUCUAUGGGCAGAUAAUUCUUAUUUGCAACAAUAAGAACAUCAUUGAUCCUUCCCAUAGGUUUCUUAAUGGUGGAAUCCGCAAGGUGCAAGUUUAAAGAGCAAUCAUCAAAAUCAUGAAAACCUAGCACAUCACAUAAAUUUUUUGGAAUUGUGGAAACACUAGCAACCAAAUCACACAAAGCAUAGCAUUCAUGAUCUUUAAUUUUAUUUUAUAGUAGGUUCCCACUCAUCAUAAAGUUUUCUAGGUAUAGAAACUUCCAAUUCAAGUUUUUCCUCAUAAGAUUACAUCAAGGCAUCAACAAUAUGUUUGGUAAAAGCUUUAUUUUGACUAUAAGCAUGAGGAGAAUUCAACACGGAUUGCGACAAGGAAAUACAAUCUAUUAAAGAACAAUUAUCAUAAUUAAAUUCCUUUAAAUCCAUAAUAGUGGGUUCAAUGCUAUGUAAAGUUUUGACCUCUCCAAUCCCACUUUUACCAAAUUUAGCAUCAAGAUCUAAAAACUCCGAAUCAUUGGGACGCCUUUUAACUAAAGUUGACUCAUAUCCAGCCCCAUCAUUAUCAAGAUUCAUAUUGCAAAACAAAGAUUUAAUAGGGGACACAUCAAUAACUUUUAGAUCUUCAUCAUUAUUUUCAUGGAAACUAGAAGAACACGCUUUUACAAAGCAAUCUUUCUUAGCACGCAUCCCAGCGGUUCUUUCUUUGCACUCAUCAAUGGAAAUUCUCAUGGCUUUGAGAGACUCAUUGAUAUCAUGCUUAGGUGGAAUAGAUCUAAGUUUCAAAGAAUCAACAUCAAGAGAAAGUCUAUCAACGUUCCUAGCCAAUUUGUCAACUUUAAGCAAUUUUUCUUCAAGCAAAGCAUUGAAAUUCUUUUGAGAGAUCAUAAAUUCUUUAACACUAUUCUCAAAAUCAAAGGGCAUCUUAUUAAAAUUUCCAUAAGAGGUUGUAGGAAUUACCAUAAUUAUUAGAGGAAUUACUAGGAAACGGCCUAGGAUUAAAGUUUCCUCUAUACGCGUUGUUACCAAAAUUAUUCCUACCAACAAAAUUCACAUCUAUAGAUUCAUUAUUAUUCUCAAUCAAAGUAGACAAAGGCAUAUCAUUGGGAUCAAUAGGAGCACUCUUAGUAGCAAACAAUUUCAUAAGUUCAUCCAUCUUUCCACUCAAAACAUUAAUCUCUUCUAUAGCAUGCACUUUUUUACUAGUAGAUCUUUUGGUGUGCCAUUGAGAAUAAUUGACCAUAAUGUUAUCAAGAAGUUUAGUAGCUUCUCCUAAGGUGAUUUCCAUAAAAGUGCCUCCCGCAGCCGAAUCCAAGAGAUUUAUAGAAGCAUAAUUCAAUCCGGCAUAAAAGUUUUGUAUGAUCAUCCAUAAAUUCAAACCAUGAGUAGGGCAAUUGUGAAUCAUUAAUUUCAUUCUUUCCCAAGAUUGGGCAACAUGCUCAUGAUCAAGUUGUUUAAAAUUCAUAAUAUCAUUUCUAAGAGAGAUAAUCUUAGCGGGAGGAAAAUACUUAGAGAUAAAAGCAUCUUUGCACUUAUUCCAUGAAUCAAUACAGACGAAAACCAAGUUUUAGCACGAUCUCUAAGUGAAAUGGAAAUAACUUCAAUUUAACAAUAUCAUUAUUUGUAUCUUUCUUAUUUUGCAUAUUACACAAAUCAACAAAGUUGUUUAGAUGAGUAGCGGCAUCUUCACUAGGAAGGCCGGAGAAUUGAUCUUUCAUAACAAGAUUCAACAAAGCAACAUUGAUUUCACAAGAUUCAACAUCAUUAAGAGGAGCAAUUGGAGUGCUAAGGAAAUCAUUAUUAUUGGUAUUGAAAAAAAUCACACAAUUUGGUUUUAUCUUGCGCCAUCGUGACAAGAAAUCCAACACACAAGCACACAAGAGGCAAGUGAAAGAGAGUGGAGAACAGGAAAGAGAGGGCGAAUAAAAUGGCAAGGGUGAAGUGGGGGAGAGGAAACGAGAGGCAAAUGGCAAAUAAUGUAAUGCGAGGGAGAUGAGUUUGUGAUGGGUACUUGGUAUGUCUUGACUUGAGCGAAGACCUCCCCGGCAACGGCACCAGAAAUCCUUCUUCCUACCUCUUGAGCACUGCGUUGGCUUUUCCCUUGAAGAGGAAAGGGUGAUGCAGCAAAGUAGCAUAAGUAUUUCCCUCGGUUUUUGAGAACCAAGGAAUCAAUCCAGUAGGAGGCUCCUCAAAAGUCCCACGCACCUACACAAACAAACAAGAACCUUGCAACCAACGCGAUAAAGGGGUUGUCAAUCCCUUCACGAAAACUUGCUAAAGUGAGAUCUGAUAGAGAUAAUAAGAUAAGAUAAAUAUUUUUGGUAUAGAUUGGAAAGUAAAGAUGCAAAUAAAAGUAGAUGGAAAACUUAUAUGAUAAAAGAUUGACCCGGGGGCCAUAGAUUUCACUAGUGGCUUCUCUCAAUAUAGCAUAAGUAUUACGGUGGGUGAACAAAUUACUAUCGAGCAAUUGAUAGAAAAGUGCAUAGUUAUGAGAUUAUCUAGGCAUGAUCACGUAUAUAGGCAUCACGUCCGCAACAAGUAGAUCGAAACGAUUCUGCAUCUACUACUAUUACUCCACACAUCGACCGACUCCUGCCUGCAUCUAGAGUAUUAAGUUCACAAGAACAGAGUAACGCAUUAACAAAGAUGACAUGAUGUAGAGGGAUAAACUCAAGCAAUAUGAUAUAAACCCCAUCUUUUUAAACUUGAUGGCAACAAUACAAUACGUGCCUUGCUGCCCCUGCUAUCACUUGGAAAGGACACUGCAAGAUUGAACCCAAAGCUAAGCAUUUUUGCCAUUGCAAGAAAGAUCAAUCUAGUAGGACAAACCAAAUUGAUAAUUCGAAGAGACUUGCAAAGAUAACCAAUCACACAUAAAAAAAUUCAUAGGAGAUUCAAUUAUUUCUCAUAGAUAAACUUGAUCAUAAACCCACAAUUCAUCGGAUCUCGACAAACACACCACUAAAAGAGUUACGUCGAAUAGAUCUCCAAGAAGAUCAAGGAGAAUUUUGUAUUGAGAUUCAAAGAGAGAGAAGAAGCCAUCUAGCUAAUAACUAUGGACCCGAAGGUCGGUGGUAAACUACUAACAACUCAUCAGAGAGGCCUUGGAGAUGAUGUAGAGGCCCUCCAUGGUAGAUUCCCGCUCCAGCGGAGCACCGGCGAAGGCUCCAAGAUGGGAUCUCGUGGAUACAAAAGGUUGCGCCGGAGGGGAAUCGACCAUGGAGGGCCUCUACAUCAUCUCCAAGGCCUCUCCGAUGAGUUGUGAGUAGUUUACCAUAGACUUUCGGGUCCAUAGCUAUUAUCUAGAUGGCUUCUUCUCUCUUUUUGAAUCUCAAUACCAUGUUCUCAUUGAUCUUUUUGGAGAUCUAUUCGAUGUAACUCUUUUUGCGGUGUGUUUGUCGAGAUCCGAUGAAUUGUGGGUUUAUGAUCAAGUUUAUCUAUGAGAAAUAUUUGAAUCUCCUCUGAAUUCUUUUAUGUGUGAUUAAGUUAUCUUUGCAAGUCUCUUCGAAUUAUCAGUUUGGUUUGGCCUACUAGAUUGAUCUUUCUUGCAAUGGGAGAGGUGCUUAACUUUGGGUUCAAUCUUGCGGUGUCCUUUCCUAGUGACAGCAGGGGCAGCAAGGCACGUAUUGUAUUGUUGCCAUCGAGGAUAAAAAGAUGGGGUUUAUAUCGUAUUGCAUGAGUUUAUCCCUCUAUAUCAUGUCAUCUUUCUUAAUGUGUUACUCUGUUCUUUAUGAACUUAAUACUCAAAUGCAUACUAGAUAGCGGUCGAUGUGUGGAGUAAUAGUAGUAGAUGCAGGCAGGAGUCGGUCUACUUGUCACGGACGUGAUGCCUAUAUACAUGAUCAUGCCUAGAUAAUCUCAUAAUUAUUCGCUUUUCUAUCAAUUGCUCGACAUUAAUUUGUUCACCCACCGUAAUACUUAUGCUAUCUUGAGAGAAGCCACUAGUGAAACCUAUCUUUUAUCAUAUAAGCUUUCAAUCUACUUUUAUUUGCAUCUUUACUUUUCCAAUCUACAUUAUAGAAUACCAAAAAUAUAUUUAUCUUAUCAUAUUAUCUCUAUUAGAUCUCACUUUCGCAAGUGGCCUUGAAGGGAUUGACAACACCUUUAUUGCGUUGGUUCCGAGUUCUUGUUUGUUUGUUUAGGUGCGUGGGACUUUUGAGGAGCCUCCUACUGGAUUGAUACCUUGGUUCUCAAAGGAUGAGGGAAAUACUUACGCUAUUAUUGCCGCAUCAUCCUUUCCUCUUCAAGGAAAACCAACGCAAGCUCAAGACGUAGCAAGAAGGAUUUCUGGCGCCGUUGCCGGGGAGGUCUUCGCUCAAGUCAAGACAUACCAAGUACCCAUCACAAACUCAUCUCCCUCGCACUUACAUUAUUUGCCACUUGCCUCUCGUUUUCCUCUCCCCCACUUCACCCUUGCCGUUUUAUUUGCCCUCUCUUUCCCAAUCUCCUCUCUCUUCUGCUUGUCUUCUUGUGUGCCUGUUUGCUUUUAUGGCUUUGCCUAAGAACACCGACCUUUAUCUUAGAAGGUUGGAAGAGAUUGAAUCAAACGUUAGAAGUUUUAUGACUUUACAAUUUGAGCAUAGUAAUUUCUUUAGAAAAGAGCUUAAAGAACAAAAAAGUUUUAUGGGGUUUAUGAACAAAGAGCUUGAUGAUAUAUCUAAAUAAUUUUAUGGUUUGAACUCUCAAAUUACUCGGCUUGAAAAUUCUAUAGCCCAAAUCUCUAAUAAGCAAGCUACGUACCUUAGUCAAUAAGAUGGCUGCCAAACCAGAAAAGUUAGAUGAAAAUAAUGAUGAAGAUCUAAAAUUUAUUGAUGUGUCCCCUAUUAAAUCUUUGUUUUGCAAUAUGAAUCUUAAUAAAGAUGGGACUGGAGAUGAGUCAACUCUAGUUAAAAGGCGUCCCUAUGAUUCAGAGUUUUUAGAUCUUGAUGCUAAAUUUGGUAAAAGUGGGAUUGGAGAGGUCAAGACUUUAAAUAGCAUUGAACCCACUAUCUUGGAUUUCAACGAAUUUAAUUAUGAUAAUUGUCGGUGUACUAAAGUAGGGGUACCUUAGUAUCCCGAACUUGUCCACGGGCAGUUGCAGCACCCCGCGGCAAGGCUUGCCGGGUGACCGUCAAGAUCCUCCGUGGUUCCUUUGGAGCCAUUCAAGAACAAAGUAUUCAAGCCAAGGAGACAAGGCCCCGGCAAGAGGAGCUUGCCGGGAAGGCCAGCCAAGGCAUCUCAAGGAACUUGCCGCGACGCGCCACGCGUCCCGGCAAGGCCCGGUGAGCGACAAGCUUCCGGACGCGACAAGACAACGACCGCGGCAAGGCGCUUGCCGCGACAAGCUACCACCCUGUACCCACGCUCCAGCACAUCUACCAACGUAUCACCUUGGGGCCUUUCCAGGCGCGCGUGGCAAGAGGCUGUGCAGCCAGCGGUGCGAGGUGGCAAGCAACGGUGACAAGAUUGCCAUCGUGGCGAACGGUGGCGUCCCUGACGGUCCUUUCCUGCACUGUUUGGGCGACACAGACGGGCAUUUAAUGCCUUUGUCCCCUGCCGUCAGGGUUAGGUAGGAUACACUGUACAUGUAGUUGUACCAACCGCAACUCCUUUUACGUUUUUACCCUUGUCUAUGUUGCCACCUGUCGGUGACCAGUUUAGCAUAUAAAAGGAGGCCCACGGGCAACGUAGAGGGGGUUCGGUUCGGGCCGAAGCCAGAAAAACACUCACGCUCGGUCUCGUUAGCAGCUAGAGUGCGCCAUAGCACUCAGCGCUCCCGAGCAAGAACAUAAUACACUAAAACAUGCAGCAGUAGGAGUGUUAUCUCUCCGGAGAGCUCCGAAGCUGGGUAAACUGCUCGUGUGCUUCGCCUCGAUCCGCUCUUCGUGCGACCUCCGCCCCCCGCCGAACCGAAAGGGGCUCGGUCCGCCGGUCCCAUAGGUGUUCGUGGAUCAGCUUCCCCGACAUCUUUGGCGCACUAGGUGGGGGGCGUCGAGAUUGUGUGAACCUGAUCCGACGUUCACACGAGCUGGAUCUUCAUUUUCUUCAUCAACAUGCCACCGAAGAAGAAGGCUUCGGGGGCAACUGUUCCGCCCACGUCGAUCCCACCACCACCGGAGCAAACGGGUGGUGGGAUAGACGCCGGCGGAAGAACGGACAUCGACGAGGGAGCUCACGGUGCUGCCAGAUCCAAGGACAAGGCUGCACAGACCUCAGCGUCCGUACAUGCACCGCGCCCAUCUCAGGAGGCGCAGGACUGACAGCGUCAUGGUAUUCGCAGUACCAUACGUUUGUUGGACCAAGAUUGAGCUGGUGGAUCUCGGAGUGCUCAAGACCAACAUGCACGCCAACAUGCAGGCACGAGCAAGAUACGAUCGCCUGGACGGGAUACUGCUCCUUCUAACAUAGUUAGAAGUCCGAGCAUAUCCCGCUCCUCGCGCCGUUCACCACUGCCACCCACCACUCGAGCAGAAGCUUUGGCGCGAGCUCAACUGCUCCUGGAUUACCCUCCAACGGCAGACAAGAUCGACGAAUGGAGCGCCACCAUUCAGAGUCUCAUCGACUUCGCCAAUGGCGACACUCCGCAGCAGCCGAGUGCAUCGCGGCCGCGGCAGGACUGCCAGGCACGAGCCGAUGGUGACAAAACCGGUGGGGGUGCAACCACCAUGCACUCUCCACCCCGAAGGCCAAGAUCGCCGACUCGCCGGAUCCACCUCGACAGCGACUCCACCGCAUCGUCAGAUCCACGAGCUCGUCGCGAUCAGCGCCAAGUUCUUCACGAACGACAGAAAGAAGACGCUCGUACUCGCAUCGAGCGCUGAAGAGAAGCGCGGCGUCAAUCUGACCAGCGCGCUGGGCCCUCUGUCGACAUGCAUGCGCCAGGGGCACCAGGUGACUUGCCGUACGCAGUAGGUUGCCCUGCGUUCACUCGUGAGCUGCGGCAAGUCCAGUGGCCCAGCACGAAAAAUUUCAAGCCAGAUGUACCAGAGAAGUACGACGGCAAGUCACAUCCGUCGGAGUUCCUCAGCAUCUACACCAUCGCGGUGCAAGCUGCCGGGGGACGGGACGACAAGAUCCUUGCCAACUACUUCCCGCUGGUGCUCAAGCCCAAUGUCAGAUCCUGGCUCAUGCACUUGCCGGACAACUCCAUAUCCUCCUGGGCGGACCUGUGCCAUCAUUUUGUCGGAGCCUUUACAGGCGGCCACAAGCCUCAUGGCCAAGAGAGCGACCUUCAUCUGCUCGCCCAGAAGGAAGGAGAGCCCCUGCGCAAGUACAUUCAGAGAUUCAGCCGUGUACAGCACAACCUCCCAGAUGUCCACCCUGCCGCGGUAAUCAGCGCGUUCCAUCAGAACAUGCGAAACAGCAGGAUGCGGGAGGAGAUGGCGAUGUGCAAGAUCAGAGAUGUCAGUGAGCUAUACGCCCUGGCCGACAAGUGUGCACGUGCUGAGGAAGGGAGGAAACUCCCCGGAGAGAGUACAGGAGCAGGAGGAUCUGAUAGUGAGGAUGCUGCCCCGACAAAGAAAAACCGGCGGCGGAACAACAGGAAGAAGAAAGGCAAAGAUGUGCUAGUCAUUGAGCAAUCCGGCAAGGAAGCCAAAGCUGGUAGCUUCGGCAAGGAGAUUGCCGUAGGCACCAACCACCAGGCUGUGGCGGUCGCCGACAAGCAGGACGACACCAACAGGCAGUACUGCAAGAUCCACCGCACCAAGGGCCAUGACCUCCAGAGUUGCAAGAAGGUCGAGCAGCUUGUCAAGCAGCAAAAGGCUGAAUACGAGCGACGCGACAAGGAGAAGGCCUAUGAAGGUGCUGGAGGAGCCGGCAAGAAACGCCCCGGCCGAGGAGGACGCCGCGGCAAGGCCAAGCAGCGCUAAGGAGACAGACCUCCCCGCGGCCGCGACAAGGAUGAAGAUGACGACAACGAUGAAGAUAUGGAUGAUGACGAGACCGAUGAGUAGGAGUUCUAGAAAGCCACAGAGAUCCUGUGCGUUGACGGUGGUGCUUCUCUGCAUACUUCACACCGCCAGCUCAAGCAGUGGGUGCGGGAAGUCAAUGCAGCAGAGCCACCCGUCGAGUCACGCAAGCCUCUGAAAUGGUCCAGCACGCCUAUCAUCUUUGAUAUUGAGGACCACCCUGAUCGCAUAACUGCGGUCGGGUGCUUGCCGAUGUUGGUUUCACCAACUAUCCGCAACCUCAAGGUCACUAAGAUGCUAGUUGACAGCGGGGCCGGCUUGAACCUGAUCUCCUCCGCGGUACUCCAGAAACUCCAGAUCCCUGAUAGCGAGCUCGAAGAGACCGGCACGUUCUAAGGAAUCAAUCCGGGAAGAAGCAAGCCAAAGGGAAAGAUCACGUUGCCGGUAACAUUUGGCAGCGAGUUAAACUUCAGGACUGAGAGGGUCACUUUUGACGUUGCUGACUUUCCAUUGCCUUACAAUGGGAUAGUCGGCCGUCCAACACUCGCCAAAUUCAUGGCAGCCUCUCACUAUGCAUACAACAUGCUGAAGAUGCCAGGCCCGAUAAGUGUCAUCUUUGUCCCUGGCGACAAGAAGGAUGCUCUUAUCUCCACCGACAAGAUCUACCGGGAAGCAGCAGCCGCAACAGAUCAUAGGUCACUUGCCGUUGAAGCUCCCGGGGGGAGGAAGAAGACCAAGUCCGGCAAGAGUUCUGAUGCCCACUCCGGCAAGCGCACCUCUUCGGGGUGCUGCACUACCGUCGAGGACGCACCAUCGAGCUCCACCGGGAAGUGUAAGAAGACAAUGGUAGCUCCACCAGAGACCAAGAAGGUGUCCGCCAAGGAGGAUGGCACUGGUGGUACCGUCACCAUCAGUGCCACUCUCGACCCUAAAUAGGAAGGCACACUCAUUGCUUUCCUGUGGGCGAAUGUCGACGUGUUUGCAUGGCAAUCAUCUGACAUCCCCGGUGUUCCUAGGAAAGUAAUCAAGCACCAUCUAGCCGUCUGUCCUCAUGCGCGGACCGUCAAGCAGAAAGUCAGAAAACAAGCAGUGGAGCGCCAAGAAUUCAUCGCUGAAGAAAUCAAGAAGUUGGAAGCAGCAGGCCUUGUUAGAGGAGUGCUCCAUCCCACGUGGUUGGCCAAUCCUGUAGUCGUGCGCAAGGCAAACGGGAAAUGGAGGCUUUGUAUCGACUUUACCGAUGUCAAUAAAGCUUGUCCCAAAGACCCAUUUCCCUUGCCGCGCAUCAACCAGAUUGUUGACUCCAUAGUCGGAUGUGACUUGCUUUCAUUUCUUGACGCAUAUUCAGGAUACCAUCAGAUCUUCAUGGCAGAAGAGGAUGAGGAAAAGACCGCAUUCAUCACACCAUGCGGCACAUACUGUUUCAUACGGAUGCCUUUCGGUUUAAAGAAUGUUGGUUCAACAUUUGCAAGGAUAGUCCAUGACGCUUUUGAGCCGCUAAUACAUAGGAAUGUGGAGGCCUACAUGGAUGACAUAGUGGUCAAGAGCAAGGACAAAGCAACUCUGAUUCAAGAUUUAGACGAAACCUUUGCAAACCUGCGCAAGAUCAACCUCAAGCUUAACCCCGAGAAGUUUGUGUUCGGAGUCCCCUCCGGCAAGCUUCUCGGGUUCUUCGUGUCUCAGCGGGGAAUCGAAGCCAAUCCCGACAAGAUCAAGGCCAUUGAGCAGAUUGAAGCACCAAAGCGCGUCAAGGAUGUAUGAAGACUUGCCGGUUGCGUAGCUGCUCUCAGCAGGUUUAUCUCUAGGUCUGCUGAGCGCGCCCUGCCAUUUUUCAAAUUAUUGAAAAAGGUAGGUCCAAUGAAAUGGACUCCGGAAGCGGAGGCUGCGCUGUAGGACUUAAAGAGAUACCCGUCCUCCACUCCGACACUUGUUGCACCUAAGCCACAAGAGAAGUUGCUGCUAUAUAGCGGCAACCAAUCAAGUGGUUAGUGCUGCGUUAGUAGCGGAGAGGGAGGCGGAUGAUGAGCCAGCAACCACGGCAAGUGCAUCCAGCGACAAGCAAGGAUCAUCACCGACAAGCUCUGGUCCCGGCAAAGAUGGAUCUGCGCAGGCGCGUGAGAAGAUGCAGAAGAGAAUGGUGCAGCACCCAGUUUACUUUGUCAGUUUCCUUCUGCAGGGGGCUAGGUCAAGGUACUCUGGUGUGCAGAAAUUGCUUUCCGGCCUUCUCAUGGCCUCGAGAAAGCUGCGCCAUUACUUCCAAGCACAUGAGAUCACAGUGGUCACUCGUUUUCCGCUGAAGAGGAUACUGCAAAAUCCAGAAGCAACAGGCAGGAUUGUCGAGUGGGCACUAGAACUGUCAAGCUUUGGCCUCAAGUUUGAGAGCACCUCAACUAUCCAAAGCAGAGCAUUGGCGGAGUUCAUAGCAGAGUGGACGCCAACACCAGAUGAAGAAAUUCCAGAAACGAGCAAACCCGUCAAGGAAGCAAGCAAAGAGUGGCUGAUGUACUUUGAUGGUGCCUUCUCGCUGCAAGGCGCCAGUGCGGGCGUACUACUUGUCGCACCCAUCGAAGAGCACCUCAAGUACGUAGUCCAGAUGCACUUUCCCAAGGAGCAAGCAACAAACAAUACUACAGAGUAUGAAGGUUUGCUUGCCGGUCUCAGAAUCAUAGCAGACCUUGGGAUCAAGAAGCUCAUUGUCAGGGGUGACUCACAGCUUGUCGUGCGCCAAGUGAACAAGAAUUAUCAGAGUCCAUUUAUGGAAGCUUACGUUGAUAAAGUGAGAAAGCUAGAAGAGCACUUUGACGGCCUACAGAUGGAACAUGUUCCAAGAGCUCAGAACGACAUUGCCGAUGGCCUGUCGAAGUGCGCCGCACUUAAGUUACCUGUGGAACCAGGGAUCUUUGUGCUCAAGCUGACUCAACCAUCCGUAACGCCAUCAACUCGACAGAACAAGAAGAGGAAGUUGAUUUCUGGUGACUAUUUUCCGGCAGAGCUCCCCGAAGCCGCCGCCAAGAAGGUCCUCAAGAUCAACACCAAGGAUGCUGAGGAGCAGUCUGCUCCGACAAGCCCUAGGGUUUGUUCCGUUGAAGCAGACGCUCCCGACAAGUUUUGCUGCGGCAAGCUUGCCGGGGAACGUCAAGCUCCGGCUGAGCCGCAGGUUCUCGCCGUAGAAGUGGAUGUUCCCGCAGCAGCAGAUAUGCCUUUAGUCCUUGUUGUCGAGCCGCAAGCUCCAGCAUGGGCGCAGCAGAUUGUCCAUUUCCUUCAAACAAGUGAACUUCCCGAAGAGCAAGAAGAAGCGGAAAGAGUAGCCCGGCAGUCAAGUAUGUACUAGUUUGUCGACAACACACUGUACAGAAGAAGACUCAACGGCGUGAAAUUGAAGUGUAUUCACCGGGAAGACGGAAAAAAGCUAUUGGCAGAGAUACACAGAGGCAUAUGUGGCCACCAUAUUGGCGCAAGAGCACUUGCCGGCAAAGCGUUCCAGCAAGGUUUCUUUUGGCCAACAGCCCUCCAGGAUGCAACUGCACAAGUAACCAAGUGUGAAGCGUGCCAGUUCCAUUCCAAGCAGAUACACCAGCCAGCUCAAGCUCUCCAGACGAUCCCUUUAUCCUGGCCAUUUUCGGUCUGGAGGCUCGACAUCCUCGGCCCCUUUCCCCGAGCUGUCCGGGGCUUUGAGUACUUGUACGUUGCAAUCGACAAGUUCACAAAGUGGCUGGAAGUGGAAGCAGUGAGGAAGGUGACAGCACAGUCGGCAGUCAAGUUCUUCAGGUCGAUUGUUUGCCGUUUCGGGAUCCCUAACAGGAUCAUCACCGACAACGGCACACAAUUCACGAGCCGCACCUUCAUGCAGUACGUCCAAGAUCUUGGCGCCAAGGUCUGCUUCGUUUCUGUUGCUCAUCCAAGAAGCAAUGGUCAAGUAGAGGGGGCAAAUGCUGAAGUGCUGCGCGGGCUCAAGACCAGGACUUUCGACAGGCUGCACAAGUGCGGAAAGAACUGGAUUGAGGAGCUGCCGGUGGUUCUUUGGUCGCUCAGGACGACGCCAAAUCGAGCCACUGGCCAGACACCUUUCGCUCUAGUCUAUGGAGCAGAGGCAGUUCUCCCCACAGAACUCGUAUACGGGUCACCUCGAGUGCUCGCUUAUGAUGAGCUUGAGCAAGAGCAGCUGCGACAAGAUGACGUGCUGCUCCUCGAGGAGGACCGUCUUCAGGCUGCUGUACGAGCUGCUCGAUACCAGCAAGCUUUGCGCCGCUACCAUAGCUACAAAGUUAAUGCCAGAAGUCUCGAGGAAGGCGACCUUGUUCUUCGGCGCGUUCAGUCCGCCAAGAAUUCCAACAAGUUGACGCCGAAGUGGGAAGGCCCUUAUCGGGUGAAAUGAGUCACUAGGCCUGGCGCUGUCCACCUUGAGACCGAAGAUGGCAUUCCGGUGAGCAACUCCUGGAACAUUGAGCAUCUUCGUAAGUUUUACCCGUAGGGCGCGGUUGCCGGAACCUGUUCCGGCAACCACCUUUUGUACAAGUCUUGCCGAUGUUGCAUGUAAUCCUUUGUACAAAGCCGGGCGCAGACCCCGUGCAUAAGUAAAGCUCAUGUGCCCCGCACAUCUUGUCGAUUUCAUGCUUUCUACUACUUUUUGCAUGCGUUAUCUGACACUUUGUGCAGCACCUACCCCCGGUAAGCAAUAACGAGCCAUAGGGCUCCAUAUCUUUAUUUUCUCUUCUUUCUCUUUCUCAAGGAAAGGAAGGAUCCCUCGCCCACAAGUUUGCCGGGGGGAAAGGAGAAGAUAAUGGUGUGGACCAGGCGUCGUUCGAGGGAGUUUCGCCUUACCGGGAAGCAAACGACAGAAAAGCUAAGUUGCCAAAGUUUGAGCAAUCAGUUUUAAAUUUUUUAAGUUAUCUUCCUCAAACGACCGUGCUUUGUAUGGAAAACCUGUGCACGGAGGAACCAACUCGUAGCUAGUUGCGCCCUUACUUUGUUUCGAGUCCGCUCAACAAUUUAAGUGAGCUGCGACUAGUUGCAACAAGGUUUCUUGUUGGUAGCGGCACCGCCAGCAGGCUGCUGACAUUCCGCACUCAGCGCUCGCGGCUAAGGUACCUGCACCGACAAGUUCCCUAAAAGCGUAGGGCAAAAACAUACAAAGGAAGGAAUCAAGUAAAGGAAAUAACACAUCAAUCUCUACCAAAAUAGAGUUGUAUUACAAGAUAACUUGUCACAACUCUAACAGAAUGUUCUCAUGACAUGACCAGCGGCGACAAAGAAAAAGAAAAGACGGGCGGCCUAAUCCACGCGUUCACCCUCAACCCUCUUGAUCUCGCUCACCUUGUCCACAGUGGGUGCGACAAGGGCCUUGAGCGCUUCCAGAUCAGCAUCCGGCGACAAGGACCUAAGGACGUUGGUGAGGUUGAGGCCUGGGUUGCGGAAGGCCACCUUCACCAGCACCUUCUGAAGAGCCCUCGCGCAGAUCCUGCGCGACUCGUCGGCCAGCUGCUUUGGGAUCUUCUCCCGGAGUCGCUGGAGGGCCGUCACCAUGCCUUUGAAGAACAGGCUGAGCUUGGCGCUGGGUUGGAGGUGCUCACCGGAGGAGUACCCGAGAUCCUCCAUCCCCAGCUGCGCCAACUCAACGUCGAUGGCUGCGGCAAGAUCCACUAGACCCUCGGUCCAGUGUUCCACAGUCUCCCUGAAAGCGUCGUGGGCGGCAGCAGCAUUCGCCAGCAGCGCCUCGUCGGUCUUGAUCUUCUCCUUCAAGGCCACCUCCUGCUCCCUGGCGCGGUCCAGCAUCUUGGUCAAGGUGGCCAGCUUCAAUUCGAGAUCCGCGUUGGAGUCCUUGGCGGCGCUAAGCUCUUUGCUCAUCUCAGCGAGACGACCCUGCAGCUCACCAUGAGCAGCGGCGUCCUUCUCGCGCUCACGCUUGAGCACAGCAAGCUCCUCGCCGCUCGCCUUGAGAUCAGCCUCCAGCUGCGCCAUCUUCGUCUCCAGCUCCUUCUUGGCGGCCACGGCAGCUGCGGCAGCAUCCUUUGCUUCCUUGAGAGCCCCGCCAAUCGCUUGCUCGCGCGCGGCAAGCUCCUCCUCGUGGCUGUCAAGGUUGACCUUGCGCUGCGCUAAUUCACCUUCCUGCGCAGACAACUUCUCGGCAGCGAGCCGCUGCUGCUCUUCAACCUCAGCCUUCCCGAGGAGGAAGGCUUUCCGCUCCUCAGCGAGUUGCUCCCACUCCUCUGCUAAGGAUCGGAGAGCUUCCUGCAUGAGACCCCAGAGCUCCUCCGCGCGCUUCUCGAUGUCCACUCCCGCCUUUGCGACAAGCGCCUCUCGGGAUGCCAGCUUGGCUUGUCGGGCGCGGUAGAGCAACAACAACUUCCGCAGCAACCGCUCCUCCUCAGGCUCAUCGCUGCAGCUUGGCGUGUCGACCAGCGUCAGCCCAGCAGAGGCGAGAACCUCUCCAUCCAAGAUUUCUCCUUCGACCGGCACCCUGGAACUUGACGCCCAGGGGAGCUUGAUGAAGAUGCCAUCGCCGGCCUUCAAUUAGGCGCCGGGCUGGGGCUCAUCGGAGCCUGGCGCUGCAGCAGCGGCGGAGGGAUCGGCGGUUGGCGUAGCGCCUGGCGCUCCUGCGGCCUCGGGGCCAUCAGUGCGAUCGCCGGAUCCCUCGCCAGCUUCUGCGGCGGCAGCUUUGGCGGCCUCUUCGCCGGCGGGAUCAUCAGCGCCGGCCUCUUCUUCGGUGGCAGGGGUGACUCGCAGGCGCCGGCCUCGGUGGCGUCGUUGUUGUUGCCAUGCGCGUUCUCCUCGCCGGCGACCUCGGUUUCCAUUGGAUCUGCGGCAGAUGGAUCUGACGACCGAGAAGGGGAGAAAAGUCAAGCAAAAAUUCAAAAAGAAAAUCAGAAGAAGAAGAACCCAAGGGAAGUUCUCAAGCAAGAGGAUUACCUGGAUCUACAGCCGCGGUCUCCGCCACUGGGGGGUCGCUGGUGCUAUCCCUUGCCGGAGAACUGUCCCUUGCCGGAGAAUUCUCCCUUGCCGGAGAACGCUCCCUUGCCGGGGAAUCCUCCCUUGGCGGUGUAGUCGAAGAAGAUGGCAUUUCGGGAGCGACUUCUGGGCACUCCUGGUGAGGCUGCUCUGCUCCUACACAAACCAACAAUCAGAUAUCAGCGAAGAAAGAGCACCAAUGCGCGCCUGACAGCAAGAAGUAAAAUAUACACUUACGCUGGGGGCUGCGCUGGAGGCUGCUUUGGGGAAUAGUUGCCGGGUCCGGCAAGGUGGUUUCAGGCGCGUCCCCUGUUGCCGUGGUGGGUUCGUCCUCAAUGACAAUCACCGGGACCUUGGCUCUCUUCGCCGCUCUCUGGGCCAGAGUCCUGAAAAGGAAUGAGUUCGGAGUAAAGCAAAUCAGAGACAAGACAAAACAACAAAGAUUGAAGAACUACAAGUACAACAAGGAAUAUUACUCUUCUUCUUCCUCAUCGGAGCUGAGCGCGGAGAGAUCGAAGUCUGGCUCGCCUCCGGUGCGACGAGGCGGAGGAGUAGGAUCCCUUGUCCACUUGGCAGGAGCAGUGGCGGUGGACCGGCAAGACCCCGCUCCAGUUGCUGCAGCGGCGUGAGGCUCUCCCGCGGCAACAGUGCUUGCCGCGGUCGAGCGCGUCGCGCGGUGCGGUGGCUGUUGACCCGUCUGCCGCCCCGCUACAUCCCCGGCGUUGCGGAGACGCCUUCUUGGUGGAGGUGGGGGCUCCGCUUGCGGCGAGCUGGCUGAAGGUGGGGAGGAGGAGGAGCCGAUCCUCAACGGGUCGCUCGCGCCCUCGGCGGGCUAGCUCGACUCAGAUUCAGGCCCAACAAGUUCUUCCUCACCGACAAGCUCUUCUCGCUCGGCAAGGCUUGCCGCCUCUGCUGCCUCUGCCUCCUCCACGGUGAAUCCAAAUUCGCCCGCGGCAGCUGCUGCCACUGCCUCUUCCAGCCUAGUGGCGAUGCGCUGCAUCUCCGCAUCGGUGGUGUCGCGAGUGAGGCUCUUCUGUUCAUCGACGCGGACCGGCACUUCUACCAAGCUGUCGAAGAACUCCUGCAUGACGUCGUCUGCAGGCUCUUGCCAAGUUGGGACGAUUCCAUGCGAAUCACACAGCGGCAUCAUUGCACGGAUGCGGUCGAGCGAGGAAUUGUUGCACAGCGGAACGACACUCCUCGGCAGCAUGAAUGGAUGUUGAGGAUCGCGCUUGAACAGCUCCAGAAGCAUCGCAUCCAGCUCCAAGACAGUGAAGUUGAAGUUGAGGCCCGGGCGCAACCUCAUGAUAUCCGCCGAGUUCUGGAACUCCCAAGCGGGUCUCCUCCUCUCCUGAAGGGGGGUGAUGCGGCGGCGAAGGAAAUCUGCGCCAACGGCGCCUACGGUGAGCCCGGCAAGCCUGAGGCGUAAGAUCCGGGUGACGGCAAUCUUCAGCCUAUCAUCUUCCGAGGCCACGUUGCUCCAAUCGUUGCCGCGUACAAUUGGGGUUUGGUGCCGGGCGGUGAAUGGCUGCGGGUUCUCCUCGACGAUCCAGCACCACUCUGCUCUCCAUUCUUCCCAUUUGCUGCGGAGCUCUCCCUCCAGAUAAGCAUCCUUCUUGCCAGUUCUCGAGAUCCAGGCGAUUCCACCGGCAAGGGGCUCUCCUCUCUCGACUCGGGGCAUAAAGAAGUGGCGAAAAAGGGCUACAUUGGGAUGGACUCCGACAAAGUUUUCGCAGAGAUGUGCGAAAACUGCCAUGGUCAGAACGGCAUUGGGGGUGAAAUCAAGGAUGCGGAACCCGUAGGUGUUCAUGAUAUCACAGAAGAAUUCAGAGAAGGGCGGGCAGAGCCCGCAGUAGAAGAAUAGCGCGAAGAAGGGGUACCCGUUCGGAGCCAGUUUUGAAGCGGCAGCUGAGAGUACCCUCGUGCGCGGAUGCGCUCGCGUCUCAGUCGACCAGAAGAGGUACUAGUACUCCCUCAGCUCCUUCGCGUCAAGCUGAGGGGGAAAGAUUGCCCGCUCCUUUCGCAGCGCCGCGAGCCGCUGUGCCUCGGCUGACUUCACGCCCUUCCCCUUGUCGGCUUUUGGAGCCAUGGCGGAGGCGGCGGGGGAGAUCGACGGCGUCGGUGGUGCCGGUGGCAAUGGGGGGCGGAGUGCUGCUCUCUUUCGACUUUGGGAAGAAGGGGGGAGCGGCGGAGAUUUCUGAGAUUGGAGUAGUAACCGGCGAGAUGGGCGAACUGCCCCUGUUUCCCCUGCUUAUAAAGAGGGAGGGGGCGGACAUUCCGCCUUUCUGAAUAAAGAAACCACCCACGAUCUCUCCCACGACGCCGCAUUCGACGCGUGCCGUUGGGGGAGGGCGCGGUGGAUACGGAGUGAGAUAUGGCGUGACCCAAGCCGUGCGUGCCCGUGCCUUGCUUUGCACCUGGCCCAACAGCGCUCGGCACCGUGUGUGGCCCAGGCCCGGGGGCUCCUGUCGGUGUACUAAAGUAGGGGUACCUUAGUAUCCCGAACUUGUGCACGGGCAGUUGCAGCACCCCACGGCAAGGCUUGCCGGGCGACCGUCAAGAUCCUCCAUGGUUCCUUUGGAGCCAUUCAAGAACAAAGUAUUCAAGCCAAGGAGACAAGGCCCCGGCAAGAGGAGCUUGCCGGGAAGGCUAGCCAAGGCAUCUCAAGGAACUUGCCGCGACGCGCCACGCGUCCCGGCAAGGCCCGGUGAGCGACAAGCUUCCGGACGCGACAAGACAACGACCGCGGCAAGGUGCUUGCCGCGACAAGCUACCACCCUGUACCCACGCUCCAGCACAUCUACCAACGUGUUGCCCUGGGGCCUUUCCAGGUGCGCGUGGCAAGAGGCUGUGCAGCCAGCGGUGCGAGGUGGCAAGCAACAGUGACAAGAUUGCCAUCGUGGCGAACGGUGGCGUCCCUGAGGGUCCUUACCUGCACUGUUUGGGCGACACAGAAGGGCAUUUAAUGCCUUUGUCCCCUUCCGUCAGGGUUAGGUAGGAUACACUGUACAGGUAGUUGUACCAACCGCAACUCCUUUUACGUUUUUACCCUUGUCUACGUUGCCACGUGUCGGUGACCCCUUUAGCAUAUAAAAGGAGGCCCACGUGCAACGUAGAGGGGGUUCGGUUCGGGCCGAAGCCAGAAAAACACUCACGCUCGGUCUCGUUAGCAGCUAGAGUGCGCCAUAGCACUCAGCGCUCCCGAGCAAGAACAUAGUACACUAAAACAUGCAGCAGUAGGAGUGUUAUCUCCCCGGAGAGCUCCGAAGCUGGGUAAACUGCUCGUGUGCUUCGCCUCGAUCCGCUCUUCGUGCGACCUCCGCCCCCCGCGAACCGAAAGGGGCUCGGUCCGGCGGUCCCAUAGGUGUUCAUGGAUCAGCUUCCCCGACAAUAAUUGUUCUUUAGAAGAUUGUAUUUCCUUGUUGCAAUCCGUUGUGAAUUCUCCUCAUGCUUAUAGUCAAAAUAAAGCUUUUACCAAACGUAUUGUUGAUGCCUUGAUGCAAUCUUUUGAUGAAAAACUUAAUUUGGAAGUUUCUAUACCUAGAAAACUUAACGAUGAGUGGGAACCUACUAUAAAGAUUAAAAUUAAAGAUCAUGAGUGUUAUGCUUUGUGUGAUUUGGGUGCUAGUGUUUCCACGAUUCCAAAGACUUUAUGCAUUAUUCUAGGUUUCCAUGAUCUUGAUGAUUGCUCUUUAAAUUUGCACCUUGCGGAUUCCACCAUUAAAAAGCCAGUGGGAAGGAUCAAUGAUGUUCUCAUUGUUGCAAAUAGGAAUUUGGUGCCCGUAGAUUUUAUCGUUCUUGACAUAUAUUGCAAUCUUUCUUGUCCUAUUAUUCUUGGUAGACCUUUCCUUAGAACAGUUGGUGCGAUUAUUGAUAUGAAGGAAGGUAAUAUUAGAUUCCAAUUUCCAUUAAGGAAAGGCAUGGAGCACUUUCCAAGAAAGAAAGUCAAAUUACCUUAUGAAUCUAUCAUGCGAGCUACUUAUGAAUUGAGUGCCAAAGAUGGCACUACUUAGAUCUAUCCUCGCUUUUAUGCCAAGCUAGGGGCGUCAAACGAUAGCGCUAGUUGGGAGGCAACCCAAUUCUAUUUGUGUUUUUUGUUUUUGCUUCUGUUUAGUAAUAAAUUUUGCAUCUACCUCCUGUUUAGAUGUGUUUUUUAUGUUUCAAUUAGUGUUUGUGCCAUGUAGAACCUAUAGGAUAACCUAUGGUGAUAGUUAAUUUGAUUCUACUGAAAAACAGAAACUUUGCACACACGGAAAUAAUUUUAGUAAUUCACAGAAACGUGAUUUUGCGUUGAUUCUUUUUUCUGUAGAUCAAUAGACAAAUUUCCCAGGACUUCCUAUUUUGGUAGGAUUUGUAGAGUUCCAUAAGUAUUCGAGAGUUACAGAUUGCUAUAGACUGUUCUGUUUUUGGCAGAUUCUGUUUUUCGUGUGUUGUUUGCUUGUUUUGAUGCAUCUAUGGCUAGUAUGUAAGGGUAUGAACCACAGAGAACUUGGAAUACAGUAGGUUUAACACCAAUAUAAAUAAAGAAUGAGUUAAUUACAGUGCCUUAUGUGGUGGUUUUUCUUUCUUGCACUAACAGAGCUUAUGAGAUUUCCUGUUGAGUUUUGUGUUGUGAAGUUUUCAAGUUUUGGGUAAAGAUUUGAUGGACUAUGGAAUAAGGAGUGGCAAGAUACUAAGCUUGGGUAUGCCCAUGGCACCCCAAGAUAUUCAAGAAUAGCCAAAAGCCUAAGCUUGGGGAUGCCCUGGAAGGCAUCCCAUCUUUCGUCUUUGUCUAUCGGUAACUUUACUUGGAGCUAUAUUUUUAUUCGCCACAUGAUAUGUGUUUUGCUUGGAGCGUCUUGUAUGAUAUUAGUCUUUGCUUUUUAGUUUACCACAAUCAUCCUUGCUGUACACACCUUUUGGGAGAAACCCACUUGAUUGUAGGUUAUCCUAUAGGUUCUACUUGGCACAAACACUAAUUAAACAUAAAACCACAUCUAAACAGAGGCUAGAUGAAAUAUUUAUUACUAAACAGAAGCAAAAAGCAAGGAACUAAAAUAAAAUUGGGUUGCCUCCCAACAAGCGCUAUCGUUUAGCACCCCUAGCUAGGCAUAAAAGCAAGAGUAGAUCUAAGUAUUGCCAUCUUUGGCAUUCAAUUCAUAAGUAGCUCGCAUGAUAGAUUCAUAAGGUAAUUUGACUUUAUUUCUAGGGAAGUGUUCCAUGAAUUUCCUUAGUGGAAAUUGGAAUCUAAUAUUCCCUUCCUUCAUAUAAAUAAUUGCACCAAUCGUUCUAAGGAAAGCUCUACCAAGAAUAAUAGGACAUGAAAGAUUGCAAUCUAUAUCAAGAAUGAUAAAAUCUAUGGGCACAUAAUUCCUAUUUGCAACAAUAAGAACAUCAUUGAUCCUUCCCAUAGGUUUCUUAAUGGUGGAAUCCGCAAGGUGCAAGUUUAAAGAGCAAUCAUCAAAAUCAUGAAAACCUAGCACAUCACAUAAAAUUUUUGUAAUUGUGGAAACACUAGCAACCAAAUCACACAAAGCAUAGCAUUCAUGAUCUUUAAUUUUAUUUUAUAGUAGGUUCCCACUCAUCAUAAAGUUUUCUAGGUAUAGAAACUUCCAAUUCAAGUUUUUCCUCAUAAGAUUACAUCAAGGCAUCAACAAUAUGUUUGGUAAAAGCUUUAUUUUGACUAUAAGCAUGAGGAGAAUUCAACACGGAUUGCGACAAGGAAAUACAAUCUAUUAAAGAACAAUUAUCAUAAUUAAAUUCCUUUAAAUCCAUAAUAGUGGGUUCAAUGCUAUGUAAAGUUUUGACCUCUCCAAUCCCACUUUUACCAAAUUUAGCAUCAAGAUCUAAAAACUCCGAAUCAUUGGGACGCCUUUUAACUAAAGUUGACUUAUAUCCAGCCCCAUCAUUAUCAAGAUUCAUAUUGCAAAACAAAGAUUUAAUAGGGGACACAUCAAUAACUUUUAGAUCUUCAUCAUUAUUUUCAUGGAAACUAGAAGAACACGCUUUUACAAAGCAAUCUUUCUUAGCACGCAUCCCAGCGGUUCUUUCUUUGCACUCAUCAAUGGAAAUUCUCAUGGCUUUGAGAGACUCAUUGAUAUCAUGCUUAGGUGGAAUAGAUCUAAGUUUCAAAGAAUCAACAUCAAGAGAAAGUCUAUCAACGUUCCUAGCCAAUUUGUCAACUUUAAGCAAUUUUUCUUCAAGCAAAGCAUUGAAAUUCUUUUGAGAGAUCAUAAAUUCUUUAACACAAUUCUUAAAAUCAAAGGGCAUCUUAUUAAAAUUUUCAUAAGAGGUUGUAGGAAUUACCAUAAUUAUUAGAGGAAUUACUAGGAAACGGCCUAGGAUUAAAGUUUCCUCUAUACACGUUGUUACCAAAAUUAUUCCUACCAACAAAAUUCACAUCUAUAGAUUCAUUAUUAUUCUCAAUCAAAGUAGACAAAGGCAUAUCAUUGGGAUCAAUAGGAGCACUCUUAGUAGCAAACAGUUUCAUAAGUUCAUCCAUCUUUCCACUCAAAACAUUAAUCUCUUCUAUAGCAUGCACUUUUUUACUAGUAGAUCUUUUGUUGUGCCAUUGAGAAUAAUUGACCAUAAUGUUAUCAAGAAGUUUAGUAGCUUCUCCUAAGGUGAUUUCCAUAAAAGUGCCUCCCGCAGCCGAAUCCAAGAGAUUUAUAGAAGCAAAAUUCAAUCCGGCAUAAAAUUUUUGUAUGAUCAUCCAUAAAUUCAAACCAUGAGUAGGGCAAUUGCGAAUCAUUAAUUUCAUUCUUUCCCAAGAUUGGGCAACAUGCUCAUGAUCAAGUUGUUUAAAAUUCAUAAUAUCGUUUCUAAGAGAGAUAAUCUUAGUGGGAGGAAAAUACUUAGAGAUAAAAGCAUCUUUGCACUUAUUCCAUGAAUCAAUACAGACGAAAACCAAGUUUUAGCAUGAUCUCUAAGUGAAAACGGAAAUAACUUCAAUUUAACAAUAUCAUUAGUUGUAUCUUUCUUAUUUUGCAUAUUACACAAAUCAACAAAGUUGUUUAGAUGAGUAGCGGCAUCUUCACUAGGAAGGCCGGAGAAUUGAUCUUUCAUAACAAGAUUCAACAAAGCAACAUUGAUUUCACAAGAUUCAACAUCAUUAAGAGGAGCAAUUGGAGUGCUAAGGAAAUCAUUAUUAUUGGUAUUGAAAAAAAUCACACAAUUUGGUUUUAUCUUGCGCCAUCGUGACAAGAAAUCCAACACACAAGCACACAAGAGGCAAGUGAAAGAGAGUGGAGAACGGGAAAGAGAGGGAGAAUAAAAUGGCAAGGGUGAAGUGGGGGAGAGGAAAACGAGAGGCAAAUGGCAAAUAAUGUAAUGCGAGGGAGAUGAGUUUGUGAUGGGUACUUGGUAUGUCUUGACUUGAGCGAAGACCUCCCCGGCAACGGCACCAGAAAUCCUUCUUCCUACCUCUUGAGCACUGCGUUGGUUUUUCCCUUGAAGAGGAAAGGGUGAUGCAGCAAAGUAGCGUAAGUAUUUCCCUCAGUUUUUGAGAACCAAGGAAUCAAUCCAGUAGGAGGCUCCUCAAAAGUCCCACGCACCUACACAAACAAACAAGAACCUCGCAACCAACGCGAUAAAGGGGUUGUCAAUCCCUUCACGAAAACUUGCUAAAGUGAGAUCUGAUAGAGAUAAUAAGAUAAGAUAAAUAUUUUUGGUAUAGAUUGGAAAGUAAAGAUGCAAAUAAAAGUAGAUGGAAAACUUAUAUGAUAAAAGAUUGACCCGGGGGCCAUAGAUUUCACUAGUGGCUUCUCUCAAUAUAGCAUAAGUAUUACGGUGGGUGAACAAAUUACUAUCGAGCAAUUGAUAGAAAAGUGCAUAGUUAUGAGAUUAUCUAGGCAUGAUCACGUAUAUAGGCAUCACGUCCGCAACAAGUAGAUCGAAACGAUUCUGCAUCUACUACUAUUACUCCACACAUCGACCGACUCCUGCCUGCAUCUAGAGUAUUAAGUUCACAAGAACAGAGUAACGCAUUAAGAAAGAUGACAUGAUGUAGAGGGAUAAACUCAAGCAAUAUGAUAUAAACCCCAUCUUUUUAUCCUCGAUGGCAACAAUACAAUACGUGCCUUGCUGCCCCUACUAUCACUUGGAAAGGACACUGCAAGAUUGAACCCAAAGCUAAGCAUUUUUGCCAUUGCAAGAAAGAUCAAUCUAGUAGGACAAACCAAAUUGAUAAUUCGAAGAGACUUGCAAAGAUAACCAAUCACACAUAAAAAAAUUCAGAGGAGAUUCAAUUAUUUCUCAUAGAUAAACUUGAUCAUAAACCCACAAUUCAUCGGAUCUCGACAAACACACCACAAAAAGAGUUACGUCGAAUAGAUCUCCAAGAAGAUCAAGGAGAACUUUGUAUUGAGAUUCAAAGAGAGAGAAGAAGCCAUCUAGCUAAUAACUAUGGACCCGAAGGUCGGUGGUAAACUACUAAAAACUCAUCAGAGAGGCCUUGGAGAUGAUGUAGAGGCCCUCCAUGGUAGAUUCCCCCUCCAGCGGAGCGCCGACGAAGGCUCCAAGAUGGGAUCUCGUGGAUACAAAAGGUUGCGCCGGAGGGGAAUCGACCAUGGAGGGCCUCUACAUCAUCUCCAAGGCCUCUCCGAUGAGUUGUGAGUAGUUUACCAUAGACUUUCGGGUCCAUAGUUAUUAGCUAGAUGGCUUCUUCUCUCUUUUUGAAUCUCAGUACCAUGUUCUCAUUGAUCUUCUUGGAGAUCUAUUCGAUGUAACUCUUUUUGCGGUGUGUUUGUCGAGAUCCGAUGAAUUGUGGGUUUAUGAUCAAGUUUAUCUAUGAGAAAUAUUUGAAUCUCCUCUGAAUUCUUUUAUGUGUGAUUAAGUUAUCUUUGCAAGUCUCUUCGAAUUAUCAGUUUGGUUUGGCCUACUAGAUUGAUCUUUCUUGCAAUGGGAGAGGUGCUUAACUUUGGGUUCAAUCUUGCGGUGUCCUUUCCUAGUGACAGCAGGGGCAGCAAGGCACGUAUUGUAUUGUUGCCAUCGAGGAUAAAAAGAUGGGGUUUAUAUCGUAUUGCAUGAGUUUAUCCCUCUAUAUCAUGUCAUCUUUCUUAAUGUGUUACUCUGUUCUUUAUGAACUUAAUACUCAAAUGCAUACUAGAUAGCGGUCGAUGUGUGGAGUAAUAGUAGUAGAUGCAGGCAGGAGUCGGUCUACUUGUCACGGACGUGAUGCCUAUAUACAUGAUCAUGCCUAGAUAAUCUCAUAAUUAUUCGCUUUUCUAUCAAUUGCUCGACAUUAAUUUGUUCACCCACCGUAAUACUUAUGCUAUCUUGAGAGAAGCCACUAGUGAAACCUAUCUUUUAUCAUAUAAGCUUUCAAUCUACUUUUAUUUGCAUCUUUACUUUUCCAAUCUACAUUAUAGAAUACCAAAAAUAUAUUUAUCUUAUCAUAUUAUUUCUAUUAGAUCUCACUUUCGCAAGUGGCCUUGAAGGGAUUGACAACACCUUUAUUGCGUUGGUUGUGAGUUCUUGUUUGUUUGUUUAGGUGCGUGGGACUUUUGAGGAGCCUCCUACUGGAUUGAUACCUUGGUUCUCAAAGGAUGAGGGAAAUACUUAUGCUAUUAUUGCUGUAUCAUCCUUUCCUCUUCAAGGAAAACCAACGCAAGCUCAAGACGUAGCAAUAAGGAUUUCUGGCGCCGUUGCCGGGGAGGUCUUCGCUCAAGUCAAGACAUACCAAGUACCCAUCACAAACUCAUCUCCCUCGCACUUACAUUAUUUGCCACUUGCCUCUCGUUUUCCUCUCCCCCACUUCACCCUUGCCGUUUUAUUUGCCCUCUCUUUCCCAAUCUCCUCUCUCUUCUGCUUGUCUUCUUGUGUGCCUGUUUGCUUUUAUGGCUUUGCCUAAGAACACCGACCUUUAUCUUAGAAGGUUGGAAGAGAUUGAAUCAAACGUUAGAAGUUUUAUGACUUUACAAUUUGAGCAUAGUAAUUUCUUUAGAAAAGAGCUUAAAGAACAAAAAAGUUUUAUGGGGUUUAUGAACAAAGAGCUUGAUGAUAUGUCUAAAUAAUUUUAUGGUUUGAACUCUCAAAUUACUCGGCUUGAAAAUUCUAUAGCCCAAAUCUCUAAUAAGCAAGCUACAUACCUUAGUCAAUAAGAUGGCUGCCAAACCAGAAAAGUUAGAUGAAAAUAAUGAUGAAGAUCUAAAAGUUAUUGAUGUGUCCCCUAUUAAAUCUUUGUUUUGCAAUAUGAAUCUUAAUAAAGAUGGGACUGGAGAUGAGUCAACUCUAGUUAAAAGGCGUCCCUAUGAUUCAGAGUUUUUAGAUCUUGAUGCUAAAUUUGGUAAAAGUGGGAUUGGAGAGGUCAAGACUUUAAAUAGCAUUGAACCCACUAUCUUGGAUUUCAAGGAAUUUAAUUAUGAUAAUUGUCGGUGUACUAAAGUAGGGGUACCUUAGUAUCCCGAACUUGUGCACGGGCAGUUGCAGCACCCCGCGGCAAGGCUUGCCGGGUGACCGUCAAGAUCCUCCGUGGUUCCUUUGGAGCCAUUCAAGAACAAAGUAUUCAAGCCAAGGAGACAAGGCCCCGGCAAGAGGAGCUUGCCGGGAAGGCCAGCCAAGGCAUCUCAAGGAACUUGCCGUGACGUGCCACGCGUCCCGGCAAGGCCCGGUGAGCGACAAGCUUCCGGACGCGGCAAGACAACGACCGCGGCAAGGCGCUUGCCGCGACAAGCUACCACCCUGUACCCAUGCUCCAGCACAUCUACCAACGUAUCGCCCUGGGGCCUUUCCAGGCGCGCGUGGCAAGAGGCUGUGCAGCCAGCGGUGCGAGGUGGCAAGCAACGGUGACAAGAUUGCCAUCGUGGCGAACGGUGGCGUCCCUGACGGUCCUUUCCUGCACUGUUUGGGCGACACAGACGGGCAUUUAAUGCCUUUGUCCCCUGCCGUCAGGGUUAGGUAGGAUACACUGUACAUGUAGUUGUACCAACCGCAACUCCUUUUACGUUUUUACCCUUGUCUAUGUUGCCAGCUGUCGAUGACCAGUUUAGCAUAUAAAAGGAGGCCCACGUGCAACGUAGAGGGGGUUCGGUUCGGGCCGAAGCCAGAAAAACACUCACGCUCGGUCUCGUUAGCAGCUAGAGUGCGCCAUAGCACUCAGCGCUCCCGAGCAAGAACAUAAUACACUAAAACAUGCAGCAGUAGGAGCGUUAUCUCUCCGGAGAGCUCCGAAGCUGGGUAAACUGCUCGUGUGCUUCGCCUCGAUCCGCUCUUCGUGCGACCUCCGCCCCCCGCCGAACCGAAAGGGGCUCGGUCCGCCGGUCCCAUAGGUGUUCGUGGAUCAGCUUCCCCGACAUCUUUGGCACACUAGGUGGGGGGCGUCCAGAUUGUGUGAACCUGAUCCGACGUUCACACGAGCUGGAUCUUCAUUUUCUUCAUCAACAUGCCACCGAAGAAGAAGGCUUCGGGGGCAACUGUUCCACCCACGUCGAUCCCACCACCACCGGAGCAAACGGGUGGUGGGAUAGACGCCGGCGGAAGAACGGACAUCGACGAGGGAGCUCACGGUGCUGCCAGAUCCAAGGACAAGGCUGCACAGACCUCAGCGUCCGUACAUGCACCGCGCCCAUCUCAGGAGGCGCAAGACUGACAGCGUCAUGGUAUUCACAGUACCAUACGUUUGUUGGACCAAGAUCGAGCUGGUGGAUCUCGGAGUGCUCAAGACCAGCAUGCACGCCAACAUGCAGGCACGAGCGAGAUACGAUCGCCUGGACGGGAUACUGCUCCUUCUAACAUAGUUAGAAGUCCGAGCAUAUCCCGCUCCUCGCGCCGUUCACCACUGCCGCCCACCACUCGAGCAGAAGCUUUGGCGCGAGCUCAACUGCUCCUGGAUUACCCUCCAACGGCAGACAAGAUCAACGAAUGGAGGGCCACCAUUCAGAGUCUCAUCGACUUUGCCAACGGCGACACUCCGCAGCAGCCGAGUGCAUCGCGGCCGCGGCAGGACUGCCAGGCACGAGCCGAUGGUGACAAAACCGGUGGGGGUGCAACCACCAUGCACUCUCCACCCCGAAGGCCAAGAUCGCCGACUCGCCGGAUCCACCUCGACAGCGACUCCACCGCAUCGUCAGAUCCACGAGCUCAUCGCGAUCAGCGCCAAGUUCUUCACGAACGACAGCAAGAAGACGCUCGUACUCGCAUCGAGCGCUGAAGAGAAGCGUGGCGUCAAUCUGACCAGCGCGCUGGGCCCUCUGUCGACAUGCAUGCGCCAGGGGCACUAGGUGACUUGCCGUACGCGGUAGGUUGCCCUGCGUUCACUCGUGAGCUGCUGCAAGUCCAGUGGCCCAGCAUGAAAAAUUUCAAGCUAGAUGUACCAGAGAAGUACGAGGGCAAGUCACAUCCGUCGGAGUUCCUCAGCAUCUACACCAUCGCGGUGCAAGCUGCCGGGGGACGGGACGACAAGAUCCUUGCCAACUACUUCCCGCUGGUGCUCAAGCCCAAUGUCAGAUCCUGGCUCAUGCACUUGCCGGACAACUCCAUAUCCUCCUGGGCGGACCUGUGCCAUCAUUUUGUCGGUGCCUUUACAGGCGGCCACAAACCUCAUGGCCAAGAGAGCGACCUUCAUCUGCUCGCCCAGAAGGAAGGAGAGCCUCUGCGCAAGUACAUUCAGAGAUUCAGCCGUGUACAACACAACAUCCCAGAUGUCCACCCUGCCGCGGUAAUCAGCGCGUUCCAUCAGAACGUGCGAAACCGCAAGAUGCGGGAGGAGAUGGCGAUGUGCAAGAUCAGAGACGUCAGUGAGCUAUACGCCCUGGCCGACAAGUGUGCACGUGCUGAGGAAGGGAGGAAACUCCCCGGAGAGAGUACAGGAGCAGGAGGAUCUGAUAGUGAGGAUGCUGCCCCGACAAAGAAAAACCGGCGGCGGAACAACAGGAAGAAGAAAGGCAAAGAUGUGCUAGUCGUUGAGCAAUCCGGCAAGGAAGCCAAAGCUGGUAGCUUCGGCAAGGAGAUUGCCGUAGGCACCAACCACCAGGCUGUGGCGGUCGCCGACAAGCAGGACGACACCAACAGGCAGUACUGCAAGAUCCACCGCACCAAGGGCCAUGACCUCCAGAGUUGCAAGAAGGUCGAGCAGCUUGUCAAGCAGCAAAAGGCUGAAUACGAGCGACGCGACAAGGAGAAGGCCUAUGAAGGUGCUGGAGGAGCCGGCAAGAAACGCCCCGGCCGAGGAGGACGCCGCGGCAAGGCCAAGCAGCGCCAAGGAGACAGACCUCCCCGCGGCCGCGACAAGGAUGAAGAUGACGACAACAAUGAAGAUAUGGAUGAUGACGAGACCGAUGAGCAGGAGUUCUAGAAAGCCACAGAGAUCCUGUGCGUUGACGGUGGUGCUUCUCUGCAUACUUCACACCGCCAGCUCAAGCAGUGGGUGCGGGAAGUCAAUGCAGCAGAGCCACCCGUCGAGUCACGCAAGCCUCUGAAAUGGUCCAGCACGCCUAUCAUCUUUGAUAUUGAGGACCACCCUGAUCGCAUAACUGCGGUCGGGUGCUUGCCGAUGUUGGUUUCACCAACUAUUCGCAACCUCAAGGUCACUAAGAUGCUAGUUGACAGCGGGACCGGCUUGAACCUGAUCUCCUCCGCGGUACUCCAGAAACUCCAGAUCCCUGAUAGCGAGCUCGAAGAGACCGGCACGUUCUAAGGAAUCAAUCCGGGAAGAAGCAAGCCAAAGGGAAAGAUCACGUUGCCGGUAACAUUUGGCAGCGAGUUAAACUUCAGGACUGAGAGGGUCACUUUUGACGUUGCUGACUUUCCAUUGCCUUACAAUGGGAUACUCGGCCAUCCAACACUCGCCAAAUUCAUGGCAGCCUCUCACUAUGCAUACAACAUGCUGAAGAUGCCAGGCCCGAUAAGUGUCAUCUCUGUCCCUGGCGACAAGAAGGAUGCUCUUAUCUGCACCGACAAGAUCUACCGGGAAGCAGCAGCCACAACAGAUCGUAGGUCACUUGCCGUUGAAGCUCCCGGGGGGAGGAAGAAGACCAUGUCCGGCAAGAGUUCUGAUGCCCACUCCGGCAAGCGCACCUCUUCGGGGUGCUGCACUACCGUCAAGGACGCACCAUCGAGCUCCACCGGGAAGUGUAAGAAGACAAUGGUAGCUCCACCAGAGACCAAGAAGGUGUCCGCCAAGGAGGAUGGCACUGGUGGUACCGUCACCAUCAGUGCCACUCUCGACCCUAAAUAGGAAGGCACACUCGUUGCUUUCCUGCGGGCGAAUGUCGACGUGUUUGCAUGGCAAUCGUCUGACAUCCCUGGUGUUCCUAGGAAAGUAAUCGAGCACCAUCUAGCCGUCUGUCCUCAUGCGCGGCCCAUCAAGCAGAAAGUCAAAAAACAAGUAGUGGAGCGCCAAGAAUUCAUCGCUGAAGAAAUCAAGAAGUUGGAAGCAGCAGGCCUUGUUAGAGGAGUGCUCCAUCCCACGUGGUUGGCCAAUCCUGUAGUCGUGCGCAAGGCAAACGGGAAAUGGAGGCUUUGUAUCGACUUUACCGAUGUCAAUAAAGCUUGUCCCAAAGACCCAUUUCCCUUGCCGCGCAUCAACCAGAUUGUUGACUCCAUAGUCGGAUGUGACUUGCUUUCAUUUCUUGACGCAUAUUCAGGAUACCAUCAGAUCUUCAUGGCAGAAGAGGAUGAGGAAAAGACCGCAUUCAUCACACCAUGUGGCACAUACUGUUUCAUACGGAUGCCUUUCGGUUUAAAGAAUGUUGGUUCAACAUUUGCAAGGAUAGUCCAUGACGCUUUUGAGCCGCUAAUACAUAGGAAUGUGGAGGCCUACAUGGAUGACUUAGUGGUCAAGAGCAAGGACAAAGCAACUCUGAUUCAAGAUUUAGACGAAACCUUUGCAAACCUGCGCAAGAUCAACCUCAAGCUUAACCCCGAGAAGUGUGUGUUCGGAGUCCCCUCCGGCAAGCUUCUCGGGUUCUUCGUGUCUCAGUGGGGAAUCGAAGCCAAUCCCGACAAGAUCAAGGCCAUUGAGCAGAUUGAAGCACCAAAGCGCGUCAAGGAUGUACGAAGACUUGCCGGUUGCGUAGCUGCUCUCAGCAGGUUUAUCUCUAGGUCUGCUGAGCGCGCCCUGCCAUUUUUCAAAUUAUUGAAAAAGGCAGGUCCAAUGAAAUGGACUCCGGAAGCGGAGGCUGCGCUGUAGGACUUAAAGAGAUACCCGUCCUCCACUCCGACACUUGUCGCACCUAAGCCACAAGAGAAGUUGCUGCUAUAUAUAGCGGCAACCAAUCAAGUGGUUAGUGCUGCGUUAGUAGCAGAGAGGGAGGCGGAUGAUGAGCCGGCAACCACAGCAAGUGCAUCCAGCGACAAGCAAGGAUCAUCACCGACAAGCUCUGGUCCCGACAAAGAUGGAUCUGCGCAGGCGCGUGAGAAGAUGCAGAAGAGAAUGGUGCAGCACCCAGUUUACUUUGUCAGUUUCCUUUUGCAGGGGGCUAGGUCAAGGUACUCUGGUGUGCAGAAAUUGCUUUCCGGCCUUCUCAUGGCCUCGAGUAAGCUGCGCCAUUACUUCCAAGCACAUGAGAUCACAGUGGUCACUCGUUUUCCGCUGAAGAGGAUACUGCAAAAUCCAGAAGCAACAGGCAGGAUUGUCGAGUGGGCACUAGAACUGUCAAGCUUUGGCCUCAAGUUUGAGAGCACCUCAACUAUCCAAAGCAGAGCAUUGGCGGAGUUCAUAGCAGAGUGGACGCCAACACCAGAUGAAGAAAUUCCAGAAACGAGCAUACCCGUCAAGGAAGCAAGCAAAGAGUGGUUGAUGUACUUUGAUGGUGCCUUCUCGCUGCAAGGCGCCAGUGCGGGCGUACUACUUGUCGCACCCAUCGAAGAGCACCUCAAGUACGUAGUCCAGAUGCACUUUCCCAAGGAGCAAGCAACAAACAAUAUUGCAGAGUAUGAAGGUUUGCUUGCCGGUCUCAGAAUCGUAGCAGACCUUGGGAUCAAGAAGCUCAUUGUCAGGGGUGACUCACAGCUUGUCGUCCGCCAAGUGAACAAGAAUUAUCAGAGUCCAUUUAUGGAAGCUUACAUUGAUAAAGUGAGAAAGCUAGAAGAGCACUUUGACGGCCUAUAGAUGGAACAUGUUCCAAGAGCUCAGAACGACAUUGCCGAUGGCCUGUCGAAGUGCACCGCACUUAAGUUACCUCUGGAACCAGGGAUCUUUGUGCUCAAGCUGACUCAACCAUCCGUAACGCCAUCAACUCGACAGAACAAGAAGAGGAAGUUGAUUUCUGGUGACUAUUUUCCGGCAGAGCUCCCCGAAGCCACCGCCAAGAAGGUCCUCAAGAUCAACACCAAGGAUGCUGAGGAGCAGUCUGCUCCGACAAGCCCUAGGGUUUGUUCCGUUGAAGCAGACGCUCCUGACAAGUUUUGCUGCGGCAAGCUUGCCGGGGAACGUCAAGCUCCGGCUGAGCCGCAGGUUCUCGCCGUAGAAGUGGAUGUUCCCGCAGCAGCAGAUAUGCCUUUAGUCCUUGUUGUCGAGCCGCAAGCUCCAGCAUGGGCGCAGCAGAUUGUCCAUUUCCUUCAAACAGGUGAACUUCCCGAAGAGCAAGAAGAAGCGGAAAGAGUAGCCCGGUAGUCAAGUAUGUACUAGUUUGUCGACAACACACUGUACAGAAGAAGACUCAACGGCGUGAAAUUGAAGUGUAUUCACCGGGAAGACGGACAAAAGCUAUUGGCAGAGAUACACAGAGGCAUAUGUGGCCACCAUAUUGGCGCAAGAGCACUUGCCGGCAAAGUGUUCCGGCAAGGUUUCUUUUGGCCAACAGCCCUCCAGGAUGCAACUGCACAAGUAACCAAGUGUGAAGCGUGCCAGUUCCAUUCCAAGCAUAUACACCAGCCAGCUCAACCUCUCCAGACGACCCCUUUAUCCUGGCCAUUUUCGGUCUGGAGGCUCGACAUCCUCGGCCCCUUUCCCCGAGCUGUCCGGGGCUUUGAGUACUUGUACGUUGCAAUCGACAAGUUCACAAAGUGGCCGGAAGUGGAAGCAGUGAGGAAGGUGACAGCACAGUCGGCAGUCAAGUUCUUCAGGUCGAUUGUUUGCCGUUUCGGGAUCCCUAACAGGAUCAUCACCGACAACGACACACAAUUCACGAGCCGCACCUUCAUGCAGUACGUCCAAGAUCUUGGCGCCAAGGUCUGCUUCGUUUCUGUUGCUCAUCCAAGAAGCAAUGGUCAAGUAGAGGGGGCAAAUGCUGAAGUGCUGCGCGGGCUCAAGACCAGGACUUUCGACAGGCUGCACAAGUGCAGAAAGAACUGGAUUGAGGAGCUGCCGGUGGUUCUUUGGUCGCUCAGGACGACGCCAAAUCGAGCCACUGGCCAGACACCUUUCGCUCUAGUCUAUGGAGCAGAGGCAGUUCUCCCCACAGAACUCGUAUACGGGUCACCUCGAGUGCUCGCUUAUGAUGAGCUUGAGCAAGAGCAGCUGCGACAAGAUGACGCGCUGCUCCUCGAGGAGGACCGUCUUCAGGCUGCUGUACGAGCUGCUCGAUACCAGCAAGCUUUGCGCCGCUACCAUAGCUACAAAGUUAAUGCCAGAAGUCUCGAGGAAGGCGACCUUGUUCUUCGGCGCGUUCAGUCCGCCAAGAAUUCCAACAAGUUGACGCCGAAGUGGGAAGGCCCUUACCGGGUGAAAUGAGUCACUAGGCCUGGCGCUGUCCACCUUGAGACCGAAGAUGGCAUUCCGGUGAGCAACUCCUGGAACAUUGAGCAUCUUCGUAAGUUUUACCCGUAGGGCGCGGUUGCCGGAACCUGUUCCGGCAACCACCUUUUGUACAAGUCUUGCCGAUGUUGCAUGUAAUCCUUUGUACAAAGCCGGGCGCAGACCCCGUGCAUAAGUAAAGCUCAUGUGCCCCGCACAUCUUGUCGAUUUCAUGCUUUCUACUACUUUUUGCAUGCGUUAUCUGACACUUUGUGCAGCACCUACCCCCGGUAAGCAAUAACGAGCCAUAGGGCUCCAUAUCUUUAUUUUCUCUUCUUUCUCUUUCUCAAGGAAAGGAAGGAUCCCUCGCCCACAAGUUUGCCGGGGGGAAAGGAGAAGAUAAUGGUGUGGACCAGGCGUCGUUCGAGGGAGUUUCGCCUUACCGGGAAGCAAACGACAGAAAAGCUAAGUUGCCAAAGUUUGAGCAAUCAUUUUUAAAUUUUUUAAGUUAUCUUCCUCAAACGACCGUGCUUUGUAUGGAAAACCUGUGCGCGGAGGAACCAACUCGUAGCUAGUUGCGCCCUUACUUUGUUUCGAGUCCGCUCAACAACUUAAGUGAGCUGCGACUAGUUGCAACAAGGUUUCUUGUUGGUAGCGGCACCGCCAGCAGGCUGCUGACAUUCCGCACUCAGCGCUCGCGGCUAAGGUACCUGCACCGACAAGUUCCCUAAAAGCGUAGGGCAAAAACAUACAAAGGAAGGAAUCAAGUAAAGGAAAUAACACAGCAAUCUCUACCCAAAAUAGAGUUGUAUUACAAGAUAACUUGUCGCAACUCUAACAGAAUGUUCUCAUGACAUGACCAGCGGCGACAAAGAAAAAGAAAAGACGGGCGGCCUAAUCCACGCGUUCGCCCUCAACCCUCUUGAUCUCGCUCACCUUGUCCACAGUGGGUGCGACAAGGGCCUUGAGCGCUUCCAGAUCAGCAUCCGGCGGCAAGGACCUGAGGACGUUGGUGAGGUUGAGGCCUGGGUUGCGGAAGGCCACCUUCACCAGCACCUUCUGAAGAGCCCCCGCGCAGAUCCUGCGUGACUCAUCGGCCAGCUGCUUUGGGAUCUUCUCCCGGAGUCGCUGGAGGGCCGUCGCCAUGCCUUUGAAGAACAGGCUGAGCUUGGCGCUGGGUUGGAGGUGCUCACCAGAGGAGUACCCGAGAUCCUCCAUCCCCAGCUGCGCCAACUCAACGUCGAUGGCUGCGGCAAGAUCCACUAGACCCUCGGUCCAGUGUUCCACAGUCUCCCUGAAAGCGUCGUGGGCGGCAGCAGCAUUCACCAGCAGCGCCUCGUCGGUCUUGAUCUUCUCCUUCAAGGCCACCUCCUGCUCCCUGGCGCGGUCCAGCAUCUUGGUCAAGGUGGCCAGCUUCAAUUCGAGAUCCGCAUUGGAGUCCUUGGCGGCGCUAAGCUCUUUGCUCCUCUCAGCGAGACGACCCUGCAGCUCACCAUGAGCAGCGGGGUCCUUCUCACGCUCACGCUUGAGCACAGCAAGCUCCUCGCCGCUCGCCUUGAGAUCAGCCUCCAGCUGCGCCAUCUUCGUCUCCAGCUCCUUCUUGGCGGCCUCGGCAGCUGCGGCAGCAUCCUUUGCUUCCUUGAGAGCCCCGCCAAUCGCUUGCUCGCGCGCGGCAAGCUUCUCCUCGUGGCUGUCAAGGUUGACGUUGCGCUGCGCUAAUUCACCUUCCUGCGCAGACAACUUCUCGGCAGCGAGCCGCUGCUGCUCUUCAACCUCAGCCUUCCCGAGGAGGAAGGCUUUCCGCUCCUCGGCGAGUUGCUCCCACUCCUCUGCUAAGGAUCGGAGAGCUUCCUGCCUGAGACCCCGGAGCUCCUCCGCGCGCUUCUCGAUGUCCACUCCCGCCUUCGCGACAAGCGCCUCUCGGGAUGCCAGCUUGGCUUGUCGGGCGCGGUAGAGCAACAACAACUUCCGCAGCAACCGCUCCUCCUCAGGCUCGUCGCUGCAGCUUGGCGUGUCGACCAGCGUCAGCCCAGCAGAGGCGAGAACCUCUCCAUCCAAGAUUUCUCCUUCGACCAGCACCCUGGAACUUGACGCCCAGGGGAGCUUGAUGAAGAUGCCAUCGCCGGCCUUCAAUUAGGCGCCGGGAUGGGGCUCAUCGGAGCCUGGCGCUGCAGCAGCGGCGGAGGGAUCGGCGGUUGGCGUAGCGCCUGGCGCUCCUGCGGCCUCGGGGCCAUCAGUGCGAUCGCCGGAUCCCUCGCCAGCUUCUGCGGCGGCAGCUUUGGCGGCCUCUUCGCCGGCGGGAUCAUCAGCGCCGGCCUCUUCUUUGGUGGCAGGGGUGACUCGCAGGCGCCGGCCUCGAUGGCGUCGUUGUUGUUGCCAUGCGCGUUCUCCUCGCCGGCGACCUCGGUUUCCAUUGGAUCUGCGGCAGAUGGAUCUGACGACCGAGAAGGGGAGAAAAGUCAAGCAAAACUUCAAAAAGAAAAUCAGAAGAAGAAGAACCCAAGGGAAGUUCUCAAGCAAGAGGAUUACCUGGAUCUACAGCCGCGGUCUCCGCCACCGGGGGGUCGCUGGUGCUAUCCCUUGCCGGAGAACUGUCCCUUGCCGGAGAAUUCUCCCUUGCCGGAGAACGCUCCCUUGCCGGGGAAUCCUCCCUUGGCGGUGUAGUCGAAGAAGAUGGCAUUUCGGGAGCGACUUCUAGGCACUCCUGGUGAGGCUGCUCUGCUCCUACACAAACCAACAAUCAGAUAUCAGCGAAGAAAGAGCACCAAUGCGCGCCUGACAGCAAGAAGUAAAAUAUACACUUACGCUCGGGGCUGCGCUGGAGGCUGCUUUGGGGAAUAGUUGCCGGGUCCGGCAAGGUGGUUUCAGGCGCGUCCCCUGUUGCCAUGGUGGGUUCGUCCUCAAUGACAAUCACCGGGACCUUGGCUCUCUUCGCCGCUCUCUGGGCCAGAGUCCUGAAAAGGAAUGAGUUCGGAGUAAAGCAAAUCAGAGACAAGACAAAACAACAAAGAUUGAAGAACUACAAGUACAACAAGGAAUCUUACUCUUCUUCUUCCUCAUCGGAGCUGAGCGCGGAGAGAUCGAAGUCUGGCUCGCCUCCGGUGCGACGAGGCAGAGGAGUAGGCUCCCUUGUCCGCUUGGCAGGAGCAGUGGCGGUGGACCGGGAAGACCCCGCUCCAGUUGCGGCAGCGGCGUGAGGCGCUCCCGCGGCAAUAGUGCUUGCCGCGGUCGAGCGCGUCGCGUGGUGCGGCGGCUGUUGACCCGUCUGCCGCCCCGCUACAUCCCCGGCGUUGCGGAGACGCCUUCUUGGUGGAGCUGGGGGCUCCGCUUGCGGCGAGCUGGCUGAAGGUGGGGAGGAGGAGGAGCCGAUCCUCAACGGGUCGCUCGCGCCCUCGGCGGGCUCGCUCGACUCAGAUUCAGGCCCAACAAGUUCUUCCUCACCGACAAGCUCUUCUCGCUCGGCAAGGCUUGCCGCCUCUGCUGCCUCUGCCUCCUCCACGGUGAAUCCAAAUUCGCCCGCGGCAGCUGCUGCCACUGCCUCUUCCAGCCUAGUGGCGAUGCGCUGCAUCUCCGCAUCGGUGGUGUCGCGAGUGAGGCUCUUCUGUUCAUCGACGCGGACCGGCACUUCUACCAAGCUGUCGAAGAACUCCUGCACGACGUCGUCUGCAGGCUCUUGCCAAGUUGGGACGAUUCCAUGCGAAUCACACAGCGGCAUCAUUGCACGGAUGCGGUCGAGCGAGGAAUUGUUGCACAGCGGAACGACACUCCUCGGCAGCAUGAAUGGAUGUUGAGGAUCGCGCUUGAACAGCUCCAGAAGCAUCGCAUCCAGCUCCAAGACAGUGAAGUUGAAGUUGAGGCCCGGGCGCAGCCUCAUGAUAUCCGCCGAGUUCUGGAACUCCCAAGCGGGUCUCCUCCUCUCCUGAAGGGGGGCGAUGCGGCGGCGAAGGAAAUCUGCGCCAACGGCGCCUACGGUGAGCCCGGCAAGCCUGAGGCGUAAGAUCCGGGUGACGGCAAUCUUCAGCCUAUCAUCUUCCGAGGCCACGUUGCUCCAAUCGUUGCCGCGUACAAUUGGGGUUUGGUGCCGGGCGGUGAAUGGCUGCGGGUUCUCCUCGACGAUCCAGCACCACUCUGCUCUCCAUUCUUCCCAUUUGCUGCGGAGCUCUCCCUCCAGAUAAGCAUCCUUCUUGCCAGUUCUCGAGAUCCAGGCGAUUCCACCGGCAAGGGGCUCUCCUCUCUCGACUCGGGGCAUAAAGAAGUGGCGAAAAAGGGCUACAUUGGGAUGGACUCCGACAAAGUUUUCGCAGAGAUGUGCGAAAACUGCCAUGGUCAGAACGGCAUUGGGGGUGAAAUCAAGGAGGCGGAACCCGUAGGUGUUCAUGAUAUCACAGAAGAAUUCAGAGAAGGGCGGGCAGAGCCCGCAGUAGAAGAAUAUCGCGAAGAAGGGGUACCCGUUCGGAGCCAGUUUCGAAGCGGCAGCUGAGAGUACCCUCGUGCGCGGAUGCGCUCGCGUCUCCGUCGACCAGAAGAGGUAGUAGUACUCCCUCAGCUCCUUCGCGUCAAGCUGAGGGGGAAAGAUUGCCCGCUCCUUUCGCAGCGCCGCGAGCCGCUGUGCCUCCGCUGACUCCACGCCCUUCCCCUUGUCGGCUUUCGGAGCCAUGGCGGAGGCGGUGGGGGAGAUCGACGGCGUCGGUGGUGCCGGUGGCAAUGGGGGGCGGAGCGCUGCUCUCUUUCGACUUUGGGAAGAAGGGGGGGAGCGGCGGAGAUUUCUGAGAUUGGAGUAGUAACCGGCGAGAUGGGCGAACUGCCCCUGUUUCCCCUGCUUAUAAAGAGGGAGGGGGCAGACAUUCCGCCUUUAUGAAUAAAGAAACCACCCACGAUCUCUCCCACGACGCCGCAUUCGACGCGUGCUGUUGGGGGAGGGCGCGGUGGAUACGGAGUGAGAUACGGCGUGACCCAAGCCGCGCGUGCCCGUGCCUUGCUUUGCACCUGGCCCAACAGCGCUCGGCACCGUGUGUGGCCCAGGCCCGGGGGCUCCUGUCGGUGUACUAAAGUAGGGGUACCUUAGUAUCCCGAACUUGUGCACGGGCAGUUGCAGCACCCCACGGCAAGGCUUGCCGGGCGACCGUCAAGAUCCUCCGUGGUUCCUUUGGAGCCAUUCAAGAACAAAGUAUUCAAGCCAAGGAGACAAGGCCCCGGCAAGAGGAGCUUGCCGGGAAGGCUAGCCAAGGCAUCUCAAGGAACUUGCCGCGACGCGCCACGCGUCCCGGCAAGGCCCGGUGAGCGACAAGCUUCCGGACGCGACAAGACAACGACCGCGGCAAGGUGCUUGCCGCGACAAGCUACCACCCUGUACCCACGCUCUAGCACAUCUACCAACAUGUUGCCCUGGGGCCUUUCCAGGUGCGCGUGGCAAGAGGCUGUGCAGCCAGCGGUGCGAGGUGGCAAGCAACGGUGACAAGAUUGCCAUCGUGGCGAACGGUGGCGUCCCUGAGGGUCCUUACCUGCACUGUUUGGGCGACACAGACGGGCAUUUAAUGCCUUUGUCCCCUUCCGUCAGGGUUAGGUAGGAUACAUUGUACAGGUAGUUGUACCAACCGCAACUCCUUUUACGUUUUUAUCCUUGUCUACGUUGCCACCUGUCGGUGACCCCUUUAGCAUAUAAAAGGAGGCCCACGUGCAACGUAGAGGGGGUUCGGUUCGGGCCGAAGCCAGAAAAACACUCACGCUCGGUCUCGUUAGCAGCUAGAGUGCGCCAUAGCACUCAGCGCUCCCGAGCAAGAACAUAGUACACUAAAACAUGCAGCAGUAGGAGUGUUAUCUCUCCGGAGAGCUCCGAAGCUGGGUAAACUGCUCGUGUGCUUCGCCUCGAUCCGCUCUUCGUGCGACCUCCGCCCCCCGCCGAACCGAAAGGGGCUCGGUCCGGCGGUCCCAUAGGUGUUCAUGGAUCAACUUCCCCGACAAUAAUUGUUCUUUAGAAGAUUGUAUUUCCUUGUUGCAAUCCGUUGUGAAUUCUCCUCAUGCUUAUAGUCAAAAUAAAGCUUUUACCAAACGUAUUGUUGAUGCCUUGAUGCAAUCUUUUGAUGAAAAACUUAAUUUGGAAGUUUCUAUACCUAGAAAACUUAACGAUGAGUGGGAACCUACUAUAAAGAUUAAAAUUAAAGAUCAUGAGUGUUAUGCUUUGUGUGAUUUGGGUGCUAGUGUUUCCACGAUUCCAAAAACUUUAUGCAUUAUUCUAGGUUUCCAUGAUCUUGAUGAUUGCUCUUUAAAUUUGCACCUUGCGGAUUCCACCAUUAAAAAGCCAGUGGGAAGGAUCAAUGAUGUUCUCAUUGUUGCAAAUAGGAAUUUGGUGCCCGUAGAUUUUAUCGUUCUUGACAUAGAUUGCAAUCUUUCUUGUCCUAUUAUUCUUGGUAGACCUUUCCUUAGAACAAUUGGUGCGAUUAUUGAUAUGAAGGAAGGUAAUAUUAGAUUCCAAUUUCCAUUAAGGAAAGGCAUGGAGCACUUUCCAAGAAAGAAAGUCAAAUUACCUUAUGAAUCUAUCAUGCGAGCUACUUAUGAAUUGAGUGCCAAAGAUGGCACUACUUAGAUCUAUCCUCGCUUUUAUGCCAAGCUAGGGGCGUCAAACGAUAGCGCUAGUUGGGAGGCAACCCAAUUUUAUUUGUGUUUUUUGUUUUUGCUUCUGUUUAGUAAUAAAUUUUGCAUCUACCUCCUGUUUAGAUGUGUUUUUUAUGUUUCAAUUAGUGUUUAUGCCAUGUAGAACCUAUAGGAUAACCUAUGGUGAUAGUUAAUUUGAUUCUACUGAAAAACAGAAACUUUGCACACACGGAAAUAAUUUUAGUAAUUCACAGAAACGUGAUUUUGCGUUGAUUCUUUUUUCUGUAGAUCAAUAGACAAAUUUCCCAGGACUUCCUAUUUUGGUAGGAUUUGUAGAGUUCCAUAAGUAUUCGAGAGUUACAGAUUGCUACAGACUGUUCUGUUUUUGACAGAUUCUGUUUUUCGUGUGUUGUUUGCUUGUUUUGAUGCAUCUAUGGCUAGUAUGUAAGGGUAUGAACCACAGAGAACUUGGAAUACAGUAGGUUUAACACCAAUAUAAAUAAAGAAUGAGUUAAUUACAGUGCCUUAUGUGGUGGUUUUUCUUUCUUGCACGAACAGAGCUUAUGAGAUUUCCUGUUGAGUUUUGUGUUGUGAAGUUUUCAAGUUUUGGGUAAAGAUUUGAUGGACUAUGGAAUAAGGAGUGGCAAGAUACUAAGCUUGGGUAUGCCCAUGGCACCCCAAGAUAUUCAAGAAUAGCCAAAAGCCUAAGCUUGGGGAUGCCCUGGAAGGCAUCCCAUCUUUCGUCUUUGUCUAUCGGUAACUUUACUUGGAGCUAUAUUUUUAUUCGCCACAUGAUAUGUGUUUUGCUUGGAGCGUCUUGUAUGAUAUUAGUCUUUGCUUUUUAGUUUACCACAAUCAUCCUUGCUGUACACACCUUUUGGGAGAAACCCACUUGAUUGGAAUUUAUUAGAAUACUCUAUGUGCUUCACUUAUAUCUUUUGAGCUUGAUAGUUUUUGCUUUAGUGCUUCACUUAUAUCUUUUAGAGCACGAUGGUGUUUUAAUUUUGUAGAAAUUGUUGAUCUCUCAUGCUUCACUUAUAUUAUUUUGAGAGUCUCUUAGAACAACAUGGUAUUUUCUAUGGUUAUAAAAUUGGUCCUAGAAUGAUGAGCAUCCAAGUUGGGUAUAAUAAAAGCUAUCAUAGAAAGUGAAUUGGAUGCUAUGAUCAAUUUGAUACUUGAUAAUUGUUUUGAGAUAUAGAGGUGGUAAUAUUAAAGUCAUGCUAGUUGGGUGAUUAUGAAUUUAAAGAAUACUUGUGUUGAAGUUUGUGAUUCCCGUAGCAUGCACGUAUGGUGAACCGCUUUGUGAUGAAGUUGGAGCACAAUUUUAUUUAUGGAUUGUCUUCCUUAUGAGUGGCGGUCGGGGACGAGCGAUUGUCUUUUCCUACCAAUCUAUCCCCCUAGGAGCAUGCACAUAGUACUUUGUUUUCAAUGACUUGUAGAUUUUUUCAAUAAGUUCAUGAAUUCUUAUGACUAAUGUUGAGUCCAUGGAUUAUACGCACUCUCACCCUUCCACCAUUGCUAGCCUCUCUUGUGCCCCGCAACUUUCAUUGGUACCAUACACCCACCAUAUACCUUCCUCAAAACAACCACCAUGCCUACCUAUUAUGGCAUUUCCAUAGCCAUUUCGAGAUAUAUUGCCAUUCAACUUUCCACCAUUUCGUUUAUAUGACACGCAUCAUCAUUGUCAUAUUGCUCUUUGCAUGAUCAUGUAGUUGACAUCGUAUUUGUGGCAAGGCCACGUUCAUAAUUUUCAUACAUGUCACUCUUGAUACAUUGCAUAUCCCGGUACACUGCCGGAGGCAUUCAUAUAGAGUCAUAUCUUGUUCUAAGUAUUGAGUUGUAAUCUUGAGUUGUAAGUAAAUAAAAGUGUGAUGAUCUUCAUUAUUAGAGCAUUGUCCCAGUGAGGAAAGGAUGAUGGAGACUAUGAUUCCCCCACAAGUCGUGAUGAGACUUCGUACCUUACAAAAAAAAGAAGAGAAAGGCCAAAUAAAAAAAAGAGAAAGGCCAAAGAAAAAAAGAGAGAAAAAGAGAGAAGGGACAAUGGAACUAUCCUUUUUACCACACUUGUGCUUAAAAGUAGCACCAUGAUCUUCAUGAUAGUGAGUCUCUUAUGUUGGCACUUUCAUAUACUAGUGGGAAUUUUUCAUUGCAGAACUUGGCUUGUAUAUUCCAAUGAUGGGCUUCCUCAAAAUGCCCUUGGUCUUCGUGAGCAAGCGAGUUGGAUGCACACCCACUUAGUUUCUUUUGUUGAGCAUUCAUGCAUUUAUAGCUCUAGUGCAUCCAUUGCAUGACAAUCCCUAAUCACUCACAUUGAUACCUAUUAAUGGGCAUCUCCAUAAUCCGUUGAUACGCCUAGUUGAUGUGAGACUAUCUUCCUCCUUUUUUGUCUUCUCCACAACCACCAUUCUAUUCCACAUAUAGUGCUAUGUCCAUGGCUCACGCUCAUGUAUUGCGUGAAAGUUGAAAAAGUUUGAGAUUACUAAAGUAUGAAACAAUUGCUUGGCUUGUCAUCGGGGUUGUGCAUGAUUAAAUACUUUGUGUGAUGACGAUAGAGCAACAACCAGACUAUAUGAUUUUGUAGGGAUAACUUUCUUUAGCCAUGUUAUUUUGAGAAGACAUGAUUGCUUGCUUAGUAUGCUUGAAGUAUUAUUAUUUCUUAUGUCAAUAUGAACUUUUAUUUUGAAUCAUUUGGAUCUGAACAUUCAUGCCACAAUAAAGAAAAUUACAUUGAGAAUUAUGCUAGGUAGCAUUCCACAUUGUCGUUGUCAAAACCGGCGGAUCUCGGGUAGGGGGUCCCAAGCAGUGCGUCUUAGGAUCAAUGGUAACAGGAGGCAAGGGACACAAUGUUUACCCAGGUUCGGGACCUCUCGGUGGAGGUAAAACCCUAAUCCUGCUUGAUUGAUAUUGAUGAUAUGGGUAUUACAAGAUUCGAUCUACCACGAGAUCAGAGAGGCCAAACCCUAGAAGCUAGCCCAUGGUAUGAUUGUUGUUGUAUAUGUCUAUCGACUAGCCUGGCCCCGGUUUAUAUAAUGCACCAGAGGCCUAGGAUAACAAGAGUCCUAGCCGAAUACGCCGGUGGGGGAGGAGUCCUUGUCUUGAUCGCCAAGUCUUGUGGAUUCUUCCUUGUAUGCGGCAGCUGUCCGGACUGGCCCAUGAGUAUACGGCCAUGGGGGUCCUCGGCCCAAUCCAACUGAUCGGGAGACGACGCGUUGAGUACCCCCUAGUCCAGGACACCGUCAGUAGCCCCCUGAACCGGUCUUCAAGUUAGGGACGCUCCUCGAUUCUUCCGAACUGUUCUUCAUCUUCGGUUGCCGGUCUUGAAAAUUGGUUCAACAAAUCUUCUCAUCUUCUAUCUUGAGGAUCGCCGAAAUGCAUUCGACGAGUUUACACGUCUGGUAUCUGAGGAGCCCCUUUAAGUUUCCGACCUUUAUCAAUGUGUUGUUAUUUUUAUGCCACACCUUGGGUUCGGAGUUGUUCCCGGGAGGCAGUGUCCUCUUGCAUCCGAGCUCUAACACCGGACUGCAUUCAAGGUAUCUCUUGCAGCCGAGCACCAAUGCCAGACUGCUUCCCGGCUCUAACGUCGGAAUGUAUCCGAGCUUCAACACCAGACUAUGUAUCCGAGCUCCAACGCCGGACUAUAUUGAGCUCCAAUGUCGGACUAUGUAUCCGAGCUCCAAAGCCGGACUAUAUCCGAGGUGUCGUAAAUCACCUUGGUUCAAAGAAGUUUGAAGGAGUUUAGCCGAGCUUAAUGCCGGAAAUGCCCUUUAUGGAGCCAGCCACUAGCGCCCGAGCUUUAUGCCGGACUGCUUCCGAGGUGGUGCACCUCCCGAAUGUGGGCCAAUUUUUGUCAAUAUUUUUGAUUAGUGCAAUUUAUUCUCUGCCGAGAUACAUAGCCAGUAGCCCUCAAGGUGGGUAUCAGUCUAAAACCCGAGAUGCACAUGAAGGAUGACAUAAGACCGCUGAUCCCUGUAGCCACUGGGACUCAGGUUGAUUUGCAAAAUCGGUCUGAGGAUCAAGUCCUAGCUCGGCAGAAUACUUCGGGACACAAAAAGCGGCGUGCUCAGUCCUCGAGACUCAGGUUGGGUGCGGCCGACCAACCUGAGGAUCAAAAUCUCCUCGGAAACUGUAUUGCACUUAAAAUUUUCUGCAUUGAACAGGCAAUGCAGUAGCCCCCAAGACACUAGUCGGGUGGCAACACCAGAUCACGGGAUCGAUGUGCCCCUUUAAUAUUUGUAAAUAGUAAGCCCGAAGCCCAGUAGCCCCCGAGCCUUAAUUCGGGCACGGGAGGCCGAAUUAAGGAUCGAUAUCCAUAGUAAAAUCACAAAUUAUGUGUAAUGACUCUAUGUAUCCAAGUACUUUACGUCAUUAAUGCUCGGAUCCUCAUUGUACAAAAAUUUGUUGACCGACCAUCGGCUUCCACCUCCUCGGCCAAUAGCCGAGGAGUGUUGGUCCUACUUUAUAAAGCCUUUAUGAGGGCAAAGAUUUACAACAAACAAGGCAAUCUGGCCAUGCGGUUUUAUAAACAAAGGUACACGGAGAGACAUGUUAUAUUACUGUUUAAUAGAAGAAAUGUCUUCCAAAGAAAAUAGUCCCGCUAUCGGUUCCUUUCUUUGGGUUGUCAUGCUAAGCACGAUCAUGAAACCUCAGCUCCAAUGUAAGAGCAAAAUAUCGAGGAUUUAGUUUGGGAGGCCAGUUAAUAGCCCCCGGUAGUGUUCAGCGACAGUCGAGGUCAAGCCGUAAACACUUCGGCCAUUGUUAUGAAUGGCCCGUCGUUUAACGCUGUCAUCGGAUCACCGACCAAUUUUCGCUUAUUGUGACAGUUAGUUUUUGGCUUUCUCCACUGAGGUGCUUAACCAUGUGAGCUGGAAGCACAAUCGCAGUGGUUCUCCCUUUGCACACCUAGCCGAACAAAGCGGACCAUAGGAGGCAAGUGCAGGAGCCGGGCAACCCAACUAUUGACCGAAGACACAAUUCGAAACCGAUGCAUAUAUAGCAAUAUCCGAGAAUGCUUUUGCCGAAUCUCUAAAGGUGUCCGGCGUUGCACUGCGAGACUUGUGCUGAAAACACACAAAUAGUUUAAAAGUGCCAUGGGCUUGAAAAGCCAAAAAACUUAUUCAAAAGGUUAAUGUCCAAACUAGAUCAAGUGUUCGGUGCCAAUCCGAAAAUUGGACUUUAGAAAAAAAAGGUGCUUCUGCCGUGCUUUAACAUGACACAUCCUAUCUCAAAACUUCAAGCAGGUCAGCCUACGGCUUCAACCUCCUAUGCCGAAGGCGGAGUACUUCUUACUAGGCCAGUUUAGAAAACUAAACUCUAGCGGCUUUGAGAGAGAAAUUAGGCUCCCCGGCUAGCGACCGCACACUUGUGUCAAAAAAAGGAGUGAUAAAUAAUAAUAAAAACUUUGCAACGACUAAGAAGAAAAAAACACUUAUGAUAAAACGGCUCAUAUAAAUUUAAGAGCCCCCAAGUAACUUGGGUAAAAGAAUGAUUGCAUGUACCGAAGUACUUAUAUCAUAUCUAUGUUCAACCGAACUUUAAACGCGUCUUAACCGACCGUCGGCUUCUCCCUCUUCGGUCAAGGACCGAAAAGUGUUAUGUACUCCAUCUGUCAAGAAUAUCGACGGUGUUUCCAAUAACCAGGCAAUCAGGCCAUAAGGCUGUAAUAGACAAAGCGCGCUCAGGGAACUUAUGCUAUAUUACUGCGAAGAGUAAGAAGCAUCUUCGAACAAAAUAGUACCCCACCGAUACCUUUCUUCGGUGCUCAUUGUUAUUAUGACACUUGUGCAAUAGAUUUUUUGUACUCAUGAGUUCGUUGUGUGCCGACCAUGAUUGAAAACAAUAAGAGCGCUAGCUUUCGGCUUCACCCAGUCUAAGGUUCGGCUCGGUUGACCCGAUGACAAUCGCAGAGGUGCUCCCUUUACUCCCUAGCCGAACAAUCGGGAACGUAGGGGUAAGCACAGGAGCCAGGCAACCCAGCUUGCAAAUCGCUUAAGUCAAUAUGGUGCAUAUUGUGGCGUAAUACACGAACAAGGAACAAAGCCAUACAAGUAUAACCAUAUGCAAGAGGAAAAAGCUUCAUGAAGGAAGCUCCCAAGUAAACGGGGUAUUUGAAUUUGCGCGUCACAAACAAAGUUUGGACAAGGAAAUUUUUACAAGCGACUUUUUUCCAAAAAAGUAUAAUGCUUGGCUGAGCCGAACACAAGUUAAAAAUUUAAAACUUUGAGCAUGAAGACAACUUAGCUGGUUAAUGUGUUCGGUAUUGAUGACGCGGUCCGAGCUUGACGCGGGACAAGGUUCCAUCCCCGAGCCGGUCCCGAGGUGGCAGAGCAAAGAGCUCGGCACUCCGAAGUGGUGACAUAGCACGGUCAAUGCAGGACGGCAGGGUGAUGCCAAAGUCCCCGACAUGGGGUAAUGAAGUGUUAACGAAGCCCCCUGUCUAGCCGAGGUGACGCCAAAGGAUAUAGUCCGGCUGGAUCAUUUUCCUGUGCACAAAAAAUAGUGCAAACCGGAGAUAAUAGUAAUAAUAAUAAAAAAAAUCGUUGCAUAACAAAUAAUUUAUGCAAAGUGAGUAAUAAAAGAAAUAUGGCCUGGCACCGAAGUCAAUGUCGAUGCAGGGCAGCGGCGUGAUGCGGUAAAGGCAUGGCAAGGCCUGAAUUCACAAGUCGGUUCGAGUUCCGGAUGCGGUGUUCGCGGGACUAUGUACGGAAACUGACCGAACCACCAUGCGACCGUUGUUAAUGCGGCCACCAUUUGAUAGACCUACGUACAUAUGACGGACAAACCACAAUAAUAAUUCAUUGGGAAAAAUGAACCCUAAGUAGCAAAAAAUACUAGGAUUAAUAGCACCUGGCUUAUUUGUUGUAGCAAUCCGAAGAAAGGUGAUUCCCAAAAUUGGGACUCGAUCCGCACACCUAUCACCUGCUGGGCGAUAAAGCAACGGCAUGGCGAUGCUAGCAAAGAUUGGCUCGCCGAGGCAAAGCCCUCGGUCCAGCUAACGUGACGGAGCUGGUCGGCCAGCAACGCUGAAGUCUCCGGAGUAGGUUGAUGAAGAGAUGAUGAAGCCCCCGGUCCAGCGAUGCAGGUCAUGACGUGGUCGAUGCCGGCUUGAUGAAGUGGUCGUGUGGCGAUGCAGGUGCGCCCGCUCCGUGUAAUCCAUGGGGCGGCGAUGUUGGUGACGAUUUAUCCUUCGCGAUGCCGAACUAUUGUUCGGCUGGCCGAGAUGAUGAUCUGAAGAAAUUGAGCUCGGCUCAACAAAGCGACGAUGUGUCUAACGCAGGUCGGCCGCCGUGGAGUGAUGUUGUUGGGCUGGUUUAACACCGGCGCGAUGGUGAAGUUCGUAUUCCAAGAAUACUUUUAAUACUACUGGGAUGUGUUUGAGAAUAAAACACAGCACCCCAUAUGAAAACUUCCUUCAAAAAGGAUGUCCGAGAUCCCGUUUAUAAAGAAGAUGAAUUCGGGUUGGAUUCGUUCUCGCGCAGAAAACAGAUCCAAAAGUGACGCACUAAUCGGAAGUUUCCUGGAGUUUGGACGGUCGGAUCAAGCUGAAUUUUUGGCAGGUGGUAGAUAUAGGAAUUCCUCAGCAAAUCAACGGUUGGAUCCUCCAAAGGACAUCCAAGCUAGAUGCUGGAUACCACGCCCUAAACUCGUCCAGAUUCUCGUCCAGAUUCAACAGGGCUCCGGUAUGUCGGAGAUUGCCGGAGAUUCCUCCAUCGGAACUCGACGAAAUUUUUGCAGGGUUGUUGUAGACUUAAUUACGCAUAAUUCCACCAAAGUAAUCGUUUAAGAGACACUCGAGGAGGCGGUGGCGGCGGAUACAAGUUUGCUGUCCAGAAAAACAGCACGGUCGCCUGAGGGCAAUGUUGACAUUGAGCCCCCGAGCUCCAUGGAUGAAUCCUCCAUGAUCUUGAUAGAGAUCGGAGUUGGCGUUGAUGAAGGCCUUCGUCGGAACAUGAUGAUCAGAGGUAGGGCGCAGUCCUCGGUCAAGCCAAGGUGACCAGUCGAGCUGGUGACGAAGAAGCCGACGUCGUAGUUGACCUGCAGUCGAGCCAUUGAUCGUUUCGCCGAUCACACAGCGGAACUCUCAAUGAAAGCACCAAUGUUGGUGUCAAAACCGGCGGAUCUCGGGUAGGGGGUCCCAAGCAGUGCGUCUUAGGAUCAAUGGUAACAGGAGGCAAGGGACACAAUGUUUACCCAGGUUCGGGCCCUCUCGGUGGAGGUAAAACUCUACUCCUGCUUGAUUGAUAUUGAUGAUAUGGGUAUUACAAGAGUUGAUCUACCACGAGAUCGGAGAGGCCAAACCCUAGAAGCUAGCCUAUGGUAUGAUUGUUGUUGUAUAUGUCUAUCGACUAGCCUGGCCCCGGUUUAUAUAAUGCACCAGAGGCAUAGGAUAACAAGAGUCCUAGCCGAAUACGCCGGUGGGGGAGGAGUCCUUGUCUUGAUCGCCAAGUCUUGUGGAUUCUUCCUUGUAUGCGACAGCUGUCCGGACUGGCCCAUGAGUAUACGGCCAUGGGGGUCCUCGGUCCUAUCCAACUGAUCGAGAGAUGACGCGUUGAGUACCCCCUAGUCCAGGACACCGUCACACAUCGAAAAUUCUGUUUUUAUCAUUUACCUACUCAAGGACGAGCAGGAAUUAAGCUUGGGGAUGCUUGAUACGUCUCCAACGUAUCUAUAAUUUUUUAUUGUUCCAUGCUAUUAUAUUACCCAUUUUGGAUGUUUAUGGGCUUUACUUUACACAUUUAUAUCAUUUUUGGGACUAACCUACCAACCGGAGGCCCAACCCAUAUUGCUGUUUUUGCCCAUUUCAGUGUUUCGAAGAAAAGAAAUAUCAAAUGGAGUCCAACCGGAAUGAAACCUUCGGGAGCGUGAUUUUUGGAACGAACAUGAUCCAGAGGACUUGGAGUGGAAGUCAAGCACCAACCUAGGCAGCCACGAGGGUGGAGGGCGCGCCCCCCCUACUGGGCGCGCCCCCUAUCUCAUGGGCCCCUCGCGCGUCCACCGACCUACUUCUUCCUCCUAUAUAUACCCAUGUAGCCCGAAAAUAUCAGAUGAGCCCACGAAAACCUAAUUCUACCGCCGUAACCUUCUAUAUCCGCGAGAUCCCAUCUUGGAGCCUUCGCCGGUGCUUCGCUGGAGGGGGAAUCGACCACGGAGGGCCUCUACAUCAUCUCCAAGGUCUCUCCGAUGAGUUGUGAGUAGUUUACCACAGACCUUCGGGUCCAUAGUUAUUAGCUAGAUGGCUUCUUCUCUCUCUUUGUAUCUCAAUACCAUGUUCUCCUUGAUCUUCUUGGAGAUCUAUUCGAUGUAACUCUUUUUGCAGUGUGUUUGUCGAGAUCCAUCGAAUUGUGGGUUUAUGAUCAAGUUUAUCUAUGAGAAAUAUUUGAAUCUCCUCUGAAUUCUUUUAUGUGUGAUUAAGUGACCUUUGAAGUCUGUUCGAAUUAUCAGUUUGGUUUGGCCUACUAGAUUGAUCUUUCUUGCAAUGGGAGAAGUGCUUAGCUUUGGGUUCAAUCUUGCGGUGUCCUUUCCCAGUGACAGCAGGGGCAGUAAGGCACGUAUUAUAUUGUUGCCAUCGAGGAUAAAAAGAUGGGGUUUAUAUCAUAUUGCAUGAGUUUAUCCCUCUACAUCAUGUCAUCUUUCUUAAUGCGUUACUCUGUUUUUAUGAACUUAAUACUCUAGAUGCAUGCUGGAUAGCGGGAUGUGUGGAGUAAUAGUAGUAGAUGCAGGCAAGAGUCGGUCUACUUGUCACGGACGUGAUGCCUAUUGUCGGGGAAGCUGAUCCACAAACACCUAUGGGACCGGCGGACCGAGCCCCUUUCGGUUCGGCAGGGGGCGGAGGUCGCACGAAGAGUGGAUCGAGGCGGAGCACACGAGCAGUUUACCCAGCUUCGGAGCUCUCAGGAGAGAUAAUACUCCUACUGCUGCUUGUUUGAUUGUAUUCUGUUCUUGCUCGAGAGAGCUAAGUGUGUUUCUGGCUUCCGAAUGAAUCAAACCUUCGAACCCCCUUCUACGUUGCACGUGGGCCUCCUUUUAUACGCUAAAGGGGUCACCGACAGGUGGCAACGUAGACAAGGGUAACAACGUAAAAAGAGUUGCGGUUGGUACAACUACCUGCACAGUGUAUUCUACCUAACCCUGACGACAGGGGACAAGGGCAUUAAAUGCCCGUCUGUGUCGCCCGAACAGUGCAGAAAAGGACCGUUAGGGACACCACCGCUCGCCACGAUGGCGAUCUUGUCAGCGUCGCAUGCCACCACACACCGCUGGCAGCACAGCCUCUCACCACGCGCGCCUGUGAAGGCCCCAGGGCGACACGUUGGUGGAUGUGCUGGAGCGUAGGUACAGGGUGGUUUCUUGCCGCGGCAAGCGCCUUGCCGCGGUCGUUGCCUUGUCACGCCCAGAAGCUUGUCGUUCACCGGGCCUUGCCGGGACGCGUGGCGCGUCGCGGCAAGUUCCUUGAGAUACCUUGGUUGGCCUUCCCAGCAAGCUCCUCUUGCCGGGGUCUUGUCUCUUCGCUCGAAUACUUUGUUCUUGAAUGGCUCCAAAGGAGCCACGGAGGAUCUUGGCGGUCGCCCGGCAAGCCUUGCCGCGGGGUGCUGCAACUGCCCGUGCACAAGUUCGGGAUACUAGGGUACCCCUACUCUAGUACACCGACAGGAGCCCUCGGGCCUGGGCCACACAUGGUGCCGAGCGCUGUUGGGCCAGGCACAUAACAGGGCACGGGCACAUGCGGCCUGGGUUACGCCAAACCUUACUCCGCAUCCACCGCGCCCUCCCCAACAGCACGCGUCGAAUGCGGCAUCGUGGGAGAGAUCGUGGGUGGUUUCUUUAUUCAGAAGGGCGAAACAUACGCCCCCUCCCUCUUUAUAAGCAGGGGAAAUAGGGGCAGUUCGUCCUCCUCGCCGAUUACUGCUCCAGUCUUCAGAAAUCUCCGCUGCUCCCCCCUUCUUCCCAAAGCCGAAAGAGAGCAGCACUCCGCCCCCCAUUGCCACCAGCGCCACCGACGCCGCCGAUCUUCCCCGCCACCUCCGCCAUGGCUCCAAAAGCCGACAAGGGGAAGGGCGUGAAGUCAGCCGAGGUGCAGCGGCUUGCGGCGCUGCGAAAGGAGCGGGCCAUCUUCCCCCCUUAGCUCGACACGAAGGAGCUGAGGGAGUACUACUACCUCUUCUGGUCGACGGAGACGCGCGCACAUCCGCGCACGAGGGUACUCUCCGCCGCCGCUUCGAGAUUGGCUCCGAACGGGUACCCAUUCUUCGCGUUGUUCUUCUACCGCGGGCUCUGCCCGCCUUUCUCCGAAUUCUUUUGCGACAUCAUGAACACCUACGGGUUCCGCCUCCUUGAUUUCACCCCCAACGCCGUUCUGACCAUGGCAGUUUUCGCACAUCUGUGCGAAAACUUUGUCGGAGUCCACCCCAAUGUUGCCCUCUUCCACCACUUCUUUAUCCCCCGAGUCGAGAGAGGAGAGCCCCUUGCCGGCGGAAUCGCCUGGAUCUCGAGGGUCGGCAAGAAGGAAGCCUAUCUGGAGGGAGAACUCCGCAGCAAGUGGGAGGAGUGGAGAGCAGAUUGGUGCUGGAUCGUCGAGGAGAACCCGCAGCCAUUCACCGCCCGGCGCCAAACCCCAAUAGUACGCGGCAACGAUUGGAGCAACGUGGCCCCGGAGGAUGACAUGCUGAAGAUUGCCGUCACCCGAAUCUUUCGCCUUAGGCUUGCCGGGCUCACCGUAGGCGCUGUUGGCGCAGAUUUCCUCCGCCGUCGCAUCGCCUCCCUGCAAGAGAGGGGGAGGCCCGCCUGGGAGUUCCAGAACUCGGCAGAUAUCAUGAGGCUGCGCCCAGGCCUCAACUUCAAUUUCACUGUCUUGGAACUCAACGCGAUGCUAUUGGAGCUGUUCAAGCGCGAUCCCCAACACCCAUUUAUGUUGCCGCGGAAUGUCGUUCCGUUGUGCAACAAUUCUUCGCUUGACCGCAUCCGUGCAAUGAUGCCACUGUGCGACUCGCAUGGGAUCGUCCCAACUUGGCAAGAGCCCGCAGACGACGUCGUGCAGGAGUUCUUCGACAGCUUGGUCGAAGUGCCGGUCCGCUCCGACGAGCAGAAGAGCCUCACCCGCGACACCACCGACGCGGAGAUGCAGCGCAUCGCCUCUAGGCUGGAGGAGGCGACGGCAGCAGCUGCCGCGGGUCAAUUUGGAUUCGCAUUGGAGGAGGCGGAGGCAGCAGAGGCGGCAAGCCUUGCUGAGUGAGAAGAGCUUGUCGGCGAGGAAGAACUUGUCGGGCCUGAAUCAGAGUCGAGCGAGCCCGCCGAGGGCGCGGGCGACCCAUUGCAGAUCGGCUCUUCCUCCUCCCCACCUUCAGCCAGCUCGCCGCAAGCGGAGCCCCCAGUUCCACCAAGAAGGCGUCUCCGCAGGGCCGGGGACGUGGCGGGGCGGCAGACGAGCCAACAGCCGUCGCAACGCACGACGCGCUCGACCGCGGCAAGCAUUGUUACCGCGGGAGCACCUCACGCUGCUGCGGCAACUGGAGCGGGGCCUUCCCGAUCCACCGCCACUGCCCCUGCCAAGCGGACAAGGGAGCCUUCUCCUCCGCCUCGUCGCACUGGAGGUGAGUCGGACUUCGAUCUCUCCACGCUCAGCUCUGACGAAGAAGAAGAAGAGUAAGUUUAUUUGUUGUACUUGUAAUCCUUCAUUUCUUGAGGUGCAUCUUGUAUCUGAUCUGCUUCGUUUCGGACUCAUCUCUUUGCAGGACUCUGGCCCAGAGGGCGGCGAAGAGAGCCAAGGUCCCGGUGAUUGUCAUCGAGGACGAACCCACUGCGGCAACAGGGGACGCGCCUGAGACCUCCUUGCCGGACCCGACAACUACUCGCCAAAGUAGCCCCCAGCGCAGCCCCCAGUGUAAGUGUAUAAUUUACUUCUUGCUGUCAAACGCGCAUGGGUGUUCUUCUAUUGCUGAUGUCUGUCUGUUGGUUUGCGUAGGAGCAGAGCAGCCUCACCAGGAGGGCCCGAAGGCCGCUCCCGAGGCGCCAUCUUCUUCGACUACACCGCCGAGGGAGGAUUCCACGGCAAGGGAGCAUUCUCCGGCAAGGGAGAAUUCUCCGGCAAUGGGGUAGUUCUCCGGCAAGGGACAGCGCCAGUGAUCCUCCGGAGGUGGAGACCACGACCGCGGAUCCUAGCAUAGGUAACCCUUUUGCCUAAAAACUCCCCUUGGAUUCUUCUUCUUCUGAUUUUCUUCUUGAGCAUUUACUUGACUUUUCUCCCUUCUUCGGUCGUCAGACCCACCUGCCGCGGAUCCCAUGGAAACCGAGGCCACCGGCGAGGAGGCGCACGCGGCAACAAUGAUGACGCCGCCGCCACCGAAGAAAGGGCCGGUGCUGAUGAUCCCACUGGCGAAGGGGCCGCCAGGGCUGCCACCGCAGAAGCAGGCGAGGAAACCGGCGAUCGCACUGACGGCCCAGAGGCCGUAGGAGCGCCAGGCGCUGCACCAACCGUCGAUCCCUCUACUGCUGCCGCGUUGCGAGGCUCCGAAGAGCCCCAGCCCGACGCCUACUUGUAGGCCGGCGAUGGCGUCUUCAUCAAGCUCCCCUGGGCGUCGAGCUCCAGUGCGCCGGUCGAAGGAGAAACCUUUGACGAAGAGGUGCUCGCCUCUGCUGGGCUGGCGCUUGUCGACGUGCCAAGCAGCAGCAGCGACGAGCCUGAGGAGGAGGGCUGCUGCGGAAGCUGCUGUCCCUUUACCGCGCCCGACAAGCUAAGCUGGCUUCCCGAGAAGCACUUGUUGCGAAGGCGGGGGUGGAUAUCGAGAAGCGCGCAGAGGAGCUCCGGGGUUUUAGGAAGGAGGCUCUCCGGUCUCUGGCGGAGAAGCGGGAGCAACUUCUCGAGGAGCGGAAAGCCUUCCUCCUCGAGAAGGCUGAAGCCGAAGAGAAGCAACGGCUUGUCGCCGAGGAUCUAUUUGCGCAAGAAGGAGAGUUGGCGCAGCGCAAGGUGAACCUUGAAAGCCACGAGGAGGAGCUUGUCUCGCGGGAGCAAGCCAUUGGCGGGGCUCUCAAGGAGGCAAAGGAUGUUGCCGCAGCUGCCGAGGCCGCCAAGAAGGAGCUGGAGACAAAGGUGGCGCAGCUGGAAGCAGAUCUCAGGGCGAGCGGUGAGGAGCUUGCCGCGCUCAAGCGUGAGCGUGAGAAGGAUGCUGCCCCUCAUGGUGAGCUGCAGGGUCUUCUCGCUGAGAGGAGCAAGGAGCUCAGCGCUGCCAAGGAUUCCAACGCAGAUCUCGAGCUGAAGCUGGCCACUCUGACUCAGACGCUGGACGGCGCCAAGGAGCGGGAGGCGUCCUUGUCAGAGAAGAUCAAGGCCGACGAGGCGCUGUUGACGAAUGCUGCUGCCGCCCACGAUGCUUUCAGGGAGAGUGUGGAGCAUUGGACUGAGGGUCUUGUGGAUGCUGCCGCAGCCAUCGACGGGGAGUUGGCGCAGCUGGGGAUGGAGGAUUUUGGGUAUCCUUCCGAUGAGCAUCUCCAACCCAGCGCCAAUCUCAGCCUGUUCUUCAAGGGCGUGGUGACGGCUCUCCAGCGACUCCGGGAAAAGAUUCCAAAGCAGCUGGCCGACGAGUCGCGCAGGAUCUGCGCGGGGGCUCUCCAGAAGGUGCUGAUGAAGGUGGCCUUCCGCAACCCAGGCCUCAACUUCACCAACGUCCUCAAAUCCUUGCCGCCGGAUGCUGACGUGGAAGCGCUCAAGGCCCUUGUCGCACCCAUUAUGGACAAGGUGAGCGGGAUCAAGAGGGUCGAGGGUGAUCGCGUAGACUAGGCCGCCCGUUUUCUCUUUCUCUUUGUCGCUGCUGGUCAUGUUACGAGAACAUCAAUUAGAACUGCGACAAGUUAUCUUGUAAUAUAACUCUAUUUUGGGUAGAGAUUGCUAUGUUAUUUCCUUUACUUGAUCCCUUCCUUUGUAUGUUUUUGCCCUACGCUUUUAGGGAACUUGCCGGCGCAGGCUCCUUAGCCGCGAGCACUGAGUGCGGAACAUCAGCAGCCUGCUGGCGGUGCCGCUUCCGACAAGAAACCUUGUCGCAACUAGUCGCAGCCCACUUAAAUUGUUGAGCGGACUCGAAACAAAGUAAGGGCGCAACUAGCUACGAGUUGGUUCCUCUGCGCACAGGUUUUCCAUACAAAGUACGGUCGUUUGAGGAGAAUAACUUCAAAAUUUAAAAACUGAUUGCUCAAACUUUGGCAGCUUAGCUUUUCUGUCGUUUGCUUCCCGGCAAGGCAAAAUUUCCUCGAGCGACGCUUGGUCCACACCAUUAUCUUCUCCUUUCCCCCUGGCAAACUUGUGUGCGAGGGAACCUUCCCUUUUGAGAAAAAGAAAGGAGAGAAAAUAGAGAUAUGGAGCCUUAUGGCUCGUUAUUGCUUACCGGGGGUAGGUGCUGCACAAAGUGUCAGAUAAUGCAUGAAAAUAUAAAGUAAAAAGCAUGAAAUUGACAAGAUGUGCGGAGCACAUGAGCUUUACUUAUGCACGGGGUCUGCGCCCGGCUUUGUACAAAGGAUUACAUGCAACAUUGGCAAGACUUGUACAAAAGGUGGUUGCCAGAACGGGUUCCGGCAACCGCGCCCUACGGUAAAACUUACGAAGAUGCUCGGUGUUCCAGGAGUUGCUCACCGGAAUGCCAUCCUCGGUCUCAAGGCGGAAAGCGCCAGGCCUAGUGACUCGUUUCACCCGUUAAGGGCCUUCCCACUUCGGCGUCAACUUGUUGGAAUUCUUGGCAGACUGAACGCGCCGAAGAACAAGGUCGCCUUCCUCGAAACUUUUGGCAUUAACUUUGCGGCUAUGGUAGCGGCGCAAAGCUUGCUGGUAUCAAGCAGCUCGUACAGCAGCCUGAAGACGGUCCUCCUCAAGGAUCAACGCGUCAUCUUGUCGCAGCUGCUCUUGCUCGAGCUCAUCAUAAGCGAGCACUCGAGGUGACCCGUAUAGGAGUUCCGUGGGGAGAACUGCCUCUGCUCCAUAUACUAGAGCGAAAGGUGUCUGACCAGUGGCUCGAUUUGGUGUCGUUCUGAUCGACCAAAGAACCACCGGUAGCUCCUCAAUCCAGUUCCUUCCGCACUUGCGCAGCCUGUCGAAAGUCCUGGUCUUGAGCCCGCGCAGCACUUCAGCAUUCGCCCUCUCCGCUUGACCAUUGCUUCUCGGAUGAGCAACAGAAGCGAAGCAGACCUUGGCGCCAAGAUCUUGGAUGUACUGCAUGAAGGUGCAGCUCGUGAAUUGUGUGCCGUUGUCGGUGAUGAUCCUGUUAGGGAUCCCGAAACGGCAAACAAUCGACCUGAAGAACUUGACUGCUGACUGUGCUGUCACCUUCCUCACUGCUUCCACUUCCGGCCACUUUGUGAACUUGUCAAUUGCAACGUACAAGUACUCAAAGCCCCCAACUGCUCGGGGAAAGGGGCCGAGGAUGUCGAGCCCCCAGACCGAAAAUGGCCAGGAUAAAGGGAUCGUCUGGAGAGCUUGAGCAGGCUCGUGAAUCUUCCUGGAAUGGAACUGGCACGCUUCACACUUGGUUACUUGUGCAGUUGCAUCCUGGAGGGCUGUCGGCCAAAAGAAUCCUUGUCGGAACGCUUUGCCGGCAAGUGCUCUUAAGCCAAUGUGGUGGCCACAUAUGUCUCCAUGUAUCUCUGCCAAUAGCUUUUGUCCCUCUUCCCGUUGAAUACACUUCAAUUUCACACCGUUGAGUCUUCUUCUGUACAGUAUGUUGUCAACAAACUGGUACAUACUUGACUACCGGGCUACUCUUUCCGCUUCUUCUUGCUCUUCGAGAAGUUCUCCUGUCUGAAGGAAACGGACAAUCUGUUGCGCCCAUGUUGGAGCUUGCGGCUCGACAACAAGGACUAAAGGCACAUCUGCUGCUGCAGGAACAUCCGCUUCUACGGCGAGAACCUGCGGUUUAGCCGGAGCUUGAUGUUCCCCGGCAAGCUUGCCGGAGCAAAACUUGUCGGGAGUGUCUUCUUCAAUGGAACAAACCCUAGGGCUUGUUGGAGUAGACUGCUCCUCAGCAUCUUUGGUGUUGAUCUUGGGGACCUUCUUGGCGGCGGCUUCGGGGAGCUCUGCCGGAAAGUAGUCACCAGAAAUCAACUUCCUCUUCUUGCUCUGUCCAGUUGAUGGUGUUACGGAUGGUUGAGUCAGCUUGAGCACAAAGAUCCAUGGUUCCACAGGUAACUUUAGUGCGGCGCACUUCGACAGGCCAUCGGCAAUGUUGUUCUGAGCUCUCGGAACAUGUUCCAUUUGCAGGCCGUCAAAGUGCUCUUCUAGCUUCCUCACUUCAUCAACGUAAGCUUCCAUCAACGGACUCUGAUAAUUCUUGUUCACUUGGCGGACGACGAGCUGCGAGUCACCCCUGACAAUGAGCUUCUUGAUCCCAAGGUCUGUUGCGAUCCUGAGACCGGCAAGCAAACCUUCAUACUCUGCAGUAUUGUUUGUUGCUUGCUCCUUGGGAAAGUGCAUAUGGACUACGUACUUGAGGUGCUCUCCGGUGGGUGCAACAAGUAGCACGCCGGCACCGGCGCCUUGCAGCGAGAAGGCACCAUCAAAGUACAUCAGCCACUCUUUGCUUGCUUCCUUGACGGGGAUGCUCGUUUCUGGACUUUCCUCAUCUGGUGUUGGCGUCCACUCUGCUAUGAACUCUACCAAUGCCCUGCUUUGGAUAGUUGAAGUGCUUUCAAACUUGAGGCCAAAGCUUGAUAGUUCCAGUGCCUACUCGACAAUCCUGCCUGUCGCUUCCGGAUUCUGCAGUAUCCUCUUCAGCGGAAAGCGAGUGACGACUGUGAUCUCGUGUGCUUGGAAGUAAUGGCGCAGCUUUCUCGAGGCCAUGAGGAGGCCAAAAAGCUAUUUCUGCACACCAGAGUACCUUGACCUAGCCCCCUGCAGAAGGGAACUGACAAAGUAAACUGGGCGCUGCACCGUUCUCUUCUGCAUCUCUUCCCGCGUCUACGUAGAUCCAUCUUUGUCGGGACCAGAGCUUGCCGGCGAAGUCCCUUGCUUGUCGCUGGAUGUACUUGUCGUGGUUGCUGGCUCAUCAUCCGCCUCCCUCUCUGCUACUAACACAGCACUAACCACUUGAUUGGUUGCCGCUAUAUACAGCAGCAACUUCUCUUGUGGCUUAGGUGCGACAAGUAUUGGAGUGGAGGACAGGUAUUUCUUCAAGUCCUGCAGCGCAGCCUCCGCUUACGGAGUCCAUUUUAUUGGACCUGCCUUUUUCAAUAUUUUGAAAAAUGGCAAGGCGCGCUCAGCAGACAUAGAAAUAAACCUGCUGAGAGCAGCCACACAACCGGCAAGUCUUCGUACAUCCUUGACGCGCUUUGGUGCUUCAAUCUGCUCAAUGGCCUUGAUCUUAUCGGGAUUGGCUUCAAUUCCCCGCUGAGACACAAAGAAUCCGAGAAGCUUGCCGGAGGGGACUCCAAACACGCACUUCUCGGGGUUAAGCUUGAGGUUGAUCUUGCGCAGAUUUGUAAAGGUUCCGUCUAAAUCUUGGAUUAGAGUUGCCCUGUUCUUGCUCUUGACCACUAUGUCAUCCAUGUAGGCUUCCACAUUUCUGUGCAUUUGCGGUUCAAAAGCAUCAUGGACUACUCUUGCAAAUGUUGAACCGGCAUUCUUCAAACCAAAAGGCAUCCGUACGAAACAGUAUGUGCCACAUGGGGUGAUGAAUGCGGUCUUCUCCUCAUCCUCUUCUGCCAUGAAGAUCUGAUGAUAUCCUGAGUAUGCGUCAAGAAAUGAAAGAAAGUCACAUCCGGCCGUGGAGUCAACAAUUUGGUCUAUGCGUGGCAAGGGAAAUGGGUCUUUGGGACAAGCUUUAUUAACAUCGGUAAAAUCGAUACAAAGCCUCCACUUCCCGUUUGCCUUGCGCAUGACUACAGGGUUGGCCAACCACGUAGGAUGGAGCACUCCUCUGACAAGGCCUGCUGCUUCCAGUUUCUUGAUUUCUUCAGCGAUAAAUUCUUGGCGCUCCACUGCCUGUUUCCUGACUUUCUGCUUGACGGGCCGCGCGUGAGGACAGACAGCAAGAUGGUGCUCAAUCACUUUCCUGGGAACACCGGGGAUGCCAGACGGUUGCCAUGCAAACACGUCGACAUUCGCCCGUAGGAAAGCAACGAGCGCGCUUUCCUAUUUAGGGUCGAGAGUGGCACUGAUGGUGAAGGUACCACCAGUGCCGUCCUCCUUGGCGGUCACCUUCUUGGUCUCUGGGGGAGCCACCAUUGUCUUCUUACACUUGCCGGUGGAGCUCGAUGGUGCGUCCUCGACGGUAGCGCGGCACUCCGAAGAGGUGCGCUUGCCGGAGUGGGUAUCAGAGCUCUUGCCGGACUUGGUCUUCUUCUUUCCCCCGGGAGCUUCAACGGCAAGUAAUCUGCGAUCUGUUGCGGCUGCUGCUUCCCGGUAGAUCUUGUCGGUGCAGAUAAGGGCAUCCUUCUUGUUGCCAGGGACAGAGAUGACACUUAUCGGGCCUGGCAUCUUCAGUACGUUGUAUGCAUAGUGAGAGGCCGCCAUGAAUUUGGCGAGUGCUGGACGGCCGAGUAUCCCAUUGUAGGGCAAUGGAAAGUCAGCAACGUCAAAAGUGACCCUCUCAGUCCUGAAGUUCAGCUCGCUGCCAAAUGUUACCAACAACGUGAUCUUUCCCUUCAGCUUGCUCCUUCCCGGAUUGAUUCCUUGGAAUGUGCCGGUCUCUUCGAGCUCGCUGUCAGGGAUCUGGAGUUUCUGGAGUACCGCGAAGGAGAUCAGGUUCAAGCCGGCCCCGCCGUCAACUAGCAUCUUAGUAACCUUGAGGUUGCGGAUAGUUGGUGAAACCAACAGCGGCAAGCACCCGACCGCAGUUAUGCGAUCAGGGUGGUCCUCAAUAUCAAAGAUGAUAGGCGUGCUGGACCAUUUCAGUGGCCUGCGUGACUCGACUGGUGGUUCUGACGCAUUGACUUCCCGCACCCAUUGCUUGAGUUGGCGGUGUGAAGUAUGCAGAGAAGCACCGCCGUCAACGCACAGGACCUUUGUGGCUUUCUGAAACUCCUGCUCAUCGGCCUCGUCAUCAUCCAUAUCUUCAUCGUCGUCGUCAUCUUCAUCCUUGUCGCGGCCGCGGGGAGGUCUGUCUCCUUGCCGCUGCUUGGCCUUGCCGCAGCGCCCUCCUCGGCCGGGGCGUUUCUUGCCGGAUCCUCCAGCACCUUCCUGGCCCUUCUCCUUGUCGCGCCGCUCGUAUUCAGCCUUCUGCUGCUCAACAAGCUGCUCGACCUUCUUGUAGCUCUGGAGGUCAUGGCCCUUAGUGCGGUGGAUCUUGCAGUACUGCCUGUUGGUGCUGUCCUGCUUGUCGGCAACCGCCACAGCCUGAUGGGUGGUGCCUGCGGCAACCUGCUUGCCGGAGCUACCAGCUUUGGCUUCCUUGCCGGACUGUUCAACGACUAGCACCUCUUUGCCCUUCUUUUUCCUGUUGUUCCGCCGUCGGUUUUUCUUUGCCGGGGCAGCGUCCUCGCUAUCAGAUCCUCCUGCUCCUGUGGUUUCUCCGGGGAGUUUCCUCCCUUCUUCAGCACGUGCACACUUGUCGGCCAGGGCAUAGAGCUCAUUGACGUCUCUGAUCUUGCACAUCGCCAUCUCUUCCCGCAUCCUGCGGUUUCGCACAUUCUGGUGGAACGUGCUGGUUACCGCGGCAGGGUAGACAUCUGGGAUGUUGUGCUGCACGCGGCUGAAUCUCUGAAUGUACUUGCGCAGGGGCUCUCCUUCCUUCUGGGCGAGCAAAUCAAGAUCGCUCUCUUGGCCAUGAGGCUUGUGGCCGCCUGUAAAGGCGCCGACAAACUGAUGACACAAGUCAGCCCAGGAGGAUAUGGAGUUGUCCGGCAAGUGCAUGAGCCAGGAUCUGACAUUGGGCUUGAGCACCAGCGAGAAGUAGUUGGCAAGGAUCUUGUCAUCCCGUCCCCCGGCAGCCUGCACCGCGAUGGUGUAGAUGCUGAGGAACUCCGACGGAUGCGUCUUGCCGUCAUACUUCUCUGGCACAUCUGGUCUAAAAUUCUUCGUGCUGGGCCACUGGACUUGCCGCAGCUCACGAGUGAACGCAGGGCAACCUACCGCGUACAGCAAGUCGCCUGGUUCCCCUGGCGCAUGCAUGUCGACAGAGGGCCCAGCACACUUGUCGGAUUGAUGUCGCGCUUCUCUUUGGCGCUCGAUGCGAGUACGAGCAUCUUCUUGCUAUCGUUCAUGAAGAACUUGGCGUUGAUCGCGACGAGCUCGUGGAUCCGAUGACGCGGUGGAGUCGCUGUCGAUGUGGACCCGGCGAGCUGGCGAUCUUGGCCUUUGAGGUGGAGAAAGCAUGGUGGUUGCAUCUCCACCAGUUUCGUCACCACCGGCCCGUGCCUGGUGGUCUUGUCACGGCAGCAACGUAUUCGGCUGCCGCGGAGUGUCUCCGUUGGCGAAGCCGAUGAGACUCUGAAUAGUGGCCCUCCAUUGGUCGAUCUUUUCUUCCGCUGGAGGGUAAUCCAGGAGCAGUUGAGCUCGUGCCAAAGCUUCUGCUGGAGUUGUGGGUGGCAGUGGCGAACGGUGCGAGGAGCGGGAUAUGCUCGGACUUCUAACUACGUUAGAAGGAGCAGUAUCCUGUCCAGGCGACCGUGCCUCGCUCGUGCCAGCACGUUGGCGUGCAUGCUGGUCUUGAGCACCCCGAGAUCCACCAGCUUGAUCUUGGUCCAACAAGCGUAUGGUACUGCGAAUACCGUGACGCUGUUGGUCCUGCGCCUCCUGAGAUGGGCGCGGUGCAUGUACGGACGCCGAGGUUUGCGCAGCCUUGUCCUUGGACCUGGUAGCACUGUGAGCUCCCUCGUCGAUGUCCGUUCUUCCGCCAUCAUCGUCCCCACCACCCGCUUGCUCUGGUGGUGGUAGGAUCGACGUGGACGGAGCAGUUGCCACCGAAGUCUUCUUCUUCGGUGGCAUGUCGAUGAAGAAGAUGAAGAUCUAGCCCGUGUGAACGCCGGAUCGGAUUCACACAAUCUCGACGCCCCCUACCUGGCGCGCCAAAGGUGUCGGGGAAGCUGAUCCACGAACACCUAUGGGACCGGCGGACCGAGCCCCUUUCGGUUCGGCGGGGGGCGGAGCUCGCACGAAGAGCGGAUCGAGGCGGAGCACAUGAGCAGUUUACCCAGCUUCGAAGCUCUCUGGAGAGAUAAUACUCCUACUGCUACUUGUUUGAUUGUAUUCUGUUCUUGCUCCAGAGAGCUAAAUGUGUUUCUGGCUUCCGAAUGAAUCGAACCUUCGAACCCCCUUCUAUGUUGCACGUGGGCCUCCUUUUAUACGCUAAAGGGGUCACCGACAGGUGGCAACGUAGACAAGGGUAAAAACGUAAAAAGAGUUGCGGUUGGUACAGCUACCUGCACAGUGUAUUCUACCUAACCCUGACGGCAGGGGACAAGGGCAUUAAAUGCCCGUCUGUGUCGCCCGAACAGUGCAGAAAAGGACCGUUAGGGACACCACCGCUCGCCACGAUGGCGAUCUUGUCAGCGUUGCAUGCCACCACACACCGCUGGCAGCACAGCCUCUCGCCACGCGCGCCUGUGAAGGCCCCAGGGCGACACGUUGGUGGAUGUGCUGGAGCGUAGGUAUAGGGUGGUUUCUUGCCGCGGCAAGCGCCUUGCCGCGGUCGUUGCCUUGUCGCACCUAGAAGCUUGUCGUUCACCGGGCCUUGCCGGGACGCGUGGCGCGUCGUGGCAAGUUCCUUGAGAUGCCUUGGUUGGCCUUCCCGGCAAGCUCCUCUUGUCGGGGUCUUGUCUCUUGGCUCGAAUACUUUGUUCUUGAAUGGCUCCAAAGGAGCCACAGAGGAUCUUGGCGGUCGCCCGGCAAGCCUUGUCGCGGGGUGCUGCAACUGCCCGUGCACAAGUUCGGGUACUAGGGUACCCCUACUCUAGUACACCGACACCUAUAUACAUGAUCAUGCCUAGAUAAUCUCAUAAUUAUUCACUUUUCUAUCAAUUGCUCGAUAGUAAUUUGUUCACCCACCAUAAUACUUAUGCUAUCUUGAGAGAAGCCACUAGUGAAACCUAUGGCCCCCGGGUCUAUCUUUUAUCAUAUAAGCUUUCAAUCUAAUUUUAUUUGCAUCUUUACUUUUCCAAUCUAUAUUAUAAAAUACCAAAAAUAUAUUUAUCUUGUCAUAUUAUCUCUAUCAGAUCUCACUUUCGCAAGUGGACUUGAAGGGAUUGACAACCCCUUUAUUGCGUUGGUUGCGACUUCUUGUUUGUUUGUGUAGGUGCGUGGGACUUUUGAGGAGCCUCCUACUGGAUUGAUACCUUGGUUCUCAGAAACUGAGGGAAAUACUUACGCUACUAUUGCUGCAUCACCCUUUCCUCUUGAAGUAAAACCAACGCAAGCUCAAGACGUAGCACCUUGCUGCCCCUGCUGUCACUGGGAAAGGACACCACAAGAUUGAAUCCAAAGCUAAGCACUUCUCCCAUUGCAAGAAAGAUCAAUCUAGUAGGCCAAACCAAAAUGAUAAUUCAAAGAGACUUGCAAAGAUAACCAAUCAUACAUAAAAGAAUUCAGAGAAGAUUCAAUUAUUUCUCAUAGAUAAACUUGAUCAUAAACCCACAAUUCAUCGGUUCUCGACAAACACACCACAAAAAGAGUUACAUCGAACAGAUCUCCAAGAAGAUCGAGGAGAACUUUGUAUUGAGAUUCAAAGAGAGAGAAGAAGCCAUCUAGCUAAUAACUAUGGACCCAAAGGUGUGUGGUAAACUACUCACAACUCAUCGGAGAGGCCUUGGAGAUGAUGUAGAGGCCCUCCAUGGUUGAUUCCCCCUCUGGCGGAGCGCUGGCAAAGGCUCCAAGAUGGGAUCUCACGGAUACAGAAGGUUGCGGCGGUGGAAUUAGGUUUUCGUGGUGCUCUUGAUGUUCUCGGGGUACAUGGAUAUAUAUAUAUAGGAGAAUGAAGUAGGUCGGUGGAGCCAUGAGGGGCCCACAAGGGUGGGGGGCACGCCCACCCCCCUAGGGUGCCUCGUUUACUUUUUAGUGUCCACUCCAAGUCUCCUGGUUUGCAUUUGUUCCAAAAAGAACGCUCCCGAAGGUUUCAUCCCGUUUGGACUCCGUUUGAUAUUCCUUUUCUUUGAAACACUGAAAUAGGUAAAAAAACAACAAUUCGGGUUGGGCCUCCGGUUAGUAGGUUAGUCCCAAAAAUGAUAUAUAAGUGUAUAGUAAAGCCUAUAAACAUCCAAAACAGGUCAUAUAAUAGCAUGGAACAAUCCAAAAUUAUAGAUACAUUGGAGACGUAUCACAAUCCCUUCAUGGUCACUUGCAAAAGUGAGAUCUAAUAGAGAUAAUAAAGUAAAUAUUUUUGGUAUUUUUGUUGUAUAGAUUGGAAAGUAAAGAUUGCAAAAUAGUAAACGAGAUGUUAUGUAUAUAAAAGAGAUGUAAUAUAAUAGGAAAGAGACCCGGGGGCCAUAGGUGUCACUAGUGGCUUCUCUCAAGAUAGCAUGUAUUACGGUGGGUGAACAAAUUACUGCCGAGCAAUUGAUAGAAGAGCGCAUAAUUAUGAAGUCAUCUAAGGCAAUGAUCAUGAACAUAGGCAUCACGUCCGUGUCAAGUAGACCGAAACGAUUCUGCAUAUACUACUACUACUACUCCACACAUCGACCGCUAUCCAACAUGCAUCUAGAGUAUUAAGUUCAUAAGAAUGGGGCAACACAUUAAGCAAGAUUACAUGAUGUAGAGGGAUAAGCUCAAGCAAUAUGAUAUAAACCCCAUCUUUUUAUCCUCGAUGGCAACAAUACAAUAUGUGCCUUGUUGGCCCUACUGUCAUUGGGAAAGGACACCGCAAGAUUGAACCGAAAGCUAAGCACUUCUCCCAUUGCAAGAAAGAUCAAUCUAGUAGGCCAAACUAAACCAAUAAUUCGAAGAGACUUGCAAAGAUAUCAAAUCAUGCAUAUAAGAAUUCAGAGAAGAACGAAAUAAUAUUCAGAGAUAAUCUUAUUCAUAAAUCCACAAUUCAUCGGAUCUCGUCAAACACAUCACAAAAGAAUUACAUCGUAUAGAUCUCCAAGAACAUCAAGGAGAACUUUGUAUUGAUAAUCAAAGAGAGAGAAGAAGCCAUCUAGCUAAUAACUAUGGACCCGAAGGUCUAUGGUAAACUACUCACGCUUCAUUGGAGAGGCAAUGGUGUUGAUAUAGAAGCCCUCCGUGAUCGAUUCCCCCUCCGGCAGAUCACCAGAAAAGCCCCCAAGAUGGGAUCUCACGGGUACAGAAGGUUGCGGCGGUGGAAAAGUGGUUUCGUGGCUCCCCCUGAUGUUUUUAGGGUAUAAGAGUAUAUAUAGGCGAAAGAAGAACGUAGGUGGAGCUACGAGGGGGGCACGAGGGUGGGGGGCGCGCCCUCCUUCCUCGUGGCCUCCUUGUAGAGUCCCAGACUUCAACUCCAAGUCUUCUGGAUUGCUUUUGGUCCAAGAAAGAUCCUCACGAAGGUUUCAUUCUGUUUGGACUCCGUUUGGUAUUCCUUUUCUGCAAAACUCUAAAAUUGGCAAAAAACAGAAACUCGCACUAGGCCUCCGGUUAAUAGGUUAGUCCCAAAAAUAAUAUAAAAGAGCAUAUUAAAGCCCGUUAAACACCCAAAACAGAUAAUAUAAUAGCAUGGAACAAUAAAAAAUUAUAGAUACGCUGGAGAUGUAUGAAGCAUCCCCAAGCUUAAUUCAUGUUCGUCCUCGAGUAGGUAAAUGAUAAAAACAGAAUUUUUGAUGUGGAAUGCUACCUAGCAUAUUUAUCAAUGUAAUUUUCUUUAUUGUGGCAUGAAUGUUCAGAUCCAAAAGAUUCAAGACAAAAUAUUAAUAUUGUCAACAAAUAAUAAUACUUCAAGCAUACUAACAAGGUAAUCAUGUCUUCUCAAAAUACAUGAGCGUGACCCAUGGACAUGGCACUAUAGGUGGAAUAUAAUGGUGGUUGUGGAGAGGACAAAAAGGAGAAGAUAGUCUCACAUCAACUAGGCAUAUCAACGGGCUAUGGAUAUGCCCAUCAAUAGAUAUCAAUGUGAGUGAGUAGGGAUUGCCAUGCAAUGGAUUCACUAGAGCUAUAAGUUUAUGAAAGCUCAACAAAAGAAACUAAGUGGGUGUGCAUCCAACUUGCUUGCUCACGAAGACCUAGGGCACUUUUGAGGAAGCCCAUCAUUGGAAUAUACUGUCACAUCCCUAGCUUCUGGCAUUGCUCUAGGUUAGCUUCAUGUGUGCAUCAUGUCUAUAUUUUUGAAAACUUGAAUUGAGGAAUAUUGGAAGCCUCAAAACCCUAAAUAAAAGAAGGGCAAGCACCCUUUAAAAUUGCAUUCUGUGAAUCCAAAAUGCCCUAAAAAUAGUUUUGUGAAUUUUGGCAAGAGUUAUAUAUCAAACCAAAAUUCUGGAAUAUUUUUAAGGAAUUAUUUGGUCUCUGAAUUUAAAUCAAUAAUCUAUUUGAAUUUGGGGAUAUAUUCAUAAUAUAUAAUGAAUAUAUUUGCAAAUGCUUUGAAAUGUUUUAUGUACUUUUGGAAUAGUCCAGAGAGGUAACAUAAAAUAUUUCAGAAUGUUUUGGCACUGUAAGAAAUUAUUUUGAAUUUGAAAACAGUGGCAAAAUAAAAUAAAAAGGGAAACAGAACAGGAAAAAAUAAAAAGAGAGAAGGAAGUACCUGGCCUCACCCGUGCAGCCCAGCCGGCCCAGCUCCUCCAGCGGCCCAGCCCACCUGGCCCCCUUCUCCUGUCUUCUUCCCGUGCCAGCGCACGAAGCAGCUGCAUGCUGGACGCACGCGCGCCGACGCCGGCCACCUCCUGCUUCGCCGUGGCAGCCUCCCCGACCCCCUCGCGACGCCACGGAGACGGCCUCGACCCCCCUCGACCGCCUCUCUCUCUCUGGACCCCCUCCUCCUCCUCUGUUCUCCCUCCCUCUCGUCACCGAACGCACCUGGGAGCGCCGCUCGCCGUAGCCAUGACCACGGCCACCCCCUCCCCUCUCCGACGUGCUCCCGAGCUCCUGCACCUCGUCGCCAACCCCCUCACCGAGCCACGUGACCGGAAGGGCCCCGAGCAGCCGCCAUCGUCAUCAUCUCCGAGCUUCGGCCCCGGUGCCGUCUCCGUCGGAUUCGGCCACUCCGGCGCGCCCCCGAGCCCACUGACCCUCCCUACAGCUCCGCGGUGAGCCUCCGUGCAGAACCCCUCUCUCUCCCCUCGCGUUUGCGAGCUCUAGGCCAUAGCCCCGUCGCGGCCGAACUCCGGCCGCCGCUGACCAUGUCGCCGCCGUGGCCUGAGCUCGAACGGGUCACGCCCGUGCAUCUCACCGAGCUCGUGGUGACUCCAGGAGGCUGCGCAGUGCUUUACCUCACUCGCCCGUGCUCCACAACGCCGUUUUCGCCGAGGUCCGAACUCCGGCGCCGCCUCGGGCUCCAUUCCGGAGAACCCCGGCCACCCCGCACCUCCCGUUGGCCCCCCUAGAUGCGCACGGGCACGGGCUACCUUCUGGUGCCCUUCGCGCGUCCAGCCGCCGCCCGUAGCGCAACCCCGGUGAACUUCCGCCGCGUUUCGGGUCGCCGCCGGCCGAACUCCGGUGGCCAGUGACGUGGCGCUGUCAUUAGCACUAAUGGCCCUGUUAAACUAACCCCGUGACACUGACAGUGGGCCCCGUAGCGGGUCAAAGCCCGGGUCAACGCGGGAUUAGCCCCUGUGUCACUGACGUGUGGACCCCCACACGUCAGGUUUGACCUGGACCGCCCGUUGACCUGCUGAGGUCAGCAUGAGGUCAUGCUGACGCCAUAAUUCAUUUUCUGGAAUUAUUUUAAUUCUAAAUAUUCAGGAAAUUCCAGAAAAUGCCUAAAACUUCAAUAAAUCAUAGAAAAUUAACCGUAACUCCAAAUUAAAUAAUUUAUAUAUGAAAAAUUAUCAGAAAAAUUCAAGGAAUCCAUCUGUACCAUUUUCAUGCAUGUUAGAACAACUUAUCACUACUGUUUAGGACAAAUGAAGUGAAUGACAUUUAAAUAAUCACAUAUGGAGUUUGAAUUUGAAUCUUGUAUUCAAACCAACCCCAUUUAAUCUGUUGCUAGUUGCAUUAGCCCAAAACACAUUCAUUUUGCCAUGUCAUGAUCAUGCAUCAUAUUGUGCAUUGCAUUGAUUGUGUUCCCUUCUGUGUUGCCGGUAUUUGUCCCCUCUCGAUAGACGCGAUACCGAUGAUGUGAUCGUUGACACUGAUGAAGACUCAAUGUUAUCUUCAGAAGUGCCGGACAAGCAAAACCCCCUUGUUCAUUCCGAUACAAUCCCACUCUCUCGCUCCUGCUCUCUUUUACUGCAUUAGGACAACACCGUUUCAACUGUUACAUGCUGCGGUAGUUGAACCCCUUUUAUCCUCUGCAUGACCUGUCAUUGCCACAGUAAAUAGAUGAAACCCACUAGCAUGAGUAGGAGUUGUUUGAGCCCUGUUGUGCCUACUCAUUCAUGUUUGUUUGUCAUGCCUGCUACUGCUUAGAGUUGAGUCAGGUCUGAUUCAUCGGGGAUGAAUCAGAGGUGUGUGAACAUGUCCUACGGUGUGUGAGGUAAGCGUGUGAACACGAUUUGGUAAAGGUAGCGUUGAGAGGCCAUGUAGGAGUACAUGGUGGGUUGUCUCAUUGCAGCCGUCCUCAGGAACUGAGUUCUGUGUUUGUGAUCCAUGAUUCAGCUACUACCACACAUUGGGCCCGAAACCAAUGGACCCUCUCGGCUUCUUAAUCACCCUUGUCCUCUGUCCAGGAGUUGCAAGUAGUUUCUGGUGUUUGUAGUAUGCUGGAGGCCGUGCGCAGCGCUGACCGUAGGGGUGGGCUGUGAUGCGGUAGGCACGUGGCACGGUGUACCGGGCGCCCGUUUGGUGUAUCGGGAACCCUGUUCACAUCGUUUGGGGCUGUGACCGAAACUCCGGCCGGAUCUCCUCAUGGAUGGAACCCGAAUAGGCGAUAAACCUGGACUAGAGACUUGAGUGUUUAGGUAGGCCGUGGCCGACACCCACGUUGGGCUUCCGCUUGAAGGUUGCCGAGUACAUGUCGUGUAAACGGCGGUAAGUGGUGAGAGCGUGUGUGAAGAAGUACACCCCUGCAGGGUUAAUAUGAUCUAUUCGAAUAGCCGUGUCCGCGGUAAAGGACUUCUGGGUUGCUUAUAUCAGUUCAUAGACAAGUGAAAGUGGAUACUCUAAAAUACACAAGAUAAGCGUGAGUGCUAUGGAUGGCAUUCUCGUAGGGAGACGGGAGCGGUUCCAUAGUGGUGUAUUGGUUGGUGAAUAUGUGGACUCGUGUGCGCCACCUCAAAAGAGUUACUUGCAGUCGUAGUUCAGGAUAGCCACCGAGUCAAAGCUGGCUUGCUGCAGUUAAACCCCACCAUCCCUUUGUUGAUAAUGAUGCAUAUGAAGAUAGUUCUGAUGUAAGUCUUGCUGGGUACAUUUGUACUCACGUUUGCCUAUUUUAUGUUUUUGCAGAGAGACUUCGGUCUCGCUAGUAGUUCCACGUGGACUUCGACGUUUAGCUUGAUACCUCAGCUACGAUCUUGUGCCCCGGCAGGAUCUGGUAGAUAGUCAGGCUUCUCAGCCUUUUUCAUUUAUAGAUGUCUGUACUCAGACAUGAUAGCUUCCGCUUGUGCUUUGACUUGUAUGCUCUGAUUGUUGGGUCAUGAGACCCAUGUUUGUAAUAUCUCGCUCCUCGGAGCCUAUUGAUUAAAAUACUUGAUUUAUAGAGUCAUGUUGUGAUGCCAUGUUGUAUUUGCACAUAUCGAGCAUAUUGUGUGUAUGUUAUUGAAAUGCUUGGUAUGUGUGGGAUCUGACCAUCUAGUUGUUUAUCUUUAGUAGCCUCUCUUAUGGGGAAAUGUCUCCUAGUGUUUCCACCGAGCCAUGGUAGCUUGCUACUUCUCUGGAACACUUAGGCUGGCCGGCAUGUGUCCUUCUUCGUUCCUGUGUCUGUCCCUUCGGGAAAAUGUCACGCGGUGAAUACCGGAGUCCUGUUAGCCCGCUACAGCCCGGUUCACCGGAGUCCUGCUAGCCCAGUGCUACAGCCUGGAUUCACUCGCUGAUGACCGACACGUUCGAUGCUGGGUCAUGGAUGCCUGUCCCUGUAAGUCUGUGCCGCUUUGGGUUUACGACUAGCCAUGUCAGCCCGGGCUCCUUAUCAUAUGGAUGCUAGCGACACUGUCAUAUACGUGUGCCAAAAGGCGCAAACGGUCCCGGGCAAAGGUAAGGCGACACCCGUGGGAAUACCGUGCGUGAGGCCGCAAAGUGAUAUGAGGUGUUACAUGCUAGAUCGAUGUGGCAUUGAGUCGGGGUCCUGACAGCGUUGGUAUCAGAGCUUGACUGCCUGUAGGAUUACCAAGCCAAACUGGUCGAAGUUGAGUCUAGAAAUUCUUUAGUUAUGUAAGGGAAUUGAUUGUGGGAUGGAACGUAAGGCUCUUUUUACUCCUUUACCUCAUGCCCUUCUGAUCUGAGUCAUCAUCUUCUCUUCUACGGGGAUUAAGAACUAGGCUAUCCCUUCUUUCUAUUAGGAUCACGUGUUACUAAUCAGUGGACUUAUAAGAUUGUUGGAUUUAAGUCUCAGUUCAGUUCCUACUACUUCCGUAUGUUAAUUGUUGAUCUCGAAACCUUGAUAUUGUGCUUCUGAGUGGUUAUGCCACCAUUUUUGUGAAUGUCUCAAAUCUUUUCUGAGCAUUUACAGCCGUUAUGCUGUCCGAGUCAUUCCAGGUUUCUAAAUAGUCUGAUGCAUUUGCAAAAUCCUUUCCCUCUAGUUUCGAUGUUCCUUUAUGCCAGCUCAAUCACACUAAUUGUUGAGUUGAGGUAUUCUAUUGCCUUGACAUUAUGUUGGAGUUACUAUUAUGACCCUAGGUGUCUCAGGGGAUCAUCUAGUAGUCCAGCCAUGAUUUAUGUUCCAGUGUGAUGACUCUGGCCGUCAUUAUCGAAAGCAUCCCGUGAUGCCAUUUAGUAGUAGGUAUUCUAUCCCUAGGUUUGAACCCGAGAUUCACCCUACUUACUUCAUGUUGAUAGUUUUGCUCGUUCCUUUAGGAUAUUAGCAACCUUUGCGAUAGUCCUUGAAGUCCGUGGUAUCUUCUUCUUCCAAAUACCAUGAACUACUUAUGGCAGAAGUUCCUCGUUGAACUGAAAUAUCACAACAGGAUUAUUCUUGAGGAGUUCUCCAUUCAUAAAUCGUGACUCUGCCAGUUCUACCUUUCUGCAUGGGUUAUCCGGAAGAAUUAUGUUGAACUCGGUUCGACAUACUAAUUUAUGCAUCCACAACUCAGAAAGUUAUAUGUUCCUUUGAGUUGUCCCUCUUUAGUUGUCUACUGACCUUCGUCUAUCAAUUGAUAGUCAAGAGUAUGCGUGCAUUCAUUCAUCGAUGCCUGUUACUCUUGUGGUCCGUCAAGCCAUUCUGUCCUGAAUGACUUGGAGAAACAAACUCCAGUACCUCAUCCAUAUCUAGGAUUGGGUCAAAGUAGUUGUAUUCCGCAGAUCAAAUGCCAAUCCAGCUUUUGGUUCUGUUCUACCCUGAAGUAUUACCUUCUUUAUGACAGGAAUUUCAUGAGAAUUGCACCACCUUUUGUGAAUUCUUGACAUAGUGAUACUUCUCGCCAUCCUUUUUCAUUCCUCGGUUCCGUGUUGUUGCAGCCGGAGCGCCGACAGGUGAAUUGUGAUGUGUGAAAUCAAUACUCCCAGCAACCUCGUUGCUUGGUAGUUAAAGGGUAAUAAUUUCAAUCUUAGCAUGUUGGGUUUUAAAUCAUCCCUCUAAGACUGAUCGUGCUACCUAGUCCUUAUUUCGGUGCACCCCUCGAUUGAUGAGAUAGGAUUUGCUAAGUCCUCACUCAUUUGAUCAUAUCGUCUUGCCCUCAAAAGCGAGAUUGUUCUCGAGCUUAGUAACAUACCGGUGGUUCGUGAUUUUCCAAAUAUCUUCUCGAAAGUAUCACCAGGCUGUCACCUGACUGUUAUGUUGAGCUCGUGAUCAAGUUGGUUUCUUGUGAACCACCUUCUCUCCAAGAAUCGGUGUUAGAUAUCCCUGAGCUAGUUGGUUAAGCUAGACAACAACUUGGAGAGUUGGAAGAUAAAAGCUUGCCGACUUAGUUCGUUCCAAAGGGAUAUUCUUGUGUAGUGUGUGUUGAAGAAAGAUGAUAUCUUCAUCGAUUGGUCCUUGUGAUCAGUUGCUGGACCUAUUGCCUUAUCAAUCCUUUGAUUUGAGUGUGGGCUAUCGUCAAAUCAAAUCAGUACCAACGAUGCUCGUAAUGUUGUCCUACUCGUGGUUGAUCCCUCGAGCAUACACCAUUACAUCUUUGGUCUGACCAAUGCUAUCACCGUGUUCACAUGAUGGUGGAAGUCCAGUGAUAUGGAAAUUCCGAUGAGUUGCUGUUGAGCCCAUCAGUAGCAUUUUGUCUGCCCCCAUGAAUCAUGUUGAACAUCAACCUAGUGUUGGAAACUUGUGUAAGCAUUUCUUCGUGUUUCGUUCAUGAAGCAUAUGUUUGAAUGAAAGUAGUGAUUUUCCCUAAUUCAUGUGCAUAUGAUGCAAGUUGCCGCCAUGAAUUUGAGGAAGAUUGUUUUGUUUCCCUGGAAUCAUUCCAAAUUAGUCAUGCACACGUGCGAAGUAUUCUGUGGUCUGGAGACUUGCAACCUUCAUUCCAUAUGUGUCCCGAGCACACCAAGCCACUGAUUGAUUUGUUCAAGGGGAAGAAGUUCCUUCAUAAGAGCUAAUCAUAUGACUUAUGCAAGGACUUCGUUAUCCACGGUGAUGGUUCCCAACCAGAACUCGGUAGUGUUUUAUUGUAAGACUACCACGUGGUCAUGCUUGUCCGGGACAACGUGUUCACAUGUUUGUAGCAGAACCAGCUCAUGUUUUGGAGCUUACUAUCGUAGUUCAUUUCCCGAGAAUCUCGCAACGUCAUCUCGUCGAUUUGUGUUGCAAACUUUCAUUUUUCUUUCUAGACUUGAUGAGUCUGGGAUAUCCUGACACGAACCAGAUCUGAAUCUCAGGCAGAUAUGAUGGUUGGAACAUUCUCCAAGAACUAUAAUAUUGGUCCCUCGAUAACCGGUAAAGUGGAUGUCGUGGCCAACACACCCAGCCGGAAGACCUGUUAUUAUAAUAUCUUGAUUGAGGAAGUUGGCCACCUCCCCAUAGGGAUUUCGUAGGAUUUACUCCCUAGUUGCCCCUAUGGAUUUUGAGAUCCCGAAGUCCGACCUUUUACUUGAUGUCCUAGAUACUAGACCAUUUCUAUGAAUGGGUUACACUAGCACAUCAAGGAGAACAUUAGAAGCAGAGUGCUAAAUGUUUCUCGGUCGAUCAUCCAGAUUUUGUUUCCUUGGCCUCGCUAAGAUGAAAUCUGAGAAGGUGUUAUCUUUCUUUGCAUCUACAUCCUCCAUCAUCAUUCAUCAUGGUAGCAAGUUGUGUUGCCGGACCCUUGACACGGAUGUUGGUAAAACCUUGAUGAAUAUGGAAAUGCUCAAGUUCUUGAGAGCACGCACAAGCGUUACGUGUUAUCAUCGGCUCUAACUGGGAUUACUCUCAGUUUCCUCGGCAAUGCUAUGACCUCUUCAAACAGUGAAUUCACUCCCUAUUGUUGGGUUCUUCCCCAGUUACCAGAAUCAUUCCUAGCAUUUGCAUUUUGUUCCUAGCUUGCACCGCCAAUGUGCCAUUCUACCAUGGGUCUCUUCCAUUUCCGGUGAUAAGCAAAUUCAUCCAUUACGUUGUCUUCAACAAGGUAAUCCACAUCAUCCAAGUCCGAGUAUGCCAUUCUACCGACCCCCUCCAAACGAUCGCUCGAGAAUUGCCUUAGGCUGGUUUAAAGAGUUUCAAUGAUCUCUGAAUCAAAAGUAAUUCUUUUUGCCACUUAAGGGGAUAUCUCUACGAGUCACCUUCCGUAAGGUGUAUCGUUAUGGUAUCAUGGCAACUCAACUCCUCGCUACGUUGACAAUCGUUUACCACCUUCUUAGGUAUAAAAUUGUUGUCUACCUAGUGAACCUUCGUCAUCCGUUUCUUCCACCCCUAUUGAUGUGUAUCUCGUGUCUCAACCCGAAAGAUGGUUCUAUGUCUCAUUCCGUAAGUUAAUCUUGAGUUGUUCGAUCUUCGAGGAGAUCGACCCUUCUAGAGUCUCCUUCUUCCCCCCCCUGUCAUGUUGACAGGAUUUCUCAGAGCAAGACGACAAGACAAAGAUGGUGUUCAAAUCAACGUUCAUUUGAAGUGCACCCUGGAUCGUGAACAUUAUACUAGUUGUGUUUCCCCUUCACCUUACCCUACGCUUGAAUCUCGAGACGAGAUUCUUGUUUAGUGGGGGUGAGUUGUCACAUCCCUAGCUUCUGGCAUUGCUCUAGGUUAGCUUCAUGUGUGCAUCAUGUCUAUAUUUUUGAAAACUUGAAUUGAGGAAUAUUGGAAGCCUCAAAACCCUAAAUAAAAGAAGGGCAAGCACCCUUUAAAAUUGCAUUCUGUGAAUCCAAAAUGCCCUAAAAAUAGUUUUGUGAAUUUUGGCAAGAGUUAUAUAUCAAACCAAAAUUCUGGAAUAUUUUUAAGGAAUUAUUUGGUCUCUGAAUUUAAAUCAAUAAUCUAUUUGAAUUUGGGGAUAUAUUCAUAAUAUAUAAUGAAUAUAUUUGCAAAUGCUUUGAAAUGUUUUAUGUACUUUUGGAAUAGUCCAGAGAGGUAACAUAAAAUAUUUCAGAAUGUUUUGGCACUGUAAGAAAUUAUUUUGAAUUUGAAAACAGUGGCAAAAUAAAAUAAAAAGGGAAACAGAACAGGAAAUAAUAAAAAGAGAGAAGGAAGUACCUGGCCUCACCCGUGCAGCCCAGCCGGCCCAGCUCCUCCAGCGGCCCAGCCCACCUGGCCCCCUUCUCCUGUCUUCUUCCCGUGCCAGCGCACGAAGCAGCUGCGUGCUGGACGCACGCGCGCCGACGCCGGCCACCUCCUGCUUCGCCGUGGCAGCCUCCCCGACCCCCUCGCGACGCCACGGAGACGGCCUCGACCCCCCCUCGACCGCCUCUCUCUCUCUGGACCCCCUCCUCCUCCUCUGUUCUCCCUCCCUCUCGUCACCGAACGCACCUGGGAGCGCCGCUCGCCGUAGCCAUGACCACGGCCACCCCCUCCCCUCUCCGACGUGCUCCCGAGCUCCUGCACCUCGUCGCCAACCCCCUCACCGAGCCACGUGACCGGAAGGGCCCCGAGCAGCCGCCAUCGUCAUCAUCUCUGAGCUUCGGCCCCGGUGCCGUCUCCGUCGAAUUCGGCCACUCCGACGCGCCCCCGAGCCCACUGACCCUCCCUACAGCUCCGCGGUGAGCCUCCGUGCAGAACCCCUCUCUCUCCCCUCGCGUUUGCGAGCUCUAGGCCAUAGCCCCGUCGCGGCCGAACUCCGGCCGCCGCUGACCAUGUCGCCGUCGUGGCCUGAGCUCGAACGGGUCACGCCCGUGCAUCUCACCGAGCUCGUGGUGACUCCAGGAGGCUGCGCAGUGCUUUACCUCACUCGCCCGUGCUCCACAACGCCGUUUUCGCCGAGGUCCGAACUCCGGCACCGCCUCGGGCUCCAUUCCGGCGAACCCCAGCCACCCCGCACCUCCCGUUGGCCCCCCUAGAUGCGCACGGGCACGGGCUACCUUCUGGUGCCCUUCGCGCGUCCAGCCGCCGCCCGUAGCGCAACCCCGGUGAACUUCCGCCGCGUUUCUGGUCGCCGCCGGCCGAACUCCGGUGGCCAGUGACGUGGCGCUGUCAUUAGCACUAAUGACCCUGUUAAACUAACCCCGUGACACUGACAGUGGGCCCCGUAGCGGGUCAAAGCCCGGGUCAAUGCAGGAUUAGCCCCUGUGUCACUGACGUGUGGACCCCCACACGUCAGGUUUGACCUGGACCGCCCGUUGACCUGCUGAGGUCAGCAUGAGGUCAUGCUGACGCCAUAAUUCAUUUUCUGGAAUUAUUUUAAUUCUAAAUAUUCAGGAAAUUCCAGAAAAUGCCUAAAACUUCAAUAAAUCAUAGAAAAUUAACCGUAACUCCAAAUUAAAUAAUUUAUAUAUGAAAAAUUAUCAGAAAAAUUCAAGGAAUCCAUCUGUACCAUUUUCAUGCAUGUUAGAACAACUUAUCACUACUGUUUAGGACAAAUGAAGUGAAUGACAUUUAAAUAAUCACAUAUGGAGUUUGAAUUUGAAUCUUGUAUUCAAACCAACCCCAUUUAAUCUGUUGCUAGUUGCAUUAGCCCAAAACACAUUCAUUUUGCCAUGUCAUGAUCAUGCAUCAUAUUGUGCAUUGCAUUGAUUGUGUUCCCUUCUGUGUUGCCGGUAUUUGUCCCCUCUUGAUAGACGCGAUACCGAUGAUGUGAUCGUUGACACUGAUGAAGACUCAAUGUUAUCUUCAGAAGUGCCAGGCAAGCAAAACCCCCUUGUUCAUUCCGAUACAAUCCCACUCUCUCGCUCCUGCUCUCUUUUACUGCAUUAGGACAACACCGUUUCAACUGUUACAUGCUGCGGUAGUUGAACCCCUUUUAUCCUCUACAUGACCUGUCAUUGCCACAGUAAAUAGGUGAAACCCACUAGCAUGAGUAGGAGUUGUUUGAGCCCUGUUGUGCCUACUCAUUGAUGUUUGUUUGUCAUGCCUGCUACUGCUUAGAGUUGAGUCAGGUCUGAUUCAUCAGGGAUGAAUCAGAGGUGUGUGAACAUGUCCUACGGUGUGUGAGCUAAGCGUGUGAACACGAUUUGGUAAAGGUAGUGGUGAGAGGCCAUGUAGGAGUACAUGGUGGGUUGUCUCAUUGCAGCCGUCCUCAGGAACUGAGUUCUGUGUUUGUGAUCCAUGAUUCAGCUACUACCACGCAUUGGGCCCGAAACCAAUGGACCCUCUCGGCUUCUUAAUCACCCUUGUCCUCUGUCCAGGAGUUGCAAGUAGUUUCUGGUGUUUGUAGUAUGCUGGAGGCCGUGCGCAGCACUGACCGUAGGGGUGGGCUGUGAUGCGGUAGGCACGUGGCACGGUGUACCGGGCGCCCGUUUGGUGUCUCGGGAACCCUGUUCACAUCGUUUGGGGCUGUGAGCGAAACUCCGGCCGAAUCUCCUCAUGGAUGGAACCCGAAUAGGCGAUAAACCUGGACUAGAGACUUGAGUGUUUAGGUAGGCCAUGGCCGACACCCACGUUGGGCUUCCGCUUGAAGGUUGCUGAGUACAUGUCGUGUAAACGGCGGUAAGUGGUGAGAGCGUGUGUGAAGAAGUACACCCCUGCAGGGUUAAUAUGAUCUAUUCGAAUAGCCGUGUCCGCGGUAAAGGACUUCUGGGUUGCUUAUAUCAGUUCAUAGACAAGUGAAAGUGGAUACUCUAAAAUACGCAAGAUAAGCGUGAGUGCUAUGGAUGGCGUUCUCGUAGGGAGACGGGAGCGGUUCCAUAGUGGUGUAUUGGUUGGUGAAUAUGUGGACUCGUGUGCGCCACCUCAAAAGAGUUACUUGCAGUCGUAGUUCAGGAUAGCCACCGAGUCAAAGAUGGCUUGCUGCAGUUAAACCCCACCAUCCCUUUGUUGAUAAUGAUGCAUAUGAAGAUAGUUCUGAUGUAAGUCUUGCUGGGUACAUUUGUACUCACGUUUGCCUAUUUUAUGUUUUUGCAGAGAGACUUCGGUCUCGCUAGUAGUUCCACGUGGACUUCGAUGUUUAGCUUGAUACCUCAGCUACGAUCUUGUGCCCCGGCAGGAUCUGGUAGAUAGUCAGGCUUCUCAGCCUUUUUCAUUUAUAGAUGUCUGUACUCAGACAUGAUAGCUUCCGCUUGUGCUUUGACUUGUAUGCUCUGAUUGUUGGGUCAUGAGACCCAUGUUUGUAAUAUCUCGCUCCUCGGAGCCUAUUGAUUAAAAUACUUGAUUUAUAGAGUCAUGUUGUGAUGCCAUGUUGUAUUUGCACAUAUCGAGCAUAUUGUGUGUAUGUUAUUGAAAUGCUUGGUAUGUGUGGGAUCUGACCAUCUAGUUGUUUAUCUUUAGUAGCCUCUCUUACGGGGAAAUGUCUCCUAGUGUUUCCACCGAGCCAUGGUAGCUUGCUACUGCUCCGGAACACUUAGGCUGGCCGGCAUGUGUCCUUCUUCGUUCCUGUGUCUGUCCCUUCGGGAAAAUGUCACGCGGUGAAUACCGGAGUCCUGUUAGCCCGCUACAGCCCGGUUCACCGGAGUCCUGCUAGCCCAGUGCUACAGCCUGGAUUCACUCGCUGAUGACCGACACGUUCGAUGCUGGGUCAUGGAUGCCUGUCCCUGUAAGUCUGUGCCGCUUUGGGUUUACGACUAGCCAUGUCAGCCCGGGCUCCUUAUCAUAUGGAUGCUAGCGACACUGUCAUAUACGUGUGCCAAAAGGCGCAAACGGUCCCGGGCAAAGGUAAGGCGACACCCAUGGGAAUACCGUGCGUGAGGCCGCAAAGUGAUAUGAGGUGUUACAUGCUAGAUCGAUGUGGCAUUGAGUCGGGGUCCUGACAUAUACAAGCCAAGUUCUAUAAUGAAAAAUUCCCACUAGUAUAUGAAAGUGACAACAUAGGAGACUCUCUAUCAUGAGGAUCAUGGUGCUAGUUUGAAGCACAAGUGUGGUAAAAGGAUAGUAGCAUUGUCCCUUCUCUCUUUUUCUCUAAUUUUUUAUUUGGGGCAUUUUCUCUUUUUAUGGCCUCUUUUUUUAGUCUGGAGUCUCAUCCCGACUUUUGGGGGAAUCAUAGUCUCCAUCAUCCUUUCCUCACAUGGGACAAUGCUCUAAUAAUGAAGAUCAUCACACUUUUAUUUACUUACAACUCAAGAAUUACAACUCAAUACUUAGAACAAAAUAUGACUCUAUGUGAAUGCCUCCGGUGGUGUAUCGGGAUGUGCAAUGAUUCAAGGGUGAUAUGUAUGAAAACAUUAUGAGUAGUGGCUUUGCCACAAAUACGAUGUCAACUACAUGAUCAUACAAGGCAAUAUGACAAUGAUGGAGCGUGUCAUAAUAAACGGAACAGUGGAAAGUUGCAUGGCAAUAUAUCUUGAAAUGGCUUUGGAAAUGCCAUAAUAGGUAGGUAUGGUGGCUGUUUUGAGGAAGGUAUAUGGUGGGUGUAUGGUACUGGCGAGAGUUGCGCGGUACUAGAGAGGCUAGCAAUGAUGGAAGGGUGAGAGUGCGUAUAAUCCAUGGACUCAACAUUAGUCAUAAAGAACUCACAUACUUAUUGCAAAAAUCUACAAGUCAUCAAAACAAAGUACUACAUGCAUGCUCCUAGGGGAAGGGUUGGUAGGAGUUAACCAUCGCGUGAUCCCAACCUCCACACAUAAGGAAGGCAAUCAAUAAAUAAAUCAUGCUCCAACUUCAUCACAUAACGGUUCACCAUACGUGCAUGCUACGGGAAUCACAAACUUUAUCACAAGUAUUCUUUAAAUUCACAAUUACUAAACUAGCAUGUCUCUAAUAUCACCAUCCUCAUAUCUCAAAACAAUCAUCAAGCAUCAAACUUCUCAUAGUAUUCAACACACUUUAUGUGAAAGUUUUUAAUUAUACCCAUCUUGGAUGCCCAUCAUAUUAGGACUAAUUUUAUAACCAAAGCAAAUUACCAUGCUUUUCUAAAAGACUCUCAAAAUAAUAUAAGUGAAGCAUGAGAGGUUAAUAAUUUAUAUAAAAUAAAACCACCGCCGUGCUCUAAAAAGAUAUAAGCGAAGCACUAGAGCAAAAUUGUCUAGCUCAAAAGAUAUAAGUGAAGCACAUAGAGUAUUCUAAUAAAUUCUGAUUCAUGCGUAUCUCUCUCAAAAGGUGUGUACAGCAAGGAUUAUUGUGGUAAACUAAAAGCAAAGACUCAAAUCAUACAAUACGCUCCAAGCAAAACACAUAUCAUGUGGUGAAUAAAAAUAUAGCCUCAAGUAAAGUUACCGAUAGAUGAAGACGAAAGAGGGGAUGCCUUCCGGGGCAUCCCCAAGCUUAGGCUUUUGGUUGUCCUUGAAUUACCUUGGGGUGCCUUGGGCAUCCCCAAGCUUAGGCUCUUGCCACUCCUUAUUCCAAAAUCCAUCAAAUUUACCAAAAACGUGAAAACUUCACAACACAAAACUUCGACAGAAAAUCUGAUGAGCUCCGUUAGUAUAAGACAAUAAACCACCACUUUAAGGUACUGUAAUGAACUCAUUCUUUAUUUAUAUUGGUGUUAAACCUACUUUAUUCCAACUUCUCUAUGGUUCAUACCUCCGAUACUACUCAUAGAUUCAUCAAAAUAAGCAAACAACACAUGAAAAACAGAAUCUGUAAAAAACAGAAAAGUAUGUAGCAAUCUAUAACUUUUAAAUACUUCUGUAACUCUAAAAAUUCUGAAAUAACUUGGUGGACGUGAGGAAUUUGUCUAUUAAUCAUCUUAGAAAAGAAUCAACCUAAAAUCACUCUCCAGUAAAAAAUGACAGCUAUUCUCGUGAGCGCAAAAGUUUCUAUUUUUUAAAGCAAGAUCGCAGAGACUUUACCCAAGUCUUCCCAAAGGUUCUAUUUGGCAGAAACACUAAUUAAAACACAAAAACACAUCUAAACAGAAGGUACAUGAAAUAUUUAUUACUAAAAAGGAGCAAAAAGUAAAUAACAAAAAUAAAAUUGGGUUGCCUCCCAACAAGCGCUAUCGUUUAACGCCCCUAGCUAGGUAUAAAAACAAGAAUUGAUCUAGGUAUUGCCAUCUUUGGCAUGCAAUCUAUGAGUGGAUCUCAUAAUAGGUUCAUAAGGCAAUUUAAUUUUCUUCCUAGUAAAGUGUUCCAUGCCCAUGUAGAUUCAUAAAUGGCUCUCAUAAUAGAUUCAAGGCAAUUAUUGAUAUUCCAAUUUCCUAGUAAAGAACAAUUAUCAUAAUUAAAUCCCUUGAAAUCCAAAAUAGUGGGUUCAUUGCUAUGUAAAGUUUUGACCUCUUCAAUCCCACUUUUAUCAAUUUUUGCAUCUAGAUCUAAGAACUCCGAAUCAUUGGGAUGCCCUUUAACUAAAGUUGACUCAUCUCCAGUCCCAUCUUUAUCAAGAUUCAUGUUGGAAAACAAAGAUUUAAUAAGAGUCACAUCAGUCACUUUUAGAUCUUUAUUAUUAUUAUCAUGAACACUAGAAGAACACGCUUUCAUAAAGCAAUCUUUUUUAGCACGCAUCCUAAUGGUUCUUUCUUUGCACUCAUCAAUGGAAAUUCUCAUGGAUUUGAGAGACUCAUUGAUAUCAUGCUUAGGUGGAAUAGAUCUAAGUUUCAAAGAAUCAACAUCAAGAGAAAUUAUAUCCAUGUUUCUAGCCAACUCAUCAAUCUUAAGCAAUUUUUCUUCAAUCAAAGCAUUGAAAUUCUUUUGCGAACUCAUAAAUUCUUUAACACUAUUCUCAAAAUCAGAGGGCAUCUUAUUAAAAUUUCCAUAAGAUUUUUUGUAAGAAUUACCAUAAUUAUUAGAGGAAUUACUAGGAAACGACCUAGGAUUAAAAUUGCCUCUAUACGCGUUGUUACCAAAAUUGUUCUUACGAACAAAAUUCACAUCCAUAGAUUCAUUAUUAUUCUCAAUCAAAGUGGACAAAGGCAUAUCAUUAGGAUCAGAAGAAACACUUUUAUUAGCAAACAAUUUCAUAAGUGCAUCCAUCUUUCCACUCAAAACAUUAAUCUCUUCAAUCGCAUGAACCUUUUUACUAGUGGAUCUUUCGGUGUGCCAUUGAGAAUAAUUAACCAUAAUAUUGUCUAGGAGUUUAGUAGCUUCUCCUAAAGUGAUUUCCAUAAAAGUGCCUCAUGCGUCCGAAUCUAAAAGAUUUCUAAAAGCAAAAUUCAAUCCGGCAUAUUCUUUUUGUAUAAUCAUCCACAAAUUCAAACCAUGUGUAGGGCAAUUAUGUAUCAUUAAUUUCAUACUCUCCCAAGCUUGUGCAACAUGCUCAUGAUCAAUUUGCUUAAAAUUCAUAAUAUCGUUCCUAAGAGAGAUGAUCUUAGCGGGAGGAAAAUACUUAGAGAUAAAAGCAUCUUUGCACUUAUUCCAUGAAUCGAUAUUAUUUUAGGCAAAGAAGAGAACCAAGUUUUAGCAUGAUCUCUAAGAGAAAAUGGAAAUAGCUUCAAUUUAACAAUAUCAUUGUCCACAUCUUUCUUCUUUUGCAUAUCACACAAAUCAACGAAGUUGUUUAGAUGGGUUGCAACAUCUUCACUAGGAAGGCCAGAAAAUUGAUCUUUCAUAACAAGAUUCAACAAAGCGGUAUUAAUUUCACAAGACUCAGCAUCGGUAGUAGGAGCAAUUGGAGUGCUAAUAAAAUUAUUGUUGUUGGUAUUGGAAAAGUCACAUAAUUUAGUAUCAUCUUGAGCCAUCGUGACAAACAAUCAAUCCAACACACAAGCACACAAGAAGCAAGCGAAAAGAAACGAACGAAAUAGGGGCGACGAAAAGGCAAGGGUUUUCAAAAAUCGUUUUAGAAGUGGGGGAGAGGAAAACGAGAGGUGAAUGGCAAAUAAUGUAAUGCAAGGGAGAAGAGUUUAUUAUGGGUACUUGGUAUGUCUUGACUUGUCAUAGAUCUCCCCGACAACGGUGCCAGAAAUCUUUCUUGCUACCUCUUGAGCAUGCGUUGGUUUUCCCUUAAGAGGAAAGGGUGAUGCAGCAAAGUAGCGUAAGUAUUUCCCUCAGUUUUGAGAACCAAGGUAUCAAUCCAGUAGGAGACGACACACAAAUCACCUAGUACCUGCACAAACAAUCAAGAACCUUGCAACCAACGCGAUAAAGGGGUUGUCAAUCCCUUCACGGUCACUCACAAAAGUGAGAUCUAAUAGAUAUAAUAAAGUAAAUAUUUCUGGUAUUUUUGUUGUAUAGAUUGGAAAGUAAAGAUUGCAAAAUAGUAAACGAGAUGCGAUGUAAAUAAAAGAGAUGUAAUAUAAUAGGAAAGAGACCCGGUGGCCAUAGGUUUCACUAGUGGCUUCUCUCAAGAUAGCAUGUAUUACGGUGGGUGAACAAAUUACUGCCGAGCAAUUGAUAGAAGAGCGCAUAAUUAUGAAGACAUCAAAGGUAAUAAUCACGAACAUAGGCAUCACGUCCGUGUCAAGUAGACUGAAACGAUUCUGCAUCUACUACUAUUACUCCACACAUCGACCGCUAUCUAGAAUGCAUCUAGAGUAUUAAGUUCAGAAGAACGAAGUAACGCAUUAAGCAAGAUGACAUGAUGUAGAGGGAUAAACUCAAGCAAUAUGAUAUAAACCCCAUCUUUUUAUCUUUGAUGACAACAAUACAAUACGUGCCUUGCUGCCCCUACUGUCACUGGGAAAGGACGCCGCAAGAUUGAACCCAAAGCUAAGAACUUCUCCCAUUGGAAGUAAGAUCAAUCUAGUAGGCCAAACUAAAUCGAUAAUUCGAAGAGACUUGCAAAGAUAUCGAAUCAUGCAUAUAAGAAUUUAGAGAAGAACCAAAUAAUAUUCAUAGAUAAUCUUAUUCAUAAAUCCACUAUUCAUCGGAUCUCGACAAACACACCGCAAAAUAAUUACAUCGAAUAGAUCUCCAAGAACAUUGAGAUGAACUUUGCAUUGAGAAUCAAAGAGAGAGAAGAAUCCAUCUAGCUAAUAACUAUGGACCCGAAGGUCUGUGGUAAACUACUCACGCUUCAAUGGAGAGGUAAUGGUGUUGAUGUAGAAGCCCUCCAUGACCGAUUGCCCCUCCGGCAGAUUGCCGAAAAAGGCCCCAAGAUGGGAUCUCACGGGUACAGAAGGUUGCGGUGGUGGAAACGUGGUUUCGUGGCCCCCCUGAUAUUUUUAGUGUAUAAGAGUAUAUAUAGGCGAAAGAAGUACAUUGGUGGAGCUACGAGGGGUGGUGCACUUCUCGUAAAAAUGUUUCUUUUAGAGGGGUGGUGCACUUUUGAGAGGACGACUUCUUCUUGCUUGUGCUUGGGUCAAACCAGAGCCCCUCUUUGGCAAACACCUCAUUGUGUUGGCUCAACACCUCAUUAAGGUUCUUUUGUCCUUGAGCACAUGUCAUGAGACCUUUCUCGAUUUGAACUUUGAGAAAGCGAUUCUCCUCAAGAAUAGAUGCUAGAUCACUACUAGAGUUAGUAGUACAAGCAUCAACAUUGAUAAUAGGAGAAGAGUAAGCUUUGGCUAGAGUUUCAAGAUAAGUAAGUUUGAGCGUCUUAAAACUCUUUGUAAGAAGGGUGAGAUCUUCUUCCUUAGUCUUGAGGGACACGGAUAGAAGCUCACAAUCCUGAGAGAGAGAAGCAUGAGACUUCACAAGCUUACUUUUAUCAUUCAUCAACUCUUCACAAGAUUCAUUAGCCUUUUUCAAGGAGGCAAGAUCUUUAGCAUGAACAUCAAUGUUUGAACCAAUUUUCAAGCAUAGUUCAUCAUUUCGUGCUUUCUCAUAUUGGUCUUUCCGCUCAAGGAUUUCAUAUUUUUCCUUUUCCUCGGUGACGAGGGUUUCGAGUUCCUUAAUGGUGAUGGUGUGCUUACUCACCAUCCCCAUAAGCAUAUGAAACAUAGUGAGCUUCUUUCCUUUGAGGGAGCACAUGAACUUAUUAAGUUUAGCAAGCAUAGGAUCAUCUAUAUCAUUAUCCUUAUAACUAUCCUCCGCAUCAAGAUACUCAUCACUAGGAGUAGAAGGAGUGAAAAGAGGAGGAUUUGAUCAUGGGGUUACCUUGACCUUGUCAGGAGAGCUUUGGUCCUCUCCAUCUUCUACCACGGCCUUUGCCAUUAGGCACUUGUGAGUGUUGCCAUUGGAGUCUUUCAUGUAGUUGUAGGUGACCACAUCACCAUUCUUGUUCACUAGCCUCAAAGUGUUUUGAGAAUCUUGAGCAACUCCGGCAACACCACUAACAUCAUCUGGAUCGGAUUCUUCAUGAGCAACCAUUGCUUUCCCAUCUCUCCUCUUGAGCUUGGAGUUCAAAGGAUUUGGCAAAUUCUUCUUGGGAAAGGUCUUGGGAAACCUUGGUUUAUCUUCUCUCUUCUCAUAAGGUCACUCGUUGGAGAAGUGGUUGGUUUCUUCACAGUUGUAGCAUUUCCUCACUUUCUUCCUCUGGAACCUUCCCUUGAAUUUUCCCGCGCUAAACUUCUUGACAAAGAGAGCAAUGUCUUCAUAUGACGGGCUCUCAUUUGAGUCAAUCUCAUCACCAUCCUCCUCCUCCUCAUCAUCAUCAUCUUCUUCUUCUUCUUCUUCACUUUUCUCUUCUUCACAUACAUGCUUGGCCUUCAAUGCAAGGUUGAUCUUUGAUGUUGAGGUACCAUGCAUGGCAAGAUGUUUUGUGGUAUUUGCCUUUGACUCUUCAAAUAGUUGGAAAGUGGAUAUCAUGUCAUCUGGAGUCAUUUCCUUGAAUCCAUGGUGUUGUCUUAUGUCCCACACCAUUUGGUGAUGAUAUGGAGCAAGAGCAUGAAGCAACUUAUCCACGAGAAAUCGCUUAGUCAAGUUGAAUCCAUCUUGAGUCUUGUCACAUUCACAUGACUCAAUGUCGGCGGUGAGAGUCAUGAGACGCUCAAGUAGUUGCUUGGGAGAUUCACCUUUCUCCAUACAAAAGUUUUGCAAUUGACCCAAGACGGAGAGUGGAAGUACCGGUCUUGGUCCUCACAAUGCUAUCCCGUAAUUCCUUGGCACUUGUGAUAUGUAUGUAUGGUCUCCUUUGCUUGUCAGUCAUACCUCUUCUUAUGUACAUGGUUGCUGUGUCGUUGAGAUUCUUGUCAUAAACCUCUCUUGGAGUAAGAUUCUUCGGGUCAAUAGCUUGGUAGCCAUACUCCAAGAUCUCCAACAUCUCAUCAUUUCCAUAUCGAAGAUGAUCCUGCAUAGCAACUCUCCACAAAGCAAAAUCGGUAGUGUCAUCAAGUAAAGGAGGCUUGCCUUGAGGGUUAUACUUAGGUUUCUCUAUUUGAGGUCUUGCAUAAAGCCAAGGAACACCGGAGUGUUCAUUACAAGGAGGUUAUUGGACAAGUGAGGAAGUAGGCACAACUGGCCUCGAGGUCGCACCACCAGAAAGUGGUGCAAGCAUCGUGGUUAGUGUGGCUAUACUCAUUUGGACCAAGGCCUCAAGAGAGGCAUCAUGCUCCUCCUUUUGCUUAGCAAGAGCUCGUUCCAGAUCCUCUGAAGUGAAGGACUUGGUUUUCGUGGAAGCCGCGCCCGUACUCUUCAGAUCUGCAACAAGGGGAGUCCCAUCAGGGUUCAUCUCGCUCUAGGGAAGUUACGCCACAAGAAUAGAGCACGAGGCUCUGAUACCAAUUGAAAGGAUCGAGAUGGACCUAGAGGGGGGGUGAAUAGGUACAAUUACAAAUUUUAAUUGUUACUUAGAAAUUUUAGUCAGUAAUGCGGAAUAUGAAGUUGAGCCUAACAAUUGCAAGUGUGAAGCUAUGAGCUAAGCAAGGUAAACAAGUAACUCAAGUAGGAGAGUAAGCAAGCACAAUAUGAUAUAAGUAAAGACUAAGAGACAAGUAACCACAAGUAGGGAGUUAGUGUUAUGGAUAACCGCAACUCCAAGAGACGAGGAUGUAUGCCGAUGUUCACUUCCUUGGAGGGAAGUUACGUCACCAUUAGAGAAGUGGGUGUUACCACGAAGGCACACCAACGCCACGAAGGCUCACCCUAUUGUCCCUUCAAGACAACACCAUGAAGGCUUUUUUCAACCACUAGUGAAAGAACAUGAGGUGCCCCCAUGUUUGGUUUUGGUAAUUGAUGACAAUCUCUAUGGACUAAUGGUUGCCUUGAGUUAUAUUUGAAGGUUUUGUCCAUAGGCUUUUCUUGGAGUACAUGUGUUGGUUUCAAGGAGAGUUUGUGUCGACCAAGGUGCUAUUCAAGGAAUUACGUAAAAUAUUGGUCUUGUGAGAGGUUGAUCAAGACUAAGUCAAAGAGUGAAUCAAGUUGAUCAACACACAAAGUGUAGAAGAUGUACCGAGAAGGAUCAAGUGAUCCCAUGGUAUGGUAAGCAUUGUCAAUUACUCUUUGUGUACUAUCCCAUGGUCUCGUGAGAGUUCUUUAUGGGGUUAGGAUGCGGUGUGCAAGUUCAAGUGAUGCAUCACGAAGAGAUCAAGUGCUUGAAGCUUGCUGUCCAUUGUGGUGACAAUGGACUUGUGAAGAUGAGCCGAAGAUUGGCUCACCCAUAGUGGACUAUGGGGAGCAAUCAUCUAGUCUUCAUCGAGCCAACGCAAUCAAGAAAGGCGGUCCAACUUGAGGGAGUCAAGAUCAUCAUCAUCUAGCUCAAGUGGACCAUGUGCAAGGCAAAGGUUUGCCCUCGAUAGGUUUUCUAUUUUACCGAUCUCAUGGUCGUAGUUGGAAGACUGGGUUAUAGGAUCGUUUGCCGUACUAUCAAGGUGGACUCUCAAGUUGGUAGCUUGAUUGUAUCAUUAGUAGAGAGAUCAAACCAUUGCAUAAAUGCAUCAUAUUUCUGAGUUCUUGUUUGGUUCUCUUUGUGAGUCUUAGAGCUUAUGGUCAUCUUGAUGCGAAGCUUGAGUUCAUCGAAAAUGGAGUUCGCAUGCGUCUUCUAUGAUGUUUUCGGUGUUGGAGGUUUUACCGGUCUUAUCCGAGGAAGGGUUCUCACCAUUUUCUUAUGGGUCUUUUCUCAUUUGCUUAUUAUUGAUAUGUCUAUCCAGAUUGUGUUAGCCCAUGUCGUUAGCUUUCCAAAAAACUUGGUUUCGUUGAAUUCGGAGUCCGUUUGCAAAAGUUGUGGCUGUUUUGGUAAAGACUGCAGCGGUACUAUCGCGACUAGAGCGGACAUAAAUUUUUACUACCGCUCCAGAGAGGUACUACCGCGGCUCCUGAGCGGUAGUACCGCUCCAGAGCUGUACUACAGUGGCUCCUGAGCGGUAGUACCACUCCGGACCAAAAUCUCAUGUUUUGCUUAGCGGAGGUAGGCACGGAAGUAUUUUUUUUAAUACCGCUCGCAAGCAGUAGUACCGCUACCAUUUGUGGUAGUACCGUGACGUCGAGCGCUAGUACCGUGAGGACGAGCGGUAGUACCGCUCCGGCGGUUCUACUGACCUUUUGCCUCCUCGUUGUUGUUUUUCAAAGGGGUUCUACCGCCCUAGCGGUAGUACCACUCCUUGGAGCGGUAGUACCGCUUUGUGCGGGGUGUGAGCAUAACGGUUGGAUUCUCCCCAACCUAUAAAAGGGGGUCUUCUUCCCCAUUGAACAUUAUCUCUUAAGCUCGUGUUCUUCCCCCAUUGUUGACCUUCUUCGAGCUUGCUAACACUCAAUCCCUCCAAUGAUUCUUGCUAGUUCUUGAGGGAAAAGAGAGAGGAGAUCUAGAUCCAUGUUUCCACCAAUCACUUUCUUCUCUAAGUGAGGGGAAUCCCUUGGAUCUAGAUCUUGGAGUUCUUCAUGUUCUUCUUUAAUUCUUCCUCUCAUUUUCCUCCCUAGCAUUAGUUGCUUUGGUGGGAUUUGGGAGAGAAGGACUUGGGCACUCCGUGUGCCCUUGCAUUGCUUUUGGUGCAUCGGUUUGAGUUCUCCACGUGAUACGUGGAAGUUACAUGUUGAGAAGCUUAUUACUCUUGGGUGUUUGGACACCCUAGAGCUUGUUCCUCUUGGGUGCCUUGGCGCCCUAGACGGUUGGUGUUGUUCGAAGCUCAAUCAUUGUGGUGUAAAGCCCCAGGCAAGCGUCGGGGGUCUCCAAUUAGGUUGUGGAGAUCGCCCCAAGCAAUUUGACGGGUACCGGUGACCGCCCCCAAGGGUUGCCAAAGUGUACGGGUUAGGUGACCUCCCCCAAGGGUUGCCAUUUGUAUGGGUUCAGUGACCGCCCUCAAGGGUCCCUUAGUGUAAUCAUGGCAUCUUGCAUUGUGCGAGGUCAUGAGGAGAUUACAGUGGCCCUAGUGGCUUCUUGGGGAGCAUUGUGCCUCCACACCGCUCCAAACGGAGAUUAGCAUCCGCAAGGGUGUGAACUUCGGGAUACAUCAUCGUCUCUGAGUGCCUCGGCUAUCUCUUACCUGAGCCCUUUACUUAUGCACUUUACUUUGUGAUAGCCAUAUUGUUCUUUGUUAUAUAUCUUGCUAUCACAUAGUUGCUUAUCUUGCUUAGCAUAAGUUGUUGGUGCACAUAGGUGAGCCUAGUUGUUGUAGGUUUUGUGCUUGACAAAUUAACCGUUAGGUUUAUUCCGCAUUUGUUCAAGCCUCUACCGUAAUUUUAAAACGCCUAUUCACCCCCCUCUAGGCGACAUCCAUGAUCUUUCAAUUGGUAUCAGAGCCUCAUCUCUCUUUGUUAGGCUUAACCGCCUAGAGAGUAAAGAUGUCGACUAGGGGAUUAGGAUUCUUUGACACUCUUAGUUUUGAUGGCACAAAUUUUGAUGUUUGGGUAAUUCGCAUGCUUAAUCUCUUUAGGGUCAUGGACCCAAAUUUAGAGCGAAUUGUAGAUAUGGGUUUUUCUCCUCCUAAGGAUCCCCAAAUAUUAUCUUUAGAGGAUGAGAAAAACUCUUAUCUCAAUGCUCAAGCUUCUAAUGUGCUUUUUGAUGCUUUGAGCAAUGUAGUUAUAUUUCAACUCAUGCCGUUCCGGGAUGCUCAUGAGUUGUGGACAAAGCUUCAAGAUAAAUAUGGUGUGUCAAAGAUUUGUAAGGAUGAUCAUUCUCCCUCCACCUCCAGCCGUGUUGCGUUCUCAACUUCUUCUACUUCACCUACAUGUGGUUUGCCACAAGGUAAUGACAUGGUGAGUAGUGGUGUUCAUUGCAAUGAUGAUAGUGGGCUUAUUGUUGAUAAUCCUUCAUCACUUUCUUAUUGCAAUGCUUCAUCUUUGGACUUUAGCACUUCGAGCACUCCCAAUGUUUCACAGCUUGUGUUGAUAGUUCUUGCAUAUCAUGUCGAAAUUGCUUGACUAAAUCUCAUGAUGAUAUGCUAGCUAUAUCUUGUUGCCAUGAUAAAAAUGCAUGUAUUUCCUCGAGUUGUUGUGCUAACAAUGUAGAGGAAACCCAGCACUCCAUGGAACAAGAUGUGGUCUUGAAUGGUGCUUCAAGGGAUCCUACAUCAUCAUCUAUUGCUUUUUGCCUUAUGGCCAAGGCUUCAAAAGUAUCUCCCACUUUGAAUCCCAAUAUAUCUUGUGAUGAUAUUGAUGAUGGCAAGAGUGAUGAUGAUGUCGAUUAUGAUGAAGAGAAUGAUGAUGUUGCCUCCUUAAAAAUUAAGGGGAAAUGAUUUUUAAAACUCUUCUUAAGAAUAAAAUUGCUCGUUCCAACUUCAUGGAAAUCAUGUCGAUUGCUAUUGAGAGCAAGAAAUAUAUUAAUGAGUUGGAAUCUCGUCUUGAGGAGCAUGAGGUCACCAUUGAUAAAAUGGAAGGUCAUGAGCGUGAUUACGCUAAUGAUAUUGCGGACCUCUCUCAAGCUCUUGAACUUGAACAAACCACCAAGGAAUCUCUUGAGAAGACUUUUCCUCUAGAAUUAUCUAGAGUGAAGGAAUCUAAUGAUAGAGCUCUUGAGGUGGCCAAUAUUUUUGAAACUAAAAAUGCUAAGAUUGAAGUUGCUCAUGCUAGACUCCUUGAGGAUUUUGAUCACCUCACAAAUGGCUCAAGGGUCAUCAAGGGUGAGCUCAUCAAACUCACCGAGUCUCAUGCUCAACUUGAAGCUUCUUAUUUAAAAGAGCUUUCCAAGUUGCAUUCUCAUCUUGUUGUUAAUGAUUAUGCUUGUUCUAGUAACUCUAUUUCUUGUGAAGCAUCCAUUUUAAAGGAGAAUGUUGAGCUAAGGGCUCAACUUGAGUUGCUAUCUAGAAAGUAUGGGAAAUUGGAAGAAAGUCAUGAAAAGCUUUCUAACUCUCAUGAUGAUCUUCUUGUAUCCCAUAAUGUGCUAAAAAUAGCUCAUGAGGCUAUGAUUGCUAAGGUAACAUAUAGUGAGCCUCAUGUGGAUAUUAGCACUACUUUUAGCCAAAAUGCUAUAUUGCCUUGUGUUAGUCCUCGUAAUUCGUCUAUGCAUAACAUUGGUACAUCUUGUGAUGAAUUGCUUUCCUUGCCUUGUUGCUCUAAUGAUGAAGCUUAUACUUCCUCUAGUACUUGUGCUGAGACUAACCAUGUAGAGGAAACCAAAGAGCUCAAGGCCCAAGUCACUUCUUUGAAGAAAGACUUGGAAAAGAGUCAUGAAGGGAGAUCCACACUCAACAAUAUCUUGAGUGUGCAAAAAUCCCCCAAUGACAAAGGUGGACUUGGAUUCAACUCCAACAAGAAGAAGAAGUCCAAGUUGAACAAGAAGAAGGGCCAAGAACAAGUCAAGAAUUCAGCCAAGAUUAUUUGCUUCAAGUGCAAAAUUGAAGGGCAUCAUGUGAGAUCUUUCCCAUUGAAGAAGAAGGACAUUAGUGACAAGCAACAAGGGAAGCGGCCACAAGUUCAAUAUCAUGCUCAACCACAAGUUGAAGAAAUGCCUCUUCCCAAGAAUACUCAAGAUAAUGCUUCUCAAAUUGAGAAAUCAAGUGAGAAGAAAGUGAAGAGUAGAUGUUGCUACUUAUGUCGUGAGAAAGGUCACGUCGCUUCUUCAUGCACUAGUGGUAACUUAUCCAACCCAAUUAUUAUUGAAAAUAUCUAUUCUCUUUGGAAUGAUAAGAUUGGCAAUGUGUUUUCCAAGUUUGUUGGUACUCAAAGUGGUGUCAAGAAAAGAACCAUUUGGGUUGCCAAGACUAUUAUGACUAACCUCUUAGGACCCAACUUGGUUGGGGACCGACAAGAUCAAACUUGAUCAAUAGGUGUUGUUGGAGGGCAUUGGACACUUGGUUACAUUAUGAAGAAUUAAGGGGACUUCAUCAUUCUUAUUGUCUCAAGCCAAGUCAAUUGGGUUAUCAAGUUUCUAUGUUAUAUCCAAUGUUCCUCCUUGCGGUAACUCGUACUUAAGUUGUUUACAUUGAUAGUUACUUGCCCCUAAGCAUGUUGUGGUUUUGUACCUUGCAUGUUUUUCUAUAUGAUGUGUUUCCAAUGUGCUUAACUUGAGUAAUCAAGUAUGUGUAUGUUGGUUUGCACAUCAUGUACGUGUGUGUCGUGCGUUGAGCCUUUGUGCAUCUUAUUUGUUUCUUAGUUGGCUCUUGUGAGAGAUUAAUGGAAUAUCCCAUUAUGGGGGAGUGAUGUGCUUUGUGCACCUCACAAUCUUAUAGAUGUGUGUACAUGAGGAAUACCAUCUAGUAUUGAUAUUACAAGAGUAUCUAGUCACUAUGUGGUAUGUCUUCUCAUGAGAAAUUCAAAUUCUAAAUAGUCCAUUAAUCAUUUGUUGUUGGAUCCUCUUAUUGCCUCUUGUUAAGUUUUUAUUGGUAUCACAUUAUGGGGGAGUAAUAUGCUAUGUGCAUACUACAAGCCUAGAAAAUGUGUACAUUUGAGAUAUUGUCACCUAGAAUUGAUAUUGUAAAUUAUCUUGUUCCUAGGUGGCAUGUUAGCUCUACAAGUUGCAAUUUGCUUGUGUUUGGUGUGAAGAUGAUGUCGGAUAUCCUUGCUAUCUACCACCGGGAAUUACUUCCAAAUACUUCUUGUCUUUUGACAACUGGUACUCACUUAUGUGUGGUAGAAAUUAUUUUUGACUAUGAAGACAGUAGGAAAGGUUCCUACUGCAUAUAUAUUACCAAAACCUCAGGGGGUAUAAUUACAUGUGUGUGUUACAUACAUGCGUAGUGGUUGCACCACUCAAAAAAAGCACUAGAGAGUACACAGGCACCUAUUGUAUGGAUUCAAGUAUAGCAGUAACAAUAUGCUCUUUGGAGGGUUUCACUCUAUAUCUAAGAUUAGAGAAGUCCAACUUAAACCUCUGUUUCCAGGCUGUGACAGAGGGUUUGAUCUUCCUGAAGUGGUUGUUAUUUCGCUCCUUCCAAAGACUCCAGGACGACGUCAAAAAGAUAUCCAUCCACAUCUUUCUAGGCUACAUGGUUUUUUGAUGUUUGAUCAUAUCAAGUCUGUCAUGAUGUGUGGUCCAUGUGAAGCCAAGAGCUCGCUAGCAUUCCUGACUGAAAGUGCAAAGAAAGAAUAGGUGUUCCACCGUUUCUUCAACGUGAUGGCCACACAAGAGGCAAUCAAUGUUUGUACCAAUGUUGUAGUGCCUCCUCUUGAGCAUGUUUCUGGUGUUGAGACGAUCAACGAGUAGGAACCACCCAAAGGUCUUAAUCUUGGGAGUACUUUUUUGCUUUCCACAGCCAGCCGAAAGCUUCAUGGGCAAUCACAUCUUUGAAAUAAAAUUUGUAGUAUGAGGAUGUUUUGAAGGUUUGGUCGCCCCAUAUACAUUGCCAGGUGUCAUGUUCAUCCGUAAGUGUGAUCUCGGCCACCUCAUAUUGGAUGGAUCGCAGUUCGUCAUGUGCUUGAACAGAGAGGGGGAGCUGAAAGGUUUCAUGCAGGUCGGUGGACGUCAGGAGUUGUUUGACCGAAAUGUCUUCAACAAUAGCAUAAGAAAAAUCCCUGGGGCAACUAUCAGCAUAUAUGGACUGGCUCCAAUUAUCUUUCCAGAACAGAGCAGAAGAUCCAUCCCCAAUUUUUAUGCGUGUCACACCUCGAUACGUGGGCAUUAGCUGAGUUAAAUAUUUCCACCAGAAGGAGCCACACGAGUCAUGAGCAUGUGGGAUGGUGUCACCAUAGUAGGAUUUCUAGAUUAGAUGGACCCAAGGGAUAUCAUGCCUGUUGUAAAACUUGUGGAGAAAUUUGAGUAGCAGGGCAUCAUUCUGAAUUUUGAGGUUGACAACACCCAAUCAACCAUUUUUCUUGGGCGUGCAGACCAUGUUCCAAGCGGCAAGAGAGUUGCUCUUAAUCCCAUCAUCGGACCGCUUUUGCCAUAGGCAAUGCCUUCUGAUCUUGUCAAGUUGGGCAACAAUUUUUGGUGGGAGGCGAAUGGUGCCCAUUGUGAACAUGAUAAGGGAGGUUAUCAUCGAGUUCAUUACAGCAAGUUUCCCCGCGUAUGACAUUAGAGACAUAGAAGUCGUAAUAUUUCUUUCUGCUUUGCAAACUAGAGGAGCCAAGUCAAGGACGGUCGGGCGAGUGGUGCCUAGGGGUAGGCCAAGGUACGUGAACGACAUGGAUCCCACAGUGCAUCCCAACAAAUCAGCUAGUUCUUUGCAUUUCUCAGGAGGUGUGUUAAUUGGCACUAGCAUGGAUUUAUGGAAGUUGAUCUUGAGCCCUACGGACGUGGCAUAAUCCUCUAGGAUUUCCUUAAUCUUGGCAAGUUGGCGGUUGCAGGCUGGCAGGAUGAUGAGCAUGUCAUCCGCGUAUUGAAUAACAGGGUAGUCACCAUUAGUGUUGCGUCGGAUGGGUAAUUCCAGGAGGUUAUUUCUAAGUGCCUCAUUAAUUGCAGACUGGAGUAGGUCCGCAGCUAUGACAAAAAUUAGAGGCGAGAGGGGGUCACCUUUUCGCACACCACAUUUGCAUUGGAAAGAUUUUCCCGAAGUACCAUUGAGCAAGACCGAAGAUUUACCAGAAGUGAAGAUGCAUUGCAUCCAUUGGAGCCACUUGUCAUUGAAACCCACUUUUCUCAUAAUGUGCAGCAUAACAGAGUGUUGGAUAGUGUCAAAGGCUUUGGCGAAAUCUAAUUUCAGCAAGAUUAUCUCUUUUUGCGAGGCUUAACACUGGUGUAUAUAUUCGAAAGCCCACGCCAAACAGUCAUGGAUGGAUCGGCCGCGUAAGAACCCGUACUGAUUACGGUGGACUAUCUGCAAGAUGAUUUUUUGAAGACGAUUGGCCAGCAGCUUUGUGAUAAGUUUGAGAAAACAGUUUAAUAAUGUGAUCGGGCGGAAGUCAUUGACCGUCUCUUGUGAGUUCUUAGGGAUCAAGGUGAUAUAGCCAUAGUUUAGGCAAUCAAGAUUCAAAUCCCCUCUGUGGAAUUCAUUGCACAGAAUGUAGAAGUCAUUUUUAAUGAUAGGCCAGCAUGCUUUCGAGAAGGCGCCAUUGAAACCAUCCGGGCCUGGUGCUUUGUUCGGGGGCAUCUCCUUUAUGACAGCAUCGAUUUCAGCAUGUGUCAAUGGGGUAGUGAGGCUAUCGAAAUCAACUUGCUGUCGGAGCAAAGACGAGAGGUUAAACUUCAUGUUUGGCUUCGAGCAUGAACCCAAUCUUUGUUUGAAGGCUUGGAACAGAAUAGCUUCUUUGCCAGCAUGAUCCUCCACAACAAUCCCAUUUUCAGUUUUUAGUGUAGCAAUGCAGUUUCUUCUGAAUCUUUCUGUAGCAACAGUUUGGAAAAACUUUGAGUUUUCGUCUCCAAACUUGAUCCAUCUGAUGGUGCAUCUUUUCUUCCAGUAUUCCUUUUGGUAACUAAGAAGUCGUAGGAGGUGCUUUUUGAGAAUGUUUCUGAAGUUAUGUUCAGGGAGCGAAAGAGCACGCCGCUCUUCAAUACCAUCUAGCUCAAGAAGUGCUUUAUUGGAAUUUUCGAUGGCAAUUUUUAGGCGGGAAAUCUUUUUGCUCCAGUGAGAAAGGGCAUAACAGAUAGCUUUCAGCUUUUGGCAUAGUAUAGAAGCUGCAUUUUUAUCUUUGCCAAAUUUGAGGGGCUUAUUCCAAGCUUCCUCAAUGACAUGCAGGAAGCCCAGGUGCGCAAUCCAAUAGGUUUCAAAUCUGAAAAUUUUGCUCUUGGGGAUUUUGGAUUGUAUGAUCACAAAGUAGGGUAUAUGGUCAGAGACUGGGCGGCCCAAAGGGUUUACCAUAGUGUUAGGAAAAGAUGUCGUCCAAUUUAGCGAGGUGAAAAACUAGUCAAGUUGUUCGAGCAGAGGAUUGAGCUGCAUAUUAGACUAGGUGAAAGUACGACCUUUAAUGGUAAGUUCAGUUAAAUCUUGCUGUCGGAUGAAGUCAUUGAAAGUAAACAUAUCCUAAGUGUUUCCUCCUAGCAGAUUACGAUUUUCAGGCGAGCGAACGUAGUUGAAGUCCCCUAGCAGAAGCCAAUCUUCAGAAGAUGGGAUUGAAUGGUCAAACAACCAUUAAGUGUAUGUAUUGUGCUGAUCCCCUUGACAUGGGCCAUAGAUAUUAACUAACGUCCAGUUAUGCGCGUUUUGGGUGGAAGUGAAGUUGAUGCCUACUGCAAAUUGUUCCUCAAAAGUGACCGUACCAGUGAAAAGAGCACUAUUCCAGAUCGUGACAAUUCCUCCCGACGCUCCAACGGACGGAACAUACACAUAGCUAUCAAAACGCUUAGGGCAGAGCAACUUGAGAGUGGCAGCAUCAAACGUCUGCAUUUUAGUUUCUUGAAGAUAGAUAAUUGCACACCCACUAGACUGGAUCGCAUUCGAUAGAGCUAAGCGUUUUUUGUCUGAAUUAAGACCGCGAAUAUUCCAACAUAGGACAUUCCACGACUGCAAAAGAACCAUUUAACGAUGAAGUAAAGAGGAAGAUCAAGCUGAGGUUGAUGAAGAAAUCCCCGCCUGGUCUUCAGUGAGAGCAGCAACCGUGAGCUCCUCCUCCGGGAUGGCACAUAAGUUUGUGCCAAUGGCUUGCAUUGUGGAAAUAUCAGUUGGAGGAGGGAUUUCUUCAUUGAGCAUCUAAGUGGAAGUAGUAGUUGCAGAACCAAGGGAGGCAGCCGAACAAACAGUACGUGGCUUCACCUUGGAUUGGAGGCCUUAGCUUUAGAAAGAGAAUUUAUGCGAAAACUAUCAUACUUGUUGGUACGGUUGCUGUGACGAAAAGUGGAAGUGUCGAUGGGAGCUAACACUUUCCCUUUGCGCUUACGAGCUGAGGAACCAACCGCAUUGUUUGCAGUUUCAGAGAUGGCACCUGUUGCAAUCUGAAGCAGACCAGUCUAAGUUUCAGAGUGAUAUGCAGCCAGGUCAGAUAGAUGUGAAUCAGCAUCCGUGUUAGACCUCAAAUGGAGGGAAUCAGCCUCAAUGCUAGUAGAUCCAUCAUCAUCAUCAGAGAGUUCAUCAACAAAAAUUUCCAUGGGACCCUGAAUCUCCUGCCUGAACUGUCCAACAGAGUUUGGCGGGCUAUCAGAAAUGUCCUCAAUGAUCACAGCAGAAGGAGUGACAGCACUGGAGUUAUGCUGUGUGAAUUGGAGGCCUGUAGGACCAGCCGCCACCUGAACCUCAAGAUGCAGAACAUCUUGUCUAAACCCAAAACCAGAAGCCCAUGGAUCCCUUGUAGCAAGCAUAGGGCGGAUAGAAUUGAAAAGUGCAUUGUUGAGUUGCUGACGUGGUAUAGGAUCGGACAGAAGGAUUUCCAAGAGGGAGUCACCUUGAGCAGACAAACCAAAACACAUACCUUGGUCAUGAAUAUCCACGGAGAUGGUAAUCACUUCAGCAGCAGUAGUGUGAGUCACCUGGUCGACAAGGGCAACAACAUUAAACCCUGGAGAGGUCACUGGUAGAAUGAGCAAAUCUGAUUCAGUGGAAGCAAAAUCUUCAGAGGAAGUAUAUUCAGAAGAUGCAGUAACAGCCUCAUGCCAAGCUUGCAUAGGAAUGUUAGCAAUAUUGUUGUCAGGAACCACGCCAUGCAUAACAGUAAAACCCCAAGAAGCCUGCCAAGCCUGAUAAUUCAUUAGAUGAGGUGGCAUAGGAGGAUUUGGAGGUUGAGGCCAAGGAGCCCACCCUUAGUUAGGUGCUUCUUCAUUGUUGUUGUGAACAGGGUGAUUGGGGGCAGCAUUCUGCACCAUCCAAUUGUGAACCUGCUGCUGAUAGAGCUGUUCAACAGUAAGUUGAGGCCCAAACUACGGGUGAGGGUUGCCAUCCGCAGGAGGUGGUUCUUCGUUAGGAGGCAACACUUCAGGUAACAGCCCAUUCCAGUCAUUGCUUCUCAAGAUAGUAACCUGAACUGUCCAGCAGUCUCUUGCACCUCCAAGCUGCCAGACAGCAAAGCUCUUGGGCACAAGAUUCAGACGGAUUACACGAGCCUUGAUCAGCAUAUAUCUCCUAUCUUGGCGGGGAUUGUACCAAUGAACUAGAGAACCAUAGCCCCCUAAUGCCUUAGUGAUAUAGUAAUCCGUUUGGUAGUCAUAUGGAAAGCCGAAAAACAUCAACCAAAUCUCUGGACCAAAGGAGGUGGUGCGUCUGUUGAGUGCUUCGUUGUUAGGCACAAAAGUGCUAAGCAGAUCCUCCUCCUCUAAUUCUAAGGGUGUGUUGACAGCCAUAUCCCUCAAGAAAGAGUUUGCAAAACCAAAGAUCCCAACCCCAAGUGGAUGAUCACUAGCUUCAGUGGUAAAAAGAUGGGCUUCAUGCAGCAAACCUUCGAUAGCAGUUCGAACAGCAGCCCGGCGAUGCAGAGGAACAUAUGCACUUGCUUCCGAAUCGCCAGGUAGUCGUGGUUGAGCGGCGCAAUCGGGCGACCACCAUCCCAGACCUGACCAGGCGGUUCGCCGGACCAGGCUCCACUACAAACCCAGGUGACAAGAAGGGGACGGGGUUGAGCGGAUAGUUGGCCAUGGCGGAGGGCGAGAUGAGUGGAGGCAUCAAUGGUGAGUGAGGUAGAGUGCUGGCAUUGGUGGCAUGGGAGGUGUUUUGCAGGCUGGGGCGAGGCGUUUGGGCAAUCGAGGUGGAAGGCGGAGCAUGAGGGGCAGAAUCGGUAAGUCGAGUGGAUUUAGGAAUCCAUUUCCAUUUUUGCACCUUCCUUCGCUGGAAGCAAUGCCGUUCCAGGUGGCCAUAGAAACCACACGAUUGGCAUCUAAUGGUGCCUUUCUUACGCUGAUUGAUAGGAAGUGGUGGCAGAGCCGCGGGACUAGCGUUGGAGUUGAUUUGCUUCCCUAGGCAGUCGCCAAUCUGGUCAAAAUUAUGCAUCUGUGAAGCAGAUUUGGGGCAAUUGAUUGCCUUGUGGUCAGGCGCCGAGAAAUUAAUACAAAUUAGGCAUGCAAGGCAACUGGUUUUUUUGUGACCCCAUUGCAGACAUUUGGAGCAGAGUGAGGCCCAAUGGGUAUUAAGGUCUGUUAUAUCCUCCAAGGAGUAGUGGGCUUGGGCUAGAUCGGCCUUGUGUUGGUUGCUAAGUGUUGGAGGCCAAAACUCAUGCGGAGGCGCGUAUUUGAACGCAGAUGAAAGAAAACAUUGGGGUAACGAUGGGUAUUGGACAUGAAGUAAGCAUUUAAAGCUGCCCAGGAGAAUAAAAUCCGCUGGCUGAUUGCCCAACAAUUGCUCUUGUCGGAGAUAAUGCUGCAUUAAUUGAAUAUGUGAACCCAUAGCCUGUGAUGUAGGCAAAUUACGCUACUGAAUCAAGGGAUCAUCCAAAUUCAAAUUAUGAAGCAUCUGACCAGAAGAUGAAGCUUCGCAAGAAUUUUUGUUUGAAAAAACCAUCUUGUCAAUUGGAACAAUGUUGAAUUUGCCAAGGAUCUGAGCAGACCGUGAUCCUGGUGAGCCCAUUGGCGUCUUGAAUCUAAGGUUGGACUUGAUCGCAACUGGAGACCGAGAAGGAAUGUCCAAAUUUUCUUGAUCCGCAUGCCAGGAAGAGGCAGAGACAGGAGCUCUAGCAUAUCGGCCAUUAAAAAGAUGGAAGUGACAAACAAAAUCUAGCCAUACUCGAUCUUUCAAACCAUAUAUGAAAUGACCAACUUUGUUGCUUGCAACAGAAAAACGGAAGGUGCGAUCCUUGAUCUUGGUGACAUGGAAUCCAGAGCUUAGACCCCCAAGACAACAUUGCAAAGCAAUACCAAUAGAUUCCACCGAGAGAGGAAAGGAGGCUGAGGAGAAAGUGACCACCAUAAAGAAUUCCCUAGAUCCUUGGGAAGGGGAAAAAUGGACUGUCGUGCCAAACCUGUGCCUCACCUGAUUUGCAAGGGCUAGGCCCGGAGCAAAGUCCCAAUGGAGAAGACCAUCCAUGAUUCCUAGAUCUAUAGGCCACCAUUGUUGGUGGAGGUCAAGGGGAGGGGUGGGAGGUGGGAGGGAGAGGAGAGGGAGAGGAGAGCCAUUUCUUUACUAAGUCUAUCUUGUGGUGGUAGAAAUAAUUGAUCAUCUUCACAUUGGCUUUUGCCUUUUUUUGCCUUAUCUCUUGCCAAGUUUGUGUCAACUCCCAUUGCCUUCUGUGCCACUUGAGGAUCUUGGUGUUUUCUUGAUAUUGUCUAAUGUUUUCUUGAAAUAGUGAAAGUUGUGAUCCUACCUUGUGCAUUUUGUAUUCAAUUGCAAAUUCUCUAUAAUGCACAACUCGUGGGGAGCUAUCCUAUUUUCUAUAAAACACUAAUCUUGUGAUCGAUUUUAAGUGUGUGUUGGUGGACGGAAAGCUGUUUAUUUUUGGUAUGUGUGCCAUCAUGAAACUUUGUAGAGAGCUUGGUUUGUUUGGAACCAUCCUCUCUUUUGGGAGUUUGAUAUAAUUUUGUGUGUUCCAAUGGAUAUCUCAUCCCGUGAUGUAUCUUUGAUAUCUUCCAAGUGAUGAUUUCUCCAUUUGGUAUCCUUUUCACUUGGUAUUUCCUUUUUUUGGUAUCAGUUCUUGAAAGUAUUAAGCAUGCAUAUUAACUUCAUGUAGUUUCUUUGGCAUGCUUUCUUUCUUUGACCCAAUAUAUAGGGGAAUCUCCACCAAGUCUCAAAUCAGAUGAGAUGUGUAUGAAAUUCAUUUUCAUAUCUAUUUGCACAUAUUUAUGUGGAGAUUGUCCUAUGUAUUGAUGUUUCUAACCCUUUUGUCCCAAUGAGUUUGGGUACCAUUUUGUUUGUGUUGUUGUCCUAGGAACAAUUGGAGAUGCAUUGGAUACUCGGCUCAUUCAAAAGGAAGGUGUUGUAACCAUGUGCUUAUUGGAGUCAAGCUGGGAUGAUCAAUGAACUACUUUCUACCUUCAAUUGGUUUCUACUACAUCCUUCCAAUGCUAUCUCGGUAACAAGUAUCAUCAUCUACUACAUCCACACAUUUAUUGCAUCAACCGUGUGUAGGUUGUAUCAUGGCAUGUUAUUCAUUCUAUCUUGUGAUAUUUGUUUCCUUUCUCAAAGCAUCCCAACAAUGAUAUCUUGUUGCUAGUUGUGAUGUCUUUGAUGGUUGUGUGGUAGGAAUUCAUUUAUAUACAAUAAGACCAUAUCUAGCCAUGUGUUAUGCUUCCAAGCAAAUAUUUUAUUGGUAUAUCUAUGACUUCCUUUUGGAUAUCUUGUUCCUUCGUCUUGUAACUAUUCCAGGUGUACGUCCUUCUUUGUAGAUAUAUAUCAUCAUGAUUUCGUCUACCUAGAAUCUUAUACACUUGAGAGAAGUUGCAUAUCUAGAUGAUAUCCUUUCUUUCACGUCCACGUUGUCUUUCUUUUGUUUUUUUGCUUUGGUGGCUCCAUGAAAGGUUUUGCCUUGAGUGUAUGUCUUAUCUCGUUGCGUCUUGAUGCACUCUUGUGUGGUGAAGAUUAUUUUCCUCAUGCUUAUCUCUAUGAGGCUUUUGCCAUCUUGGUAUCCCUCGUCUUGAUGAGGCUUUCAUAUUCUAUCUUCACCAUGGGUUGUCACAAGUGUUGGUUAUUCUUUUUACAUUUUUAGUGUGCUUGUGAACCCUUUUGCUUGGUGUGUGUGGGGAGGACAUGUCAUGCACCGUGUAUCUCAUUUACCCAAGGCUAUGUUGAUGCUUUAUGCUCAUCCUUAUAUUAGUCUUCUCAAGUGCUUUGUCAUGACUCACACACAUUAUUUUGGUUGAGCCUAUUCUUAAGUUGCCUCUUUUACAUGUUGCUCAACCAUGUGCUUGUUGCAAGUGCUAGGCUUUGUUUCCUAUAUGCUCACUUGCACUUGUUGUGAGUUUCUAUUGAUUUUCGGGGAGUGAUGAUCCUAUUUUGUGCACUUGGUAUCCUAAUGCAAAUAUUGUAAGGAGUGCACAAAUCAUGGAGAGCUUCACUAGUGUCUUUAGAACACUCUGUUGCUCUCUUGCACUUGUCGUGAGGUUCUAUUGAUCUUGGGGGAGUGACGAUCCUAUUUUGUGCUCGUUGUAUCCAAUUACAAAACUAAAUUGUGCUCAAAUCACGGGGAUCUUCUCUAGUUUCUCUAGAACACUCCUUUGCUCAUAUCAUAAUUUAUUUCAUUCAUGUGGCACGUAGGAUCAUUGGUCUAGUUGGCUCAAUUGAUAUCCGUUGAUUGCUUGCUUCAAUUGGUAUCUUUUGAUUGCUUAAUUGCUUGUUUCUCUCUUUGUUAUGUCUUUGUGGCAUAUCAUUCUUUUGCAAUCUUUGGGCCUCAAUAUAGUUUUUCUUCCUCCAAGUAUUUACCAUUGGACAUGUGUAUUGCAUUCCACUCUCUUGUUGAGAAAUACACAAUUUAUGGAGGAACACUUUUUAUAUUGGCCUUCUAAGCUUUUUACCCAUUUUGGCAAUCGAUGCCAAUGGGGGAGGAGUUUCAGAGAGUUUUGUUCCUAAGCAUUUGCAUCCCAUUCUCAUGCAUCAUUGGUUGUUGCAUUGCAUGGUGAUGCAUAAUUCCUUAUAUAAACUCUCUUGAAAGUGAUUGUCAGCAAUUACCAAAAUGGGGGAGAUUGAAAGAACAUGUGGUGCCACCAUGUUUGGUAUUGGUUAUUGAUGACAAUCUCUAUGGACUAAUGGUUUCCUUGAGUUAUAUUUGAAGGUUUUGUCCAUAGGCUUUUCUUGGAGUACAUGUGUUGGUUUCAAGGAGAGUUUGUGUCGACCAAGGUGCUAUUCAAGGAAUUACCUAAAAUAUUGGUCUUGUGAGAGGUUGAUCAAGACUAAGUCAAAGAGUGAAUCAAGUUGAUCAACACACAAAGCAUAGAAGAUGUAUCGAGAAGGAUCAAGUGAUCCCAUGGUAUGGUAAGCAUUGUUAAUUACCCUUUGUGUACUAUCCCAUGGUCUUCAUGAGAGUUCUUUGUGGGGUUAGGAUGCGGUGUGCAAUAUCAAGUGAUGCAUCACGAAGAGAUCAAGUGCUUGAAGCUUGCCGUCCAUUGAGGUGACAAUGGACUUGUGAAGAUGAGCCGAAGAUUGGCUCACCCAUAGUGGACUAUGGGGGAGCAAUCAUCUAGUCUUCAUAUAGCCAACGCAAUCAAGAAAGGCGGUCCAACUUGAGGGAGUCAAGAUCAUCAUCAUCUAGCUCAAGUGGACCAUGUGCAAGGCAAAGGUUUGCCCUCGACAGGUUUUCUAUUUUACCAGCCUCAUGGUGGUAGUUGGGAGACCGGGUUAUAGGGUCGUUUGCCAUACUAUCAAGGGGUGCUUUGUCAGGCCCAAUAUGCGACCCUAUCCAAAAGGAACUCGAAGGUCCCACCAAGGAUAGACCCGCAUAUUGGAAUGCUUUUGCAAGGUGGAUAUCAUUACAUCAACAUUACAUAAUAGAUAGGGAUACAUACAAAAGGCAUAACGAGCAGGGAAAACUAGCGAGAGGCGAACGAGCAGGGAAAACACUUGAGCCGACGAAAAGAAUAUAAUCACUACCGAAAAAAUUAGAAUUGAAUCCACCGGAGAAGAAAAAGGGAUGAUGAAUGACGAACGAGACGAGAAUUCACCGGUUGAAAUAAUUGAGGGAAGACUGAAGAGGCUCCGUACGAAUGUAAUUGAUGCUCGAAAGAGACUCAGACUCCGGAAAGAAAAAGCGUGGGACGGCGGGAAAACAAAGGGAACUUGGAAGGGGAAAACCAACGAAUAUCUUGAAGAGAAAACACCGGUUGAAAUCAUUGAGGAAAGAAAGCAAAGACUUUGCACGAGUAGGAUGGAUACUUGAUUACGGACUCCGGUUCCGAGAAGAAGAAGGGUGGGUGGGUGGGAAAAGAAAACAACUGAGGAUUGAACUUGCAAAAACAGAGGGGGUCGAAUCACCUUGACGAGAAAUGCACUGGAUCAAAAGAGCUGAGAACCAACGAACGAAAAACUAACCGCGUGAUCCUAAAGAAAAAUUUGAAGGGAAGAGGAGUAGUUCAAAACACCUACGUCAAGAUUCCUCACCAGAGCAACGAAGGGGCUGAGGAGUAAAAAGAAUUCCUACUCUCCGAUAUAACUAGACUCAGAAAAUAGUUUUUUUCUAGACUCAACAAUGGCCAAACUACACGAUCAAUCAAGGGGGCUCCUAGGGUCGGUCGAGGCUCUGAUACCAACUUGGCACGCCCAAUAUGCGACCCUAUCCAAAAGGAACUCGAAGGUCCCACCAAGGAUAGACCCGCAUAUUGGAAUGCUUUUGCAAGGUGGAUAUCAUUACAUCAACAUUACAUAAUAGAUAGGGAUACGUACAAGAGGCAUACAAUGCCACAUGAAUACAACAUCAAUACAUCAUACAUAAGAUCAACAUCCGAACUAUGGAUGAAACACAAACAGAAACUCAAACGACAUCCACCCUGCUAGCCCAGGCUGCCGACCUGGAACCUAUCCCCUGACCGAAGAACAAGAAGAAGAACUCCAAAACAAGCAACAUCGCUCUCGCGUCAUGAUCAUCGCAAAACCUGUACCUGCAACUGUUGUUGUAGUAAUCUGUGAGCCACGAGGACUCAGCAAUCCCAUUACCAUGGGUAUCAAGACUAGCAAAGCUUAAUGGGUAAGGAAGGGGUAAAGUGGUGAGGUUGCAGCAGCGACUAAGCAUGAUAUGGUGGCUAACAUACGCCAAUAAGAGCGAGAAGAGAGCAAGCAGAACGGUCGUCAACUAGUAAUGAUCAAGAGGUGAUCCUGAACUCCUACUUACGUCAAACAUAACCCAAAGACCGUGUUCACUUCACGGACUCCGCCGAGAAGAGACCAUCACGGCUUCACGGACUCCAUAAUUGCAAACAGGGGCAUGGAUGGAUAGCUCAUAACCAUAUGUACAAAACAUCCUUACUGAAGUAUCUCAAAAUAAGCAUGGAUCUCUCUGUAGCAUCAAGUUUACAUGGCAUAAAAAUAACAACAGAACAGGGACUGAAAUCAGCAACAUCACGAGGCCUAGUUUACAUGCUUGUGCUAGUCACCACAUUGAUCACAAAAAUACAUGUCAUACACCCCUGUAAAGAUGGCAUGGCAUAGUUAAAAACAUAUGUAGGGCUCAAGUUCAUAAGAUGCACACAUCAAUCAUGGCAAAAAUGACAAAUCAUCAAGUUAUAACAGUUUCAGUAGAUUAACAGCAACAUGCACUCUUGAAACGAUGAUUCGGGCAUCAAGAUGAACUCAAAUGAACAUGAUGCAAUGGAAUGAAAGGAAGUACUCAUUGAGGCGAACAAUUUGACAUAUUACACACACGAAACAGAGCAGUAUGCAGCAAGUUAUGAUGCGUUGAACAUGGCACGAAAAUGUAUGGAUUCGGGGACUUAGAGGAAAAAUGGACCUCGAGGGGAAAAAGUCAACUCGCCGGAAUCUUCGCUGGAGAACGGCCGGAGUAGACAGGGAAUACGCCGGAGCUGCGGGGAGAGGUCGGGGAGGACGGAUCCGGGGGCGAGGUCGCCGGAUCUGGCCGGAGCCGCGCCGAGGAGCGGCGGGGCACGUGCCGGCAGAGCUCCACGGCCGGAGGCGGCCUUCCAUGGCGGCGACAGCGGCGGUUGCCGGUAGGGCGCGGGCCCUGGAGGCCACGAGGCGGCGGGGAUGGCGCGGACGGCGGGGUCCGGCCAGCCAAGACAGUCGGUGGCGGGACGGAGGGGCCGAGCCACGCGCANNNNNNNNNNNNNNNNNNNNNNNNNNNNNNNNNNNNNNNNNNNNNNNNNNNNNNNNNNNNNNNNNNNNNNNNNNNNNNNNNNNNNNNNNNNNNNNNNNNNNNNNNNNNNNNNNNNNNNNNNNNNNNNNNNNNNNNNNNNNNNNNNNNNNNNNNNNNNNNNNNNNNNNNNNNNNNNNNNNNNNNNNNNNNNNNNNNNNNNNNNNNNNNNNNNNNNNNNNNNNNNNNNNNNNNNNNNNNNNNNNNNNNNNNNNNNNNNNNNNNNNNNNNNNNNNNNNNNNNNNNNNNNNNNNNNNNNNNNNNNNNNNNNNNNNNNNNNNNNNNNNNNNNNNNNNNNNNNNNNNNNNNNNNNNNNNNNNNNNNNNNNNNNNNNNNNNNNNNNNNNNNNNNNNNNNNNNNNNNNNNNNNNNNNNNNNNNNNUGGAGGCAGGGACCACACAGCGGCGACAUGUGGCAGGCCGGGAUUGGCCGGAGGCGACGGGCGGACACGUCCGACUCGGGACGGACAUGUCCGGCGGCGGAAGGUGGAAGAAGAUUAGGGUUAGGGGUGGAUUUCGGGGGAGAUGCACAUAUAUAUAGGUAGAGGGAGCUAGGAGUGUCCAAAUGAGGAGUGGUUUUUUGCCACGCAAUCGUGAUCGAACGGCCGAGAUCAUGGAGGGGGUUAGGAUGAGUUUUGGGCCAGUUUGGAGGGGUGUUGGGCUGCAAAGAGAAAGGGGCUUUUACGGUUACCCGGUUAACUGUUGGAGUAUCAAACGACCUCCAAAUGGCACGAAACUUGAUAGGCGGUCUACCGGUGCUAUACCAAGGCCACUUGGCAAGACUUGGUCCAUUCCGAGAAUGUUUAACACCCGCUCACAAUAGGAGACAAAAGGGGGACGCCGGAGGCAUAGGAGUGCCGGAUUGCAAAACGGACAACGGGGAAAAUGCUCGGAUGCAUGAGACGAACACGUAUGCAAAAUGAGAUGCACAUGAUGACAUGAUAUGAAAUGCAGAUGAUGACAUGGCGAAAUGCAACACGCAAGCACAUGACAUGGCAAAGAUGGCGAAUAGCUGGCGGACACCUGGCGCAUCGAAUCCGGGGCGUUACAAGCUCUCAAGUUGGUAGCUUGAUUGUAUCGUUAGUAAAGAGAUCAAACCAUUGCAUCCUUGCAUUAUGUUUCUUGAUUCUUGUUUGGUUCUCUUUGUGAGUCUUAGAGCUUAUGGUCCUCUUGAUGACAAGCUUGAGUUCAUCAAAAACGGAGUUCGCAUGCGUCUUCUAUGAUGUUUUCGGUGUUGGAGGUUUUACCGGUCUUAUCCGAGGAAGGGUUCUCACCAUUUUAUUAUGGGAAUUUUCUCAUUUUCUUAUUGUUUAUAUUCUAUCCAGAUUGUGUUAUCCCAUGUCGUUAGCUUUCCAACAAACUUGGUUUCGUUGAAUUCGGAGUCCGUUUGCAAAAGUUGUGGCUGUUUUGGUAAAGGCUGCAGCGGUACUACCGCGACUAGAGCGGAUGUAAAUUUUUACUACCGCUCCAGAGCUAUACUACCGCGGCUCCUGAGCGGUAGUACCGCUUCAGACCAAAAUCUCGUGUUUUGCUCUGCGGAGGUAGGCAUGGAAGUAUUUUUUUAGUACCGCUCGCAAGUAGUAGUACCGCUACCAUUUGCGGUAGUACCGUGAGGUCGAGCGCUAGUACCGUGAGGACGAGCGGUAGUACCGCUUCGGUGGUUCUAUUGACCUUUUGCCUCCUCGUUGUUGUUUUUCAAAGGGGUUCCACCGCCCUAGCGGUAGUACCACUCCUUGGAGCGGUAGUACCGCUCUGUGCGGGCUGUGAGCAUAACGGUUGGAUUUUUCCCCACCUAUAAAAGGGGGUCUUCGUCCCCAUUGAACAUUAUCUCUUAAGCUCGUGUUCUUCCCCCAUUGUUGACCUUCUUCGAGCUUGCUAACUCUCAAUCCCUCCAAUGAUUCUUGCUAGUUCUUGAGGGAAAAGAGAGAGGAGAUCUAGAUCCAUGUUUCCAGCAAUUACUUUCUCCUCUAAGUGAGGGGAACCCCUUGGAUCUAGAUCUUGGAGUUCUUCGUGUUCUUCUUUGGUUCUUCCUCUCAUUUCCCUCCAUAGUAUUAGUUGCUUUGGUUGGAUUUGGGAGAGAAGGACUUGGGCACUCCGUGUGCCCUUGCCAUUGCUUUUGGUGCAUCGGUUUGAGUUCUCCACGUGAUACGUGGAAGUUACAAGUUGAGAAGCUUAUUACUCUUGGGUGUUUGGACACCCUAGAGCUUGUUCCUCUUGGGUGCCUUGGCGCCCUAGAUGGUUGGUGUUGUUCGGAGCUCAAUCAUUGUGGUGUAAAGCUCCGGCAAGCGUCGGGGUCUCCAAUUAGGUUGUGGAGAUCGCCCCAAGCAAUUUGACGGGUACCGGUGACCGCCCCCAAGGGUUGCCAAAGUGUACGGGUUAGGUGACCGCCCCCAAGGGUUGCCAAAGUGUACGGGUUAGGUGACCGCCCCCAAGGGUUGCCAUUUUUACGGGUUCGGUGACCGCCCUCAAGGGUCCCUUAGUGUAAUCAUGACAUCUUGCAUUGUGCGAGGGCAUGAGAAGAUUACGGUGGCCCUAGUGGCUUCUUGGGGAGCAUUGUGCCUCCACACCGCUCCAAAGGAGGUUAGCAUCUGCAAGGGUGUGAACUUCGGGAUACAUCAUCGUCUCUGAGUGCCUCUGUUAUCUCUUACCUGAGCCCUUUACUUAUGCACUUUACUUUGUGAUAGCCAUAUUGUUCUUUGUCAUAUAUGUUGCUAUCACAUAGUUGCUUAUCUUGCUUAGCAUAAGUUGUUGGUGCACAUAGGUAAGCCUAGUUGUUGUAGGUUUUGUGCUUGACAAAUUAACCAUUAGGUUUAUUCCGCAUUUGUUCAAGCCUCUACUGUAAUUAUUUUAAAAUGCCUAUUCACCCCCCUCUAGGCGACAUCCAUGAUCUUUCAACUAGUGGUAGACCUUGGAGUGGUCUCCAGACCCUCACAAACUUUCCGGGGAUAAUCACAAAGAACGAUUCCUCUCCGAAUGACUCCUACCGCCUAGGUGUCUCCAACCUCCAAGAUUAACAAGAACAAUGGGGAAAAAGCUCAAGACUUGCUCAAAUCACGAAUUCCUUUGGUGCAAAGAAGGGGAAUGAGUGGAUUUAUCACUUUAGUGGACAACUUCUCUCAAAUGCUCUCAAAUCCCUUAGGGAUCUAAGAUUUGGUGUUGGAGUGUGAGAGAGAGAGUGAAGAUGUGUUCUUGAGGGUGCUUGAAGUGAACGAUCAACCCUCUCACGGGAUAGGAGAGAGAUAUUUAUAGUAUGCCUCAAUAAGUGGCCAUUGGAGCCCAAAACAGCACAACAGCGUCGGGCGUCCGAUGCACAACGGACGACCGAAGGCUUGACAGACAUCGGACGUCCGGCAGGGACCGAACGUCCAAUGUUUUGGCACGGUAUAGUGGGUAUCGGACGAUCGGAGGAUCCGGACGACCGAUGUUUAGGCUCCGUGGAGAAGGUACCGGAGGAUCGAAGAAUAUCAGAUGACUGAGGGCUCUGCAGACAACAGACGUCCGACAAGGACCGGACGAUCGAUGUUUCGGCUCUGUAUAGGAUUUGCCAAACUUCCUAUGCACAUCGGACGACCGAUGUUUUGGCUCUGUAUAGAAGCGGUUGGACGUCCGGUGAGUACUGGUCGUCCGACAGAGAUGAAGAUCAGACACUAACUUUGAAGUAGAUGUUUGAGCAAGACUUUAGCAAUAACCCAUGUUCCCCUCUUAAUAGUGUGGGAUCCUAUACUCAAGAAUAAACAUAAAGAUAGUGAUUCCGAGGGGACUAAAACCUGAGAUAUACUUGACAAACUUUGUUAGUCCCCUUUGAGUAUCUUGUCAUCAACAUCAAAAAAUAUUUAGGGCAUGAUUGGACUUUCAGCACGGUUCUUGGAACAAGACGUGUGCUGACAUUGCCUAUUGCGGUGCACCAAACACCACGUACGUGGCCGAGAGAAUGCGUGCCCAUGUUACGCCGUCCAAGAAUAGUGUCGCACUUACAAAUUAUAGAACCAUCAAUAAAUUUUGAGCUUGCAUCCCGUCACCUUCCAAACCGCAAAGCUGUUCACACCUAUCAAAACCUAAACGGUUUCCCACUUAGGACGUAUUAGUACUCGGUUAUAAAUACUGUACUAGCCAAGAUGAUUGCACAUUCCUUCCUCAACUCCUCAUCCACAAAAGCAAACAGAUCAUUCAACACCAUUCUCUUGCGUCUGCCAUGGCCAGAUUGAGUUCUUGGUCGAGAGAUUACCACCACAGAGAGGCGAGCAUGGAAAUGGAAGCACGAGAGAUGUCCCGCUUAGCUGCAAAAGCAGCCGACAUGCCCCGCCACGCCGUCGAAGCAGCACAGAGGUCUCGCUGUGCCGCCGAAGCAGCACAGAGGUCGCGCCGCACCGCCAAAGCAGCAUGGAGGUCUCGCUGCACCGCCGUAGCACCACGGAGGUCUCUCCAUGCCGCCAAAGCAGCACAAAGGUCCCACCGCGCCGUCGAUGCAGCAGACUGGUCCGGUCGCGCCACGGAAGCAGUAGAGAUGUCUUACCGCGCCGCGAAUGCAGCAGAGAUGACCUUCCACGCUGCGGCAGCCUGGGAAAAUCUCUCGCGGCUAGGCGAGGACUCUUACAGGCGCAUGCAUGCGAUCGUCAAUAGCCAGAUGGAUCAAAUCUCCGACUGGAUGAAGCCGCAGGACGAUUUGAAUGCCUCGUUUGAACAACUCCAGGCCGACCGCAACCUGCUAAGGGCGAAGAUCACCGGAAGGGCGGAGCAGGAGGAGGAGACGGCAGCCUUGUUGAAGAGGACGGGCAUCAUCGUCAAGAAACUUAUGGACGAGAAUGCCAUGCUCCGCAUCGAGCGUGAAAGGCUGGUGGUGGAAUCCCCGGUUGCUUCCGAGCAGCGUGUUAAGGACAUGAAACGGAUGAAAGAGAUCAUCGCUGCUUGCCACGAGAACUAGUCUCCAUGACCUGAAGCGCAUCAAGAAAGUAGAGAUCAGGGAGCCAGAUUGUUGUAUGUGUCUUCCUUCUUCUUUUGCCCUUAUGUAUUUCGGGCGUAGCCGCAUGUGGCUUUUUUAGUUAUCUUCCUAGAUAUGUAAGACAAUUAUUAUGCACUAUCAUCGUCCUUAUAUUCAUCAUGCUUGCUAUAAGUCACAGUCGAUGCUAUAUAGGUCUGUCGGAUCUUACAUCAAGAUCUAUGCAAAACUUUCUUUUCAGAUUUUCACUUUUCUCUCUUAAAUCUCAGUCCGGUGAGAAAUAUCCAUGCCGUGAAACAGGGGCUCGGGCGCCAUUAAUGGAGAGGUUGGGAGGGAGGUGCGCGGCGGAUAGAGGCCAAAGGGCUCUCCUCCAGAUGAGCAUGCGCAAGGGUCUAAUUGCAUGCCUCCCGUACUCAAAUAGCUACCCCGCACGACACCUCCUAGCCAAUAAAAAGGCAUGUGUGGCGGCACGUAAUUGGUAAGUAGAACACCAAUAGUUUCAAUGAUAGUUAUGUUUUCACUUUGUAACGUGACAACACUUGUUCGAAAAUGACUUUGUUGAUUUUUAAUGUGUCCACCUAUGCAAACCGGACAGAAAAAUUACCAUAGCAUGUUGGUGCCAUGUCAUGACACCAUGCCAAGUUUCAUGAUUUUCAGGCAUGUUUUGGAUUUACAGGAAUUAAAAAACGAAGUUUCUCAAAUUUUCCGGCCCAGCCACGACACCCAGAUGUUUGAAUUUCAUUCUCAUUUCUUGCAUGGGACCUGGAAAUUCACCCCAAGGACACAGAUGUGAUUUUUCAACCAACUUUGGUGCACUGGAGCAUGUGCUUGUAGUUCAAAUUUGAAUUAUGCACAUUAAAAGCCCAGCAAUUCAAUUAAUGUAUAAAAAGGCCAAACGAACCCGAAAUAAUUCCAAAAUUUAGCACGAUACUUCUAUUUGGCCUAAUCUUCCUGUGUAAACAAAUUAAGACAGGAGAAGGCAGUGUACGUAUGUUGUUUUGCACACGGAGGUGACACGUUCCCUCUCGGAACCACGGGCCUUCUUUAGAUAAGCUCCGGUUUACAAUCAGCUUAUACCAAAGCUUGUCCCAAUUCGGCCAAAAACUUUACCGCAGCAUGUUGGUGCCAUGUCAUGACACCAUGCCAAGUUUCAUGAUUUUCAGGCGUGUUUUGGAUUUACAUGAAUUAAAAAACCAAGUUUCUCAAUCUUUCCCGGCCGAGCCACGACGCCCAGAUGUUUGAAUUUCAUUCCCAUCUCUUGCAUGGGACCUAGAGUUUCACCCAAGGGCACACAUGUGAUUUUUCAACCAACUUUGGUGCACUGGAGCAUGUCCUUGUAGUUCAAAUUUGAAUUAUGCACAUUAAAUGCCCAGAAAUUCAAUCAGUGUAUAAAAAAGUCCGGAAUAAUUCCAAAAUUUUGCACGAUACUUCUAGUUUGUCUAAUCUGCCUGUGGAAACAAAUUAAGGCGGGAGAAGGCAGUGUACGUAUGUUGUUUCGCACACGGAGGUGACAAGUUUCCUUCUCGGAACCACGAGCCUUCUUGAGAGAAGCUCCGGUUUACAAUCAGCUUAUACCAAAGCUUGUCCGAAUUCGGCCAAAAAAAUUACUGCAACAUAUUGGUGCCAUGUCAUGACACCAUGCCAAGUUUCAUGAUUUUUAGGUGUGUUUUGGAUUUACAUGAAUUAAAAAACCAAGUUUCUCAAUCUUUCCGGCCAAGCCACGACGACCAAAUGUUUGAAUUUCAUUCCCAUUUCUGGCAUGGGACCUAGAAAUUCACCCAAGGACACACAUGUGAUUUUUCAACCAACUUUGGAGCACUAGAGCAUGUGCUUGUAGUUCAAAUUUGAAUUAUGCACAUUAAAUGACCAGAAAUUCAAUUAAUGUAUAAAAAAGGCCAAACGAACCCGGAAUAAAUAAAAAAAUUAGCACAAUACUUCUAUUUGGUCUAAUCUUCCUGUAUAAAAAAUUAAGGCGGGAGAAGACAGUGUACGUAUGUCGUUUCGCACACAAAGGUGACACGUUCCUCUCGGAACCACGAGCCUUCUUGAGAGAAGCUCCGGUUUGCAAGAAGCUUAUACCAAAGCUUGUCCCAAUUCGGCCAAAAAAAUUACCGCAUCAUGUUGGUGCCAUGUCAUGACACCAUGCCAAGUUUCAUGAUUUCUAGGCGUGUUUUGGAUUUACAUGAAUUAAAAAACCAAGUUUCUCAAUCUUUCCGGCCGAGCCACGAUGCCCAGAUGUUUGAAUUUCAUUCCCAUUUCUUGCAUGGGACCUAAAAAUUCGCCCAAGGACACACGUGAUUUUUCAACCAACUUUGGUGCAUUGGAGCAUGUGCUUGUAGUUCAAAUUUGAAUUAUGCAUAUUAACUGACGAGAAUUCAAUUAAUGUAUAAGAAAUUCCAAACAAACCCGGAAUAAUUCCAAAUUUUAACACGACACUCAUAUAGCUCUAUGUUGCCUCUAUAAAACAAUAAGGGGGGCGAGGCAGCGUAUAUCGCUUCGAACACAAAGGUGACACGUCCCCCCUCGGGAACCAUGAGUCUUCUCGAGAGAAGCUCCGGUUUGCCAGAAGCUUAUAGCAAAAACUUGUCCAAAUGCGGCCAACUUUUUUACCACAACAUGUUGGUGCCAUGACAUGACAUCAUGCCAAGUUUCAUGAUUUUCAGGCGAGAUUUGAAUUUCCAGGAAUUUAAAAACCAAGUUUCUCAAUGUUCUCGACCGAGCCACGACGCCCAGAUGUUUGAAUUUCAUUCCCGUUUCUUGCAUGGGACCUAUAAAUUCACUCAAAGACACACAUGUGAUUUUUCAACAAAAUUUGGGGCACUAGAGCAUGUGCUUGUAGUUCAAAUUUGAAUUAUGCACAUUAAAUGCCGAGAAACUCAAUUAAUCCAUAAAAAUGCCAAACGAACAUGGAAUAAUUCCAAAUUUAAACACGACACUCAUGUAGUUGCAUGUUCACUGUACAUAAAUGUUCUAGAAAUUCAAAAACCGUCCUUUCCCUCCGUAGCACCAUUUUGUCUUUCAAAACAUAAUGAAAAAAUCAGGUAUACCACAAAUAGUUUACUAGAAAGAAUCGUGUGGGAUGCGAUAUAAAAUAUCUUGGUGCACCAUCUUGUCUGGCUUAUGCAUGAAGCUUCGUUGUCUACAGUCCACCACCCCCGCUUGAACCACACUUGCGCCAGUUUCUCGCGGCACCGAGCGAAUUUUUUUUGCCACCGCAAAAAUAUCUAUCUCCCCGCCCCUCCCUCCCACCAAAAGCCACAUUUCCACUGUUCCUCCUUGCUUUACAAGUUCAAACCUUCACUGCUACUUACUGGCAACUCAGCCUCCUCGCCGGCGAUCCUUCUUCUUGCAGCGCCGCCUCCUCGCCGGCUACCCUUCUUCUUGCAGCACCGCCUCCUCGCCGGUGACCCUUCAUCUUGUAGUGCCGCCUCCUCGCCGGCGACCCUUCUUCUUGCUGUGCGGCCUCCUCGCUGCCGACCCUUCUUCUUGCUGUGCGGCCUCGUCGAUAUGGUCAGGUAAUCCACACCCCACCCACACCAUCCUCCUCCUUUCCCAUCCCACAUGCCCUGACCGAUGACGCGACACCUUCUGCCGAAAUCAUUGUCCCCCUCCUCCAAUUAAGUGCCGCCCACAGCUAUUUUGCACACAGUAUAACAUGGAGCUCAAUAGAAUCUGGCAGCGGAGAAGCAAAUCGCGGCCGCACGCGUGCACGAGGUCGCUAUGGCUGCCAUGCGUGCCGACCGCUAGAUCUUGGAGGAGCACCUCAUCUUUGAGGCCAUCGUCAACACCGAUGUCGGUGUCAAAACCGGCGGAUCUCGGGUAGGGGGUCCCGAACUCUACGUCUAAGGCUAUUGGUAACAGGAGGCAGGGGACACAAUGUUUACCCAGGUUCGGGCCCUCUCUAUGGAGGAAAUACCCUACUUCCUGCUUGGUUGGUCUUGAUGAAUAUGAGUAUUACAAGAUUUGAUCUACCACGAGAUCGUAAUAGUUAAACCCUAGAAACCUAGCCUAUGAGGUUAUGAUUGUUUUCUACGGACUAAACCCUCUGGUUUAUAUAGGCACCGGAGGGGGCUAGGGUUACACAAAGUCGGUUAUAGAGAAAGGAAUCUACAUAUCCAAAUCGCCAAGCUUGCCUUCCAUGCCAAGGAGAGUCCUAUCCGGACACGAGAAGAAGUUUUUGUCUUGUAUCUUCAUAUCCUAACAGUCUGUCUCAUAUAUAUAGUCCGGUUGUCCGAGGACCCCUUAAUCCAGGACUCCCUCAAUAGCCCCUGAACCAGGCUUCAAUGAUGAUGAGUCCGGCGCGCAGAUUGUCUUCGGCAUUGCAAGGCGGGUUCCUUCUCUGAAUACUUCAAAGUAGAUUUCAAACACAAGAAUCGUGUCCGGCUCUGAAAAACAAGUUCCACACACAACCGUAGAGAGUAUAAUAUUUCACGAGUCCAAUCUACUGACAACUUUUUGUAGCGUGACAUUACGCCACUGCCCGGUCAUUAUUUGAACCAUUUUUUAGCUUGUCGCUCCGUAUUUCGAGGCGCGGUUCUAUUGGCAUGUCUUCUCAAAGUAGAGAUCAUGUCCCCUUAUCAUGGGAUUCUCAUCAAUACGGGCAUGGGUAACCCAACCAUGUCACCUGCAUGGCGCUUGGGAAAUAGGCGAAUGUUAAGGCGGGUAGGGAGGCGCAUGACUUUGACUUCCUUUAUAAAGGGAUAAGGAUUCACCUUUUUUCACCCACGCCUUCUCCUUCCUCUCCCCAUCCAUUCUCGAGCUCCAGCACCCAAGCUCUCGCCUUCUCCGCCCAAAAAAGCUCUCCAAUCAUGUCUGGAUUCGGAGCAGGAGGCAAGUGGAUGGCCUCCCCCGGUAAGGAGAAGAACAUCAAGAAGCUCUAGGAGGCCGGGUACCUAGCCAAGGAAAUCGCCCAUCGACUUCCGGCCAAGGGACAGAUCGUCCCCUCCCCGGAGCCCCAGGAGAGGGUAGUGUUCCUCACACACUUCAUUCACGGGCUGGGAUUCCCUCUCCACCCGUUUGUCCACGGACUCAUGUUCUACUAUGGGUUGGACUUCCAUGAUCUGGCCUCCAAUUCCAUCCUCAACAUAUCGGCAUUUAUUGUCAUGUGUGAGGCCUUCCUCCACAUCCCACCUCACUUCGGGCUAUGGCUGAAAACCUUCAAUGUGAAGCCGAAGGUGGUGAGCGUCCAACAAGCAGAGUGUCGAGGCGCCAUGGUGGGCAAGAUGCCCAAUGUCCCCUGGCCCGAAGGCUCCUUCGUGGAGACUGUCAAGGGAUGGCAAUCGAGGUGGUUCUACAUCACCGAGUCGCGCAGCACUAACUGGGCGGCGACUCCUGCAUUCCGUUCCGGAGUCCCAAUGCGGCUCACCUCCUGACAAGAGAAGGGCCUGACCUGGUCUUUGUUGGAUGAGCUGACAACGCUCCAAAUGCGUGUUCAGAGCAUGAUAAACAAGAGAGUCAAGGUCGUCAAUGUGAUCUAGGUGAUGCUCAUUCGCCAGAUCCUUCCGUGCCAACGCCGGACUUGCUAUCUGUGGGAGUUCGAUCCGGCCAAGCACCAGACGCUACUGGAGCUCUUCGGCACAACGCACGAAGACAUCUGGAAGGUGCUCUUCAAGGCCAACGAGGCGCCACAGCCCACGGACGAGGAUCGCGAGCAUGACUUGACUCACCCUGCUAAACCGGUAAGUUCUUUCAUGUUUUCAUGGUAUGCUCUUUACUGGCUCACCCGAAGAAGGCAUCUAAGCCUCCCUAUUGAUUUUUUCAGGACUGGACAGAGAUGGCGGAGCGGAUUAACUGUCCGGCUCCACUGCUCGAAGGCCUAGAAAUACCGCUUUUCACGAAGAUGCUGAUUCCGGCACCUUAUCAGAUGCCAGAGAAGAAGGCCAAGGGGACCCGAGGUGGUCUCCGUCGCAAGGACAAUUCGGACGUGACGUCCGAAGACGCCAAGGCUCACUCCUCCGCCGCCAAAGACGACGAGGAAGAGGAGGAGGAAGAAGAAUAAAUCCACUCCCCCUGCAGGGGGGAGAAAGAAGAGGAUGGCCUCCACACAUCCGGAGGCCGAGGCAUCCAAGAAGGGGAAAGCUUCCCUUCCGGACAGCUCCACAGCGACCACCGACAGUAGCUGGGAGUGGGAGCCCAAGGAGAAGCCCCUGGCCAAAUCGUAAGUGUUCGGACACAUGUUUGUAUCCGGAUUCUUUAGUUCAUUGUUUUAAUGUGCUAAAUUAUGCAUUUGCAGUCCGGCUCGGUCCAACCUCAAGUGGUCCUUAUCUUCAGAGGAUUCGCUGGACCCAGCGGCGAUGGACAGCAGGACCCUCCCAUCGGCCACCUCUCCCCGGGACCUGGAUGGCGCUGAGGCAUCAUCCCGAAGGAUCCCGGCCCAGGAGAGAAUCCAGAGGCCGUCAGGGAGGCGCCAGAGGGUGAAGCCUCGGUUACCGGACACAUGGGGGAGCAAACCCCCAUGGAUACCAAUGAUUGGGGCCAUAUCCAAGUCGGCCCCCAACCGAAUAUAGUUUCGGAGACACAUGCGGCUCCGGAACGAGGCCAGCCGCCCGUUUCUAAAGGAGGCGGUGCGCCUAUUCCACCGGUGGCCUCUGUCCAUCUAGAGGCACCAGAUAAUUUGCUGGAAGCGCUGCAAGGUGCUUCCAUUGUGGAAGAACAUCGUACCCUUAUGGGUACGGUGAUUGAGAGGAUCCAGUCCACGAAAAGCGGAUUGACCGAAGCCUGCACUAGCCUUCUAAUAGGCUUUGAGGUAAGUAAUAUAAUUGUAUAAAAAGAAUGUCACAGUAUAGAUAGUAGCCCCUGAUACUCUGUCCGGUGUUCGGAAAGAAAAGCCAAACAGAGGAUCAAAUAAUUUUCAUAGGAGUCUAAUCUAAAAUGUCUAUGUGAAUAAGCAGGCGUCGCUGCUGGCCGUGACCACUCACACCGCAGAAGUCUCUGGACUGAAGCAGAAUCUGGAGCAGGCCGAGGAAGAGCUCGGCCGCGUGAAGAAGCAGCUGGAGGACAGUCAAGGUAUGAAGUAACCAUGUAUAUAUUCAGGAAGGAUGAAUGAUUCAUGCUGACUAAAGUGCCAUGAAAUUUAUUAGGGGCAACGACUGGAGUAGAGGCCCUCAAGAAGGCGCUGGCCAGGGCCGAGGACAAGGCGGCCAUGGGGCGGGCCGCACGCCAAAAUCACGAGGCCCGGGUCAAUGAGGUCCAGCAAGAGCUCCAGGACGCCGUCAAGAAGCGCGACACCUUGGGGCGUGAUCUUAAGGAGCAAGGGUUCGAACUUGCCAAGGCCCGCCAGAGCACACACGAUGCUCGGGCCGAAGCCCAGGGCGCCCUCCAGGAAAUCCGGCAGCAAAGAAGAUCACGAUGGGUAAGGCUUUCAUUAUGCAGAGCAGAUAUGUGAAGGAAAGAUUCCUUUUACUUACCCGGAUUUAGAGCUCUCCAGGGACGUUUGUGGAUCUGUCGCGCAGCAUGUCGGAUGCUGUGGAAUUCUAUCGAGCUGAAGAGGGGAGCUCUACGGAGAAGCUGUUCUGGUCGCAAUACCUUGGACCAGAACAUCCAGUGCCCUUUAGUGAUCAGCUGAAAGAACUGGUCGAGUUGCAUAGGGUGGCUGAACUAGCCAUGAAGGAUUUGAUAAUCCGGCUAUGGCCUGCCGAAGCCAUUCCCAGCUACUACUUUGGGCUCGUGAAGCGGCUUGUCAGCGCCUGCCCUCGGCUUGAAGCCAUCAAGCGGCCGGUCUGUAUGGAAGGCGCGUGAAUAGCCUUUGCCCGUGCUAAGAUGCAUUGGGCGAAGAUGGACGCCACAAAGCUGAUGACCGAGGUGCCGCCCGAGUGCAAGGAGCAUCGCAAACCCCAACUGUAUUUCGAUAGUGUCCUGGAGGGAUCCCGCCUUGUGGCAGAGCAAUUUGCUAAGGAUAUCAUAUUCCCAUGAAUACGUUCAUGUUAUCCUGUUCUUGUAACACCCCAAAAUUUUAACCUUGUUUUGUUAAUUAAAUUUUUGCCAAGAAAUUAAAACUUUUAUUUUCUGGGCUCCCUUUUGAUUUUUGAACCUUUUUCUCCCUUGUUAUGGAGUUUUCCCCCAAAGUGAAAAAAACCCUUUCAAAUAUGUUAUUGGGCUUGUUUAACCUCUCAAGAAAAACUUUUCUUUUAUUAGUAGAACUAAUUACAUAAUUAUUUUGCUUGAUCUCUAUUUUCUUGAAAAAUGGUUUUCCAAGAUUAUAUGGCCAUAUUUGAACUGCAACCAUUUGAUAAAUUCUUUUAAAAACCCCACCAAAAAUUGGAGAUGUCAGGUGAUGUUUUAAAAUCACUUUUAUGCAAAAAUAUCUUUUAUUCAUGAUAUAUUUUGAGCUCUACACCCAAUUUUCUUCUCUGGUCCAGAGGACAAUUUUGCACUACAACCUAUUUAUAUAAUUCUUUAAUACUCCUACCAAAAUUUUGGGAUGUCAACAGGAGUAUAUUAAUCAACUUUUUGCAAAAACCCAGUGAUGUUAUUUGAAAAUUUUGAGUGAAUCAACCUCAUCUUCAUUCUGGUCCAACAUGAUGGUUUGUACAACAUCCAUAUUCUUGCUUGCUCUUUGGCCCUUGAUUCUUUCCCCAACUUGUAGACCACCCUGCAAAACCCCUAAGUCCAGGAGGAUGCAACCAGUGGAAUACUUUUGGUCCAUGAGAUGAUGCCAUUUACCUCCUGUCCAGAUUUGAAGUUCUACAAAACUAGCACUAGCAAGUUUGUGCUUUUCACAAACUAACCUCACCACCCUCUUGUUCAUCUAAAGAGACUAGGAUCUGGAAGUUUUUACCACUCCAAGAAAUGCCUAGGUGCCUGUGGCAUUUUGUCAAACACCUGGAGUGGAUGGACAUAUUUGGCAUGAGUUUUUAUUUGCACUAUGAACUUGGUCUCCUGACCAAACCACCUUGUCCCUUGAUCUUCCCUCUAUCACUAACCUUAUCCUGUUGCUUGCCAACCUCGCUCGAGCGCUCUGGAGUGCCUUGGCAUUUCACCGAGCAGUUGGUGGGCGUGCACUGGGCGCGCCUAGAGCGCGCCAACUGUAGCCACACAUCCGAAACUGCCGCGUCGCGCCCCUGGUUUUGCCACUCACUGCAGAGCCACGCCACACACUCUCCCUCUCUCCAGAACACGCCAACCAGCCCCUCGCCACGCCUCCGACGGGCCAAGAGUUCGCCAUCACGGCCGCCCGACAGUGCACCCUGCCACGGUCGGCACCGCCGAGCCACCAGUGCUCGCCAGCUGCCCCCUGGAGCGGCUCAAGCUCAUCCGCAGCCUCGUCCUCUAGCGCGCGUCGCUGCCACGUCGCCCUAUCUACAGAACGGCAGUCGCCGGCAAGCUUAUCCACGGCCGCCGCGAACCGACUCGGAUGUGCUAUAAAAGAAGGCCCCCGAGCUCCUCCGUGCAUGGAGGUAGCCUCACACCAUCCUUCUCGUGCCCCCUUAGCCGUCAAUCAAAGAGAGAAAGUCGUCUUCUUCCUCUCCGGCAACUCCUGCCGCCACCACUGCCCCGGCCAUUCCAGCGCCACCAGGACCUCCCCCUCUCCACACUCUUCACCAGAAGCUCUCUAUUCCUCCCAUGAACCCUUUCCCCUGCUCGAUUUUGAUCGGGAACCACCACAGCCCCAAAACCACUUUACUCCCGACGCCGCCGGCCACCGCGAAGCUCGUCGCCGACGACUCCCUCCAUCCCCAUCACUCCCUCGACCACCGGAAGAACCGCCCCAGUCUUGCGGAUCCAUCCCCACCCUCGGGGGCCCGUGAGGAGCCGCCUAACGCCGGCGACGAUCGCCGGAGCCCCCGCCUCUGUUCGGCCAGAGGAUGAAGAGGGAAGGGAGAAUAGUCAAACCUGACUAGUGGGCCCCCUGGACCCACUGUUCGUGACUCACGCGCGUCCACGCUGGAGUAAGUGGAGGCGUAUAGUCAGAAUACGUCUUCGACGUGUACGUAUAUUCGAAUCGUUUUCUUUUUAUUCUGUUUUUUUUAAAUAACAGAUUUUUGACCACAGCUUUGACUGCUUAUAACUUUUUAAUGACAACUCCAAAUGAAUUGAUUCUUUUUCUUGCCUCUCUCAAAUUUGACCUAGUUUAUUUUUAGAUUUAUUUGAAAAAAUUUCAAAACAACUUUUUGUGCUGUUUUGAAUUUGUGUGUUGAUUCAAAUUUUAUUUAAAUAGGACUUUGGAGAGAGAGAAGCAAACUUUCAAAAGUUUAGGAGUGCACCCUACCUUUCCACACAUUGAAGGCAAGCAUCAUGAACCCUGGCAUAAUAUUUUGCAUGCACGAUCAUGACACCACCUCAUUACAUAGGACUCGUUAUUUUAUGUGGUGAUAUGGUCAUUUGCAUGAAUGCUUAUUGGAAAUUCCUUGCUGUUGGAAAUGGCCAUGCUUGGGAUGAUGAUCAUCCUCGUAUGCCUUUCGUGCCUACCGAAAGGAAAACGGGAAAGUCUCUGUCUUGGGUAGACCCGAGCUUGUCCCUAGUUCCUCGUCGAGACGAGUGUGUCCGGCAUGGCAUGAGGGGUAUGAUGAGUGGUGACUCUGUCUGUUGGAUGAAAUAUAUUCGUUAUGCUAAUCAUGCAGGGAAUACUUAAACCUCCUGAGUCGACCCUAGAUCGAGUCUUGUUCCAGUAACCCCCAUACUUGUUUCGUACUACCACUCGUCUCUACAACAAGUAGAGUACGGUUCAGUAAGUUGUCAACCUAUUUCUAGUACACACCGUACAGAGAGGCCAUGGUGGAAGAUACCGGUUGUAGCUGGUAGGCGGGCCACCUGGUCCGGGGCAUGGGUGUUACCGGUUGAGACCGAGAGGGGAGGCCACCCCUUAGAGUGCGCAAUAUAAGUUUGAUCCCAUGCUACGCGAGGUUGUAGCCUCCCCACUUAGAGUUUGCUUGACAGGUGUUGUGGGUGAUUCCAGACACAUGUGAGUUAAGCUGGUGUGUGCAAGUUAGGUGUGUUUUCAACAAAAAGGCCGUAGAUGGAAUUAGUCCCGAUGGACUAAAGGAAUCCGUUACUCGUGGGUAAAGAGUACAUCCUCUGCAGAGAUUAAACCUAUUCGAAUAGCCGUGUCCAUGGUUAAGGACUACAGUCUGGGAUGGGUCAAGUGUCGGUCUUAGUGUCGGUCUUCGGAGGUGAAACUGUUAAACCAGAACUGGAAUCGCGACUUGUGACUUGUGAUAAUUAUGAUUAUUAUUUUCGUUGUGAACUAAACCGUGAUAUUUUUGGUAUUGUUGAAUAUCCCUGGGGAUGGUUCUACCUCCGGGAUAUUCACUAUGAUUGUUUCUUUUAAAGCCCUUUAUGUGGUGUCGCUGAGACGCCCGACUGUGGCAUUUCUUUUAUAAGCCCUUUAUGUGGUGUCGCUGAGACGCCCGACUGCGGCAUUUCUUUUAAAGCCCUUUAUGUGGUGUCGCUAAGACGCCCGACUGUGGUAUUUAUUUUAAAGCCCUUUAUGUGGUGUCGCUAAGACGCCCGACUGCGGCAUUUCUUUUAAAGCCCUUUAUGUGGUGUCGCUAAGACGCCCGACUGUGGCAUGCUUGUUAUUUAUUUCAUAAUUUUAAUACUACUAUGUCAUUGCAUUUUCAUAAUUAACCUGCUUACAUGCAUCAGAGAUAUAUUUACCUUUUGUGACUAACGUCAUGAGCAUAAAUAUUUCGAAACAUCGUUGUUAUAUUGUACCCGUGUUCAUAAUGUUUGCGAGUACAUUCAAAGUACUCACUGGCUUGUCCCUGGCUAUUGUCUUGGCCAGAUUUCUUGCACGGAGAGGAGCGACCUUGAUGACAGCCCCGGAACCCACGCAAUGGUGAUAGCAGCCUUGCGAAGAUAGGAGUUAUCCUGGUCAGCUGUUCCUGUGGGAAGUGGAGUCCCAUAGACACUGAUGAUUCACAACCCGCUUCCGCCAUCAACCACUAGAAACCAUUUGUUGUACUCACAGACCAGAAUGGUCUUGUACUACAUAUUUUGUGUUUUGCUUGGAAUUUCUGUAUCAAGUUGGUGCCUCAUCAGCUAAAAGUAAUCCUGGGGCUGAUGAGCACAAGGGCCAUUUUCUGGGAAUUAAUACCCGGAAAACCAGUCGCGACAGUUCUGUACUAUGAAAACAGUUCGAUUAUGCAAUAUAAAGUCUGUUAUUUAAAAAAUUUCCUCCCGUGCGGUCGUUUUGUUAAAUCUGAGAGUUGGCCAGUCGUUGGCUUCUGCCCCCACGUAGGUAGUACGGGGGUGUUCGGGAUAAAUCUAAACACUCUUUAUCCAAGGUUUUGGUCCUUUAAGGAGGUGUUUAGCGCAACAAACCAGGCAAUUGGACUAUGCGGCUUUAUUACUCUCACUUAGCCAUAGGAGUUUGACAAGAAAAAUUUAGGCGCAGCCCCUAGUGUUUGGAAGUCUGAACUUGGGGCGCUACACACGUCAGAUCGGAUAAAAACCGAUUCAUUGCAUAAUGCAGAAAAAAUCGCUAAAGAUUUGCAACCUCUCAAACAACUGACUGGCUCUCACCGCAUCAUGAUAGUCAGUUUUCGGCUUUCUCUACUGAGGUGCUCAUCCGGAAGAACCGGGACACAAUUGCAGUAGUUCUCCCUUUACUACCCUAGCCGAUAUAGCGGAACAUAAGGUAGUAAGCACAGGAGCCGGGUAACCCAACUAUUGACCAAAGACAUGAUUCGGAGCCGAUGCAUAUAAUGCUAUAAGUUCGGGUGCCGAAAUGUACUAUAAAAGUGUUCGAACUUUAUUGCCGUAUUGUGGGGUAUGAUGAAGCCCCUGGCGAAUUAAGGCGUACUAGAGUGUACGGGCGCAAUUGAUAAGAAUAUAAAGAAAAGGAAAAAAAUCAAGUAAUAAGCUGACGCCGCAAAUGUUGACUACGAAUUAUUUUCCAUUGUAAUUUUGUUUAAUACGUCAAGGCAUAUUUAUACAAGUAAUGCAAUAAGCAAAUAGGGCUAUUUGACAUGCCACGACCAAGGGCGAGCUGCGUGCGGGUUUUUAAAACAGGUAUAAUGAUCGUUAGCAGAGACCACCUGGGGGUUCCCUUAUACGUCAAAGAUUCUUGCCUUCUUGGUCUAUCCGUCCCUUGAUAGGUCCGAUGAUCAGGUCGCCAGGAAAGGCAUCGAGAAGGGAAAAAACCUAAAAAGAAAAAGAAAAAGUGAAGGUAUGCUGGUCCAGGAGCGGUUGAGCCGCAUUAUGGAUCACGGUCUAGCUGUGCCUCCGUCCAUGCCCAUGGUAUUUUAAGUGCAUAGGUAUGUAUGCGCGACACAAGUGUCGCCGCUUGAUUGGGACUAGGACGGAGGCCGAAUUGCUAGUCAAGCUCUGGAUGAGCUGGACUGUCCUGCUACAGAGUAGUUCGGACUCGCUUGACGGUGUCCGGGAGCUUUACUACCGAAUUGAGGUUCUGCCUCAAAAGGCUGUUCUGUACUUCUGCUCCAAGGGCAGCGGUGUGCUCCUCAAUACGGAGGGAGCGUUCCGUGUUUCCAUUGACUGUUAUGAUACCGCGUGGUCCGGGCAUUUUGAGCUUGAGGUAGGCGUAGUGCGGCACCGCAUUGAAUCAAGCAAAUGUGGUUCGUCCGAGCAGUGCAUAAUAGCCACUGCGGAAGGGGACAAUAUCGAAGAUCAACUCUUGGCUUCGAAAAUUAUCCGGGGAUCCGAAGACCACUUCCAGUGUGAUUGAGCCUGUACAUCGGGCCUCUACACCUAGUAUGACACCUUUAAAGGUGGUUUUUGUGGGUUUGAUCCUUGAGGGAUCGAUACCCAUUUUGCGCAAUGUAUCCUGAUAGAGCAGGUUCAGGCUGCUGCCACCAUCCAUGAGGACUCGCGUAAGGUGGAAUCCAUCAAUAAUUGGGUCAAGGACCAGUGCGGCUGAACCGCCAUGACGGAUACUGGUCAGAUGGUCCCUGCGAUCGAAGGUGAUCGGACAGGACGACCAUGGGCUGAACUUUGGGGCGACUGGAUCCAUUGCGUAGACGUCCCCGAGUGCACGCUUGCGCUCCCUCUUGGGGAUAUGGGUGGCGUAUAUCAUGUUUAUCAUUUUAACUUGGGGGGGGGGCUUCUUCUGUCCCCCUGUGGUCAGUGGCCGGGGUUCCUCAUCAUCGUCAUCGCUUUGUGACCCUUUCUCCUUGUUCUCGGCAUUUAACUUGCCGGCCUGUUUGAAGACCCAACAUUCUCUGCUGGUAUGAUUGGCUGCUUUAUCAGGAGUGUCGUGGAUUUGGCAUGGAUGAUUGAGUAUGCGGUCCAAACUGGACGGGCCCGGAUUGUUUCUCUUAAAUGUCUUCUUCCACUGACCGGAUUUAGAGCCACUGAAUCCGGCAUUGACCGUCGUGUCUUCGGCGUCAUCGCUAUUGUUUUGAUGCUUGUGUCUGUUGCGUCGGGGCUUGCCAUUGCUGUUUCUGGCUUCAGAAGUGCCAGGUUCACCUGUGUUGUUAUUGCUACGGGCUAGCCAACUGUCUUCUCCCGCACAAAAGUGGGUCAUGAGUGUCGUGAGGGCCACCAUGGACUUCGGCUUUUCUUGGCUGAGGAGUCGGGCGAGCCAUUCGUCACGGAUGCUAUGUUUAAAGGCCGCUAGGACUUCAGCAUCCGGACAGUUGACGAUCUGAUUCUUUUUAGUUAGGAACCUAGUCUAGAAUUUCCUGGCUGACUCUCCGGGCUAUUGAACUAUGUGACUUAAGUCGUCGGCAUCCGGAGGUUGGACAUAUGUGCCUUGAAAGUUGUCGAGGAAGGCAUCCUCCAAAUCCUCCCAGCUGCCAAUGGAGUUUUUGGGCAGACUGUUUAACCAGUACUUGGUUGGUCCCUUGAGUUUGAGCGGGGGGUAUUUGAUGGCGUGAAGACCAUCACCGCGGGCCAUGUGAAUAUGGAGAAGAAAAUCCUCAAUCCAUACCGCAGGGUCUGUUGAGCCAUCAUAUGAUUCGAUGUUCACAGGUUUAAACCCUUCUGGGAAUUCAUGUUCCAUUACUUCGUCAGUGAAGCAAAGGGGGAGUGCGGCGCCUCUAUAUCAGGCCAAGUCAUGACGUAGCUCGGAUGGAAUUCGUCUGCGGUUUUUGGCCCGGACAUGGUUAUGUUUGUCACACUCAGCUGGAUGGCCAUCGUCGUGCAUCGGGGCAUGCCCCCGCGAUCCAUAGAUUGAUCUUGUCUGACCUGCUCUGUUUUCCAAGUCACGCCGUAGGUCAUGUGUGUAUCCCCGAGCUGUUGUAUUUCCGUUUCUACGACGAGGUAGUGCGGGCUGGUGUUUGGCUCGAGGUGCCGCUUUGUCUCGGCCACGUGGUGGCUGGUCAGCUGCAUUAUAUCUUGGUAGGACAGGCUCCAUUGUCUCGUCAUCGAACUGUGGUAACACUUUGUGUUUCGGGUAGCUUUUCGUUGGGCGCUCGAGGCCAUAUUCCUCGGCUGCCAGGACAUUAGUCCAUCUUUCGUUCAGCAGAUCUUGAUCAGCUUGAAGCUACUACUGCUUUCGUUUUAGGCUCCUUGCAGUGGCUAUUAGCCGGCGCUUAAAGCGUUCCUACUCAACGGGCUCCUCAGGCACGAUAAAGUCUUUGUCGCUGAGGCUCACGUCAUCCUUGGAGAGCAGAAGGUAGUUAUUGUCCUCUGCAUCUUCAUUCGUGGCCUGUUCAUUAGGGCUAGCUUGCCCAUCUUCCUGUUUGUCCUGUUCGGAGGUUGGCUCAACGGGGUCUUCAUUGUCUUCGGCAUCGUCCAGAGUAUUGUUUUCUCCUGUGACGGUGUUGCUAUUUUUACUACAGCAUGGCUUAGAGCGGCGCCACUGACGUCGGCGCUUUGGCUGUAUCUCAGGAGGUUUAUCCUCGACUAGAUUUUCAUUGUCGCUGUUGUUCUCUUUGGGAGUAUCCACCAUGUAUAUGUCAUACGAAAAGGUGGUUGUCCAAUGCCCUGUAGGCGGUGGUUCCUGUUCUUCUCCGGCAUCGUCGGCCAUACCGUCGAUGUCAUCGGAGUCAUAAUCAAGCAUGUCGGUUAACUCAUCGACAGUGGCUAUAAAGUGGGUGCUGGGUGGGAAAAGAAGUUCUUCGUCGCCCGCUUCCCAUUCGAGCCGGACAUAGUUCGGCCGAGAGUCCCCCGACAAGGAGAGGGAUAUCAAUGAGUUUAACACAUCACCUAGAGGUGAGUGCUAGAAGAUGUCCGCGGAGCUGAACUCCAAGAUCGGCACCCAAUCAGGUUCCAUGGACGCGGAUGCACGCGAUCCGGAACCUAUGGCCGGAGACGAGUCCGAGGUUCCGGGGAAGCAAGCCCAGCCCGAUGUUGGGCCUGUGUGCGGCUCAAGCACCGUUGAGUCUGCGACUUUCGUGGUGAGGUUAAGCUUCCCGUCUUCGGACGACGCGGUCCGCUUCGGAUCUAGGGCCAGAGCGGUUACAUGCGCUAUCUCCUGAGCGCAGCCAUAUGACAGAUUUAGGUCAUGUUCAUCAUGGUGGCCGGGGACAGCCGUCAUGGGCUCGAAUCCGUCGAAGAUCAAGUCUCCAUGGAUAUCGGCCACAAAAUUCAGGCUUCCAAAUCUGACCUGAUGGCCAGGGGCAUAGCUAUCGAUCUACUCUAGAUGGCCAAGCGAGUUGGCCCGCAGUGCAAAGCCACCGAAUACGAAUAUCUGUUCGGGGAGGAAGAUCUCCCCCUCGACUGCAUUGUUGUAGACGAUUGAUGGAGCCAUCAAGCCUUCUGGUGACGAUGUAGUGGAACUCUCAAUGAAAGCACCAAUGUCGGUGUCAAAACCAGCGGAUCUCGGGUAAAGGGUCCCAAAUUGUGCGUCUAAGGCUAAUGGUAACAGGAGGCGGGGGACACAAUGUUUACCUAGGUCCGGGCCCUCUCUAUGGAGGUAAUACCCUACUUCCUGCUUGAUUGAUCUUGAUGAAUAUUACAAGAGUUGAUCUACCACGAGAUCGUAAUGGCUAAACCCUAGAAGCCUAGCCUAUGAGAUUAUGAUUGUUUACUAUGGACUAAACCCUUCAGUUUAUAUAGGCACCGAAGGGGGCUACGGUUACACAAAGUCAGUUACAGAGAAAGGAAUCUACAUAUCUGAAUCGCCAAGCUUGCCUUCCACGCCAAGGAGAGUCCUAUCCGGACACGGGAAGAGUCUUCGUCUUGUAUCUUCAUAGCCCAAUAGUCCGGCUCAUAUAUAUAGUACGGCUAUCCGAAGACCCCUUAAUCUAGGACUCCCUCAACCGCCACGUGGUUAUCUACCUUAAAAUACAAUUUGUAAUGUUUUCUCGAGGCCACAGCCAAUGUCUUCGAGUUAUUUGUCCUCUGUAAUGUUAAUAUGCAAUCUGAUGUUCAGUUAACAGCUUGGUCCUCUAAAAUGUAAUGUUCAGUUAACAGUUUGGUCCAACAAUUGCUACAUUCGUAGUAGUGUUCUCAAGCAUUCCUUGUUUUGUUAACUGUCUUAUCUUCUAGUACAUGUUUCUAUUCUGCAAUGUCGUGCUUAGUUAACUAUUUUGGUUCAUUUGGUCUUCUUUCCAUUUAACUAUUUGGUUCAGUUCUGCAAUUUGAUUUUCAUUUGCUGUGGGUACAAUUUUGUAUUGUUACGCAUGUGAAAUAAAUCAAAUUUGGCUAUACUCAAUUCAUAUUCUACUGAUAGUAUGACAACUCUCAGUUAACCUGAUCAAUCUUCCUUAUGUGUGUUGCAGGGAAACAAUGGGAGACACUCUGGUUUACAUCGAGGUUUGUUCAAGCAUGAUCCUUUGGCUAAUAGCACAUUAUUGUGCAGUUGCAGGAAUCAUUCUAAUAUUUAGGUUUCUUACAAUUUGGUUUUGCACAUGUAGGUCCUGCUAUCAGAGGCUUAGACCCAUUGUUCGACCCAUUUUGCAUAUGGGGAAAGGAGAUGUCCAGGAAUAUCAGUCAAGUUAAGAAACUCAGAAAGAUUUUUAGGAUGAAGAAUCUUGCGAAGAAUAACAGCAAGAUCUUUGUUUGCACAAUGAAGAAGGCACCAGUCAACUAUAGGAUCGUACUAACUCUUUUACCUUGUUUUUACCCCUUGCGCCAUCAGUCAACUAUAUGAUGGUACUAACUCUUUUACCUUGUUUGCAUAUCUUUAUUUUCAGUACUUUGCAAAGCAGUUCAUCGAUGCUUACCUCUCAAACCACCUGCAUGGUCAAGAGGCGAGGAAGGUAUUCAUUCAACACCCACGGUACAAUAUUGAAGUUUUGCUGAAGAGGACGAAGGUUGGGCGGGCAAUUAUCCAUAGCCACUGGCCUAAAGUUGCAAGGACAUUCAAAAUCACAGAAGGCUCAACAUUUUCCUUCCGCUUCUGUAGUUCCCAAGAUGAGAUUCAUCUAUCCAUUUAUCGUGUAUGAUGCUACUUUCCAAAGGUUUUUGAUGUUGCAUGUGAAACUUGGUCCUGUUGUGUAAUGGCAGAACUGAGUGUCGAAGCUAUCAGAUGUAAUUCGAUUAUGAAAUCCUGGUUGUUGUUAUACGGAUAUGAAAUAUCUGGUGUGUUUAUAUAAGAAAUAUCAAUUUGAUUAGUACAUGGAUUACCAAUAAUAGGCUAAUUACCCUGCUUAUUGGGGUUUUCUAUUGCAGACGGUUACUCAGACAACACCGUGGGCUAUGAACUCAAACACACUCACGGUUUCUAGAAAGUUAGUGUGUUCGAUCAACUAAUAAUCACACACGGCUUAUGGCAGGCCACCUUGCACAAACGUUUCCACACAAAAAACUGUGUGUGAUAUACAUACGAGCGAAAAUGUUUUUCUAGGAUUCACUGUGUGGGAUGUACAUACGAACGGAAACAAUUGGGUUUUGAUGCCUCGCCCGAUCGCACAUAGCCAGCUUGUGUGCCCGGAGGGCCUAUCCUUGACGAUUUCUGGGUCAUGUGGGAAGGACCCCCAUAUCGCCCACACUCACUUGGCAACGGUUCCAAAUGUCGUCGCGGAAAGGGGUUAAAAACCGUUUGUAUAGCACGUCGUUGUACCAGUGAUACCACCAGAUGAGAGGAAGGCAUUGCGAGUUCAAACAAACGCAGACCUUGCAACUAAACAGAAAAACCCGUGCGCUAAAUGCACCGCAAUGCCUUGCCCAGAUGCAUAUCUCUAAUGAAUCACUGUGCUUUGUUACUGAAGUUUUCAUGUGUCGAGUCUAUAUUUGUCAGUUACUUGUUAAUCAUGUUUUGCAGAAUUUAGUUGUAGAUUGCUAUUCUAUCAGCCCUCUAUGGAGGUGAAUAUUAAAUGAAAGUUAUACGUAUGUACUUGCAGAUAUAGUGAUAUGAACAUCGAACCAUGAAUUAAUUCCUAGGCAUAUUCAUUUUUGAAUUCAGUUUGAUUUCUGACUCAUUAGCCACAAGAUAUAUUUAUGUAGUGAUUUUAAAACUAGCACUCUAGAGAAUUUUUUAUACUUCCACUAUAGGAAUUAGCUUCUUUGUCGUCUGCCAUGGCAGACGACAAAGGUACCAAAAGCGGACGGCAAACCUCUUUGUUGUCUGCCACCAAUGGCAAAGCUGCGCGGCAAAGAACCUAACGGUAAACAAGUUCUUUGUUGUCUACUUCCUUAAAGAGGACGUCAAAGAACAUUUGUCGUCGGUGGCAGACGGCAAUGUGGACGGUAACUAACAGGCGUUAGCCACGUUAGGUGGCUAACGACAGCCUUUGUCGUCCGCCGGCGAACGGCAAACAUGCCCUCCCCUUUGUCGUCUGCCACAGACGGCAAAGUAACCAAAUGGGUGAGCUCCCAGGUUGCACAGGCUGUUGCCAUGUGGCCACUUUGCCGUCCGUGGCAGACGGCAAAGAGCCCUUUGUCGUCUGCCACAGAAGGCAAAGAGCCUGUAUUGUUACUGCUAUUUCUAUUUUCUGUUAUAUCCCUGCAUUCUGUAAAGACAUAAAUGAUAUAUAUAUUUCCAAUCUCAAACAUAGCCCAUGUAUCAGCCAUCUAGCAGUCCAUCAACGCAACAUAACUUAUAGGGUCUUAAAACGUCCAAUGCAUACAUAGUUUCACGGAGUUCAUCAACAUACAUAGUUUCACGGAGUUAUUCAACAUACAUUGUUCAUCAACACAAACUCAAAACAGAAACUAAAACUAGCAGUCCAUCAAAUGCCAGCUUCCAUGAAGUGAAUCAAAUCUGCAAAAAUAGGAGUAAGCAAGUUAGAAGAAGAAGAAGGUUUUUACCCUUUUCCUUCUCAUUCUUCUUCUUUUAUUCUUUCUUUUUCUUCGCUUUCUUCUUCUAUUCUUUUUUUCUCCUAUUCCUUGUUUUCUUCUUCUUAUUCCUUAUUUGUGUCAUUUUAGAGCUUACAUAGGUAAUUAUGCCAUUUUUGAGCUAACUAAGCUUAUUAUGUCAAUUUGGAGGAAAAUAAGGUAAGUAUAGGUCAUUUUUGUGCUAACAUAAGUAAUUAUGCCAUUUUUUAGCUAACGUAGGUAAAAUGCAUCAUUUUGGAGCUAACCUAGCUAAAAUGGAUCAUAUUGGAGCUAACCUAGGUAAACUUGGUCAUUUUGGAGCUAACUUAGGUAAAAUAGAUCAUAUUGGAGCUAACUUAGGUAAAAUGGGUCAUUUUGGAGCUAACCUAGCUAAUUAUGCCAUUUUCGGGUUAACUAAGCAUAUUAUGCCAUUUUUUACACAAGUAAGCUAAGUAUAGGUCUUUAUUGAGCUAACCUAGGUAAGUAAGCAUAUUAGAGCUAAUUUAGCAUUUUAGAGAUAACUUAGGUCAUUUUGGAGCUAACUUAGGUAAAAUUGAUCAUUUUGGAGCUAAUUAAGCUUAUUAUGUCAUUUUCGAGGAAAAUAAGCUGAGUAUAUGACAUAUAUGAGGUUACCAAGGUUGUUAUGCCAUUUCAAACCUAAGUAAGCUAAUUAUGCCAUUUUUAAUAUAAAGAAGCUAAGUGUAUGUCAUUAUUGAGCGAACCUAGGUAACUAAGCAUAUUAGAGAUAACUUAGCAUAUAGAGCUAACUUAGGUCAUUUUAGAGGAAACAAAGCUAAGUAUAGAUCAUUUUGGAGCUAAGUAAGCUAAUUAUCUCAUUUUGGAGGAAGAUAAGUUAAGUCUAGGUCAUUAUGGUAAGCAUUUUGGAGGAAAUAAAGCUAAGUCUAGGUCUUUAUGCAUUUCUUAAGCAAAACACUAGAGAAAACUUACCGUCAUCACGGAGGUGAAGCACCGGCGUGGCUCGCGCCGGUACCACCACCUGGAGAAGGAUCGUGUGAUGCUUGUCUGGAGGUACGUUGCACCAAAGAUCAUUUGCAAUGUCUCGUUAGCAUGACGACACUCAAAUGUUAAUACUAGUAACUAAUGACCAUUCAAAUUAAACUCACCGUGGUCCCCGGAGCAAUCUCUAGCAUUGGUGGAGGGGUCUGACCGGCCUUUUGGCACACAGAUUGCACAUUUGGUUUUCACGGUCAAUCAUACUAGUUAGUAAUGAAAAGAACAUUACGUGAAUGAUUUGGCUAAUAUGCAGAAGAAACUUACCACGAGGAGCUCGUACAUGGCCCGGUUCUGCAUGUCAUUCUGGGCCCUCUCCUCCUCCAUCAACCUUGUCGUCUUCUCCUCCAACUCCUGUUGCUUCUCCUCCGCCUGUUGGUCCCUCUCUGCCGGAAGCGCAUGGGUUCUAUCUCUCUCACUCUGAAGAGCAGCCUGCAACACCACUCCUCAUUAGCAUUGUAAUCAUCGAUGGCUGCACACACAAUGUAAUGCUUGAAAGAAAUCUGAGUCUGUAUAGCUAACCUGGAAGGUGAGCUCGAUUGGCUGCGGACGAGGCCUUAUCUCAGGAUAUGAGCAUGUUUGGCGCGCCCUGAUCUCUGGGAGAGUGCGAGGACAACGAAUAAGUCCAUCUCCAAUGGCUAUCGAGCCACGGGACCUCCCACCACUAUAUAUGUCAUCACCAGCUCCGGAUCAAACGGCCCGCUCGGGUUAAGGUCCUUCCCUUUCCUCGCCUUCCCCUCAUCUCUGUACUUGACGAGCUUGUUGUGGGAGGAGAUGUUGGUGAAGUUCUCUGGAUGAUCGAGGUCAGACGCAGAGAAUGCCUUGGCCUUCUUGUACGGGGCAGUAUGGGCCAUGGCAUAGAGGUCGAACACCUCUGGCACCGGUGCCAUAUUGUAUCCCGCCUAAAAGAGAGGAACAUAGUAUUAGUAGUUAAAGGGCUCAAGCUAGCAUGACAGAAUGAAUUGCAUCAAUCAUGAAUCUAACCACACACCCAGUUCCUCCUAUAUUGAUAUAAGUUGGCGCUGCCUUGAUGGUGUGGCACACCUCUCAUUUUGGCGUGAUUGUCCUUGGCAUUUUUGUGGACGGCAAGCCAUGCUUCUGAGCACCACUUAUCUGCCAACGCCUCCCAACAAUCCAUCUUAUCCGCACACCAUCUCAGGGGCACCUAAGUCAGUAAAGAGAAACUUGAGCGCUAUGCCUACGUAUCAAAUCAACGAAACUAAGAACAAGUCCUUAAGAAUAUAGACAAUUACCGUCAUGUACUCCUUCUUCAGAAACUUUCCGCGGCACUUCUUCUCGGGCUUCCAAAAACCACGCGAGGCGAACCUAAGCGAAUGGAUAAGGGAAAGCCCACUAUAUUAUAUAUAGUAAUUGUUGGGGAACGUAGUAAUUUCGAAAAAAUUCCUACGCACACGCAAGAUCAUGGUGACGUAUAGCAACGAGAGGGGAGAGUGUUGUCUACAUACCAUUGUAGACCGUAAGCGGAAGCGUUAGCACAACGCGGUUGGUGUAGUCGUACGUCUUCACGGCCCGACCGAUCAAGCAACGAAACUACGGCACCUCCGAGUUCUAGCACACGUUCAGCUCGAUGAUAUCCCUCGAACUCCGAUCCAGCCGAGUGUCGAGGGAGAGUUCUGUCAGCACGACGAUGUGGUGACGAUCUUGAUGUUCUACCAUCACAGGGCUUCGCCUAAUCACCGCUACGAUAUUAUCGAGGUGGACUACGGUGGAGGGGGGCACCGCACACGGCUAAGAGAUCCAAGGGACCAAUUGUUGUGUCUUUGGUGCUAGCCCUGCCCCUCUAUUUAUAUGUUGAGCCCCGGGGUCGAAACUUGGAGCAAAAGCCUCCUCAAAGUCGGUUUUGCCGGAAAGGCAAGAGUCCCACUCGGACUCCAGGACCAAACGCCACAAUCCUUGGCGUCUGGCCCAGACGCCAUAGGCCUCGGCGUCUGGCCCAGGGCCAGACGCCAGGGUCUCCGGCGUUUGGCCCCCUGGCCUUUGCAAAACUCCUUUUACACCGACCUAAAGCCUCAUGGGCUUGACCCCUUGGCCUAACCAUAUCAUCCAAUAUAUGAAUCUUUACGUCUCGACUAUUUCGAGACUCCUCGUCAUGUCCCCGAUCUCAUCCGGGACUCCGAACUCCUUCGGUACAUCAAAACAUGUAAACUCAUAAUAUAACUGUCAUCGAAACCUUAAGCGUGCGGACCCUACGGGUUCGAAAACAAUGUAGACAUGACCUAGAACUAUUCUCGGUCAAUAACCAAUAGCGAAACCUGGAUGCUCAUAUUGGCUCCUACAUAUUCUACGAAGAUCUUUAUCGGUCAAACCGCAUAACAACAUACGUUGUUCCCUUUGUCAUCGGUAUGUUACUUUCCCGAGAUUCGAUCGUCGGUAUCCAAUACCUAGUUCAAUCUCGUUACUGGCAAGUCUCUUUACUCGUUACUUAAUGCAUCAUUCCGUAACUAACUCAUUAGCUACAUUGCUUGAAAGGCUUAUAGUGAUGUGCAUUACCGAGAGGGCCCAGAGAUACCUCUCCGACAAUCGGAGUGACAAAACCUAAUCUUGAAAUACGCCAACCCAACAUGUACCUUUGGAGACACCUGUAGUACUCCUUUAUAAUCACCCAGUUACGUUGUGACGUUUGGUAGCACCCAAAGUGUUCCUCCGAUAAACGGGAGUUGCAUAAUCUCAUAGUUAUAAGAACAUGUAUAAGUCAUGAAGAAAGCAAUAGCAGAAUACUAAACGAUCGUGUGCUAAGCUAAUGGAAUGGGUCAUGUCAAUCACAUCAUUCUCCUAAUGAUGUGAUCCCGUUAAUCAAAUGACAACUCAUGUCUAUGGUUAGGAAACAUAACCAUCUUCGAUUAACGAGCUAGUCAAGUAGAGGCAUACUAGUGACACUCUGUUUAUCUAUGUAUUCACACAUGUAUUAUGUUUCCGGUUAAUACAAUUCUAGCAUGGAUAAUAAACAUUUACCAUGAUAUAAGGAAAUAAAUAAUAACUUUAUUAUUGCCUCUAGGGCAUAUUUCCUCCAGUAAUCACCUGCCAAAAGGAAAGCCUGACCGAUAAUAAUAAUAGUAGUCUCGAAUAGCCUGCACCUGUCGGUGAGAAAUGAUACGGAAUCCCUACUACGGUUGCGGGGCGCAGGAUCGUGAGAAGAGCGGGACUAGUAGACAGCACAAAGGGGAUUUACCCAGGUUCAGGCUGCAAAGGUGCGUAAAACCCAACGAUCCUGCUUUGGUGGAUGUAUUUAGUGUUCUUGAGCUCUUGAACUAGCUUUGGGUGUUGCCAGGUUCGAAAGAACCGAAUCCUUCUCCCAUGCGCCAUGGGUGUCGGUGUCAAAACCGGCGGAUCUCGGGUAGGGGGUCCCGAUCUGCGCGUCUAAGGCCAAUGGUAACAGGAGGCAAGGGACACGAUGUUUUACCCAGGUUCAGGCCCUCUCGAUGGAGGGAAAACCUUACUUCCUGCUUGAUUGAUCUUGAUGAUAUGAGUAUUACAAGAGUUGAUCUACCACGAGAUCAUACAGGCUAAACCCUAGAAGCUAGCCUAUGAUGAUUAUGAUUGUCCCCUAUGGACUAAACCCUCCGGUUUAUAUAGACACCGGAGGGGGCUAGGGUUUACACAGAGUCGGUUACAAAGAAGGAGAUCUAACAUCCAGAUCGCCAAACUUGUCUUCCACGCAAAGGAGAGUCCCAUCCGGACACGGGGCGAAGUCUUGAGUCUUGUGUCUUCACGGUCCAACAGUGCGGCCAAAGUAUAUAGUCCGACUGUCCGGAUACCCCCUUAUCUAGGACACCCUCAGUAGCCCCUGAACUAGGCUUCAAUGACGAUGAGUCCGACGUGCAGAUUGUCUUUGGCAUUGCAAGGCGGGUUCCAUCUCCAAAUACUCCAAAGUACCUAUUGUAACGAAUAGUGUCCGGCUUCCCAUCAAUGUUGUACUCCUCGGCUUCUGUGCUUCAAUAAUGGCCAUCUCCACAUGUCGAGCGAAUACGAGGAGCCGGAGCACUUUUACAUUUGCCACCCUGGCCCUGCAGGCAAACCGUCUAUUUGAAGAGACAGGGAUCCUCAGACCCAAAUCUCACUUUCUUCCCUUGAGCUAGCAUCCAACAGAGCGCAUCCGGAAAAAACCAUUCCAACAUGGCCGGUCGCCGCAGCUCCUCUUCUCGCUCCCUUAGCUCCAAGCCAGGUGAUUGCGAAGAGUGUUCUGUUCCCCAUAGCCGUUUAUUAGACUUGCAAACCCAAGGGUUUCUUCCACCAGCGUUCAUGGUCCCCGUCUGAGCCGGACUUUCCACCUAUAAUGGCGGGGAGCAAGCGGAGAGAUCUCCUAACCCAUCUCAGGGGGAGUGAGUAUGCCUCAUCCCAUAUUUGCUAAGAGGCGUCGGGUUUCCAAUCCACCCAUUCCUUCAUGAGCUCUUGGAGUUCUAUGGCCUCCAGUUGCACAACUUCACCCCAGCCCCCGUGCUGCACAUCGCAGGAUAUGUCGCCCUUUGUGAAUUAUUUCUGGGCUGCGAGGCUCACUUCAAGUUAUGGAAGAAGUUAUUCUGCCUCGUCCCUCGCAAUCAGGGGAAUCCAUAUGUCAAGUGGGCGGAGCCGAAGUAUGGCGCGUCGCCGAGACCGGAUACCUGUCCGGUACUCCCAACAAGGCGUUUGAAAACUGGCCCUCGGAGUGGUUUUAUGUUGAUGACGUUCCCCUUCCGGAUCCAAUCCGGACGGGCCUCCCUGUGGUUAAUAACGCUCCGCUGAAGAAACUCCGAAGUUGGCGUCCUCGGAGCACCCAGGAGGAAGAUACCAGAGAAGUCCACUUCUUGAUGAGCAGGAUAAAGACACUGGCCAAAUCAGGACUGACAAUAGUCGAGGUUAUAUCAAUAUGCAUAAUGCGGGGGGUGUAGCCACUUCAAUAUCGGGGGAAGCCCAUGUGGCACUUCAACGGGGAAGACGACGCCACCCGCUGUGGUCGUAAAGGUUCGGACUCCGCCACUGCUCUGGCGAGAAUACUGUCCGAUUUGUAUAAAGGAGAAGAAGAAUAAUUCCUUCGUAUUAAACCGCGGGAUGGAUUUUCCAUGUACAACCCCCCAAGAUGGGUAAGUCGUAACUCUUUACCCCACUCUAUCCAUUCUGGCGCCCUUCAUCACAAUCAUUUACCAUGAUAUUUCUGAGCAGGAACUGAGGAGGGCCGUGGAAGGAUUCAACAGCCCCUCCCCGCAGCCAGAGGACCCCGGGAGGGCCUUCGAUCCAGGACUUAAAGAAGAUCCGGAUAUAUCUAUGGAGCUUGUCGACGGGACAUUUUAUCAGGCCAGCUGCGAUGGCGCCCCGGUGGCUAUUAUCGUCAACUAUCCCGGACUGCUACCUACGUCGUGUGUAAGUAAAACCGAAGCCUUAUCCUCUAAAGAGGACUCCUUUCUUAUACCAUGCCUUAUGCCUAAAAUAUCGUAUUUUUAUAGAGACGACCAUCGGAAUGCGGCGCCGAGCCCCUGGGGGCUCGUCGGCAAAGGGCGUCCGGGCCAGGCAGGCUUAAGAGGAAGGCGGUUAGGGCCGAAAUGCUGUUACAGAGGUAUAGUUAAAAUCUGCUAUGUGGUUAUCGUAUUUGACAUGUAACAGCUUCCCUUGUGUCCUCGCAGAAAGAGGAAUCACCGGACUAUAUCCGGAGGUCCUUCCGGUCACGCCUUUACCAGCCGGAUUCUAGAUCCGACUUCGAGAGAGGAGGCCGAUGCGGGGCUGAUGCCGGUUUGUCCUCUGACAGAGGAUGCGGAUAUGCUCUCUGCCACUAAUUCCGAAGUAGAGAGUGCCAUGAAUGAUCGGCGCCGAUGGGCCGUACUUCACAAUGGCAUCUUUUCUAAAGAGGCAUUCAAUGCUUUCAAUUCGGGAGACACAUACAUCUGAGCUGCUCAAGGUGGGCUUGCCCGAGAGACGGACCAGUAUGCGAAAGAUAUAUGGGUAAGAAAAUUUGAUAAGUAUGUAUAGCAGUAGCCCCUAAGACUUGAAACGGUUGGAACAACCGAUUUAAGGAUCAUUUUAUGGACAGUUUCUUGUAGAGAAGAAUACCCAUUUGUCUCAAGAGCUGGAGGAGUGCAAGUCCCAGCUGAGGGCCGCGGUUGCCAAACUAGAGGAAUCCCAGAAGCCCUCAUCUGGUAACAUUUGUCUCAAUAGAGAAAUUUUAAGGGAAUAUACCAGUUAGUAAUUGGCUUGUUUUAUGAGUCUAACAGAAAAUUCUGCAGACAAUCCCGGGAAGAAUCCGGAGAUCGUAAGAGAUAGCGAGUUUGUGCUUACGUAGGUUAGGCAGGAGAAAAACAAUCUCCAAGAUGCCAAUGUCCGGCUGGGCGUCGAAUUAGCAGAUGUUCGAGCUCAGCUGGUGGACUCCGUGAAGGAGAACAGGAGGCUUCAUCGCGGCAUUUAUGGUAAGUGCCUAAACGAACUGCAGUACAGUUCGGCGAGGAGGCAUUUUUUAAAAGAGAUUAUAUCUGUAGGUAUGCUGACGGGCCGUCCUGAAGAGGAGAUGCCCGGGUCCGCGGGUGAUUUACUACAAGAUCUCUCACAACUGCACGAACGAGUUCGAUAGGUGAUGCAGGGUAUUGCCCAGGCCUUGUGGCCAUCCACUUCCCUGCCAAAAGGCAUGGGAGAGCUCGUGGAUAUGCUCCAAGGAGCACGGUGGUGCUUCCAGUUGUGGAAGGUAUCAGCCUGUCAACAAGGUGCAAGGGAAUCCUGGGCCAUGGUGAAGACGCGCUACACCAAGCUUGACCCGAACCAUAUGGCCGAAGUCGGACCGGCAGGGCCAGAUGGGCAAGAGAUUCCUGUGAGUCUGGUGUAUGACCAGGUAGCGCUAGCCACAAAGUAUUCCCAACAGGAUUGCAAGCUAGAUAGCCUGUUGGAUGGUAUGGAGGAAGAAUAUAGCCAGUCCAAGUGACUAUGUAAUUCAAUGGACAUAUGUAGUCCCUAGCCGGAUUAAAAAUCUUUUGUCAUGGUGGACCUUUUCGCUUCAGCCCCCGGAUCCGACAGUCCGGGGUGUAUCCGAAUACCCGCUCAGUUAUGCAAAACCGGGGUAUGCGUGGAAACCAGGCGUAGGGGUAAUAAGUGCUUGAACAGACAAAUACCCAACUAGUUAUGGUAUAUUACAUGGGUAGUAAGAAACAUCUUCUAGGGAGAAUAGUUCCGUUAGGGUUUCCUUUCCCUGGGUACACAUGCAUCGAUGUACAUGUCUGAACUGCGAACAAAACACAGGAUACAAAACAUCUGGGGAUUCACAUUGUAAUAAACGAAAGAAACAUCUUCUGUUCACCGACUGUCGGCGUUCUGGGAACGGGGGUCCCCAUACUUGCCUGCCUGCAGCCUACGGCGUGGCUCAAGUGGGGGCCCAGCGCGGCCCAGCUUCAUCAGCUCAAGCUCAAGACCCUCGCGAGGGGCCAAGCCUCGCGGGGCGGACGACGGGAAGCUUCCUCAGGAGCAGCCACCUCAGGCAGGCUUGCGAGGAGGAGGAGAGAUCAAGGCACGGUUGCUCAUGAGGGUGCCCCAUGACGCAAGCCAUGACGAUCGAGACCAGGCGGGCGCCAGGCGGGCGCCGGCCUACGCACUGUCCUUGUUUCCCCUUCGGUGAAAAGGGGGCAAGCACAGGCCAAGGCAUCAGGGAAAGGUUACCGUUUCAGUGCAACAAGACCAAGACCAGCAGAACGACAGGAUGCAGGUCAUCGUGGAGCCCACGACGGCGUCAUCGGCAGAGCCUUUGGCAGCCGAAGACCAACUUUAGUCAGGAUAAGUGUACUGGAUGUUCCCCUUCAAAAUGGCCAACUAUUGGCGCCCUUCCUGCUCAUUAUUUAGGAAGAGGCCCAGGGCCUCCUCCUAUAAAUAGGACUAGCCACCACAGAGUAGAGGCAUCUGGAAGAUCGAUGAAUCAACCAGAGAGAGAGAGAGAGAAGUGACUGAACUCAUCCAAGUAGUUCAUCGCAGCAGCUCAAGAACAGCCCCUCGCGAGGCUGUUCUCACUUUGUACUGUUCAUCAUCAGCCCCAGAGGCAAUCCACCAUGCCACAAACUAGAGUAGGGUAUUACACCACAAUGGUGGCCCGAACUAGUAUAAACCUCGUGUCCCUCGUGUGUUCUUCCUUCUAGCCUAGAUUCCUUGCAAGCCUUCGACGCGUGCGCUGGUAGGGGAAAGAUCUUCGUGCGCACCCCAGUGUUUGAACCUCAAGGGUUUGCCGGAACCCGAAAUCUGACAUUUGGCGCGCCAGGUAGGGGUGCGUCGGAGUCUUUCUUCCGUUGGCCGUGUGAUCUUCCGUCGUGUCCAUGUCUGACGCUCGCCGAGCCAGCGCCGAGCGCCGGGCUGCUCUCGCCGCUCGAGUCGCCCAGACGGCUCCCGUCGGUGGACGCCCCCAUUGUUCCCCAUCGCCUGCUGCCAACGCCGCCACUGGCCUAGCGGGGAACGAGUAGUAGGCCUCGUUCCUGCAUCCCUCAGUGCGGCGAGAAGGCUGCACCGCCACCCCGCCCCUGACUCCAGCCGGCUCGCCGUCCCACGCCCGUCGCGCCCCCACGGACACACACGCCGCGCUGCUCCGGGCGCGUGAGUUCCUGCACUAGCGUCCCGUCGACGACCUCUACAAGGACUGGCUCGCCCGCAUCACCGAGCUCGUCAGCACCGCAUGGGGCUCUCCCAUGUCGUCCCUCUCGCUGCCUCCCCCUCCAUCCUGCGCAGGAGGCGUGGACCAAGAGGUGCCUCCACCACCUCCUCCCCAAGAAGGCGCACUGGCUCCAAGGCACGUGGCCCCAGGACGAGACCCUCCGCGUUCCGCGCCUGCGCGACAAGAAAGGAGCUGCCAAGAGAUCCCUCGUCCCCAAGAAGGUGCUCGCGUGCUCCCGGCACCGGAGCACCAUGGCCGUGCCCCUGUGCCACCACGUCAAGACCCCGCGCUGCUCUAGGCGCCGGUGCAUGGGGAUCCUCAGGAGUAAGCCCCGCAUCAACAGAGAGCUCCGGUGGCCACCACAGGCUGCCACGCCUUCACCGCCGAGCUGCGUAGCGUCGCAUGGCCCGGCAAGUUCAAGCCGGACCUGCCUCCUCGCUAUGACGGCACUGCAGACCCUGCGGAGUUCCUCCAGCUCUACGAGCUGGGCAUCAAAGCCGCCAACGGGAACGAAAAGGUCGUGGCAAACUGGUUUCCCAUGGCGCUCAAGGACAGAGCCCGCACCUGGCUCUUGAACCUGGCUCCUGGCACGAUCUCCUCCUAGGACGAGAUGCGCGCUCGCUUCAUCGCCAACUUCCAAGGCACUCGCGACCAGCCCCCGGCCAUGAGCGACCUGCGCCGCAUCAAGCAGCAGCCAGAAGAGACCCUGCAGAAGUACAUCCAGUGCUUCAACAACGCCCUCCUCAAGAUCCCCAGGGUGACUGAGGAGGCCAUCAUCUCAGCCUUCUCCGAUGGCGUGUACGACAUCAAGAUGAAAGAGGAGUUAGCCAUCCAUGAGGACAUGUGCACAUCCUUGGAGCUGUUCAACUUGGCGACCAAGUGCGCCAGGGCUAAGGAAGGGCGCCUUUCCCUCCUCGAGCUUCCGGCCGCCGAUCCAGAAGAGAAUAAGCCCAAGGUCAAGGACGUGAAGCGCAAGGGGGAUGUUGUGCUCGCAGCAGAGCUAGACACCAAGCAAGGCAGGGAUCAGCCUGAGUCAUCCAAAGGCAGCCGGUACUGCGUGUACCACGACCUCCACACCCACAACACCAAUGAAUGUCAAGAGCUCAGGGCCGUGCGAGAUGGGCAUAUCGGCCAACGUCCCGACCGCAACGACCGGGGCUAUGGCCGAGGAGGAGGAAGAGGUGGAGGAUGAUGGGAAGAUCGUGGCCUGCGCCAAGGGUGGCGUGAUUGACCUCGCGAGGACUGCUGGCAGGACCAGCCUCAAGAGGGAGGUUGGAGGGAUCAGCCUCGUGAAGACCGCCCUCAAGGCAAUGCAGGCCUCCCUCCUCUGCCACCACCCCCAAGGAGGAAUGAAGACCACCACCAGGACGAGGUGGCUGGGGGCUUCUAGGAGCCACGCAUAAUCGCUUGCAUCUUGGGCGGCGCUCAGGCCCCAGCCUCUCAGUGGAUCUUCAAGCAGUUUCCUCGUGAGGUGAAUGCAGUCCUUCCCAAGCUUGAAUCCACGUGCCCUCUCAGGUGGUUAGCAUGCGCUAUCACAUUCAACUCAGCGGAUCAUCUCAAGUGCGUAGCAACGGCCGGAGUCCUCCCGAUGCUUUGUUCCCGAGUCAUCAGCAAUGUGCAAGUCACCAGGACCCUCAUCGAUGGCGGAGCAGGACUCAGUGUCCUGUCCGUCGAAACGUUCAACAAUCUCCAAGUGCCAUACGAUCAGCUUCAGCCGACCAAGCCUUUCUCAGGAGUCACUGAUGGUUCCACUGUUCUGAUAGGGCAAGUUUGCCUUCCUAUCACCUUUGGGCAGCGCAACAACUACCACACCGAGCUCAUUGACUUCGACGUCGCCCACAUUCGCCUGCCAUACAAUGCCAUCCUCGGGUACCCAGCUCUAGCCAAGUUCAUGGCAGUGACUCACCAUGGCUACAAUGUUCUCAGGAUGCCAGGAAGCGGUGGAAUCAUCAUAGUGCCUUGAGAGGAGAGGGACGCAGUGUGUUCUCUUGAGCGUGCCUUCCAGGCUGCGGCAAUCGAAGACCCAGAUCACAGGAGCGGGAGCCUCCCCGAGGCGGUCCCUAAAAAGAAGAAGGCUUCACCUGGCCGAAACCCUCAUGAGGUAGGCAUCUCCGGAGGCGUUGCGUCAGGGUCCGCGCCAGUUCAAGGGGCGCCACCCUCUGUCGCAUAGGAAGGCGUGCUUGGCGCCCUCCUCGGGCAGGGCUCGGGGGCUCUGUCUUGGAGAGCCACUGACUUUGCCAAGGUCACGAGGGAGGCGCUCGGGCACCACUUGGAGGCGUGCUUCAAGGCACGUUUCCCUCAGGAAGGCAUGAGGCAAGGAGGGCCAAACCCUCAGGAGUUCAUCGCGAGGAACAUUCAGGAGCUACAGGAGUCAAGAGUCAUGCGCGACAGUCGCUGCCUGCCCGCAGUAGCCCCACAUCCCGGCGAGGAUGGUGGGAUGCGCGUCUGCAUCGAUGUACCAGGGCUCAACCGAGCCGCAUCUCAGGAGCGCCUCUGGCCUUCACGUGUGGGGCAUUGUGAGGGGCCACCUCACAGCUACGUUCGCAUGCCCCUCGGCCUGCCGAACGCGGCCGCCGCUCAUCAGCACCUGCUGAGGAGCAUUCUGGAGGCUCAGGAGGUUAGGCAUCACGCGGUCCUGGCGGAGAUGGAGAUGGUCCUCGGAGAUCCACCCGAGCCCUCAGAGCCUCCCGAGGCUCUAGGACCCGGGAGCUCGUGAGGAUCGACCUCCUCACCACACGUUGUCUGCUACUUCAGCAUAGCUUCAUCCCAACGGUAUCAGGUGACACCUCUCGAAGUUCCAUUUUUAGCUGGGAGCGCCCGCAGGGCUGCAUCAUUCCCAAGUCGCGUGGGUCUGCCCCUGCGGCAUGUAUCCAUUUUGCUUAUGUUCCUUACCUGCCUUGUUGAGGGCGCCCCUCGGGCUGCAUUGUCCUCAAGCUGCUCGGGCCAGACCCAAUGGCGUUUACUUUUUCCGCAUCUAUCUAAAUAGAUUUGCUCCUUCGUGCUUAACAUGCUUGACCUAACCGCCUGCUUGAUUGACACCUACCUUUGGAGUCGCACGCUCUGGCACGGCACUUGCGCACGGGUCCAUCCCUGCAACGCCGAUAAAUCUGAGUGGCUGAGCUCUGGCCGCGGCAGCCCCGCAAGGCGCCACCUCACCAGGCCCUCAGUGCCCCAAUCACUCCCUCGGAGCGACCAAUGGUUGGCUGGCAACCGUAACAACAAACCUUGUUUCCCCUCGUGACUGAUACGCAGGACCCGCUCUAGGAGUAACGCUGGUGGUGUCGCGAGCCUUCUCUCCUUCUCUCCGGCACGAUCCGCUUGCACGUUAAAAGGGGGGCGCCAGAGCAUCGUGACUCAUGGGCUCCUACUGGCUCUCCAGCCCUCACCCCCCGGCCUUGACCCACGGCAUCACGACCUGUCAUUCCAGCGGCAGCUGAGCUCACUCGAGGGCCGGGACCUGAGGACGUAGAGCAUUAAGGAAAGUGCAGGGGAGAGGGAAGAAGCUCAUGAGGACCCAACCCAGCAACACCUCAGCUGCCGCCACGCAGGCGCGACACCUCGUGAAACACUACUCCAAACCUACAAGAUAAGUCACGAAAAACUGAUUCGACUCAGCGCUAAACCCUCGGCUACUGGAGCUCUGUCACGGCAAUGUUUCUUGCCUUUCUUGCCCAGCGGAGGCUGCUUGAACGCUAAAGGGGACAUCCUGAGCAUCGCGACUCAGGGGCUCUUACUGGACCUCGGGCCGCUCACCUCCUGGCCUUGACCACGGCAUCACGACCUGGCAUACCAGUGACGGCUGAAGCCUGCGUGGGGAUCGGGACCUGUCAGCGUAGAGCACCAAGCCCUCGUGAUGAAAGAAAGGGGGAGCUGAGCCGGGAAAGGACAAGCAUCACGCCUCGAUUCAUAAUAAGGAUGUCAUAUUCGCAAAAGUCAUGGCCAGCGCCUUACGUACCCCCGUGGGGCAGUGCUUCGAUUUCUCACAGGGAACAAAAGGUGCUAAUCCUAAGGAACGCUAACUAAACGCGCCUCCGCAGGAGACGCCAUCAUCAACAGUGGGCCGCCAGGCACCGGCGCCAACCCCAUCCAGAUCAGCAGCGCCGGCGUCCUGAAGCAACCACCCUGCUCCGGGUGCGGCGCGAACUCAGGGGCUCGUAGCUGUCGUCGCUCAUCUCCGGAGUCGCGAGAAGCUCAGCAGAGUCGCUGGACCCUCCGCCACCUCCGCUGCCGCCUGAGGAGCUGCUAGGGAAGCGGUUGGUGGGCCAGGUCCUCGCCGCGAUGAUGCCCCGACCACCUUUCUCGGGGCAGCACUCCAGCUGGCGUCCCUCCGCAUCGAAGACCUUGAAGAGCAUCAAGGAGGCGCCAUCAUAUUCUAGGUGUAUUACGAGGGUACCCCCUGUCCGGCAGAUCCAGGCGAUCUCGCCCCAGCCUCGGGUCAUGUAAACCUUGCCGGGAGCGACAACCUCAACCUCUGCUCCGGUCGCGGGGGUGCUACAGUCAGCGUGCUGCAGCCAGAGCUCCAAAGGCCCCCUCUGCGAGAUCUCAAAGGCGAAGGAGGGAGGAAGGUAAAUCCAAGAUCAAGGAGGCAUGGCUGCGUGGAGCACAAGCUCACGAGAGGAGCCCUCGGCGUGGACUCCACGAGGAACGACGCACACCACCGUGACCCGCCGGCAUCGACGGUGGCACCGUUGGUGUUGCUUGGCGCCUUCUUCUCGAGAGCCCUCGAUGCGGGCAUACAAAGGCAGCGAGAACCCUGGCGGCGGCCGCUCGUAACAGGGUCUCGAUGCCUCCUACCGAGAGCCCUCAUCUCGGCGGCAGAGGGCUAGCCGUUUCUUCGGCGGAAGCGGAUCGGGACCCUCUCGAGGGGCCUUUCCCUUCUCUUCUAUAGAGAACUGGCGGAUUGGUUCCAUUGGCGCAAGGUGGAGCGAGGGUGAUGAAGAAGAAGAAGAGGAGUAGCAGGAAGGGAUGGACUAGAAGGGCUCGCGCCAUUCCGUACUUAUAGCUGGUGGAGGCCAACCGUCGGCCUCCACGAUCGAAGGUAAUCGUGACCCGUUUUUAUAUGCAGGGACUUGUCAAGUCAUGCGGUUGCGGAGGCAUCAUGGGGAAGCGGAGACACCCACGUCCAAUCAAUCGCCACGUGGCGCCCAAGGCUGCAGGUUGUUAGGGCCCGUGGCGCUUCGCACUUGCUCCUUCGUUUCUUUGCAAAGCCAAGUCCGGGCGCGCCUUGGGCCCGGGGGCUACUGUCGGCAUUCUGGGAAUGGGGGUCCCCAGACUUGCCUACCUACGGCCUGCAGCGUGGCUCAAGUGGGGGCCCAGCGCAGCCCAGCUUCCUCAGCUCAAGCUCAAGACCCUCGCGAGGGGCCAAGCCUCGCAGGGCGGACGACAGGAAGCUUCCUCAGGAGCAGUCUCCUCAGGCAGGCUCGCGAGGAGGCAGAGAGAUCAAGGUAGGGUACCUCACGAGGGUGCCCCAUGAUGCAAGCCAUGACGAUCGAGACCAGGCAGGCGCCAGGCGGGCGCCGGCCUGCGCAGUGUCCUUGUUUCCCUUUGGUGCAAAGGGGGCAAGCACAGGCCAAGGCAUCAGGCAAAGGUUACCGUUUCGGUGCAACAAGACCAAGACUAGCAGAACGGCAGGAUGGAGGUCAUCAUGGAGCCCAGGACGGCGUCAUUGUUAGAGCCUUUGGUAGCCGAAGACCAACUUUAGUCAGGAUAAGUGUACUGGAUGUUCCCCUUCAAAAUGGCCAAUUGUUGGCGCCCUUCCCGCUCAUUAUUUGGGAAGAGGCCCAGGGCCGCCUCCUAUGAAUAGGACUAGCCACCAUAGAGUAGAGGCAUCUGGAAGAUCGACGAAUCAACCAGAGAGAGAGAGAGAGAGAGAGAGAGAGAGAGAGAGAGAAACGACUGAACUCAUUCAAGCAGUUCAUCGCACCAGCUCAAGAACAGCCCCUCGCGAGGCUGUUCUCCCUUUAUACUGUUCAUCAUCAGCCCCGGAGGCAAUCCACCACACCACAAACUAGAGUAGGGUAUUACACCACAAUGGUGGCCCGAACUAGUAUAAACCUCGUGUCCCUCGUGUGUUGUUCCUUCUAGCCUAGAUUCCUUGCGAGCCUUCGACGCAUGAGCUGGUAGGGGAAAGAUCUUCGUGCGCACCCCAGUGUUCGAACCUCAAGGGUCUGCCGGAACUCGAAAUCCAACACCGACCGAAUAUUCCCUUAAGAACGCUAGCUUUCAGCUUCACCCUGUCUGAGGUACACAUCCGGCUGAACUGGAAGUAACAAUCACAGAGGUGCUCCCCUUAUGCCCUAGCCGAAUUAACAGGAACGUAGGGCAUAAACACAAGAGCCAGGCUACCCAGCAUGGCCACAUCUUAAGUCAUAUCUAUGCAUAUAAUGGUGAAGAAAAGGCACAUAUGGAAAAAUAAUGCAUAUCUGAUAUGCAGGAAGCCAUAAAAGUAAUUAUAUUUAGCUUCCGUAUGGGAAGCCCCCAGGUAUGGUGAACACACAUAGUGCGGCCGGAGUGAUCCGAGCAUCCACACUGUAUUGAAUACUUUGUGUGCAGAAGGGAAAAAGGCGAGAAGGAAAAAGAGGGGGGAACAUAAUUAAAAGAGCGGGGGUAAGGAGACGAAUACUGAGUUCGGCACUAGGCGUAGAAUCUCCGGAGUCUGGCCUCGUUCCAUGGGUUUGGCUCGAGUCUGUUAUCGGAUGCAUUACGCAGGCGGUACGCUCCUCCGGUGAGAACUUUAUCAAUAAUGAAGGACCCUCCCAUUUAGGUUUGAGCUUGUUCUUCUUCUUCUCCGGUAGGCGUAGAACGAGUUCGCCAACAUUAUAAGUUUUGGCCAGCACUUCUCUGCUUUGAUACCUUUGACCCUGCUGCUGAUAGAAUGCGGAACGGGCUUUUGCGACAUUGCGCUCCUCCUCCAGGGCAUCUAAGUUGUCCUGCUGAUCUAAAUCGGCUUCCUUCUCUUCGUACAUGCGCACGCGAGGUGAGUCAUGGAUUAUGUCGCAGGGUAGUACUGCCUCUGCGUCGUACACCAUAAAAAAUGGUGUGUAUUCGGUGGUGCGAUUCAGCGUGGUCCGCAGCCCCCAGAGUACGGAGUUGAGCUCCUCGACCCAGUGCAUGUCCGAUUCUGUCAAGGAUCGCACUAGUCUGGGUUUGAUGCUGCUCAUGAUGAGACCAUUUGCACGUUCGACAUGUCCGUUUGUUUGGGGAUGGUAGACGGAGGCAUAAUCGAGCUUAAUGCCCAUGUUGCCGCACCAAGUUUUCACUUCAUCGGCUGUGAAGUUUGAGCCAUUGUCAGUGAUGAUGCUGUGGGGGACGCCGUAACAGUGUACAACCCCUAAUAUGAAGUCUAUCACUGGUCCGGAUUCGGCCAUUUUAACUGGUUCGGCUUCUAUCCAUUUGGUGAACUUGUCCACCAUGACCAAUAAGUAUUUUUCUUAUGGCUUCCCCCUUUAAGAGGUCUGACCAUAUCCAUCCCCCAGACCGCAAAGGGCCAGGUUAUGGGAAUUGUUUGGAGAGUGGUAGGGGGCAUAUGGCUCUGAUUGGCAAAGAGCUGGCAACCGACGCAGUGUUGGACAAGGUCCUGUGCAUCUGCCCGGGCUGUCGGCCAAUAAAAACCUGUACGGAAGGCUUUGCUGACAAGUGCCCGAGCCGUAGCGUGGUGCCCGCCGAGUCCGACAUGGAUUUCAGCCAAUAGCUGCCGCCCUUCCUCUUCGGAGAUGCAUCUUUGGAGCACUCCGGUGGCACUUUUCUUAUAGAGUUCUCCCUUAUGGACUUUGUAGGCCUUGGAAUGCUGCACAAUACAACGUGCUUCAUUUUGGUCCUCGGUGAGCUCCUGCCUAUUUAGGUAGGCCAAGAAUAUGUUAGGUGGGACAGGGUCACGUUUAGCGCCGACGCGGGCGAGGAUAUCCUCCGCUUGAUUGUUUUCUCGAGCCACAUGGUGGAAUUUGAGCCCCUUGAACCGAGAUGACAUUUUGAGGACGGCAUUGCGGUAUACCGCCAUUUUUGGAUCCUUGGCAUCAAAAUCUCCAUUUAUUUGUGAUAUUGCGAGGUUUGAGUCCCCGCGCACUUCCAGACGUUGAAUGCCCAUAGAGAUUGCCAUCCGAAGACCAUGCAACAGGGCCUCGUAUUCGGCUACGUUGUUGGAGUCUGUGUAUAAUAUUUGGAGUACGUAUUGGACCACGUAUCCGGUGGGGGAUGUCAGGACUACACCCGCUCCCAAUCUGGCCAUCAUUUUAGAACCGUCGAAGUGCAUGAUCCAAUUGGAGUACGCGCCGUACUCUUUAGGGAGUUCGGCUUCUGUCCAUUCGGCAACGAAGUCAGCCAAUACUUGUGACUUAAUGGCCCGCCGUGGUUUGUAUGUUAUGUCGAACGGAAGGAGCUCGAUGGCCCAUUUAGCAAUCUGUCCUGUGGCGUCGCGGUUGUUUAUUAUGUUGUUGAGUGGUACUUCGGAGGCCACCGCAAUCGAACACUCUUGAAAGUAGUGUCAUAGCUUCCGGGAUGACAUGAAGACCGCGUAUGCUAUCUUUUGAUAGUGUGGGUAUCAGGAUUUGCAUGGGGUGAGGACAGUUUACACGUAAUAUACCGGCUUUUGGAGCGGGAACUUGUAUCCAUCUACUUCUCGUUCGACGACGAGCACUGCGCUUACAACUUGAUGUGUUGCAGCUAUGUACAAUAGCAAAGGUUCGCCAAUAUUGGUGCUGUCAGGACUGGAUUACUGGCUAAUAGGGUCUUUAUUUCAUCCAGUCCGUCCGCAGUUGCAUCCGUCCACACGAAGUGUUUGGUGCGUCGAAGAAGGCAGUAAAGAGGUAGUGCCUUUUCUCCUAAUCGGGAGAUAAAGCGGCUUAAGGCAGCCACGCAUCCAGCUAGUUUCUGGAUAUGCUUGAGGUCUGUUGGGAUAGCCAACUGCGACAGAGCUCAGAUUUUUGCCAGGUUUCCUUCGAUUCCUCUAUUGGAAACGAUGAAGCCGAGCAACUUCCCGGAGGGUACGCCAAAAACACAUUUUUCCGGGUUGAGCUUGAUGUUGUAUGUUCGGAGGUUGUCGAUUGUAAGUCUCAAGUCAUCUAUUAAGGUUUCGACGUGUCUUGUUUUUAUGACUAUGUCAUCCCCAUAUGCCUCCACUGUUUUGCCGAUUUGCUUCUCCAGGCAUGUUUGAAUCAUGCGUUGAUAGGUUGCGCUGGCAUUUUUAAGCUCGAAAGGCAUAGUGUUGAAGCAGAAGGGACCAUAUGGCGUUAUGAAGGCCGUUGCAUCUUGGUCGGACUUGCCAUCUUUAUUUGAUGGUAUCUGGAGUAUGCGUCGAGGAAACAUAGUGAGUCGUGUCCAGCGGUAGCGUCGAUGAUUUGGUCGAUGCGAGGGAGGGGGAAGGGAUCCUUGGGGCAGGCCUUGUUGAGGUCUUUGAAAUUGAUGCAUGGGCGCCAGGAUUUGUCCUUCUUUGGUACCAUUACCAGAUUUGCCAGCCAAUCCGGAUGCUUUAUAUCUCUGAUGAAUCCGGCCUCAAGUAUCUUGGCUAGCUCUUCUCCCAUGGCUUGCCAUUUAGGUUGUGAGGAUCCCCUAAGAGUCUGUUUGACUGGCUUGUAUCCUUUCAGUAUAUUGAGGCUGUGUUCGGCCAGCCUACGUGGGAUGCCCGACAUGUCUGAAGUAUGCCAGGCGAAAAUGUCCCAAUUCUUGCGUAGGAAGUCUCGUAGUGCGGCGUUCAUUGUGGGGCUCAACUGUGUCUCGAUGGAAGCUGUCUUUGUGGGGUCCGUUGGAUGGACCUGGAAUUUGACUAUCUCGUCUGGGGGCUUGAAUGAGGUGGACUUGGGUCGUUUGUCGAGUAUCACGUCGUCCCUGUCCACUGUGGCGCGCAACAUUGUUAGUUCUUCGGCCGCUAGGGCUUCGGAUAAUGCUUCCAGGGCUAGUGUUGCAGUUUUAUUUUCGGCGCGGUUCGGAUCACUAGCUAGAGUGAUGAUUCCAUUGGGUCCGGGCAUUUUAAGCUUCAUGUACCCAUAAUGGGGUAUAGCUUGAAAGCUCAUGAAUGUGUCCCGCCCAAACAGGGCGUGGUAUCCGCUGCUGAAAGGAGCCACUUGGAAUGUGAUUUCUUCGGACCUAUAAUUCUCCAGGGUGCCGAAUACCACAUCGAGUGUGAUUUUUCCCGCACACAGUGCCUCCCGACUAGGGAUGAUUCCCCUGAAGGUCGUGCCGCUUUGCUCAAUGCAACUUUUAUCAAUUUCCAUCUUGUUGAGUGUUUCUUCAUAGAUCAAGUUUAAUCCGCUUCUCCCGUCCAUGAGUACUUUGGUGAGCCGAAAGCCGUCCACGAUUGGACUAAGGACCAAAGCGGCUGGUGCCCGGACUGUCUGGAAUUGAGGUUCGUCACUGGCACUGAAGGUUAUAGCAGUGUCGUUCCACGGAUUUAUUUUUGCCAUGUGGCAGAUUUCAGCGAAAUUUCAAUGAGCUCACUUGCGCCUAUUAUUUGAGGUGAAAGUCUCAAAGACUGUCAGUACCGCAUUGUUGUCUUCGGCGGGAUGUUGCUCUGCUUUAUGGUUUACAAGAAGAUCCUCGCCGUUUUUUGCUACCUGCCAGAGUUUGCAACAUGCUCUAAGGCUAUGCGUUGGCGUAGUAUCCGGCGUGCUGUGAAUUUUGCAUGGCCCAUUGAGCCAUUCUUCCAAUACAGUUCCAUGCCCUGGAAUGGGCUUUGGUUUUUUGGGAAUUGGAUCGGAUAACUUACGAGAGUUUACCCUUUUAGCUUGGACGAAGGGUUUAGUGAGAGCCGGAUUAUCCCAAAAGUCUGUUUGGAUUUUCCAGGUGCUUUCCAUUGCACAGUACUUCUGUACUAUGGCUGCUAAGUCGGCAAACUGUACUAUGUCACAGUGACUUAUAACAUUAAGGAUCCCUUUGUUCGUGCAACUUUUACAGAAAAGUGAGAUUGCGUCUUCCUCACGACAGUCCUUGACCUUGUUUAUCACAAGGAGGAAUCUGGCCCAGUAAUGACGUACUGUCUCUUGGGGCUCUUGUCUGAUAUGGGAGAGAUGGCUUAAGUCUGGGCGGGUGGGCGUAGUUAAAUCUGGAUUUUGAUCCGAUCUAACACCCAGGGGCAGAGGAGCUUCUGGGCUUGGCAGCUCGAGCUCCGGGAUGUUGCCCGAUUUUUCUGGCCCGUUGCCCGAUUCUGAGUCCGGGGUCUGGGUCAUGUCCUCCCGAGAACGAGUAUCCGACUCAGAGAGCUCGAUAAUCUGGACAUAGUUCAUCCUCAAAGAAGAGGGAUAAUCCAUGUGUGGCUCUUCCACUACCGCUAUCUCGUGGGUGACCGGUGGGGACUCCCAAAGCGGCGAUGCGAUCCAAGAGCUCAUUAAGGGAGAGAGCUCCAUUGGAUCCAUCUGUUCGGCGAGUUCUGAAUUGACGUGGAGGUUGUUUUUGAUGACCCGAGAGGUCAUUGUCGGUGCGGCAGCCGAUUGGGCGGCCAUGACGAAGCCGCCUAGUCAGAGAGUUUGGCCUACCGCUAGUGCUCCCCCAGAGGUGAUGUUGUCCUUGACAACGAGACGAGCCAUCGGGCCUUGCAGCAACGACAGAGAGGAACUCUCAAUGAAAGCACCAAUGUCGGUGUCAAAACCGGCGGAUCUCGGGUAGGGGGUCCCGAUCUGCGCGUCUAAGGCCAAUGGUAACAGGAGGCAAGGGACACGAUGUUUUACCCAGGUUCGGGCCCUCUCGAUGGAGGAAAAACCCUACUUCCUGCUUGAUUGAUCUUGACGAUAUGAGUAUUACAAGAGUUGAUCUACCACGAGAUCGUAGAGGCUAAACCCUAGAAGCUAGCCUAUGAUGAUUAUGAUUGUCCCCCUAUGGACUAAACCCUCUGGUUUAUAUAGACACCGGAGUGGGCUAGGGUUUACACAGAGUCGGUUACAAAGAAGGAGAUCUAACAUCCGGGUCGCCAAGCUUGUCUUCCACGCAAAGGAGAGUCCCAUCCAGACACAGGACGAAAUCUUGAGUCUUGUGUCUUCACGGUCCAACAGUCCGUCCAAAGUAUAUAGUCUGGCUGUCCGGAUACCCCCUUAUCCAGGACUCCCUCAAUGGGCCUCCUUUUAUAGGCGAAAGGGGCUGCCACAGUGGAACACAGGAGGUGGAAAGUGUUACAGUGCUGCGAGCUUAUCGCUGGUAUUACAGGACAAAGUGCAUUUAAUGCAAGGCUUAGGUCUCCCUUCACUUUAUCGGGGACGGGAGCGAGGCAUGUCCCGUCCGCCGCCGCUCCUCCUUGCUUUGACAUGCGCCCUGGCCAGCGAUGCAUGCGGUGCCAUGUAGGCAGACAGGCAGCUGAGGUGGCACGAUGGUGGAGCCUUCACGAAGGGCCGCAUGUUGCCAUGCAGGUGCCUGCCCAGCUGGUUGGGUCGGCAGCUGCAUGCGAACGGCGGCGGAGACUUGGCUGGCGUGGGCCUGGCGGUGGCCCUGCUGGCGCGCUUGGCGAGGGCCUUGCCAGGUGGCCCGGCAAGGGUCUUGCUGCGGCACGCCGUCAUCCCCGGCAAGAACCUUGCCAGGGGUCUCGUGGGCUUCCUCGGUAAGAACCCUGCCGAGGAUUGUUGCCUCCCUAUCCUCAUUUGAUCUUGACUGUUCUUUAUCUUCACAAAGAUCUGCAUGCCACCACGAAGGUGCCUCCCGAGCCCUGUCCCAAUGCGUUUGUUUAGUGUUGGUGGGCUCAAAGGUGGCUCGCUCAGCUGGUGUGGGCAAGCUGCCCCGGCAAGGGUCUUGCCGAGGCCGCCGAGGCUGCCCCGGCAAAGGUCCUUGCUGGGGAAACUUGCUUCGUCCAUCCGAUCCUUGUGGCCUUGGUCCCUGUCGUUGCUUUGUUUGUCUUGUGCCUUCGGCUUCUCUCCGGCUUCCCUUUCCUGCCCUGUUAUGCGUGGCCGUGGCGGGUGGCUCUGACUGCCCGUGCACAAGUAAAGGGGUCAAAAGCAGAGCCCCUACUUUUGUACACCGACAGCACCAAGCCUUGUAACGUAAGUUUUGUAGUAGGCGCCUGCACUCGGCAUCGAUAACUUGUGCUCAAGCCUCCUCGUAUCCCUCCUCACACCUGUAGAAGGUCUGCAAUCAAACGAGACAACAUUGAUUAGUACAAUAACUAAGCUUCUUCGAAGAUUUUUAAGUGUGUAAAGGAGAAAUUAUCCAAAAUGUUCUGAUCCCCAAGUCGGCCCUCGUGUGGCACAAGAUACCGUCGAUCAUCUCCUCCCGUGCGGCCGGGGCAGCCAAGUAGUGCUCCCAGGUCAAUCCUAGCUCUGGAAUCUAUCCCUCAUUGGGCAACAUGAGAAACCCCGGGAAGUUUUGCUGGCAAAUCACACCAAGGACUUGGUUGGGCCUGUGGACAUCCUAAGGGUGGUCCCAACCCCUGCAGUAUGACAAGGCCAACGCAUUAGGUAUUUGAAGAAACAUGAUGGCAAAAGGUAUGAAAAUAGUAAAUGCACUUACCUCGUCCCAUUAGGCCAAAUCAACCACCUCUGCUCACGGGUCGCCGGCAUGGACAGGAGCUCCCCUCAACCACCUCGUCCACGUUGCUGCUAUUAGAAAUCUGAUGCCUGCCACCAUCAGCAUGGCCACUCGACCCCUCAAGCGGAUCCUGCUAGGUACCCCAUCCGGACGUCUCCUGGGACGUAGCCUAGGUUGGAGUCACGUGGGCCCAAGUGUCCUGGCCCGAACUUUCAUGGGCCUAAGGCCCAUCGACCCGAGGCUAGUGGACCGGAGUCCAUGUAGCCUCCUCCUCAUACGUGCCCCCUAGCAGUCGUGUGCUUGGGUGACUCAGCUGGGGGUGGCGGCGAGGAAGGCGUAGGAGCCAGCCUACCUCUCCCAUGACCACUUCCUGAUCUACCUCCUCUCUUCUUCCCUCCCUGACCUCCUCUCCCGGUGGGCACUGAUGUCGACAAAGAAGGGCCCGUCCGUGUCCCCAAACUAUCUAACAACGCUCUCCAGAGAGGUGCGGGUGGAAUGGAAGAACCUCUCCCACCACGCUCUGGACCCGAGCCCACGAUCUUUCAACACAUGUCAUGAUAGAAGAGUAAAAGGAAUUAGUACAACAUAAAAAAAUUGAAUACCGACAUGAAUAAUAAAAUGUAUAUUAACUCAUCAGAUAAUAGGUAAAGGUAGGUCCAUCAGCAUGUAUAUUCAUCAGUUAAUCUAGUUUGUCAAUUUUGAAACUUCAAACAACCAAACUGACUCAUGACAAAAGAUCCUUGACCAUCGACCCCUCGACCCCUCGGCGAUGGGGACUAAAAGCCAAGAUUUGAAACUUCAAACAACCAAACUGAGAAAAAAAUCAGGGCGUAGAAAGAGAAACGAAAGACGAAAUAGUACAUAGUGAGAGGUUGUGCAACUAGGAUGAUUUUAUUGUACCAGCUUUUUUAAUGAAUUGGAGACGAUGAUGGUGAAGAAGUCAAAAGACACCAAUGGAUUUCGAGUUCUUCACUAUCAUACUUACAAAUUCAUUAAAAAAGCUAUUAUAGAAUAUCAUCCUAGUUGCACAACCUCUCACUACGUAUUGUUUCGUAUUUGGUUUCUCUUUCUAUGCUUUGAUUUUCUGUCAUGAGUCGGUUUGGGUGUUUCAACUUUCAACACUUGGCUUUUAAUCCUCGGCAAUCAUCGACCCCUCGACCCUAGACCCCUCGGCAACCCUCGACCCCUGACCCCUCGACAAUCCUCAAACACCUUCACUAGGAGCAUGGUGCGGUUGUUGUCGUAGCUUAAGAUGCGGACGUGCCCGAGCUGAAUGUCAUCAGCGCGGGCGAACUGCUUCAAUCCGUUCAUCACAGACGAAUGGAAGCAGUUCACCCACGCUCAUGACAUUCAGCUCGGGUGUGUGCUCGCCUUAAGCUACAACACCAGUCGGUCAGCACUGAGACCAGAAGAUCCUCGCCCCUCGACCCCUUGACCCUCGACCACUCAACCCCUCGGCGACCCUCGACCCCCUACCCCUCGGCAAUCCUCGACCCUCGACCCCUUGGAGGUCCUGUCGAACACCUUCACCCUGAGCAUCGUGCAACUAUUGGUGUAGCUUAAGAUGCAGACGUGCCCGAGCUAAAGGUCAUCAGCACGGGUGAACUGCUUCCGUCCGUUCUUCGCGCACGGAUGGAAGCAGUUCGCCCACUCUCAUGACCUUUAGCUCAGGGACGUCCUCAUCUUAAGCUACGACACCAGUCGGUCAACACUUGGACCGGAAGAUCCUCGAUCGUCGACCCCUAAACCCUCGACCCCUCGCCCCUCGAUCCUCGACCCUCUGCCCUGACCCUCGGCCCCUUGGCGACCGGCGAUCCUUGACCCGGUUCCGUCAGUGCCGACGCACCCCUAACCUCGACCCGAUUCCUUCGGUGCUGACCCACCCAUAACCUCCUCUUCUUCUUCUCCCGUUGUCGGUGUCAAAACCGGCGGAUCUCGGGUAGGGGGUCCCGAACUGUGCAUCUAGGCGGAUGGUAACAGGAGACAGGGGACACGAUGUUUUACCCAGGUUCGGGCCCUCUUGAUGGAGGUAAAACCCUACGUCCUGCUUGAUUGAUAUUGAUAUUGUGGAUGUUUACAAGAGUGGAUCUACCACGAGAUCAAGGAGGCUAAACCCUAGAAGCUAGACUAUGGUAUGAUUGUAAGGGUUGUUGUUGUUGUUGUCCUACGGACUAGAGCCAUCCGGUUUAUAUAGACACCGGAGAGGGCUAGGGUUACAUAGAGUCGGUUACAAUGGUAGGAGAUCUACAUAUCCGUAUCGCCAAGCUUGCCUUCCACGCCAAGGAAAGUCCCAUACGGACACGGGACGUAGUCUUCAAUCUUGUAUCUUCAUAGUCUUGGAGUCCGGUCGAUGAUGAUAGUCCGGCCGAUGAUAGUUCGGCUGAUGAUGGUAGUCCGGCUAUCCGGACACCCCCUAAUCCAGGACUCCCUCAGUAGCCCCUGAACCAGGCUUCAAUGACGAUAAGUCCGACGCGUAUAUUGCUUGGCAUUGCAAGGCGGGUUCCUCCUCCGAAUGAUAGAAGAUUGUGAACACCAGGAUAGUGUCCGGCUCUGCAAAAUAAAUUCCACAUUCUACCGUAGAGAGAAUAAUAUAUGCACAAGUUCAAUCUGCUGACGUUUUUUGCGGCAUGACGUCACGCCACUACCAAGCCAUUACUUGAAUCGUUUUUUACUCUACCACCUCAGCGCAUUCAGCGAAGCGGUUUCCUUGGCACGUCUUGUCGAAGCAGAGAUCGUGUUCCCCCUUAAUCUGGGAUUCUCAUCAAUACGGACAUGGGUAACCCAACCGCGCCAUUGAUGGUGACGCUUGGGGGAUAAGAGAGUUUUACCAGGCCGGUGGGGGACGCGUAGACUUCGCCCGCCCAUAUAAGGGAUAAGGAUUCACCUUUUCACCUACGCCUUCUUCCUCCUUUGCUUAUCCAUCUCCGCGCACUCAAGCUCCAGCGCCCAAGUCCGCACAUCUCGUCUCAACCUUCCCCAGUUAUGUCCGGAGCGGGAGGCAAGUGGAUGACCUCCUCCGUUACGGAGGAGCACAUCGAAAGACUACGCAGCGCCGGCUACCUGUCCGGCGACAUCGCGCACCGGCUGCCCGACGAGGAGCAGCUCAUCCCCAACCCCAGGCCCCAUGAGAGGGUCAUUUUUCUUCCCCAAUUCCUCCGCGGACUGGGUUUUCCACUUCACCCCUUUGUCCGGGGGCUCAUGUUCUACUACGGCCUGGAUUUCCAUGAUCUGGCGCCGAACUUCAUCCUCGACAUCUCGGCGUUUAUCAUCGUGUGCGAGGCCUUCCUCUGCAUCCAGCCCCACUUCGGCUUGUGGCUCAAGACCUUCAAUGUCAAGCCGAAGGUAGUGAAGGGCACUCAAGCGGAGUGCGGAGGCUCCAUGUUGAGCAAGAUGCCCAAUGUCCUUUGGUUCGAAGGGGCCUUCAUGGAAUCCGUCAAGGGUUGGCAAUCGGGGUGGUUCUAUAUCACCGAGUCGCGCGACCCUAAGUGGGCGGCGGCCACCGAGUUCAGAUUUGGUAUCCCCAUGCAGCUCACCUCCUGGAAAGAGAAGAGCUUGCUGUGGGGUAGUUCGGAGGAGCUGACGGGACUCCAAGCCUGUAUCCAGAAGCUGGUGAAGAAGCUCAGGCUGGUUAACGUGGUCCAAGUCAUGCUCGUCCGCCGGAUUCUCCCAUGCCAAGAGCGGGCAUUCAAUCUGUGGGAGUUCAAUCCGGAACAGCACCAGGCGAUGAGCGGGCUCUUCGAAACGACAUACGAAGGCGCCUGGAGGGUGCUGUUUAAGGGCGCUGAAGCCCCCGCAUCCGCGACUGAAGAUCGCGGAUUUCGCUCACAGCGCCAAGCCGACGAGGUAAGUGAUUCUACCCCUUUACGGGACACUUGCUUUUCAUAGUUUGACUUUAUGCGGGUUUUAAUUUCCCCUUUUCCUUUGACAGGACUGGAUGAGGAAGGCGGAGCAGAUUAUCUGCCCGGCUCCCAUGCCAGAAAACCCAGUAGACGCCCAUCUAGCGAGGCUGCUGGUUCCGGCACCGCACGUGGUGCCGGAGAAGAAGGCCAAGAAGGAGGCCACGGGUGCUCGAAAGAGUUCCCGUUUUCAGGUGUCCGAUGACUCCAGGGUGGACUCCUCCCCCGAAAACGAGGAGGAGAAAGAGGACUCUCUCCCAGAGGAGGGAGAGAGGAAGAGGAAGGCUUCCCCAACAGGGGAGGCCGAAGGGUCCAAGAGAGGAAGGACUAUUCCCUCGGACAGCUCCGCCAACAUCAAUGUUGGCGAGGAAGAAUGGCCUUCAAGGGCCAGGCCUCCAGCGAGAUCGUAAGUAUCUGGAUUCCUGAGUGAUUUAUAAUUUCUUUUUCUGUGUCACAUAGUGUCAUUCUGAUGCCGCAUGCUGCCUGUAGUCUGGCCAAUGAUGAUCUCCCCGCCUCAUCGGGCGGGUCGUUGGCUCCGUCGGAUGUAGACUCCAUCCCGACCGCCUCCACCCCUCGCGACACCGAGGACACCGAGGUGGGAUCCCAAGAAGGGACCCAUCAGGGGGAGGCUCCGGAGGCGUCACAAGGCGUCCUCCUGGACUUUACGCCGGACUCCAUAUCAGAACCCGCAAUGGUUCCGGAGUCCGGCCGGCGGCCCCUUCGCACGAAGGGCAAGACCGUGACGCCGGCGGCUUCCGUCCAACCGGAGGCACCAGACAAUUUGUUGGAGGCGCUCCAGAGCGCUUCCAUCAAGGAAGAACACCGCACUAUUAUGAGUGCGGUGAUUGAGAAGGUACAGCUGGCCAAGGGCGGGCUGACCGAAGCCUGCAGUAGCCUUCUAUCAGGCUUUGAGGUAAGAAGUUAAAAAUAUGCAAUGUAAUACCGCAUAGACAGUAGCCCCUGAUGCUCGGUUCGGUGUUCGGAAAGAAAAGCCGGACUGGGGAUCUGAAAAAAAAAAGAUAUACGCAGGGUUGCUAAAAAAUAUGUCAAUAUGGGUUGCAGGCUGCACUGCUGACCUCUGCCGCACUGACUGCAGAGGUCGGUGCUUUUAAGCAGGAGCUCGAGCGGUCCGAGCAAGAGCUCGGCCGCACCAAGAAGCAGCUCUAGGACAAAGAAGGUGAGUAACACUACUUUGAACUUGUACCUUACAGAAAAGGAUUUAGGUUGCAACAAAAAAUAACAAGGAUAACAUGGGUACUGCAGGGGCCACGAACGAGGUGGUGACCCUAAAGGAGGCUGUGUCUGCGGCCGAACGCAAUGCGGCCGCGGAACGGGCAGAGCGAGAAAAGCAGGAGGCGCGGGUGGCAGUGGUUCAGCAAGAGCUCCAGGCUCUCAUGGAAAAGCAUGAGAGUUUGGAGCGUGACUCAAAGACUUGAGAGUCCAAGCUUGCCUCGGCUCUCGAAAGUGCCAAGACUGCCAAGGCCGAUGCCCAUAAGUCCCUUCAGGAGAUUGAGUUGUUGAGGAAGAUAGCGGCGGGUAAGCCAUUUUUCAUGCAAAGCAAGCAUGUGAAUGUAAAUUACGUGUUACUUACCCGAAUUUGGAGCUCUCCAGGGGCGUUUGCAGAUCUGCCUCGCAAUGUGUCUGAUGCCGCCGCAUUCUACCGAGUCGAGGAGGGGAGCUCAACGGAGAAGGUCUUCUGGUCUCAGUAUGCUGAGGUCGGCCAUCCGGUGCCCCCUAGCGACCAGCUGAAGCAGCUGGUCGAGCUCCACAAGGUGGCCGAGCAGGCCAUGAAGGGCCUCAUAGUUCGGCUGUGGCCUGGAGAGGCCAUGCCUGGGAGCUACUUCGGUCUCGUGCGAUGGUUGGUGGAUGCGUGCCCCUGGGUGGAGGUUAUCAAGCACUCCGCUUGUAUUGAAGGUGCUCGUCGGGCCCUUGCCCGCGCAAAGGUGCAUUGGGGCAAGCUGGAUGCGGAGAAGCUAAUCACUGACGCACCACCAGCGGGCAAGGAAUAUCGUACGCCCGAGAUGUACUAUAAGACUGUCCUGAAGGGUGCCCGCAAGAUUGCGGAUGAGUGCCCCAGGGAUGAAAUUAUUGAGUAAAUUCACAAUGUGUUAUCCUAUGCGCUGAAAACUUUGUUCAUAUGCGCUAAGCAACGCUUGUUAAUUUAAAAUAUUACCUUCUGUGCGGCCGUUUAUUAAAUCUGAGAGAUGGCAAGUUGUCGGCUUCAGCCCCCAUGCCACGAGUGCUGGGGUGUUCGGGAUAAACUUGAGAACUCUUGUUCCCAUUUUUGGGUCCAUCUAGGGAGGCGCUCAACACAACGAACAAGGCAACUGGACUUAUAGUGCUUGAACACUCUCACUUAGCCAUAGAAUUCUAUAAUUUUAAAUUUUGGCGAAGCCCCUAGUAUUCGGAAGACCGAAUUAGGGGCGCUAUCCACGCCUUCGUCAGACAUUAUCCGGAACUUCGCUCGAAGCGGCGUAGGUCUUUAAGGACCUGAAAGGACCUCUCGAACAGUGACCAGUCUCUCGCCUUAUCAUGACAUUCAGUUUUAGCUUUCUCCACUGAGGCGUUAACUCGGCUCAACCGGGGCACAAUCGCAGUGGUUCUCCCAGUGCUACCUUAGCCGAUAAAACGGAAUGUAAGGUGCCAAACAUGGGAGCCGGGCAAACCCAACUAUUGACCCAAGACAUGAUUCGGAGCCGAUUCAUAUAAUGCUAUAAGUUCGGGGUGCCGCACUUGUGAAAGUGUUCGGACUUUAUCACACCAUAGUGCGGGGAGCAUAAGCCCCUGGUGUAUUUGGCCGUACCAAAAUGUACGGAUGCGACAUGUCGUAAAUGAACACAUAUAUAUAUAAGGUAAUGUAAUUAUGGGCAAAAAGUGCUGCAUUUUAUUCAAGAAGAUCUGCUAUGAGUGCGGAAUGAUACAAAUAGUGCGGAAAGCAAGGGAUUCGACGAAUUAAAGGCGUCUCCCUCCAGGGGUAGGCCGCGGAAUGGUGUAUUUAACAAAUUAAAUGCUCGUAGUGGAGACCACCUGAGUGUUCGUCGCGGCCUUUGUCCCUCCCUGGCUGUUGCAUCAUGAGUUCGGCAGGUUCGCCGCCGGACAGAGUUCUGUAUAAAAAAGAGAGAAAUAAAAGAUAAAAAGAGUGACACACUUGGGAGCCCCUGGUGUGGUCGAACCGCACUCUGGGUCUGUUGUGGUUGUGCCUCUCCCCCUAUGCCCAUGGUAUCUCCAGGGCAUAAUUAUGUAUGCGGAGAGUUUGUCUUACAAUUGUGCAAGGGCUGGGGUUGAGGCCGCAUUGCUACGCGUGCUCGGAACGUGCCAGGUGGUCUUGGUUGAUGUUGCUCCGGGCGCGUUUGGCCGUGUCCGGUCGUUUAACGGCCGGACUCGAAAAUUGACUUAAAAGGCUACUCUGUACUUCUGCCGCGAGAGCCGCUGUAUGUUCCUCCGUUCGGAGGGAGCGUUCCGUGUUUCCAUUGACCGUGAUGACUCCACGAGGACCUAGCAUCUUGAGCUUAAGGUAUGCAUAAUGUGGCACCGCGUUGAAUUUUUCGAACACGGUUCGUCCGAGCAGAACGUGAUAGCCACUGGGGAACGGGACUAUGUCGGAGAUUAACUCCUCAUUUCGGAAAUUAUCCGGGGAUCCGAAGACCACUUCCAGUGUGACUGAGCCUGUACAACUGGCCUCGACACCUGGUAUGACGCCUUUGAAGGUUGUCUUUGUAGGUUUAAUCCUUGAAGGGUCUAUGCCCAUCUUGCGCAUUGUAUCCUGAUAAAGCAGGUUCAGGCUACUGCCGCCGUCCAUCAGGACUCUCGUCAGGUGAAAUCCAUCGACGAUUGGGUCUAAAACCAAUGCGGCGAAUCCUCCAUGGCGGAUACUGGUCGGAUGGUCUCUUCGAUCGAAAGUGAUCGGGCAAGAGGACCAUGGGUUGAAUUUUGGGGCGACUGGCUCCAUCGCGUAUACGUCCCUUAGUGCACGCUUCCGCUCCCUCUUGGGAAUAUGCGUUGCGUAUAUCAUGUUUACCGUUCGAACUUGAGGAGGGAAUCCCUUUUGUCCUCUGUUGUUCGGCGGCCGGGUCUCUUCCUCGUCAUCGCUGUGUAGCCCCUUGUCAUUGUUUUCGGCGAUUAAUUUGCCUGCUGCCUGAAUACCCAACAAUCUCUGUUGGUGUGGUUAGCUGGCUUUUCGGGGGUUCCAUGUAUUUGACAGGAGCGGUCGAGUAUUCGGUCCAAAUUGGACAGGGCCGGAGUGGUUCUUUUGAAUGGCUUCUUUCGUUGACCGGGCUUGGAGCCUCGGAAUCCGGCGUUGACUGCCGUAUCCUCAUUGCUGUCGUCGUUAAUGCGGCGUUUGUUUUUGUUUUGACGCAACCUGCCAUUGCGGUCCUUGGUAUCCGGACUGCCAGUGUUUUUGCUGAGGUUGUUGUUACGAGCGAGCCAGCUAUCCUCUCCCGCACAAAAGCGGGUCAUGAGUGAUGUGAGGGCUGCCAUGGAUUUCGGCUUUUCCUGUCCUAGGUGUCGGGCCAGCCACUCGUCGCGGAUGUUAUGUUUGAAGGCAGCGAGGGCCUCUGCAUCCGGACAGUCGAUGAUUUGAUUUUUCUUUGUUAAGAACCGUGUCCAGAAUUGCCUGGCCGAUUCGUCUGGCUGCUGGAUUAUGUGGCUUAGGUCAUCUGCGUCUGGUGGUCGCACAUACGUGCCCUGGAAGUUGUCGAGGAAUGCGGCUUCCAGGUCUUCCCAGCAUCCAAUUGACUCUGCGGGCAGGCUGUUGAGCCAAUGCCGAGCUGGUCCUUUAAGCUUGAGCGGGAGAUAUUUGAUGGCGUGAAGAUCGUCGCCGCGGGCCAUGUGUAUAUGGAGGAGAUAAUCCUCAAUCCAAACCGCGGGGUCUGUUGUGCCAUCGUAGGAUUCGAUAUUAACAGGUUUAAACCAUUCAGGGAUUUGAUGAUCCAUUACUUCGUCAGUGAAGCAUAGAGGGUGUGCGGCGCCUCUGUAUUAAGCAAUAUCGCGACGUAGCUCGAUAGAGCAUUGUCUGCUGUGUUCGGCCCGGCCGGAGUAGUUGUAUCCGGCGCGACAGUAUUCAUCGUGGGUCUUGGGGCACCCACGUGAUCCAUAGAUAGAUCUGGAUUGUCUUGCCUUGUCCUCCAAUAUAUCCCGCAAGUCCGGCCCGUUCCCCCGUGGCUUCAUGCUUUUUGAGCGAUGCCGGGGUACGGUGUUGGUGGAGGGCUUGCAUGCCUCUCUGUCGCGGCCACGAGGUGGUCGGUCUGCCGUAUUGUGCGCUGGUGAUGCAGGUUUGUACGCUUCCUCCUCUAGUCGGGGGAGCAACUUGCGUUUUGGGUAACUUUUGGAGGGGCGUUCGAGUUCAUACUCUUCGGCCGCGAGGACCUCAGUCCAUCUGUCGGCCAGUAGGUCUUGAUCAGCUUGAAGCUGUUGCUGCUUUUUCUUUAGGCUGUUUGCCGUGGCCAUUAGCCUGCGUCUGAAACGCUCUUGUUCGACGGGAUCCUCAGGCACGACGAAUUCGUCGUUGUCGAGGCUUGCCUCGUCUCCGAAGGGAGGUAAGUAAUUAUCUCCUCGACCUCUUCAUCUGCCGCCCUCUCGUGAGGGCUUGCUUCUGCCUCCUCCUGCGCUGGAUCGUGCUAGAGGGGUUUGUCUUUGGCACUUUCUGGGGUGUUAUUAUCUCCUGUGCCGGAAUCUCCAUUCUUGCUGUGGCGGGAUUUAGAGCGGCGCCGCUGGCGUCGAUGCUUGGGCUGUUUCUUUAAGGAAUCGGCCUCCGUUGCUUCUUUGCCGUCCCCAUCUUUUGGGGUGUCCACCAUGUAUAUGUCGUAUGACGAGGUGGUCUUCCAGUGUCUUGUAGGCACUGGUUCUUGAUAGUCUUCGGCAUCGUCGUCCAUACCGUCGAUGUCCUCGGAGUCGUAGUCAAGUACGUCGGUUAGAUCGUCGACGGUGGCUACGAAGUGGGUGGUGGGUGGGCCCUGAAUUUCUUUGUCGUCCGCGUCCCAACCAUCCUGGCCGUAGUUCGGCCAGGGCUCUCCGGAUAGCGAGAGAUGCUUCAGCGAAUUUAAGAUAUCGCCGAAGGGUGAGUGCUGAAAGAUGUCCGCAGCGGUGAAUUCCAUGAUCGGCGCCCAGUCGGAUUCGACUGGCAGGGGCGCAGGAGGUUCGGAGUCCGGCAGGGAGUCCGGCGCCUCGGAGUCAUGAGCUUUAUGUGGGACAAGGUAAGUGUUCGGCUCCAUCGCCGUAGAAGUUGCAGCUCCCGAGGCGGUGUCCAGCCAUCCGUCCUCGAUCUGAGCGAUCGACUCCGGACUAUGGGUCGGAGCGGAUUCGUGUGCGGCCUCAAGGUGCUGUCCGGCGGCAGAGUUAGGUCGUGCCCAUCGUGACAGCGCGGCACGCUCGCCUGUGGCUCGGAUCCAUCGAAGAUCAAGUCCCCGCGGAUAUCGGCCGUGAAGUUUAGGCUUCCAAACCUGACCUGACGGCUAGGGGCGUAGAUUUCGAUCUGCUCCAGAUGGCCAAGUGAGUUGGCCCGCAGUGCGAAGCCGCCGAAUACGAAGAUCUGUCCGGGGAGAAAAGUCUCACCCAGGACUGCGUCGUUGUCGAUUGAAGAGGCCAUCAAGCCUAUCGGUGACGACACAGAGGAACUCUCAAUGAAAGCACCAAUGUCGGUGUCAAAACCGGCGGAUCUCGGGUAGGGGGUCCCGAACUGUGCGUCUAGGCCAAUGGUAACAGGAGACAGGGGACACGAUGUUUUACCCAGGUUCGGGCCUUCUUGAUGGAGGUAAAACCCUACGUCCUGCUUGAUUGAUAUUGAUAUUGUGGAUGUUUACAAGAGUGGAUCUACCACGAGAUCAAGGAGGCUAAACCCUAGAAGCUAGCCUAUGGUAUGAUUGUAAGGGUUGUUGUUGUUGUUGUCCUACGGACUAGAGCCAUCCGGUUUAUAUAGACACCGGAGAGGGCUAGGGUUACAUAGAGUCGGUUACAAUGGUAGGAGAUCUACAUAUCUGUAUCGCCAAGCUUGCCUUCCACACCAAGGAAAGUCCCAUCUGGACACGGGACGAAGUCUUCAAUCUUGUAUCUUCAUAGUCUUGGAGUCCGGUUGAUGAUGAUAGUCCGGCCGAUGAUAGUUCGGCUGAUGAUGGUAGUCCGGCUAUCCGGACACCCCCUAAUCUAGGACUCCCUCACCCGCCUCUUCCUCCUCCUCCUCCUCUUCUUCUUCUUCUUCUUCUUCUUCUUCUUCUUCUUCUUCUUCUUCUUCUUCUUCUUCUUCUUCUUCUUCUUCUUCUUCUUCUUCCUCUUCUUCUUCUUAUUUUUCUUCUUCUUCUUCUUAUUUUCAUCUUUCUUCUUUCUUAUUAACUAAACCUAAACUAAACUAAAUAUAAACCUAAAACUAAAAAACAGAAGAAAAAAAACCUAAACUAAACCUAAACUACACUAACUACACUAACUAAACCUAAAAAACAGAAGAAAAAAAACCUAAACNNNNNNNNNNNNNNNNNNNNNNNNNNNNNNNNNNNNNNNNNNNNNNNNNNNNNNNNNNNNNNNNNNNNNNNNNNNNNNNNNNNNNNNNNNNNNNNNNNNNNNNNNNNNNNNNNNNNNNNNNNNNNNNNNNNNNNNNNNNNNNNNNNNNNNNNNNNNNNNNNNNNNNNNNNNNNNNNNNNNNNNNNNNNNNNNNNNNNNNNNNNNNNNNNNNNNNNNNNNNNNNNNNNNNNNNNNNNNNNNNNNNNNNNNNNNNNNNNNNNNNNNNNNNNNNNNNNNNNNNNNNNNNNNNNNNNNNNNNNNNNNNNNNNNNNNNNNNNNNNNNNNNNNNNNNNNNNNNNNNNNNNNNNNNNNNNNNNNNNNNNNNNNNNNNNNNNNNNNNNNNNNNNNNNNNNNNNNNNNNNNNNNNNNNNNNNNNNNNNNNNNNNNNNNNNNNNNNNNNNNNNNNNNNNNNNNNNNNNNNNNNNNNNNNNNNNNNNNNNNNNNNNNNNNNNNNNNNNNNNNNNNNNNNNNNNNNNNNNNNNNNNNNNNNNNNNNNNNNNNNNNNNNNNCGCGGGGGGGAGGGGGCCAGGACGGCAAGGGCGACGGGGUCGCGGGGGUGCCGGGGCGGUGAGCCGGUGGGCGGCAGGGUGGUGUUGUGACGGGGCAGCGACGGGUGGUGGGGGCGGUGGCGUGCGUGUCAGGGAGGAGAGGGAGAGAAACAUAGAGAGAGAGGGGCGGGGUAGGGUGGGGCGCGACCAUUAGUUAAGUCAAAUGUUUGUCGUCUGCCACGCCUUUGCCGUGUGCCUUUUUGCUCUUUGUCGUAUGCUAGCAGAUGGCAAAGAGGGGGUUGUUAGGUUUUUUGUAACCAGCUUGUUAGUGAGGCCCACCUCCUUCUUUGCCGUCAGCUAGCUGUCGCCAAACCUCCUUUGUCGUCUGCUAGCAAACAGCAAAGAAGUGGCUGAUGGAAAAUAUUAUCUUUGUCGUGGCCAAUUCUGUGUUGUUCAUUUUUUGGAAGCAGACGACAAAGAGCUCCUUUGCCGUUCCCUAGAAGACAACAAAGAAGUGGUUGAUGGCAAAUCCUCUGAUUCCAGUAGUGUUCCAAGUUACAAUUAAACCCUUUGGUUGCCAGUAUGUCUAGCAGUCUAAACUAAUCCUCCUAUACCUAAAUCAUUGGCCUAUAGUUCUGAACUAAUCCUCCUAUACCUAAAUCAACGGCCCAUAAUUCUGAGCUAAUUGUUCUGCACCGAUUCUUGUACAACUCAGCUCUGCAACAACUGGUCAUUGGGAGCACUAACACUACUAUGAUGACCGAGAAAAUCAAGUCUUCUUCCAUGAACCGAAGCCAACACAUGCUUGCGGCAGAUUGAGCGACAAAAGGACCUGUCGCCAUAGUACAAGAUUCCUCACAUUCGCUAGUUAAGAUACUCGAUUUGUUAUAUAAAAGUUCUAUCUACUGUACUGAGGCCAGCUUAAUCAAUUCCUAGUUGACACUAAUUUUUCUUGUUAUUGUCCAUGGAUUGAAUCGGACAUCGAUAAAAUUAUCCCUAUGCACUUAUGUCAAUUUAAACAAUUUAAUAGUUGGGAGACACUAAUUUUGAAUCUCUACGCCCACAAGCAUAGUUCAUGCUCCUAGGAAACAAGCACGAAAUCCAAGCUCAUGAGAGCAACAAAGCAAGAAGAUAAUUUACUUGUGUGGUUCUAUCGUGUCUCAUGUGGUGGUCCAUCUGAAUCUCCUUGCAAACAAAAAAAGGCACCACGGGAGCACUCCAUCGUGAGCCUACAGAGUCCAGGUCUGCCGCCUCUAGCUAUGUGCAUCAGGACCAUACACUAUAAAAUGCUUGUGUCUAAUUAGACAAUAAAUAAUCCAGCAAUAAUCAUUAUUGGCACACUUCAAGCUAGGAAGGAACAUGAUAGAGAAGCAAAAGUAACUUGUCAAAAGAACAAAGGGAUAUUGUCAGGAUAAACUGAUUUCACACUGAAAGCCACAUGAAGAAGACCUACCUUAUGCGGAUUUCACAUAUGUGCAUUUUAAUAAUAUAACAACACAAAAUCACAUAUGUGUGUUUCACACUGAAAGGCCCAUCUGUCUUACGAUGAUGAAUUUUGAAAAUUGCAUAGGUUGGCCUGGAGAGAGAAUGGUGAGGAAAACAUGAAGUAACUAGCCAGGUGUCAAACUCCUUGGGUGCCUGGCCACGAGCAUGGGGAGCACAGCGGUGGGCGUGUCCAGGAGCGCGGUGACCUUGUCCUGGGGCGUGGUGAGGACCGUGGGGGGCUCGUCCAGCGGCGCGGUGGCUGCCAGGGACGCCACGUCCAGCGGUGAUACGUCUCCAAUGUAUCUAUAAUUAUUUAUUGUUCCAUGCUAUUAUAUUAUCUGUUUUGGAUAUUUUAUAUGCAUUAUUAUGCUAUUUUAUAUUAUUUUUGGGACUAACUUAUUAAUCGAGAGCCCGGUGCCAGUUUCUUUUUUCCUUGUUUUUAAGUUUCACAGAAAAGGAAUAUCAAACGAAGUCCAAACGGAGUAAUACCUUACGAUGAUUUUUCUUGGACCAGAAGACACCCAUAGGACUUGGAGUCCAAUCCAGAAUACCUACGAGGCAGCGACAAGGAUGGAGGGUGCACCCUAGGGGGGCGCCCCCUGCCUUGUGGCCCCCUCGGGAGUCCCCUGACCUACCUGUUCGUCCUAUAUAUUCAAAUAUAAUCCAGAACCCUCAGAGAGAGCCAUGAAAAUGCUUUUCCACCGCCGUAGGUCUCUGACCUCGUCAGAUCCCAUCUGGAGGCCUUUUCUGGCACUUUGCUGAAGGGGGAUUUGAUCACGGAGGGCAUCCACAUCAACCCUAUUGCCCUUCUGAUGAAGCAUGAGUAGUUUACCUCAGACCUAUGGGUCCAUAACUAGUAGCUAGAUGGCUUCUUCUCUCUCUUUGAUUCUCAAUACCAUGUUCUUCUCGAUGUUCUUGGAGCUAUCCGAUGAUAUCUUCUUUUGUGGUGUGUUUGUCGAGAUUCGAUGAAUUGUGGAUUUAUGAUCAGCUUAUCUAUGAAUAUUAUUUGAAUCUUCUUUAAAUUCUUAUAUGCAUGAUUUGAUAUAUUUGUAUUUCUCUUUGAAUUAUCGGUUUGGUUUGGCCAACUAGAUUGGUUUUUCUUGCAAUGGGAGAGGUGCUUAGCUUUGGGUUCAAUCUUGCAUGAUGGCGAGAACAAAAUGGAGUUGUUGAGAGGAAGAACCGGACACUCAUUGAGAUGGCGAGAAUGAUGCUUGAUGAAUACAAGACGCCAAGACACUUUUGGGCGGAAGCGGUUGAAACAGCUUGUCAUGCAACAAAUCGACUAUAUCGUCACAAGCUUCUCGGCAAGACGGCAUACGAGCUUCUCACUGGUAACAAACCACAACUUGGAUACUUUCGAGUAUUUGGCUCAAAGUGUUGCAUUCUUGAUAAGCAUCGUCGCUCGAAAUUUGGCCCUAAAUCUCAUGAAGGUUUCCUACUCGGUUAUUGCUCAAAUUCUCGCACUUACCGUGUCUACAACAAUUUCACCCGAAAGGUUGAAGAGACGGUAGAUGUGAAGUUUGAUGAAUCUAACGACUCACAAGAAGAGCAAUUGCCAAUUGAUGUAGGAGAUAAAGAUCCCUCGGAAGCAAUUCAAGACUUGUCUAUUGGAAAGAUUCGCCCAAUAGAGGUGAAGGAGAGUACCUCGUCCGUUCAAGUGGAAGCCUCAACUUCACACCAAGGUGAACCACAAGUUGACUUGGAGGCAUCCACAAGUGGAACAUGUCAAGAUGAAGGAAACGAGGAAGUACAACAAGGUGAACCCCAUCGAUCUCCUUCUCCACCUUGUCGGUGUCAAAACCGGCGGAUCUCGGGUAGGGGGUCCCGAACUGUGCGUCUAGGUGGAUGGUAACAGGAGACAAGGGACACGAUGUUUUUACCCAGAUCCGGGCCCUCUCAAUGGAGGUAUAACCCUACUCCUGCUUGAUUAAUAUUGAUGAUAUGGGUAGUACAAGAGUAGAUCUACCACGAGAUCAAAGAGGCUAAACCCUAGAAGCUAGCCUAUGGUAUGAUUGUUGUUCGUCCUAUGGACUAAAACCCUCCGGUUUAUAUAAACACCGGAAAGGGAUAGGGUUACACAGAGUCGGUUACAAUGGGAGGAGAUCUACAUAUCCGUAUCGCCAAGCUUGCCUUCCACGCCAAGGAAUGUCCCAUCCGGACACGGGACGAAGUCUUCAAUCUUGUAUCUUCAUAGUCCAGGAGUCCAGCCAAAGGUCAUAGUCCGGUCAUCCGGGCACCCCCUAAUCUGGGACUCCCUCAGUAGCCCUGAACCAGGCUUCAAUGACGACGAGUCCGGCGCGCCAAUUGUCUUCGGCAUUGCAAGGCGGGUUCCUCCUCCGAGUACUUCAUAGAAGAUGUUGAACACAAGGAUAGUGUCCGGCUCUGCAAAAUAAGUUCCACAUACCACCGUAGAGAGAAUAACUUUUGAACAAAUAUAAUUUGCUGACGUAUUCCGCAGCGUGACAUCACGCCACGGCCAAGCCUUUAUUCGAAUCGUUUUAUUAUCCCACCUCAGUGUGUUUAGCGAGGCGGUUUCCUUGGUACGUCUUGUCAAAGCAGGGAUCGUGUCCCCGUAUUCCAGGAUUCUCAACAAUACGGGCGUGGGUAACCCAACUGUGCCAUUAAUCACGGCGCUUGGGAGAUAAGCGAGUUUUACUAGGCUGGUGGGGGUACAUAUCUUCGUCCGCCCAUAUAAGGGGAUAAGGAUCCACUCUUUCCAUUUACGCCUUCUUCUUCCUUUGCUUAUCCAUCUCCACGCACUCGAGCUCCAACGCCCAAGCCCGCACUUCCCACCUCAACCUUCUCCAGUCAUGUCCGGAGCGGGAGGCAGGUGGAUGGCCUCAUCCGUCACGGAGGGGCACAUCAAAAUGCUGAGGAAGGCCGGAUACUUGUCCAACGACAUCGCGCACCGGCUCCCAGACGAGGGGCAGCUCAUCCCCACCCCUAGGCCCCAUGAGAGGGUUGUGUUCCUCCCCCAUUUCCUCCGCAGACUGGGCUUCCCACUCCACCCAUUCGUCCGGGGGCUCAUGUUCUACUACGGCUUGGACUUCCAUGAUCUGGCCCGAACUUCAUCCUCAACAUCUCGGCGUUUAUCGUCUUGUGCGAGGCCUUCCUCCGCAUUAAGCCCCACUUCGGCUUAUGGCUAAAGACCUUCAAUGUCAAGCCAAAGGUAGUGGGCGGCCGGCAAGUGGAGUGCGGAGGCGCCAUGGUGGGCAAAAUGCCCAAUGUCACAUGGCUCGAGGGCUCCUUUGUGGAUACCAUCAAGGGGUGGCAAUCGGGGUGGUUCUACAUCACCGAUCCGCGCGACCCUGAAUGGGCGGCGGCCCCCGAAUUCCGAUCUGGCAUCCCCACACGGCUCACCUCUUGGAAAGAGACGGGCCUGUCGUGGGGUAAUUGGGAAGAGGUGACCGGACUCCAAACCUGCGUCCAAAACCUGAUGGACAAGAAGGUUAAACUCGUCACCGUAGUCCAGGUCAUGCUCUUCCGCCGCAUCCUCCCGUGUCAACGAUGGGCUUUUAACCUGUGGGAAUUCGACCCCGGCCCAGCACCAAACUUUGUCCAGGCUUUUUGACACAACGCACGAAGAUGCCUAGAAGGUGCUAUUCAAGGGCUCCAAGGUUCAUCCUCCCACUACCGAGGAUCGCGGAUUCAGCGCGAAGCGCCCAGCUAGCACGGUGAGUUUAUUUUGCCCAUCAUAGGAUAUUUGUCUUUUUUAUAGUUUGACUCUAUGCGGGAUCUAAGCUCUUGUUCCUUUGACAGGACUGGCAGAAGAAGUCCGGACAAAUCAACUGUCCAGCUCCUUCGCCCGAAGGUCUGGCAGAUGCCCGGUUGGCAAAGCUGCUGGUCCCGCCACCUCACUUGGUGCCGGAGAAGAAGGCCCAAAAGAAGGCCACGGGAACUCGAAACAGCUCCCGGCGCCUGGUAGUGUCGGAUUCCUCGUCCGAGGAUUCCGAAGCGCGCUCCUCCCAUGAAGGCGAGGAGGAGGAAGAGGCCUCUCCCCCUCCAACGGGGGGAGGAAAGAAAAGGAAGGCCACCCUGACUAGGGGGGGGCGGAGGGUCCAAGAAGGGAAAAACCCUUCUCCUGGACAUCUCCACCAACGCCGACGACGGCGAAGAGGAGUGGCCAUCCAGGGCCAAGCCCCUAGCGAAACCGUAAGUAUCCGGAUAUCAGAAUAACUCACGGUGUUCCUUUAUGGCACAGUAUCUUCUAACGCUGAACAUAAUCAUGCAGUCUGCCCAAGGCCCAGCUCGACGCUUCAUCGAGCAGAUCCCUGGAUUCGUCGGACGUGAGCAGUCUUUUACUUCCAACCGCUACCUCCCCUCUGUUGGGGAACGUAGUAAUUUCAAAAAAAUUCCUAUGCACACGCAAGAUCAUGGUGAUGCAUAGCAACGAGAGGGGAGAGUGUUGUCCACGUACCCUCGUAGACUGUAAGCGGAAGCGUUAUGACAACGCGGUUGAUGUAGUCGUACAUCUUCACGAUCCGACCGAUCCAAGCACCGAACGUAUGUCACCUCCGAGUUCAGCACACGUUCAGCUCGAUGACAAUCCCCGGACUCCGAUCGAGCAGGGUGUCGGGGAUGAGUUCCGUCAGCAUGACGGUGUGGUGAUGAUGAUGAUGUUCUACCGAUGCAGGGCUUCGCCUAAGCACCGCAACGAUAUGAUCGAGGUGGAAUAUGGUGGAGGGGGGCACCGCACACGGCUAAGGAGCGGUCAUGAUGAUCAACUUGUGUGUCUUUGGGGUGCCCCCUGCCCCCGUAUAUAAAGGAGCAAGGGGAGGAGGGCCGGCCAAGGAGGAGGAGGCGCGCCCAAGGGGGGAGUCCUACUCCCAUUAGGAGUAGGACUCCUCCUUUCCUAGUAGGAGUAGGAGAGAAGGAAGGGGAAGAGAGAAGGGAAGGAAGGAGGGGGUGCGGCCCCUCCCUUAGUCCAAUUCGGACUAGGCCUUGGGGGGCGCGGUCUGCCCUAGGCAGCCCCUCCCACUUUCCCGUAUGGCCCAAUAAGGCCCAAUACUUCUCCCCAGCGAAUUCCCGUAACUCUCCGGUACUCCGAAAAAUACCCGAAUCACUCGGAACCUUUCCGAACUCUGAAUAUAGUCGUCCAAUAUAUCGAUCUAUACAUAUCGAUCAUUUCGAGACUCCUCGUCAUGUCCCCGGUCUCAUCCGGGACUCCGAACUCCUUCGGUACAUCAAAACUCAUAAACUCAUAAUAUAACUGUCAUCGAUACCUUAAGCGUGCGGACCCUAUGGGUUCGAGAACUAUGUAGACAUGACCGAGACACGUCUCCGGUCAAUAACCAAUAGCCGAACCUGGAUGCUCAUAUUGGUUCCCACAUAUUCUAUGAAGAUCUUUAUUGGUCAGACCGCAUAACAACAUACGUUGUUCCCUUUGUCAUCGGUAUGUUACUUGCCCGAGAUUGGUAUCUCAAUACCUAGUUCAAUCUCGUUACCGGCAAGUCUCUUUACUCAUUCCGUAAUACAUCAUCUCACAACUAACUCAUUAGUUGCAAUGCUUGCAAGGCUUAAGUGAUGUGCAUUACCGAGAGGGCCCAGAGAUACCUCUCCGACAAUCGGAGUGACAAAUCCUAAUCUCGAAAUAUGCCAACCCAACAAGUACCUUCGGAGACACCUGUAGAGCACCUUUAUAAUCACUCAGUUAAGUUGUGACGUUUGGUAGCACACAAAGUGUUCCUCCGGUAAAUGGGAGUUGCAUAAUCUCAUAGUCAUAGGAACAUGCAUAAGUCAUGAAGAAAGCAAUAGCAACAUACUAAACGAUCAAGUGCUAAGCUAACGGAAUGGGUCAAGUCAAUCACAUCAUUCUCCUAAUGAUGUGAUCUCGUUAAUCAAAUGACAACUCUUUUGUCCAUGGCUAGGAAACUUAACCAUCUUUGAUUCACGAGCUAGUCAAGUAGAGGCAUACUAGUGACACUAUGUUUGUCUACGUAUUCACACAUGUAUUAUGUUUCCGGUUAAUACAAUUCUACCAUGAAUAAUAAACAUUUAUCAUGAAAUAAGGAAAUAAAUAAUAACUUUAUUAUUGCCUCUAGGGCAUAAUUCCUUCACCCUCGCCCUACGGACGACACCGAGGUGGAGUCCCAAAAGGGGAUGAGCCAGGAGGAGGUAGCCCCGGAGGCGCCGCAAGGCGACCUUCCGGAUUCCAUGCGCCAAGGGGAUAGAACCCCAAAGGGCUCUAAGUCCGGCCCUGGACCGGACGCCGCACCGGAACCUUCAGUGGUUCCGGAGUCCGGCAGGCGGCCCCCUCAUAAGAAGGGCAAGCCUACGACGCCGGCGACCCCCGUCCAACCGGAGGCACCGGAACAUUUGCUGGAGGUGCUUAAAGGCGCCUCCAUCAACGAGGAGCACCGCACUAUUAUGAGUGCGGUGGUCAAGAAGGUUCAGUCCGCCAAGAGCAGGCUGACAGAAGCCUGUGCCAUCCUUCUAACAGGCUUCGAGGUAUGUAUUAAGACAUGUAAAAAUAUUACCACAUAGACAGUAGCCCCUGAUGCUCAGUUUGGUGUUCGAGAAGAAAAGCCGGACUGAGGAUCUAAAAAGAUAUACGCAGGAGUCUAACAUAAAUAUGUCAAUAUGGGAAUGCAGGCUGCGCUGCUGACCUCUGCCCCACUGACUGGGGAGGUCGAUGCAUUGAAGCAGAGCCUCGAGCGGUCCGAGAAUGAGCUCGGCCUUGCCAAGAAGCAUCUCGAGGAUAAGGAAGGUAAAUAGUACCUGAUGUUAGUAUAUAUAAAAUACCUAGUUGCAAAAAAAAUGACAGGACCAACGUGAGUGUUACAGGGGCCACAACCGAGGUGGCGACCCUGAAGGAAGCACUGUCCAAGGCCGAAGACAAUGCGGCCGUGGAGCGCACCGAGCGAGAAAAGCAGGAGGCGCGGGUGGCGAGGUGCGGCAAGAGCUCCAUACUCUUGUGAAGAAACACGAGAGAUUGGAGCUUGACUCAAAGGCUCGAGAGUCCGAGCUUGCCUCGGCUCUUGAGAGCGCCAAAUCCGCCAAGGCCAAAGCCCAAAAAGCCCUCCAGGAAAUUGAGGCGAUGAAAAAGAUAGCGGCAGGUAAGGCAUUCUUUAUGCAAAGCAAGCACGUGAAAGUAAGUUACUUGUUACUUACCCAAAUCCGGAGCUCUCUAGGAGCAUUCGCAGAUCUGCCCCGCAGUGUGUCCAAUGCUGCCGCAUUCUACCGAGCCGAGGAAGGGAGCUCGAUGGAGAAGGUGUUCUGGUCCCAGUAUGCUGAGGCCAGAUACCCGGUGCCCUUGAGCGACCAACUGAAGCAGCUGGUCGAGCUCCGUAAGGUAGCCGAACAGCCCAUGAAGGGCCUUAUAGUCCGGCUAUGGCCUGGCGAGGUCAUGGCCGGGAGCUACUUUGGGCUGGUGAGGCGGCUGGUGGAUGCCUGUCCAUGGAUUGAAGUCAUCAAGCGCUCCGUAUGCAUCGAAGGCGCCCAUAGGGCCCUUGCUCGUGCUAAGGUACACUGGGGCAAGAUGGAUGCUGAGAAGCUGGUGACAGAUGGGCCACCAGAGGGCAAGGAGCAUCGCAAGCCCGAGAUGUAUUAUGAGCGUGUCCUGAAGGGUGACCCCCUUGUGGCAAAUGAAUGUUCCAGGGAUUUAAUUUUUGAGUAAACUCGCUCGUGUUUAUCCUGUGCGCUGAAAACUUGUUCAUAUGCGCUAAGCAACGCUUUUUGAGUUUUAAAUAUUACCUUCUGUGCGGUCGUUUAGUAAAUCUGAGAGAUGCGAGUCGUCGGCUUCUGCCCCCAUGCCGCGAGUGCUGGGGUGUUCGGGAUAAACCUGAGCGCUCUUGUUCCCAUUCUUGGGUCCUUCGAGGGAGGCGCUCAGCACAACGAACAAGGCAAUCAGACUAUAAUGAUUUAUCACUCUCACUUAGCCAUAGAAUUCUAUAAUUUUAAAUUUUGGUGAAGCCCUUAGUAUUCGGAAGACCGAGUUCGAGGCGCUAUCCAUGCCUAGGCCGGACAAAGCCAGCUCCUCGCUCUAAGCGGCAUAAGUCUUUAGGGACUCGAAAACCUCUCGAACAGCGACCGGCUCUUGCCCUAUCAUGAUGGUCAGUUUUAGCUUUCUCUACUUAGGUGCUUAACCCAUCUCAAUUGGGGCACAAUCGCAGUAGUUCUCCCAGCGCUACCUUAGCCGAUAUAACGGAACGUAAGGUACCAAAACAUGGGAGCCGGGAAAACCCAACUAUUGACCCAAGACAUGAUUCGGAGCCGAUGCAUAUAAUGCUAUAAGUUCGGGGUGUCGCACUCGUGAGAGUGUUCGGACUUUUCAGACCAUAUUCUGGGGUACUUAAGCCCCUGGUGUACUAGCCGUACCAGAGUGUGCGGUUGCGUAAUGUCAUAACUGAACAUAUUUAAAGAAAAAAAGGAAUGCAAUAAUAGACAAGAGCUAUGUAUUGUUUAUUAAAAGGCUGUUGUAAAAGCAAAACGAUACAAAUAGUGCGAUAAGCAAGAGGUGGGAUUGUUUGACAUGUCCCCCUCCAGGGGCAAGCUGCGAAACUUUAUGUAAGACAUGUAUUUAGCUCGCUAUAGAGACCACCUGAACGUUCGAUGUAGCUUGCUGCUUCCCUGGCUGUUGCAUCGUGUGUUCGGCGAUUAUACUGCCAGACAGGCCUUUCGGAUAGUGGAGUCCUGAAAGUAAGAAAAAGGAAAUGACAAAGCUUGGAGCCCUUGGUGCAGUUGAGCCGCGUGUUGGGCGUGUCGUGGUUGUGUCCCUCCCCGUAUGCCCAUGGUACUUCCAGAGCGUAAUUAUGUAUGCGUAACACUGGUUUCGCAAUUUCCUGAGGGCUGGGGUUGGGGCCGCACUGCUACGGUUGCUCGGAACGUGCCAGGUGGUCUAUUUGUAGGCUACUCCGGGCGUGCUUGACGGUGUCCGGACGUUUAAUAGCCGGACUGGAGAAUUGCCUUGAGAGGCUACUUUGUACUUCUGCUGCUAGGGCCGCCGUAUGCUCCUCCAUUCGGAGAGAGCGUUCGGUGUUUCCAUUGACCGUAAUGACUCCUCGAGGGCCUGGCAUCUUGAGCUUGAGGUAUGUGUAGUGCGGCACCGCAUUGAACUUUGCAAAUGCGGUUCGUCCGAGCAGGGCGUGAUAGCCACUGCGGAACGGGACUAUGUCAAAGAUUAACUCCUUGCUUUGGACAUUAUCCGGGGAUCCGAAGACCACUUCCAGUGUAACUGAGCCAGUACAGUUGGCCUCCACACCUGGUAUGACGCCUUUAAAGGUCGUCUUUGUGGGUUUAAUCCUUGAGGGAUCUAUGCCCAUUUUUCACAUUGUAUCCUGAUAAAGAAGGUUCAGGCUGCUGCCGCCGUCCAUAAGGACUCUGGUGAGGUGGAAUCCGUCAAUGAUUGGGUCUUGAACCGAUGCUGCGAAUCCGCCGUGGCGGAUGCUAGUGGGGUGGUCCCUUCGAUCGAAGGUCAUCGGGCAGGAGGACCAUCGGUUGAACUUUGGGGUGACUGGCUCCAAUGCAUAUACAUCCCUGAGUGCACGCUUCUGUUCCCUUUUAGGGAUGUGGGUUGCGUAUAUCAUGUUCACCGUCCGCACUUGUGGGGGAAAGCCCUUCUGUCCCCUAUUGUUCGGCGGCCGGGGCUCCUCCUCGUCCUCACUAUACAGCCCCUUGUCUCUGUUCUUGGCGCUUAGCUUGCCUGCCUGCUUGAACACCCAACAAUCCCUGUUGGUGUGACUGGCUGGUUUUUCGGGGGUGUCGUGUAUCUGGCACAAGCGAUCGAGUAUUCGGUCCAAAUUGGACCGGCCCGGAGUAGUUCUUUUGAAUGGCUUUUCCCACUGACCGAGUUUAGGGCCUCGGAAUCCGGCAUUAACUGUCGUAUCCUCUGUGUUGUCGCCGUUAAUGCGGUGCUUGUGUUUGUUGCGACGCGACCUGCCAUUGUUGUCCUUGGUAUCCGAAUUACCAGGGCUCUUAAUCAUGUUAUUGCUACGAGCUAGCCAGUUGUCUUCUCCCGCGCAAAAGCGGGUCAUGAGUGUUGUGAGGGCUGCCAUGGAUUUCGGCUUUUCCUGUCCUAAGUGCCGGGCAAGCCAUUCGUCACGGAUGUUAUGUUUGAAGGCUGUGAGGGCCUCCGCGUCCGGACAGUCAACUAGUUGAUUUUUCUUGGUUAGGAACCGUGUCCAGAAUUGUCUGGCCGAUUCAUCUGGCUGCUGGAUGAUGUGGCUUAGGCCAUCGGCGUCUGGUGGUCGCACAUAGGUGCCCUGGAAAUUGUCGAGGAAUGCGGCUUCCAGGUCCUCCCAGCAACCAAUUGACUCUGCUGGCAAGCUGUUAAGCCAAUGUCGAGCUGGUCCUUUAAGCUUGAGUGGGAGGUAUUUGAUAGCGUGUAGAUCAUCACCGUGGGCCAUGUGGAUAUGAAGAAGAUAGUCCUCGACCCAUACCGCUGGAUCUGUUGUGCCAUCGUAUGAUUCGAUGUUUACGGGUUUAAAACCCUUGGGGAUUUGAUGAUCCAUUACUUCAUCUGUGAAGCAUAGUGGGUGUGUAGCGCCUCUGUACUGGGCUAUAUCACGACGUAGCUCAAAUGAGCUUUGUCUGCUGUGUUCGGCCUGGCCGUAUUUGCCAUAUCCGGCAUGACAGUUAUCAUUACGUGCUGUGGGGCGCCCACGCGAUUUGUAGAUCAAUCUUGUUUGCCUUGCCUUGUCCUCCAAUAUGUCUCGUAGGUCCAGCGCAUUUCCCCGUGCCUUGGUAUAGCGGCGCUGGGGUUCGCCUUGAAUUGAUGGCCGAGAGGCCUAUCUGCCAUGGCCACGAGGUGGCCGGUCGGCUGCGUCAUGCACUGGUGAUGCGGUUUGGGUGCUUCCUCCUCUAAUCGGGGUAGCAGCUUGCGGUUUGGGUAGCUCUUGGAGGGGCGUUCGAGUUCGUAUUCCUCGGCCACUAGGAUUUUGGUCCAUCUGUCGGCUAGCAAAUCUUGGUCAGCUCUAAGCUGCUGCUGUUUUUUCUUGAGGCUGCUUGUCAUGGCCAUAAGCCUGUGUUUGAAACGCUCUUGAUCGACGGGAUCCUCGGGCACGACAUAUUCGUAGUCGUCGAGGCUUGCCUCAUCUUUGAAGGGAGGCAUGUAAGUAUCGUCCUCUACCUCUCUGUCUGCCGCUUUCUCAUGAGGGAUGGUCUCUCCAUCCUCCUGUGUUGAAUCUAGCUGGAGGGGGUUGUCUUCGUCACUGUCCGGGGUGUUAUUAUUUCCCGUGCCGGAAUCGCCGUUUUUGCUUUGGCGGGAUUUAGAGCGGUGUCGCUGACGCCGGUGCUUAGGCUUCUUCUUGGAGGGGUCAUCCUCCGUUGUUCCAUCGCCAUCCCCUUCUUUUGGGGUGUCCACCAUAUAUAUGUCGUAUGACGAGGUGGCCUUCCAGUCCCCUAGAGGCGCUGGGUCUUGGUCGUCUCCUGCAUCGGUGUCCAUGCCGUCGAUGUCUUCGGAGUCGAAGUCGAGCAUGUCGGUUAAAUCAUCGACAGUGGCUAUGAAGUGGGUGGUGGGUGGGUUUUGAAUUUCUUCGUCGUCCGCAUCCCAACCUUGCUGCCCAUAGUCCGGCCAGGGCUCUCCUGAUAAAGAGAGAGAGACUUUAGUGAAUUUAUAAUGUCGCUAAAGGGCGAGUGCUGAAAGAUGUCCGGGGCGGCGAACUCCAUGAUCGGCGCCCCAUCGGGUUCGAUUGGCAGGGGCGCGGAAGGUUCGGAGUCCGAAAAGGAGUCCAGCAUCUUUGAGUCACGAGCUUUGCAAAGGACAAGGCUGGUGUUCGGCUUGAUCGCCGUGGAGAUUGCAGCCCCCAAGGCGGUGUCUAGCCACCCGUCCUCGAUUGGUGCAGUCGGCUCCGAACUAAGGGUCAGAGCGGGCACUGGAGCGGCCUCCAGGGCACUGUUCGGCGGCAGAGCUAGAUCAUGCCCAUCGUGACAGUGCGGCGCGCUUGGCCGUGGCUCGAAUCCUUCGAAGAUCAAGUCUCCGCAGAUGUCUGCCGUGUAGUUCAAACUUCCAAAUCUGACCUGAUGGCCAGGUGCGUACCUUUCGAUCUGCUCCAGAUGGCCAAGCGAAUUGGCCCGCAGUGCAAAGCCGCCGAAUGCGAAGAUUUGUCCGGGAGAAAAGUCUCACCCUGGACCGCGUCGUUGUUGAUGAUCGGGGGAGCCAUCGGGCCUAAAGAUGAUGACACAAAGGAACUCUCAAUGAGAGCACCAAUGUCGGUGUCAAAACUAGCGGAUCUCGGGUAGGGGGUCCCGAACUGUGCGUCUAGGCGGAUGGUAACAGGAGCCAAGGGACACGAUGUUUUUACCCAGGUUCGGGCCCUCUCGAUGGAGGUAAAACCCUACUUCUGCUUGAUUAAUAUUGAUGAUAUGGGUAGUACAAGAGUAGAUCUACCACGAGAUCAAAGAGGCUAAACCCUAGAAGCUAGCCUAUGGUAUGAUUAUUGUUCGUCCUGUGGACUAAAACCCUCCGAUUUAUAUAGACACCGGAAAGGGCUAGGGUUACACAGAGUCGGUUACAAUGGGAGGAGGUCUACAUAUCCGUAUCGCCAAGCUUGCCUUCCAUGCCAAGGAAUGUCCCAUCCGGACACGGGACGAAGUCUUCAAUCUUGUAUCUUCAUAGUCCAGGAGUCCGGCCAAAGGUCAUAGUCCGGUCAUCCGGACACCCCCUAAUCCAGGACUCCCUCACACCUCCACAAGAAAACAACAACGCUAACAACAAUGAAGAAGGACAAGAGGCAGAACAAGACAAUGAAGAGGAUGUUCCACACCGACCCAAACAAAAGCUUUCAUGAGUCCGAGCAAGAGUCUCAAGAGAUCAUCUCGUCGAACAAAUAUUUGAUGAUAUUCAAACCAGGAGAAUUACUUGCUCUAAAACUCGUUUGGCUAACUUUUGUGAACAUUACUCAUUGAUUUCUAGUAUUGAACCUAUGAAGGUUGAAGAAGCUCUUGAUGAUCCGGAUUGGGUGAACGCUAUGCAUGAAGAGCUACACAAUUUCGAGAGGAAUCAAGUAUGUACGUUGGUUGAAAAGCCCGAUGAGAAGCACAAUGUCAUUGGAACCAUAUUGGUGUUUCGGAAUAAUCAAGAUGAAGAUGGACAAGUUGUACACAACAGGGCCCGUCUCGUCGCCCAAGGCUACACUCAAGUCGAAGGUAUGGACUAUGGUGAUACAUAUGCCCCCGUUGCUAGACUUGAGUCCAUACGCAUCUUACUUGCUUAUGCCAAUCAUCAUGAUAUCAUUUUGUACCAAAUGGACAUAAAAAGUGUUUUUCUAAAUGGUGAAAUUGAGGAGGAAGUUUAUGUUAAACAGCCUCCCGGCUUUGUUAAUCCCAAGAAACCCGAUCAUGUUUACAAACUUCACAAAGCUCUUUAUGGUCUUAAACAAGCUCCUAGAGCUUGGUAUAAAUGCUUGACAGAGUUUCUAUUGAAAAAGGCUUUGAAAUUAGGAAGGUUGAUUCUACACAUUUUACUAAAAGGUUUAAUGGUGAAUUAUUUGUGUGCCAAAUUUAUGUGGAUGAUAUCAUAUUUGGUUCAACUAACCCUCAUUUUGUGAAAAGUUUGGAAGGCUAAUGCCGAAGAAGUUUGAGAUGUCUAUGAUAGUGAACUCAAAUUCUUUCUUGGUUUGAAAAUCAAGCAAACUAAGGAGGGUACCUUUGUUUCCCAAACAAAGUAUACCAAGGAUUAUUCAAGAAGUUCAACAUGCAAGAAAGCAAAGGUACGAAAACACCCAUGCCUAGUAGUGGACAUCUUGACUUGACUAAGGAUGGCAAACCUGUUGACCAAAAGGUUUACCGCUCUAUGAUUGGUUCAUUGUUAUAUCUAUGUGCCUCCCGUCCCGAUAUUAUGCUAAGUGUGUGCAUGUGUGCACGAUAUCAAGCGGCCCCUAAAGAAUAUCAUCUUAAGGUUGUGAAAAGGAUAGUGAGAUACUUAAUUCAUACACCAAAUUUUGGCAUUUGGUAUCCUAAGAGGUCUUCUUUUGAUCUUGUUGGCUACUCCGAUUCAGACUAUGCUGAUGACAAGGUUAAUCGAAAGUCCACUUCGGGUACUUGUCAAUUUCUUGGUAGAUCUCUUGUGUCUUGGUCCUCCAAGAAACAAAACUCGGUAUCCUUAUCCACUGCCGAAGCGGAAUAUAUUGCCACCAGAUCAUGUUGUGCUCAAUUACUUUGGAUGACCCAAACCCUUAAGUACUAUGGGAUAUAUGUGAAACAUGUUCCAUUUCUUUGUGAUAAUGAAAGUGCUAAUAAGAUUGCUCACAAUCCCGUGCAACAUUCUCGGACUAAGCAUAUUGAAGUUCGUCAUCACUUCAUUCGGGAUCAUGUUGCUAAAGGAGACAUCAAUCUUAAGCAUGUUCAUACCGGUAAGCAAUUGGCGGAUAUAUUCACCAAACCACUUGAUGAGAAAGUGUUUUGCCAUUGGGAGGUGAAUUAAACAUCAUUGAUGCCUCAAACCUGGAGUAGAAACUCCAUCUAGAUGCAUGCAAGGCAUGAGCCUUUUUAUGACUAAUUCUUGAUAAUUCUCUUAUGUUGAUCAUAUGUCUUGGAUCUAUACUUGUAUCCUUGCAUGUUAUCUAAUCCUUGUAGGUACUUUUGGAUGACCCCAAAUCUAUGAGAUUGCAAGUCACUCACAUCUUAAGCAAUCUCUAGAUCACCAAGUUUCUACUAUAUGGUUGUGGAAUACAAGGAAGGAUGAGCUCACUCAACAUAUGCUUUGACAAUUUCUAUAUAUUAAAUUUCAUUUGGUAUCAAGUUUCAUGAUUGUCAUUUUGGAUACACAAGUGCUUUUCCUUGCAAAAACUAACCCAUGUAGGAAGAUGAACUCAAACUACAAGUGGUGCUCUCAACACUUGAUGGACUACAUCAACCUUGAGCAUCCAACGCAAGUUCAACUACAUGACAAAGAUCGACACAACCCAAGGUAUGUUAUUCCAUCUUAGAGAAGCUCUGACCCAAGUCAUGAGGCAAAGCAACUCAACGAGAUGUGAAUACAUCAAAAUGCUUAAACAAAAUAUGGUAACCCCAUUUUGAGCUUAAACGAUGAGUAUGACCUACAAUCAAGUGUUAUCACUUGACUCCUCAGUCAAUAUACUCUAACAUAGGUGACUUUGUCGCCACCCCCCCCCCUCUAGAUGAAGUUCCCUAGUGUUUCUUUGUUCACUUCAUCUAGAUCUUUUGUCUACAUUUCUUUCUAUGUUUAAUUCAUUGCAAAUCCUUGUGAGAUUUAAUUUGUCUAGUGAGCUGAGUUGACAAAUCUUAUACUUUGCAUUGAACUUAGACUCACCAAUUCAUGCCUAUCGGAUAGACCGAACUACAUGAAUUACUUGUAGAUAAUUCAUUGGUACAACUGGUACGUCCAUUUUGCAUCAUGUUUUCCUACUGUUAUUUAUGUUUUGUUAUUGAAUAAUAAAGCUUUUUGGAGUUAUUCUAAUGCAUUUUCUCUCAUAAUAUGCAAGGUAUACACAAAGGCGGAGAAUUCUGGCAGCUGGAAAUCUGGACCUGGAAAAGCUACAUCAAGCUACCUAUUCUGCACAACUCCAAAUGAGUUGAAACUUCACCAGCAUUUUAUAUGGACUAUUUAAUAAAUAUUGGAGCAAAUAAGUACUAGAUGGGGGCACCAGGUGGGCACAACCCACCUGGGCGCGCCAGGAGGCCCAGGUGCGCCCUGGUGGGUGCUGCCCUCCUCGGCUCACCUCCGGUGCCCGACUUCUGGUAUAUAAGUCAUUUUGACCUAAAAUAAUUGAGGAGAGGACUUUCGGGACGAAGCGCCUCCGUCUCGAGGCAGAACUUGGGAAGGAGCACUAUUUCCCUCCAGCGGAGCGAUUUCGCCGGGGGAACUUCCCUCCCAGAGGGGGAAAUCAUCGUCAUCAUCAUCACCAACAACUCUCCCAUCUUGGGGAGGGCUAUCUUCAUCAACAUCUUCAACAGCACCAACUCCUCUCAAACCCUAGUUCAUCUCUUGUGUUCAAUCUUUGUACCGGAACUAUAGAUUGGUGCUUGUGGGCGACUAGUAGUGUUGAUUACAUCUUGUAGUUGAUUACUAUAUGGUUUAUUUGGUGGAAGAUUAUAUGUUCAGAUCCAUUAUUCUAUUUAAUACCCCUCUGAUCUUGAGCAUGAUUAUCAUUUUUGAGUAGUUACUUUUGUUCUUGAGGUGUCGGGAGAAAUCAUGUUGCAAGUAAUAAUGUGAACUUGAUAUGUGUUGGAUAUUUUGAUGAUAUGUAUGUUGUGAUUCCCUUAGUGGUGUCAUGUGAACGUCGACUGCAUGACACUUCACCAAUUUGGGCCUAAGGGAAUGCAUUGUGUAGUAGUUAUUAGAUGAUGGGUUGCGAGAGUGACAGAAGCUUAAACCCUAGUUUAUGCGCUAUUCCGUAAGGGACUGAUUGGAUCCAAAAGUUUAAUGCUAUGGUUAGAAUUUAUUCUUAAUACAUUUCUCAUAGUUGCGGAUGCUUGCGAGAGGGUUAAUCAUAAGUAGGAGGUUUGUUCAAGUAAGAACAGCACCUAAGCACCGGUCCACCCACAUAUCAAAUUAUCAAAGUAGUGAACACAAAUUAAGACAACAUGAUGAAAGUGACUAGAUGAAAUUCCCGUGUACCCUCAAGAACACUUUGCUUAUCAUAAGAGACCGCUUUGGCCUGUCCUUUGCCUCAAAAGGAUUGGGCUACCUUGCUGCACUUUUUUUACUACUAUCGUUACUUGCUCGUUACAAAUUAUCUUGCUAUCAAACUACUCUGCGACUUACAAUUUUAGCACUUGCAGACAUUACCUUGAUGUAAACCACUUCUCAUUUCCUUCUGCUCCUCGUUGUGUUCGACACUCUUACUUAUGAAAAGGAUACAAUUGACCCCAUAUACUUGUGGGUCAUCAAGGCUAUUUUCUGGCGCCAUUGCCGGGGAGUGAAGCGCUCUUGGUAAGUGGAAAUUGGUAAGGAAACAUUAUUACUAUGUGCUGAAAUUUAUUGUCACUUGCUACUAUGGAAAACAAUCCUUUGAGGGGUUUGUUUGGGGUAUCUUCACCAAGACCGGAACCACAAUUACUCGCCCCUCAACCUACUGCACCUACUCAAAAUAUUGAAUAUGAAAUUCCUUCGGGUAUGGUAGAACAACUGCUAGCUAAUCCUUAUGCAGGAGAUGGAACCGAACAUCCUGAUAUGCACUUGAUAUAUGUGGAUGAAAUUUGUGGAUUAUUUAAGCUUGCAGGUUUUCCCAGAGAUGAAGCUAAGAAGAAGGUUUUCCCUUUAUCUUUGAAGGGAAAAGCAUUGACCUGAUAUAGGCUAUGCGAUGAUCUUGGAACUGGAAUCGGUUGAAAUUGGAAUUUCAUCAAAAAAAUUAUCCUAUGCAUCUAGUUCAUCGUGAUCGGAACUAUAUAUAUAUAUAUUUUUUUUGGCCUCGUGAAGGAGAAAGUGUCACUCUAGCUUGGGGGAGGCUUAAGUCAAUGUUAUAUUCAUGCCCCAAUCAUGAGCUUUCAAGAGAAAUUAUUAUUCGGAAUUUUUAUGCUUGGCUUUCUCGUAGUGAUCAAUCCAUGCUCGAUACUUCUUGUACCCGUUCUUUUAUGAAGAAGACUAUUGAAUCCCGGUGCGAUCUUUUAGAAAGAAUUAAACGCAAUUCUGAAGAUUGGGAACUCUACGAAGGUAAAGAGUCAGGUAUUGAACCUAAGUUUGAUUGUGUUAAAUCUUUUAUGAAUACCGAUGCUUUUCAAAAGUUUAGCACUAAUUAUGGACUUGACUCUGAGAUAGGAGCUUCCUUUUGUGAAUCUUUUGCUACUCAUGUUGAUCUUCCUUAGGAGAAGUGGUUUAAAUAUCACCCACUAUUAAAGAAGAAGUUAAAGAACCAGUAAAAGCUAAAGAAGAAACUAUCAUUUACAAUGUUGAUCCAGUUGUUCCCAUUUCUUAUAUUGAAAAAACACCUUUCCCUGUUAGGAUGAAGGAACAUGCUAAAGCUUCAACUGUGGUUAACAAAAGUUAUGUUAGAACACCCAAACCAGCUAAGCAAAUCGGAGUUGAACAUAGUGUUGCUAUGAUUAAAGAUCUCUUAGUCGAUAAUAUUGAUGGGCAUGUUAUUUACUUCUAUGAUGAAGCUUCUAGAAUUGCCAAACCUGAUAAAAAGGAUAAACAUAGACCAGUUGUUGGCAUUCCUGUUGUCUCAGUUAAGAUAGGAGAUCAUUGUUAUCAUGGGCUAUGUGACCUAGGUGCUAGUGUGAGUGCUAUUCCUUUUUCCUUAUUUGAAGAAAUUAAGAAUGAAAUAGCACCUGCUGAAAUAGAAGACAUAGAUGUCACUAGUAAACUUGCCAAUAGAGAUACAAUAUCACCAAUUGGAAUUCUUAGAGAUGUUGAAGCCUUGUGUGGGAAAAUAAAAUACCCUACUAAUUUUAUUGUUCUUGGCUCCCAACAAGAUGAGUUUUGUCCCAUUAUCUUUGGUAGACCUUUCUUGAACACCGUCAAUGCUAGAAUAGACGGUAAGAAACAAACUGUCGGUGUUAGCUUUGGUGAUGAAUCUCAUGAAUUUAAUUUUUCCAAGUUUAGUAGACAACCUCAUAAGAAAGAUUUGCCUAGUAAGGAUGAAAUUAUUGGUCUUGCUUCUAUUGUUGUACCUCCUACUGAUCCUUUGGAACAAUAUUUGCUAGACCAUGAAAAUGAUUUGCAUAUGCGUGAAAGAAAUGAAAUAGAUAGAAUAUUUUUUUGAACAACACCUCUGCUUAAACACAAUUUGCAUAUUGAAACUCUAGGAGGUCGUCCUCCACCUAAAGGUGAUCCUGUGUUUGAAUUAAAACAAUUGCCAGACACUUUGAAAUAUGCUUAUCUUGAUGAGAAAAAGAUAUAUCAUGUUAUUAGUGCUAACCUUUCAAAAAAUGAAGAAGAAAGAUUAUUGAAAGUUCUAAGGAAGCACAGAGCUACUAUUGGAUAUACUCUUGAUAAUCUUAAGGGCAUUAGUCCCACUAUAUGUCAGCAGAAGAUUAAUAUAGAACCUGAUGCUAAACCCGUGGUUGAUCACCAACAUUGGUUAAAUUCAAAAAUGAAAGAAGUGGUAAGAACAGAAAUAUUGAAACUUCUGGAAGCAGGUAUAAUCUAUCCUAUAGAUGAUAGUAGAUGGGUAAGUCUUGUUAAUUGUGUCCCUAAGAAGGGAGGUAUUACUGUUGUUCCUAAUGAUAAGAAUGACCUUAUUCCACAUAGAAUUGUCACAGGUUAUAGGAUGGUAAUUGAUUAUACCAAAUUAAACAAAGCAACUAGAAAAGAUCAUUACCCUUUGUCUUUUAUUGAUCAAAUGUUAGAAACAUUAUCUAAGCACAUACAUUUUUGCUUCCUUGAUGGAUAUUCUGGUUUUUCACAAAUACCUAUUUCACAACGUGAUCAAGAAAAUACCACUUUUACUUGUCCUUUUGGAAUUUAUGCUUAUAAACGUAUGCCUUUUGGUUUCUGUAAUGCACCUGCUACCUUUCAAAGAUGUAUGACUGCUAUAUUCUCUGAUUUUUGUGAAAAGAUUGUUGAGGUUUUCAUGGAUGAAUUUUCUGUUUAUGGGAAGUCUUUUGAUGAUUGUUUAAGCAAUCUUGAUCGAGUUUUGCAGAGAUGUGAACAAACAAAUCUUGUCUUGAACUGGGAGAAGUGGCACUUUAUGGUUAACGAAGGUAUUGUUUUGGGCCAUAAAAUUUCUGAAAGAGGCACUGAAGUGGACCAGGCCAAGGUUGAUGCAAUUGAUAAAAUGCCAUGUCCUAAAGAUAUUAAAGGUAUUCGUAGUUUCCUUGGUCAUGUUGGUUUCUAUAGGAGGUUUAUCAAAGACUUUUCUAAAAUUUGUAGGCCUCUUACGAAUCUUUUGCAAAAGGAUAUUCCCUUUGUGUUCGAUGAUGAUUGCUUGGAAGCCUUUGAAACACUAAAGAAAGCCUUAAUUACAGCACCUUUGUUCAGCCACCUGAUUGGAACUUGCCUUUUGAGAUUAUGUGUGAUGCUAGUGAUUAUGUUGUUGGUGUUGUUCUAGGACAAAGAGUUGAUAAGAAACUGAAUGUUAUUCAUUAUGCCAGUAAAACUCUAGAAAGUGCUCAAUGAAACUAUGCUACUACUGAAAAAGAAUUCUUAGCAGUGGUGUUUGCUUGUGAUAAAUUUAGAUCUUACAUUGUUGAUUCUAAAGUGAUUGUUCACACCGAUCAUGCUGCUAUAAAAUAUCUUACGGAAAAGAAAGAUGCUAAACCUAGACUCAUUAGAUGGGUUCUGCUGCUACAAGAAUUUGAUUUGCAUAUUACUUAUAGGAAAGGAGCAGAGAAUCCCGUAGAUGAUAACUUGUUUAGGCUUGAAAAUAUUCUUGAUGACCCACAACCUAUUAAUGAUAGCUUUCCUGAUGAACAACUAGCUGCAAUAAAUGUUUCUAAUAGUACACCUUGGUAUGUUGACUAUGCUAAUUAUAUUGUUGCUAAAUACAUACCACCUAGUUUCACAUACCAACAAAAGAAAAUUUUCUUCUAUGAUUUAAUACAUUACUUUUGGGAUGACCCACAUAUUUAUAAAGAAGGAGUAGAUGGUAUUAUUAGACGUUGUGUACCUGAGGAUGAAUAGGAACAAAUCCUACAGAAAUGUCACUCGGAAGCUUAUGGAGGACAUCAUGCGGGAGAUAGAACCACUCAUAAGGUAUUGCAAUCUGGUUUUUAUUGGCUUAGUCUCUUCAAGGAUGCCCGUAAGUUUGUCUCAUCUUGUGAUGAAUGCCAAAUAAUAGGUAAUAUCAGUAAGCGUCAAGAAAUGCCUAUGAAUUAUUCACUUGUUGUUGAAGCAUUUGAUGUUUGGGGAUUUGAUUUCAUGGGACCUUUUCCUUCCUCUAAUGGGUAUACACAUAUUUUGGUUGCUAUUGAUUAUGUUACUAAGUGGGUAGAAGUUAUACCAACCAGUAUUGCUGAUCACAACACCUCUUUUAAAAUGCUUAAGGAAGUUAUUUUCCCAAGGUUUGGAGUCCCUAGAUAUUUAAUGACUGAUGGUGGUUCACACUUUAUUCAUGGUGCUUUCCGUAAAAUGCUUGCUAAGUAUGAUAUUAACCAUAGAAUUGCAUCACCUUAUCAUCCUCAGUCUAGUGGUCAAGUUGAACUUUGCAAUAGAGAAAUAAAACUAAUCUUACAAAAGACUGUUAAUAGGUCCCAGAAGAAUUGGUCUAAGAAAUUAGAUGAUGCACUUUGGGCUUAUAGAACAGGUUAUAAAAAUCCUAUGGGUAUGUCUCCAUAUAAAAUGGUUUAUGGAAAAGCUUGUCAUUUGCCUCUUGAGUUAGAACACAAAGCAUAUUGGGCAAUUAAAGAACUCAAUUAUGAUUUCAAACUUGCUGGUGAAAAGUGGCUAUUUGAUAUUAGCUCAUUAGAUGAAUGGAGAACUCAGGCUUAUGAAAAUGCAGCGUUAUUCAAAAAAAAUGUUGAAAGAUGGCAUGACAAAAGAAUCCAAAAGUGCGAGUUCAAAGUUGGAGAAUAUGUUCUUUUGUACAACUCUCGUUUCAGAUUCUUUGCAGGAAAACUCCUCUCCAAAUGGGAAGGACCCUAUGUCAUCGAGGAGGUCUAUCGAUCUGGAGCUAUAAAAAUAAAUAAUGCCAAAGGUACUAACCCGAAGGUUGUCAAUGGGCAACGAAUAAAACACUAUAUCUCAGUUACGCCCAUUAAUGUUGAAAGCAAUAUCAUCCAAACUUUGACACCGGAAGAACACAUAAACGAAACCUUCCAGAACACCCCAGAAUCACGAAAAAAUGGAGGUACGUGAUACGGUAAGUAAACAGACUCCGAAAAAUCCACAAAAAUAUUUUUUUUCAGUUUUGGAAUAUUUAAAAAAUUAGGAAAAUAAGAAACUUCCAGGAAAGUGACCCUGGUGGGCACUAUACACCAGGGCGCGCCUAGCAUGCCAGGCGUGCCCCGGUGGGUUGUGCCCACCUCGAGUACUUUCCGGACUCCGUUUUUCUUCCAUUGUGCUUGUUCCCCAAGAUAAAAAAUCUUUAUAUACCUCCCAAACCUGUUGAGCUCCGUAUCAUGGAGAAAUCGCAUGUUCUCUUUUCUUGUUGUUUUCUGUCAUAUCCAAUCCAUCAUGGCCGCUUCAAGCUCCUCCAAGGACAAGUUCUUCGACAACGUCAUCAACCCAUAUCUGCGGGAGGUGAUGCAGCACCCUCAAGCUAUCUAGAUGCGCGAUGGGGUGAUGCACAUCCGCGAUGUGCAAGGACCCAAGGGGACUGGAUCCGUGGAGGCCAGGCUUGAAGCUAUGGAGCAGGACAUCUUCAGGUGCAAGGGGAUGGUGGAACAUGGACUCAAUGCCAAUCAUCUCAUGAUCGCGGACUACACCCGUCAUCUCAAGGUGGAUGGAAAGUCCAUAAAGGACAGUGUCUUCUCCCUCAACGAGCAAAUCAACUUUCUCCAUAGCCAGAUUCAUGACCUUCAAAGCAAGUCUUUAAAUAUGAGGCAAGGUUUAAAGGUAUGAGUUUGGCUGCCAGUUGCAGGAUCUGAGAGACUCACUCUUCCUCUUUAUGAUGGUGAACCUCUCCCAUGGAAACCCGAGGACAAGAAACCUUCUAAUUCAUCAUCACCACCUCCUUCUUCACCACCAGAAGAAAAUUGAGUAUCGGGUACAGUCCCCUUGGCUUUUGCCAAUCUUGGGGGAGGUGCCUCGGUAUCGUAUCAUCUCCACUAUCUUUUGCCUAUACUUUCUUAAUUCGAUCCAUUGUUAUCUUUUGCUUUUAGAUGAAUAAAAGUUUAGUUCGAUCCUUUCUUUUUGAGAGUUUGCUUAGUGAUCAAUCAUUGUAAUCGUGUGCGAGAUAUAUAAUAAAGUUUAGUUUGAGUUUUGCCUUCUUUACUCUCUUGUUUCAAUAAAAAGAAAGGAAAUAAUGAAAAAGAUCAUAUGCUAACCUUAUGGUAGGUGAUGACAUUACACAAGGAAAAGUAUAAGUAGAAAAUUUUAUUGUAGAUUGACAAACAUAGCAUUGGUCAAUGACACAACUCAUGAAAUAAUUAAUAAGGGAAGAGAAGAUUCACAUAUAAAUAGACUAUCCUGGAAUCUUUUGUGAUUGUGAGCACCCAUCAAAAUAUUAUAUGCCAAAAUUGUUGACGUUGGACAAGGAAGACAACAUAAUGAUUUAUGUUUGUUCAUAUUCACGUAGAAGUUAUAUUGUCAUAGAUCCUUCAACAUGUGGUGCUUGCCCCAAUCUUUGCUAGCCAAAAACUCCGCACUAAGUAGAGAUACUAGUUGUGCAUCCAAAACCCUUAAACCUAAAUCUUGUUUGAGAGUCCACCAUACCUACCUAUGGAUUGAGUAAGAUCCAUCAAGUAAGUUGUCAUCAGUGCAAAAAUGGCAAUAAAAAUUGCUUCUAAAAGUGUGAUAUCAUUUAGUGUAAGGGAAAAUUGAGCGUUAUACAAACUUCUGAUGGCGAAGAAUAAAAGCAGCAAACUUCAUAAUAAAGGUUUCCAUCACAAGGGGCAAUAUAAUGUGAUGUUCUCUUGCACUAAGGGGUUGAGCAUACAAAAAAAUGCAUGGCAACCUUUGCUUCCCUCUGCAAAGGGCCUAUCUUUUACUUUCACGUAUUACUUUCAUGCAAGAGUCAAAGUUUUCUCUCUAUUCCUUUUAUUUUUCUCCUUUGGCAAGCAUCAUGUGGUGAGGAAAGAUCUAGGCACAUAUAUCCACUUGAAUAUGAGUAGCAUGAGUUAUUAUUGUUGACAUCACCAUUGAGGUGAAUGCGUUGGGAGGUGAAACUAUAAGCCCCUACCUUCCUAUGUGUCUGGUUGAAACAUUUUGCUCAUGUGUACGCGGUGAGUGUUAGCAAUCAUAGAAGACUAAAUGAUGGUUGAGUGUGGACUUGCCUAAAGGCUCCGAUACGUGACCCUUCCUGAAAAGAUGAUGAAUUGUAAUUGCAAAAUUGACUGAGAACAUAGUUUGUUGACUUCCAAUAAAGUUUAUGCUUUAUACUUCGAUGUUGUGAUGAAUUGUCACUUGUUCAUGAGAAGUCUAUGAUAAAAGUUAUAUGAUAAAAGUUAUAUGUUAAAGUUUAUUGUUGUUAUAAUAAGUUACAUGAUGCUGCUAUGUCCGUAUUUUUGUUUUUAUCGACACCUCUCCCUCUAAGAUUGUGGACAUGUUUUUGAUUUCGGUUUUCGCUUGAGGACAAGCGAGGUCUAAGCUUGGGGGAGUUGAUACGUCCAUUUUGCAUCAAGUUUUCCUACUGUUAUUUAUGUUGUUUUAUUGUAUAAUAAUGCUUUUUGUAGUAAUUCUAAUGCCUUUUCUCUCAUAAUAUGCAAGGUAUACAGAAAGGGGGAGAAUUUUGGCAGGUGGACCUGAAAAGGCUAUGUCAAGCUACCUAUUUUUCACAACUCCAAAUGAGCUGAAACUUCACGAGGACUUUUAUAAAUAUUUAAUAAAUAUUGGAGCAAAUAAGUACCAGAGGGGGGCCACCAGGUGGGCACAACCCACCUGGGUGCGCCAGGAGGCCUAGGCGUGCCUUGGUGGGUGCUGCCCUCCUCGGCACACCUUCGGUGCCCGUCUUCUAGUAUAUAAGUCAUUUUGACCUAAAAUAAUUGAGGAGAGGACUUUCGGGAUGAAGCGCCUCCAUCUCGAGGCGGAACUUGGGCAGGAGCACUUUUGCCCUCCGGCAAAGCGAUUCCGCCGGGGGAACUUCCCUCCUGGAGGGGGAAAUCAUCGUCAUCAUCAUCACCAACAACUCUCCCAUCUUGGGGUGGGCUAUCUUCAUCAACAUCUUCAACAGCACCAACUCCUCUCAAUCCCUAGUUCAUCUCUUGUGUUCAAUCUAUACCAGAACUGUAGAUUGGUGCUUGUGGGUGACUAGUAGUGUUGAUUACAUCUUGUAGUUGAUUACUAUAUGGUUUAUUUGGUGGAAGAUUAUAUGUCUAGAUCCAUUACGCUAUUUAAUACCCCUCUGAUCUUGAGCAUGAUUAUCAUUUGUGAGUAGUUACUUUUGUUCUUGAGGUCAUGGGAAAAAUCAUGUUGCAAGUAAUCAUGUGAACUUGAUAUGUGUUUGAUAUUUUGAUGAUAUGUAUGUUGUGAUUCCCUUAGUGGUGUCAUGUGAACGUCGACUACAUGACACUUCACCAUAUUUGGGCCUUAGGGAAUGCAUUGUGGAGUAGUUAUUAGAUGAUGGGUUGUGAGAGUGACAGAAGCUUAAACCCCAAUUUAUGCGCUAUUCCGUAAGGGACCAAUUGGAUCCAAAACUUUAAUGCUAUGGUUAGAAUUUAUUCUUAAUACUUUUCCCGUAGUUGCGGAUGCUUGCAAGAGGGUUAAUCAUAAGUAGGAGGUUUGUUCAAGUAAGAACAACACCUAAGCACCGGUCCACCCACAUAUCAAAUUAUCAAAGUAGUGAACACGAAUUAAGCCAACAUGAUGAAAGUGACUAGAUGAAAUUCCCGUGUACCCUCAAGAACACUUUGCUUAUCAUAAGAGACCGUUUUGGCAUGUACUUUGCCUGGAAAGGAUUGGGAUACCUUGCUACAUUUUUUACUAAUAUCGUCACUUGCUCGUUACAAAUUAUCUUGCUAUCAAACUACUCCGCUACUUACAAUUUUAGCACUUGCAGACAUUACCUUGCUGAAAACCACUUGUCAUUUCCUUCUGGUCCUCGGUUGGUUCGACACUCUUACUUAUAGAAAAGUCUAUAAUUGACCUCAUAUACUUGUGGGUCAUCAACAACUGACGCGGACUAUCCCGGUCUGACCGAUAUGCAUCAUUUUUUACACUGCCAACUCGGUGUCACCGAUGAAAACAGGUUGGCAUUACCGAUUUCACAGCUGAGAAAACUUUUUGUCAUUGCAUAUUUGUUUUCUUCUGCAGCUCCACUCAAUGAUUCUUAUCCUCUACCCGCAUCAUAAACUACAUGUUGCUUUGUAAUGUGUCUCAAGGACCAAACCUAUUUGACUCAUACUCCAGAAGUUCCCUUCUUGGAAAUUGAUGUCAAAGGGGGAGAGAGAGCAUAUCAAAGCUUAUCACAUGGGAGAGAAAGCACAUCUUAGCUUCUCCAGAUGCCUGUUAACAAUAGAGGAGAGAAGUCACAUAUUUUUAAGAGGGGAAAGACAUGUUAAUAUAUACUUGAUUGUACCAUUUCCUGCUCUAAUUUUCUCUUACCCUACCUUCUCCCAUUAUCCAAUAUCAGAUUCAGGGGGAGAAAGAGUUCAUAUCUAGGGGAAGAAAAUCUUUGGAAUUCAUUGCAUAUGUUUAACCUUUGGGGAGAUGUCUAUAUCCAAAUGGAGUACUAAGUACUCACUCAUUACAUUCAUCAUCCCAGUCUUGGUACUCUUGUGGUUUCCCUAAAUUGCUUUAAUUAGAGUGUUCUUGCGUUAUCUAACCCUAUUUUCUCAAGUUCACCUCUUCCAAAGCCAUCUCAAGACCACAAGGUAAGUAUAUGCAUCACACUCAUGUGCAUGAUGAUUUCUUGUUGAUGUACAUAUUAUUUGCAAGAAGGACUCAUGAACAUGAAUAUACACUUAUCUUAUCUACAUCAUUUUCUCUUAUGCAUAUAGCCAAGAUACAUAUAACUCAUUGCUUGCUCUGACAUGCUUAUGAAUUCACAUGUUCUCAUAUUCCAUCUUUACAUGAUUGCAUACAUGUAGGGGGAGCCUAUGCAUGUUACAUGUCUUUCCAAAGCUUUACGUGUUACUCUUCAUAUCAUUUUAUCCAAAGCUUUGAUGUAUGUUGUCAUCAAUUAUCAAAAAGGGGGAGAUUGAAAGCACAAGUGCUCCCUAGGUGGUUUUGGUAAUUAAUGACAACAUAUCUCUUGUUGGACUAAUACCUUUGAAGGAAAUAUUGUUGGAAAUAUGCCCUAGAGGCAAUAAUAAAAGUAUUAUUAUAUUUCAUUGUUCAUGAUAAUUGUCUUUUAUUCAUGCUAUAACUGUAUUAUCCGGAAAUCGUAAUACACGUGUGAAUACUUAGACCACACUAUGUCCCUGGUAAGCCUCUAGUUGACCAGCUCGUUGUGAUCAACAGAUAGACAUGGUUUCCUGACUAUGGACAUUGGAUGUCGUUGAUAACGGGAUCACAUCAUUAGGAGAAUGAUGUGAUGGACAAGACCCAAUCCUAAGCAUAGCAUAAAAGAUCGUGUAGUUCGUUUUGCUAGAGCUUUGCAAGUGUCAAGUAUCUCUUCCUUCAACCAUGAGAUCGUGUAACUCCCGGAUACCGUAAGAGUGCCUUGGGUGUAUCAAACGUCACAACGUAACUGGGUGACUAUAAAGGUGCAUUACAGGUAUCUCCGAAAGUAGCUGUUGGGUUGACACGGAUCGAGACUGGGAUUUGUCACUCCGUAUGACGGACAGGUAUCUCUGGGCCCACUCGGUAAUGCAUCAUCAUAAUGAGCUCAACGUGACCAAGGUGUUGGACACGGGAUCAUGCAUUACGGUACGAGUAAAGUGACUUGCCCGUAACGAGACUGAACAAGGUAUUGGGAUACCGACGAUCGAGUCUCGGGCAAGUAACGUACCGAUUGACAAAGGGAAUUGCAUACAGGGUUUGAUCGAAUCCUCGACAUAGUGGUUCAUCCGAUGACAACAUCGAGGAGCAUGUGGGAGCCAUCAUGGGUAUCCAGAUCCCGCUGAUGGUUAUUGACUGAGAGCGUCUCGGUCAUGUCUGCAUGUCUCCCGAACCCGUAGGGUCUACACACUUAAGGUUCGGUGACGCUAGGGUUAUGAAGAUAUGGAUAUGCAGAAACCCGAAUGUUGUUCGGAUUCCCGGAUGAGAUCCCGGACGUCACGAGGAGUUCCGGAAUGGUCCGGAGGUAAAGAAUUAUAUAUAGGAAGUGCUAUUUCGGGCAUCGGGACAAGUUUCGGGGUUAUCGGUAUUGUACCGGGACCACCGGAAGGGUCCCGGGGGUCCACCGGGUGGGGCCACCUGUCCCGGGGGGCUACAUGGGCUGUAGGGGGUGCGCCUUGGCCAUCAUGGGCCAAGGGCACCAGCCCCUAUAGGCCCAUGCGCCUAGGGUUUCCCCCUAGGAGGAGUCCUAGUGGUGGAAGGCACCCCUAGGUGCCUUGGGGGGAGGGAAACCUCCCCUAGGCCGCCGCCCCCCUAGUAGAUCUCAUCUACUAGGGCCGGCGCCCCCCCUGGCACCCCUAUAUAUAGUGGGGGAGAGGAGGGACUUCAUACACCAGCCCCUGGCGCCUCCACCUCCCCCCGUUACGUCUCUCCCUCGUAGUCUCGGCGAAGCCCUGCUGCUGUGACGCCCUGCAUCCACCACCACGCCGUCGUGCUGCUGGAUCUUCAUCAACCUCUCCUUCCCCCUUGCUGGAUCAAGAAGGAGGAGACGUCUCCCGUCCCGUACAUGUGUUGAACGCGGAGGUGCCGUCCGUUCGGCGCUGGUCAUCAGUGAUUUGGAUCACGUCGAGUACGACUACAUCAUCACCUUGCAAGCUUCCGCACGCGAUCUACAAGUGGUAUGUAGAUGCAAACUCUCUCCCUAGACUCGUUGCUUAGAUGAACUCAUAGAUGGAUCUUGGUGAAACCGUAGGAAAAAUUUUAAUUUUCUGCAACGUUCCCCGACAGUGGCAUCAUGAGCUAGGUCUAUGCGUAGUUCCCUUUGCACGGGUAGAACACAACUUUGUUGUGGGCGUGGAUUUUGUCAUCUUACUUGCCUCUACUAGUCUUUUCUUGCUCAACGGUAUUGUGGGAUGAAGCGGCCCGGACCAACCUUACACGUACACUUACGUGAGACCGGUUCCACCGACUGACAUGCACAAGUUGCAUAAGGUGGCUGGCGGGUGUCUGUCUCUCCCACCUUAGUUGGAGCGGAAUCGAUGAACAGGGCCCUUAUGAAGGGUAAAUAGAAGUUGACAAAAUCACGUUGUGGUGAUUCGUAGGUAAGAAAACGUUCUUGCUAGAACCCAAUUGCAGCCACGUAAAAGAUGCAACAACAAUUAGAGGACGUCUAACUUGUUUUUGCAGCGAUUGAUCAUGUGAUGUGAUAUGGCCAGAAGUUGUGAUGAAUGAUGAAUUGUGAUGUAUGAGAUCAUGUUCUUUGUAAUAGGAUUCACGACUUGCAUGUCGAUGAGUAUGACAACCGGCAGGAGCCAUAGGAGUUUUCAUUAUUUUUUGUAUGACCUGCGUGUCAUUGAAUAACUUCAUGUAAACUACUUUACUUUAUUGCUAAACGUUAGUCAUAUAAGUAGAAGUAGUCGUUGGCGUGACAACUUCAUGAAGACACGAUGAUGGAGAUCAUGAUGAUGGAGAUCAUGGUGUCAAGCCGGUGACAAGAUGAUCAUGGAGCCCCGAAGAUGAAGAUCAAUGGAGCUAUAUGAUAUUGGCCAUAUCAUGUCACAACUAUAUAAUUGCAUGUGAUGUUUAUUAUGUAUUAUGCAUCUUGUUUACUUAGGACGACGGUAGUAAAUAAGAUGAUCCCUUAUAAAAUUUCAAGAAAUGUUCUCCCCUAACUGUGCACCGUUGCUAUAGUUCGUCGUUUCUAAGCACCACGUGAUGAUCGGGUGUGAUGGAUUCUUACGUUCACAUACAACGGGUGUAAGACAGUUUUACACAGCGAAAACACUUAGGGUUAACUUGACGAGCCUAGCAUGUGCAGACAUGGCCUCGGAACACGGAGACCGAAAGGUCGAACACGAGUCGUAUGGAAGAUACGAUCAACAUGAGAAUGUUCACUGACGAUGACUAGUCCGUCUCACGUGAUGAUCGGACACGGGCUAGUCGACUCGGAUCGUGUAACACUUAGAUGACUAAAGGGAUGUCUAAUCUAAGUGGGAGUUCAUAAUUUGAUUAGAACUUUAUUAUCAUGAACUUAGUCUAAAACCUUUGCAAAUAUGUCUUGUAGAUCAAUGGCCAACGCUAAUGUCAACAUGAACUUCAACGCGUUCCUGGAGAAAACCAAGCUGAAAGAUGAUGGCAGCAACUAUACGGACUGGGUCCGGAACCUGAGGAUCAUCCUCAUAGCUGCCAGGAAACAAUAUGUCCUAGAAGGACCGCUAGGUGACGCUCCCGUCCCAGAGAACCAAGACAUUAUGAAUGCUUGGCAGUCUCGCGCUGAUGAUUACUCCCUCGUUCAGUGCGGCAUGCUUUACAGCUUAGAACCGGGGCUCCAAAAGCGUUUUGAGCAUCACGGAGCAUAUGAGAUGUUCGAAGAGCUGAAACUAGUUUUUCAAGCUCAUGCCCGGGUCGAGAGAUAUGAUGUCUCCGACAAGUUCUACAGUUGUAAGAUGGAGGAGAACAGUUCUGUCAGUGAGCACAUCCUGAAGAUGUCUGGGUUGCACAACCGUAUGACCCAGCUGAACAUUAACCUCCCAGAUGAGGCGGUCAUUGACAGAAUCCUCCAUUCGCUCCCACCAAGCUACAAGAGCUUUGUGAUGAACUACAACAUGCAAGGAAUGGAAAAGACCAUUCCUGAAUUGUUCUCGAUGCUGAAGUCAGCAGAGGCUGAAAUCAAGAAAGAACAUCAAGUGUUGAUGGUCAAUAAGACCACUAAGUUCAAGAAGGGCAAGGGUAAGAAGAACUUCAAGAAGGACGGCAAAGAUGUUGCCGCGCCUGGUAAGCCAGUUACCGGGAAGAAGUCAAAGAAUGGACCCAAGCCUGAGACUGAGUGCUUUUAUUGCAAGGGGAAGGGUCACUGGAAGCGGAACUGCCCCAAAUACUUAGCGGAUAAGAAGGCCGGCAACACCAAAGGUAUAUUUGAUAUACAUGUGAUUGAUGUGUACCUUACCAGUAAUCGUAGUAACUCCUGGGUAUUUGAUACCGGUGCCGUUGCUCAUAUUUGUAACUCACAACAGGAGCUGCGGAAUAAACGGAGACUGGCAAAGGACGAGGUGACGAUGCGCGUCGGGAAUGGUUCCAGAGUCGAUGUGAUCGCCGUCGGCACGCUGCCUCUACAUUUACCUACGGGAUUAGUUUUGAACCUUAAUAAUUGUUAUUUAGUGCCAAGUUUGAGCAUGAACAUUGUAUCAGGAUCUCGUUUAAUACGAGAUGGCUACUCAUUUAAGUCUGAGAAUAAUGGUUGUUCGAUUUAUAUGAGAGAUAUGUUUUAUGGUCAUGCUCCGAUGGUCAAUGGUUUAUUCUUAAUGAAUCUCGAGCGUAAUAUUACACAUGUUCAUAGUGUAGAUGCCAAAAGAUUUAAAGUUGAUAACGAUAGUCCCACAUACUUGUGGCACUGCCGCCUUGGUCACAUUGGUGUCAAGCGCAUGAAGAAGCUCCAUGCCGAUGGACUUUUAGAGUCUCUUGAUUAUGAAUCGUUUGACACGUGUGAACCAUGCCUCUUGGGCAAAAUGACCAAGACUCCGUUCUCCGGAACAAUGGAGCGAGCAACCAACUUGUUGGAAAUCAUACAUACCGAUGUGUGCGGUCCAAUGAGCGUUGAGGCUCGCGGAGGAUAUCGUUAUGUUCUCACUCUCACAGAUGACUUGAGUAGAUAUGGGUAUGUCUACUUAAUGAAACACAAGUCUGAGACCUUUGAAAAGUUCAAGGAAUUUCAGAAUGAGGUGGAGAAUCAACGUGAACGAAAGAUAAAAUUCUUGCGAUCAGAUCGUGGAGGAGAAUACUUAAGUCACGAAUUUGGUACACACUUAAAGAAAUGUGGAAUCGUUUCACAGCUCACGCCGCCUGGAACACCUCAGCGAAACGGUGUGUCCGAACGUCGUAAUCGCACUCUAUUGGAUAUGGUGCGGUCUAUGAUGUCUCUUACCGAUUUACCGCUAUCAUUUUGGGGAUACGCUCUAGAGACAGCUACAUUCACUUUAAAUAGGGCACCGUCUAAAUCCAUUGAGACGACACCGUAUGAAUUAUGGUUUGGAAAGAAACCUAAGCAGUCGUUUCUAAAAGUUUGGGGAUGCGAAGCUUAUGUCAAGAAACUUCAACCUGAAAAGCUCGAACCCAAGUCGGAAAAAUGCGUAUUCAUAGGAUACCCUAAGGAAACUGUAGGGUACACCUUCUACUUAAGAUCCGAAGGCAAGAUCUUUGUUGCCAAGAACGGAUGCUUUCUGGAAAAAGAGUUUCACUCGAAAGAAGUAAGUGGGAGGAAAGUAGAACUCGAUGAAGUACUACCUCUUGAGCGGGAUAGUGACGCAGCACAGGAAACCGUUCCUGUGAUGCCCACACCAACUGAAGAGGAAAACCAUGAUAAUGAUCAAGGUACUUCGGAUCAAGUUACUGCUGAACUUCGUAGGUCCACAAGGACACGUUCCGCACCAGAGUGGUACGGCAACCCUGUCCUGGAAAUCAUGUUGUUAGACAACAAUGAACCUUCGAACUAUGAAGAAGCAAUGGCGGGCCCGGAUUCCAACAAAUGGCUUGAAGCCAUGAAAUCCGAGAUAGAAUCCAUGUAUGAAAACAAAGUAUGGACUUUGACAGACUUGCCCGAUGAUCGGCGAGCGAUAGAAAACAAAUGGAUCUUUAAGAAGAAGACGGACGCGGAUGGUAAUGUUACCAUCUAUAAAGCUCGACUUGUCGCUAAGGGUUAUCGACAGGUUCAAGGGAUUGACUACGACGAGACAUUCUCUCCCGUAGCGAAGCUAAAGUCCGACCGAAUCAUGUUAGCAAUUGCCGCAUACUAUGAUUAUGAGAUAUGGCAGAUGGACGUCAAAACAGCAUUCCUUAACGGGCAUCUUAAGGAAGAACUGUAUAUGAUGCAGCCGGAAGGUUUUGUCGAUCCUCGGAACGCUAACAAAGUAUGCAAGCUCCAGCGAUCCAUUUAUGGACUGGUGCAAGCAUCUCGGAGUUGGAACAUUCGCUUUGAUGAGAUGAUCAAAGCAUUUGGGUUUAUGCAGACUUAUGGAGAAGCCUGCGUUUACAAGAAAGUGAGUGGGAGCUCUGUAGCAUUUCUCAUAUUAUAUGUAGAUGACAUACUCCUGAUGGGAAAUAAUAUAGAAUUUCUGGACAGCAUUAAGGCCUACUUGAAUAAGUGUUUUUCAAUGAAGGACCUUGGAGAAGCUGCUUAUAUAUUAGGCAUCAAGAUCUAUAGAGAUAGAUCGAGACGCCUCAUAGGUCUUUCACAAAGCACAUACCUUGAUAAGAUUUUGAAGAAAUUCAGAAUGGAUCAGUCCAAGAAGGGGUUCUUGCCUAUGUUACAAGGUAUGAGACUGAGCUCAGCUCAGUCAUCGACCACGGCAAAAGAUAAAGAAGAGAUGAGUGUCAUCCCCUAUGCUUCAGCCAUAGGAUCUAUUAUGUAUGCCAUGCUGUGUACCAAACCCGAUGUAAACCUUGCCGUAAGUUUGGUAGCAAGAUACCAAAGUAAUCCCGGCAAGGAACACUGGACAGCGGUCAAGAAUAUCCUGAAGUACCUGAAAAGGACAAAGGACAUGUUUCUCGUUUAUGGAGGAGACGAAGAGCUCAUCGUAAAAGGUUACGUCGAUGCUAGCUUCGACUCAGAUCUGGAUGACUCUAAGUCACAAACCGGAUACGUGUAUAUGUUGAAUGGUGGAGCAGUAAGCUGGCGCAGCUGCAAGCAGAGCGUCGUGGCGGGGUCUACAUGUGAAGCGGAGUACAUGGCAGCCUCGGAGGCAGCACAUGAAGUGAUUUGGGUGAAGGAGUUCAUCACCGACCUAGGAGUCAUACCCAAUGCGUCGGGGCCGAUCAAACUCUUCUGUGACAACACUGGAGCUAUUGCCCUCGCAAAGGAGCCCAGGUUUCACAAGAAGACCAGGCACAUCAAGCGUCGUUUCAACUCCAUCCGUGAAAAUGUUCAAGAUGGAGACAUAGAGAUUUGCAAAGUGCACACGGAUCUGAAUGUCGCAGAUCCGCUGACUAAACCUCUCUCGCGUGCAAAACAUGAUCAACACCAGAACUCUAUGGGUGUUCGAUUCAUCACAAUGUAACUAGAUUAGUGACUCUAGUGCAAGUGGGAGACUGUUGGAAAUAUGCCCUAGAGGCAAUAAUAAAAGUAUUAUUAUAUUUCAUUGUUCAUGAUAAUUGUCUUUUAUUCAUGCUAUAACUAUAUUAUCCGGAAAUCGUAAUACACGUGUGAAUACUUAGACCACACUAUGUCCCUGGUAAGCCUCUAGUUGACCAGCUCGUUGUGAUCAACAGAUAGUCAUGGUUUCCUGACUAUGGACAUUGGAUGUCGUUGAUAACGGGAUCACAUCAUUAGGAGAAUGAUGUGAUGGACAAGACCCAAUCCUAAGCAUAGCAUAAAAGAUCGUGUAGUUCGUUUUGCUAGAGCUUUGCAAGUGUCAAGUAUCUCUUCCUUCAACCAUGAGAUCGUGUAACUCCCGGAUACCGUAAGAGUGCCUUGGGUGUAUCAAACGUCACAACGUAACUGGGUGACUAUAAAGGUGCAUUACAGGUAUCUCCGAAAGUAGCUGUUGGGUUGACACGGAUCGAGACUGGGAUUUGUCACUCCGUAUGACGGACAGGUAUCUCUGGGCCCACUCGGUAAUGCAUCAUCAUAAUGAGCUCAAUGUGACCAAGGUGUUGGACACGGGAUCAUGCAUUACGGUACGAGUAAAGUGACUUGCCGGUAACGAGACUGAACAAGGUAUUGGGAUACCGACGAUCGAGUCUCGGGCAAGUAACGUACCGAUUGACAAAGGGAAUUGCAUACAGGGUUUGAUCGAAUCCUCGACAUAGUGGUUCAUCCGAUGACAACAUCGAGGAGCAUGUGGGAGCCAUCAUGGGUAUCCAGAUCCCGCUGAUGGUUAUUGACUGAGAGCGUCUCGGUCAUGUCUGCAUGUCUCCCGAACCCGUAGGGUCUACACACUUAAGGUUCGGUGACGCUAGGAUUAUGAAGAUAUGGAUAUGCAGAAACCCGAAUGUUGUUCGGAGUCCCGGAUGAGAUCCCGGACGUCACGAGGAGUUCCGGAAUGGUCCGGAGGUAAAGAAUUAUAUAUAGGAAGUGCUAUUUCGGGCAUCGGGACAAGUUUCGGGGUUAUCGGUAUUGUACCGGGACCACCGGAAGGGUCCCGGGGGUCCACCGGGUGGGGCCACCUGUCCCGGGGGGCUACAUGGGCUGUAGGGGGUGCGCCUUGGCCAUCAUGGGCCAAGGGCACUAGCCCCUAUAGGCCCAUGCGCCUAGGGUUUCCCCCUUGGAGGAGUCCUAGUGGUGGAAGGCACCCCUAGGUGCCUUGGGGGGGAGGGAAACCUCCCCUAGGCCGCCGCCCCCCUAGUAGAUCUCAUCUACUAGGGCCGGCGCCCCCCUGGCACCCCUAUAUAUAGUGGGGGAGAGGAGGGACUUCAUACACCAGCCCCUGGCGCCUCCACCUCCCCCCGUUACGUCUCUCCCUCGUAGUCUCGGCGAAGCCCUGCUGCUGUGACGCCCUGCAUCCACCACCACGCCGUCGUGCUGCUGGAUCUUCAUCAACCUCUCCUUCCCCCUUGCUAGAUCAAGAAGGAGGAGACGUCUCCCGUCCCGUACGUGUGUUGAACGCGGAGGUGCCGUCCGUUCGGCGCUGGUCAUCGGUGAUUUGGAUCACGUCGAGUACGACUACAUCAUCACCUUGCAAGCUUCCGCACGCGAUCUACAAGUGUUAUGUAGAUGCAAACUCUCUCCCUAGACUCGUUGCUUAGAUGAACUCAUAGAUGGAUCUUGGUGAAACCGUAGGAAAAAUUUUAAUUUUCUGCAACGUUCCCCAACAAAUAUGCCCUAGAGGCAAUAAUAAAGUUGUUAUUUUAUAUUUCCUUAUUUCAUGAUAAAUUUUUAUUAUUCAUGCUAGAAUUGUAUUAACCGGAAACUUGAUACAUGUGUGGAUACAUAGACAAAACACUGUGUCCCUAGUAUGCCUCUACUUGACUAGCUCGUUAAUCAAAGAUGGUUAAGUUUCCUAGCCAUAGACAUGUGUUGUCAUUUGAUGAACGGGUUCACAUCAUUAGGAGAAUGAUGUGAUGGACAAGACUCAUCCUUUAGCUUAGCAUAAUGAUCAUUCAGUUUUAUUGCUACUGUUUUCUUCAUGUCAAAUACAUAUUCCUCCGACUAUGAGAUUAUGCAACUCCCGGACACCGGAGGAAUGCCUUGUGUGCUAUCAAACGUCACAACAUAACUGGGUGAUUAUAAAGAUGCUCUACAGGUAUCUCAGAAGGUGUUUGUUGGGUUGGCAUAGAUCGAGAUUAGGAUUUGUCACUCUGAGUAUCGGAGAGGCAUCUCUGGCCCUCUCGGUAAUGCACAUCAUAUGAACGCUUGCAAGCAAUGUGAUUAAUGAGUUAGUUAUGGGAUGAUGCAUUGCGGAACAAGUAAAGAGACUUGUCGGUAACGAGAUUGAACUAGGUAUGAAGAUACCGAGGAUCGAAUCUCGGGCAAGUAACAUACCAAUGACAAAGGGAAUAAUGUAUGUUGUCAUAACAGUUUGACCGAUAAAGAUCUUCGUAGACUAUGUGGGAGCUAAUAUGAGCAUCCAGGUUCCACUAUUGGUUAUUGACCGGAGAGGUGUCUCGGUCAUGUCUACAUAGUUCUUGAACCCAUAGGGUCCGCACGCUUAACGUUCGAUGACGAUUUGUAUUAUGAGAGUUAUGUGAUUUGGUGACCGAAUGUUGUUCGGAGUCCCAGAUGAUCUCACGGACAUGACGAGGAGUCUCGAAAUGGUCAAGAGGUAAAGAUUCAUAUGUAGGACGAUAGUAUUCGGACAACGGAAGUGUUCCGGGGUACCGGGUACGUAUCGGGUCAGCGGAAGGGGUUCGGGCAUCCCCUGAUAAACUACAUGGGCCUAAUGGGCCAAGAAGGGAACAGACCAGCCCCUAAGGGGAUGGUGCGCUGAUAUGUCUCCAAUGUAUCUAUAAUUUUUAUUGUUCCAUGCUAUUAUAUUACCCGUUUUGGAUGUUUAUUGGCUUUACUUUACACUUCUAUAUCAUUUUUGGGACUAACCUACUAACCGGAGGCCCAGCCCGUAUUGCUGUUUUUUUGCCUAUUUCAAUGUUUCGAAGAAAAGGAAUAUCAAACAGAGUCCAAACGGAAUGAAACCUUCGGGAGCGUGAUUUUUGGAACGAACGUGAUCCAGAGGACUUGGAGUGGAAGUCAAGCAACAACCGAGGUGGCCACAAGGGUGGAGGGCGCCCCCCCCCCUACUGGGCGCGCCCCUGUCUCGUGGGCCCUCGGGCGUCCACCGACCUACUUCUUCCUCCUGUAUAUACCCAUGUACCCUGAAAACAUCAGAGGAUCCAAUGAAAACCUAAUUCCACCGCUGUAACCUUCUGUGUCCGCGAGAUCCCAUCUUGGAGCCUUCGCCAGUGCUUCGCCGGAGGGGGAAUCGACCACGGAGGGCCUCUACAUCAUCUUCAAGGCCUCUCCGAUGAGUUGUGAGUAGUUUACCACAGACCUUCGGGUCCAUAGUUAUUAGCUAGAUUGCUUCUUCUCUCUCUUUGAAUCUCAAUACCAUGUUCUCCUUGAUCUUCUUGGAGAUCUAUUCGAUGUAACUCUUUUUGCGGUGUGUUUGUCGAGAUCCGAUGAAUUGUGGGUUUAUGAUCAAGUUUAUCUAUGAGAAAUAUUUGAAUCUCCUCUGAGUUCUUUUAUGUGUGAUUAAGUUAUCUUUGCAAGUCUCUUCGAAUUAUUAGUUUGGUUUGGCCUACUAGAUUGAUCUUUCUUGCAAUGGGAGAAGUGCUUAGCUUUGGGUUCAAUCUUGCGGUGUCCUUUCCCAGUGAUAGUAGGGGCAGCAAGGCACGUAUUGUAUUGUUGCCAUCGAGGAUAAAAAUAUGGAGUUUAUAUCAUAUUCCAUGAGUUUAUCCCUCUACAUCAUGUCAUCUUUCUUAAUGCGUUACUCUGUUCUUUAUGAACUUAAUACUCUAGAUGCAUGCUGGAUAGCGGUUGAUGUGUGGAGUAAUAGUAGUAGAUGCACACAGGAGUCGGUCUACUUGUCAUGGACGUGAUGCCUAUAUACAUGAUCAUGCCUAGAUAAUCUCAUAAUUUUUUUGCUUUUCUAUCAAUUGCUUGACAGUAAUUUGUUCACCCACCGUAAUACUUAUGCUAUCUUGAGAGAAGCCACUAGUGAAACCUAUGGCCCCCGGGUCUAUCUUUUAUCAUAUAAGCUUUCAAUCAACUUUUAUUUGCAUCUUUACUUUUCCAAUCCAUAUUAUAAAAUACCAAAAAUAUAUUUAUCUUAUCAUAUUAUCUCUAUCAGAUCUCACUUUCGCAAGUGGCCUUGAAGGGAUUGACAACCCCUUUAUUGCGUUGGUUGCGAGUUCUUGUUUGUUUGUGUAGGUGCGUGGGACUUUUAAGGACCCUCCUACUGGAUUGAUACCUUGUUUCUCAAAAACUAAGGGAAAUACUUACGCUACUAUUGCUGCAUCAUCCUUUUCUCUUCAAGGAAAACCAACGCAAGCUCAAGAUGUAGCAAGAAUGAUUUCUUGCACCGUUGCGGGGGAGGUCUUCGCUCAAGUCAAAACAUACCAAGUACCCAUCACAAACUCAUCUCCCUCGCACUUACAUUAUUUGUCAUUUGCCUCUCGUUUUCCUCUCCCCCACUUCACCCUUGCCGUUUUAUUCGCCCUCUCUUUCCCAAUCUCCUCUCUCUUUCGCUUGCCUUUUUGUUUGCUUGUGUGUUGGAUUACUUGUUGCGAUCGUGCAAAAUAAUACCAAAUUGUGUGAUUUCUCCAAUACCAGUAAUAAUGAUUUCCUUAGGACUCCGAUUGCUCCUCUUAAUGAUGUUGAGUCUUGUGAAAUCAAUGCUGCUUUGCUAAAUCUUGUUAUGAAAGAUCAAUUUUCUGGCCUUCCUAAUGAAGAUGCCGCUACCCAUGUAAACAGUAUUGUUGAUUUGUGUGAGAUGGAAAAUAAGAAAGAUACGGAUAAUGAUAUUGUUAAAUUGAAGUUAUUUCCGUUUUCACUUAGAGAUUGUGCUAAAGUUUGAUUUUCGUCUUUGCUUAAGAAUAGUAUUGAUUCGUGGAAUAAGUGCAAAGAUGCUUUUAUCUCUAAGUAUUUUCCUCCCGCUAUGAUCAUCUCUCUUAGGAACGCUAUUAUGAAUUUUAAACAACUUGAUCAUGAGCAUGUUGCCCAAUCUUGGGAAAGAAUGAAAUUGAUGAUUCACAAUUGCCCUUCUCAUGGUUUGAAUUUAUGGAUGAUCAUACAAAAAAUUUAUGCCGGCUUGAAUUUUGCUUCUAGAAAUCUUUUAGAUUCGGCCGUGGGAGGCACAUUUAUGGAAAUCACCUUAGGAGAAGCUACCAAACUUCUUGAUAAUAUUAUGGCUAAUUAUUCUCAAUGGCACACCGAAAGAUCUACUAGUAAAAAGGUGCAUGCUAUAGAAGAAAUUAAUGUUUUGAGUGGAAAGAUGGAUGAACUUAUGAAAUUGUUUGAUACUAAGAGUUCUUAUAUUGAUCCCAAUGAUAUGCCUUUUUCUACUUUGAUUGAGAAUAAUAAUGAAUCUAUGGAUGUGAAUUUUGUUGGUAGGAAUAAUUUUGGUAACAAUGCUUACAGAGGAAACUUUAAUCCUAGACCAUUCCCUAGCAAUUCCUCUAAUAAUUAUGGAAAUUCCUACAAUAAUUCUUAUGGUAAUUAUAAUAAGAUGCCCUCUGAUUUGAGAAUAGUGUGAAAGAAUUUAUGAUCUCUCAAAAGAAUUUUAAUGCCAUGCUUGAAGAAAAAUUGCUUAAAGUUGCUGAUUUGGGUAGGAACGUUGAUAGACUUUUGCUUGAUGUUGAUUCUUUGAAACUUAGAUCUACUCCUCCUAAGCAUGAUAUCAAUGAGUGUCUCAAAGCUAUGAGAAUUUCCUUUGAUGAGUGCAAAGAAAGAACCGCUAGAUUGCGUGCUAAGAAAGAUUGCUUUGUAAAAGUGUGUUCUUCUGGUUUCCAUGAAAAUAAUGAUGAAGAUAUAAAAGUUAUUGAUGUGUCCCCUAUUAAAUCUUUGUUUUGCAAUAUGAAUCUUAAUAAUGAUGGGACUGGAGAUGAGUCAACUUUAGUUAAAAGGCGUCCCUAUGAUUCAGAGUUUUUAGAUCUUGAUGCUAAAAUUGGUAAAAGUGGGAUUGGAGAGGUCAAGACUUUAAAUAGCAUUGAGCCCACUAUAUUGGAUUUCAAGGAAUUUAAUUAUGAUAAUUGUUAUUUAGAAGAUUGUAUUUCCUUGUUGCAAUCCGUUGUGAAUUCUCCUCAUGCUUAUAGUCAAAAUAAAGCAUUUACCAAACCUAUUGUUUAUGCCUUUAUGCAAUCUUUUGAUGAAAAACUUAAUUUGGAAGUUUCUAUACCUAGAAAACUUAACGAUGAGUGGGAACCUACUAUAAAGAUUAAAAUUAAAGAUCAUGAUUGUUAUGCUUUGUGUGAUUUGGGUGCUAGUGUUUCCACGAUUUUGAAAACUUUAUGUGAUAUUCUAGGUUUCCAUGAUCUUGAUGAUUGCUCUUUAAAUAUGCACCUUGCGGAUUCCACCAUUAAAAAGCCAAUGGGAAGGAUCAAUGAUGUUCUCAUUGUUGCAAAUAGGAAUUUGGUGCCCGUAUAUUUUACCGUUCUUGAUAUAGAUUGCAAUCUUUCUUGUCCUAUUAUUCUUGGUAGACCUUUCCUUAGAACGAUUGGUGUGAUUAUUGAUACGAAGGAACGGAAUAUUAGGUUCCAAUUUCCAUUAAGGAAAGGCAUUGAGCACUUUCCAAGAAAGAAAGUCAAAUUACCUUAUGAAUCUAUCAUGCGAGCUACUUAUGAAUUGAGUGCCAAAGAUGGCACUACUUAGAUCUAUCCCCGCUUUUAUGCCUAGCUAGGGGCGUUAAACGAUAGCGCUAGUUAGGAGGCAACCCAAUUUUAUUUGUGUUUUUUGUUUUUGCUUCUGUUUAGUAAUAAAAUUUUCAUCUACCUUAUGUUUAGAUGUGUUUUUAUGUUUUAAUUAGUGUUUGUGCCAAGUAGAACCUAUAGGAUAACCUAUGGUGAUAGUUAAUUUGAUUCUGCUGAAAAACAGAAACUUUGCACAGACGAAAAUAAUUUUAGUAAUUCACAGAAAUGUGAUUUUGCGUUGAUUCUUUUUGCUGUAGAUCAAUAGACAAAUUUUCCAGGACUUCCUAUUUUGGUAGGAUUUUUAGAGUUCCAGAAGUAUUCGAGAGUUACAGAUUUCUACAGACUGUUCUGUUUUUGACAGAUUCUGUUUUUCGUGUGUUGUUUGCUUAUUUUGAUGCAUCUAUGGCUAGUAUGUAUGGGUAUGAACCAUAGAGAAGUUGAAAUACAGUAGGUUUAAAACCAAUAUAAAUAAAUAAUGAGUUCAUUACAGUACCUUAUGUGGUGAUUUUCCUUUCUUGCACUAACGGAGCUUAUGAGAUUUCCUGUUGAGUUUUGUGUUGUGAAGUUUCCAAGUUUUGGGUAAAGAUUUGAUGGAUUAUGGAAUAAGGAGUGGCAAGAGCCUAAGCUUGGGGAUUCCCAUGGCACCCCAAGAUAUUCAAUAAUAUCCAAAAGCCUAAGCUUGGGGAUGCCCCGGAAGGCAUCCCCUUUUUCGUCUUCGUCUAUCGGUAACUUUACUUGGAGCUAUAUUUUUAUUCGCCACAUGAUAUGUGUUUUGCUUGGAGCGUCUUGUAUGAUAUUAGUCUUUGCUUUUUAGUUUACCACAAUAAUCCUUGAUGUACACACCUUUUGGGAGAAACCCACUUGAUUGGAAUUUAUUAGAAUACUCUAUGUGCUUCACUUAUAUCUUUUGAGCUUCAUAGUUUUUGCUGUAGUGCUUCACUUAUAUCUUUUAGAGCACAGCGGUGGCUAAAUUUUGUAGAAAUUGUUGAUCUCUCAUGCUUGACUUAUAUUAUUUUGAAAGUAUCUUAGAACAGCAUGGUAUUUGCUUUGGUUAUAAAAUUGGUCCUAGAAUGAUGAGCAUCCAAGUUGGGUAUAAUAAAAACUAUCAUAGAAAGUGAAUUGGAUGCUAUGAUCAAUUUGAUACUUGAUAAUUGUUUUGAGAUAUAGAGGUGGUAAUAUUAAAGUCAUGCUAGUUGCGUACUUAUGAAUUUAAAGAAUACUUGUGUUGAAGUUUGUGAUUCCCGUAGCAUGCACGUAUGGUGAACCGCUUUGUGAUGAAGUUGGAGCACAAUUUUAUUUAUUGAUUGUCUUCCUUAUGAGUGGCGGUCGGGGACGAGCGAUGGUCUUUUCCUACCAAUCUAUUCCCCUAGGAGCAUGCGCAUAGUGUUGGAAAUAUGCCCUAGAGGCAAUAAUAAAAGGAUUAUUAUUAUAUUUCCUUGUUCAUGAUAAUUGUCUUUAUUCAUGCUAUAAUUGUAUUAUCCGGAAAUCGUAAUACACGUUUGAAUACAUAGACCAUAAUAUGUCCCUAGUAAGCCUCUAGUUGACUAGCUCGUUGAUCAACAGAUAGUCAUGGUUUCCUGACUAUGGACAUUAGAUGUCGUUGAUAACGGGAUCACAUCAUUGGGAGAAUGAUGUGAUGGACAAGACCCAAUCCUAAGCAUAGCACAAGAUCAUGUAGUUCGUUUUGCUAGAGCUUUUCCAAUGUCAAGUAUCUUUUCCUUAGACCAUGAGAUCGUGUAGCUCCCGGAUACCGUAGGAGUGCUUUGGGUGUACCAAACGUCACAACGUAACUGGGUGACUAUAAAGGUGCACUACAGGUAUCUCCGAAAGUGUCUGUUGGGUUGACACGGAUCGAGACUGGGAUUUGUCACUCCGUAUGACGGAGAGGUAUCUCUGGGCCCACUCGGUAAUGCAUCAUCAUAAUGAGCUCAAAGUGACCAAGUGUUUGGUCACGGGAUCAUGCAUUACGGUACGAGUAAAGUGACUUGUCGGUAACGAGACUGAACGAGGUACUGGGAUACCGACGAUCGAGUCUCAGGCAAGUAACGUACCGUUUGACAAAGGGAAUUAUAUACGGGGUUGAUUGAAUCCUCGACAUCGUAGUUCAUCCGAUGACAUCAUCGAGGAGCAUGCGGGAGCCAACAUGGGUAUCCAGAUCCCGCUGUUGGUUAUUGACCGGAGAGCCGUCUCGGUCAUGUCUGCGUGUCUCCUGAACCCGUAGGGUCUACACACUUAAGGUUCGGUGACGCUAGGGUUAUUAGGAAGACUUGUAUGUGAUUACCGAAUGUUGUUCGGAGUCCCGGAUGAGAUCCCGGACGUCACGAGGAGUUCCCGAAUGGUCCGGAGGUGAAGAUUUAUAUAUGGGAAGUUGUCAUACGGUCACUGGAAGGUUUCGGGGGCAUAUCGGUAUUGUACCAGGGCCACCGGAGGGGUUCCGAGGGUCCACCGGGAGGGGCCACCUCUCUCGGUGGGCUUCAUGGGCCGUAGUGGGCAGGGGAAACAGCCCAGGAGGGCUGGGCGCCCCCCCCCCUUGGGCCCUUGCGCCUAGGGUCGGGGGGGAACCCUAAAGGGGGCGCCCCCCUCCCCCCCUUUGCUUGGGGGGCAAGCCCCCUCCCUGGCCGCUGCCCCCCCUCUAGAUCUCAUCUAGAGAGGGCCGGCCCCCUUUCCCCUUCCCCUAUAAAUAGAGGGGAGAGGGGAGGGCUGCACACCUGAUCCAAGGCGCAGCCCCUCCCCUCCCUAACACCUCUCCUCCUCCGUUAAGUGCUUGGCGAAGCCCUGUCGGAGUACUGCCUCUCCACCACCACCAUGCCGUCGUGCUGCUGCUGGAGUCUUCUUCCUCAACCCCUCCUUCCCCCUUGCUGGAUCAAGAAGGAGGAGACGUCAUCCGCUCCGUACAUGUGUUGAACGCGGAGGUGUUGUCCGUUCAGCACUUGGUCAUCGGUGAUUUGGUUCACGGCGAGUACGACUCCAUCAUCCCCUUUCUCUUGAAAGCUUCCGCUCACGAUCUACAAAGGUAUGUAGAUGCACUCCUAUCACUCGUUGCUUAGAUGAACUCAUAGAUGGAUCUUGGUGAAACCGUAGGAAAAAAUUUUAUUUUCUGCAACGUUCCCCAACAGUGGCAUCAUGAGCUAGGUCUAUGCGUAGUUCUCUAUUGCACGAGUAGAACACAAAUUUGUUGUGGGCGUAGAUCUUGUCAACUUGCUUGCCGCUACUAGUCUUUUCUUGCUUCAGCGGUAUUGUGGGAUGAAGCGGCCCGGACCGACCUUACACGUACGCUUACGUGAGACAGGUUCCACCGACUGACAUGCACUAGUUGCAUAAGGUGGCUAGCGGGUGUCUGUCUCUCCUACUUUAGUUGGAGCGGAUUCGACGAAAAGGGUCCUUAUGAAGGGUAAAUAGAAGUUGACAAAAUCAGGUUGUGGUUAUUCGUAGGUAAGAAAACGUUCUUGCUAGAACCCAAUUGCAGCCACGUAAAAGAUGCAACAACAAUUAGAGGACGUCUAACUUGUUUUUGCAGCAAUUGUCAUGUGAUGUGAUAUGGCCAGAAGUUGUGAUGAAUGAUGAAUGAUAUAUUGUGAUGUAUGAGAUCAUGUUCUUGUAAUAGGAAUCACGACUUGCAUGUCGAUGAGUAUGACAACUGGCAGGAGCCAUAGGAGUUGUCUUUAUUUUUUGUAUGACCUGCGUGUCAUUGAAGAACGCCAUGUAAAUUACUUUACUUUAUUGCUAAACGCGUUAUCCAUAGAAGUAGAAGUAGUCGUUGGUGUGACAACUUCAUGAAGACACAAUGAUGGAGAUCAUGAUGAUGGAGAUCAUGGUGUCAUGCCGGUGACAAAGAUGAUCAUGGAGCCCCGAAGAUGGAGAUCGAAGGAGCUAUAUGAUAUUGGCCAUAUCAUGUCACUACUUUAUUGCAUGUGAUGUUUAUUAUGUUUUAUGCAUCUUGUUUACUUAGAACGGCAGUAGUAAAUAAGAUGAUCCCUUAUAAUACUUUCCAGAAAGUGUUCCCCCUAACUGUGCACCGUUGCUAAAGUUCGUCGUUUCGAAGCACCACGUGAUGAUCGGGUGUGAUAGAUCCUUAUGUUCACAUACAACGGGUGUAAGAUAGUUUUACACAUGCAAAACACUUAGGGUUAACUUGACGAGCCUAGCAUGUACAGACAUGGCCUCGGAACACAAGAGACCGAAAGGUCGAACAUGAGUGUAUGGAAGAUACGAUCAACAUGGAGAUGUUCACCGAUGAUGACUAGUCCGUCUCACGUGAUGAUCGGACACGGCCUAGUCGACUCGGAUCGUGUAACACUUAGAUGACUAGAGGGAUGUCUAAUCUAAGUGGGAGUUCAUUAAAUAAUUUGAUUAGAUGAACUUAAUUAUCAUGAACUUAGUCUAAAACUUUUGCAAAAUAUGUCUUGUAGAUCAAAUGGCCAACGCUCAUGUCAACAUGAACUUCAACGUGUUCCUAGAGAAAACCAAGCUGAAAGAUGAUGGCAGCAACUAUUUGGACUGGGUCCGGAACCUGAGGAUCAUCCUCAUAGAAGCCAAGAAAGCAUAUGUCCUAGAUGAACCGCUAGGUGAAGCACCCAUCCCAGAGAUCCAAGACGUUAUGAACGCUUGGCAGUCACGUGCUGAUGAUUACUCCCUCGUUCAGUGCGGCAUGCUUUACAGCUUAGAACCGGGGCUCCAAAAGCUUUUGAGAAACACGGAGCAUAUGAGAUGUUCGAGGAGCUAAAAAUGGUUUUCCAAGCUCAUGCCCGGGUCGAGAGAUAUGAAGUCUCUGACAAGUUCUAUAGUUGUAAGAUGGAGGAAAACAGUUCUGUCAGUGAGCACAUACUCAAAAUGUCUGGGUUGCACAACCGGCUGUCCCAGCUGGAGAUCAACCUCCCGAACGAGGCGCUCAUUGACAGAAUCCUUCAGUCGCUCCCACCGAGCUACAAGAGCUUUGUGUUGAACUACAAUAUGCAGGGGAUGGUGAAGACCAUUCCUGAAGUAUUUUCAAUGCUGAAGUCAGCAGAGGUUGAAAUCAAGAAAGAACAUCAAGUGUUGAUGGUCAAUAAGACCACUACGUUCAAGAAGGGCAAGGGUAAGAACUUCAAGAAGGGCCCGGUAAGCCAGUUGCCGGGAAGAAGUCAAAGAAUGGACCCAAGCCUGAGACUGAGUGCUUUUAUUGCAAGGGGAAGAGUCACUGGAAGCGGAACUGCCCCAAAUACUUAGCGGACAAGAAGGCCGGCAACACUAAAGGUAUAUUUGAUAUACAUGUAACUGAUGUGUACCUUACCAGUACUCGUAGUAACUCCUGGGUAUUUGAUACCGGUGCCGUUGCUCAUAUUUGUAACUCACAGCAGGAACUACGGAAUAAAUGGAGACUGGCGAAGGACGAGGUGACGAUGCGCGUCGGGAAUGGUUCCAAGGUCGAUGUGAUCGCCGUCGGCACGCUACCUCUACAUUUACCCACGGGAUUAGUUAUGAACCUCAAUAAUUGUUAUUUAGUGCCAAGUUUGAGCAUGAACAUUGUAUCUGGAUCUUGUUUAAUAGAGAUGGCUACUCAUUUAAAUCUGAGAAUAAUGGUUGUUCUAUUUAUAUGAGAGAUAUGUUUUAUGGUCAUGCCCCGAUGGUCAAUGGUUUAUUCUUAAUGAAUCUCGAACGUAAUGUUACACAUAUUCAUAGCAUGAAUACCAAAAGAUGUAAAGUUGAUAACGAUAGUCCCACAUACUUGUGGCACUACCGCCUUGGUCACAUUGGUGUCAAGCGCAUGAAGAAGCUCCAUGCUGAUGGACUUUUAGAGUCUCUAGAUUAUGAAUCAUUUGACACAUGUGAACCAUGCCUCAUGGGCAAAAUGACCAAGACUCCGUUCUCCAGAACAAUGGAGCGACCAACCAACUUGUUGGAAAUCAUACAUACCGAUGUGUGCGGUCCAAUGAGCGUUGAGGCUCGUGGAGGAUAUUGUUAUGUUCUCACUCUUGCUGAUGACUUGAGUAGAUAUGGGUAUGUCUACUUGAUGAAACACAAGUCUGAGACCUUUGAAAAGUUCAAGGAAUUUCAGAAUGAGGUAGAGAAUCAACGUGGCCGAAAGAUAAAGUUCCUAUGAUCAGAUCGUGGAGGAUAAUACUUAAGUCACGAAUUUGGUACGCACUUAAAGAAAUGUGGAAUCGUUUUACAACUCACGCCGCCUAGAACACCUCAGCGUAACGGUGUGUCCGAACGUCGUAAUCACACUCUAUUGGAUAUGGUGCGAUCUAUGAUGUCUCUUACCGAUUUACUGCUAUCGUUUUGGGGAUACGCUCUAGAGACAGCUACAUUCACUUUAAAUAGGGCACCGUCUAAAUCCGUUAAGACGACACCAUAUGAAUUAUGGUUUGGGAAGAAACCUAAGUUGUCGUUUCUAAAAGUUUGGGGAUGCGAUGCUUAUGUCAAGAAACUGCAACCUGAAAAGCUCGAACCCAAGUCAGAAAAAUGCGUCUUCAUAGGAUACCCUAAGGAAACCAUUGGGUAUACCUUCUACUUAAGAUCCGAGGGCAAGACCUUUGUUGCCAAGAACGGAUCCUUUCUGGAAAAAGAGUUUCUCUCGAAAGAAGUAAGUGGGAGGAAAGUAGAACUCGAUGAAGUACUACCUCUUGAACCAGAAAGUAGUGCAUCUUAGGAAAAUGUUCCUGUGGUGCCUACACCAACUGGAGAGGAAAUUAAUGAUUAUGAUCAAGGUACUUCGGAUCAAGUUGCUACUGAACCUCGUAGGUCCACAAGGACACGUUCCACACCAGAGUGGUAUGGCAACCCUAUCCUGGAAAUCAUGUUGUUAGACAACGGUGAACCUUCAAACUAUGAAGAAGCGAUGGCGGGCCCAGAUACCAACAAAUGGCUUGAAGCCAUGCAAUCCGAGAUAGAAUCCAUGUAUGAAAACAAAGUAUGGACUUUGACAGACUUGCCCGAUGAUCGGCGAGUGAUAGAAAACAAAUGGAUCUUUAAGAAGAAGACAGACGCGGAUGGUAAUAUUACCAUCUAUAAAGCUCGACUUGUCGCUAAGGGUUAUCGACAAGUUCAAGGGGUUGACUACGAUGAGACAUUCUCUCCCGUAGCAAAGCUGAAGUCCGUCCGAAUCAUGUUAGCAAUUGCCGCAUACUAUGAUUAUGAGAUAUGGCAGAUGGACGUCAAAACGGCAUUCCUUAACGGGAAUCUUAAGGAAGAAUUGUAUAUGAUGCAGCCGGAGGGUUUUGUCGAUCCUAAGAAUGCUAACAAAGUAUGCAAGCUCUAGCGAUCCAUUUAUGGGCUGGUCCAAGCAUCUCGGAGUUGGAACAUUCGCUUUGAUGAGAUGAUCAAAGCGUUUGGGUUUAUGUAGACUUAUGGAGAAGCCUGCGUUUACAAGAAAGUGAGUGGGAGCUCUGUAGCAUUUCUCAUAUUAUAUGUAGAUGACAUACUUUUGAUGGGAAAUGAUAUAAAACUUUUGGACAGCAUUAAGACCUACUUGAAUAAGUGUUUUUCAAUGAAGGACCUUGGAGAAGCUGCUUACAUAUUAGGCAUCAAGAUCUAUAGGGAUAGAUCGAGACCCUCAUAGGUCUUUCACAAAGCACAUACCUUGAUAAGAUUUUGAAGAAGUUCAAAAUGGAUCAGUCCAAGAAAGGGUUCUUGCCUGUAUUACAAGGUGUGAGAUUGAGCUCAGCUCAAUGCCCGACCAUGGAAAAAGAUAAAGAAGAGAUGAGUGUCAUCCCGUAUGCUUCAGCCAUAGGAUCUAUUAUGUAUGCCAUGUUGUGUACCAGACCUGAUGUAAACCUUGCUGUAAGUUUGGUAGGAAGGUACCAAAGUAAUCCCAGCAAGGAACACUGGACAGCGGUCAAGAAUAUCCUAAAGUACCUGAAAAGGACAAAGGACAUGUUUCUCGUUUAUGGAGGUGACGAAGAGCUCGCCGUAAAGGGUUACGUCGAUGCUAGCUUCGACACAGAUCUGGAUGACUCUAAGUCACAAACCGGAUACGUGUAUAUGUUGAAUGGUGGAGCAGUAAGCUGGUGUAGCUGCAAGCAGAGUGUCAUGGCGGGAUCUACAUGUGAAGCGGAGUACAUGGUAGCCUCGGAGGCAGCGCAUGAAGCAAUAUGGGUGAAGGAGUUCAUCACCGACCUAGGAGUCAUACCCAAUGCGUCGGGGCCGAUCAAACUCUUCUGUGACAACACUGGAGCUAUUGCCCUUGCCAAGGAGCCCAGGUUUCACAAGAAGACCAGGCACAUCAAGCGUCGUUUCAACUCCAUCCGUGAAAAUGUUCAAGAUGGAGACAUAGAUAUUUGCAAAGUACAUACGGAUCUGAAUGUCACAGAUCCGUUGACUAAACCUCUCUCGCGAGCAAAACAUGAUCAACACCAGAACUCUAUGGGUGUUCGAUUCAUCACAAUGUAACUAGAUUAUUGACUCUAGUGCAAGUGGGAGACUGUUGGAAAUAUGCCCUAGAGGCAAUAAUAAAAGGAUUAUUAUUAUAUUUCCUUGUUCAUGAUAAUUGUCUUUAUUCAUGCUAUAAUUGUAUUAUCCAGAAAUUUUAAUACACGUGUGAAUACAUAGACCAUAAUAUGUCCCUAGUAAGCCUCUAGUUGACUAGCUCGUUGAUCAACAGAUAGUCAUGGUUUCCUGACUAUGGACAUUAGAUGUCGUUGAUAACGGGAUCACAUCAUUGGGAGAAUGAUGUGAUGGACAAGACCCAAUCCUAAGCAUAGCACAAGAUCGUGUAGUUCAUUUUGCCAGAGCUUUUCCAAUGUCAAGUAUCUUUUCCUUAGACCAUGAGAUCGUGUAGCUCCCGGAUACCGUAGGAGUGCUUUGGGUGUACCAAACGUCACAACAUAACUUGGUGACUAUAAAGGUGCACUACAGGUAUCCCCGAAAGUGUCUGUUGGGUUGACACGGAUCGAGACUGGGAUUUGUCACUCCGUAUGACGGAGAGGUAUCUCUGGGCCCACUUGGUAAUGCAUCAUCAUAAUGAGCUCAAAGUGACCAAGUGUUUGGUCACGGGAUCAUGCAUUACGGUAUGAGUAAAGUGACUUGUCGGUAACGAGACUGAAUGAGGUAUUGGGAUACCGACGAUCGAGUCUCGGGCAAGUAACGUACCAUUUGACAAAGGGAAUUGUAUACGGGGUUGAUUGAAUCCUCGACAUCGUGGUUCAUCCGAUGACAUCAUCGAGGAGCAUGUGGGAGCCAACAUGGGUAUCCAGAUCCCGCUGUUGGUUAUUGACCGGAGAGCUGUCUCGGUCAUGUCUGCGUGUCUCCUGAACCCGUAGGGUCUACACACUUAAGGUUCGGUGACGCUAGGGUUAUUAGGAAGACUUGUAUGUGAUUACCGAAUGUUGUUCGGAGUCCCGGAUGAGAUCCCAGACGUCACGAGGAGUUCCGGAAUGGUCCGGAGGUGAAGAUUUAUAUAUGGGAAGUUGUCAUACGGUCACUGGAAGGUUUCGGGGGCAUAUCGGUAUUGUAUCAGGGCCACCGGAGGGGUUCCGAGGGUCCACCGGGAGGGGCCACCUCUCUCGGUGGGCUUCAUGGGCCGUAGUGGGCAGGGGAACCAGCCCAGGAGGGCUGGGCGCCCCCCCCCCCUUGGGCCCUUGCGCCUAGGGUGGGGGGGAACCCUAAAGGGGGCGCCCCCCUCCCCCCCUUUGCUUGGGGGGCAAGCCCCCUCCCUGGCCGCUGCCCCCCCCCUCUAGAUCUCAUCUAGAGGGGGCCGGCCCCCUUUCCCCUUCCCCUAUAAAUAGAGGGAAGAGGGGAGGGCUGCACACCUGAUCCAAGGCGCAUCCCCUCCCCUCCCUAACACCUCUCCUCCUCCAUUAAGUGCUUGGCGAAGCCCUGUCGGAGUACUGCCUUUCCACCACCACCACGCCGUCGUGCUGCUGCUGGAGUCUUCUUCGUGAACCUCUCCUUCCCCCUUGCUGGAUCAAGAAGGAGGAGACGUCAUCCGCUCCGUACGUGUGUUGCACGCGGAGGUGCUGUCCGUUCAGCACUUGGUCAUCGGUGAUUUGGAUCACGGCGAGUACGACUCCAUCAUCCCCUUUCUCUUGAAAGCUUCCGCUCACGAUCUACAAAGGUAUGUAGAUGCACUCCUAUCACUCGUUGCUUAGAUGAACUCAUAGAUGGAUCUUGGUGAAACCGUAGGAAAAAAAUUUAUUUUCUGCAACGUUCCCCAACACGUAGUACUUUGUUUUCAAUGACUUGUAGAUUUGUGCAAUAAGUACAUGAGUUCUUUAUGACUAAUGUUGAGUCCAUGGAUUAUAUGCACUCUCACCCUUCCACCAUUGCUAGCCUCUCUUGUGCCACGCAACUUUCGCCGGUACCAUACACCUACCAUAUACCUUCCUCAAAACAGCCACCAUACCUACCUAUUAUGGCAUUUCCAUAGCCAUUCCGAGAUAUAUUGCCAUGCAACUUUCCACCGUUUCGUUUAUAUGACACACAUCAUCAUUGACAUAUUGCUCUUUGCAUGAUCAUGUAGUUGACAUCAUAUUUGUGGCAGGGCCACCUCCAUAAUUUUUUCAUACAUGUCAUUCUUGAUUCAUUGCAUAUCCCGGUACACCGCCGGAGGCAUUCAUAUAGAUCCAUAUCUUGUUCUAAGUAUUUAGUUGUAAUCUUGAGUUGUAAGUAAAUAAAAGUGUGAUGAUAUUCAUUAUUAGAGCAUUGUCCCAGCGAGGAAAGGAUGAUGGAGACUAUGAUUCCCCCACAAGUCAGGAUGAGACUUCGUACUUUACAAAAAAAAAGAGAGAAAGGCCAAAUAAAAAGAGAAAGGCCAAACAAAAAAUGAGAGAAAAAGAGAGAAGGGACAAGGCUACUAUCCUUUUUACCACACUUGUGCUUCAAAGUAGCACCAUGAUCUUCAUGAUAGAGAGUCUCCUAUGUCAUCACUUUCAUAUACUAGUGGGAAUUUUCAUUAUAGAACUUGGCUUGUAUAUUUCAAUGAUGGGCUUCCUCAAAAUGCCCUAGGUCUUCGUGAGCAAGCGAGUUGGAUGCACACCCACUUAGUUUCUUUUGUUGAGCUUUCAUACAUUUAUAGCUCUAGUGCAUCCGUUGCAUGGCAAUCCCUACUCACUCACAUUGAUAUCUAUUAAUGGGCGUCUCCAUAGCCCGUUAAUACGCCCAGUUGAUGUGAGACUAUAUUCUCCUUUUUUGUCUUCUCCACAACCACCAUUCUAUUCCACAUAUAGUGCUAUGUCCAUGGCUCACAUUCAUGUAUUGCAUGAAAGUUGAAAUAGUUUGAGAUUACUAAACUACGAAACAAUUGCUUGGCUUGUCAUCAGGGUUGUGCAUGAUUAAAUACUUUGUGUGAUGAAGAUAGAGCAACAGCCAUACUAUAUGAUUUUGUAGGGAUAACUUUCUUUAGCCAUGUUAUUUUGAGAAGACAUGAUUGCUUGAUUAGUAUGCUUCAAGUAUUAUUAUUUCUUAUGUCUAUAUGAACUUUUAUUUUGAAUCAUUUGGAUCUGAACAUUCAUGCCACAAUAAAGAAAAUUACACUGAGAAUUAUGCUAGGUAGCAUUCCACAUCAAAAAUUCUGUUUUUAUAAUUUACCUACUCGAGGACGAGCAGGAAUUAAGCUUGGGGAUGCUUGAUACAUCUCCAACAUAUCUAUAAUUUUUUAUUGUUCCAUGCUAUUAUAUUACCCGUUUUGGAUGUUUAUGGGCUUUACUUUACACUUUUAUAUCAUUUUUGGGACUAACCUACUAACCGGAGGCCCAACCCAUAUUGCUGGUUUUUUGCCUAUUUCAGUGUUUCGAAGAAAAGGAAUAUCAAACGGAGUCCAAACGGAAUGAAACCUUCGGGAGCGUGAUUUUUGGAACGAACAUGAUCCAGAGGACUUGGAGUGGAAGUCAAGCAACAACCGAGGCAGCCGCGAGGGUGGAGGGCACCCCCGCCCCCCUACUGUGUGUGCCCCCUGUCUCAUGGGCCCCUAAGGCGUCCACCGACCUACCUUCUUCCUCCUAUAUAUACCCAUGUACCCCAAAAACAUCAAAGGAGCUGACGAAAACCUAAUUCCACCGCCGUAACCUUCUAUAUCCGUGAGAUCCCAUCUUGGAGCCUUCACCGGCGCUUCGCCAGAGGGGGAAUCGACCACGGAGGGCCUCUACAUCAUCUUCAAGGCCUCUCUGAUGAGUUGUGAGUAGUUUACCAUAGACCUUUGGGUCCAUAGUUAUUAGCUAGGUGGCUUCUUCUCUCUCUUUGAAUAUCAAUACCAUGUUGUCCUUGAUCUUCUUGGAGAUCUAUUCGAUGUAACUCUUUUUGUGGUGUGUUUGUCAAGAUCCGAUGAAUUGUGGGUUUAUGAUCAAGUUUAUCUAUGAACAAAGUAUUUGAAUCUCCUCUGAAUUCUUUUAUGUGUGAUUAAGUUAUCUUUGCAAGUCUCUCCAAAUUAUCAGUUUGGUUUGGCCUACUAGAUUGAUCUUUCUUGCAAUGGGAGAAGUGCUUAGCUUUGGGUUCAAUCUUGCGGUGUCCUUUCCCAGUGACAGCAGGGGCAGCAAGGCACGUAUUGUAUUGUUGCCAUCGAGGAUAAAAAGAUGGGGUUUAUAUCAUAUUGCAUGAGUUUAUCCCUCUACAUCAUGUUAUCUUUCUUAAUGCGUUACUCUGUUCUUUAUGAACUUAAUACUCUAGAUGCAUGCUGGAUAGCGGUCGAUGUGUGGAGUAAUAGUAGUAGAUGCAGGCAGGAGUCGGUCUACUUGUCAUGGAUGUGAUGCCUAUAUACAUGAUCAUGCCUAGAUAAUCUCAUAAUUAUUCGCUUUUCUAUCAAUUGCUCGACAGUAAUUUGUUCACCCACCAUAAUACUUAUGCUAUCUUGAGAGAAGCCACUAGUGAAACCUGUGGCCCCGAGGUCUAUCUUUUAUCAUAUAAGCUUUCAAUCUACUUUUAUUUGCAUCUUUACUUUUCCAAUCUAUAUUAUAAAAUACCAAAAAUAUAUUUAUCUUAUCAUAUUAUCUCUAUCAGAUCUCACUUUCGCAAGUGGCCUUGAAGGGAUUGACAACCCCUUUAUUGCGUUGGUUGCGAGUUCUUGUUUGUUUGUGUAGGUGCAUGGGACUUUUGAGGAGCCUCCUACUGGAUUGAUACCUUGGUUCUCAAAAACUGAGGGAAAUACUUACACUACUAUUGCUGCAUCACCCUUUCCUCUUCAAGGAAAACCAACGCAAGCUCAAGACGUAGCAUGCGCCCCAUGUAGGCCGAAUUAGGAGAGGGGAAGGAAAGAGGGGAAUAGAGAAGGAAGGGGAGGGAUUCGGCCUCCCCCUUCCUUCCCUCCUCACCUCAGGAAGAUAUGGAAAGGGGGGUGAGGGAGUCCUGGAUUAAGGGGUCCUCGGAUAGCUGGACUAUAUACUUUGGUCAGACUGUUGAGCUAUGAAGAUACAAGAUAGAAGACUUCGUCCCGUGUCCGGAUGGGACUCUCCUUGGCGUGGAAGGCAAGCUUGGCGAUUCGGAUAUGUAGAUUCCUUUCUCUGUAACCGACUUUGUACAACCUUAGCCCCCUCCGGUGUCUACAUAAACCGGAGGGUUUAGGCUUCUAGGGUUUAGCCACAACAAUCAUAACCUCAUAGUCUAGACUUCUAGGGUUUAGCCAUUAUGAUCUCGUGGUAGAUCAACUCUUGUAAUACUCAUAUUCGUGAAGAAUAAUCAAGCGGGAAGUAGGGUAUUACCUCCAUAGAGAGGGCCUGGACCUGGGUAAACAUUGUGUCCCCCACCUCCUGUUACCAUUAGCCUUAGAUGCACAGUUUGGGACCCCCUACCCAAGAUCCCGGUUUUGACACCGACAUUGGUGCAUUCAUUGAGCGUUCCGCUGCAUCGUCUUCAAAAGGCUUGAUGGCUCCAUCAAUCAUCUACAACAAUGCAGUCCAGGGGGAGAUUUUCCUCCCCGGACAGAUAUUCGUAUUCGGCGGCUUCACACUGCGGGCCAACUCGCUUGGCCAUCUGGAGCAGAUCGACAGCUACGCCCCUGGCCAUCAGGUCAGAUUCGGGAGCCUAAAUUUUGUGACCGAUAUUCGCGAAGACUUGAUCUUCCAUGGAUUCGAGCCCAUGACGGUUGUCCCCUGCCACAUGAUGAACAUGACCUAGAUCUGUCAUCUGGCCUUGCUCAGGAGAUAGCACCUGUGACCGCUCUGGCCCUAGAUCUGGAGCAGACUGUGUCGUCCGAAGACGGGAGGGUGAACCCCGCCGUGGAAGCCGCAGACUCAGUGGCGCUCGAGCCGCACACAGACCCAACAUCGAGCUGGGCUUGUGUCACUAGAAUCUCGGACUCGUUUCCGGCCAUUGGUUCCACACCGCGUGCAUCCGCGUCCAUCGAACCUGAUUGGGCGCUGAUCUUGGAGUUCAGCUCCGCGGACAUCUUCCAGCACUCGCCUUUUGGCGACGUGUUAAACUCAUUAAAAUCCCUCUCCUUGUCGGGGGACUCUCGACCGAACUAUGUCUGGCUCGAAUGGCAAGUGGAUGACGAAGAACUUCGUUUCCCACCCACCACCCACUUUAUAGCCACUGUCGACCACUUACAUGCUUGAUUAUGACUCCGAAGACAUCAACGGUAUGGACGACGAUGUCGGAGAGGAGCAGGAACCACUGCAUACAAGGCAUUGGACAGCCACCUCCUCGUAUGACAUAUACAUGGUGGAUACACCUAAACAAAACAAUGGCGACAAUGAAAAUCUAGUCGAGGAUAAACCUCCUAAGAUACAGCCAAAGCGCCGGCAUCAGCGGCGCUGCUCUAAGCCACGCCAUAGUAAAAACAGCAACACCGUCACAGGAGAAAACAAUACCCCGGACGACGCCGAAGACAAUGAAGACCCUGUUGAGCCAACCUCCGAACAAGACGAAUGUGAAGAUGGGCAAGCUAGCCCUGAUGAACCGGCCACGAAUGAAGACGUGGAGGACAAUAAUUACCUUCCGCUCUUCGAGGACGAGGUGAGCCUUGGCGACGAAGACUUUAUCGUGCCUGAGGAUCCCGUUGAGCAGGAGCGCUUUAAGCGCCGGCUAAUAGCCACUGCAAGGAGCCUGAAAAGGAAGUAGCAGUAGCUUCAAGCUGAUCAAGAUCUUCUGAAUGAAAGAUGGACUGAUGUCCUGGCAGCCGAGGAAUAUGGCCUCGAGCGCCCAACCAAAAGCUACCCGAAGUGCAAACUGUUACCAUAGUUCGAUGACAAGGCACUGGAGCCCGUCCUACCAAGGUACAAUGUGGCUAACCGACCACCACGUGGCCGGGACAAAGCGGCACCUCGAGCCGAACACCAGCCCGCAUUACCUCGUCGAGCAAACAGAAAUACAACAACUCGUGGAUAUACACAUGACCUAGGGAAUGACUUGGAAAACAGAGCAGGUCAGACAAGAUCAAUCUAUGGAUCACGGGGGCGUGCCCCGAUGCGCGACGAUGGCCAUCCGGCUGAACGUGACAAACAUAACCACGUCCGGGCCAAACACCACAGACGAACUCCAUCCGAGCUACGUCACAACUUGGCCCGAUAUGGAGGAGCCCCACCCCCCCCCCCUUUGCUUCACUGACGAAGUAAUGGGACACGAUUUCCUAGAAGGGUUUAAACCUGUGAACAUCGAAUCAUAUGAUGGCACAACAGACCCCGCGGUAUGGAUUGAGGACAUUCUUCUCCACAUUCAUAUGGCCCGUGGUGAUGAUCUUCACGCCAUCAAAUACCUCCCGCUCAAACUCAAGGGACCAGCUAGGUACUGGUUGAAUAGUCUGCCUGAAAACUCCAUUGGCAGCUGGGAGGACUUGGAGGACGCCUUCCUCGACAACUUCCAAGGCACAUAUGUCCGGCCUCCGGAUGCCGAUGACCUAAGUCACGUAACCAACAGCCCGGAGAGUCAGCUAGGAAAUUCUGGACUAAGUUCUUAACUAAAAAGAACCAGAUCAUCGAUUGUCCGGACGCCAAAGCCCUAGCUGCCUUUAAGCACAGCAUCCGCGAUGAAUGGCUGGCCAGACACCUCGGCCAAGACAAACAGAAGUCCAUGUCAGCCCUUACAACACUCAUGACCCGCUUCUGUGCGGGCGAAGAAAGCUGGCUAGCCCGUAGCAAUAACAAUACAAGCGAACCUGGCACUUCUGAAGCCAGAACAGCAAUGGCAAGCCCCGACGCAAUAGACAUAAGAGUCGAAACAAUGGUGACAACACCGAAGACACGGCGGUCAACGCCAGAUUCAGUGGCUCUAAGUCCGGUCAGCGGAAGAAGCCAUUUAAGAGAAAUAAUCCGGGCCCGUUCAGUUUGGACCGCAUACUAGAUCGACCAUGCCAAAUCCAUGGCACUCCUGAUAAACCAGCCAAUCAUACCAACAAGGAAUGUUGGGUCUUCAAACAGGCCGGCAAGUUAAACACCGUGAAUAAGGAGAAAGGGUUGCAAAUCAAUGACGAUGAUGAGGAACCCCGACCACCGAACACAUGGGGACAGAAGAAAUCCCCCCCAAGUCAAAACGGUGAACAUGAUUGUCACAUCCCUGGUCCUGUUAUGCAUUAGGCUAGGCCUCAUGUGAGCAUCAUGUUUUAAUUCAAAUGAAAUUUGAAUUGAGGGAUUUUCAAAGCCUCAGAAACCUUCUAAAAAUGAUCAACAUUAAAAUCUUCUCAAAGAAGUCCAAGAAAAUGUUCCUCUUAGUCUCUGAAAAUAUUGCAAAGAGGUAAAACUCAAAACAAUAUUUUUGGUAUCUCAGAGUUAAUUAUUUUGGGCCUUUGAAUUAAAUAAAUAACUAUUUGCAUUGGAUAUAUAUUUCUUAAUUAAUUAAUAUAUGUCCAAUAAUUCUGAUCUUUGAUGAAGGGCUUUGGAAUAAUCCUACUAGUCCCUACCAUAAUUAUCAGAAGCAAUAAAAAUGAUUUAGUGUCUAAAACUAAAUCAAAACAAACUACAGAAAAUAGAAAACAGAUUUAAAUAGAAUAAAAGCAGAGAGGAGAGAAAACUUACCUGGCGCUCACCUCUCAGCCCACCUGGCCCAGCUCCUCCAGCGGCCCAGCCCACCGCCGUCUCUCCCCCUGUCGUCUUCCUCCCCCUCGCCCCGAAGCUGCUCGGUGGCGCGCGCGGCCACGCGCCCCGGCCACCUCCUCCCUUCCAGCCUGCCUGGCUCCUCCUCGACGCCCCGGUGACGCCACGCGGCCCCCUCGACCCUCUCCAACUCUCCCCAUGCCCCUCUCCUCUCUCUCCCCGGAACGCUCUCCCCCUCCUCUGUUCUCCUCACCGAACGCGCCCGCCGCCGCCGACGAGAACCACCGUGGCCACCGGCCACCCCACACCUCACCGACGCCCCAGGAAGCUCCGCCCCGACCCCCCUCUUCCUCCCCACCGAUCCACGGCCCUCCGUAAGCCCUGCAGCGUCGCCCUCAAGCUCGCCCCCAACCUUCGGCCGCCGGCGAACUUUCGAGGAUUCGCGAGCUCCAGCCCCUUCCCGGCCUCACCGUUGCCUCCACCAGAUCCGCUGUGAGCUACUCUUCCAUUCCCCCUCCUCCUCGCGCUCGUUCCUGUACUCUAGCCGCCCUUUUCACCGGAGCCGAUUGCUCCUCGCCGCCGGCCAUGGCAUGGCCGUGGCCACAGCCACCGCAGCUCGCUCCCGAGCCCACCGGCGUGCUCACCGCAACCUUAGGAACCCAAAGCACCUAACCACUCGUCCUCCCGUGCACCGCAGCGCCGGUCCCGCGAACCCCCGAGCUCCGGCCGCCGCCUCGGGCUCCACUCCGGCGAACCCCGGCCACCCCCUCACCUCCCGUUGGUUCCCCUAGAUGCGCACGGGCACGGGCUACCUCCUGGUGCCCUUGGUGCGUCGAUCCGUCGUCUCUGGCGCAACUCCGGCGAGCCACCGCCGCUCUGGGUCGUCGCCGUCGUCCAACCGCCGGCGAAUCCGACGUGGCCGGUCAUUAGGGCCUAACCACCCCCGCUAACCCAGGCCUAGGGCCACUGACCGGUGGGCCCUACCGUUUAAUUAACCCGGCUAACAAUUUAGUUAAGUUAAUAAAACUCUGUUAAAUCACUGUGCAGCUGACAUGUGGGUCCCGAGCGUCAGGUUUGACCCGGACCAGCCCUUGUUGACCUGUGACGUCAUGCCAACGUCAUGCUGAUGCAAUAAUUCCUUUUUGGAAUUUAAAUAAAUCUUAAAUGAUUUAAUAUUUUCAGAAAAUGCCCUAAACUUCAAUAAAUCAUAGAAAUUCAACCGUAACUCCAAAUUAAAUAAAUUAUAUAUGAAAAAUUAUUAGAAAAAUUCAAGGAAUCCAUCUGUACCAUUUUCAUGCAUGUUAGAACAACUUAUAGCUGCUGUUUAGCACAAAUCAAUUAAAUGGCAUUUGAAUAAUCACAUAUGGAGUUUGAAUUUGAAUCUUGUAUUCAAACCAACUUCAUUUAACCUGUUGCUAGUUGCAUUAGCUCAAAACACAUUCAUAUUGCCAUGUCAUGAGCAUGCAUCAUAUUGUGCAUUGCAUUGAUUGUAUUUCUUCUUUGUUGCCGGUAUCUGUUCCCUCCCGGUAGACGAUGUUCCGACGUUGUGAUCGUUGACACUGAUGAAGACUCAAUGUUAUCUUCAGAAGUGCCAGGCAAGCAAAACCCCCUUGUUCAUUCCGAUACAAUCCUACUCUCUCGCUUCUGCUCUCUUUUACUGCAUUAGGACAACAACGAUUCAUCUGUUACUUGCUGCGGUAGCUGAACCCCUUUAUCCUUUGCAUGACCUGUCAUUGCCAUAGUAAAUAGAUGAAACCCACUAGCAUGAGUAGGAGUUGUUUGAGCCCUGUUGUGCCUACUCAUUCAUGCUUGUUUGUCAUGCCUGCUACUGCUUAGAGUUGAGUUAGGUCUGAUUCAUCGGGGAUGAAUCAGAGGCGUGUGAACAUGUCCUACUGUGUGUGAGCUAAGUGUGUGAACAUGAUUUGGUAAAGGUAGCGGUGAGAGCCAUGUAGGAGUACAUGGUGGGUUGUCUCAUUGAAGCCGUCCUCAGGAACUGAGUUCUGUGUUUGUGAUCCAUGAUUCAGCUACUACCAUACAUUGGGCCCUGAAAUAUGACCCCGCUCGACUUCUUAUUCACCCAAGUCCUCUGUCCAGGAGUUGCAAGUAGUUUCUGGUGUUUGUAGUAUGCUGGAGGCCGUGCACAGCGCUGACCGGAGGGGUGGGCUGUGAUGCGGUAGGCACGUGGCCGGGUAUACCGGGCGCCCGUUUGGUGUCAUGGAACCCUGUUCACAUCGUUUGGGGCUGUGAGCGAAACUCCGGCCGGAUCUCCUCAUGGAUGGAACCCGAAUAGGCGAUAAACCUGGACUAGAGACUUGAGUGUUUAGGUAGGUCGUGGUCUACACCCACGUCGGCUUUCGCUUGAAGUCUGUCGAGCACAUGUCGUGUGCAGACGCUAAGUGGUGGAAACAUGUAUGAAGAAGUACACCCCUGCAGGGUUAACAUCAUCUAUUCGAAUAGCCGUGUCCGCGGAAAAGGACUUCUGGGUUGCUUAUAUCAGUUCAUAGACAAGUGAAAGUGGAUACCCUAAAAUACGCAAGAUAAGCGUGAGUGCUAUGGAUGGCGUUCUUGUAGGGAGACGGGAGCGGAUCCAUAGUGGUGUAUUGAUAUGGUGAAUGUGUGGACUCAUGUGCGCCACCUCAAAAGAGUUACUUGCAGUCGUAGUUCAGGAUAGCCACCGAGUCAAAGAUGGCUUGCUGCAGUUAAAACCCACCAUCCCCUUGUUGGAAAUGAUGCAUAUGUAGUUAGUUCUGAUGUAAGUCUUGCUGGGUACAUUUGUACUCACGUUUGCCUAUUUUAUGUUUUUGCAGAGAGACCUCAGUCUCGCUAGUAGUUCCGUAUGGUCUUCGACGUUUAGCUUGUUACCUCAGCUAUGAUCUUGUGCCCUCGGUAGGAUUUGAUAGAUAGUCAGGCUUCUCAGCCUUUUUCAUUUAUAGAUGUCUGUACUCAGACAUGAUAGCUUCCGCUUGUGCUUUGACUUGUAUGCUCUGAUUGUUGGGUCAUGAGACCCAUGUUUGUAAUAUCUCGCUCCUCGGAGCCUAUUGAAUAAAAUACUUGAGUUGUAGAGUCAUGUUGUGAUGCCAUGUUGUAUUUUCACAUAUCGAGCAUAUUGUGUGUAUGUUAUUGAAAUGCUUGGUAUGUGUGGGAUCUGACAACCUAGUUGUUUAUCCUUGGUAGCCUCUCUUACCGGGAAAUGUCUCCUAGUGUUUCCACCGAGCCAUGGUAGCUUGCUACUGCUCCAGAACACUUUGGCUGGCCGGCAUGUGUCCUUCUUCGUUCCUGUGUCUGUCCCUUCGGGGAAAUGUCACGCGAUGAAUACCGGAGUCCUGCUAGCCCAGUGCUACGGCCUGGAUUCACUCGCUGAUGACCGACACGUUCGAUGUUGGGUCAUGGAUGCCUGUCCCUGUAAGUUUGUGCCACUUUGGGUUUACGACUAGCCAUGUCAGCCCGGGCUCCUUAUCAUAUGGAUGCUAGCGACACUAUCAUAUACGUGUGCCAAAAGGCGCAAACGGUCCCGGGCAAAGGUAAGGCGACACCCGUGGGAAUACCGUGCGUGAGGCCGCAAAGUGAUAUGAGGUGUUACAUGCUAGAUCGAUGUGGCAUUGAGUCGGGGUCCUGACAGCGUUGGUAUCAGAGCUUGACUGCCUGUAGGAUUACCAAGCCAAACUGGUCGAAGUUGAGUUUAGAAAUUCUUUAGUUAUAUAAGGGAAUUGAUUGUGGGAUGGAACGUAAGGCUCUUUUUACUCCUUAUACCUUAUGUCUUCUGAUCUGAGUCAUCUUAUCUUUCCUGCGGGGAUUAAGAACUAGGCUAUCUCUUCUUUCUAUCAGGAUCAUGUUACUAAUCCGUAGACUUAUAGAUUGUUGGAUUUAAGCUUGAGUUCAGUUCCUAUGACUUCUGUAUGUUAACUGAUGAUCUUGAAAUCUUGAUAUUGUGCUUCUGAGUGGUUAUGCCACCAUUUUUGUGAUUGUCUCAAAUCUUUUUUGAGCAUUUAUAGCCGUUAUGCUGUCCGAGUCAUCCCAGGUUUCUAAAUAGUCUGAUGCAUUUGCAAAUCCCUUCUUCCCGUUUCCGAUGUCCUUUUGGUCAGAUUAAUCACACAAAUCAAUGAGUUGAGGUACUUUAUAGCCUUGACAUAUAUGUUGGAGCUAUUAUUAUGACCCUAGGUGUUUUAGGGAGUCACCUAGUAAUCUAGCAACGUUUUGUGUUCCCAGUGUGAAGAUUCUGGCCAUCAUUCUCGAAAGCAUCUCGUGGUGCUACUUAGUAGUAGGUAUUCUAUUCCUGGGUCUUGAACCCGAGAUUCACUCUACUUAAUUCAUGUUGAUAGUGUUUGCUAGUUCCUUUAGGAUAUUAGUAACUUGCGAUAGUCCUCGAGGUCCGUGGUAUUUUCUUCUUCCAAAUACUAUGAACCGCUUAUGGCAGAUGUUUAUUGGAUCAAAAGAUCACAAUCAUAGUACUCUUGGGAAGUUCUCCAUUCAUAAAUCAUGACUCUGCCAGUCCUACUUCCUUGCAUGGGUUAUCUGGAAGAAACUUGUUGAACUUGGUUCGACAUAUUAAUCUAUGCAUCCACAACUCGAAAGGAUAUAUGUCCCCUUGAGUUGUCCCUCUUCAUUCGUAUUCCGACCUUCGUCUAUCAAUUGAUAGUCAGGAGUAAUUUUGCAUUUGUGUUAUCGAUGCUUAUUAUUCUUGUGGUCCGUCAAGCCAUUCUAUCGCGGAAUGACUAGGAGAAACAAACUCCAGUACCUCAUCCAUACCUAGGAUUGGGUCAAAGCAGUUGUAUUCCGCAGAUCAAAUGCCAAUCCAGCUUUUGGUUCUGUUCUACCUUGGAGUAUUACCCCCUUUAUGUCAGAAUUGUCAUGAGAACUGCACCAACUCUCAUGAAUUUUGACGUAGUGAUACUUCUCACCAUCAUUAGUCAUUCCUCGGUCUUCGUGUUGUUAUAACCGGAAUGUCGACAAGUGAAUCGUGAUGUGUGAAAUCAAUACUCCUAGCAACCUUGUUGCUUGGUAGUUAAAUGGACAAUAACCUCAUUCUUAACGUGUUGGUUCUUGAAUCAUCAUUCUAAGAUUGAUCGUGCUACCUUGUCCAUCUUCCUGGUGCACAUUUCGAUUGAUGAGUUAGGAUUUUGUCAAGUCCUCGCUCAUUUGAUCAUAUUGUCUUGCCCUGAAAAGCAAGAUUGUUCUCGAGCUUAGUAACAUAUCGGUGGCUUGUGAUUUUUUGAAUAUCUUCUCGAAGGUAUCAUCAGGUUGUCACCUGACUGUUAUGUUGAGCUCGUGAUCAAGUUGGUUUAUCCUGUAAACCACCCUUUCUCCAAGAAUCCGUGUUGGAUACCCCUGAGCUAGUUGGUUAAGCUAGACAACAACUUGGAGAGUUGGAAGAUAAAAGCUUGCCUGACUUAGUUCGUUCCAAAGGGAUAUUCUUGUGUAGUGGGUGUUGAAGAAAGAUGAUAUCUUCAUCGAUUGGUUCCUGUGAUCAGUUGCUGGACCUAUUGUCUUAUCAAUCCUUUGAUUUGAGUGUGGGCUAUCGUCAAAUCAAAUCAGUACCAACGAUAUUCAUAAUGUUGUCUUACUCGUGGUUGAUCCCUCGAGCAUACAUCAUUAUAUCUUUUGGGUCUGACCAAUGCUAUCACUUGUUCACUUAGCUAUGGAAUUCCUUUUAAAAGGGAACCCAGAUGAAUUGUUGUUGAGCCCAUUGACAACAUCCUUAUCUCCUCCAUGAUCUUGUUGGAUAACAAGUUAGUGUUGGAAACUUUUGAAAGCAUUUUCUUCAUGCUAGCUCAUGAAGUAUUUGUUUGAUGAAAGGAGUGACUUCCACUUAUACACGUGCAUUUGGUGAAAGUUGCCGCCGUGAAUUUGAGAAAGUUAGUUUUGCUUCCCCUGGAAUCAUCCCAAGUCAGUCAUGCAUAUGUGCGAAGUAUUCUAUGGUUUGGAGACUUGCAACCUUCAUUCCAUAUGUGUUCCGAGCACACCAAGCCACUGAUUGAUUUGUUCAAGGAGAAGAAGUUCCUUCCUAAGAGCAUGCCUUAUGGAAGGAUUUUGAUAUCCUCGUUGAUGGUUCCCCCUCCUGAACUCGGUAGUGUUUUAUUAUAGGACUACUUUGUGGUCAUGCUUGUCUGGGACAACGUGUUCACAUGUUUGUAGCAGAACCAGCUCAUGUUUUGGAGCUUACUAUCGUAGUUCAUUUCCCGAGAAUCUCGCAACGUUAUCUCGUCGAUUUGUGUUGCAAACUUUCAUUUUUCUUCCUAGACUCGAUGAGUCUGGAAUAUCCUGACACCAACCGGAUCUGAAUCUCAGGCAGUUAUGAUGGUUGGAAUGUUUCCCAAGAACUAUAAUACUGGUCCCUCGAUAACCGGUAAAGUGGAUGUCAUGGCCAACACACCCAGCCGGAAGACCUAUUAUUGUAGUAUCUUGAUUGAAGCAGUUGGCCACCUCCCCAUAAGGAUCUCGUAGAACUUAUUCUAGUAGUUGUUCCUUAUGGAUUUUUGUGUUUCCGAAGUCCGACCUUUACUUGAUGUUCUAGAUGCCAGACCAUUUCAAGGAAUGGGAUACGCUAGUACAUCAAGGAGAACAUUAGAAGCGGAGUGCUAAAUGUCUCUCGGUCGAUCGUCCAGGUUUUGUUUCCUUAGCCUCGCUAAGGAAAAUUCUGAGAAAGUGUUAUCUUCCUUUGCAUCUGCAUCAUCCAUCAUCAUUCAUCAUGGUAGCAAGUUGUGUUGCCAGGAUCCUUGACACGGAUAUUGGUAAAAUCUUGAUGAUUAUGGAAAGGCUCAAGUUCUUGAGAGCACGCACAAGCGCUAGGUGUUAUCAUCGACACUAAUUGGGAUGCUCUCAGUUUCCUCGGCAAUGCUAUGACCUUUUCAAACAGUGAAUUCACUCUCUAUUGUUGGGUUCUUCCCCAGUUACCAGAAUCAUACCUAGCAUUUGCAUUUUGUUCCCAGCUUGCACCGCUAAUGUGCCAUUCUACCAUGGGUCUCAUCCAUUUCCGAUGAUAAACAAAAUCAUCUAUGACGUUGUCUUCAACAAGGUAAUCCACAUCAUCCAAGUCCGAGUAUGCCAUUCUACCAAACCCCUCUAAAUGAUCGAUUAUGAUUUGCCUUAAGCUGGUAUAAAGAGUUUCAAUGAUCUUUGAAUCAAAGGUAAUUCUUUUUGCCACUUAAGGGGAUAUUUCUACGAGUCACGGUUCCUAAGGUGUCUCGUUAUGGUAUCAUGGCAACUCAACUCCUCGCUAUUUGACAACUUUUCACCACCCUCUUAGGUGUGGAAUUGUUGUCUACCUAGUGAACCCUCGUCAUUUGUUCCACUCCAUCCCUCUAGAUGUGUGUUUUGUGUCUCAGCUCGAGUGAUGUUGUUACGUCUCAUUCCGAGAGUUAAUCCUGAGUUGUUCGACCUUCGAGAAGGUUGAUCCUUCUAGAGUCUCCUUCUCCUCUCGUUGUCAUGUUGGCUGGAGUUCUCAGAGCAAGACGACAAGACAAAGAUGGUGAUCGAUUCAACAUGCUGAUGAAGUGCACCCUGGAUCGUGAAGGUUAUACUAGUUGCGUUCCCCCUUCAUCUUACCCUACGCUUGAAUCUCGGGACGAGAUUUUUGUUUAGUGGGGGUGAGUUGUCACAUCCCUGGUCCUGUUAUGCAUUAGGCUAGGCCUCAUGUGAGCAUCAUGUUUUAAUUCAAAUGAAAUUUGAAUUGAGGGAUUUUCAAAGCCUCAGAAACCUUCUAAAAAUGAUCAACAUUAAAAUCUUCUCAAAGAAGUCCAAGAAAAUGUUCCUCUUAGUCUCUGAAAAUAUUGCAAAGAGGUAAAACUCAAAACAAUAUUUUUGGUAUCUCAGAGUUAAUUAUUUUGGGCCUUUGAAUUAAAUAAAUAACUAUUUGCAUUGGAUAUAUAUUUCUUAAUUAAUUAAUAUAUGUCCAAUAAUUCUGAUCUUUGAUGAAGGGCUUUGGAAUAAUCCUACUAGUCCCUACCAUAAUUAUCAGAAGCAAUAAAAAUGAUUUAGUGUCUAAAACUAAAUCAAAACAAACUACAGAAAAUAGAAAACAGAUUUAAAUAGAAUAAAAGCAGAGAGGAGAGAAAACUUACCUAGCGCUCACCUCUCAGCCCACCUGGCCCAGCUCCUCCAGCGGCCCAGCCCACCGCCGUCUCUCCCCCUGUCGUCUUCCUCCCCCUCGCCCCGAAGCUGCUCGGUGGCGCGCGCGGCCACGCGCCCCGGCCACCUCCUCCCUUCCAGCCUGCCUGGCUCCUCCUCGACGCCCCGGUGACGCCACGCGGCCCCCUCGACCCUCUCCUACUCUCCUCGUGCCCCUCUCCUCUCUCUCCCCGGAACGCUCUCCCCCUCCUCUGUUCUCCUCACCGAACGCGCCCGCCGCCGCCGACGAGAACCAUCGUGGCCACCGGCCACCCCACACCUCACCGACGCCCCAGGAAGCUCCGCCCCGACCCCCCCUAUUCCUCCCCACCGAUCCACGGCCCUUCGGAAGCCCUGCAGCGUCGCCCUCNNNNNNNNNNNNNNNNNNNNNNNNNNNNNNNNNNNNNNNNNNNNNNNNNNNNNNNNNNNNNNNNNNNNNNNNNNNNNNNNNNNNNNNNNNNNNNNNNNNNNNNNNNNNNNNNNNNNNNNNNNNNNNNNNNNNNNNNNNNNNNNNNNNNNNNNNNNNNNNNNNNNNNNNNNNNNNNNNNNNNNNNNNNNNNNNNNNNNNNNNNNNNNNNNNNNNNNNNNNNNNCUCAAGCUCGCCCCCAACCUUCGGCCGCCGGCGAACUUUCGAGGAUUCGCGAGCUCCAGCCCCUCCCCGGCCUCACCGUUGCCUCCACCAGAUCCGCUGUGAGCUACUCUUCCAUUCCCCCUCCUCCUCGCGCUCGUUCCCGUACUCUAGCCGCCCUUUUCACCGGAGCCGAUUGCUCCUCGCCGCCGGCCAUGGCGUGGCCGUGGCCACAGCCACCGCAGAUCGCUCCCGAGCCCACCGGCGUGCUCACUGCAACCUUAGGAACCCAAAGCACCUAACCACUCGUCCUCCCGUGCACCGCAGCGCCGGUCCCGCGAACCCCCGAGCUCCGGCCACCGCCUCGGGCUCCACUCCGGCGAACCCCGGCCACCCCCGCACCUCCCGUUGGUUCCCCUAGAUGCGCACGGGCACGGGCUACCUCCUGGUGCCCUUGGCGCGUCGAUCUGUCGUCUCUGGCGCAACUCCGGCGAGCCACCGCCGCUCUGGGUCGUCGCCGUCGUCCAACCGCCGGCGAAUCCGAUGUGGCCGGUCAUUAGGGCCUAACCACCCCCGCUAACCCAGGCCUAGGGCCACUGACCGGUGGGCCCUACCGUUUAAUUAACCCGGCUAACAAUUUAGUUAAGUUAAUAAAACUCUGUUAAAUCACUGUGCAGCUGACAUGUGGGUCCCGAACGUCAGGUUUGACCCGGACCAGCCCCUGUUGACCUGUGACAUCAUGCCAACGUCAUGCUGACGCAAUAAUUCCUUUCUGGAAUUUAAAUAAAUCUUAAAUGAUUUAAUAUUUUCAGAAAAUGCCCUAAACUUCAAUAAAUCAUAGAAAUUCAACCGUAACUCCAAAUUAAAUAAAUUAUAUAUGAAAAAUUAUUAGAAAAAUUCAAGGAAUCCAUCUGUACCAUUUUCAUGCAUGUUAGAACAACUUAUAGCUGCUGUUUAGCACAAAUCAAUUAAAUGGCAUUUGAAUAAUCACAUAUGGAGUUUGAAUUUGAAUCUUGUAUUCAAACCAACUUCAUUUAACCUGUUGCUAGUUGCAUUGGCUCAAAACACAUUCAUAUUGCCAUGUCAUGAGCAUGCAUCAUAUUGUGCAUUGCAUUGAUUGUAUUUCUUCUUUGUUGCCGGUAUCUGUUCCCUCCCGGUAGACGAUGUUCCGACGUUGUGAUCGUUGACACUGAUGAAGACUCAAUGUUAUCUUCAGAAGUGCCAGGCAAGCAAAACCCCCUUGUUCAUUCCGAUACAAUCCUACUCUCUCGCUCCUGCUCUCUUUUACUGCAUUAGGACAACAACGAUUCAUCUGUUACUUGCUGCGGUAGCUGAACCCCUUUAUCCUUUGCAUGACCUGUCAUUGCCACAGUAAAUAGAUGAAACGCACUAGCAUGAGUAGGAGUUGUUUGAGCCCUAUUGUGCCUACUCAUUCAUGCUUGUUUGUCAUGCCUGCUACUGCUUAGAGUUGAGUCAGGUCUGAUUCAUCGGGGAUGAAUCAGAGGUGUGUGAACAUGUCCUACUGUGUGUGAGCUAAGUGUGUGAACACGAUUUGGUAAAGGUAGCAGUGAGAGGCCAUGUAGGAGUACAUGGUGGGUUGUAUCAUUGAAGACGUCCUCAGGAACUGAGUUCUGUGUUUGUGAUCCAUGAUUCAGCUACUACCAUACAUUGGGCCCUGAAAUAUGACCCCGCUCGACUUCUUAUUCACCCAAGUCCUCUGUCCAGGAGUUGCAAGUAGUUUCUGGUGUUUGUAGUAUGCUGGAGGCCGUGCACAGCGCUGACCGGAGGGGUGGGCUGUGAUGCGGUAGGCACGUGGCCGGGUAUACCGGGCGCCCGUUUGGUGUCACGGAACCCUAUUCACAUCAUUUGGGGCUGUGAGCGAAACUCCGGCCGGAUCUCCUGAUGGAUGGAACCCGAAAAGGCGAUAAACCUGGACUAGAGACUUGAGUGUUUAGGUAGGUCGUGGUCUACACCCACGUCGGCUUUCGCUUGAAGUCUGUCGAGCACAUGUCGUGUGCAGACGCUAAGUGGUGGAAACAUGUAUGAAGAAGUACACCCCUGCAGGGUUAACAUCAUCUAUUCGAAUAGCCGUGUCCGCGGAAAAGGACUUCUGGGUUGCUUAUAUCAGUUGAUAGACAAGUGAAAGUGGAUACCCUAAAAUACGCAAGAUAAGCGUGAGUGCUAUGGAUGGCGUUCUCGUAGGGAGACGGGAGCGGAUCCAUAGUGGUGUAUUGAUAUGGUGAAUAUGUGGACUCGUGUGCGCCACCUCAAAAGAGUUACUUGCAGUCGUAGUUCAGGAUAGCCACCGAGUCAAAGCUGGCUUGCUGCAGUUAAACCCCACCAUCCCCUUGUUGGAAAUGAUGCAUAUGUAGUUAGUUCUGAUGUAAGUCUUGCUGGGUACAUUUGUACUCACGUUUGCCUAUUUUAUGUUUUUGCAGAGAGACCUCAGUCUCGCUAGUAGUUCUGUAUGGUCUUCGACGUUUAGCUUGUUACCUCAGCUACGAUCUUGUGCCCUCGGCAGGAUUUGGUAGAUAGUCAGGCUUCUCAGCCUUUUUCAUUUAUAGAUGUCUGUACUCAGACAUGAUAGCUUCCGCUUGUGCUUUGACUUGUAUGCUCUGAUUGUUGGGUCAUGAGACCCAUGUUUGUAAUAUCUCGCUCCUCGGAGCCUAUUGAAUAAAAUACUUGAGUUGUAGAGUCAUGUUGUGAUGCCAUGUUGUAUUUGCACAUAUCGAGCAUAUUGUGUGUAUGUUAUUGAAAUGCUUGGUAUGUGUGGGAUCUGACAACCUAGUUGUUUAUCCUUGGUAGCCUCUCUUACCGGGAAAUGUCUCCUAGUGUUUCCACUGAGCCAUGGUAGCUUGCUACUGCUCCGGAACACUUAGGCUGGCCGGCAUGUGUCCUUCUUUGUUCCUGUGUCUGUCCCUUCAGGGAAAUGUCAUGCGAUGAAUACCGGAGUCCUGCUAGCCCAGUGCUACAGCCUGGAUUCACUCGCUGAUGACCGACACGUUCGAUGUUGGGUCAUGGAUGCCUGUCCCUGUAAGUUUGUGCCACUUUGGGUUUACGACUAGCCAUGUCAGCCCGGGCUCCUUAUCAUAUGGAUGCUAGCGACACUAUCAUAUACGUGUGCCAAAAGGCGCAAACGGUCCCGGGCAAAGGUAAGGCGACACCCGUGGGAAUACCGUGCGUGAGGCCACAAAGUGAUAUGAGGUGUUACAUGCUAGAUCGAUGUGGCAUUGAGUCGGGGUCCUGACAAUGAUAUACCCAUAUCCCCAAGAGGGAGCGCAAGCGUGGACUCAGGGACGUUACAAGAUGGAGCCAAUCGCCCCAAAGUUCAACCCAUGGUCGUCCUGUCCGAUCACCUUCGGUCGUAGGGACCAUCCGACCAGUAUCCGUCAUGGCGGUUCAGCCGCACUGGUCCUUGACCCAAUCAUAGAUGGAUUCCACCUUACGCGAGUCCUCAUGGACGGCGGCAGCAGCCUGAACCUAAUCUAUCAGGAUACAGUGCGCAAAAUGGGUAUCAAUCCCUCAAGGAUCAAGCCCACAAAAACCACCUUUAAAGGUGUCAUACUAGAUGUAGAGGCCUCCUAUACGGGCUCAAUCACACUGGAAGUGGUCUUCGAAUCCCCGGAUAAUUUCUGAAGCGAAGAAUUGAACUUUGAUAUCGUCCCCUUCCGUAGUGGCUAUCACGCACUGCUCGGACGAACCGCAUUCGCUCGAUUCAAUGCGAUGCCGCACUAUGCCUACCUCAAGCUCAAGAUGCCCGGACCAUGCGGUGUUAUAAUAGUGAAUGGAAACACGGAACGCUCUCUUCAUACCAAGGAGCACACCACGGCCCUUGCAGCAAAAGUAUAGAGCGGCCUUUUCAGGAAUAACCGUAAUUCAACAGCCAAGCUCCCAGACACCGUCAAGCGAGUCCGGACUACUCUGCAUCAGGAUAGUCCAGCUCGUCCAGAGCUUGACUAGCAAUUUGGCCUCCGUCCCAGUCCCAACAAGGCGGCGAUGCUUGUGCCGCGUGUACAUAACUACGCACUCAAAAUACCAUGGACAUGGAUGGAGGCAUAGCUAGAACGUCGUCCAUAAUGUGGCUCAACCGCCCCUGAAUCUGCAUACUUUCACUUUUUCUUUUUCAUUUCAGGUUUUUCUCUUCUCGAGGCUUUUCUGAUAACCUGAUCACCGGACCUAUCACGGGACGGAUACACCAAGAAGGCAAGGAGCUUUGACGUACAAGGGAACCCCGAGCUGGUCUCUACUAACGAUCGUUAUACCUAUUUUAAAUACCCGCACGCAGCUCGCCCUUGGUCAUGGCAUGUCAAAUAGCCUUAUUCGCUUACCGCAUUACUUGUACAAGUACACCUGGACGUAUCAAUCAAAUUACAAUGGAAAAUAAUUUGCGGCUCAAUAUUUGCGACGUCAGCCUAUUACUUGAUUUUUCCUUUGUCUUUAUAUUUUUUAUCAAUUGCUCCUGUACACUCUGGUACGCCUUAAUUCGCCAGGGGCUUCAUCAUACCCCACAAUACAGCAAUAAAGUCCGAACACUUUUACAGUACAGUUUGGCACCUUGAACUUAUAGCAUUAUAUGCAUCGGCUUCGAAUCAUGUCUUUGGUCAAUAGUUGGGUUGCCCGGCUCUUGUGCUUACUACCUUACGUUCCGCUAUAUUGUCUAGGGUAGUAAAGGGAGAACUAUUGUGAUUGUGUCCCGGUUCUUCCGGAUGAGCACCUCAGUAGAGAAAGCCGAAGACUGGCUGUCAUGAUGCAGCGAGAGCUGGUCAGCUAUUCGAGAGGUUGCAAAUCUUUAGUGAUUUUUUCUGCAUUAUGCAAGGAAUCAGUUUUUAUCCAAUUAGGUGUGUAUAGCGCCUCAAGUCUGGACUUCCGAACACUAGGGAUUGCACCAAAAUUUUUCUUGUCAAACUCCUACGGUUAAGUGAGGGUGAUAAAGCCGUAUAGUCUGAUUGCCUUGUUCGUCGUGCUAAACACCUCCUUUAAGGACCAAACUCUAGAGUAAAGAGUGUUUAGAUUUAUCCCGAACACCCCCGUACUACCUAUGUGGGGGGCAGAAGCCGACGACUGGCCAACUCUCAGAUUUAACAAAACGGCCGCAUAGGAGGUAGAACUUUAAAUAACAGACAUUAUAUUACAUAAUAGAUCGGUUUUCAUGGUAUAGGAUAGGAUAACAUGAGUGUAUUCAUGGUAAUAUGAUAUCCUUAGCACAUUGCUCCACUACAAGGCGGGAUCCCUCCAGGACACUGUCAAAAUACAGUUGGGGUCUGCGGUGCUCCUUGCCCUCGGGCGGUCCCUCGGUCAUCAGCUUCGGGGCAUCCAUCUUCGCCCAAUGCAUCUUGGCGCGGGCAAAGGCCAUUCGCGCACCUUCAAUACAGACCGGCCGCUUGAUAGCUUCAAGCCGAGGGCAGGCGCUGACAAGCCGCUUCAUGAGUCCGAAGUAGCUGCUAGGAAGGGCUUCGACAGGCCAUAGCCGGAUUAUCAAAUCCUUCAUGGCUAGUUUGGCUGCCCUAUGUAGCUCGACCAGCUGUUUCAGCUGAUCACUAAAGGGCACUGGACGUUCUGGUCCAAGGUAUUGCAACCAGAACAGCUUCUUCGUAGAGCUCCCCUCUUCGGCUCAAUAGAAUUUCGCAGCGUCUCACACGCUGCGCGGCAGAUCCACAAACGCCCCUGGAGAGCUCCAAAUUCAGGUAAGUAAAAGGAACCUUUCCUUCACAUAUCUGCUCUGCAUAAUGAAAGCCUUACCCGCCGUGAUCUUGGCCGCCUGGAUUUCCUGGAGGGCACCCUGGCCUUCGGACCAGGCAACUUGUGGGCUUUGGCGGGCCUUGGCAAGUUUGGACUCUUGCUCCUUAAAGUCGAGCUCCAAGGACUCGCACUUCUUGACGGCGUCCUGGAGCUCUUGCUGGACCUCGUUAACCCGGGCCUCCUGCUUUUCGCGUGCGGCCCGAUCCUUGGACGCCUUGUCCUUGGCCGCGGCCAGCACCUUCUUGAGGGCCUCUACUUUGGUCGUUGCCCCUAAUAAAUUUCAUGGCACUUUGGUCAUCAUGAAUCACUCAUCCUUCCUGAAUAUGUAUAAGAUUACUGCGUACCUUGACUGUCCUCUAGCUGCUUCUUCACGUGGCCAAUCUCUUCCUCGGGCCGCUCUAGAUUCUGCUUCAGUUCGGAGACUUCCGCAGUAUGAGAGGACGCAGCUAGCAGCGAUGUCUGCUUGUUCACAUAGACAUUUUAGAUUAGACUCCUAUGAAAAUUAUUUGAUCCUCUAUUUGAUUUUUCUUUCUAAACACCGGACAAAGUAUCAGGGGCUACUGUCUAUACUGUGACAUUCUUUUUAUAAUUGCGUUGCUUACCUCAAAGCCUGUUAGAAGGAUCGUGCACGCUUCAGUCAAUCCGCUUUUCAUAGACUGAAUCUUCUCAAUCACCGGUGGAAGUGCUUCCAGUAAUCUAUCUGGUGCCUCUGUAUGGACAGACGUCACCGGUGGAGUGGGCUCACCACCCUCUUUCAAAAAAGGCGGCAUGCCUGAGUCUGGAUCCACAUGGGCCUCCGGAGCUGUAUUCAGCUGGCGGCCGAAUUGGAUACGACCCCCAUCAUUAGUGUCCAUAGGGGUUUGCUCCCCCAUGUGUUCGGCAACCGGGGUUUCACCCUCCGGCACCACCAGGAUGGCAUCCUGAGCCUCUCCCUGGUCUGGGAUCGUUCGAUACAACACCUCGGUGUUGUCCACGACCUUGGGGGAGGAGGUCGUCCGAAGGGACCCACUGUCCAUCGCCGACGGCUCCAGCGAUCCCUCCGAAGAGGAGGAUAGCUCGAUGUUGGACCGAGCCGGACUGCAAGUGCAUGAUCCAGCACAUUAAAAACAAUAAAGUAAAAAGGCCGGAUAUAUUACCGUGUCCGGACACUUACGAUUUGGCCAGGGGCUUGUCCCUGGGCUCCCACUCCCAGCUGCUGUUGGUGGCCGCUGCGGAGUUGUCCAGAAGGGAAGCUUUCCCCUUCUUGGACGCCUCGGCCUCUAGAUGUGUGGAGGUCGUCCUCUUCUUUCUCCCCCCAGUAGGGGAGAAUGGAUUUCUUCUUCCUCCUCCUCUUCCUCGUCGUCUUCGGCGAUGAAGGAGUGAUCCUCGGCGUCUUCGGACAUUGCGUCUGAUGCGCCCUUGCGACGGAGACCAUCUCUGGUCCCCUUGGCCUUCUUCUUGGCCUUCUUCUCCGGCACCUGAUAAGGUGCCGGAACCAGCAUCUUCGUUAGAAGUGGGAUUUCUGGGCCUUCGGGCAGCGGGGCUGGACAGUUAAUCCGCUCCGCCAUCUCUAUCCAGGCCUAAAAAAUGCAUAGGGAAGCUUAGAUUCCUUCCUCGAGUAGGCCAGUAAAGGGUAUACCUUGGAAACAUGAAAGAACUUACCGGAUUAGCCUGGCGAGUUAAGCUAUGCCCACGAUCCUCGGUCGUGGGUGGUGGUGUCUCGCCGGCCUUGAAGAACACCUUCCAGAUAUCUUUGCGCAUCGUGUCGAAGAGCUCUAGUAGCGUCUGGUGCUUGGCCGGGUCGAAUUCCCACAAAUAGCAAGUCCGUUGUUGGCACGGAAGGAUCCGGCGAACGAUCAUAACCUGGAUUACGUUGACGAGCUUGAUUCUCUUGUUUAUCAUGUUCUGGACGCAUGUCUAGAGCCCUGUCAGCUCGUCCGAAGAGCCCCAGGCCAGGCCCUUCUCUUGCCAGGAGGUGAGCCGCAUCGGGACUCCGGAUCGGAAUGUGGGAGCCACGGCCCAAUUGGUGUCGCGUGGCUCGGUGAUGUAGAACCACCCCGACUGCCACCCUUUUACAGGCUCCAUAAAGGAGCCUUUGGGCCAGGUGACAUUGGGCAUCUUGCCCACCAUGGCACCUCCGCACUCUGCUUGUUGGCUGCUCACCACCUUCGGCUUCACAUUGAAGGUCUUCAGCCAUAGGCCAAAGUGAGGUGGGAUGCGGAGAAAGGCCUCGCUCACAACAAUAAAUGUUGAGAUGUUGAGGAUAGAUUUGGGGGCCAAAUCAUGGAAGUCUAGCCCGUAGUAAAACAUCAGUCCACGGACAAACGGGUGGAGGGGGAAUCCCAGCCCGCGGAUGAAGUGUGUGAGGAAUACCACCCUCUCCUGGGGCUUCGGGGUGGGGACAAUCUGUCCCUUGGCCGGAAGUCGGUGAACGAUUUCCUUGGCUAGGUACCCGGCCUCCCGGAGCUUCUUGAUGUGCUUCUCCUUGGCGGAGGAGGCCAUCCACUUGCCUCCUACUCCGGAUCCGGACAUGAUUGGAGUGCUUUUUUGGGCGGAGAAGGCGAGAGCUUGGGCGCUGGAGCUCGAGGAUGGAUGGGCAGAGGAAGGAGAAGGCGUGGGUAAAAAAGGAUGAAUCCUUAUCCCUUUAUAAAGGCAAUAAAAGUCAUGUGCCUCCCCACUUGCCUUAAAAUUCGCCUAUUCCCCAAGCAUCGUGCAGAUGACACGGUUGGGUUACCCAUGCUCGUAUUGAUGAGAAUCCCGUGAUAAGGGGACACGAUCUCUGCUUUGACAAGACGUGCCAAUGAAACUGCACCUCGAAAUACGGAGAGGCAGGCUAAAAAGGGUUGGAAUAAUGACCGGGCAGUGGCGUGGUGUCACGCUACAAAAAGUUGUCAGCGGAUUGGACUCGUGAAAUAUUAUACUCUCUAUGGUUGUGUGUGGUACUUGUUUUGCAGAGUUGGACACGUUUUCUAUGUUCGGAAGGCUAUGUUGGAGUAUUUGGAGAAGGAACCCGCCUUGCAAUGUCGAAGACAAUCUGCGCGCCGGACUCAUCGUCAUUGAAGCCUGGUUCAGGGGCUACUGAGGGAGUCUUGGAUUAAGGGGUCCUAGGACAGUCGGAUUAUAUACUUUGGCUGGACUGUUGGGCUAUGAAGAUACAAAAUAGAAGACUUCGUCCCGUGUCCGGAUGGGACUCUCCUUGGCGUGGAAGGCAAGCUUGGCGAUUCGGAUAUGUAGAUUCCUUUCCCUAUAACCAACUUGGUACAACCCUAGCCCCCUCCGAUGUCUAUAUAAACCGGAGGGUUUAGGCUUCUAGGGUUUAGCCACAACAAUCAUAACCUCAUAGGCUAGACUUCUAGGGUUUAGCCAUUACGAUCUCGUGGUAGAUCAACUCUUGUAAUACUCAUAUUCAUCAAGAUCAAUCAAGAAGGAAGUAUGGUAUUACCUCCAUAGAGAGGGCCCGAACCUGGGUAAACAUUGUGUCCCCCGCCUCCUAUUACCAUUAGCCUUAGAUGCAUAGUUUGGGACCCCCUACCUGAGAUCCGCCGGUUUUGACACCGACAGGGGGAGCUGAAUAGGAUUAGGGCCCCAAGUAGGAUUCCUCCUACUUGGGCGCCUGUCGGUGUCAAAACCGGCGGAUCUCGGGUAGGGGGUCCUGAACUGUGCGUCUAGGCGGAUGGUAACAGGAGACAAGGGACACGAUGUUUUUACCCAGGUUCGGGCCCUCCCGGUGGAGGUAAAACCCUACUCCUGCUUGAUUGAUGGUAUGGGUAUUACAAGAGUUGAUCUACCACGAGAUCAGAGAGGCCAAACCCUAGAAGCUAGCCUAUGGUAUGAUUGUUGUUCAUCCUACGGACUAAAUUCUCCGGUUUAUAUAGACACCGGAGAGGGCUAGGGUUACACAGAGUCGGUUACAAUCGGAGGAGAUCUUCAUAUCGUAUCGCCAAGCUUGCCUUCUACGCCAAGGAAAGUCCCUAUCCGAACACAGAACGAAGUCUUCAAUCUUGUAUCUUCAUAGUCUGGGAGUCCGGCCAAAGGUCAUAGUCCGGUCAUCCAGACACCCCCUAAUCCAGGACUCCCUCAGUAGCCGUUGAACCAGGCUUCAACGACGACGAGUCUGGCGCGCAAGUUGUCUUCGGCAUUGCAAGGCGGGUUCCUCCUCCGAAUACUUCAUAGAAGAUGUUGAACACCAGGAUAGUGUUCAGCUCUGCAAAAUAAUUUCCAUAUGCCACCAUAGAGAGAAUAACAUUUGCACCGAUCUAAUCUGCUGACGUAUUCCGUAGCGUGACCUCACGCCACGGCCAGGCUUUUAUUCAUUUUACUGUUCCACCUCAACGCGUUUAGCGAGGCGGUUUCCUUGGCACAUCUUGUCAAAGUAGAGAUCGUGUCCCCUUAUUCCGGGAUUCUCAUCAAUACGGGCGUGGGUAACCCAACUGCGCCAUUAAAUCGCAGCGCUUGGAAGAUAAGCGAGUUUUAAUAGGCUGGUGGGGGCUCGUAGUUUUGGCCGCCCAUAUAAGGGGAUAAGGAUCUACCCUUUCCAUUUACGCCCUCUUCCUCCUUUGCUUAUCCCUCCCUGCGUACUCGAGCUCCAGCGCCCAAGCCCGCACAUCUCGCCUCGACCUACUCCAACCAUGUCCGGAGCGGGAGGCAACUGGAUGGCCUCCUCCGUCACGGAGGGGCACAUCAAAAGGUUGCGGAAAGCCGGAUACCUGCACAACGACAUUGCGCACCGGCUUCCACACGAGGGGCAGCUCAUCCCCACCCCUAGGCCCCAUGAGAGGGUUGUAUUUCUUCCCCAUUUCCUUCGCGGACUGGGCUUUCCUCUUCACCCGUUCGUCCGGGGGCUCACGUUCUAUUACGUCCUGGACUUCCAUGAUCUGGCCCCAAACUUCAUCCUCAACAUCUCGGUGUUUAUCGUCGUGUGCGAGGCCUUCCUCCGCAUCGAGCUCCAUUUUGGCCUAUGGCUGAAGAUUUUCAGCGUCAAGCCGAAGGUCGUGGGCGGACGCCAAGCAGAGUGCGGAGGCGCCAUGGUGGGAAAGAUAGCCAAUGUUACAUGGCUCGAGGGCGCCUUCGUAGAGACCAUCAAAGGGUGGCAAUUGGGGUGGUUCUAUAUAACCGAACCGCGUGACCCUGAAUGGGCAGCGGCCCCCGAAUUCCGAUCUGGCAUCCCCACGCGGCUCACAUCUUGGAAAGAGAUGGGCCUGUCGUGGGGAAAUCCGGUAAAGGUGACCGGACUUCAAACCUGCAUCAAGGACCUGAUCGGCAGGAAGGUUAAACUCGUCACCGUGGUCCAGGUCAUGCUCUUCUGCCGGAUUCUCCCGUGUCAACGACGGGCUUCCAAUUUGUGGGAGUUCGACCCGGCCCAGCACCAGACUCUGUCCCGACUUUUCGACACAAAGCAUGAAGAUGCCUGGAGGGUGCUAUUCAAGAGCUCCGAGGUCCCCCCUCCCGUCAUCGAGGAUCCUGGAUUUUGCACCAAGCGCCAAGCCAGCGUGGUGAGCUUACUUUUCCCAUUUUGGGAUAUUUUGUUUUCCAUAGUUUAACUCUAUGCGGGAUGUAAACUCCCUUACCUUUGACAGGACUGGCUGAAGAAGUCCGAGCAGGUCAACUGUCCGGCUCCUUUGCCCGAAGACCCAGCGGAUGAUCGUCUAACCAAGCUGCUGGUUCCAGCACCCCACGUGGUGCCGGAGAAGAAGGCCAAGAAGAAAACACGGGGACUCGAAAGAGCUCCCGGUGCCUGGUGGUGUCGGAUUCUUCGCCUGACAGCCCCGAAGCCCCCUCCGCCUCUGAAGACGAGGAGGAGGAAGAGGAAGAAGAAGCCCCUCCCCCUCCAAUGGGGGAAGGAAAGAAAAGGAAGGCCGCCCCAACUACGGAGGCCGGAGGGUCCAUGAAGGGGAAAAUCCUUCUACUGGACUACGCCUCCGAUGCCGAAGACGGCGGGGAGGAAUGGCCAUCCAGGGUCAAGCCCCUGGCAAAAUCAUAAGUGUCCGGCUACCUGAAUGACUCAUGGCGCCUCUCUACUAUUCGAUAGCUUCUGAUGCCGAAUUUUAAUUAUGCAGUCCACCCAGAGCUCAGCUCGGCAAUUUGUCGAGCGGCUCCCUGAAUUCGUCGGAUGUGAAUAGCGCUUCACUUCCGACGGCUUCCUCCCCACUCCCUACGGACGACGCCGAGGCGGAGUCCCAAAAGGGACCGAACCAGGAGGAGGUGGUCCUGGAGGCGCCCCAAGGUGACCUCCCGGACUCCAAGCCCAAAGGGGGCAAAGCCCCGGAGAGAUCUAAGUCCGGCCCCGGGCCGGACACUGCUCCGGAACCACCAACGGUUCCAGAGUCCGAUAGGUGGCGCCUUUAUAAGAAGGGCAAGCCUACGCCGCCGGCGACCUCUGUCCAUCCGGAGGCGCCGGACAAUUUGCUGGAGGCGCUUAAGGGUGCCUCCAUCGACGAGGAACACCGCACUGUUAUGAGUGCGGUGAUUCAAAAGGUUCAGUCCGCCAAAAGCGGGCUGACAGGAGCCUGUACAAGUCUGUUAACAGGCUUUGAGGUAUGUGUUCAAAACAUAUAAAAAUGUAACCGCGUAGACAGUAGCCCCUGAUGCUCGGUUCGGUGUUCAGAAAAGAAAAGCCGAGCUGAGGAUCUAAAAAGAUAUACGCAGGAGUCUAUUAAAAAUAUGUCGAUAUGGGAAUGCAGGCUGCGCUGCUGACCUCUGUCGCACUGACUGUGGAGGUCAAUGCAUUGAAGGGAAGCCUCGAGCGGUCCGAGAGCGAGCUCGGCCGUGGCAAGAAGCAGCUCGAGGACAAGGAGGGUAUGUAAUACUGUAUGUAAAUGUAUAUAGAGAUACUUGGUUGCAAAUAAUGACAGGACCAACUUAAAUGUUUCAGGGGCCACAGCCGAGGUGGCGACCCUGAAGGAGGCGGUCACGAAGGCUGAAAACAGUGCGGCACUAGAGCGCGCCGAGCGAGAGAAGCAGGAGGCGCGGGUGGCGGAGGUGCGGCAAGAGCUCCAGGCUCUCGUGGAAAAACACGAGAGUUUGGAGCAUGACUCGAAGACUCGAGAGUCCGAGCUCGCAUUGGCGCUUGAGAGUGCCAAAAACGCUAAGGCCGAAGCCCAGAAGGCCCUCCAGGAGAUCGAGGCGAUGAAGAAAAUAGCGGCGGGUAAGGCAUUUUUUAUGCAAAGCAAGAAUAUAAAAACUAAUUAUCUGCUACUUACCCGAAUCCGGAGCUCUCCAGGAGUGUUCGCCGAUCUGCCCCGUAGUGUGUCUGAUGCCGCCACAUACUACCGAGCCGAAGAGGGGAGCUCGACGGAAAAAGUUUUCUGGUCUCAGUAUGCUGAGGCCGAACAUCCGGUGCCCCUGAGCGACCAGCUGAAGCAGCUGGUCGAGCUCCACAAGGUGGCCGAAUAGGCCAUGAAGGGCCUCAUAGCUCGGCUGUGGCCUGGAGAAGCUAUGCCUGGGAGCUACUUCGGUCUGGUGCGGCGGCUGGUUGACGCGUGUCCGUGGAUUGAGGUCGUCAAGCGCUCCGUCUGUAUUAAAGGUGCCCGCCGGGCCCUUGCCCGUGCUAAAGUGCACUGGGGCAAGCUGGACGCUGAGAAGCUUUUGUCGGACGCGCCCCCGCCGGGCAAGGAGUAUCGCACGCCCGAGAUAUAUUAUAAGGGCGUCCUGAAGGGUGCUCGCCGUAUAGCGGACGAAUGCACUAAAGAUGUAAUUUUUGAGUAGGCUCGCAUCUGUUAUCCUGUACGCUGAAAACUUUGUUCAUAUGCGCUAAGCAACGCUUGUUAAUUUAAAAUAUUACCUUCUGUGCGGCCGUUUAUCAAAUCUGAGAGAUGCAAGUCGUCGGCUUCGACCCCCAUGCCACGAGUGCUGGGGUGUUCGGGAUAAACCUGAGCGCUCUUGUUCCCAUUUUUGGGUCCAUCUAGGGAGGCGCUCAGCACAACGAACCAGGCCGUCGGACUUAUAAUGUUUUAUCACUCUCACUUAGCCAUAGAAUCCUAUAAUUUUAAAUUUCGGGGAAGCCCCUAGUAUUCGGAAGAUCGAGUUCGGGGCGCUAUCCACGCCUAGGCCGGAUAAGUCUGGUUCCUCGCUCUAAGCGGCAUAAGUCUUUAAGGACUCGAAAAACCUCGCGAACAGUGACCGGUCUCUCGCACUAUCAUGACGGUCAGUUUUAGCUUUCUCUACUGAGGUGUUAACCCAGAUCAAUUGGGGCACAAUCGCAGUAGUUCUCCAAGUGCUACCUUAGCCAACAUUGCGGAACAUAAGGUACCAAAACAUGGGAGCCGGGCAAACCCAACUAUUGACCAAAGACAUGAUUCGGAGCCGAUGCAUAUAGUGCUAUAAGUUCGGGGUGCGGCACUCCUAAGAGUGUUCGGUCUUGUCACACCAUGUUAUGGGGUGCUUUAGCCCCUGGUGUAUUGUCCGUACCAAAGUGUACGGUUGCAUAAUGUCAUGACUGAACAUAUAUAUAAAAAGGAAUACAAUAAUAGAUAGAAGCUAUGUAUUGUUUAUUAUUAAAAAAUUGCUGCUAUGAAAGCAGAACAAUACAAAUAGUGCGAUAAGCAAGGGAUGGGAUUAUUUGACAUGUCCCCCUCCAGGGGCAAGCUGCGGGAUUUUAAGUAAAAUAGGUAGUAAGCUCGUUAUAGAGACCACCUGGACAUUUGAUGCGGCUUGUCCUCACCCUGGCUAUUGCAUCGUGUGUUCUGCAAGUGUAUUGCCGGACAGGCCUUCUGAGUAGUUGGGUCCUGAAAGUAUAUAAAAAAGGAAAACGACCGAAUAGGGAGCCCCUUAGUGCGGUUGAGCCGCAUUCUGGGCGUGCCGUAGUUGCGCCCCUUCCCUUAUGCCCAUGGUAUUUUCAAAGCAUAAUUAUGUACGCGUGAUACCGAUAGCACUAUCUGACGAGGGCUGGGGUUGGGGCCGCACUGCUAUGCUUGCUCGGCUCUGUUGUAGGUUGCUUCGGGCGCGCUUGACGUUGUCCGGACGUUUAAUACCCGGAUUGGAGAGCUGCCUUGAGAGGCUGCUUUGUACUUCCGCCGCGAGGGCCGCUGUGUGCUCCUCCGUUCGGAGAGAGCGUUCGGUGUUUCCAUUUACCAUGAUGACUCCGCGAGGGCCUGGCAUCUUGAGCUUGAGAUAUGUGUAGUGCGGCACCGCAUUGAACUUUGCAAAUGCGGUUCGUCCGAGCAAGGCGUGAUAGCCGCUGCAGAAUGGGACUAUGUCGAAGAUUAACUCUUCGCUUCGAAAAUUAACCGGGGAUCCGAAGACCACUUCGAGUGUAACUGAGCCUGUACAGCUGGCUUCUACACCCGGUAUGACACCUUUAAAGGUUGUCUUUGUGGGUUUGAUCCCUGAGGGAUCUAUACCCAUUUUUCGCACUGUAUCCUGAUAAAGCAGGUUCAAGCUAUUGCCGCUGUCCAUGAGGACUCUGGUGAGGUGAAAUCCGUCAAUGAUUGGGUCUAGGACCAAUGCGGCGAAUCCGCCGUGACGGAUGCUGGUGGGGUGGUCCCUUCGAUCAAAUGUGAUCGGGCAGGAGGACCAUGGGUUGAACUUUGGGGCGACUGGCUCCAACGCAUAGACGUCCUUGAGAGCACGCUUCCGCUUUCUCUUGGGGAUAUGGGUUGCGUAUAUCAUGUUCACCGUCCGCACUUGCGGGGGGAAUCCCUUCUGUCCUCUGUUGUUUGGCGGCCGGGGCUCCUCCUCGUUAUCGCUACGCAGCCUCUUGUCUCUGGUUUCGGCACUUACCUUGCCUGCCUGCUUGAACACCCAACAAUCCCUGUUGGUGUGGUUGGCUGGUUGUUCGGGGGUGCCGUGUAUCUGGCACGAGUGGCCGAGUAUCCGGUCUAAGUUGGAUGGGCCUAGAGGGUUUCUUUUGAAUGGCUUCUUCCGCUGACCGGGUUUAGAGCCUCUAAAUCCGGCAUUGACUGCCGUAUCCUCAGUAUUGUCGCUGUUAAUGCAGUGCUUGUGCUUGUUGCGACGUGACCUGCCAUUGUUGUCCUUGGUAUCCGAAUUACCAAGGCUCUUGGUUAUGUUAUUGCUACGAGCUAGCCAGCUGUCUUCGCCCGUGCAGAAGCGGGUCAUGAGUGUCAUGAGGGCUGCCAUAGAUUUCGGCUUUUCCUGUCCUAGGUGCCGGGCAAGCCAUUCAUCUCGGAUGUUGUGCCUGAAGGCAGCAAGGGCCUCGGCAUCCGGACAGUCGACUAUUUGAUUUUUCUUGGUUAGGAACCGUGUCCAGAAUUGUCUGGUCGAUUCCUCUGGCUGCUGGAUUAUGUGGCUUAGGUCAUCGGCGUCUGGUAGUCGCACGUAAGUGCCCUGGAAGUUGUCAAGGAAUGCGGAUUCCAGGUCCUCCCAGCAACUAAUUGACUCUGCUGGCAGGCUGUUAAGCCAAUGUCGAGCUGGUCCUUUAAGCUUGAGCCGGAGGUAUUUGAUGGCGUGUAGAUCAUCCCCACGGGCCAUGUGGAUAUGAAGGAGGUAAUCCUCGAUCCGUACCGCGGGAUCAGUUGUGCUGUCAUAUGAUUCAAUGUUUAUGGGCUUGAAACCCUCGGGGAUUUGAUGAUCCAUUACUUCGUCUGUGAAGCAUAGUGGGUGUGCGGCGCCCCUGUACUGGGCUAUAUCGCGGCGCAACUCGGAUGAGCUUGGUCUGUUGUAUUCGGCCUGGCCGUAUUUAUCAUAUUCAGUGUGACGGUUAUCAUCACGUGAUGUGGGGCGCCCAUGCGAUCCGUAGAUCGAUCUUGUUUGCCUUGCCUUGUCCUCUAGUAUGUCUUGCAGGUCUGUUGCGUCUCCCCAUACUUUGUUAUGUUUUGAGUGGUGCCGGGUGCGGCUUGGGUCGAGGGCCUGAAGGUCUCUCUGUUGUGGCCAUGGGGUGGCCGAUUGGGAGCAUCAUACGCUGGUAAUGUAGGUCUAGUUGCUUCCUCCUCAAGUCAGGGUAGCAGCCUGCACUUUGGGUAGCUCUUGGAAGGGCGCUCGAGUUUAUGCUCUUCGACUGCCAGGAUUUCGGUCCAUCUGUCGGCUAGCAAGUCUUGGUAAGCUCUAAGCUGCUGCUGUUUUUUCUUGAGGCUGAGUGUCGUGGCCAUAAGCCUGCGUUUGAAACGCUCUUGUUCGACUGGAUCCUCUGGCACGACGAAUUCGUCGUCGUCGAGGCUUGCCUCGUCUUCGGAGGGAGGCAUAUAGUUGUCGUCCUCAACCUCUCUGUCGGCCGCUCUCUCAUGAGGGCUGGCUCCUUCGUCCUCCUGCACUGAAUCCUGCUGCAGGGGCUUAUCUUCGGCACUGUCCGGCGUGUUGUUAUCUCCGGUGCCGGAUUCGCAGUUCUUGCUUUGGCGGGAUUUAGAGCGGCGCCGCUGACGUCGGCGCUUGGGUUGCUUCUUGGAGGGGUCAUCCUCCGUUUUUUCCUCGCCAUCCCCUGCUUUGGGGGUGUCCACCAUGUAUAUGUCAUAUGACGAGGUGGCUUUCCAGUUCCCUGUAGGCGCUGGUUCUUGGUCGUCUCCUUCAUCGGCGUCCAUACCGUCAAUGUCUUCGGAGUCAAAGUCGAGCAUGUCCGUUAGAUCGUCGACAGUGGCUAUAAAGUGGGUGGUGGGUGGGUUUCGAAUUUCUUCGGCGUCCGUACCCCAACCAUGCUGACCAUAAUCCGGCCAGGGCUCUCCUGACAAAGAGAGAGACUUUAGGGAGUUCAGGAUAUCACCAAAGGGCGAGUGCUGAAAGACGUCCGCGGCGGUGAACUCCAUGAUCGGAGCCCAAUCGGGUUCGAUUGGAAGGGGUGCGGAAGAUUCGGAGUCCGGAAUGGAGUCCGGCACCUUGGAGUCACGGGCCUUGCAAAGGACUAGGCUGGUAUUCGGCUCUAUCGCCGUAGAGAUUGUGGCUCCUGGGGCAGCGUCCAACCGUCCGUCCCUGGUUGGCGCAGUCGGCUCCGAACUAAUGGUCGGAGCGGACUCCUAAGCGGCACUCUGGGCGCUGUCUGGCGGCAGAGCUAGGUCAUGCCCAUCGAGACAGUGCGGUGCGCUCGGCCGUGGCUCGAAUCCGUCGAAGUUCAAGUCCCCGCGAAUGUCGGCCGUGUAGUUUAAGCUUCCAAACCUGACCUGAUGGCCAGGGGCGUAGCUUUCGAUCUGCUCCAGAUGGCCAAACGAGUUGGCCCGCAGUGCAAAGCCGCCGAAUACGAAGAUCUGUCCGAGGAGAAAAGUCUCACCCCGGACUGCGUCGUGGUUGAUGAUCGAAGAAGCCAUCGUGCCUAAAGGCAACGACAUAGAGGAACUCUCAAUGAAAGCACCAAUGUCGGUGUCAAAACCGGCGGAUCUCGUGUAGGGGGUCCCGAACUGUGCGUCUAGGCGGAUGGUAACAGGAGACAAGGGACACGAUGUUUUUACCCAGGUUCGGGCCCUCUCGGUGGAGGUAAAACCCUACUCCUGCUUGAUUAAUAUUGAUGGUAUGGGUAUUACAAGAGUUGAUCUACCACGAGAUCAGAGAGGCCAAACCCUAGAAGCUAGCUUAUGGUAUGAUUGUUGUUCGUCCUACGGACUAAAACUCUCCGGUUUAUAUAGACGCCGGAGAGGGCUAGGGUUACACAGAGUCGGUUACAAUGGGAGGAGAUCUUCAUAUCGUAUCGCCAAGCUUGCCUUCUACGCCAAGGGAAGUCCCUAUCCGGACACGGAACGAAGUCUUCAAUCUUGUAUCUUCAUAGUCCGGGAGUCCGGCCAAAGGUCAUAGUCCGGUCAUCCGGACAUCCCCUAAUCCAGGACUCCCUCAGCGCCCCCUUGGCUGCUCCCUCUCCCUCCAACCAAUAUAUAUGAGGGUAGGGCACCGCUAGAACACACAAUAUUGAUUCCUAGCCAUGUGCGGCGCCCCCUCCAUAGUUUACGCCUCCGGUUAUAUUCAUGUAGUGCUUAGGUGAAGCCCUGCGCGGAUCACUUCACCAUCAUUGUCACCACGCCAUCGUGCUGAUGCAACUCUCCCUCGACACUUUGCUAGAUCGAGAGUUCGAGGGACGUCAUCGAGAUGAACGUGUGUAGAACUCGGAGGUGUCGUACGUUUCAUGCUCGAUCGGUCGGAACGAGAAGAAGUUCGACUACAUCAACCGCGUGGUCAAACGCUUCCGCUUUUGGUCUACGAGGGUACAUGGACACACUCUCCCCCUCUCGUUGCUAUGCAUCUCCUAGAUAGAUCUUGCGUGAGCAUAGGAAUUUUUCAAAUUGCAUGCUAUGUUUCCCAAUAGUGGCAUCACAGCCAGGUCUAUGCGUAGAUGAUAUGCACGAGUAGAACACAAAGAGUUGUGGGUGGUGAUUGUCAUACUACUUACCACCAAUGUAUUAUUUUGAUUCGGCGGUAUUAUUGGAUGAAGCGGCCCGAACCAACCUUACAUGACCACGUUCAUGAGAUCGGUUCCACCGAUAGACAUGCGACUAGUUUUGCAUAAAGGUGGCUUGCGGGUGUCUGUUUCUCCAACUUUAGUUGAAUUGAAUUUGACUGCGGCCGGUCCUUGUGAAGGUUAAAACAACAAACUUGAUAAAUCACGGUUGUGGUUUUGUGCCGUAGGUAAGAACGGUUCUUUCUAGAAGCCUGUAGCAGCCACGUAAAACUUGCAACAACAAAGUGGAGGACAUCUAACUUGUUUUUGCAGGGCAUGUUGUGAUGUGAUAUGGUCAAGACAUGAUGUGAUAUAUGUUGUUGUAUGAGAUGAUCAUGUUUUGUAUAAGUUAUCGGCAACUGGCAGGAGCCUUAUGGUUGUCGCUUUAUUCUAUGAAAUAUAAAUGCCAUGAAAUUUCUUUACUUUAUCACUAAGCGAUAGUGAUAGCUGUAGAAGCAAUAGUUGGCGAGACGACCACGACGCUACGAUGGAGAUCAAGGUGUCAAGCCGGUGAUGAUGGAGAUCAUGACGUUGCUUUGGUGAUGGAGAUCAAAAGCACAAGAUGAUGAUGGCCAUAUCAUGUCGCAUAUUUUGAUUGCAUGUGAUGUUUAUCUUUAUGCAUCUUAUUUUUCUUAGUAUGGAGGUAGCAUUAUAAGAUGAUCCCUUAACUAAAUUUCAAGGUAUAAGUGUUCUCCCCGAGUAUGCACCGUUGCGAAAGUUCUUUGUGCUGAGACACCACGUGAUGGUCGGGUGUGAUAAGCUCUAUGUUCAAAUACAACAGGUGCAAGCCAGUUUUGCACAUGCAGAAUACUCGGGUUAAACUUGACGAGCCUAGCAUGUACAGACAUGGCCUCGGAACACUGGAGAAUGAAAGGUCGAACGUUAAUCAUAUAGUGGAUAUGAUCAACAUAGAGACGUUCACCAUUGAUGACUACUCCAUCUCACGUGAUGAUUGGACAUGGUUUAGUUGAUUUGGAUCAUGUAUCAUUUAAUGACUUGAGGGAUGUCUAUCUAAGUGGGAGUUCUUAAGUAAUAUGAUUAAUUGAACUUAAUUUAUCAUGAACUUAGUCCUGAUAGUAUUUGCAAAUUAUGUUGUAGAUCAAUAGCUCGCGUUGUAGCUCCCCUAUGUUUUUUAUAUGUUCCUAGAGAAAGCUAAGUUGAAAGAUUAUAGUAGGAAUGAUGUGGUCUGGGUCCGUGAUCUAAGGAUUAUCCUCAUUGCUGCAUAGAAGAAUUGUGUCCAUAAUGCACCGCUAGGUGACAGACCUAUUGCAGGAGCAGAUGCAGAUGUUAUGAACGUUUAGCAAGCUCGAUAUGAUGACUACUUGAUAGUUUAGUGCACCAUGCUUUAUGGCUUAGAACCAGGACUUCAAAAACAUUUUGAACACCAUAGAGCAUAUGAGAUGUUCCAAGAGUUGAAAUUGGUAUUUCAGACUCAUGCCCGUGUCGAGAGGUAUGAGAGCUCUAACAAGUACUUUGCCUAAAAGAUGGACGAGAAUAGCUCAGCUAGUGAGCAUGCGCUCAGAAUGUCUGGGUAGUGCAAUCGCUUGAAUCAAGUGGGGGUUAAUCUUCCAGAUAAGAUAGUGAUUGAUAGAGUUCUCUAGACAACAUCACCAAGCUACUAGAACUUUGUGAUGAACUAUAAUAUGCAAGGGAUGACGAAAGCGAUUCCUGAGCUCUUCGUGAUGCUGAAAUCGAUGAAGGUAGAAAUCAAGAAAAAGCAUCAAGUGUUGAUGAUUAAACAAGACCACUAGUUUCAAGAAAAGGGCAAAGGAAAAUAAAGGGAACUUCAAGAAGAAUGGUAACCAAGUUUUCGCUCCCAUGAAAAAGCCCAAAGCUAGACUUAAGCCUAAAACUGAGUGCUUCUACUGCAAAGGAAAUGGUCACUGGAAGCGGAACUACCACAAAUAUUUGGAGGAUAAGAAGGAUGGCAAAGUGAACAAAGGUAUAUUUGAUAUACAUGUUGUUGAUGUGUACCUUACUAGUGCUCGUAGUAGCCCCUGGGUAUUUGAUGCAUGUUCGGUUGCUAAGAUUAGUAAGUCGAAACAGGGGUUGCAAAAUAAAUAGAGACUAGUUGAGGGUGAAGUGACGAUGUGUGUUGGAAGUGGUUCCAAGAUUGAUAUGAUCAUCAUCGCACACUCCCUAUACUUUCGUCAUUAGCGUUGAACCUAAAUAAGUGUUAUUUGGUGUUUGCAUUGAGCAUGAAUAUGAUUAGAUCAUGUUUAUUGCAAUACAGUUAUUCAUUUAAGACAGAGAAUAUUUGUUGUUCUAUUUACAUGAAUAAAACCUUCUAUGGUCAUACACCCAAUGUUAAUGUUUUAUUGAAUCUCGGUCGUAGUGAUACACAUAUUCAGAAUAUUGAUGCCAAAAGAUGCAAAGUUGAUAAUUAUAGUGCAACAUACUUGUGCCACUGCCGUUUAGGUCAUAUUGGUGUAAAGCGCAUGAAGAAACUCCAUGCUUAUGGGAUUUUGGAAUCACUUGAUUAUGAAUUAUUUGAUACUUGCGAACCAUGCCUCAUUGGCAAGAUGACUAAAACUCCAUUCUCCGGAACAAUGGAGAGAGCCAAUGACUUAUUGAAAAUAAUACAUACCGAUGUAUGCGGUCCCAUGAGUGUUGAGGCACGCGGUGGGUAUCGUUAUUUUCUAACAUUCACAGAUAAUUUGAGCAGAUAUGGGUAUAUCUACUUAAUGAAACACAAGUCUGAAACAUUUGAAAAGUUCAAAGAAUUUCAGGGUGAAGUGUAGAAUCAUCGUAAGAAGUAAAUAAAGUUUCUACGAUCUAAUCGUGGAGGGGAAUAUUUGAGUUAUGAGUUUGUCCUUCAUUUAAAACAAUGUGGAAUAGUUUCACAGCUCACGCCACCUGGAACACCAUAGCGUAAUGGUGUGUCCAAACAUCGUAAAUGCACUUUAUUAGAUAUGGUGCGAUCUAUGAUGUCUCUUACCAAUUUACCACUAUCGCUUUGGGGUUAUGCAUUAGAGACAGAUGCAUUCACAUUAAACAGGGCACCAUCAAAAUCCGUUGAGACGACACCGUAUGAACUAUGGUUUGGCAACAAACCUAAGCUGUCGUUUCUUAAAGUUUAGGGAUGCGAUGCUUAUGUCAAAAGGCUUUAGUCUGAUAUCAAACCCAAAUUGGAGAAGUGCGUCUUCAUAGGAUACCAUAAGGAAACAAUUGGGUACACCUUCUACCAUAGAUCCGAAGGCAAGAUAUUUGUUGCUAAGAAUGGAACCUUUCUAGAGAAGGAGUUUCUCUCGAAAGAAGUGAGUGGGAGGAAAGUAGAACUUGAUGAGGUAAUUGUACCUUCUCUUAAUUUGGAAAGUAGUUCAUCCGACAAAUCCGUUCCCGUGAUGCCUACGCCAAAUAGAGAGGAAGCUAACGAUAAUGAUCAUGAAACUUCAGAUCAAGUUGCUACAGAACCUCGUAGGUCAACCAGAGCAUGAUCCGCACCAGAGUGGUACGGUAAUCCUGUUUUGGAAGUCAUGUUACUAGACCAUGAUGAACCUACGAACUAAGAAGAAGCUAUGAUGAGCCCAGAUUCCGAUAAAUGGCUUGAGGCCAUGAAAUCUGAGAUAGAAUCCAUGUAUGAGAAUAAAGUGUGGACUUUGGUUGACUUGCUCGAUGAUCAGCGAGCCAUAGAAAAUAAAUGGAUAUUCAAGAGGAAGACAGACAGUGAUGGUAGUGUUACUAUCUACAAAGCUCGAAUUGUCGUAAAAGGUUUUUGACAAGUUCAAGGUGUUGACUACGAUGAGAUUUUCUCACUCGUAUCAAUGCUUAAGUCUAUCUGAAUCAUGUUAGCAAUUGCUGCAUUUUAUGAAAUCUGGAAAAUGGAUAUCAAAACUGCAUUCCUUAAUGGAUUCAUUAAAAAAAGUUGUACUAGAAGGUUUUUGUCAGUCCUAAAGGUGCUAACAAAAUGUGCAAGCUCCAGCGAUCCCAUCUAUGGACUGGUGCAAGCAUCUCAAAGUUGGAAUAUACGCUUUGAUGAGUUGAUCAAAGCAUAUAGUUUUAUACAGACUUGAGGUGAAGCCUGUAUUUACAAGUAGUGGGAGCACUACAACCUUUCUGAUAAGUAUAUUUGAAUGACAUUGUUGAUCAGAAAUGAUGUUGAAUUUUCUGGAAAGCAUAAAGGAGAGUUUGAAAGGAGUUUUUCAAAGAAAGACCUCGGUGAAGCUGCUUACAUAUUGGGUAUCAAGAUCUAUAGAGAUAGAUCAAGAUGCUUGAUAAGAUUUUUCAAUGAGUACAUACCUUGACAAGAUUUUGAAGUAGUUCAAAAUGGAACAGUCAAAGAAGGAGUUCUUUCCUGUAUUGCAAGGUGUAAAGUUGAGUAAGACUCAGAACCCGACCACAGCAGAAAAUAGAAAGAGAAUGAAAGUCAUUCCCUAUGCCUCUGUCAUAGGUUCUAUAAAGUAUGCUAUGAUGUGUACCAGACCUAUUGUGUACCUUAUCAUGAGUUUGGCAAGGGGGUACGAUAGUGAUCCAGGACUGGAUCACUGGAUAGCGGUCAAAGUUAUCCUUAGUUACCUAAGAGGACUAAGGAAAUAUUUCUCGGUUAUGGAGGUGAUAAAGAGUUCUCUGUAAAGAGUUACGUCGAUGCAAGAUUUUACACCGAUCCGGAUGACUAUGAGUCUCUAUCUGGAUACAUAUUAAAAGUGGGAGCAAUUAGCUAGAGUAGCUCCAUGCAGAGAAUUGUAGACAUAGAAAAUUUGCAAAAUACAUAUGGCUCUGAAAUAUGGCAGACCCGUUGACUAAACCUCUCUCACAAGCAAAACAUGAUCACACCUAAAUACUCUUUGGGUGUUAAUCACAUAGUGAUGUGAACUAGAUUAUUGACUCUAGUAAAACCUUUUUGGUGUUGGUCACAUGGUGAUGUGAACUAUGGGUGUUAAUCACAUAAAGAUGUGAACUAUUGGUAUUAAAUCACAUGGCGAUGUGAACUAGAUUAUUGACUCUAGUGGAAGUGGGAGACUGAAGGAAAUAUGCCCUAGAGGCAGUAAUAAAGUUGUUGUUUUAUAUUUCCUUAUUUCAUGACAAAUGUUUAUUAUUCAUGCUAGAAUUGUAUUAACCAGAAACUUGAUACAUGUGUGGAUACAUAGACAAAACAUCGUGUCCCUAGUAUGCCUCUACUUGACUAGCUCGUUAAUCAAAGAUGGUUAAGUUUCCUAGCCAUAGACUUGUGUUGUCAUUUGAUGAAAGGGAUCACAUCAUUAGGAGAAUGAUGUGAUGGAUAAGACCCAUCUGUUAGCUUAGCAUAAUGAUUGUUCAGUUUUAUUGCUACUUCUUUCUUCAUGUCAAAUAUAUACUCCUCCGACUAUGAGAUUAUGCAACUCCCGGAUGCCGAAGGAAUGCCUUGUGUGGUAUCAAACAUCACAGCGUAACUGGGUGAUUAUAAAGAUUCUCUACAGGUAUCUUCGAAGGUGUUUGUUGGGUUGGCAUAGAUCGAGAUUAGGAUUUGUCACUCCGAGUAUCGGAGAGGUGUCUCUGGGCCCUCUCGGUAAUGCACAUCAUAUGAAGCCUUGCAAGCAAUGUGACUAAUGAGUUAGUUACAGGACGAUGCAUUACAGAACGAGUAAAGAGACUUGCUAGUAAUGAGAUUGAACUAGGUAUGAAAGAUACCGACGAUCGAAUCUCGAGCAAGUAACAUACCGAUGACAAAGGGAAUAACGUAUGUUGUCAUAAUGGUUCGACGGAUAAAGAUAUUCGUAGAAUAUGUGGGAGACAAUAUGAGCAUCCAGGUUCCGCUAUUGGUUAUUGACCGGAGAGGUGUCUCAGUCAUGUCUACAUAGUUCUCAAACCCAUAGGGUCCACACGCUUAACAUUUGAUGACAAUUUGUAUUAUAUGAGUUAUGUGAUUUGAUGACCGAAUGUUGUUCGAAGUCCUGGAUGAGUUCACGGACAUGACGAGGAGUCUCGAAAUGUUCGAGAGGUAAAUAUUAUAUAUAAGACAAUAGUAUUUGGACACCAGAAGUGUUCCGGGGGUACCGGGUAUGUAUCGGGUCACCGGAACGGGUUCCGGGCAACCCCCGGCAAACUACAUGGGCCUAAUGGGCCAAGAAGGGGACAGACCAGCCCCUAAGGGGCUGGUGCACCCUGUGUAGGCUGAAUUAGGAGAGGGGAAGGAAAGAGGGGAAUAGAGGAGGAACGGGAGGGAUUCGGCCUCCCCCUUCCUUCCCUCCUCCCUCCUCCUUCCUUCCCCCUCCGGAAGAUAUGGAAAGGGGGGAGCCGAAUAGGAUUAGGGCCCCAAGUAGGAUUCCUCCCACUUGGGCGCCCCUUGGCUGCUCCCUCUCCCUCCCACCUAUAUAUAUGAGGGUAGGGCACCACUAGAACACACAAUAUUGAUUGUGGUGCCCUCUCCAUAGUUUACACCUCUAGUCAUAUUCACAUAGUGCUUAGGCGAAGCCCUACACGGAUCACUUCACCAUCACCGUCACCUCGCUAUUGUGCUGAAGCAACUCUCCCUCAACACUUUGCUGGAUCAAGAGUUCGAGGGACGUCAUUGAGCUGAACGUGUGUAGAACUCGGAGGUGUCGUACAUUUGGUGCUUGAUCGGUCGGAACAAGAAGAAGUUCGACUACAUCAACUGCGUUGUCAAACACUUCCGCUUUCGGUCUAUGAGGGUACGUGGACACACUCUCCCCCUCUUGUUGCAGUCAAAGUUAUCCUUAGUUACCUAAGAGGACUAAGGAAAUAUUUCUCGGUUAUAGAGGUGAUAAAGAGUUCAUCGUAAAGAGAUACGUCGAUGCAAGCUUUUACACCAAUCCACAUGACUCUGAGUCUCAAUCUGGAUACAUAUUGAAAGUGAGAGCAAUUACCUAUAGUAGAUCCAAGCAGAGAAUUGUAGACAUAGGAAAUUUGCAAAGCACAUACGGCUCUGAAUAUGGCAGACCCGUUGACUAAACUUCUCUCACAAGCAAAACAUGAUCACACCUUAGUACUCUUUGGGUGUUAAUCACAUAGCGAUGUGAAAUAGAUUAUUGACUCUAGUAAACCCUUUGGGUGUUGGUCACAUGGCGAUGUGAACUAUGGGUGUUAAUCACAUACAGAUGCAAACUAUUGGUGUUAAAUCACAUGGGGAUGUGAACUAGAUUAUUGACUCUAGUGGAAGUGGGAGACUAAAGGAAAUAUGCCCUAGAGGCAAUAAUAAAGUCAUUAUUUAUAUUUCCUUAUAUCAUGAUAAAUGUUUAUUAUUCAUGCUAGAAUUGUAUCAACCGGAAACUUAGUACAUGUGUGGAUACAUAGACAAAACAAAGUGUCCCUAGUAUGCCUCUACUUGACUAGCUCAUUAAUCAAAGAUGGUUAUGUUUCCUGACCAUAGACAUGUGUUGUCAUUUGAUAAAUGGGAUCACAUCAUUAGAGAAUGAUGUGAUGGGCAAGACCCAUCUGUUAGCUUAGCAUAAUGAUUGUUAAGUUUUUAUUGCUAUUGCUUUCUUCAUGACUUAUACAUGUCCCUCUGACUAUGGGAUUAUGCAACUCCCGAAUACUGGAGGAACACCUUGUGUGCUAUCAAACAUCACAAUGUAACUGGGUGAUUAUAAAGAUGCUCUACAUGUAUCUCCGAAGGUGUUUGUUGAGUUGGCAUAGAUCGAGAUUAGGAUUUUCCACUCUGUGUAUCGGAGAGGUAUCUCUGGACCCUCUCGGUAAUGCUCAUCACUAUAAGCCUUGCAAGCAAUGUGUAACAUCCCAAAUUUUCAAUUUGGAAUGUUAUACAUUAGAUCAUUAUUGCAUAUCAUAUUCUAAUGCAUUUUGGGUUGAUCCUAGAAAUUCUACGCAACUCAAGGACCCACGGAGAGAGUUGGGGAUUUCGUUAUUUUCAUUUUUGAGUUUACUCAAAUUUUUGAAAAGAGGAUCGUUUGAUUUUAAUUAUUUUUCUUUUGAAUAUUUCUUAUAUAAAAAUAAAAGAGAGGGGAUAAAAUGACUUCCCCAAAAUAAAGAAAUAUUGGAGGUUAAAUAUUAAAAUCAAAUAAGAAUUUUAUUCAGAGUUUUAUCGCUAUUUUAUUUGAAUUAGGAAAAAAAUGCAUUUUCCAAAAUUGCAAUAGAGGCCCAAAUAAAUGUUCACUUUUUCCGCUAAAUUUUUAGAGGACGGGGAAAAUUUAUGUCAGGAUUUUUGGAGUCCUUUUAGUAUUUCUUUUCUUCGUUUUUCUGCGCGGAAUUAUUUAAAAAAAAAGUCAACCGACCUAGCCGGGCCGUGCCCGACUACGACUCCAGCCCGGCCGGCCUUCAAGAGGCGAGGCCCGAGCCACCCCAAACCCUAGCCCCGCCCCCAGCUGAUACGCCGCCGCCGCCAGACUCUGCCGACCUCGCCGCCCCGUCGGAGUUCCCGCCGCCGCCACCGCCCAUCCGAGGUAGCCGCCGGUUUUCGUUAGAAAACCAUAGGUUUUUUUUAGAAACCCUGGUUAUAUUUUUUUCGAUCGGUUUUUUUCCUGGUUUAGUUAUUUAGCGAACGCCCGUUCGUACGUUCGGUUUUACAAACGGUUUUCACCCGUUAGCCGCAGACAGUGAACGUUCGUUCGUUAGCCUUUUCGUCGGUUUCUCUUUUUCCAGGGUUUUUCGCGAUUAUUUUCGAUCGCGAUUUCUGCCCUGAUUUUUGUUUUAGUUUAUCUUUUCGCUCGUUUAUCGGAAUCAGGCGAUUCAAGAGCCCAGAUCUUUGUCUUGAAGCCCUCUUUCUAUUUAAAAAAACAUAAACAAGAUUUUGUUACUGUAAAAUUUGACUUAAGUCUAGAUUAGUAAACGGAUCUUGUUUCUUUCGUAGUUUGAGUUUCGUUGCUUCGUUUGAUUUGAUUCUUUUUGCAAACCGGAGUUCUUAAGUUAAACUUUCUAGUUAGAUCUCUUAUUUGAGUUUUACCCGUGCUUCUAGUUGAGUGCUUAUUGUAUGCUUGUUUGUUUGCGAUAGAGUACCCGGAGUGCGAAGCGUGCUACUACGAGUCUCUAGGUUUCACGGAUCCUCGGCAAGGCAAGUAACACUUUGAUCAUACCUCUUUACUACCCAGUUUUAUUGCAUUAGAUCAAUCCUCAAACAAUUGCAUGGUUAGGAUCUGAUUAAUAUGUGGGUUUUGGGAAGUAGAUGAUGAGGUAGAACCUAUUGCCCUGUUUAUUAUCAAACCUAUGGGAGUUACUUCUACGUUGCUUAUAUUGCUAUGCUAUGCUUGUACAUGUGGUUUGGUUCAAGUGAUUCAUGACAGAUGUGAGUAUUGUUAAUUAAUGGUUUACUUAAGGUGGUUACUUAAAUACACAUAUUGGUGGAUUGCUUGAAGGCACCCUGGAGUACCCAGUGGUUGCCAGGGCACCUGGAGAAUCUAGUGUUGUCCUAGGAUAUCCCGUAGUACCCAUGUGAUCAUCCUACGGUCCGCCAUCCAGGCUCAAAGGGAUCAUAAGAUUAUUCAUGCUAGAAACUUUCAUGUGCAGCCACAAGCCAAUAUGGGCUCUCGCAUAGUUGAGUAAGUUGCGUGAAGCUCUUGAAGAGGUAGACUAGCAGAUGUAGUGGGUUGUGGGUGGUACUGUCUAUCCAGAGUAGAGAGUUAAUGCUUCAGAAAGACUGUGUCUCGAAUCUCCGACCAUGGAUGUAUUCGAGUCUUGUGGGGAAAACUGCGCAAACCUCUGAAGAGUUUACAAACUAAUCAUGGUUAGUCGUGUCCCAGGUUAUGGACGUUUUGAGUAUCUAGUUAUUGGAUUAUCAUGUUGAUCUCAUCACUAUAAAUAUAAUUUUAUUGGGUUUAAUGAUGAUGUUUAAUUGGGAUUGAGUUGGAGGAACCUUCUCAAUGUUUAACAACCACCAUGAUAGUUAAAUAAAAUUUAUUCCUUUGUUGUAGGGAAAAAUUGGCUUUAUGCAAAACUGUAACCAUAGAGCUUUCCACCAGCCAUAUAUGCAUGUAGUGAUAGCAUUUAUUCUGUUCUUUUCUCUAUGUGUUACAUUGCCAGCAUAUUCCAUGUGCUGACCCGUUUCGGGCUGCAAUGUUCAUGUUGCAGACUUUUCAGACGACGAGUAAGGUGCCAUAGGUCAUUGUCUUUCACUCAGUGAUGCGGUUGGAGUUGAUGGACUCACUUUAUCUUCCAAGCCUUUCGCUGUUAUCGUUUUUAGAUGGCCCUACUCCAUAUUUAUAGUAAUAAGUUCUCUUUUGAGACAUUCGAUGUAAUAAGUGUGCGAUUGCUACUCUGUUAUAAAUCCUCAAGUACUGUGCAUGUCAGCAUUACCGAUCCAGGGAUGACACUAACGCACAUAGAUCAGACUGUUUGAGGUCUGGUCGCUACAAGAUGGUAUCAGAGCACACGCUGACUGUAGGACACGACCACUAAGCUAAAGCCCUAGAUCACUACUCUCUUCUCAUUUCUGACUCCUCUCCCUUUUCUACUCUUUAGGAUGGCGGAUGCAAGGAACAAGUUCACUCAACCGGAUGAAGAUACACCUUUUGGACGACACUUGAAGGAAGUCACUAGAUACCUGAACAUCGGAAGAUAUCAUGGAGUCUUCCACCGAUCAAUUUUUCUAGUCGACCACCAUAUCAGUAGUAGUAUCACCGCCCAUGUGUAUAGUAUAGUCCGAGCCCUUUUGUAAUGAUAGUUAGACCGCUUGUAUGCUCUUGUUUGAAUUGAUUGGAGUGAUGUGUUUGUGUUUGUCUCAUGUGCAUAUGGGUAGUGUUUUCCCUCUACAUCUCAUUCAAUUCUAUUUUCUCAUCUUUUCUAAACCCAUCAGAUGCCUCCGAGAUGCGACAAUGGAUUUGCUUUCCCACCGGAGCUCACUUAGUUGAUCCAGCAGCAGAAUGCCUUCAUGCAGAUACUAGUCCAGAAUCAGAACCAGGGGAACAACAACAACAACCAACCAACCAACCACCACCACCACUUGUUGAUCACUUAGCCCGUUUUCUAAGGUUGAAUCCAUCAGUGUUCUCUAGUAGCAGCGAGCCGAUAGUUGCAGAUGAUUGGCUCUGCAAGAUUGGAAGGGAGUUGACCACUGCAGGAUGCACAUAUGCGGAGAGAGUGUGUUUUGUCGCACAUCAGCUUGAUGGACCCGCAGCAUCAUGGUGGGAGAAUUUCACAGCCACUUACCCCAUCGACACUGUCACAUGGGACCAGUUUCAGAAGGCUUUUCGCACUACCCAUGUUUCAGCAGGAGCUAUGGCCAUGAAGAAGCGCGAGUUUCGCAACUUGUGCUAAGGAGGACGCACAGUGGGCAAGUAUGUGGAUGAUUUUAGUAAGUUAGCAUGUUAUGCCCCAGAUGACGUUGCUACGGAUGCAGCUAAGAAGGAGAAGUUUCUGGAAGGACUGAAUGAUGAGCUGAGCAUGCAGUUGAUGGUGGCAACCUUCAACAACUACCAGGAGUUGAUAGAUAGAGCUCUCAUGAUUGAAGGGAAGCAGCAGCAGAUUGACAAUCACAAGAGGAAGUAUGGACAAGGGAAGUACAAUUCUGGAGCUCAGCAGAGACCCCGUUUUACCCCGAACUCGAGAGGACCCCUUCACCAUAACCAUGGAGGUCACAAUCACAAUGGAGGGAGUUCGCAUAACCAUAGUGGCCCCAAGAAUGGGAAUGUUAAUGGAGGAAGCAACGGACAGAACCGUUCCAACCCCGCAACGCCCGCCAAGAAGGAUAUAAGUCACAUUACUUGUUUCAAGUGCAGGAAGAAUGGACAUUAUGCCACGGAGUGUUCUGAAGCAAAGAAUGGAAAUGGCAAUGGAAGCUCUAGGAAGAAGCCCAACCCUUUCAAUAGGGGACAAGUGAACCACGUUACCGUGGACGAGGUUGAAGCGCAGCCCGAUGCAGUAAUAGGUAAGUUUUUGGUUAAGUCAUUUACUACAAUCAUUCUUUUUGAUACUGGUGCAUCGCAUUCAUACAUAUCAAGGGGAUUUGUGGAUAAGUUUAACCUGCCAACCCAAGCCCUUAGGUCACCCAUGUUAGUAACCUUGCCAGGAGCAGAGUAUAUGGCUAGUCUAUGGUGCGACCGGUUACCAUUAAGGAUUGGUAACUACGUGUUUCCCUCAGACCUAAUAGUAUUGGAGUCACAAGGACUGGAUGUAAUAUUAGGCAUGGAUUGGUUGUCGAAGUAUGGAGGGAACAUUGAUUGCGCCAGUAAGUCGAUUUUUCCCACCACCCCAGAAGGAAGAAGGAUCAAGUAUGUAUCCCGACAUGUGCCGAAGAGGACUCAAGUGAAUUCCUUAUCAGGAGUUGUACAGGAGGAAGUACCAGUGGUGAAGGAUUUCCCUGAUGUAUUUCCAGAAGAGUUGCCAGGCAUGCCACCGGAUAGAGACAUUGAGUUUUUGAUUGAGCUUUUGCCAGGCACAGGGCCAAUAUCUAAGAGACCGUACAGGAUGCCCGCAAAGGAUUGGAGGAAAUUAAGAAGCAGAUUAAGGAGUUAUUGGAUAAAGGCUAUAUUCGCCCAAGUUCAUCACCUUGGGGAUCACCAGUGCUUCUAGUGGAGAAUAAGGAUGGAUCGUUGAGAAUGGUUGUCGAUUAUAGUGGAUUGAAUGAAGUGACGAUCAAGAACAAGUACCCACUGUCGAUGAUCAAUGAUUUGUUUGAUCAGUUGCAAGGAGCUAAAGUAUUUUCCAAGAUCGAUCUGUGAUCAGGUUACCACCAGCUGAAGAUUCGAGAGCAGGAUAUACCUAAGACAACUUUUACCACAAGGUACGGGCUAUAUGAGUAUACAGUUAUGUCAUUUGGUCUAACUAACGCACCUGCCUAUUUCAUGAACAUGAUCAACAAAGUGUUUAUGGAGUUCUUGGAUAAGUUCAUUGUGGUGUUCAUUGAUGAUAUUCUGGUUUACUGAAGAAUGAAGAGGGGCAUAGGGAGAAUUUGCGUUUGGUACUUGGGAAGCUCAGAGAACAUCAACUAUAUGCCAAGUUCAGCAAGUGUGAGUUUUGGUUGAAGGAAGUUCGAUUCCUCGGACAUGUUAUAUCCGGAGAAGGAAUUGCAGUAGACCCCACCAAGGUUGUCAUUGUGACAAAUUGGGAAGCGCCCACGUUAGUUGGAGAGAUCCAGAGUUUUCUUGGACUCGCAGGAUACUACAGGAGGUUCAUUGAGAAUUUCUCCAAGAUUGCAAAGCCCAUGACGGAGUUGUUGAAGAAGGACACCAAGUUCAAUUGGACUGAGGAAUGAGAGGCCAGUUUCCAAGAGUUGAAGAAAUGUUUGGUUACAGCUCCAGUGUUAAUUCUUACAGAUCAACGCAAGGAUUAUCAAGUGUAUUGCGACGCUUCUCGUCGAGGACUUGGAGCAGUGCUUAUGCAGGAGGGAAGAGUUGUCUCCUAUGCCUCACGACAGCUUAAACCCCAUGAGUUGAAUUAUGCUAUGCAUGAUUUGGAGUUAGCAGCCGUAGUGCAUGCGUUGAAGACAUGGAGACAUUUUCUCAUCGGAAACCAUUGUGAGGUGUACACGGAUCACAAGAGUUUGAAGUAUAUCUUCACACAGAAGGAGUUGAGUCUCAGGUAGAGGAGAUGGUUGGAGCUCAUCAAGGAUUAUGAUAUGAGGUUGCAUUAUCAUCCCGGGAAGGCUAACGUAGUAGCUGAUGUGUUGAGUCGCAAGAGCCAUGUCAAUACGCUCAUGACCAGGGAGUUACCCAAGGAGUUAGCAGAGGAUCUUCGUGAGCUAUGUUUGGAGAUAGUUCCGAGAGGUUAUGUAGCAACAUUGGAGAUUCAGUCAACUUUGAUGGAUAAAAUCAGAGAAGCUCAGAAGACGGACAAGGAGAUUGCCGAGAUAAAGGAAAAAAUGAGCAAAGGAAAAGCUAAGGGAUUUCGUGAGGAUGAGCAUGAUACCUUAUGGUUUGAGGACCGCAUAUAUGUGCCUAAUGACCCGGAGAUCAGGAAGUUGAUUCUGCAGGAGGCCCAUGAUUCGCCGUAUUCGAUUCACCCAGGAAAUACCAAGAUGUAUCUGGAUUUGAAGGACAGUUUCUGGUGUACCGGAAUGAAGAAGGAUAUUGCGGAGUAUGUAGCUGUUUGUGAUGUAUGUCAGAGAGUGAAGGCAGAGCAUCAGAAGCCAGCAGGAUUGCUACAGCCAUUGCCGGUACCCGAAUGGAAGUGGGAUAAGUUAGGCAUGGAUUUUAUCAUGGGAUUGCCCAGGACUCGUUUAGGCUAUGACUCGAUAUGGGUUGUAGUCGAUCGUUUGACGAAGGUAGCUCAUUUCAUCCCAGUGAAGACCACUUAAGCCAGUGCUAAGUUGGCAAAGAUAUACAUGACCAGGAUCGUAUGUCUGCAUGGAGUUCCGAGGACCAUUGUAUCAGAUAGAGGAACCCAGUUUACCUCAAAGUUUUGGAAUCAGUUGCAUGAAACUUUGGGUACGAGGCUAGAGUUCAAUACAGCCUUCCAUCCAUAGACAGAUGGAUAGACUGAGAGAGUCAAUCAUAUUCUGGAGGACAUGUUGAGAGCUUGUGUGCUAGAUUAUGGAUCUAGUUGGGACGACAAUUUGCCGUAUGCGGAGUUCUCUUACAAUAAUAGUUAUCAAGCCAGUUUUAAGAUGGCCCCUUUCGAAGCUUUGUACGGAAGGAGGUGUAGGACACCGUUGCUGUGGGAUGAAGUUGGAGACUGACAGUUGUUUGGUCCAGAUUUGAUUAAAGAGUCUGAAGAGAAGGCUAAGCUGAUUCGCGAUAGACUCAAGGUAGCCCAGUCCAGGCAGAAGAGCUAUGUGGAUUCAAAACGCAAGGAGACAGUUUACGAAGUCGGAGACAGAGUUUAUCUUCAUGUGUCCCCACUUCAAGGAGUUAAGCGAUUUGGAGUUAAGGGAAAGUUAGCACCACGUUUUGUGGGACCAUACAAAGUUUUGGGACGUAUGGGAGAAGUUGCUUACAAGUUGGAAUUGCCCGAAGGAUUGUCAGGAGUUCACAAUGUGUUCCACGUUUCCCAGUUGAAGAAGUGCCACGCAAAGAUGGCUGACAUUCCACUAAGAGAUACAGUACCAUUGGAUGCGAUUCAGUUAGAUAGCGAUUUGACCUAUGAGGAGAAACCAGUCAAGAUUCUUGAGUUUGCCAGCCGAGUCACACGUAGUAAGGUUAUCAAAUUCUGCAAAGUUCAGUGGAGCCACCAUACCGAGGAUGAAGCCACCUGGGAACGAGAGGAAGACCUACGGAAGGACCACCCUCGCCUAUUUUCUAGCCAACCCAAAUCUCGAGGGCGAGAUUCAUCUUAAGGGGGGUAGGUUUGUAACAUCCCAAAUUUUCAAUUUGGAAUGUUAUAUGAUACGUCUCCAACAUAUCUAUAAAUUUUGAUUGUUCCAUGCUAUUAUAUUACCCCUUUUGGAUGUUUAUGGGCUCUAUUUUACACAUUUAUAUCAUUUUUGGGACUAACCUACUAACCGGAGGCCCAGCCCAUAUUGCUAUUUUUUUGCCUAUUUCAGUAUUUCAAAGAAAAGGAAUAUCAAACGGAGUCCAAACGGAAUGAAACCUUUGGGAGCCUGAUUUUUGGAACGAACGUGAUCCAGAGGACUUGGAGUGCAAGUCAAGAAGCAGCCGAGGCUCCCACGAGAUAGAAGGCCCCUCCCCCCUAUAGGGAGCGCCCCCCUGUCUCAUGGGCCCCUCGGGCGUCCACCGACGUACUUCUUCCUCCUAUAUAAGCCUACGUACCCCAAAAACAUCCAGGGAGCAGGCGAAACACAAUUUCCACCACCGUAACCUUCUGUAUCCGCGAGAUCUCAUCUUCGAGCCUUCGCCGGCACUCUGCCGGAGGGGGAAUCAACCACGGAGGGCUUCUACAUCAACAUCCUUGCCCCUCCGAUGAGUUGUGAGUAGUUUACCAUAGACCUACGGGUCCAUAGUUAUUAGCUAGAUGGCUUCUUCUCUCUUUUUGGAUCUCAAUACAAUGUUCUCCCCCUCUCUUGUGGAGAUCUAUUCGAUGUAAACUCUUUUUGCGGUGUGUUCGUCGAGAUUCGAUGAAUUGUGGGUUUAUGAUCAAGUUUAUCUAUGAAUAAUAUUUGAAUCUUCUCUGAAUUCUUUUAUGUAUGAUUGAGCUAUCUUUGCAAGUCUCUUUGAAUUAUCAGUUUGGUUUGGCCUACUAGAUUGAUCUUUCUUGCCAUGGGAGAAGUGCUUAGCUUUGGGUUCAAUCUUGCGGUGUCCUUACCCAUUGACAGCAGGGGCAGCAAGGCACGUAUUGUAUUGUUGCCAUUGAGGAUAAAAAGAUGGGGUUUAUAUCAUAUUGCAUGAGUCUAUCCCUCUACAUCAUGUCAUCUUUCUUAAUGCAUUACUAUAUUCUUAUGAACUUAAUACUCUAGAUGCAUGUUGGAUAGCGGUUGAUAUGUGGAGUAAUAUUAGUAGAUGCAGGCAGGAGUCGGUCUACUUGUCACGGACGUGAUGCCUAUAUACAUGAUCAUGCCUAGAUAAUCUCAUAAUUAUUCGCUUUUCUAUCAAUUGCUCGAUAGUAAUUUGUUCACCCACCGUAAUACUUAUGCUAUCUUGAGAGAAGCCACUAGUGAAACCUAUGGCCGCCGGGUCUAUCUCUUAUCAUAUUUCCUUCCUAUCUACUUUUGGCAUCUUUACUUUUUGCAUCUAUAUUAUGAAAUACCAAAAAUAUAUUUAUCUUAUCUUACUAUCUUUAUUAGAUCUCACUUUCGCAAGUGGCCGUGAAGGGAUUGACAACCCCUUUAUUAUGUUGGUUGCAAGUUCUUAGUUUGUUUGUGUAGGUGCGUGGGACUUUUGAGGAGCCUCCUACUGGAUUGAUACCUUGGUUCUCAAAAACUGAGGGAAAUACUUACGCUACUAUUGCUGCAUCACCCUCUCCUCUUCGAGGAAAACCAACGAAAGCUCAAGAUGUAGCAUUAUACAUUAGAUCAUUAUUGCAUAUCAUAUUUUAAUGCAUUUUGGGUUGAUCCUAGAAAUUCUACGCAACUCAAGGACCCACUGAGAGAGUUGGGGAUUUCGUUAUUUUCAUUUUUGAGUUUACUCAAAUUUUUGAAAAUAGGAUUGUUUGAUUUUAAUUAUUUUUCUUUUCAAAUAUUUCUUUAAUAAAAAUAAAAGAGAGGGGGUAAAAUGAAUUCCCCAAAAUAAAGAAAUAUUGGAGGUUAAAUUUUAAAAUCAAAUAAGAAUUUUAUUCGGAGUUUUAUCGCUAUUUUAUUUGAAUUAGGAAAAAAUGCGUUUUCCAAAAUUGCAUUAGAGGCCCAAAUAAAUGUUCGCUUUGUCCGCUAUAUUUUUAGAGGACAGGGAAAAUGUAUUUCAGGAUUUUUGGAGUCCGUUUAGUAUUUCUUUUAUUUGUUUUUCUGCGCGGAAAUAUAUAAAAAAAGUCAACCGACCUAGCCGGGCCGUGCCUGACUAGGACUCCAGCCCGGCCGGCCUUUAAGAGGCGAGGCCUGAGGCGCCCCAAACCCUAGCCCCGCCCCCGCCCGAUACGCCACCGCCACUGGACGCCUCGCCGCCGACCUCGCCGCCCCGCCGGAGUUCCCGCCGCCGCCGCCGCCCGUCCCAAGGUAGCCGCGGGUUUUCGUUAGAAAAUCAUAGGUUUUUUUUAGAAACUCUCGGUUAUAUUUUUUUAGAUCGGGUUUUAUUUUUUUCCCGGUUUAGUUAUUUAGCGAACGCCCGUUCGUAUGUUCGUUUUAACGAACGGUUUUCACCCAUUAGCCGCACACAGCGAAUGUUCGUUCGUUAGCCUGUUCGUCGGUUUUUCUUUUUCCAGGGUUUUCCGCGAUUAUUUUCGAUCGCGAUUUCUGCCCUGAUUUUCAUUUUAGUUUAUCUUUUCGCUCGUUUAUCAAAAUCUGGCGAUUCAAGAGCCCAGAUCUUUGUCUCGAAGCCCUCUUUCUAUUUAAACAACUUAAACAAGAUUUUGUUACUGUAAAAUUUUACUUAAGUCCAGAUUAGUAAACGGAUCUUGUUUCUUUUGCAGUUUGAGUUUCCUUGCUUUGUUUGUUUUGACUUUUUGCAAAUCGGAGUUCUUAAGUUGAACUUUCUGGUUAGAUCUCUUAUUUGAGUUUUACAUGUGCUUCUAGUUGAGUGCUUAUUGUAUGCUUGUUUGUUUGCGAUCGAGUACCCGGAGUGCGAAGCGUGCUACUACGAGUCUCUAGGUUUCACGGAUCCUCAGCAAGGCAAGUAACACUUUUAUCAUACCUCUUUACUACCCAGUUUUAUUGCAUUAGAUCAAUCCUCAAACAAUUGCAUGGUUAGGAUCUGAUUAAUAUGUGGGUUUUGGGAAGUAGAUGAUGAGGUAGAACCUAUUGCCCUGUUUAUUAUCAAACCUAGGGGAGUUACUUCUACGUUGCUUAUAUUGCUAUGCUAUGCUUGUAGACGUGGUUUGGUUCAAGUGAUUCAUGACAUAUGUGAGUAUUGUUAAUUAAUGGUUUACUUAAGGUGGCUACUUAAAUACACAUCUGGGUGGAUUGCUUGAAGGCACCCUGGAGUAACCAGUGGUUGCCAAGACACCUGGAGAAUCUAGUGUUGUCCUAGGAUAUCCCGGAGUUCCCGUGUCAUCAUCCUACAGUCCGCCACCCAGGCUCAAAGGGAUCAUAAGAUUAUUCAUGCUAGAAACUUCCGUGUGCAGCCACAAGCCAAUAUGGGCUCUGGCAUAGUUGAGUAAGUUGCGUGAAGCUCUUGAAGAGGUAGACUAGCAAAUGUAGUGGGUUGUGGGUGGUACUAUCUAUCCAGAGUAGAGAGUUAAUGCUUCAUAAAGACUGUGUCUCGAAUCUCCGACCAUGGAUGUAUUCGAGUCUUGUGGGGAAAAGUGAGCAAACCUCUGCAGAGUGUACAAACUAAUCAUGGUUAGCCGUGUCCCUGGUUAUGGACGUUUUGAGUAUCUAGUUCUUGGAUUAUCAUGUUGAUCUCAUCACUCUAAAUAUAAUUUGAUUGGGUUUAAUGAUGAUGUUUAAUUGGGAUUGAGUUGGAGGAACCUUCUCAAUGUUUAACAACCACCAUGAUAGUUAAAUAAAAUUUAUUCCUUUGUUGUAGGGAAAAAAUUGGCUUUAUGCAAAACUAUAACCAUAGAGCUUUCCACCAGCCAUAUAUGCAUGUAGUGAUAGCAUUUGUUAUGUUCAUUACUCUAUGUGUUACAUUGCCAGCAUAUUCCAUGUGCUGACCCAUUUCGGGCUGUAACGUUCAUGUUGCAGACUUUUUAGACGACGAGUAAGGUGCCAUAGGUCGUUGUCUUUCACUCAGUGAUGUCGUUGGAGUUGAUGGACUCACUUUAUCUUCCAAGCCUUCCGUUGUUAUCGUUUUUAGAUGUCCCUACGCCAUAUUUAUAGUAAUAAGUUCUAUUCUGAGACAUUCGAUGUAAUAAGUGUGUGAUUGCUACUCUAUUAUAAAUCCUCAAGUACUGUCGUGUCAGCAUUCCCAAUCCAGGGAUGACACUGAUGCACAGGGAUCAGACUGUUUGAGGUCUGGACGCUACACAAUGUGACUAAUGAGUUAGUUGAGGGAUGAAGCAUUACAGAAUGAGUAAAGAGACUUGCCGGUAACGAGAUUGAACUAGGUAUGAUGAUACAAAUGAUCGAAUCUCGAGCAAGUAACAUACCGAUGACAAAGGGAACAACAUAUGUGGUUAUGCGGAUUGGCCGAUAAAGAUCUCAUAGAAUAUGGAGGAACCAAUAUGGGCAUCCAGGUUCCGCUAUUGGUUAUUGAUCUACAUAGUUCUCAAACCGGUAGGGUCCGCACGCUUAACGUUCGAUGACAAUUUAUAUUAUGAGUUAUGUGUUUUGGUGACCGAAGGUUGUUCGGAGUCCCGGAUGAGAUCACGGACAUGACGAGGAGUCUCUAAAUGGUCGAGAGGNNNNNNNNNNNNNNNNNNNNNNNNNNNNNNNNNNNNNNNNNNNNNNNNNNNNNNNNNNNNNNNNNNNNNNNNNNNNNNNNNNNNNNNNNNNNNNNNNNNNNNNNNNNNNNNNNNNNNNNNNNNNNNNNNNNNNNNNNNNNNNNNNNNNNNNNNNNNNNNNNNNNNNNNNNNNNNNNNNNNNNNNNNNNNNNNNNNNNNNNNNNNNNNNNNNNNNNNNNNNNNNNNNNNNNNNNNNNNNNNNNNNNNNNNNNNNNNNNNNNNNNNNNNNNNNNNNNNNNNNNNNNNNNNNNNNNNNNNNNNNNNNNNNNNNNNNNNNNNNNNNNNNNNNNNNNNNNNNNNNNNNNNNNNNNNNNNNNNNNNNNNNNNNNNNNNNNNNNNNNNNNNNNNNNNNNNNNNNNNNNNNNNNNNNNNNNNNNNNNNNNNNNNNNNNNNNNNNNNNNNNNNNNNNNNNNNNNNNNNNNNNNNNNNNNNNNNNNNNNNNNNNNGUGUCAAAACCGGCGGAUCUCGGGUAGGGGGUCCCGAACUGUGCGUCUAGGCGGAUGGUAACAGGAGACAAGGGACACGAUGUUUUACCCAGGUUCGGGCCCUCUUGAUGGAGGUAAAAACCUACGUCCUGCUUGAUUGAUAUUGAUAUUGUGGAUGUUUACAAGAGUGGAUCUACCACGAGAUCAAGGAGGCUAAACCCUAGAAGCUAGCCUAUGGUAUGAUUGUAAUGGUUGUUGUUGUGUCCUAUGGACUAGAGCCAUCCGGUUUAUAUAGACACCGGAGAGGGCUAGGGUUACAUAGAGUCGGUUACAUUGGUAGGAGAUCUACAUAUCCGUAUCGCCAAGCUUGCCUUCCACGCCAAGGAAAGUCCCAUCCGGACACGGGACGAAGUCUUCAAUCUUGUAUCUUCAUAGUCUUGGAGUCCGGUCGAUGAUGAUAGUCCGGCCGAUGAUAGUUCGGCUGAUGAUGGUAGUCCGGCUAUCCGGACACCCCCUAAUCCAGGACUCCCUCAGUAGCCCCUGAACCAGGCUUCAAUGACGAUAAGUCCGGCGCGUAUAUUGCUUGGCAUUGCAAGGCGGGUUCCUCCUCCGAAUGAUAGAAGAUUGUGAACACCAGGAUAGUGUCCGGCUCUGCAAAAUAAAUUCCACAUUCCACUGUAGAGAGAAUAAUAUAUACACAAGUUCAAUCUGCUGACGUUUUUUUGCGGCAUGACGUCAUGCCACUACCAAGCCAUUACUUGAAUCAUUUUUUACUCUACCACCUCAGCGCAUUUAGCGAAGCGGUUUCCUUGGCACGUCAUGUCGAAGCAGAGAUCGUGUUCCCCCUUAAUCCGGGAUUCUCAUCAAUACGGACGUGGGUAACCCAACCGCGCCAUUGAUGGUGACGCUUGGGGGAUAAGCGAGUUUUACCAGGCCAGUGGGGGACGCGUAGACUUCGCCCGCCCAUAUAAAGGAUAAGGAUUCACCUUUUCACCUACGCCUUCUUCCUCCUUUGCUUAUCCAUCUCCGUGCACUCGAGCUCCAGCGCCCAAGCCCGCACAUCUCGUCUCAACCUUCCCCAGUUAUGUCCGGAGCGGGAGGCAAGUGGAUGACCUCCUCCGUUAUGGAGGAGCACAUCGAAAGACUGAGCAGCGCCGGCUACCUGUCCGGCGACAUCGCGCACCGGCUGCCCGACGAGGGGCAGCUCAUCCCCACCCCCAGGCCCCAUGAGAGGGUCGUUUUUCUUCCCCACUUCCUCCGCGGACUGGGUUUUCCACUUCACCCCUUUGUCCGGGGGCUCAUGUUCUACUACGGCCUGGAUUUCCAUGAUCUGGCGCCGAACUUCAUCCUCAACAUCUCGGCAUUUAUCGUCGUGUGCGAGGCCUUCCUCUGCAUCCAGCCCCACUUCGGCUUGUGGCUCAAGACCUUCAAUGUCAAGCCGAAGGUAGUGAAGGGCACUCAAGCGGAGUGCGGAGGUGCCAUGUUGGGCAAGAUGCCCAAUGUCCUUUGGUUCGAAGGGGCCUUCGUGGAAUCCGUCAAGGGGUGGCAAUCGGGGUGGUUCUAUAUCACCGAGCCGCGCGAUCCUAAGUGGGUGGCGGCCCCCGAGUUCAGAUCUGGUAUCCCCACGCAGCUCACCUCCUGGAAAGAGAAGGGCUUGCUGUGGGGUAGUUCGGAGGAGCUAACGGGACUCCAAGACUGUAUCCAGAAGCUGGUGAAGAAGCUCAGGCUGGUUAACGUGGUCCAAGUCAUGCUCGUCCGCCGGAUUCUCCCAUGCCAAGAGCGGGCAUUCAAUCUGUGGGAGUUCAAUCCGGAACAACACCAGGCGCUGAGCGGGCUCUUCGACACGACGUACGAAGGCGCCUGGAGGGUGCUGUUUAAGGGCGCCGAAACCCCCGCAUCCGCGACUGAAGAUCGCGGAUUUCGCUCGCAGCGCCAAGCCGACGAGGUAAGUGAUUCUACCCCUUUAUGGGACACUUGCUUUUCAUAGUUUGACUUUAUGCGGGUUUUAAUUUCCCCUUUUCCUUUGACAGGACUGGAUGAGGAAGGCGGAGCAGAUUAUCUGCCCGGCUCCCAUGCCAGAAAACCCAGUAGACGCCCAUCUAGCGAGGCUACUGGUUCCGGCACCGCACGUGGUGCCGGAGAAGAAGGCCAAGAAGGAGGCCACGAGUGCUCGAAAGAGUUCCCGUUUUCAGGUGUCCGAUGACUCCGGGGCGGACUCCUCCCCGAAAACGAGGAGGAGAAAGAGGACUCUCUCCCAGAGGAGGGAGAGAGGAAGAGGAAGGCUUCCCCAACAGGGGAGGCCGAAGGGUCCAAGAGGGGAAGGACUAUUCCCCCGAACAGCUCCGCCAACAUCAACGUUGGCGAGGAAGAAUGGCCUUCAAGGGCCAGGCCUCCAGCGAGAUCGUAAGUAUCCGGAUUCCUGAGUGAUUUAUAAUUUCUUUUUCUGUGUCACAUAGUGUCAUUCUGAUGCCGCAUGCUGCCUGUAGUCCGGCCAAUGAUGAUCUCCCCGCUUCAUCGAGCGGGUCGUUGGCUCCGUCGGAUGUAGACUCCAUCCCGACCGCCUCCACCCCUCGCGACACCGAGGACGCCGAGGUGGGAUCCCAAGAAGGGACCCAUCAGGGGGAGGCUCCGAAGGCGCCACAAGGCGUCCUCCCGGACUUUGCGCCGGAUUCCAUAUCAGAACCCGCAAUGGUUCCGGAGUCCGACCGGCGGCCCCUUCGCACGAAGGGCAAGACCGUGACACCGGCGGCUUCCGUCCAACCGGAGGCGUCGGACAAUUUGUUGGAGGCGCUGCAGAGCGCUUCCAUCGAGGAAGAACACCGCACUAUUAUGAGUGCGGUGAUUUAGAAGGUACAGCUCGCCAAGAGCGGGCUGACCGAAGCCUGCAGUAGCCUUCUAUCAGGCUUUGAGGUAAGAAGUUAAAAAUAUGUAAUGUAAUACCGCAUAGACAGUAGCCCCUGAUGCUCGGUUCGGUGUUCGUAAAGAAAAGCCGGACUGAGGAUCUGAAAAAAAAAGAAGAUAUACGCAGGGUUGCUAAAAAAUUAUGUCAAUAUGGGUUGCAGGCUGCGCUGCUGACCUCUGCCGCACUGACUGCGGAGGUCGGUGCUUUGAAGCAGGAGCUCGAGCGGUCCGAGCAAGAGCUCGGCCGCGCCAAGAAGCAGCUCCAGGACAAAGAAGGUGAGUAACACCACUUUGAACUUGUACCUUACAGAAAAGGAUUUAGGUUGCAACAAAAAAUAACAAGGAUAACAUGGGUACUGCAGGGGCCACGAACGAGGUGGCGACCCAGAAGGAGGCCGUGUCUGCGGCCGAACGCAAUGCGGCCGCGGAACGGGUAGAGCGAGAAAAGCAGGAGGCGUGGGUGGCGGUGGUUCGGCAAGAGCUCCAGGCUCUCAUGGAAAAGCAUGAGAGUUUGGAGCGUGACUCAAAGACUCGAGAGUCUGAGCUUGCCUCGGCUCUCAAAAGUGCCAAGACUACCAAGGACGAUGCCCAUAAGUCCCUUCAGGAGAUUGAGUUGGUGAGGAAGAUAGCGGCGGGUAAGGCAUUUUUCAUGCAAAGCAAGCAUGCGAAUGUAAAUUACCUGUUACUUACCCGAAUUCGGAGCUCUCCAGGGGCGUUUGUAGAUCUGCCUCGCAGCGUGUCUGAUGCCGCCGCAUUCUACCGAGCCGAGGAGGGGAGCUCAACGGAGAAGGUCUUCUGGUCUCAGUAUGCUGAGGCCGGCCAUCCGGUGCCCCCUAGCGACCAGCUGAAGCAGCUGGUCGAGCUCCACAAGGUGGCCGAGCAGGCCAUGAAGGGCCUCAUAGUCCGGCUGUGGCCUGGAGAGGCCAUGCCUGGGAGCUACUUCGGCCUCGUGCGACGGUUGGUGGAUGCGUGCCCCUGGGUGGAGGUUAUCAAGCGCUCCGCCUGUAUUGAAGGUGCUCGUCAGGCCCUUGCCCGCGCAAAGGUGCAUUGGGGCAAGAUGGAUGCGGAAAAGCUAAUCACUGACGCGCCACUAGCGGGCAAGGAAUAUCGUACGCCUGAAAUGUACUAUAAGACUGUCCUGAAGGGUGCCCGCAAGAUUGCGGAUGAGUGUCCCAAGGAUGUAAUUAUUGAGUAAAUUCGCAAUGUGUUAUCCUGUGCGCUGAAAACUUUGUUCAUAUGCGCUAAGCAACGCUUGUUAAUUUAAAAUAUUACCUUCUGUGUGGCCGUUUAUUAAAUCUGAGAGAUGGCAAGUCGUCGGCUUCAGCCCCCAUGCCACGAGUGCUGGGGUGUUCGGGAUAAACUUGAGCACUCUUGUUCCCAUUUUUGGGUCCAUCUAGGGAGGCGCUCAACACAACGAACAAGGCAACCGGACUUAUAGUGCUUGAACACUCUCACUUAGCCAUAGAAUUCUAUAAUUUUAAAUUUCGGCGAAGCCCCUAGUAUUCGGAAGACCGAAUUAGGGGCGCUAUCCACGCCUUCAUCGGACAUUAUCCGGAACUUCGCUCGAAGCGGCGUAGGUCUUUAAGGACCCGAAAGGACCUCUCGAACAGCGACAAGUCUCUCGCCUUAUCAUGACAGUCAGUUUUAGCUUUCUCCACUGAGGUGUUAACCCGGCUCAACCGGGGUGCAAUCGCAGUGGUUCUCCCAGUGCUACCUUAGCCGAUAGAACGGAACGUAAGGUGCCAAACAUGGGAGCCGGGCAAACCCAACUAUUGACCCAAGACAUGAUUCGGAGCCGAUUCAUAUAAUGCUAUAAGUUCGGGGUGCCGCACUUGUGAAAGUGUUCGGACUUUAUCACACCAUAAUGCGGGGAACAUAAGCCCCUGGUGUAUUUGGCCGUACCAAAAUGUACGGAUGCAACAUGUCGUAAAUGAACAUAUAUAUAUAUAAGGUAAUGCAAUUAUGGGCAAAAAGUGCUGCAUUUUAUUCGAGAAGAUCUGCUAUGAAUGCGGAAUGAUACAAAUAGUGCGGAAAGCAAGGGAUUGGACAAAUUAAAGGCGUCUCCCUCCAGGGGUAGGCCGCGGAAUGGUGUAUUUAACAAAUUUAAUGCUCGUAAUGGAGACCACCUGAGUGUUCGUCGCGGCCUUUGUCCCUCCCUGGUUGUUGCAUCAUGAGUUCGGCAGGUUCGCCACCGGACAGAGUUCUGUAUAAAAAAGAGAGAAAUAAAAGAUAAAAAGAGCGACACACUUGGGAGCCCCUGGUGUGGUCGAACCGCACUCUGGGUCUGUUGUGGUUGUGCCUCUCCCCCUAUGCCCAUGGUAUCUCCAGGGUGUAAUUAUGUACGCAGAGAGUUUGUCUUACAAUUGUGCGAGGGCUGGGGUUGAGGCCGCAUUGCUACGCGUGCUCGGAACAUGCCAGGUGGUCUUGGUUGAUGUUGCUCCGGGCGCGUUUGGCCGUGUCCGGUCGUUUAACGGCCGGACUCGAAAAUUGCCUUAAAAGGCUGCUCUGUACUUCUGCCGUGAGAGCCGCUGUAUGUUCCUCCGUUUGGAGGGAGCGUUCCGUUUUUCCAUUGACCGUGAUGACUCCACGAGGGCCUGGCAUCUUGAGCUUAAGGUAUGCAUAAUGCAGCACCGUGUUGAAUUUUGCGAACGCGGUUCGUCCGAGCAGAGCGUGAUAGCUACUGCAGAACGGGACUAUGUCAAAGAUUAACUCCUCGCUUUGGAAAUUAUCCGGGGAUCCGAAGACCACUUCCAGUGUAACUGAGCCUGUACAACUGGCCUCGACACCUGGUAUGACGCCUUUGAAGGUUGUCUUUGUAGGUUUAAUCCUUGAAGGGUCUAUGCCCAUCUUGCGCACUAUAUCCUGAUAAAGCAGGUUCAGGCUACUGCCGCCGUCCAUCAGGACUCUCGUGAGGUGAAAUCCAUCAACGAUUGGGUCUAAAACCAAUGCGGCGAAUCCGCCAUGGCGGAUACUGGUCGGAUGGUUUCUUCGAUCGAAAGUGAUCGGGCAAGAGGACCAUGGGUUGAAUUUUGGGGCGACUGGCUCCAUCGCGUAUACGUCCCUUAGUGCACGCUUCCGCUCCCUCUUGGGUAUAUGCAUUGCGUAUAUCAUGUUUACCGUCCGAACUUGAGGGGGGAAUCCCUUUUGUCCUCUGUUGUUCGGCGGCCGGGUCUCUUCCUCGUCAUCGCUGUGUAGCCCCUUGUCAUUGUUUUCGGCGAUUAAUUUGCAUGCCUGCUUGAAUACCCAACAAUCUCUGUUGGUGUGGUUAGCUGGCUUUUCGGGGGUUCCAUGUAUUUGACAGGAGCGGUCGAGUAUUCGGUCCAAAUUGGACGUGCCCGGAGUGGUUCUUUUGAAUGGCUUCUUCCGUUGACCGGGCUUGGAGCCUCAGAAUCCGGCGUUGACUGUCGUAUCCUCAUUGCUGUCGCCGUUAAUGCGGUGUUUGUUUUUGUUUUGAUGCGACCUGCCAUUGCGGUCCUUGGUAUCCGGACUGCCAGCGUUUUUGCUGAGGUUGUUGCUGCGAGCUAGCCAGCUAUCCUCUCCCGCACAGAAGCGGGUCAUGAGUGAUGUGAGGGCUGCCAUGGAUUUCGGCUUUUCCUGUCCUAGGUGCCGGGCUAGCCACUCGUCGCGGAUGUUAUGUUUGAAGGCAGCGAGGGCCUCUGCAUCCGGACAGUCGACGAUUUGAUUUUUCUUUGUUAAGAAUCAUGUCCAGAAUUGCCUAGCCGAUUCGUCUGGCUGCUGGAUUAUGUGGCUUAGGUCAUCUACAUCCGGUGGUCGCACAUACGUGCCCUGGAAGUUGUCGAGGAAUGCGGCUUCCAGGUCUUCCCAGCAUCCAAUUAACUCUGCGGGCAGGCUGUUAAGCCAAUGUCGAGCUGGUCCUUUAAGCUUGAGCGGGAGAUAUUUGAUGGCGUGAAGAUCGUCACCGCGGGCCAUGUGUAUAUGGAGGAGAUAAUCCUCAAUCCAAACCGCGGGGUCUGUUGUGCCAUCGUAGGAUUCGAUAUUAACGGGUUUAAACCCUUCGGGGAUUUGAUGAUCCAUUACUUCGUCAAUGAAGCAUAGUGGGUGUGCGGCGCCUCUGUAUUGAGCAAUAUCGCGAUGUAGCUCGAUAGAGCGUUGUCUGCUGUGUUCGGCCCGGCCGGAGUAGUUGUAUCCGGCGCGACGGUAUUCGUCAUGGGUCUUGGGGCGCCCACGUGAUCCAUAGAUAGAUCUGGAUUGUCUUGCCUUGUCCUCCAAUAUAUCCCGCAAGUCCGGCGCGUUCCCCCGUGGCUUUAUGCUGUUUGAGCGAUGCCGGGGUACGGUUUUGGUGGAGGGCUUGCACGCCUCUCUGUCGCGGCCACGAGGUGGUCGGUCUGCCGUAUUGUGCGCUAGUGAUGCAGGUUUGUACGCUUCCUCCUCUAGUCGGGGGAGCAACUUGCGUUUUGGGUAACUUUUGGAGGGGCGUUCGAGUUCAUACUCUUCGGCCGCGAGGACCUGGUCCAUCUGUCAGCCAGUAGGUCUUGAUCAGCUUGAAGCUAUUGCUGCUUUUUCUUUAGGCUGUUUGCCGUGGCCAUUAUCCUGCGUCUGAAACGCUCUUGCUCGACGGGAUCCUCAGGCACGACGAAUUCGUUGUCGUCGAGGCUUGCCUCAUCUCCGGAGGGAGGUAAGUAAUUAUCAUCCUCGACCUCUUCGUCUGCCGCCCUCUCGUGAGGGCUUGCUUCUGCCUCCUCCUGCGCUGGAUCGUGCUGGAGGGGGUUGUCUUCGGCACUUUCUGGGGUGUUAUUAUCUCCUGUGACGGAAUCUCCAUUCUUGCUGUGGCGGGAUUUAGAGCGGCGCCGCUGACGUUGGCGCUUGGGCUGUUUCUCUAAGGAAUCGGCCUCCGUUGCUUCUUCGCCGUCCCCAUCUUUUGGGGUGUCCACCAUGUAUAUGUCGUAUGACGAGGUGGUCUUCCAGUGUCUUGUAGGCACUGGUUCUUGAUAGUCUCCGGCAUCGUCGUCCAUACCGUCGAUGUCUUUGGAGUCGUAGUCGAGUACGUCGGUUAGAUCGUCGACGGUGGCUACGAAGUGGGUGGUGGGUGGGCUCUGAAUUUCUUCAUCGUCCGCGUCCCAACCAUCCUGGCCGUAGUUCGGCUAGGGCUCUCCAGAUAGCGAGAGAUGCUUCAGCGAAUUUAAGAUAUCGCCGAAGGGUGAGUGCUGAAAGAUGUCCGCAGCGGUGAAUUCCAUGAUCGGCGCCCAGUCGGAUUCGACUGGCAGGGGCGCAGGAGGUUUGGAGUCCGGCAGAGAGUCCGGCACCUCGGAGUCAUGAGAUUUAUGCGGGACAAGAUAAGUGUUCGGCUCCAUCACCGUAGAAGUUGCAGCUCCCGAGGCGGUGUCCAGCCAUCCGUCCUCGAUCUGAGCGAUCGGCUCCGGACUAUGGGUCGGAGCGGAUUCGUGUGCGGCCUCCAAGGUGCUGUCUGGCGGCAGAGUUAGGUCGUGCCCAUUGUGACAGCGCGGCACGCUUGGCUGUGGCUCAGAUCCAUCGAAGAUCAAGUCCCCGCAGAUAUCGGCCGUGAAGUUUAGGCUUCCCAACCUGACCUGACGGCCAGGGGCGUAGCUUUCGAUCUGCUCCAGAUGGCCAAGUGAGUUGGCCCGCAGUGCGAAGCCGCCGAAUAUGAAGAUCUGUCUGGGGAGAAAAGUCUCACCCAGGACUGCAUCAUUGUCGAUUGAAGAGGCCAUCAAGCCUAUCGGUGACGACACAGAGGAACUCUCAAUGAAAGCACCAAUGUCGGUGUCAAAACCGGCGGAUCUCGGGUAGGGGGUCCCGAACUGUGCGUCUAGGCGGAUGGUAACAGGAGACAAGGGACACGAUGUUUUACCCAGGUUCGGGCCCUCUUGAUGGAGGUAAAACCCUACGUCCUGCUUGAUUGAUAUUGAUAUUGUGGAUGUUUACAAGAGUGGAUCUACCACGAGAUCAAGGAGGCUAAACCCUAGAAGCUAGCCUAUGGUAUGAUUGUAAUGGUUCUUGUUGUGUCCUACGGACUAGAGCCAUCCGGUUUAUAUAGACACCGGAGAGGGCUAGGGUUACAUAGAGUCGGUUACAAUGGUAGGAGAUCUACAUAUCCGUAUCGCCAAGCUUGCCUUCCACGCCAAGGAAAGUCCCAUCCGGACACGGGACGAAGUCUUCAAUCUUGUAUCUUCAUAGUCUUGGAGUCCGGUCGAUGAUGAUAGUCCGGCCGAUGAUAGUUCGGCUGAUGAUGGUAGUCCGGCUAUCCGGACACCCCCUAAUCCGGGACUCCCUCACUCUCCUUCCCCCUUUCCACCUCCAUAAGAAGGAAAAAAGAGGGGGGCGAAUCCUACUAGGAGUGGAGUACUAGUAGGACUCCCCACUCCCUUGGCGCACCCCUGGUGGUCGGCCUCCUCCUCCCUCCUUUAUAUACAGGGAUAGGAGGGCACCCCAAAGGCACAACAUUGUCUUAGCCGUGUGCGGUGCCCCCCUCCACCGUUUAAUCCUCUAAUAGUAUCAUUGUAGUGCUUAGGCAAAGCCCUGCAUGGAUCACAUCAUCAACAGUGUCAUCACGCUGUCAUGCUGACAAAACUCUCCCUCGACCCUCUAGUGGAUCAAGAGUUUGAGGGACGUCAUCGAGAUGAAUGUGUGCUGAACUCAGAAGUGUCAUACGUUUGGUGCUAGAUCGGUUGGAUCGUGAAGAUGUUCGACUUCAUCAACCAUGUUAACAUAACGCUUCCGCUUUCGGUCUAUAAGGGCACGUGGACACACUCUCCCCCUCUUGUUUCUAUGCAUCUCCUAGAUAGAUCUGGCGUGAUCAUAGGAAUUUUUUUGAAAUUGCAUGCUACGUUCCCCAACAGGAACUGCCAUCCAGCUCCGCUUUAGAUUCACCUUUUGUUAUAAGUAAACUUGCAAAACCACCACAUGCUAUUAAUUCUGAUAUGUCGCAAGUUGUUGAUGAUGCUACUUCUGCUAUGAAUGCUACUCAUGAUGAUGCUAGUACCUUGCUUGAUGAUGAUGUGCCACUAGGUGAAUUUCUUGAUGAACAAAUUGCUAGAGUAAGACAACAAGAUAUUGUUGAAACUGAUGAUGAGCUUGAAACUGAAAAUCUUGAAACACCUAUUAGAACUAGCCCUCCUAGAUAUGAAUUGCCAAAGGUACCAGAAGGUUAUGCUAUGAGUGAGGAGGCAACUAGAGAUAUUCUUGCUUGUAAGGAUAGAGAUGAUCUAGAAAAAAUAGUAUGCAAGUACAAAGAAAGAUCUUUGAAUGCUAAGACGAAAUGUGAUCCUAAGUUUGCUACUUCACCUAUCUUUAUUGAUGAUAAGGAUUAUGAAUUCUCUGUCGACCCAGAGUUAAUUACUUUGGUUGAGUCUAACCCUUUCCAUGGUUAUGAAACUGAAACUAUUUUGGCACAUCUUACUAAACUGAAUGAUAUAGCCACCCUUUUUGCUCAUGAUGAGAAGAUUCUCUAUUACUAUAUUCUCAAGUUAUUUCCAUUCUCAUUAAAGGGUGAUGCUAAAGCUUGGUACAAUACUCUUGCUCCUGGUUGUGUGCGUAGUCCCCAGGAUAUGAUUUAUUACUUCUCUGAAAAAUAUUUCCCUGCUCAUAAGAAACAAGCUGCCUUGCAGGAAAUAUUUAACUUUGUGCAAAUUGAAGAAGAGAGUCUCCCACAAUCUUGGGGGAGGCUUCUCAAAUUGCUUAAUGCUUUGCCUGAUCAUCCUCUUAAGAAAAAUGAAAUACUUGAUAUCUUCUAUAAUGGACUAACCGAUGCUUCUAGGGAUUUCCUAGAUAGUUGUGCUGGUUGUGUUUUCAAGGAACGAACUAUUGGGCAAGCUAAAGAAUUAUUGAAUAACAUAUUGAAAAAUUAUGAUGAUUGGACUCCUCCUGAAACACCGCUUAAACCCACUCCAAAGAAGAGGGGUAUAUCAUAUCUCAGUCCUGAAGAUAUGCAAGAGGCAAAGAAAUCUAUGAAGGAAAAAUGUAUUAAAGCAAAGGAUGUCAAAAAUUUACCUCCUAUUGAAGAAAUACAUGGGCUUGGUACACCAUCACCACCUAAGGUGGUAGAGGUAAAAUCUUUAAUGAAAUUCAAUGAUAGUGAUGAUCCUCGUAAUAAACAUCCUAGUCAAUGCCUUUAUGAGUUUGACAAUUACAUUAGAAAGCAAGAUCACUUCAAUGCAAAUGUUAUGAAACAAUUGAAAUACAACUCUAUAUGAUUGCUCGCUUAAGUGACUUGUUAUUUAGAAUCUCAAAUGAUGUUAGAGGUGUAGGAAAGAAUGCCUCUAUGGUUCAAACUUAAUUAGAACAAGUUGCUAAAUCUCAAAGAGAGUUGCUUGAUGAAAUGAACAAUAAUAUAAGUGACUUUGUUGUUAGAGUAUCAACUAGAGGAGGUAAAAUGACUCAGGAAUCACUUUACCUUGAGGGACACCCAAAGAGAAUUGAACAAGACUCUCAAAGAAUUAACACUGAUGCACCUGGUCCUUCUAAAAAGAAAAAUAAGAAGAAAAAUAAUAGGACUUUGCAUGCCUCUAGUGAACCUGAAAUAGAAAAACCUCCUGAUAAUGAUAAUGAAGUUUCUAUCUCUGAUGCUGAAGCUCAACCUGGUAGUGAACACUCACCUUCUGAUAAUGAAAAAGAUAGUGAUGAGGUUCAUGAAGAAACUCAGCCUAAUAAUAAAGAACUAGACAAUGAUGUUGAGAUAGAACCAGCUAUUGAUCUUGAUAACCCACAACCCAAGAAUAAAAGAUAUGAUAAAAGAGACUUUGUUGCUAGAAAACAUGGAAAGAAAAGAGAGCCAUGGGUUCAAAUACCUAUGCCCUUUCCACCUAAGUCAACUAAAAAGAAAUAUGAUGAAAAAUUUGAAUGCUUUGGUGAAAUGAUUAGGCCAGUCUUUUUGCGCACUCGCUUGACUGAUAUCUUAAAAAUGCCUCCUUAUGCAAAGUACAUGAAAGACAUCAUCACGAAUAAUAGAAAAAUACCGAAAGCUGAAAUCUCCACUAUGCUUGCUAAUUAUACUUUUAAAGAUGGAGUGCCUAAAAAACUUGGAAAUCCGGGAAUACCAACUAUACCUUGCUCCAUUAAAAGAAACUAUGUGAAAACCGCUUUAUGUGAUUUGGGAGCUGGUGCUAGAGCCAUCUGGACAAAUCUCCUCUAAAUCUCUCUACCAUGCCAUAGCCCCCUCCUCGGGCCCUGAGGCUCUCACCACCAUCUGGGCGAUUCUUCUCCCCUUGAAGAUUAGGAUUUUCUUAUGGCAAUGGAUUCGCGGCCGCCUUUCGUCCCGCGUUGAGGUCCUGAAGCGCAACGACCCUAGUGAUGGGCAGUGCCCGCUCUACGGGCCUGAAGAGGAUAUGAACCAUAUCUUCUUCACUUGUACGUCUGCGCAGUUCCUCUGGAGCUAUUUCCGUGAGGUGGUGGGUGGUAGAUGGGAUCACACCAACUUCCCCGCCCUCUUCGCCAAACUUCGGGCAUUACCACCCGUGUUACGCCACAUUAGGUGGCUAACCAUCGGGGUGCUAGCCUGGACGUUGUGGACUAUUAGGAAUAAACUUGUGAUUCAGCAUGUCCCUCUUUGUCGUGCUACUGAUGCUUUGUUCAAAUGGUCUGGUUACUUGCAGCUUUGGCGGCCGCUUAGCCGCCACAGGAAGAGAGACGCCAUCACCUCCAUCAUCACCCAGCUUCACGCGAUGGCUCUCCGAUUGGCUCCACCACUCCCCCCACCACCACCAGAGCCGGAUUAGAUCCUCUACCUCGCCGCCGCCACCGCCAUUUUUGUGUUGUGCAUGCUCUUUUUUUUGUUGGGCUUGUUGUGUUGUGCCCACAGCUGAACCUUGGGUAGUGUUCGUGUGCGUGUUUGUUGGACCUUGCCUGCGGUGGCGUUGUGUUUGUGUGUAACUUGUUGACAUUGUGCUUGGUGGUUUGCUUUAUUUAUAAAGCAGGGCGAAAGCCUUUUUAGUAAAAGACUUGAUUUGAAUAAACUCACACCUACUAAAAUAUCCUUGCAAAUGGCUGACAAAUCAACUGCCAUACCUAUCGGUAUUUGUGAGGAUGUGCCCGUUGUUGUCUGACUGACUUUGUUAUACUUGAGAUGCCUGAGGACGACAACAUGUCGAUUAUCCUUGGUAGAUCCUUCUUGAAUGCUGCAGGGGCUAUUAUUGAUUGCAAUAAAAGCAAGGUCACUUUUCAUAUCAAUGGUAAUGAGCUUACGGUGCACUUUCCGAACAAACAAUUCCAAGUGAAUGGUAUUACGCUGCGUUUGGAUGUCUGGAUUGGAGGACUCCGUAUUGAAUUGGUUUCAAUACCAAUUCAGUGGGGAAACUGUAAUGGACAUGAAUACGAUUUCACUUGUUUGGAUGCUCAUGGUAUUGGCCCAUGGAAUCCCAGUGAGGUUUCAAUACAAAAUCUUGUUUGGAUGACAAACUAUGGAAUUGCAUAGUGCCUUGUUCUAUAUGCAUCAAAUCAAUUUUUUACAAUAUGUGACUAUAAUCAACGUCCUUGUUGCUCUCGCUGUCUACUAAGACGGGUAGUCGAUGAUCAUCUUAUCUCACUAGCUCUUGCUGACAGCAUGCUCCUAAUGGCCUCCCUCUCUUCUUCUGAAAAUCAAUCAGCCAAAGCAGAGACAUGAAUUCCACACUGCACACAUAAUUAAGAAUCAAUCCACCCAUCAAAAAUUAACAUUCAAUCCUCUUUUUACUAAUCUCAUUUAGCAAUAUGCGAAGGGAAACUAAAUUUCGUCUGACUGGAUGGUUAUAUGAAGUAGACAAAUUUCCUGCAGUGUCAUAAGAGAGCAAGCACCAUGAAAUAUGUUCAUGCAGUUCACAGAAUAUGGUUGAGUAGUGUGCAUUCGACUACCAACUGAUGAACUAGCGAACUAGUGAUGACUAAAGAGAUUGCCGGAUUGAAAGGAGGUGAGCAGUAUUGCAAUCUUUUGGCAACUCAUAACCAGUAGCAAAGAAGAAACAAUCAAGGAUGGAAUAGCGAGAGAUCGGAAGGUUACCAGUGCGAGAAGGUGGAGAUGGAGUGGCGAUGGCGGGAUCGGCAGCGCCGCCGCCGCCGCCUGGCCAUGGCUUGCGAGGCCUGAUGGAUGGCCACUUCAACUCCAUGCCUAGAUCUGAGUCAAAGUGGGAGAUGAGGCAUCCAUUAGAGGAGGGGGAGCUGAGGUCACGGGGAUUCAGGUGCCGGAGGGCCACACGAGGACUGGGGGCCACCGUCGGGGGGCUUCCCUGGGCGCCGCCGUCGGGGGUCCUUCCCUGGGCGCCGCUCGUCUCAGGUUGCACGGGGGGCAGCUGUGUCCUUGGUCGAGCAGGGAAAAAAGAAAUAUUGGAUCAUUAUGUUUUGUGGGAUGGAUGUUUCCAGCCAAAUCGGAGGGGCAGAGCUCGGAAACUUGGGAGGGCUCAGCGCGUGUAAACGAUUUCAGCGUUGUAUUCGUUUUAUUUCAGACCGCUAUUUCCGUGUGCAUGCCAAACGGCUGAAUUGGCAAUUUGGGAAUACCAAAUCCAAUUCGGGGCCUCAUUACAGACAUCCAAACGCAGUGUUAAUGUUAUUGAAAAAUCUUCGACAAUCACUAUUGGAAGUUUUCAACUACCUCUACCUACUGUUAAAAAUAAAUAUGAAAUGCUUAUUGUUGGGGACAUUCAUAUCCCUAUUGAGGUAACUUAGUGAUUUACGAAAGUUCUUCGGUUUCAUGCUAAUUGAGAGUGGUUGUUAAUAAGACUUGAUCAACCUUAUUAAUGGAUCAUUUUUGAGAGGUAUGAAGUUGAUGAAUUUAGUGAGCACUACCUUCUAUCCCUACCUUUUUUCUGUUUUUACUAGUUAAAUAAAAUAAAAUGCCAUGUUUUGUCUGUUUUCUGAGUUUUCCGUGCAAUAAAAAAAUGACCCAAAAAUAAAAUUUCUCAGGAUGCUCUAAAAAUUUAAUACGUUUUUUUCCUAAUUAUUUAAGAAUUUUUGGUGCAAAUAAUAUCAGAGGGAGGUGCACCAAGUGGGCACAACCCACCUGGCGUGCUAGGACCCCCAGGCGCCCCUGGUGGGUUGUGGUCCCCACGUGGGCCCCCUCACUUACUUCUUCUUCGCACAUCACCACAUCCCUCCAGAAAAAAAUCACCAUUGCUCUCUCUCUCUCUCUCUCUCUCUCUCUCUCUCUCUUGUGUUCUUGCUCCGGAAACCGCGGAUUUCGAUCCCUUUGCUCGAAGCUCCGUUUUCGAAACUGUUUCGGGCCCUUGUUGCUUGUUAUGUGACUCCUCCAUGUGUCCAAUUAGUUUUUGUUUUAGUGGUUUAUAUUUUGAAUAAUUAGCUACUUUUGGUGCUGCUGUAGAUGAUCUUGCAUGUUGAAUUCUUAGAGUUCUAAGUAGUUUGAAUGCUUGCUAUGGCCUCUAUACAUCCUUGUGAGUGUUUGUUACCAAUCUUGUAAAGUUUUGUUAACAAAUUUUUGUAACCCAAAAUUUUCAGAAAAUUGUACACGAACAUUAUGAACUUCUUUGGAAGGAGUUCUUUGAGGAGGAGAUCCUCGAAGGCAUCCUCUAGUAGCAGCUCCAUUCGUCGGUCUUAUGUUGAACCGAGUGAAAAGUCCAUUCGAGAUGCCGCCACUAAAACAUGCUUAUGGCCAUGCAACGAUUAUAUGAUGAGUGUUGGCAUUAAGGAGGAAUUUGAGCAAUAUGUUCACAAUGCUGAUAUUGGUCCCUACAAUUUAGAUAAGUGUGACCAACACCUCACUCUCAUUGAAUCAUUUGCCGAAGGGUUCAAAUUCCAUCCCCGUGAGUCUAGGGUGUCAUUUAAUUUGUAUGAAAACCCAUUUACCAUAUCCUUAGGGAAAUUCGCUCACCACUACAAAAUUCCAUUCUAGGGUUCGCUCGAUGAACCGCCAAGGUCUGAGUUUGAGAUAUUCUUGACUAGUCUUUAUUAUGGUGAGACUAGGGGAGUGAUGCAAGUUAGAAUAAAGAGCAUUUAUUUUCACGCAAUUCAAUACUUUGCAUUAUUUAAUGAAAAAUGUAUUGUAGUCAAGCAAGAUUGUAGUACACUUUGUGCUCCAGAUUUGAGCCUCAUACACACCACUCUCAAAGGUGACAGAAGUUAUAAUCUUGGAGCGAUUGUUGCACGUAGGUUGCAACACAACGCUGGUAGUGGAUAUUUUUAUGGUGGAAUUUAUGCCACAUGAUUAGUGAGGGAGCUGGGUGUUUCACCUUUGCCCUAUGAUCCUAUUUUACCCACACAGUAUCUAGACUUUGAUGCUAUGAAACGUCAUAAGAUCCUUAAAGGAGAUCCCCAUAAUUUCACUUAUAAAUUGAUGUUUAAAAAGGACUCCGUGGUGGAAACAUAUUUGCCUGCGCCUCCUCUCUUUAAUGUUCACAACAGGGGAAGAUAUUAUGUUCUUGAGAGCGAGACCCGAGCUCACAACACAACGGUUGUAGAUGCACGGAGGGUUGAGGCAUCCGCACCAAGAGCCUCCGUGAGCUAGCACUCUGACCAUUACGCAGGCUGCUGACUGAUUACCAAGUUAGGCCAAAAGCCUAAGCUUGGGGGAGUAUGUAUUUCCACCGACAUUGCAUUCAUGUUCACACAUUUCAUUCCAGUUGUCGGUGUUCACACUUUCUCAUUGUAUUAUCCAUGUUAAAUUUAUUUUCUCGCUUUCUUCUUGUGAGUUUGAAAAACAUUGAGAAAAUCCAAAAAUAUGCUUCUUGCUUCUUUUUUAUUUUUCUUCCUAGUUUAAAUUGUUGUGGCACUAAAAAUAAAAAACCAAAAAGAUUUCCUUGUUCUUCUUUUGCUUGUUGGGAGCUUUCCCGUGUAAAUAGUUUUUCUCGUUUUUGCUUUUCUCUUUUUAUUUGCUUGUUUACGAAAAACCAAAAACUCCAAAAAUAUUUUGGUGUGUUUCUCUGAAUUUCUUUUCCUUUUAUUGAGUCAUACCGAGGAGAAGACCACGAUGAAAAUGUUGACUGGCUCUCAUUUGCAUUAUUGUUGAUCUAAUGAAGAACCCAUAUUACCUUGUCUUCUCCUUUUGAAUAAAAUGUUUGCAGAUUCCAGCUUAGUCCAUGGCACUCUUGCACUAUUAUUAUUUUCAAAUCAUUCAGUCGUGCAAGUGAAAGGCAAUAAUGACGAUAUUCGAUGAACUGGCCGUGGCAGAGAGAAACAGGUAUGAACUCGACUUGUUCUAUUUUUGUAAAUAUGUUUAACCUAGUAUCAAUGAUUUAGCCUAUUAUGAUCAAACAUGUUUGCAAUGACAUUUAGAGAUUAUAGUUUCUCAUGCCAUGCAUAAGUAGCUAGGAGGAUAAUGAUUUAUCUUGGAUGUCAACAUUGCGUUAAAAUGAUUGUGAUAUAGUAUGAUGAUAUGGUAUCCUCCUCUGAAUGUUCGAGUGGCUUGACUUGGCACAUGUUCAUGCAUGUAGUUGAAUGCAUGUUGUUCAUGGUGUUCAUAUCCUACUCAUGCUAGUAUCCAAUGUUACUUAUGCAUAAUGCGUGUUCACGAUCGUUGUUGCUCUCUAGUUGGCCGCUUCUCAACCUAUUUUCUAGCCUUCGCCUGUGCUAAGUGGGAACUCUACUUGUAGAUCAAAAACUUGAAACCCAAGUUAUUCCAGAUGAGUCCACCAUACCUACCUAUAUACCCUUCCGUCCUAAGUAAAUUUGCAUGUGCCACCUCUAAAAGCUUCAAAUAAAUAUCAUUUUUGUGUGCCGCGGUUAUUCAUAGAGCAACAGGAGGUAGUUGGUAUCUUCCCUGCUAAACGGGUUAUUCUCAGGUUGGGUGUUUAUUCACUCACCAUUGCACGAGAAAAGAGCGGUAAUAGGGAUUCCCAGUCCCAAAUUGCAAAAGGAACUUAUCAAUAAUCAAACAAAAACUCCUAUGGAGCAAAAACCUUUACUUUACCACUUGGGAACUACUACUAAUUUGUUUAGCAUGCAAGAUAUUGAUAAUUGAUGGUCGCAAAGUAAACAAGGGUGCAUGUCUUAAAAUUUCAUUUACCUCUGUUUUUAAAAACUUGAGCUUGGCACCUCUGUAAACCAUUGCUUCCCUCUGCGAAGGGACUAUCUAUUUACUUUUAUGUUGUGUCAUCACCUUCUCAAAUAAGCGUCAGAACCUGAGAGCACUGCUGUCAUGCUGAUGCAUUGUGUGUAGCUAAUGUUGGGUGCAUCAUGACUGGAUCUUUUCUACCAUGAAUUACAAUGUUUAGUUGAUGCUUGAACUUUGGAGGUGCUCUGCAUUUAUGUUUUGCGGUCUCGGAAAGGGCUAGCGAGAUACCACUAUUGUCAUAUUGCAUCAUGGUUGUUUUGACACCGUGUUGCUAUUUGAGAUGUCUUAUUAUUGCUCGCUAGUUGAUUAUGUCAUUGAUAUGAGUUAAUAUAAUUUUUAAGAAUUAUUGUCGACAUGGUUAGUUAUAAUCUUUUGCUGAAAACCUGGGUGUUGUUUAAGCUUAUUUAUGGAAACAAGAGCAAAAGAGUUCGUAAAAAAUUUUCUUUUUCACUUUCAAUUUAUCAACUAAAUUGCUUGAGGACAAGCAAAGGGUUAAGCUUGGGGGAGUUGAUACGUCUCUAUCGUAUCUACUUCUCCUAACGCUUUCCCUCUUGUUUUGGAUUCUAAUUUGCAUGAUUUGAAUGAAACUAACCCGGACUGACGUUGUUUUCAGCAGAACUACCAUGGUGUUGUUUUUGUGCAGAAAUAAAAGUUCUCGGAAUGGAACGAAACUUUGUGAGGAUUUUUUAUACAAUAAAAGAGAAUAUCUGGAGCCAAGAACCACCGGAGAGGGCACCUGGGUGGGCACAACCCACCAGGGCGCGCCACCCCCUCCAGGCGCGCCCAGGUGGGUUGUCCCCAUGUGGAGGCCCCGCAGACCCUGAAACCGAUGCUAUAAAAUCCUAUAUUUCCAGAAAAAAUGAGGGAAAAUAAUUAUCGGGUUUCAUGAACGGAGCCAUCGCCGUCUCUUAUUCUUCAUCGGGAGGCCAGAUCUGGAGUCCGUUCAGGGCUCUGGAGAUCUUCGAUUUUCGUCAUCACCAACCCUUCUCCAUCUCCAAUUCCAUGAUGCUCCCCACCGAGGGUGAGUAAUUCAUUCGUAGGCUCGCUGGUCGGUGAGAAGUUGGAUGAGGUUCAUCAUGUAAUUGAAUUAGUUCUGUUAGGGCCUGAUCUCUAGUAUCCAUUAUGUUCUAAGGUUGAUGUUGCUAUGACUUUGCCAAGCUUAAUGCUUGUCACUUUGGGCCCAAGUGCCAUGAUUUCAGAUCUGAACCGUUUAUGUUAUCGCCAUUAUAUUCAUGUUCUAGAUCCGAUCUUGCAAGUUAUAGUCACCUACUACGUGUUAUGAUCCGGCAACCCCGGAGUGACAAUAGUCGGGACCACUCCUAGUGAUGACCGUAGUUUGAGGAGUUCAUGUAUCCAUCGUGUGUUAAUGCUUUGUUUCGGUUCUCUAUUAAAAGGAGGCUUUAAUAUCCUUACUUUCCAAUAGGACCCCGCCGCCAUGGGAGGGUAGGACAAAAUAUGUCAUGCAAGUUCUUUCCAUAAGCAUGUAUGACUUUUUACAGAAUACAUGCCUACAUUAUAUUUAUGAACUGGAGCUAGUGCCGUAUCGCCCUAGGUUAUGACUGUCUCAUGAUGAAUAUCAUCCAACGAAUCACCAAUCCAAUGCCUACGAUUUUCCUACAUAUUGUUUUUGCUAAGUUACUACUGCUAUUGUUACUACUACACUUGCUACAAAACACUGCUGUCAUUGUAACCGUUACCAUUGUUGCUGCUAAUAUCAUCAAAACUAUCAUACUACUUUGCUACUAAUCACUUUGCUGCAUAUAAUGAAUCUCCAUGUGUGGUUGAAUUGACAACUCAGCUGUUAAUACUUGCAAAUAUUCUUUGGCUCCCCUUGUGUCGAAUCUAUAAAUUUGGGUUGAAUACUCUACCCUCGAAAACUAUUGCGCUCCCAUAUACUUGUGGGUUAUCACCCCUCUAGACACCUCUUCUUGAUCCUACACCCCUUUAUCGCGUUGGGUGCAGGUAUUUGAUUGUUUGUGUAGGUGCAUAGAUUGGGACUUGCUUGUACCUCCUACUGAAUUGAUACCUUGGUUCUCUAACUGAGGGAAAUACUUAUCUCUACUUUGCUGCAUCACCAUUUCCUCUUCAAGGGAAAAACCAACGCAAGCUCAAGAAGUAGCAGGAAGAAUUUCUGGUGAUGUUGCCGGGGAGGUCUACAUCAAGCCUACCAAGUACCCACCAUAAACUCUCAUCUCUUACAUUACAUUAUUUUCCAUUUGCCUCUCGUUUUCCUCUCCCCCACUUCCAAAAUGAUUUUCAAAAAGAUUGCCUUUUUUAUUUGCCUUUCUUCCGUUCGUCUUUUCGUUUGCUUUUUGCUUGCUCGUGCAUUCAAUCACUUGUUUUGCUUUCAUGGCUAGUCCUUCCACAUUUCUAGCACUCCCGAGAAUGAGAUCCUUAAUUUUAAGCAAAGGGAGGGAGAAAAUUUAAAGGACGCUUGAUAUAGAAUUUGUAAUGCUCAGAAUAGAUCUACUCGAAAGCAAUCUACUAAUGUUCUCCUUCGCAACUUUUAUGUGGGCGUUACUCCCUGGAAUAGAUAUGUUCUAGAUGCCAUUACCGGGGGAAAUUUCUUGGGAAGCCAUACUUUUGGUGCUUAUAAUGCUAUGAUAGAUUCGGUAGGACCACCACCUCUUAUGGUUAAUGAAACUAUUUUAACCUUGGAACAUGUGAUGCAAAGGCUUGAUUUUAUUGAAAGUAAAAUUGCUACCAUAGAGCUGAUUGAAAACUUGGAUAAAAAGAUUCAUAAUCAUAUUACUCAAUAUGGAUCUAAGGUACGAGUUACUUUAAAUAAUCUAAGGGAAAAGGAACCCAUAGUUAGUGAAAAGAUAGAUCAAGAUUCUACUAGAAUUGGUAAACUAGAAGAUAUUAUUACCAACUUGGGUUUUGCUUUUUCCUCCGUUAAAACUACUCAAAAUUUUCCUCCUACUAAAGCUACAAAGUUUAUUUAUGUUCCUAAAUAAUAAGGGUGAAUCUUCUAGUAAAGGAAACGAAGAUCUCAAAAUGAUAAAUAUUCACCCUAACCUUUUUGAUAUUAUGAAGGAACCAAUUGCCACGAGUGAAUUUCUUGAUUUCUUGCCUAGGAGUUUGAUCAUUGAUAAAACUAGAGAACCUCCUAAGUAUUAUAAGUUUGAAAUUGAAGAAUUGCAUACCAAAGAUGACAAUACCUAGAUCUAUUGCAAUAUGCCUAGCUAGGGGCAUUAAACAAUAGCGCUUGUUGGGAGGCAACCCAAUUUUAUUUUCGUUCUUGAUUUUUGUUUCUGUUUUUUUUAAUAAAUUUAUCAUCUUGCCUCUGGUUAGAUGUGUUUUGGUAUUUUAAUUAGUGUUUGUACCAAGUAAGACCUUUGGGGUGGCUUACGGUGAUAGUUGAUUUGAUCUUGCUGAAAAACAUAAACUUUUGCGCCCAGUAAAAUAAUUUUCAUAAUUCACAGAAGCGCGAUUUUGAUCUGAAUUUUUACACACCAUUGAUAUACAAAUUUCCCAUGUUUUUCUUUUUUUAGAAUUUUGGAGUUACAGAAGUAUUCGAAGUUUACAUAUUGCUACAAAUUGUUCUGUUUUUGACAUAUUGUGUUUUCUUGUGUUGUUUACUUAUUUUGACGAGUCUAUGGGUAGUAUCGAGGGGUAUGAACCAUGGAGAAGUUGGAAUACAAUAGAUAUUACACCAAUAUAUAUAAAUAAUGAGUUCACAACAGUACCAAAAAGUGGUGAUUUAUUUUCUUAUACUAACGGAUCUCAUGAGUUUUCUGUUGAGUUUUGUGUUGUAAAGUUUUCAAGUUUUGGGUAAAGAUUUGAUGCACUAUGGAAUAAGGGGUGGCAAGAGCCUAAGCUUUGGGAUGCCCAAGGCACCCCAAGGUAAUAUUCAAGGACAACCAAGAGCCUAAGCUUGUGGAUGCCCCGGAUGGCAUCCCCUCUUUCGUCUUCGUCUAUCGGUAAAUUUACUUGAGAGGCUAUAUUUUUAUUCACCACAUGAUAUGUGUUUUGCUUGGAGCGUCUUGUAUGAUAUGAGUCUUUUAUUUUUAGUUUGCCACAAUCAUCCCUGCUGUACACACCUUUUGAGAGGGACACGCAUGAAUCAUGAUUUAUUAAAAUACUCUAUGUGCUUCACUUAUAUCUUUUGAGCUAGGCAAUUUUGCUCUAGUGCUUCACUUAUAUCUUUUUAGAGCACAGUAGUGGCUUUAUUUUAUAGAAAUUAUUGAACUCACUUGCUUCACUUAUAUUAUUUUGGGAGUCUUUCUAAACAUCAUGGUAACUUGCUUGGGUCAUGAUUUUAGUCCUAAUAUGAUAGGCAGCCAAAGGAGAUAUAAUAAAAACUUUCAUAUAGAGCAUUGGAUACAUGAGAAGUUUGAUUCCUUGCAUUUGUUUUGAGAUAUGAAGAUGGUGAUAUUAGUAGAAAAUUGUUUAAUCAAAGAAAUAAUUGUGUUAAAUUUUGUGAUUCCCGUAGCAUGCACGUAUGGUCUUCUAGUUAUGUGAUGAAGUUGGGGCACAAUUUAUUCUUGACUGUUUUCCUAAGAGCAUGUGUAGUAGUACUUUGCUUCGAGGGCUAAUAGAUUUUUUGCAAUAAGUAUGUGAGUUCUUUAUGAAUAAUGUUGAGUCCAUGGAUUAUACGCACUCUCACCCUUCCACCUUUGCUAGCCACUCUAGUACCGCACAACUUUUGCCGGUGCAUUAAACCCACUUCUUACCCUUCCUCAAAAUAGCCACCAUACCUACCUAUUAUGGCAUUUUCAUAGCCAUUCCGAGAUAUAUUCCCAUGUAACUCCACCAUUUCGUUUAUUAUGACACAUACCAUCAUUGUCAUAUUGCUUUGCAUGAUCAUGUAGUUGGCAUAGUAUUUGUGGCUUGGCCACCGUUCAUAUUUUUUAUACAUGUCACUCUUGAUCAUAGCACAUCAUGGUACACCGUCGAAGGCAUUCAUAUAGAGUCAUACCUUUGUUCUAGUAUCGAGUUGUAAUUUUGAGUUGUAAGUAAAUAAAAGUGUGAUGAUCAUCAUUAUUAGAACAUUGUCCCCUGUGAGGUUAUCAAAAUAAAAGAGGCCAAAGAAGCCCAAAUAAAAAAAGAGGCCGAAGAAGCCCACCAAAAAAAGAGGAGAGAGAAGGGACAAUGUUACUAUCAUUUUCCACACUUGUGCUUCAAAGUAGCAUCAUGUUCUUCACGAUAGAGAGUCUCCUAUUUUGUCACUUUCAUAUAUUACUAGUGGGAAUUUUUCGUUAUAGAACUUGGCUUGUAUAUUCCAACGAUGGGCUUCCUCAAAAGCCCUAGGUCUUCAUGAGCAAGCAAGUUGAUGCACACCCACUAGUUUUCUUUUGAGCUUUCAUACACUUAUAGCUUUAGUGCAUCCGUUACAUGGAAAUCUCUACUCACUCACAUUGAUAUAAAUUGAUGAACAUCCUCAUAGUCCAUUGAUUUGCCUAGUUGAUGUGAGACUUUCUGUAACGCCCCGGAUUCGAUGCGCCAGGUGUCUGCCAGUUAUUUGCCGCCGUUGUCAUGUCAUUUGCUUGCGUGUUGCAUUUUUCCAUGUCAUCAUGUGCAUCUCAUUUUGCAUAUGUGUUUGUCUCAUGCAUCCGAGCUUUUUCCCCGUUGUCCGUUUUGCAAUCCGGCACUCCUAUGUCCUCCGACGUCCCCCUUUUGUCUCUUGUUGUGAGCGGGUGUUAAACUUUCUCGGAGUGGACCGAGGUUUGCCAAGCGGCCUUGGUAUAGCACCGGUAGACCGCCUGUCAAGUUUCGUGCCAUUUGGAGGUCGUUUGAUACUCCAACGGUUAACCCGGUAACCGUAAAAGCCCCUUUUGUCUUGCAGCCCAACACCCCUUCAAAGUGGCCCAAAACCCAUCCAAACGCCCUCCAUGCUCUCGGUCGUUCGAUCACGAUCGCGUGGCUGAAAACCGCUCCUCAUUUGGACUCUCCUAGCUCCCUCUAGCUAUAAAUAUGUGAUCCCCUCCGAAAAUCCCGCAGUCCAACCCUAGCCUCCCCUUCCUCUGCAAUGCCGGACACAUCUCCCCAGCUGCCCGGACAUGUCCGCCGCCGCCCUGCCCAAUCCGGAGCCGCCACCUGUCCGCCGUCGUCNNNNNNNNNNNNNNNNNNNNNNNNNNNNNNNNNNNNNNNNNNNNNNNNNNNNNNNNNNNNNNNNNNNNNNNNNNNNNNNNNNNNNNNNNNNNNNNNNNNNNNNNNNNNNNNNNNNNNNNNNNNNNNNNNNNNNNNNNNNNNNNNNNNNNNNNNNNNNNNNNNNNNNNNNNNNNNNNNNNNNNNNNNNNNNNNNNNNNNNNNNNNNNNNNNNNNNNNNNNNNNNNNNNNNNNNNNNNNNNNNNNNNNNNNNNNNNNNNNNNNNNNNNNNNNNNNNNNNNNNNNNNNNNNNNNNNNNNNNNNNNNNNNNNNNNNNNNNNNNNNNNNNNNNNNNNNNAUGCUGCCCCGCCGUCUGACGCCCCUCCGCCGCGCGUCCCGAGCCCCUCCACCGCCGUCCCCGCGCCGCCCCGCGCCGGAUCCGGCGAGAUCCGGUCGGAGGAGGUCGCCCCGGGCCCUUCCUCUCCAUCUCCGGCGAAGCUCCGUCCAGAUCCGCCACUGCCUCGAUAUCCGUGCAAGCUAGAGGUUGAGCCCGAAAUUCCUAAGUCCCCGGAUCUGCAUAUUUUCAUGCCAUAUUCAACGCAUCAUAACUUGCUGCAUACUGCUCUGUUUCGUGCGUGUAAUAUGUCAAAUUGUUCGUCUCAACGAGUACUUCAUUUCUUUCCAGUGCAUCAUGUUCAUUUGGGCUCAUCUUGAUGCCUGAAUCAUCGUUGCAAGAGUGCAUGUUGUUGUUAAUCUGCUGAAACUGUUAUAACUUGCUCAUUUGUCAUUUUUGCCAUGAUUGAUGUGUGCAUCUUAUGAACUUGAGACCUACAUAUGUUUUAAUCUAUGCCAUGCAUCUUUACAGGGGUGUAUGCCAUGUCUUUUUGUGAUCAAUUUGGUGACUAGCACAAGCAUGUAAACUAGGCCUUGUGAUGUUGUUGAUUUCAGUCCCUGUUCUGCUGUUAUUUUUAUGCCAUGUAAACUUGAUGCUACAGAGAGAUCCAUGCUUAUUUUGAGAUACUUAAGUAAGGAUGUUUUGUACAUAUGGUUAUGAGCUAUCCAUCCAUGCCCCUGGUUGCAUUUAUGGCUUGCUGUAGAUUGUUCAUAUCUUGCUCCAAAGUUGCUAAAUGAUGUUGCUGUCAGCCUGUUAACUUGAAAUUCAAUGUUUCCAUGAUUGUUGUUAGUUAUCCAUGCACCAUACGAACUUGCUCUUGCCAUGCUUAGCUUCAUAAACAUGUCUUCUUGCUGCUGGUUGCCUUGCCAUGCCAUGUAUUGCUCUGUAGUGAGUGGUUCAAGCUCACCAACAUGCCUACUUAUUGUUGUUCCUGCCAUGUUUGAAUCUGUCAUAUAAUUUGCCAUGUUUACAUGGGUGCCAUCAUAUUUUAUGUGCCCUUUUGGCUCAUGGUCAGUAAAGGACUUUUGUUCUAUGCAAUUAGUAGAUUCAUGCCAUGCCUUUGUUUGCCAUGAUAAGUUCCUGUAACAUGUUGUUUGAUAGCUCUAAACAUUGCAACCUGAUGUUAUUUCCUAAUAAGUCUGAAACUGUUAUUAUUUGCAAUCUUGUCAUGUGUGUUUGAGCAUGUUCUACUGAUUUCUGGAGAUAGCUCAGUGUUCAUGUUUUGUUAUGCUUUACCUGUACAUCAUGACCAUGCCUUUUGAUUUCAUAUUGAGGUGCUGUAGCAUAUUGUUUUGAUGCUUGCAAUAUGCCUAGUUGCUGUUAUGGACAGAUUGUUGUCAUAUCUUGUAUAGAGUGUAUGUGUUGAACCGUUGCUCCGUUUUGAGUGUGCUCUAUAUGAAACUUGCUUGUUUUUGCAUGUAGCUUCAUAUUAUCAUGUUGCAUCCUUGUUUUGGUGUGUUUGCUUGAUGUUUGGAUGCAUUUUGCAUCAAUGCCAUGGUUAACUUGUUUUGCUCAUAUCUUCUAGGUCGUAGCUCCGAAUCUAAUGAACUUUAUAUGUAACUUGACUAGAAUCCCGUGUAGAUCAUCUUAGUGCAUCUUAACUUGUUGUUUAACAACUUGAACAUAAGGUUUAUUCAGAUCUGGACCAACUUCGAAAUUUGCAUAUGAGGACUUACAGGAAUUGUUAUAUGUUGUUCCCGGCCUCAUUUAAACUUGCUUUGAUGAGUUGCUCUUGUUUGCAUCAUCUCUUGCCAUGAGUAGCUUCAUGUAGCUUUGUCAUGCAUCAUGCUUGUUGAGCAUCAUGCCUUGUUCAUGUGUGGUGUGUUUACUAUGUUGUGUGCUUCUUCUCGAUAGUUCCUGUUUCGUUGCGAUCGUGAGGAUUCGUUCGUCUACGCUUGGUUCGUCUUUGUGGCUUCAUCUUCUUCAUGGACUCGUUCUUCUUCCUUGCGGGAUUUCAGGCAAGAUGACCGCUACCCUAGAUCUCACUACUAUCAUUGCUAUGCUAGUUGCUUCGUUCUAUCGCUAUGCUGCAUCACCUAUCUUUUGCUCAUCAAGCCUCCCAGAUUGCCAUGAACCUCUAACCUUUGACUUCCCUCCUAGCAAACCAUCGAUUGGCUAUGUUACUGCUUUGCUCAGCCCCUCUUAUAGCGUUGUUAGUUGGAGGUGAAGUUGAAGACUGCUCCAUGGUGGACAGGAUUAUGUUGGGAUAUCACAAUAUCUCUUAUUUAAUUAACGCAUCUAUAUAUUUGGUAAAGGGUGGAAGACUCGGCCUUAUGCCUGGUGUUUUGUUCCACUCUUGCCGCCCUAGUUUCUGUCAUACCGGUGUUAUGUUUCCGGAUUUUGCAUUCCUUACGCGGUCGGGUGAUUUAUGGGAACCCCUUGACAGUUCGCUUUGAAUAAAACUCCUCCAGCAAGGCCCAACCUUGGUUUUACCAUUUGCCUCACCACCACCUACAUUUCCCUUGGGAGUAAUUAACCCAAGGGUCAUCUUUAUUAUAGCCCCCCGGGCCAAUGCUUGUCUAAGUGUUGGUCCAAACUAGAGCACCAUGCGGGACCAUCCCUUGGCAACUUGGGUUACGUCGAUACCUGUACGCUUAGCUUAUCCGGUGUUGCCCUGAGAACGAGAUAUCUGCAGCUCCUAUCGGGAUUGUCGGCGCAUCGGGCCGUCUUGCUGGUCUUGUUUUACCAUUGUCGAAAUGUCUUGUAAACCGGGAUUCCGAGACUGAUCGGGUCUUCCUGGGAGAAGGUAUAUCCUUCGUUGAUCGCGAGAGCUUAUCAUGGGCUAAGUUGGGACAACCCUGCAGGGUAUAAACUUUCGAAAGCCGUGCCCGCGGUUAUGGGCAGAUGGGAAUUUGUUAAUGUCCGGUUGUAGAUAACUUGACACCAGAUCCGUUUUAAAAUGCAUCAACCGUGUGUGUAGCCGUGAUGGUCUCUUUUCGGCGGAGUCCGAGAAGUGAACACGGUUUUUGGGUUAUGUUUGACGUAAGUAGGUGUUCAGGAUCACCUCUUGAUCAUUGCUAGCUUCACGACCGUUCCUUUGUUUCUCUUCUCGCUCUUAUUUGCGUAUGCUAGCCACCAUACUAUGCUUAGUCGUUGCUGCAACCUCACCACUUUACCCCCUUCCUUACCUAUCAAGCUUUGCUAGUAUUGAUACCCAUGGUAAUGGGAUUGCUGAGUCCUCGUGGCUCACAGAUUACUACAACAACAGUUGCAGGUACAGGUUUUGCGAUGAUCAUGACGCGAGAGCGAUGUUUGCUUGUUUUGGAGUUCUUCUUCUGCUUCUUCUUCGAUCAGGGGAUAGGUUCCAGGUCAGCAGCCUGGGCUAGCAGGAUGGAUGUCGUUUGAGUUUUUGUUUGUGUUUCAUCCGUAGUCGGAUGGUGCUCUGAUGUAUUGUGAUGUUGUAUUCGUGUGGCAUUGUAUGCCCCUUGUAUGUAUCCCCAUCUAUUAUGUAAUGUUGAUGUAAUGAUAUCCACCUUGCAAAAGCGUUUCAAUAUGCGGGUCUAUCCUUGGUGGGACCUUCGAGUUCCUUUUGGAUAGGGUCGCAUAUUGGGCGUGACAAGUUGGUAUCAGAGCCUUUACCGACCUUAGGAGCCCCCUUGAUUGAUCGUGCAGUUUGGCCGUUGUCGAGUCUAGAAGAAAACUGUUUUUCGGAAUCUAGUUAUAUCAGAGUGUAGGAAUUCUUUUUACUCCUCUGCCUCUUCGUCGCUCUGGUAAGGAAUCUUGACGUAGGUGUUUUGAAUUACUCCUCUUCCCCUUCAAAUUUUUCUUCAGGUUCACGCAGUUGGUUUUCCGGUCGUUGGUUCUCUUCUCUUUUCAUCUGGUGCAUUUCUCGUCAAGUUGACUCGAGCCUCUUCAUUGUUGCCAAGUUCAAUCCUCAGUUCUUUUCUUUUCCCACCCGCCCACCCUUCUUCCUCUCGAAACCGGAGUCCAUAAUUGAGUAUCCAUCCUACUCGUGGGAAGUCUUUGCUUUCUUUCCUCAAUGAUUUUAACCGGUGUUUUCUCUUCAAGAUAUUAGUUGGUUCUCCCAUCCAGUUUCCUUUGUUUUCCCGCCCUCCCACCCUCUUCUUACCGGAGCCUGAGUCUGUUUUCGAGCAUCAAUUCCAUUCGUGUGGAGCCUCUUCAGUCUUCCCUCAAUCAUUUCAAUCGGUGAAUUCUCGCCUCGUUCGUCAUUCUUCAUCUCUUUUUCUUUUCCGGUGGACGCAAUUCAUGUUUUUUUGGUAGUGAUUAUAUUCUUCCCUCGGCUCAAAUGUUUUCCCCUUGCUCGUUCGCCUCUCGCCAGUUUAUCAUUCCGGAGUUCGGAAGACAUCUCAGGAGAUUCGUCUGUGUUCGAAUUAAUUCGAGGUUGUCACCUCAUUCAAAUAUUUCAAUCAUUUUGGUGCAUCAUCUAUCUCUUCAACAAUCCUUGCCAACGGUGUUUUCUCUUCAGUGGGCCCUAACCCACAGGUCUUUUCCCAGGAUCUUACCUGACUCUUAUGAUUCCCCCGGAGUUAUUCUCAAUUCUUUUCAAGUGUGACGUAAGAAUGGAUUCCAUCAGUCACAUGCCUUCUCCAAGAUCGCUUUCAAAUUCUUUCAUUGUUGGCUCGACCUCUCUGCUUUUCAUUCUCCCGGAGUAUAUCAGUAAUUUUGGUGGUGUUUUCCAUCAUCAUUUCAAGACCGAAGAACAGUUUUUCCUCUAAUUUUUGUGUGUUAUCUCGAAGAUUCGUGGUUCUACCUUCAUAUUAUCCUCUCGAUUUAUUCCAUUUGUCUGAUGUUCUUUACUUACCCAUCCGGAUUAUGUCAGUAGUUGUUUUCCUGUUUCUUUCACCGGAGGCCAUCAUUCCAGUUAUCGUUCUCUAUUUACCCCGGUGCUUCGUUCAAGUGUUCUUUAAUCAGCUCAUGAUCUCUUUGUUCUUUUGCAUCUAUAUCCCCUCUAGCAUAUUGGUUCUUCUAAUUCUUCCCGGUGACUCAUUCUCUUUCAUCAGUCAUUUCCAAAUUCUUACGGUGGUUUGUUCAAGAUUCUUUUCCUUGUUUAUCAUAUUAAUCCAUUCGUUCUUUCAAUCAUACCGGUGGUUCAUGAAGACUUUCUCAAGUUUUGUGCUAUAUUCCCCUUAAUCCUUUUCAAGAAGAAUAAGUAGUAUGCAAAAUCCAUUGCUUGUCUUCAAUUUAAUUUGAUGAAGGAUAAGCAUACAAUAAAUCUUAUUCUUAUUUCAUCCAAGUGAGUAAUCCUUUUCUUCGGAGUUUGUUCUUAAUGAAUAAAUUCUAGUUCCAAGUGUUCUCAUUUUUUCUUUUCCGGAGUUCAAAUUACUCGGUCAUUUCGUCGGAACCUCCAUCUAAAUCACCGCAAGGCUUUAAUCUACUUCUUUCAUCCUUCAAUUUUAUCUCGUCAUUCUUUUGUUACCGGAGUUCUUCAUGGUGGUUCUUCAUGAUUUAAUUCAUUCUGCAAGAGUUCAUCAAGUAUCAUUCCAUCCUCUCAAGUUCAUGUUCUUUUCCUUCCAUCUUCAGCCGGAGCGCUGUCUAAAUCCUUUCAGUCUUAUUCUUUUCAUAUCUCGUUCUAACCGGAGUGGUUUCAUAGUCUAUCUGAUUCCGUGAGCUUUCGAUUCACAUCAUUCUCGGUGUUCCUCUCUUCUUCUUGAGUGCUCUCGAUUCUUUGCUUCUUCUCUUGAGUUCUUGUUUCACCUCAUCCAUUUUCCCUUCCGUCUCGGUCCUAAGAUCUCGGAACGAGAUCUCUUGUUAGUGGAGGAGUGUCGUAACGCCCCGGAUUCGAUGCGCUAGGUGUCUGCCAGUUAUUCGCCGCCGUUGCCAUGUCAUUUGCUUGCGUGUUGCAUUUUGCCAUGUCAUCAUGUGCAUCUCAUUUUGCAUACGUGUUCGUCUCAUGCAUCCGAGCUUUUUCCCCGUUGUCCGUUUUGCAAUCCGGCACUCCUAUGUCCUCCGGCAUCCCCCUUUUGUCUCUUGUUGUGAGCGGGUGUUAAACUUUCUCGAAGUGGACCGAGGUUUGCCAAGCGGCCUUGGUAUAGCACCGGUAGACCGCCUGUCAAGUUUCGUGCCAUUUGGAGGUCGUUUGAUACUCCGUAGGUUAACCGGGUAACCGUAAAAGCCCCUUUUGUCUUGCAGGCCAACACCCCUUCAAAGUGGCCCAAAACCCAUCCAAACCCCCUCCAUGCUCUUGGUCGUUCGAUCACGAUCGCGUGGACGAAAACCGCUCCUCGUUUGGACUCUCCUAGCUCCCUCUAGCUAUAAAUAUGUGAUCCCCUCCGAAAAUCCCGCAGUCCAACCCUAGCCAUGCUCUUGGUCAUUCCAAAACCCAUCCAAACCCCAUCCAAACCCCCUCCAUGCUCUUGGUCGUUCGAUCACGAUCGCGUGGACGAAAACCGCUCCUCAUUUGGACUCUCCNNNNNNNNNNNNNNNNNNNNNNNNNNNNNNNNNNNNNNNNNNNNNNNNNNNNNNNNNNNNNNNNNNNNNNNNNNNNNNNNNNNNNNNNNNNNNNNNNNNNNNNNNNNNNNNNNNNNNNNNNNNNNNNNNNNNNNNNNNNNNNNNNNNNNNNNNNNNNNNNNNNNNNNNNNNNNNNNNNNNNNNNNNNNNNNNNNNNNNNNNNNNNNNNNNNNNNNNNNNNNNNNNNNNNNNNNNNNNNNNNNNNNNNNNNNNNNNNNNNNNNNNNNNNNNNNNNNNNNNNNNNNNNNNNNNNNNNNNNNNNNNNNNNNNNNNNNNNNNNNNNNNNNNNNNNNNNNNNNNNNNNNNNNNNNNNNNNNNNNNNNNNNNNNNNNNNNNNNNNNNNNNNNNNNNNNNNNNNNNNNNNNNNNNNNNNNNNNNNNNNNNNNNNNNNNNNNNNNNNNNNNNNNNNNNNNNNNNNNNNNNNNNNNNNNNNNNNNNNNNNNNNNNNNNNNNNNNNNNNNNNNNNNNNNNNNNNNNNNNNNNNNNNNNNNNNNNNNNNNNNNNNNNNNNNNNNNNNNNNNNNNNNNNNNNNNNNNNNNNNNNNNNNNNNNNNNNNNNNNNNNNNNNNNNNNNNNNNNNNNNNNNNNNNNNNNNNNNNNNNNNNNNNNNNNNNNNNNNNNNNNNNNNNNNNNCCGGCGCCCCUCCGCCGCGCCUCCCGAGCCUCUCCACCGCCGUUCCCGCGCCGCCCCGCGCUGGAUCCGGCGAGAUCCGGCCGGAGGAGGUCGCCCCGGGCCCUUCCUCUCCAUCUCCGGCGAAGCUCCGGCCAGAUCUGCCACCGCCUUGAUAUCCGUGCAAGCUAGAGGUUGACCCCGAAAUUCCUGUCCCCGGAUCUGCAUAUUUUCAUGCCAUAUUCAACGCAUCAUGACUUGCUGCAUACUGCUCCGUUUCGUGCGUGUAAUAUGUCAAAUUGUUCAUCUCAACGAGUACUUCAUUUCAUUCCAUUGCAUCAUGUUCAUUUGAGCUCAUCUUGAUGCCUGAAUCAUCAUUGCAAGAGUGCAUGUUGCUGUUAAUCUGCUGAAACUAUUAUAACUUGCUCAUUUCUCAUUUUUGCCAUGGUUGAUGUGUGCAUCUUAUGAACUUGAGCCCUACAUAUGUUUUGAUCUAUGCCAUGCCAUCUUUACAGGGGUGUAUGCCAUGUAUUUUUGUGAUCAAUUUGGUGACUAGCACAAGCAUGUAAACUAGGCCUCGUGAUGUUGCUGAUUUCAGUCCCUGUUCUGCUGUUAUUUUUAUGCCAUGUAAACUUGAUGCUACAGAGAGAUCCAUGCUUAUUUUGAGAUACUUAAAUAAGGAUGUUUUGUACAUAUGGUUAUGAGCUAUCCAUCCAUGCCCCUGGUUGCAUUUAUGGCUUGCUGUAGAUUGUUCAUAUCUUGCUCCAAAGUUGCUAAAUGAUGUUGCUGUCAGCCUGUUAACUUGAAGUUCAAUGUUUCCAUGAUUGUUGUUAGUUAUCCAUGCACCCUACGAACUUGCUCUUGCCAUGCUUAGCUUCAUAAACAUGUCUUCUUGCUGCUGGUUGCCUUGCCAUGCCAUGUAUUGCUCUGUAGUGAGUGGUUCAAACUCACCAACAUGCCUACUUAUUGUUGUUCCUGCCAUGUUUGAAUCUGUCAUAUAAUUUGCCAUGUUUACAUGGGUGCCAUCAUAUUUUCUGUGCCCUUUUGGCUCAUGGUCAGUAAAGGACUUUUGUUCUAUGCAAUUAGUAGAUUCAUGCCAUUCCUUUGUUUGCCAUGAUAAGUUCCUGUAACAUGUUGUUUGAUAGCUCUAAACAUUGCAACCUGAUGUUAUUUCCUAAUAAGUCUGAAACUGUUAUUAUUUGCAAUCUUGUCAUGUGUGUUUGAGCAUGUUCUACUGAUUUCUGGAGAUAGCUCAGUGUUCAUGUUUUGUUAUGCUUUACCUGUACAUCAUGAUCAUGCCUUUUGUUUUCAUAUUGAGGUGUUGUAGCAUAUUGUUUUGAUGCUUGCAAUAUGCCUAGUUGCUGUUAUGGACAGAUUGUUGUCAUAUCUUGUAUAGAGUGUAUGUGUUGAACCGUUGCUCCGUUUUGAGUGUGCUCUAUAUGAAACUUGCUUGUUUUUGCAUGUAGCUUCAUAUUAUCAUGUUGCAUCCUUGUUUUGGUGUGUUUGCUUGAUGUUUGGAUGCAUUUUGCAUCAAUGCCAUGGUUAACUUGUUUUGCUCAUAUCUUCUAGGCCGUAGCUCCGAAUCUAAUGAACUUUAUAUGUAACUUGACUAGAAUCCCAUGUAGAUCAUCUUGGUGCAUCUUAACUUGUUGUUUAACAACUUGAACAUAAGGUUUAUUCAGAUCUGGACCAACUUCGAAAUUUGCAUAUGAGGACUUACCGGAAUUGUUAUAUGUUGUUCCCGGCCUCAUCUAAACUUGCUUUGAUGAGUUGCUCUUGUUUGCAUCAUCUCUUGCCAUGAGUAGCUUCAUAUAGCUUUGUCAUGCAUCAUGCUUGUUGAGCAUCAUGCCUUGUUCAUGUGUGGUGUGUUUACUAUGUUGUGUGCUUCUUCUCGAUAGUUCCUGUUUCGUUGCGAUCGUGGGGAUUCGUUCGUCUACGCUUGGUUUGUCUUCGUGGCUUCAUCUUCUUCAUGGACUCGUUCUUCUUCCUUGCGGGAUUUCAGGCAAGAUGACCGCUACCCUGGAUCUCACUACUAUCAUUGCUAUGCUAGUUGCUUCGUUCUAUCGCUAUGCUGUGUCACCUAUCUUUUGCUCAUCAAGCCUCCCAAAUUGCCAUGAACCUCUAACCUUUGACACCCCUCCUAGCAAACCAUUAAUUGGCUAUGUUACCGCUUUGCUCAGCCCCUCUUAUAGCAUUGUUAGUUGCAGGUGAAGUUGAAGAUUGCUCCAUGGUGGACAGGAUUAUGUUGGGAUAUCACAAUAUCUCUUAUUUAAUUAAUGCAUCUAUAUAUUUGGUAAAGGGUGGAAGACUCGGCCUUAUGCCUGGUGUUUUGUUCCACUCUUGCCGCCCUAGUUUCCGUCAUACCGGUGUUAUGUUCCCGGAUUUUGCGUUCCUUACGCGGUCGGGUGAUUUAUGGGACCCCCUUGACAGUUCGCUUUGAAUAAAACUCCUCCAGCAAGGCCCAACCUUGGUUUUACCAUUUGCCUCACCACCACCUACAUUUCCCUUGGGAGUAAUUAACCCAAGGGUCAUAUUUAUUAUAGCCCCGGGGCCAAUGCUUGUCUAAGUGUUGGUCCAAACUAGAGCACCGUGCGGGACCAUCCUUUGGCAACUUGGGUUACGUCGAUACCUGUACGCUUAGCUUAUCUGGUGUUGCCCUGAGAACGAUAUAUGUGCAGCUCCUAUCGGGAUUGUCAGCGCAUCGGGCGGUCUUGCUGGUCUUGUUUUACCAUUGUCGAAAUGUCUUGUAAACCGGGAUUCCGAGACUGAUCGGGUCUUCCUGGGAGAAGGUAUAUCCUUCAUUGAUCGCGAGAGCUUAUCAUGGGCUAAGUUGGGACACCCCUGCAGGGUAUAAACUUUCGAAAGUCGUGCCCGCAGUUAUGGGCAGAUGGGAAUUUGUUAAUGUCCGGUUGUAGAUAACUUGACACCAGAUCCGUUUUAAAACGCAUCAACCGUGUGUGUAGCCGUGAUGGUCUCUUUUCGGCGGAGUCCGGGAAGUGAACACGGUUUCUGGGUUAUGUUUGACAUAAGUAGGUGUUCAGGAUCACCUCUUGAUCAUUGCUAGCUUCACGACCGUUCAUUUGUUUCUCUUCUCGCUCUUAUUUGCGUAUGCUAGCCACCAUACUAUGCUUAGUCGCUGCUGCAACCUCACCACUUUACCCCCUUCCUUACCUAUUAAGCUUUGCUAGUCUUGAUACCCAUGGUAAUGGGAUUGCUGAGUCCUCGUGGCUCACAGAUUACUACAACAACAGUUGCAGGUACAGGUUUUGCGAUGAUCAUGACGCGAGAGCGAUGUUUGCUUGUUUUGGAGUUCUGCUUCUGCUUCUUCUUCGAUCAGGGGAUAGGUUCCAGGUCAGCAGCCUGGGCUAGCAGGGUGGAUGUCGUUUGAGUUUUUGUUUGUGUUUCAUCCGUAGUCGGAUGGUGCUCUGAUGUAUUGUGAUGUUGUAUUCGUGUGGCAUUGUAUGCCCCUUGUAUGUAUCCCCAUCUAUUAUGUAAUGUUGAUGUAAUGAUAUCCACCUUGCAAAAGUGUUUCAAUAUGCGGGUCUAUCCUUGGUGGGACCUUCGAGUUCCUUUUGGAUAGGGUCGCAUAUUGGGCGUGACACUUUCUCCCUUAUUUUGUCUACUACUACCUUCUAUUCCACCCAUAAUGCUAUGUCCAUGGAUCACGCUCAUGUAUUGCGUGAAGAGUUGAAAAGGCUAAAGCGCGUUAAAAAGUAUGAAAUAAUUGCUUGGCUGACACCGGGGUGGUCAUGAUUUAUACUUUGUGCUGAGAAGAGGGAGCAUAACAAGACUAUAUGAUUUUGUAAGGAUAACUUUCUUUAGCCAUGUUAUUUUUGAAGCUUAAUGAUUUGCUUUCUAGUAUGCUUGAAGUAUUGUUGUUUUUGUGUCAAUGAACUGUUGUUUUGAAUCAUACGGAUCUGAAUAUUCAUGCCAAAUAAAAGAGAUUGCAUUGAUAAAUAUGUUAGGUAGCAUUCCACAUCAAAAAAAUUGUUUUUAUCAUUUACCUACUCGAGGACGAGCGGGAAUUAAGCUUGGGGAUCCUUGAUACAUCUCCAAUGUAUCUAUAAAUUUUGAUUGUUCCAUGCUAUUACAUUAUCUGUUUUGGAUGUUUUAUAUGCAUUAUUAUGCUAUUUAUAUUAUUUUUGGGACUAACUUAUUAACCGAGAGCCUAAUGCCAGUUUCUAUUUUUUUUCAUUUUUUUGAGUUUCGCAGAAAAGAAAUAUCAAACGGAGUCCAAAUGGAAUAAAACUUUACGAUGAUUUUUCUUGGACCAGAAGACACCCAGAGGACUUGGAGUCCAAGCCAGAAGACAUACGAGGCGGAGGCAAGGGUGGAGGGCGCGCCCUAGUGGGGGGCGCUCCCCUGCCUUGUGGCCCCCUCGGGAGUCCCCUAACCUACCUCUUCAUCCUAUAUAUUCACAUAUAUUCCAAAACCCUCAAAGAGAGCCAUGAAAAUACUUUUCCACUGCCGCAGGUCUUUGAACUCAUUAGAUUCCAUCUGGAGGCCUUUUCCGAUACUUUGCCGGAGGGGGGUUCGAUUACGGAGGGCAUCUACAUCAACCCUAUUGCCCUUCCGAUGAAGCAUGAGUAGUUUACCUCAGAACCACGGGUCUAUAGCUAGUAGCUAGAUGGCUUCUUCUCUCUCUUUGAUUCUCAAUACCAUGUCCUCCUCGAUGUUCUUGGAGAUCUAUUCGAUGUAAUCUUCUUUUGCGGUGUGUUUGUCGAGAUCCGAUGAAUUGUGGAUUUAUGAUUAACUUAUCUAUGAAUAUUAUUUGAAUCUUCUUUGAAUUCUUAUAUGCAUGGUUUGGUUUGGCCAACUAGAUUGGUUUUUCUUGUAAUGGGAGAGGUGCUUAGCUUUGGGUUCAAUCUUGCGUGAUUUCACCCAGUGACAAAGUAGGGGUAACGAGACACGUAUUGAAUUGUUGCCAUCGAGGAUAAAAAUAUGGGGUUUUCAUCAUAUUGCUUGAGUUAAUUCCUCUACAUCAUCUCAUCUUACUUAAGGCGUUACUCCGUUCUUUAUGAACUUAAUACUCUAGAUGCAUUGCUGGAUUGCGGUCGAUGUGUGGAGUAAUAGUAGUAUAUGUAGGCAGGAGUCGGUCUACUUGACACAGACGUGACGCCUAUAUACAUAAUCAUUGCCUUGGAUGUCGUUAUAACUUUGCGAUUUUUUAUCAAUUGCUCGACAGUAAUUUGUUCACCCACCGUAUUAUUUGCCUUCAUGAGAGAAGUCUCUAGUGAAACCUAUGCCCCCCAGGUCUAUUUUCCAUCAUAUUUGUUUCCGAUCUACUAUUUUGCAAUCUUUUAUUUCUAGAUCUAUAAACCAAAAAACACAAAAAUAUUUGGUUACCUUUUAGUUCCAUCUAUCUCUAUCAGAUCUCACCUUUGCAAUUGACCGUGAGGGGGUUGACAACCUCUUUAUCGCAUUGGGUGCAAGUGUUUGAUUGUUUGUGCAUGUGCAUAGACUGAGGAUUUGCUUGUACCUACUACUAGAUUGAUACGUUGGUUCUUUAACUGAGGGAAAUACUUAUCUCUACUUUGUUGCAUCAUACUUUUCUCUUCAUGAAAAAAGACAACGCAAGCUUAAGAAGUAGCAAGCGGCGCUGUGGCCGAACCGACAGAUGGCUUGCAUCCGACGAUGAAAAUGGCAGAGGCCACCAACUCCAUGGUGGCGAAGGGCAACGAGGCGGUAGCGGCGAUCGUCCUCGCAGAUCAGGCGGAGGAAGGAGACGAGACCAGGCAUCUCACCGGCGGCGAGUGCUCCCUCCCUUCUCUCUUUCUCUGUUGUUUUUCUUGCUCUCGCUGGCUGUUCUAGCGUGUGUGAUAACGGAUUUUGAAGCGAAUGGGAAAACUUGUAUUGAUCGGGAGUUGCAGAUUACAAUUUAUACUAUCCGGAGAGUCGCGAUGGGAAAGAAUGCGUCGGUUCCGGAGAGAGACGCGAGAGGCGUCUGUUGCGUAUGCAAGAAAGUGGAGAUUUUUUCCCUAAUUACAUUUGCUAAUUAAUCACAACAUAAAGCUUGUUGCUUUGCCCACGGGGCAUGUCGACGGCCUUCUUUUCCGUGUCUCCCCUCACUCAGCUAGUGCUCUGCUUUCUGUACGAGCUGGCCAUUCCCAAGAAUAAUAUGUUCCUUCUUCCAGUGAACAACUCUGUUGCGUUAAGAGACUUGUGCGUGUGUCGUUUUUCUUUUGAUUUCCCACCGUGGUUGGUAAAAAUUGCAAUAUUAUACUAUUUUUAAGGUAAUAAAGGUUAAAAGUUCGGGCCUACAAACGUUGGCAUCAGUAUCCAUUUUAAAACAUCACAAAUAACUAUAUUGUCAUUCUAAAACAUCACAAGUUUGCAUUAGAUUUUCCUGUCUAGUGAUUUAAGACCGCACCAUCAGUAAAAUCUAUUCCUACAUUGGUUACAAAUUCGAUGAAAUGACGAGUUUUAGGCCAUGACCCAAGGCCAACCAGCACGACACAGCCACAAAAACAACACAAGGGUGCCAGACGAACGGAUCAAGAUCAAUAUCCAAAUGCCAGCACGGCACAUAAUCCAGAUAACACAAUCUAUAACUCCAGCAAGAUAAUAACCAAAACUCAAAGGAACAGGUCCGUUGUGCAGGGUGCCAGACACUAACAAAAGCGCAUUUCACUCGUCGUCGUCCUCGUCAUCAUCGGCGGCACCGGCAGAGUUGUUGAGGGCGUUGAGCCUUUCGACGAGGCUGGCCUUCCUCUGCUCAUAAGUCAGCUUCUUGGGGUUGUACCUGCAUGCAAAGACAAAGUUCAC